rnacentral:lncRNA from 1 species
GAAUUACUGGAAAAUCACACAAAUUAUUGAAGGAGGACCUUAGCUAGGUUGUCUCCUAAAUUGCCCAUCUUUUUAUAUCUUUGCAUUCAUCUAUCUCAUCAUCGUCUUUGAUUUUAGAUGGUGAGGAUGUGAAAGUAACAGGAAGCAGUGGACGAUUGUUCACAGUGAGGCUUAGCACAUCAGCUCUCGAAUAAUGUCCUACCACGUCAAACUGGAACUUUGCUUUAGGAAUCUCUCCACGAACAUCUGCAUAUCAAGUGAUCAUAAAAAUAUUUGAUCAGCCCAUGAUAAAUAUCAUAGAGUAUCAAGUCUUCCAUAAAACUAUGUUUGCAGUCCCUUUAAACCUAAAGAAUUGACUCAUUUGCCUUAUCUGCAUACUGAAUUAUUUGGAUAUAUAAUCGGAGAAGUUAGGGCCAUACCAAGAUCAGCUGUGAAGAGGCCUUCUCCUUCAUAAUUCGGUCCUGCUAGAAUUUCGCCAUGGGGCGAAAUGAUGACACUACCUCCAGCCCAAACAAUAGAAUCUGGAGUGACAUCUUCUUCUGUAGGACUGUAAAGAUACUCAGGUGGAGGUGGGUAAUCUUUCCUCCGACAGAACUGGAUGGGUGAAAGAACAUAGCAUCCACCCUCCAUAGCGAUGUGUCUCAUUGUAGCUACCCAUGUAUCCCCGGAAUCGGCAGUAGGAGCACAAUAUAUCUCAAUUCCUAUAUAGAAUCGGUGUUUUGUGAUCAAUCAAUCCCAUAUCAGAGCCAUAAUGUAUUUCAAGCCUAUUUAGGCUAAAACCCUAAUAACUUAAAAAAGAGUACUGAAGUAUUUCAAGCCAAACCAUACUAGUUAGUGAAGAGAAAGAAAUGGUAAAAUAUAUACCUUUGCCAUACAUUGCUGUCCUCAGAAGCGGCAUUCUAUUUUCCCAACAAAUGACUGAACCAAGUUUUCCAUAUGGAGUGUCAUAAACUGGAGUUGUCGAGCAAUCUCCGAAACCCCAGACGAGCCGCUCCCAAUAUGUUGGCAUGAGUUUCCUAUGUUUUCCAAGGUAAUUACCUUCAGGAUCAAAGAAGAGAACAGUGCAAUACAAUGUGUAUCCAUCUCUCUCAAUAACACCUAUCACCAAGUAGACUUUGUAUUUCGCAGCCAUUGAUGCCAAUCUAUCAACUUCAGGUCCUGAAAAGAUAUUAAGUGGUUGAUUCAUCAAACGUGUCUUGUUUCAAUAAUUUAUUAAGUGGUUCAGUUCUUUAGCUAUUUAAGGAAAAGAGAGAGAGGUAACUGACCCGGCACAUUAAUGGCAGAAGCAUGGUACUUGCGGAAACUUUCUUUCCCUCUUGGCGACUGGUCGGCGAAGUUGUAUCCACGGGGAUACCCACCGAUAAAUGAUUCAGGAAACACAACCAGUUGGGAUCCCAGUGCAGCUGCUUCUUUCAAAAACCUCUCAGCCUUAUCUGCUCCCAAAAUCACAUUGCAAGAAUUAAUAAUUCACGACUUAGAAAGUAAAUUAAUUGGUUGAAUAGAGAGAAUCAAAAUUAACCUCCAGACAUCCCAAAUGACUUUUUGGUUGCUGAGAAAACUCAUGGAAAAAGAGACCUAGAUAAAACUCGGAACUUUCAUAUUUUCAGCUGUUUUGUAACUAAGAAAAGAGAAACCACCUCAACCCAACUCAUCCAAGUAAUUAUUCCUUGAUUGGCAGCUGAAAAUAUGUUCAAGCUUCAAUAAUCCUUUUCUUUCCUUCAGUUUCUCAGCAACCAAUCAACUCACAGAUUCUCUUACACAAGUUGCAGAAUUGAGAGAAAUGGUACGUUACCUAGAGUGGCAGGAGUAUCAUAAAAGACACUAGAGGCUUGAACAACGGUGGCUCUAACAGUUGAAGACAUUGCAGAAAUCGUAUGCCUUUUCGUUUCCCUUCUGUUUGAGGAUUCCUCACACAGCGUUCAGUAUUUAUAUAUAGCCCAAAAGGUUCUUCUGCCAUUACUUGAACAAGACGAAAAGGCUGGGAAAAGUCUGCCUUGGUUUUCCAUAUUGAUUUAAGUUAUCCGCAGACAUUGUGGACCAGCCACAUGACUUAAAACAAAUUGAAAAUAACUGAGUCAUCUGUGAAAUAUAUAUAUCUGUGAAAUAUAUAUAUAUAUAGAUUUCAUCUUUUAUACUUGAAUCAUCUCCCCCCUCCUUUUUUUUUUCCUAGUUUUGGCCUUAUUUUUUAAAAAUAUAAUAUUUAUUUUACUUUUAAUCAAUGGCUCAUAUUUCGAACAAGUGCGCCAGAUUUUCUGAAGUUGUAUAUAUAAUAAUCUGAUAGUGAUUAUAUUUGGAUAAAAAGAGGGACCCGCCCACUUGCAUGGAUUCUAUAUAGGACACAGACAAAUUGUCUUUAGUGGCGGCUGAGGAGGCUUUCUAUGACUUAAAAAAUAAAUAAAACAAAAAUAGUCAUUAAGAAAUCAGUGCCAUGUAGUUAGUGUCCGCCACUAUCUACACUUUCUUUAAAAGAACAAAAUUGUCAUUUUUUUUAAUCUCAGAAAUCACUGAAUCGUACAAAAUAAUAUAAGAUAAGAUUCAAUUCAGUCUUUUUUGGCCUCAUAAGAAAACCUUAGCCAACUCAAGGUGACCACUCCAGAAUCAAAAUAGGUUUUCUUUUUCUUCAAAAAAAAAAAAUAUAUAUAUAUAUAUAUAUAGUUGGUGAAAGAGGGUAUAAACAAAUAUAUGCAAAAAAAAAUUAUGAUGAUUAUAUUUGAAUAAAACAGAGGGAGCCCCCACAUGCAUGGAUUCCAUCUAGCACCCAGAGGAAUUGUCUUUAGUGGGGGCUGAGGCUUUCCAUGACUUAAACUAUAUAUAUAGGUAAAAACUAGGUCUAACUUUAUGUAUUGGACCCAACCAAAAAUUGAGUGAUUGAAUGGCAGCUCUAGUAAAAAAAUAAAAAAGGGAGAACCAUGCUUACUGUCACAGAAUGCUUGAAAUGAGCCCCCUUAUGGGUUUAUAUAGAGUUCAAGAAGCUUCUAGAGACUCCUAGAGCCAUCUACACUAAGUCAUUGAUGGGAAGAGUGUGGAAGGUUCUAGAGAUGCCUAGAGAUGUCCACACAUCUCUACACUAUAGUGGAAGGCAUGAGAGGAGUCCAAGGUUUUCUAGAGAAUUCUAGAAAUCUCUUAUAUAUUCUUGUACAUAGGUUUGUAUAGGAUAUUCUAGAAUCUUCUUGAGUUCUAAGGAACCCUCCAAGGUUCCAGAGAGUUCCAUUGGUAUCUAUAAAUAGGUGAGACCCUCAUUUGGCCAAUACACCACCCAAGAACCUAAUCAACCAAGCAAGUGAGUUCUCAAAGCACUUGUAAAGGUUUCCUUUGAGCAAUAAAAGCUUUCAUUCUUUAAGAGUUGCCUACUACGCCUUCUAAAGCUUCCAAGUCAUGAGCAUCUUAGCCUAGCAAGCUAAGCAUUGGGAGUAACGCUAACUUAGCAAGAUCAAGUACCUUGACUUGUCUAAGUGCCACAUGAGCUUAGGAAAAGAUUAAGUCUGUGACAAGUGGUAUCAGAACACGACUACGAAGCGGGCAUAGUAAAGGAAGCAUGUCGGGUUCCAAUGUAGAAGAGACUAGUGAGCAAAUCCGUGGGAGGGAGACCGAGCCUGCUGCACGGGGCAGGGGCGGGGAGGAUAAGUCUCGUGAUGUCGUUGCUAACAUGGAGGCAAGCUUAGUUAAGGUGCAUCUAGACAUGGCGGACACUCGGGAGGGGUUGGACUUGAUCGAGCAAGGCAUGAAGAAGGGCUUAGAGGAUCUAAGGGAGUAGAUCCAAGACGUUUGUGAGGGGAUGUUAGUCUCACAAGUUCAGCCAGUGUCACAUGAGGAGUUUGUGUCCUUCCAAGAAAAGGUCUUGAGCAUGCUUGCUAGCAUGGAGUCAAGGAUAGAGGCCUUGGUCAUUUGAAUGGAGUCCCGAGACCAAGUUAGGCAAGAGUUGGCCAUCUACAAGGAUGCUGUGUUGGCACGGGUCAUGGCCAUCCAGGAGGUAUCUAAGGUGGAGGAGUCGAAACCACAAGAGUUUAGUGGCAAGUGGGAUGCCAAGGAGUUGGACAACUUCUUAUGGCAUAUGGAGAGAUACUUUGAGGCUAUCACACUAAUUGAUGAGGUGGUUAAGGUAAGAACUGCAACCCUUUACCUUACUGACACAACUACUCUAUGGUGGCGUCGGAGGUUUGCCGAUAUGGAGAAAGGCAUUUGCACCAUAGUGACAUGGAGGACUUCAAGAGGGAAAUCAAGAGGCAGUUCUACCCCAAGGACGUGGCAUUUGCACCAUAAAAAUAUUACCAUAUUCAUUUUUAUGUUGAAUUUAAAUGUUUAAUAAUUUGUUAAAAAUAAAAUAACGUAAUUAUGAUAUAUGAUGAUUUUUUUUUUUUGUUAAUAAAUAUGUUUUCAAAUUUUAUAUCAUUUUUAUUUUUAUUUUUUUUCCAAUUCUAUUUUUAUCUCAUAUUUAUUUUCUUUAAACCCAAAAUUGUUGAGAAUGGAGGAAGAAAGAAGGCCACAACCGGUUCUUUCCUUAAGUGGUUAAGUUGAAUUUUUAUUUCAAAUUUAAAAUGGAUGGCCAAGAUGUAAUCUUGGACAUCCAAUGGCUUGAAAAACUUUUUCGGUAUGUACCGAAGAGGUACCGUAGAAUUUUCUAUAUAAUAAUCUACAAGUUACGAUAGUGAUUAUAUUUGGAUAAAAUGAGGGACCCGCCCACUUGCAUGGAUUCUAUAUAGGACACAUAAAUUGUCUUUAGUGGCGGCUGAGGCUUUCUAUGACUUGAAAAAAAAAACUAAAAAUAGUCAAUAAGAAAUCAGUGCCAUGUAGUUAGUGUCCGCCACUAUCUAUACUUUCUUUAAAAGAACAAAAUUGUCAAUUUUUUUUUUUUUAUCUAAAAAAUCACUUAAUCGUACAAAAUAAUAUAAGAUAAGAUUCAAUUCAGCCUUUUUUGGCUUCAUAAGAACACCUUAGCCAACUCAAGGUGACCACUACAGAAUCAAUAGAGGUUUUCUUUUUCUUCACAUAUAUAUAUGGUGAAAGAGGGUAUAAACAAAUAUAUGCAAAAAAAUAAUCUACAGGUAUGUUGAUUAUAUUUGAAUAAAACAAAGGGAGGCCCCCACAUGCAUGGAUUCCAUCUAGCACCCAGAGGAAUUGUCUUUUGUGGGGGCUGAGGCUUUCCAUGACCCAAACUAUAUAUAUAGGUAAAAAUUGAGUGAUUGAAUGGCAGCUCUGGUAAAAAAAAUAAAAAAGGGAGAACCAUGCUUACACUCUCGUUCAUUCCAACAAAUAUAUUGUUUAGGAAUUCUAAUUUUAAUAUUUCACCCCAAAUACAUAAUCAAUAAAAUUAUUCUUCAAAUAUGUAUUUUAAUAGCAACCAAAUUGAGAAUUAUAUAGUUAUCCCUUUCUAAAAUCUUUAAUGUAUUUGAUAUCCUCUCCAUAUCACGUCUUUGAUAUCCUACCUUUGACAUUUUUUUAUUUAUAUAUGUCGAAGUGACGAGACUUUCUCUACUCAACCUUUUUCCUUUCAGAUUUCUUUUCACUCUUUUAAUAAUUUCACAUUUAUUAACUUUAAUAAUUUUUUGGACACAUUAAAUAUAAAAUUAUAAUACAUAAUAAAUAACUAAUUAGAAUAAAUUAAAUGUAAAUACAAGUAUGCAAUGGGUAGAAAAUGAAAAUUUUAUCCUAUAAAUAGUACGCUUGAUAGUUUAAAAUAUUAAUUAUAAUAAUACAUUUGAUAAUUUAGGAUUUAGAUUUAAAAAUUAUGUUUUAUGUUUUAGAGGCCAAGAUAUAAGAUUUCCAUUAACCAAAGAUUUUUUUUAUGUGAAUCUUAAAUAAAAUGUUUGUUUAUUUUGCAAAUUCUUAUCAUUUGUAAAUAAGACAAAUAUAUUUUUAUCAUAUUAUUUUUAAUUUUUAAUAUUUUGUGUCAAAAUCAUCAUCAAUGAUGGUAAUCUUUAUUAGGAUAGAACCCUUAAACGUAUGAUAUGAUGUAACAAAUAUAUAGUUUAUUAUUUAUUUAAUAAUAUUCAAGUUUCACUUUUAUCUAUCCUUAUUCCAUGUAUUAUAUCUCAUGAGUAUUCUAGCCAAACAUUUAUUGCAUUAUACAUGACUUGAAUGCAUUAGGUAUAGACCCCCCAUUUUGUUCUCUUAGCACAUGCAUUAUGAGGUGUUCUUUCAAUACUCCACAACAAUUCCCUAGUGUCCCAUUACUACUCAUACUUUUUGAGCCACCUUGGAGACUCUGGUCGAGGGAUUUAUAUGGCUCCUCAUUGUGACCAUUGGUAACCUUGAGUUAGAUUUAGGUUAUUUUUUUCCUUUUUCUCUCAUGUUAGCCCUUUUAGGUGCACUUUCCGUUUUUAGGAUAGCAUAUUAGGCAUUUCCUAGGACACCAUGCCCCACUUAAGCUCUUAGGCACGUUUUACAUUAGUUCACCCAACCCCCUUAGGUUCACUUAGAUAGAUUUUUUAGGCUUAAUGUACUUAGGUUUGUUUUUUGAGUUGUGAUGGCAUGAUUCUGAGUUUAUGUGAGUAUUUAGUUUGAUUUUUUUUUUUUGUUUUUUUAAUUGCUUCAAUAUUUAGUUAUGAGAUUUUGACAUUUCAUUUUGUUUCAUCAUUAAUUACACUAGAUUAACAUUUGAAUUUUGAUUGCAGUAUUUAGCAUCUAUAUUAUUAUUAUGAAUUAUUUAUUUAUUUUUUGUCUAUUUUUUAUAUUUACUUAUCUAUUUAUUUAUUUGUUAAAAAAAUGCAUGAGGUUGCAUUUUAGUUUUUUUUUUUCCAAAAAUUGCAUGAAUUGAUAUUCAAAUUUCCUUAUAGAUGGAUAUGAGUUAUUUUAUUUUAAUUGGGUUUGGGUUGUCAUUUCUCAUUUUUGGGCUUUGUUUGUUUUGCAUGGGCCCAAGAGUUUUCUUAGGGUGGAAGUCUUGAAAGCUAUAUAAAAAGGGCACAGAAGCCCUAGGCAAUAGGGAGGACAAUCAAAGAGAGAAAAGGUGUUGCUACUUUAUUCUUUUUGUGCGUGUGUGUGUGUGGUUUCUUUCUUUCUUGAUUGUAUAUUGUUGGUGAGAGAGAAUUUUUCCUUACUAUGUAUCUACUAUAGGGCAGUUCAUUUGUUUUUUUAUAUUGUAUUCGUAUGUUGGAGUUGCCUUUGGUUCGGAGAGUCUAGAUCGAUUUAGGGUGGCAUUCAAGUAAGUUAUUUCUUCUUCAUCUCUUUAUUUGUAUUAUGUUUUUGUUCUUUUUAGGAUUUCUUAGAUUUAUCUUGUUUUAUAUUUAUUAUAUUUGUAAGCAUUUUGGUAGUUGAAUAUUUUAGCCAUUUCAUUUAUUCAAUUCUUUGCCUAUUUGAGUUAUAUGUUCAUUAUACUCUAUAUUUUGUAUGUAUGCACAUUUGCUAAACUUUUUCUACCCAUCUAUAUGUUUGUCAUGUUUAUUUAUUAUUUUGUUGAUAUGUGUUGACAUGUGUUUCUAUAUGGUCAUGCGAAAUGAAACAAAAUAGGCUUGGUUGCAGCACACAAGGGAAACGUGAAAAGUGAUUUCGCAUGACCAUGCGAAAUUUUCGCACAGUCAUGCGAAACCCUCCAAGAAGAUGAAAAUGAAGCUGAUGGACUUUCCACUUCGCACCAUCAUGCAAAAUUGCUAGGGGCUCGUGCAAAAUGCAUUUUCUCCAUAUGUUGUUUCAAGUUUUCUAUAUUUGUGCAAUUCCUGUCCUAAAUUUUCUAUAAUUUUGUUUAUGUUAGUCUUGUUGCCUCAUUUUUCAUUUUGUCUUAAUUUUUGUAUAAUUCUAUUAAUAUUAGUCUUGUUGCUUCAUAUUUCAUUGUCUUAAAUUUUUUAUAAUUCUAUUUAUGUUAGUAUUUUUGUCUCAUAUUUCAUUUCAUGCCAUAUUUGGGUUUUGAUUUAUUUUUCUGGCUUGAGUUUUCUUUCUUUUUUUCUUUUUUUUUACUAUGCAAUAAAAAUUUCAGAAAAAUCAGUUUUAAUAAAAUUUCUAGAAAAAUAGUUUUUAAUAAAUUCCAAAACGGUUUUCUUUAAUUAAAAAUCUAGAAUUUUGUUUCCCAUAAAAUGCAAAAAAAAAAUUGUUUUAAUAAAAUAAUAUGGAAGAACCAUUUUUACUAAAUUCAGAAUUUUGGUUUAAUAUAAAAUAAUUCAAAAAAUCAUUUUUUUUUAAUAAGUUCAUAAAAUUCAUUUUUUUAAUAAAAUAAUUCAAGAAUUUCAUUUUUUUUAAUAUAUUCGGUAAAUGGUUUUUAAUUUAAUAAUCCAAAUAUUCAUUUUUUAACAAAUCCAGAAAAUUGGUUUUUUAAUAAAAAUCCUCAAAGUUUGUAAAGUCCUAAAAGUUUGUUUGAUGGAAAUUUUGAAAUUUGUGUUUUAAUAAAUGUUCUUUAGAAAAUCAUUUUUUUAAUAAGUUUGAAAAUUCUAAAAUUUGUGUUUUAAUAAAUGUUCCUUAGAAACUCAUUUUUUUAAUAAGUUUGUUAACUGAAAAAUUGUGUUUUAAUAAAUAUUCUUUAGAAAUUUUUUUUUUAUAAAUAAGUUUGUUAAUUGAAAAUUGUGUUUUAAUAAAUGUUCUCUAGAAAAUCACGUUCUAAUAAAAAUUAUGAAAAUUUGUAAUAUCCUAAAAGUUUGUUUAUUGAAAAUUCUGAAAAUUCUAUCUUAAUAAAUGUUCUUUGGAAAGUCGUUCUUUAAUAAAAUUAUACAUUAUGAAAAUUGUGUUUUAAUAAAUGUUCUUUAAGAAAUCGUUUUUUAAUAAAUUUGUAAAUUCUAAAAAUUGUGUUGUAAUAAAUGUCCCUUAGAAAAUCGUUUUUUUUAAUAAGGUUGAAAUUUUUGAAAUUUGUGUUUCAAUAAAUAUUCUUUAGAAAAUAAUUUUUUUAAUAAGUUUGUUUACUAAAAAUUGCGUUCUAAUAAAUAUUCUUUAGAAAACCAUUUUUUUUAGUAAGUUUAUUUACUAAAAAUUAUAUUUUAAUAAAUGUUCCUUUAAAAAAAAUCAUUUUUUUUAAUAAGGCAUAUUUAAUGAAAAUGCUUAAAAUAAGUGUUUAAAUAAAUAUUUUCAAAGUUUUUCUUCAUAAAAGUCGUGAAAGUCAUAAAAGUCAUAAAAGUUCUCAAAUUUGAUUUAAUUAAAAUUUUCAAAAUAAAUGUUUUAAUAAUUGUUCUCAAAGUUGUGUCUUUUAAAUUUACUUAAAGUUUGUCUCAGUAAAAGUUUUAAAAGUUUUAAUAAGUGUCUUAAUAAAUUCUCAAAAUAAGUGUUUUAAUCCUAAAAAUUCUCAAAUUUUGUUUUUAAUAAAUUCCCAAAGUUUGCCUUAUUAAAUUCUAAAAGUUGCUUAAUAAAAACCCUCAAAGUUAGUCUAAAAAUCCACAAAGUUGUUUUCUCGAAGUUAGUGUUUUAAUCAAUGUCUCUCUUUUCAAAUAAAUUUGAUUUAUAAAUAUUUUUUUCACAAAUAAAAGUUGAAAAAUUUUGUUUUCUUAAUGAAUUGAAAUUUGGUUCCUGUCAUUAAAAUAAAUAAACCAUUUUUCCUUGUAAAAAUAUUUUUUUUCCAAAAGUAGAACUGAUGUUUCUUUAUAAUUAUCGAAUCUUCCUUUUUUUUAAAAAAAAAAAUAAAGUCGAAGCCAAUAUCAUUUCUUUGUAAAUAGAAGAUCAAAUUGAGCUUUUCUUUUUAAUAUAUUUGAAUUCAAUCAAAAUUAUUUUAAUAAAAUCAAGAAAAGUCUUCUUUUUUUUUAAUUAAUUUUGGAUGUGAAUAAAAAUCGAGUCUUUUGUAAAUAAAUUGAAACUUUGUGAGUAAAUAAGUUUGAAAUCUUUAAUUUGGAAUUGUUCCCAAUAUAAAUAAAUUUCUUUUGAACUUCCUUUGAAAUGUUGCAACUUGAACAAAUAAUUAAAUUAUAUUUUGUGCUCUUCACAUUCAUUAAUUGUGUACAUUCUUGUGUAAUCUUUUUCUCAUCUCAUGACUUAUAUGUAUCUUGUUGUCCUGUUAUCAGUAUCCUCAAUAAAUUAAUCAAUUCAUACUGACUCGUUUUGAUUUAUGUUUGCAAUUUUUCAAGAUGAUUGACAUAAUGUGUUUCAAAGGAAAAUCAAAUCCUUCUCACCAAGUAUGUCUUAAAAUAAUUUUUUUUUUUUUAUAACUUCAAAUUAGAAAUGUCUUCUUAGCUUUGAUAAUGAUCUUUUGUAUUUUUUUUUUUAAAUUGCAACGAUUUGAAAACAUUAUAGAAUAGAGUUAUUUAUAAACUUAUUUUUAUGUACAAAUAAAUUAUACAAAUAUGUGAAAUUAAUUUAUUAAUUUAUUAAAUUAAAAUUUAUUUCUUAUUUUUCUAAUUUUUUUUCUUCAAAUGAACUCAAAAUUGUAGCUUUUAACAUGUGAAGCUAGAAAUGUUUGGAAGGUAUAUAAUAAUGAUAAAAUAGGCAAUCAUCAUUUUCCACUUGCAAGAAAAUCAUAAAAUAGGCAAUGGUCAUUUCAAGAUUUGUAUCAUUCAUCAAACUAGUAAAUUUGGAAAUGGAACUCCAUUAGAUUGUGAAAAAAAACUACUAUAAACCAAAAAAUAUAACAAAGAAUAAAGAAAUUAGAAUAUAACUUCCACUUUGAAACUAUUGCUUGUAUGAACUAUUAUCCACUUGCCAACUUAACAGAAUUGACAUAGCCAUAAACCUAAUAUAAAAUAAUCAUUUUAGCAAUCUAGAAUAAUCAAGCAUAAUUUCAAAAUGCGUCUCUCAUGCUUACAAUGUUAUAGACCAAACAAACUAAAACAAUGAUUUUUCUCCACUGAUACAAUCUUAAAUAAAUUUAUUUUAGAAACAACAUAACCUAAUUGCCUAAUGAAACAUCAUUGAUCCAUAGACCAGUAGACAUUUUUCCUGAUUUCAUUUUUUGGCGACAUUAUCAUUUGUGUUAGGAGUUUUUCCUUGUACUUCAUGACCUUGUCCUAUACAAAAGAGUAUAUAAUAGAAUAUUAACGAAAAUUCAUGUUAUUUUAUUGAACAUAAAAAAUAAAAAAUAUUGUAUUCAACACAAUAUAAUACAUUUGCAAUUGUAUGAAAAAAUCCAUUGUUAUCCCAUAAUUGCAUAAACUUGAUUACAAAUAUGCCACAAUCUGUUCUACAAGUAGCAAUUAAGGAAAUUAAAAAUAAAUUAUGCAUCAAAUCAAUAAAUUUAGAACCUCAUUUGCUUUCCAUAGGUAAAGAGGAAUAAAAUUCUUGCAACUUAUGAAUUCAAUUGUUGCAAAACUUCUAAAACAACGAAUUUGAAUUUAGUCAUGUCCAUUGAUGGUCUUCUUUCUUGAAUCCCAAUGACAAUUGAUAGAACGCUUACCUUAACACAAUAUAAAAUUAUAAAUAUGGACAUCCUUAAAAAAUAAUGACAACAAGUCACAUAAGUAAUUGGAUAAUAACUAUAUUUACUAGUUUCUCUGUGAAGACAUCCAUUUGCUUUUUCCUUUCGUCAAUCAAUGAAUCCAACAACUCGAUUCUUUUUCUAAUGAAUAUUCAAAAUGUUUAAAUACCAAUGAUUUCUCCUGCAUAUUGGUAUGAACAGCUGAAAAAGAAAAAUAAAUAAUGAUUUUAUCAAGUUAAUUGUGUUCAUGUAUUUCCUGCACUAUACUUAAAAAUAUCCAACUAUAUAUGACUUUCAUUAAAUUAAAUAAAACAUGUUCAUAUGUGUACAACCGAGUGUUUUUAAAAUAUUUUCAUAAAUUGUCACAUGUAUUUUGGAGAAAAUGUACCCCUCUUAUUUUCCACAUCAAAUUGUAAUAAUAAAAAAAAUACAAAACAUACAUUAGAUUAAAACAAUCUACUUAAAACAAGAAAACCAAUCUAUAAUUCUUACAACAUAUCUUACCUCAAAAUGGGGAGAUAAGAAAUGCUCCCUAUUUCCUUUAUCCUUACCAUUCAAAAUUCGACAAAACAUGGUUACAACCUUCAUGUAAAUGAAUGAAAAUUAGAAAUAUAGUUUUAGAGUAAUUUUAUCUUAACUUCAUAUAACUAAAUAUGAAUACCUUAUUGUUAACUAAUUUGUCGGGUCCCAAGCAUUUUAAGUCGAAUCUUAUCAAGAAGAAAUCGUACAUGGAACACAAUAUUUGGCUACAUAGAAAUAAUUAUGAUGUUAUGAAUUAAAACUAAAUCUUUUAAAUGGUUGUCUUAAUUGUACUUGUUUAUACUGAAUCAAGUUCAACCUGACCUUUCAUCACGUGUAUCGUCCAAUGCAUAUGCUAAAACUUACUUUGCUACAAUGAAGACGUUGAAAAUUUGAUUGAUUGUUGUACCACAUAUGGUGAUUGUAGGGCAGUAGCACAUCGACGUAGCCGACAUAAACAUAAUGGAGGAUGUUCAGUCUAGUAAGGAAUAAUAACAUUCGACUUAACUUCAUCCUCAACUAUAUGUAUAGAAAAUAAGAAAAAAAAUUCAUUAACGAAAAUAACACACAGAGGAAAGACUAGCCAUUAUUAUGAACUCAUUAAUAUUUUGAUAUUAAAAAUUACUAUAAAAAAAUAAAGAUGCAGAAAGUAUAAUGCUAUGUUGCGCUACUGGCUGUGAGGUCGAUGGCCCUGCAUUAUCUUCACCAUGAGCGGAACGAUCAUUCAAUGGUGAUCCAUAUGCUAAUUUAAAAAUGGAUAACAACCAAAUUUUAAAAAAAAAUUAUAGAACAUUUGCAAUUCAAUUAAAAGUAAAAAAAAAAUUUAACAGCUAAUGCUAUAAAAACCUUAUUACCAUGUGGUGGUGAUGGGAAAGAUUCAUUGAUGUCAGGUUGGUUAUGACUUCCGCUUUGAUGAGAAGGUGAUGGGGUUUUGUUUUUAUUAUGCCGCUUUGCUAGUUUAUCAAUUGCUUCUUUCAUUGUUCGAAGCAAUUGGUGAAUUUGUUCCUCCACUACAUUAUACUCUGCUAUAAUUUCCUACAAAAUGGUACAAAGUGUAAAAGAUGUAUAUUAUUAUGCAUAACAUGUUUGGUUUACUCUUUAAAUAAAGGAAUAGAUGUAAAAGGUUCUCACAUCACUAGUCUCUUCUUCAACUUCAUCUACUGGAUUAGUAGGGUCUUCAUGUGCAUCUUCCCCCCUUUCAUCUUCCUGAACCUACAAUAAUAAAAAGAAUAUAUAAUUUUUUUAAAAUUAUUUUUCAAAUAUUAAAAUAAAAAGAAAAUGUAGAAAUAAAAUUUUGUUCCUUACAUCGACUAGUCCAAGGUCAUCAUAAUCCUGCAACUCUACAUGCACCAUUUUCUUCAUCAGGUCAUCACUCUACAAUGCACAUAUGGGGAUGGUGUGUGGCACCAACAUAAUUGGAAUGUAGAAUUUAUUUACAUAAAAAAGCUCAUACACAAAUAUUCCACACAUCAAUACGUUAUUUAGAGAACACUGUUUAAACAUAGAAAAUGAUAUGGAAACCUUGAGCAUUUAAUAAAAAAAGAUAUUUACCUACAAAAAAAAAAAGGUAACCUGUAAACCAUGAGCCUUUACCCAAUCGAAAAUGCCUAAUUCGAGCAACCAAUGUGUCAAGUACAAAUUGGUCCCAAUUAACAUUGAUGUCAAAGUUUCUAGCAAGCAAAGUACACCGCAACUCAUGACUACCAUCCAACUUCAAUGUUGGAGCAAGUAAUGUAGCACAUGAGAAGAAGAUAAACAAUUUUUUAAAGUCACCCAUGUCUUCCAUUGAGAUCAGCCUAUCUCUAAGGAUAGAUAGGUUUUCCAUCCUAUUAUUCCUAUUGGUAGGUGUAGACACUCCAUUUUGUAUAUCUAGUACUUGUCCUAUUAUGUGUUCGUUUGGUACUUUACAACAAUUCCCUGGUAACCCAUUAUUACUCAUGUAACUUAUCUUUUAUGAGCCACCUUGGAGACUCUGAUUGAGAGAUUUAUCUAACCUCAUUACAACCCUUAGCAACCCUAAUUUAGACUUAGGUAGUCAAUACAUGUCUAGCAUAAUACCCUAAGCUCCCAUUUUUACAACUUGGAGGGCUAAAUUGGGUAAAAUAUAAGAAUGUCAAAUAACAUGUAUAUGUGAAAUAUGGACAAAAAAAAAGGAAUAGAUAAAGGUAAUGAUUAAUUAUAUUUAUUAAGAAUAGUGAUUAACUUAAAAAAAAAAAUAGUUAACUUUUGUGAAAAUAUCCCUUAGAAAAGAUCAUGACUUUUAUGACUUCAUUAAGGUAAAUCAAUCAAGCUUCAAGAGCAAUUAUCGAUAAUAUAUUUGGAAAUAUGUAGUAUUAGCAUCCUUUUACAUCUCAUAGAUUGACAUUAUAGAAGAGAAAUGCAAUUAGUAAUUAUAAGGAAUAAAUGUUUUACAUAUGAACAAUUUGAUUAAAGAUGGAUAAAAGAGUAAAGAGUUUAGAUUAGAGAGAGAGAGAGAGAGAGAGAGAGAGAGAGAGAGAGAGGUUGUGCCUUACAAGAAAUGUCUAAACUAAAUAUAGGAUGUAUAUAAGACAUACUAAGGCCAAAAGAAAGAUAUAAAGAACAACUCACACCUAAGUAACAUGAUCAAAGCUAUUUAAAUGAAUCCUCAUUGCUUCCUUACCUAUACAUACAUCUAAAUUGUUGUAAAGGAUUGUAAAUAUUAUGAGUUUGUUCUUUUUUAGUACUACUUCAUUACUAGUGGAAUAAUGGACAAAUGAGUACAUUGUAUUCAUAGCAAUUUAGAUUAUAUUUUCAUAAGGUGGUGAAACAAACAUAUAUGGUAUCCUUCUCAACUCAACUUAGGAAUAGGAAAUAAUAACAAAAACAAUUAUAAGCUAACAAAAUUCAUAUAUAUAGGUAUAUAUUCAUGUGAGAGGAAGCCAUAUAGAAUCUUUACAUUUCAAAAAUCAAGUAAACUUUAAUUCAAGAAAGCAACUUAAAUGUAGGUAAGUCUUCAAAAAGUUUAGAAGAAGAAAAAAAUGUAACCUCAAUAACUAUCCACUUGAGCUAUUUUUUAGAUCAUUUCUUCUUUUGAGAUACAAAAAUUCGAAACCCCCUGCAAAAAAGAAGAUUACAUUAGUGUUUAUUUUGAAACAUGAAAACUAAAAUUAUGGUAGACUUACAUGUUCACAAUAUCUUUUAUAUCUUGGUAUGGUUGUUGUAAUAGCAAGUCUAAAUAGUAAACUGUUUGUAAUUUGAGGUCAAUUACAGCCAAAACCCAAUGAAACCUACAAUAUAUUAACAUAUAAUUUAGAUAAAUAGCAUUUAUAAGGCUAAGAAAUUAAAAACAAUUAUAAUUAACAACUUACCUUGGGUUAUACGGAAGAAAAAUCAGAUCUGCCAAUUUGGAGUCAAUUAGGCGAUCAACAAUGAUCUUUGCUCUUUUUUCAAUUUUUGGGGCUAUUGUUCUAGCCUUAGACACCAGUCCUGGAUGAACAGAUAUAAUUUUCUCAUGUAGUGUAUCAUCUAGAUGUUCAUGCAACCACCUAAUGAAAUAUCACCCAGUUUAGAAUUACUUAAAAAAUAAAAAAAAUAAACGGUUUCUACUUAUUUAUAUCAUGAAUAUAACAUAAAGAUUUACAACAAAAUCUCACCAAAUAUAGAAACAUAUACAAUUCAUAGUCAACUCUUUUGCAAAAAUUACAUCAUUCAUUUCAGUUGUCAAGAGGAAGAUUUGAAAUUUCAUCCCAAAAACAUUGAUUGGAAAGUCAACUUUGGGUGCCAGUUUACCCUCCAACAUUGUUGAAACUGUUUUAAAAAAUAAUUGUAUAUCUCUUGGAUUCUCAUAUUUGAUUUUCUUUGGGGAUGCUUGUAUCUUAUUCAUUUUAUUCUUCCUCUUGCCAAAAUCCUAAACACAUAAAUAGAUGCAUGACAUUAAAAUGAAAAAUAAAUAAACCAAGAGUGUAGGAAAAUAUAACUCAACUUUGAAAGUUUGGGUAUAACGUUAUUCCCCUCAACAUUUUCAUCAUUUAUCACAAAUGCAACAGGCCACAAAACCUCAUAUCCAACACCCUCCCUUAUUGUACUAAUGUUUUCAGAAAGUGGGAAUGAAAGAAGUGCAUUAGGUUGAAGAGGGUAAAGAAUGACCACUAAUAUAUCAGUUCUAUCAAUGGAAAUGUUUGAAUCUCACAAAUAAGUUCCAUAUGCAACAAUGUUUUCUUCAGUUUCAAGAGCUAAUUUGCAUUUAUAAACCUGUAAAAACAUAUUUUCUAAUCCUUCGUCUUUCAUUAUAGUUAUUUUAUAUAUUGUUUUUAUAAAUUUAACUUAGGAAAAGCCAUAUAUACCUGAGUUAGUGGAGAAGCUUUUUGAGUCCUUUCUGCUGAUAGGUUCUCCACAUGAGCACUAUAAUGAGUCUUCUCUCGUAUUUCUUCAUGUUCCAACAAUUGUUUCCUUAUGUUUGUGCUGCUCACUUCAGAGUGGGGUGUGAGGGGUUCUUUUUUUUUUCAGCUUUCAAAGAAAUGAUCUCUUCUUCCAAGCUUUUUACUUUCUCCCUUAGCAUCCUUUGACAUUCCUCUUCUUCAAGAGUUUUUAUGGGUUUUAGUGUGUUGAAUAAUUGUUUGGGAUUUUUUUUCCCACCUUUUCCUCUAACCCGUCCAGGAUGCUCGGAUGUACCCAAUGCUAAAGUGAGGAUAUCCUUUUGGCCAACACAUGUGAUCUUCCCUUCCUCAACAGCCUUUGCCAACUCAUCCUCCAAAAAUAUAUAAGAUGCUUCAAGAGUCAUAUUUAAUAAAAUAAAAAAACAAAUGAAAUUGACUAAAACUAAGUAUAGGUUUGACAACUUACAAUCUUUUCCGCUACAGGCCUCGUAACAUCAUCAUAUUCACCUUUUUUCAAUCUUUCUAGCUUCCACAAGACCCAUCUAUCAAUAGGUUUCCUUGAACCUGUCUUUUGCAUCUAUCAAAAAACAAAAAAGUGAAGCAAUUAAACUUUACAAAAGUAAAUGUCCAACAAAAUAAAAUACACUAAUUCAACUUACCAAUUCUUCUUGAAGUCUUGCAUAUCAUUUCCUACUCACUCAAUGAAUAUAAACGUAUUUUGCCCUCCUUUCUUUUCCUUUUUUUGGUUUAACUUGAAACUCUAUUGACAACCUAUUAGCCACUAACUUUCUCCAGUCUUCAAUUGGAAUGUAAUUAUAUUCAAUUGGUGGCUACAAAAGGUACUCGGGCUUAUCCUUAUAAGGCAGGUGUGGACCCCGCAUUUCGAUGGCUCGAAUGCGUUCCCCACUCGAUGGCGAGCUCGAUUUUUAUUUUGAAAAAUUGAUUUUUAUUGAUUAUUUGAAAAUGACUUGGAGUCGCCACUUAUUUUUGUUUUAUUUUUAAAGGGUAAACAAAAUAAGAAAGAAAAACCCUAAGUGUGACUCCUUAUUUUGGAAAAGGUGAUCUACGAAAAACCGGAUCGGGUUCGGGGGUCAGGUUACUUAUCGGGAAGGUACGGUAAAGACCGUAGCACCCCUCUAAGUCCCUAAAGUCGGGUCUCUACUACUAAAAUGAAGCUGACAUGGCAAUCAAUGAGAAAAUCAAUGAAUACUCAAAUCAAUCAUGCACAUAUAAGUAUCAAAACAUGCGUAUAGCAAGACCAGAAUAAGGACAGAUGCGUACCUGGGCAACGAUCUUCAAUGCGCUAUCAAGAAGUGAGAUUAGUGCACAAUUAAAGGAUGGUCACAUGCAUAUCAUAGAGCAGAAUAAAUCAUGUAUGGCACCCAAAUCAACCAAACAAUCCAUCAAUCAUAAAAUCUCAUAUGUUGGGCCCCCACCAAAGCCCGAUUGAUUUUUGCAUGAAUUAAUUCCAUAAAUUCCCUUGCUUGGAAUUACGGAAUUUUAUUCUAGCUUAUUUUAAAACAUUUUGAAAAUCUGAGGAGUUGUGAAAAUUGCUUGUCAGGGAGAAAAGUGACAGCAAAUUUUUAUUAUAAAGUGGAAACUUUUGGGAACCUAAAGAUUCCAAUGAGGAAACAUGAGAGAAUUGGAAUUAUUUGAAAAACCAGAUUUUUGAGAAAAUGCUUGCAAAAUGGGAUUAGGAACAGUUAUUAAAACAGAGAAUGAGGAAGUAAAAGGUGGUGGCACAUGGUCAAAGGCUGCAUGUCCUAGGUGGUCAUGCAAAGAAGCGGUCUCCUGUAGCUUUUGUAGGGUCCAUUCUCUCCCCACUUCUCAUCCCAUGAGUUCUUUACGAUCCAGUAAGGCCUGCCCUUCAUCCGGAUGGGAUCAUGGCCUGUUGAACCAUGCCCCACCAGUAACACUCCAUGAGCCAUCAUCUCAGAGCAUAUGUAUGGGCGUGACACUUCCCCAAUAUGUGUCUGCAUGAACACUGUAUUGAUGCCCACUACCAUUUGACCAUUUUUCACAAGAUUAGCAGCCAUCUGAUCUUCAUCAAGGAAUGAACCAAAAGCUUUGGCUGCAUCGGGCUUCUGGAGAAGAACUGUUUUGAUUGCAUUCAAUAUCUCAUCCACGGAUCUUCCUGUGCUAAUGUAUUCUGAAAUAACCUCCCAUCUUCAAGACAUUCCUCUGGGAUAUUUCAGCAUCCCUUUUAUCAAGAGCCCAACUUCUUCUCUAUCCCAAGGUUUCUCCUUAUAGUGUGAUCAAAAGAAUGAAGUUGGGGUCACUGAAUUCACCUUCCACUGAAGAGUAGAAAGCAUCAGAAGCCCUAUCCUCUGAAACGUCUUCACUUCAAGCACAUAUUUUAUCUCCUCCACCUGCAGGUCCAAGAGAAGAGGAGCAUCGGUUUUACUGGAGCUUGACUUUCUCUUCUCAGGGGCAUUUUCCUCAUGGGGACUCUCUAUCUGAUCUGUUGAUGCAGCUGCACUUUCUCCCUCAUUCUCAUGGCCAUCUAAUCUGCUUCCGCGGAUGCUGCAUCUGACACCACGGCCUCUUGAACGCGAGUGGAAUCCAGCUGGCAAUGGACCCAAUGGAGGCCUCUCAAUGGGUUUACUUUAAGAGCUUCUUGAGGGCCCAAAGGAUAUUGCAGGACCCGGACUUAGGACGCCAUCUUAUCCGUGUCAUGCUGAGGAAUUCGUUCUUUGUGGUAUCAGAUUGGCUACAGGAGGCCUUAUAGAAGUGAAGCUAGGGAUAUCUUCAGAAAUGGAACUUGGACCCUUCCCUUUGACAGGUUCAUCUCCAUGAGAACCAAAUUUUAUAAGCUCGGUAACUCCAGGUUGUUGAAUGAACUUCCCAGUCUCCUUGUCAUGCAACAAAGCACUUUUUGCUUCAGUUUCAGUCUCCACAGGUGCCGGGGCCGCUUCAAAUCCCACAACCUCCAUGAAUUCACCAUGCUCCUCCAAGAAAUAACCAACAACACUAGGUAGCAUUUCCAAUUCACUUCACGACCUUGGAAUGAGCAGUUGCUUUAUCAGUUUCAUGGCAGAGGGUGAGCACUGGAGCUUUCCUCUUGACAACACUUUACCUGGAAAGCGGAGAGUGGAUACCGGUAAUCCAUGAUAAAUAGAAACUUCCCCACUUUUCCGGACUGGAGGUGAUCUCCUCAUGUUGCUGGCCUAUAGAUCCAUCUUCUGGAGAAAACACCAGUUGAAAAUUAUCCACUGAAGCAACUGUCACUUGUCCACGGAAGUCCGAGCACCAGCAUACCCAGAUUGGUGGUUUUGGAAUAUAGGUUUGAAGAGUUUGAUGGGUGUGCAAGGUGUAGACAUGGGGCAUGAUAGCAAAGUGGUGAGAUGAGGUGAUAAUGAGUGUAAAUAGGCUUAGAGAGAAAGGUGAAUAAAUAUGGUGGGGGAGUAGACUGUUGACAAUGGGUAUGUAUGAGUCCUAUGCCUGUGGGUAUGGUGAGAGAUGAACUGCAAGUGAUGGGCAUGAUGUGGUGUGGGGUGGAUUAGUGGGAUGACAGUAUACAAAGAGAGCGUGGUGUAGAGAGAGAAUGCAAGAUGAUGAGUGCAUGUGUAGAUAUGGGUGUGGGCAUGGUGGUAUGAAGCGUGUGGUGGAUGAUGGACUGAAGGUGAUGGGCAUGACAAUGGGCAUGAACAGGGAUGGAGUCAUGUGGGCACGAGACGAGCAUGAGCGCGGAAUGAGUGUGAUGCAACCAUGCAUGGUAUGAAAAGGGUUUGGUGUAGUGAGAGAAAGUAGAUUAUUGGUGAUGGGUAUGAAUAAUGGCCGGGUUUGCAUGGUCCAUGCACUUGGAUGGGUGAGUUUGGGGAUGCUAGCAGAAGCCUUGGAAGGAAUACGGGCAGCCAUGCACGCGUGGGGUUUCAUGGAUAUCGAGUCAGGGUAUUUUGCUGGAGGAAGAGAGCAUGGGUCUGCACAAUAUGGGGAUUGGGAUCUCCUACGGACUCCCUAGCUAAUGGAGUUGUGAAAGGGAGACCAUCUGCUUUUCCGAUACCAGAUUAUGGGAAGUUCAGUGAUGGCUUCUCAAAAAUGGACCUUGAUGUUAACAAACCACCCUUGGGCAAUUUAGCAAUCCCUUCAUUCUCAGAAGACUCCGUCUCCAACAGACCAUAAUGAUACUGAACUAAUCCAUGUGAAACGGACAAGAAAGGCUCUGCUCGUGAAUGUUCCCUGGCAUAACCUCCUCUAGAAUGUCAUCAGACGAAACAAAACUAGAGAACCAGGUAUCUAGAACAAGUAAGUCUUCUCACUGGGCCAAACCCUCAACAAGCCUGUUGCAUUUCUCUGAUUUCUCCCACUGUUCUGCCAAAGUCUUUAUUUAUAAUAUAAUGGUUUAGAAAUAUCCUCCAUUAAUCACUCUGCCUUUGACCAACCCUGGUUAAGGAUCCAUACAUCAAAUCUGAUUACCACUUCUGGCCCACAACCGCUCGAGUUGAUAAUGAUUUUCCUCCAUAUCUACUCCUGUUCAUCUUCAUAAAAUUCCUUGGAAUCAUCAGUAUACUCACUGCAAUCUGUGGUAAAGACCACCACAUCCUCAUCGACAUCUUACUUUUUUCCUCUACGAAUGGCGCCUCACACUACUCACUAUUCUUUGGAUCUGAACCACUUUUUUUUUUUUUUUUUUUUUUUCAAAUAUUGGAUGUCAAGCCUCAACAGCAUAUAGUAGUCAAUUUGUACCAUCCCCAAUGUAUGGUAUGCAUGAUGCCCCGUGCUCAAAUUGCUCAAAAAGAACAGAGGAAUAUAGCUAAGAAAACAGGGCAUAGGAGAAAGGAACAAAAAAUAAAUCAAGGGCAACUGCAUUUCAGGACAUAUCAAUGUGUUCCCACUGGUGGAUGAAAGAUAUGAACAAAUUCAAAACAAAAAAUACGCCACAUAUGUUCAGGUGCCUAGCAACGAAAUAUGAUGCAAGUCCUCACCCAUUUUCUUAAACCAGGUUAAUGAAACAGCGAAAGGAUUAACAUCACAGAUGGAAACAUGACAAAUACAAACAACAUAUACACCCAGUGAAAUGAUAUUCAGAAUAAUGAAAUCAUACGGCUAAAUAUAAGCAUACCUGAAUGUGAUAGAUGUCCUACCCAGCUUUUCUUACUUUCUCUCUGUUUUCCUUGCCUUUCUAGCUCCGACAAUCGAAUCACCUUCUCUCUUACUCUUCUUUUCUCCCGCUUGAAAAACCUCCCUCUGGAAAUAUAUCUCUCCCCCAGCCAGACGACACCCACCUGCCUUGCAGUUGCAAGCCUCCAUUACCUUCAGAUUUUUCUGCCACCUUCCUCUUCUAGGCCCAUUUCCCCACUACUCUGCACCACUACCUUGCUAAUAACAGAAGACGCUCCUCAAUACAACGGCCUGCAGAUCCUCAUGCCACCUGUCAACCUUCCAUUGGCACUUCAAAAACAACAUACGAUUCUGCAUUGCCCUCUCAAAAGGAGACACGUGAUUGAGCAAGGCUCUUCCACGUGGCCAAAACGGGUAGCUGCAUGAAAGGCCCCAAAUGGGGGUCUACAAAUAUGCCCCUCUUUGGUAGAGUUCAUGAGUGUAAAGAACAUGAACACUGGAGUGAAAAGUAAGUGUGAGUAGUGAGUGAAAUGAAGUGAACUCUACCGAAGAAUCAAAGAGACCCCCAUAGGGAUAUUGGUGAAACGCGAAGUCACCCAGGCUAGUAGACGAACACAAAGGCUCUAAUCCUAAAAGAGAAAGAUGUCACAAAAUGCCUCUGCGGCCAUACUAAGGAUCCAAGCUCCCUCUAAGAUGUCUCCCGAAAGUGACUCGAAAAACCAAAUGCUAGAGGUGAGUAACGGUCGAGUCACCCUAGGGUACGGACAAGAAUGCGUCUAAAGGAGACUGCCCUAUGUGGACUACAUGAUGAAUACACGAUAAGCACAAAGUAACGAAGUGAGGAGGACGAUAAUAAGUGCAAAUCCAAUGAAGGUGAGACACGCAAUGCCACUGAAUAGGAAUGCUAGGAGCUGUGACUCUACAUGACAAGAUUGACUCUAAACACUAAACUAGGAAACAACGGCUCUGGAAGCCAACCAAAAACUAACUCUAAAAACUAAACUGAGAAUAACAGCUCUGGAAGCAAACCAAAAACUAACUCUAAAAACUAAACUAGAAAACAACAGCUCUGGAAGCCAACCAAAAACUAACUCUAAAUGCUAAACUGAGAAUAACAGCUCUGGAAGCAAACCAAAAACUAACUCUAAAAACUAAGCUAGAAAAUAACAGCUUUGUAAGCAAACCAAAAAAACUAACUCUAAAAGCUAAACUAGGAAACAACAGCUCUGGAAGCCAACAAAAACAAAAAAAAAACAAAAAAAAAAAAAAAAAAAAAAAAACUAACUCUAAAAGCUAAACUAGGAAACAACAGCUCUGGAAGCCACACAAAAAAAAAAACUAACUCUAAAAGCUAAACUAGAAAAUAACAGCUCUGGGAGCCUAAACAAGACGACAGUAAUGGCUCUGGAAGCCUAAACAAGAUGACAGUAAUGACUCUGGAAGCCUAAACGAGAUGACGGUAAUGACUCUGGAAGCCUAAACAAGAUGACAGUAAUGACUCUGGAAGCCUAAACGAGAUGACGGUAAUGACUCUGGAAGCCUAAACAAGAUGACAGUAAUGGCUCUGGAAGCCUAAACAAGAUGACAGUAAUGGCUCUGGAAGCCUAAACGAGAUGACGGUAAUGACUCUGGAAGCCUAAACAAGAUGACAGUAACGGCUCUAGAAGCCUAAGCAAGAUGAUAAUAACGACUUUGGAAGCCUAAACAAGAUGACGGUAAUGACUCUGGACGUCGAAACUAAAAAGUGAUGAUGAUGACUCUGAACGUCAAACUGAGAAGUGAUAAUGAUUCUGAACGCCGAAACCGAGGAUGUGACUCUGAAUGUUGAUCUGAAAAUCGAUGAUAGCUCUGAACGCCGAAACUGAGAAGUGAUGAUGAUGACUCUGAACGUCAAACUGAGAAGUGAUAAUGAUUCUGAACGCCGAAACCGAGAACGCGACUCUGAACGUCGAUCUGAAAACCAAUGACGGCUCUGAACGCCGAAACUGAGAGAAGUAGUGAUGAUGGCUCUGAACACCGAAGCUGAGAAGUGAUAACGACUCUGAACGCCGAAACCGAGAACGCGACUCUGAACGUCGAUCUGAAAACCGAUGACGGCUCUGAACGCCGAAACUGAGAGAAGUAGUGAUGAUGGCUCUGAACACCGAAGCUGAGAAGUGAUGAUGAUGACUCUGAACGUCAAACUGAGAAGUGAUAACGACUCUGAACGCCGAAAUCGAGGAUGUGACUCUGAAUGUCGAUCUGAAAACCAAUGAUAGCUCUGAACGCCGAAACUGAGAAGUGAUGAUGAUGACUCUGAACGUCAAACUGAGAAGUGAUAACGACUCUAAACGCCGAAACCGAGGAUGUGACUCUGAAUGUCGAUCUGAAAACUGAUGAUAGCUCUGAACGCCGAAACUGAGAAAUGAUGAUGAUGACUCUGAACGUCAAACUGAGAAGUGAUAACGACUCUGAACGCCGAAACCGAGGAUAUGACUCUGAAUGUCGAUCUGAAAAUCGAUGAUGGCUCUGAACGCCGAAAACGAGGAUGUGACUCUGAAUGUCGAUCUAAAACCCGAUGAUGGCUCUGAACGCUGAAACUAAGAAGCGGUGAUGGCUCUGAACGCCGAAACUAAAAGGUGAUGGUGUCUCUGAACGACGACAAAUGGAAAAGUGGCUCUGAACGCCGAACUGAAAAAUGUGACAUGAUGACUCUAAAUGUCGUAAACCGUGAAUGAACGGCAGCUCUGAACGCUAGACUGCAAGGAAACAAUGAGGGGGAAAUAUGCCCCAGUGUGGCAUGCCGCUGCAAACCUCAAACUACUAGAAAUGGCUAAAAGGGACUCUACGAGUCUCGAACGACGCACCACUGAGAGCUCAUGUCAACGAAGAGCUUAGGAACAAUGGUCAGUGAGGCGAAUACAAUAUAUCUCGGCUGAGUGAUGGAAACUGCGAUGGACAUGUGAGAGAACGAUCGGCUCCAUGGCUAAAUGAGGGAAAUAUGCCCCAGUAUGGCAUCAGAUGUAUCCGAUCUAUCCUGAUAACCCGAGAAUAGCACCGAUGGGACGCGUAACAGAUCUGAUAUGUACCCCACUGAAAUGAUGACGCGGGAAAUCCAGGCACCUAAGAUAACCCCAUCCAGGAAUCACGACUAUAUCAAAGAGUAUGAAUCUGGCUGAACGAAGUCAAGAGAGGCUCCUCGGAGUAUCCGGACAAAAUGAAAUCAAUCAUCAACCUGGCGUGUAUCUCAUGGCCGUGGAUGAUCAUGUAAACCAGUGGGGAUCUAUAAAUCUCGAUCAAGAUGGGGAAUAUGCCCCAGUGUGGCAUCGAAAAUGUAACAUGUCAAAAAAAAUCAGAUGAACUCAAAUCAUCUAUGCCUGCAACUGGCUAGAUGGCUCUCGAUAGACUCCACUAAGGAAUCAUCGUGAGGAUUGCGAAUAUAUCAUCAUCCCUGCAUACAUCUCGCAAAUAAGGAUAAGCACGCAACUCCCUCAUGAUCUGUAAAUCUCAUCCGAACGGAAAUAUGCCCCUGUAUGGCAUCGAAAUGCAGGAUAGGUCGGAGAUCAGAUAGCAUGGAAUCAUCUAUCCUAUAACAUGUGACCUCUGCGAAGAUCCAUAAAAAUCCUCCGAAACGGAAUAUGCCCCAGUAUGGCAUCUGACGUGCGACAAAUCAGGAAAAAACAGGUGACAUCGAAUCAUCCCUCAUCAAACACGUGAUCCUGGUAAUCCAAACACGGUCGAAACGGAUCUAAACAUCUGAGAAGUGUCUCCCAGAAGAAGAUGCAUGGCAAAUAUCUGGAUGUCGACUGAAUCUCAAACACCUGUCCACAUAGAAGCCGUAGAAGACGAUAUCUGAUCCCAUGGCCUCAGGGUGGUCUUAAGACACGGGACGUAAUGUAGGCUAGGGUGAUAGGGUGAUAGAAACGAAGGGAAACUAAGCUCAAAUACCCAAUGAUCAAAACCCAUGCCCUCGUGUGUGAAAUGCAACAUGUACAGAAAAUCCUGUGAGCCCUGGACCUGAGGGUGUCUAAUGUGAAUAUGAUGUCAAUGAGGAAACAAGUGAAGCAAAUCAAACUGAUAAUGAGAUAUGUAAUGGUGAUACGAAGGGAAUAUCAAACCCGAGAUGGGUCGUGGUAAGAAAAGAAUAAGAAGUGAAGUGAGAAUGACGAAUCAGAAGCGAAAACGAGGACGAUGAUAAUGAAGCGAAUAACAUCAAAAGGAGUGAUGAUCAACUCUGAUCAGACAUGGAAUGAUGUCACAUCAACUACGAACAUAAUGAUGGAACGGACAAUAACCCAGAGCUCCCAAAAGAAAGUCACUCAUCUCGCUCACAAAAUAUGCAACAAAAUGAAUACAAAGCCUGAGGGAUCCCGGGAAGCUCACAUACGAACUCCCGUCAACAAACAUACUCGAUCAAGUGGCCCUCGAAUAUCAAUACAUACACUCAGUGAUGGAUAACAAUACAUACCUGGUUUUUAUUUCUUUUUCCAUUUUUUUUUUUCUUUUUUUUUUUUUUUUUUUUUUUUUUUUACCCCCAAAGAUGACAUCAAAAAAGGAUAACAUACUCUCAAAUGUCAAUGUAACAUGAACUCUCUCUGAUGAUGUGACUUUCUCAAACUAAGGAUCCCUGGACCAACGUCCGUAUGAUAGAUAGUGGAAAUGACAUGACUACCCUCCAUGUAGUGAACUGAGGAAGAUCACCCCUCGGGGUGAAAGAAGAUGACGUGAAACGAACAGUAGAUAAGAUAAAGAAAAUAUGAUGAAUAACACGAACAGUGAGAUGAGAUGAAAUGCAAUGAUGUAGUGGCGAGCACAGAUAAUGAGAAGAACGUGCCCCUAGGUCCAAGGCUCAAUGAAACUCUCAAACAAUGCAUGCAUACACUAAAGGGCCCCAAUCCCGGUGUGAAAAUGUGAGCAAGGCUAUAAGAAAUGAAGGUUAUGAUGCGCGUGCGAGGCUCAAAUGGGCUAGCAAUGGACUAUAUAUAUCAGAAACGGGAUAAAGGGAUAUAGCUAACCGAAAUGAUAGCCACCCAUCCUGCGACCAUGGUCUCAAACAUAGUACCUCUUUAGCUGAUCCACAUUAGUCGGCUCUGAGAACUGGUUUCCAUCCAAAUCCAUCAACCAUGCGGCGCCCUCUGGGGACAACUCUCUGAUGAAGUAAGGCCCGCUCCAACUGGGUCUGAACUUCCCUCUAGGAUCUCUGAUCAAUCCUCUGAUGACUCUCAAAACUAAGUCACCUACAUGCAGUGGUCUGGGCUUGACCCGCUUUUUGAAAGCGCGGGCCAUCUUCCUCUGAUAUGCACGAACAUGGUCUGCUGCUCUCAAUCUCCUCUCAUCUAGGAGAUUGAGCUGAUCAAAUCGAGCCUGAGCCCAAUCCGUCUCGGGAAUCUGCUGCUCCAAGGCUACCCUCAAUGAACCCAUCUCGAUCUCAACUGGUAGCACUGCCUCCAUACCGUACACCAAUGAGUAGGGUGUGGCUCCUGUAGAGGUGCGAAAAGAAGUCCUGUAAGCCCAUAGUGCGAAAGGAAGCUUCUCGGACCAAUCCCGAGAAGUCUCAACCAUCUUCCGCAAUAUCCUCUUAAUAUUCUUAUUCGCGGCCUCUACUGCCCCAUUCGUCUGCGGCCUGUACGCAGACGAUCUAUGAUGCCGGAUGCUGUAUCUCUGUACUAAGGUGUCAACCUCUGCUCUGAAAUGCACCCCUCUGUCUGAAAUAAGCUCGUGAGGGACUCCAUAGCGACAAAUGAUGUGCGAUCUAAUGAAACUGGCAACUCCAGAUGAUGUCAAUCUCGCAUACGAGGCGGCCUCCACCCACUUGGUAAAGUAAUCAAUAGCUACCAGGAUGAACUCAUGACCACUGGAAGAUUUCGGCGAAAUCUUCCCGAUGAUAUCGAUACCCCAUACUGAAAACAGCCAUGGUGAAGUCAAUGCAUGCAACUCUGAGGGCGGCACGUGAAUGAGAUCUCCGUGUAUCUGACACUCAGGACAUCUCUGGACGAACUGACAACAAUCCGUCUCCAUAGUCAACCAGAAAUAGCCGGUCCUCAUGAUCUUACGGGCCAACAUAUGCCCUCCCAUAUGUGGUCCACAAACUCCCGCAUGAACCUCUCUCAUCACUCGAUCGGCAGAGGCACGGUCUAAACACAACAAUAGCAUCCCGUCAGCUGAUCGUCUAUACAGCGUCUCGCCGCAAAUGACGAAUCGGGCAGCCAACUGUCUCAAUGCUCUCUUAUCCUUGGCCGUGGCGACCUCAGGAUAUACGCCGAGUCUCAAAAAGUGAUAUAUGUCGUGAUACCAUGGCAAACCAUCAUUUGGCUCUACAUCAUCAAUCAAACAACAAUACGCAGGAGCAGAUCUCGACUCGAUCAACAAUGGUCGAACAGUGGCAUCGGCGGGAAUGUCGAUCAUGGAAGCUAGAGUAGCUAAAGCAUCAGCAAACUGGUUCUGCGCUCUAGGCAGAUGUGUAUAUCUCAUAUCCUCAAAUCUCGCGACCAGUAGCUCCAAAUACGCGUGGUAAGGCCUAAGCUUCACAUCUCUAGUCUUCCACUCGCCCUGUAUCUGUCUCAAUACCAGAUUGGAGUCACCAAACACCUCCAUCUGUCUAAUCCCAAGCUCGAGGGCUGUCUCUAACCCCAAGAUACAUGCCUCAUACUCAACAAUGUUGUUCGUGGCCAGAUGUUGAUUCGAGAAUGCCAAACGAACAGAUCUGGGAAUGUGAUCACCAUGAGGGGAUAUCAACAAAACGCCUAUCCCGUAUCCAGAAUGGUUGGCUGCACCAUCAAAGUACAUGCGCCAACCCGACAGACUAGUCACAGCUGCGACAUCCUCGUCUGGAAAAUCAUCGUCAAUAGCUCUGGCAUCAGAAACUGGUAAUGAGGCUAAGUGAUCUGCGACAAUGCUCCCUCUGAUGGACUUCUGAGUGACAUAAUGAAUGUCAAACUCAGUCAGAAGUACCAGCCAUCUCAUAAGGCGACCAACUAGGUAUAUCAAGACGAGGAAUCAAAGGUCCGAUCCUACAAAGCACGAAGAACGGAAUAAGGAUAUGGCUCGGGGAAUGUAUAGAAGAAAAGAUAAUCUGAACGGGAACAAGCAAAGCAUCCAAGUGAAGAUGAGCGGUCCGACCGUACUCAAAUUCGUCCUGAUCUCAGUGCACUCUCAUCUGGAGACUAAACAGAGGGAAAAUCGGAUCCAAAACUACGGCUACAGAGGCACGGAAAGCCCUCAGAUGCACCCACGUGUAGGGAGGGAAUCCUAAUCGAAGGAUCUAUGGCUCAACCUACAAGGUCAAGGUGGCUCUAAAUGGAUAAGGGUGGACUUUAAAAUAUCCCUAGCAGAAGCGAUCAUACCCUCCGGCGAUACGCAACCCUCUGCACGCCUCCGAAGAGACGGGGCGCUUCCAUGCAAGGUGGUCAUCACCUCCACACAUGCACUACCUCGCAUUCCAGGGGGUUUCCUAUGGUGAAACCUCUCAAACUCUCAACACUCAAUAGUCUACUAGCGUGCACAGUGAUGGUGUGGGUGCAUCCGAAACCCUAAGAAGCUAAAGCAGGAUAUGAAACACACUGGCCACAUAAAUAUCCAUGAAACCUAGCUCCGGGCUAUACAGGUCUUCAAUGAUCGGACUCCAAUCGACAUCAAAGUGUCGCUCUCCUCCAGAANNNNNNNNNNNNNNNNNNNNNNNNNNNNNNNNNNNNNNNNNNNNNNNNNNNNNNNNNNNNNNNNNNNNNNNNNNNNNNNNNNNNNNNNNNNNNNNNNNNNAGGCAUGUCAAGAAUGGCUCUAAUCUUGUCCGGAUCCACCUCUAUGCCUCGCUCACUGACUAUGUAUCCCAAGAGUUUCCCAGAAGUCACUCCAAAAGUGCACUUCUUGGGAUUCAGUCUCAAUCUGAACUGUCUGAUCCUCUCAAAGAACCUCUCAAGAGCUGCCAAGUGAUCUGAUCUAUCUCGGGAUUUCACUAUCAUGUCGUCUACAUAAACCUCGACAUCCCGAUGCAUCAUGUCAUGGAAGAGUGUGGUCGCUGCCCUCUGAUAGGUGGCUCCUGCGUUCUUCAAUCCGAAUGGCAUGACUCUAUAGCAAUAAGUACCCCACUCGGUAAUGAAGGACGUCUUCUCCAUGUCCUCUGGAGCCAUCAAGAUCUGACUGUACCCGAAAAAUCCGUCCAUAAAGGACAACAUCGAGUGACCUGCUGUACUGUCAACUAGCAUGUCGAUGUGUGGGAGAGGGAAAUCAUCCUUAGGACUGGCCUUGUUGAGAUCUCGGAAAUCAACACAGACUCUCACCUUGCCAUCCUUUUUAGGAACAGGGACGACAUUGGCCAGCCACUCCGGGUACUCGACCACUGAUAGAAACCCCACACUGAGUUGCUUCUGAAUCUCCUCUUUCACCUGCAAGCUCCAACGAGGGUGCAAUCGUCUCAACUUCUGCUUAACCGGUCUGGCAUGGGGCAGAAGUGGCAAACGAUGCUGGACGAUGGAUGGAUCAAGGCCCGGCAUGUCCUCAUAGGACCAUGCGAAAACGUCCAAGUAGGAUCUGAGCAACUGGAUGAGACUAUCUCUCUCAUCUGAGGAUAAAUCUGACCCGAUCCUCAACUCCCUAGGCUGAUCUGCGGUGCCGAAAUCAACAAUCUCUAUGUCUCCUAUAGCAGGUGAAACCCUCUGAUCAACGGGAUCCGAAUCGGAAACAGAAGAUGAGUCAUCAUCUGAGUCGUGCUGUGCAAUCUCAUCAUCAAUAUCAAAAAUCUGUGGUGUGGGUGAAGAUGGUGCAGAUAAAUCAAUAUCCCAAGAGACAGGCAGAUACUCAAAAAUGCUCAAAUCCAUAGAUGAAACAUCGGAAACAAUGUCAGAACAGGAGACGAACCCCGACAGAAUGUCAAAUGAAAGAGGUGGGUCCACAAAGUCGGACGCUCCCUCAACAAUGCCAACAUGGCUAUCAAUCAAAUCAUCAAAAACUAUAGCAUCCUCAACAAUCUCCAGAGUAGGGGUUGUCUGGAUCUCCUCAACGAUCUCGAUGAAAGACACCCCGAAAAGAUCGAAUGGUGAAGUGAGCCCAGGAUGAACUCUCUCCUCGAUCGGGCUCAAGCUCAGGGCGAGCAUCUCGUCGAUGUACUCGUCGUGUGGGACGGCUCCGUCCACUAUGUCUUCGACCCCAGCAAAGGUCCCAUGCUCAUCGGUCUCGUCCGGGAAGCAAAGCGUCAUAAGGCUCGUGCGAUCUGGAGACGAAGGAGCAAUCAACACAGAAGUCGAAGAGCCAGGAGCUCCGUCUCUCAAUCGUAACUGCUGGACAAGGCGCUGAAGCUCGACCUCCUGAGUGGUGCUAAGUCCUCCAAUGAUCAUGUCCGAACGGGUCAAUGGCUCUGAUGCCCUCACAAAAUAAUCAGAUAAGCUCCUGGUGUAUGGACGAAGAGGAUAGUAGAAAGGUGUGUGGGUCAGUCGAGCUCUCACUCUCUCCUUGCGCAAACGCGCCAUGUAGAGAUAAUCGGCCUCAGUGGGGAUGAACCCAAGUCCGAACGGUACGUCGUGAUCAGGGAUGGCUAUGAACUCGCUCGGUCCAUGCUGACGUCGACCCAACCCCAUGCCGGGUAGAUAGGACAUACUCCGCAUGAUAUCGAGCACCACUGUGCUCCCAUGCCGGUCAAAGGACAUGGCCACAAAAUCCCGGCAGAAAUCCUCUAUCUCCACAGUCUGCACCUCAUCGAAGGUGAAUCCAGUCAGAAAAAGAUCGUCAUCAGUGUGACUAAUCUCGAGCACAAGCUCGGCAGCAAUGAACAUGUCUCCCACAGACUGCACCACGACGACCUGACCAUCGUGAAUAAACUUCACCUUCUGAUGAAGGGAAGAAGGAAUGGCCCCGACUCUGUGGAUCCAUGGUCGGCCCAGAAGCAGGUUAAAGGAUGUAGGAAUCCUCAAAACCUGGAAUACAGCGACAAAAGUGGCCGGACCGAUCAGCAACUCGAUCUCCAAUGUACCCAUGACCUCCCUCCGAGUACUGUCAUAUGCGCGAACGGUCUGAGUAGUGGGACCAAAAUCAGAAGGAGCGUAUCCAAGGGCGAUGGCAGUGGCAAGAGGACAUACGUUCAGGGCCGAGCCAUUGUCCAAGAGGACAGAUGGGACUCGGCGGCCUGAACAGCCAACAGAUAUGUAGAGUGGGCGAGUGUGGUCUGAGCCCUCCGGUGGCAAGUCAUCAUCGGAAAAGACGAUACAAGUGGCUCUGCCAACCGUCAUCAUAUGAAUGAGUCCCUCGGGAGUGGUCGUGGUAUCAACUCUGAUCUGGCUCAGAGCUCGAGUCAGUGCAUCCCGAUGAGUACUGGAGGACGCUAAAAGGCUCCAGAUAGAAAUACGAGCCUGAGUGCUCUGCAACUGCCUCAAAAUCUCAUCAUUCUCUGCUCUGACCUCCUCCUGGGAUGACGUAUCCCCUAAGGGUCUAGCGGCAGCGGCUGGAGGUGGCUGUCUCACUACUCUCCCUCCCCGGAGGAUAUACUGAACGUCCGGAGUCUGAGGAUCAUCACUGUGUGGAGCCUGAACCUCCUCAACAUCUGGGAUCAGAAUGUACGGCGCCUGAACGCUAUAGCGCGUGAAUGUCAGAGGCUCGGAAGUGGCUGCCUGUACAGAUGCUGCCUCAGGAACUAAUCGGAAUGGAGCAGGAAUCUGUGGCUCUAGGGUCACCCCACUCGUCUCAUAAAUCCCAGCUGGCAUGAUAGGCUCCGGGUCUGAAUCAUCCCAACUCAACAUAUGGACAUGAUCAUCAGUCUCAUCGAAGUCCAAGAAAUGAAUACCACCGGCUGGUGGAGGAACUGCAUGUGUGGUGUGGGUCGGCAACGGGUUUGUGGUCACACUCGGCUGACCCAAGUGUACCAAACCCUGGUCUAUCAGAUCCUGAAUAGCAUGCCUCAGAGCGGUGCAUCGAUCGGUCUCAUGUCCAGGCCCCUGAUGAUAAGCACAGUGUAAGUCCAUCCUAAACUGAGCUGGAAUCGGCUGAGGUAGUGGUCGAGGAGUGAGAGCAGUCAAUAAACCAGCCUCCGUAAGCUUCCGAAGAGCCUGGCUCAACGGCAUGCCUAUCUGCGAGAACUGCCUCUGCGUCCUCAAAGCGAACGGAGCAGAAGUCUGCUGGGCUCCAGGUCGGGGAUAAGGCGCCGCAGGUCUCGCGGUGAACUGAGCAGCGUAGCAUGGCUGCCCUGUGGCUGUGUAGGAGACCGCGGGUCUCUCAAUGCCCUGAGUGGCAUAAGAAGGUAAAACCAAUGUCUGUGGCAUGUGCGUCUGAUCGUAAGCCGGCCGAGGUGCCCGUGGCCUGUACUGAUGAGAUGCGUAGGAAGAAUGAGGCUCGGAAAACUGUGGGAUCGGCUGAUGGCGUCUGAGAGGCCUCUGACUGGAUGAACUGAUAGCACCAACCUCUGUCGGUCUCGGUCCUACGAAUGGUUUCUUCCCCUUAACAUCACUAGGGGAAGAAUCUGCCCAUAAACCUCUCGUGAUGCCGUCCUCGACAUCAUACAAAGCCAUAACCAGAGACCCAAAAUCUGUGAACGGGACCCCGACCACAUGUCUGGCGAUCCCCGGCUGUAGGCUCCUCAAAACCAUCUGAAUCUGGUCUCUCUCUGAUGGUCUAUCCACUAUCUCAGCUAUCUUCCCGCGCCAGCGGGAAAUGAAAGAAGAAACGGACUCCUCUGUCCUCUGCCUCAGAGCCUCGAGCUCUCUCCUCGAUACGUCUACAACAGUGUUAAACGAAAACUGUCGUAGGAACUCCUGGGCCAAGUCAUCCCAUGUACGGCGUCUCGAGGACUCUAGAGACGCAAACCAGCGCUGAGCCGCCCCACUCAAAGAUAGGGGGAAAAGAGUGAUCAUCUGAGGCUCGUCCAGUCCAUGAGCCCUCAUCACGGUGCUAUAAAGUCUGAGGUGGAGGCGCGGACAACCAAUACCAGUGUACCUCUCAAUAUCUGGCAUCCUGAACUUAGCCGGCAAGCUGGCUACCGGCAUAGCCCCAAAAUCAUCCCAAACAACGGAUCCAUCUGACACUCUCAUCUGUCUCAUACACUGCUCGAUGCGGUUCAUGCGCGCAUGCGUGUCAUCAGCGACAACGGCCUGGGCGACUGCAAGUGGAGCGAUCCCAGAAUGCCCGUGUAAUACAUAUGGUGAUGUCUGAUGCACUGAAGGAACUGGUGGGGGUGGUGGAGGUGGCACCGGGUCAUAGGAUACCUCGUCCUGAGCGAUAUGUGGCCUGCUCUGCUGGUCAUUGAUCUCCUGCCUAAGGCCAGCCAGAGCCUCCUGGAUAGAAGCCAUGGCAGUCGUGAACUGAUCGACCGUGACAACCUGCUGAUCCAUAUCUGGUGUAUCUGAAACCCGAACUAAUCUGCCCUCUACUCUGAUCCACGAAACUAUACCCAGACUGAGAGUAAAAAUCCUGAUCCUGAAAGUACUCCUCCUCUGCUCUGAUCCACAAAAGGUAUAUCAAGACGAGGAAUCAAAGGUCCGAUCCUACAAAGCACGAAGAACGGAAUAAGGAUAUGGCUCGGGGAAUGUAUAGAAGAAAAGAUAAUCUGAACGGGAACAAGCAAAGCAUCCAAGUGAAGAUGAGCGGUCCGACCGUACUCAAAUUCGUCCUGAUCUCAGUGCACUCUCAUCUAGAGACUAAACAGAGGGAAAAUCGGAUCCAAAACUACGGCUACAGAGGCACGGAAAGCCCUCAGAUGCACCCACGUGUAGGGAGGGAAUCCUAAUCGAAGGAUCUAUGGCUCAACCUACAAGGUCAAGGUGGCUCUAAAUGGAUAAGGGUGGACUUUAAAAUAUCCCUAGCAGAAGCGAUCAUACCCUCCGGCGAUACGCAACCCUCUGCACGCCUCCGAAGAGACGGGGCGCUUCCAUGCAAGGUGGUCAUCACCUCCACACAUGCACUACCUCGCAUUCCAGGGGGUUUCCUAUGGUGAAACCUCUCAAACUCUCAACACUCAAUAGUCUACUAGCGUGCACAGUGAUGGUGUGGGUGCAUCCGAAACCCUAAGAAGCUAAAGCAGGAUAUGAAACACACUGGCCACAUAAAUAUCCAUGAAACCUAGCUCCGGGCUAUACAGGUCUUCAAUGAUCGGACUCCAAUCGACAUCAAAGUGUCGCUCUCCUCCAGAAUGCUCCCGUACAUCGAUAUAGCCCGUUGCUAGACCCUACUCCUAAUCUCUGGCUCGGUCAGAGAGCAAACACACAGAAGGUCUCACACUUGCAAUAGUGAGAACCGGGAUGAAAGGAAUGACCGAAACCAAGAGAGUUGGAGGUAAGGGGAUAUAUGUGCGGCCCACAUAGACAGGCAACAUGCAAUCAUGCAGAAGGAAGGCAGUCACGUGUCAUACAGUCAAGCAAAGUACAGGAUAUAUCACUCAUGUCCACACAAAAAGCUACAACUAUCAGGAUGAAUAGCUAUAUGAACAUCAUGCUCAAAAGACGAUCAAGAUAAUAUGCAAGUCAGAGAAAACAACACAGCAAGUCAAAUGAUAUACACCAGUGAAUCCAUGCAUGUGAGGUGAGCAGAAUAAUCAGGAAGAAACAGAAUCGCUAUACCAAGCAAAACAAGGUGAGCAACCUAUGAUAAUCGGCAUGUCAAUGUACCAAACUAAUAUAGCAAUGAAGUACAGAAAAAACGACAUCCGAAGCCCCAAAUCAAGAUGAUCAAUCAUAUCAAUGUCACAACACAAUAUCCAAGCAUACAUCAAAAACUCCCAAUGUGCAAUCAAGAGACAAGUACUCGCUGAUCGACUCAUCAAAUGCCAUGUUUGCUUCAUCUUAAGUUCAAGUUUGACCCUCUAUAGUUCCCCAGCGGAGUCGCCAUUUUGUGGACCCCGCAUUUCGAUGGCUCGAAUGCGUUCCCCACUCGAUGGCGAGCUCGAUUUUUAUUUUGAAAAAUUGAUUUUUAUUGAUUAUUUGAAAAUGACUUGGAGUCGCCACUUAUUUUUGUUUUAUUUUUAAAGGGUAAACAAAAUAAGAAAGAAAAACCCUAAGUGUGACUCCUUAUUUUGGAAAAGGUGAUCUACGAAAAACCGGAUCGGGUUCGGGGGUCAGGUUACUUAUCGGGAAGGUACGGUAAAGACCGUAGCACCCCUCUAAGUCCCUAAAGUCGGGUCUCUACUACUAAAAUGAAGCUGACAUGGCAAUCAAUGAGAAAAUCAAUGAAUACUCAAAUCAAUCAUGCACAUAUAAGUAUCAAAACAUGCGUAUAGCAAGACCAGAAUAAGGACAGAUGCGUACCUGGGCAACGAUCUUCAAUGCGCUAUCAAGAAGUGAGAUUAGUGCACAAUUAAAGGAUGGUCACAUGCAUAUCAUAGAGCAGAAUAAAUCAUGUAUGGCACCCAAAUCAACCAAACAAUCCAUCAAUCAUAAAAUCUCAUAUGUUGGGCCCCCACCAAAGCCCGAUUGAUUUUUGCAUGAAUUAAUUCCAUAAAUUCCCUUGCUUGGAAUUACGGAAUUUUAUUCUAGCUUAUUUUAAAACAUUUUGAAAAUCUGAGGAGUUGUGAAAAUUGCUUGUCAGGGAGAAAAGUGACAGCAAAUUUUUAUUAUNNNNNNNNNNNNNNNNNNNNNNNNNNNNNNNNNNNNNNNNNNNNNNNNNNNNNNNNNNNNNNNNNNNNNNNNNNNNNNNNNNNNNNNNNNNNNNNNNNNNNNNNNNNNNNNNNNNNNNNNNNNNNNNNNNNNNNNNNNNNNNNNNNNNNNNNNNNNNNNNNNNNNNNNNNNNNNNNNNNNNNNNNNNNNNNNNNNNNNNNNNNNNNNNNNNNNNNNNNNNNNNNNNNNNNNNNNNNNNNNNNNNNNNNNNNNNNNNNNNNNNNNNNNNNNNNNNNNNNNNNNNNNNNNNNNNNNNNNNNNNNNNNNNNNNNNNNNNNNNNNNNNNNNNNNNNNNNNNNNNNNNNNNNNNNNNNNNNNNNNNNNNNNNNNNNNNNNNNNNNNNNNNNNNNNNNNNNNNNNNNNNNNNNNNNNNNNNNNNNNNNNNNNNNNNNNNNNNNNNNNNNNNNNNNNNNNNNNNNNNNNNNNNNNNNNNNNNNNNNNNNNNNNNNNNNNNNNNNNNNNNNNNNNNNNNNNNNNNNNNNNNNNNNNNNNNNNNNNNNNNNNNNNNNNNNNNNNNNNNNNNNNNNNNNNNNNNNNNNNNNNNNNNNNNNNNNNNNNNNNNNNNNNNNNNNNNNNNNNNNNNNNNNNNNNNNNNNNNNNNNNNNNNNNNNNNNNNNNNNNNNNNNNNNNNNNNNNNNNNNNNNNNNNNNNNNNNNNNNNNNNNNNNNNNNNNNNNNNNNNNNNNNNNNNNNNNNNNNNNNNNNNNNNNNNNNNNNNNNNNNNNNNNNNNNNNNNNNNNNNNNNNNNNNNNNNNNNNNNNNNNNNNNNNNNNNNNNNNNNNNNNNNNNNNNNNNNNNNNNNNNNNNNNNNNNNNNNNNNNNNNNNNNNNNNNNNNNNNNNNNNNNNNNNNNNNNNNNNNNNNNNNNNNNNNNNNNNNNNNNNNNNNNNNNNNNNNNNNNNNNNNNNNNNNNNNNNNNNNNNNNNNNNNNNNNNNNNNNNNNNNNNNNNNNNNNNNNNNNNNNNNNNNNNNNNNNNNNNNNNNNNNNNNNNNNNNNNNNNNNNNNNNNNNNNNNNNNNNNNNNNNNNNNNNNNNNNNNNNNNNNNNNNNNNNNNNNNNNNNNNNNNNNNNNNNNNNNNNNNNNNNNNNNNNNNNNNNNNNNNNNNNNNNNNNNNNNNNNNNNNNNNNNNNNNAGAAAGGUGAAUAAAUAUGGUGGGGGAGUAGACUGUUGACAAUGGGUAUGUAUGAGUCAUAUGCCUGGGGGUAUGGUGAGAGAUGAACUGCAAGUGAUGGGCAUGAUGUGGUGUGGGGUGGAUUAGUGGGAUGACAGUAUACAAAGAGAGCGUGGUGUAGAGAGAGAAUGCAAGAUGAUGAGUGCAUGUGUAGAUAUGGGUGUGGGCAUGGUGGUAUGAAGCGUGUGGUGGAUGAUGGACUGAAGGUGAUGGGCAUGACAAUGGGCAUGAACAGGGAUGGAGUCAUGUGGGCACGAGACGAGCAUGAGCGCGGAAUGAGUGUGAUGCAACCAUGCAUGGUAUGAAAAGGGUUUGGUGUAGUGAGAGAAAGUAGAUUAUUGGUGAUGGGUAUGAAUAAUGGCCGGGUUUGCAUGGUCCAUGCACUUGGAUGGGUGAGUUUGGGGAUGCUAGCAGAAGCCUUGGAAGGAAUACGGGCAGCCAUGCACGCGUGGGGUUUCAUGGAUAUCGAGUCAGGGUAUUUUGUUGGAGGAAGAGAGCAUGGGUCUGCACAAUAUGGGGAUUGGGAUCUCCUACGGACUCCCUAGCUAAUGGAGUUGUGAAAGGGAGACCAUCUGCUUUUCCGAUACCAGAUUAUGGGAAGUUCAGUGAUGGCUUCUCAAAAAAUAUUGGUCCACCUUGAUGUUAACAAACCACCCUUGGGCAAUUUAGCAAUCCCUUCAUUCUCAGAAGACUCCGUCUCCAACAGACCAUAAUGAUACUGAACUAAUCCAUGUGAAACGGACAAGAAAGGCUCUGCUCGUGAAUGUUCCCUGGCAUAACCUCCUCUAGAAUGUCAUCAGACGAAACAAAACUAGAGAACCAGGUAUCUGGAACAAGUAAGUCUUCUCUCUGGGCCAAACCCUCAACAAGCCUGUUGCAUUUCUCUGAUUUCUCCCACUGUUCUGCCAAAGUCUUUAUUUAUAAUAUAAUGGUUUAGAAAUAUCCUCCAUUAAUCACUCUACCUUUGACCAACCCUGGUUAAGGAUCCAUACAUCAAAUCUGAUUACCACUUCUGGCCCACAACCGCUCGAGUUGAUAAUGAUUUUCCUCCAUAUCUACUCCUGUUCAUCUUCAUAAAAUUCCUUGGAAUCAUCAGUAUACUCACUGCAAUCUGUGGUAAAGACCACCACAUCCUCAUCGACAUCUUACUUUUUUCCUCUACGAAUGGCGCCUCACACUACUCACUAUUCUUUGGAUCUGAACCACUUUUUUUUUUUUUUUGUUUUUUCAAAUAUUGGAUGUCAAGCCUCAACAGCAUAUAGUAGUCAAUUUGUACCAUCCCCAAUGUAUGGUAUGCAUGAUGCCCCGUGCUCAAAUUGCUCAAAAAGAACAGAGGAAUAUAGCCAAGAAAACAGGGCAUAGGAGAAAGGAACAAAAAAUAAAUCAAGGGCAACUGCAUUUCAGGACAUAUCAAUGUGUUCCCACUGGUGGAUGAAAGAUAUGAACAAAUUCAAAACAAAAAAUACGCCACAUAUGUUCAGGUGCCUAGCAACAAAAUAUGAUGCAAGUCCUCACCCAUUUUCUUAAACCAGGUUAAUGAAACAGCGAAAGGAUUAACAUCACAGAUGGAAACAUGACAAAUACAAACAACAUAUACACCCAGUGAAAUGAUAUUCAGAAUAAUGAAAUCAUACGGCUAAAUAUAAGCAUACCUGAAUGUGAUAGAUGUCCUACCCAGCUUUUCUUACUUUCUCUCUGUUUUCCUUGCCUUUCUAGCUCCGACAAUCGAAUCACCUUCUCUCUUACUCUUCUUUUCUCCCGCUUGAAAAACCUCCCUCUGGAAAUAUAUCUCUCCCCCAGCCAGACGACACCCACCUGCCUUGCAGUUGCAAGCCUCCAUUACCUUCAGAUUUUUCUGCCACCUUCCUCUUCUAGGCCCAUUUCCCCACUACUCUGCACCACUACCUUGCUAAUAACAGAAGACGCUCCUCAAUACAACGGCCUGCAGAUCCUCAUGCCACCUGUCAACCUUCCAUUGGCACUUCAAAAACAACAUACGAUUCUGCAUUGCCCUCUCAAAAGGAGACACGUGAUUGAGCAAGGCUCUUCCACGUGGCCAAAACGGGUAGCUGCAUGAAAGGCCCCAAAUGGGGGUCUACAGCAGGAUAUACUUUUUCGUCAAUGUGUGCCUGAAUGACCUAAAACUAGUCCCAAUUAAUGAUAUGACAUUGUAUUUGCUAUUCUCAUCAACCAAGAAUACACCCGAAAAUAUAAGAUCUUGAUUAUUUAAUAAGCAUGUAAGGUAUACACAAAAUAUAGGAAAAUAAUUUAAGUACAUUACUAUAUACCUUAUAAGAAGAUCUUGAUUAUUUAAUAAUCAUGUAAGGUCUACACAAAAUAUAGGAAAAUAAUUUCAAUAGAUUACUAUAUACCUUAAUGCAAUCCCAUAAUUUCUCCUUCAAUUCCACAGGCAUUACUCUCCAAUCAAUAUGAUAUACUGGCACCAUGGUUUGUGUUAGCACCCCCAAGUAUGAUACAAGUUGUACAUAUCCCUCACCCACUCCCUCACCAUCAUCAUUAUAUUGAAUGUCAAUUUUCACUCAUUCACUUCUCUUUUUAGCAAUUUCAGGUUUUACAGUUGGGCCUCUAAACAUUUUUGGUGAAGUAAUCUUCUGUUUUCCUUCCUUUCCAUCCAUCUACAUGACAAUCAAAAGAAUAUGAUCAAUCUCAUAAUACAUAUAUAUAUAUAUCUUACAUUCAAAAGUAAAGCAUGAUAUUUUAAUAGUUACCUACUCUUUAUCUCUUCUUGGUUGAGACAUCUGUAAAGAUGUUGCACUUUUUGGCCAAGUUCCAAAUAAUUAAGAAUUAUGCACUACUAAACAACACUUGAAAAUGUAUCUCAACUAAAUCUAAAGAAAUUAGUUACAAAAUGAUUUCAUAAGUAGGAAUAAAUCAUUGUUGUACAAAACUUGCAAUACAUGAAAAUUAAUCUUAAAUCUCAAUAUAUAUAAAUAUGAUACUAACUGAAUUUAUUUAAAAUAGCUUAGCAAGUAUAUAAUAGUAAAAAUAUAUUUGAGAAUAAUAAAAUAAAAACAUAACAUUGUUGAGCAUCACAUUGUAGAUUAACAAUAACUCAAAAAUCACAUAAUACACUUAGUAGUCACAAAGCAUAACCCCAAAAAACAAAAACAAAAAACAAGAAAAUUGUAGACCCUCAAUUUUGUCCCUUUAGCACAUGUCUUUAAGUUCACUUCCAAUGCUCCAUAGUAAUUCCUUGGUGGCCCAUUGCUACUCAUACUACUUACCUUUUUUUUAGCCACCUUGGAGACCUUGGUUGAGGGGUUUAUCCAACUCCACAUUAUGACCUUGGCAGCCCUAAUUUAGACUUAGCCACUUUCCUGAACGCCUUAGGCCCACUUAGGUACACUUGGCCCACUAGGCGUCACCUUAAGCCCACUUAAGCACUUUUAAACCCAUUUUUUAUAUGACUUGCAUGAUUGCAUGGCCUACAUGACUUGUGUGGCUUAUAUGGAUUUCUUUAUUAUUUAAUUUCAUUUUAUUUUAUUUUAUUAUAAGUUUUCUUGGCUUUUUGGGCAUGAGGAAAGGGUCUGUCAUCUAUUUUGAAGGAGAAUCAACAGAAUUUUGAAAAAGAGGAGAUUUUGUUUUUAUAGGGAUAGCACAUAUAUUAUUUUCAUGGGGAAAUCGGUUACAAAAGGGAAAAAACUAAGAAAGGAAAGUGGAUUUCCUUUUUGGAUCACAAAAGUUUUUUUGGAGGGAGAUUUUUUUAUUGUCUUUGUAGAGAGACACAAAAAGGAAAAAAGGAGGGGAUUUUCCUCUAACAUAUUUGGGGGGGUUCUUUGGGAAGGCUGAUCUACGCAAAAAAUGAGAGGAAAAAAAAGCCACAGAUUAAGGGGGAAGGGACUCACGGAUUUGGAGGAGGAUUUUCUCCAUGGAUGAAGGGGGAAGGGACUCCCGGAGGAUUUUCUCCAUGGAUGAAGAGGGAAGGGACUCACAGAUUUGAUGAGGAGGAUUUUCUCCAUGGAUGGAGGGGAUGGGUAGCAGAAGAUGAGAGGCUGCUUCGAUAGUGUGAAUUUUUCUGGAAAGGGCCAAGGACCAUAGGAGAGGAUCAGGGACAGAGGCACUAUUACUUUGAGAAGCCCAUGAGUUCUUGAAGUCUCCAACAUAUCCCUUGAGGUAAGCUCUUUAGUGUGAAAUCCAAUUUAUUUUAUUUUCUCUGUUUCUUUUCCUCUUUCUUCUAUUGUCAUUAAGAUUUGCUACUGUUGAUUUUAAGUGUUUCAUAAAUUUGCCUGACUUCUGAUCCCAUUGUUGCUUCUUUGUUUGUGUUCAAGAAUCGUUCAAUUCUUCUUUGUGAUAUUUCAAAACCCUUUUAUUCCACCUGCAUUUAAGCCCACCGAUUCAGACAUGAAGUGUGGCUUUUUGAUAGUUCUUAUUUUCUUCAUUUAUGUUCUUUCUUUCUUUAUUAUUUUUUUGGCUAUUUUCUCCUUGCUCUUGGUGUUUGCACAUUCUUGGGCAUGGGACUACACACUUGGACGUCAAACCAUGGGAUGAUGAAACUGACAUGAAAGAGCUUGAGGCAACAUUAAUCAAAUCAAGAUUCGUGGCAAGACUAUGGCUGCUAUAUUGAGUUAGAUGUUUUCCAUAUGGGUUUGGUUCUCUUUCAUGAAUUUGCGGUUGGUUUAAAGUCUCCAAUUUUCUAUAUGGGAGAAGCAAUAUUAAGUAUUUUGGAUAUCUAAGUUUGUCUCUACUUCUGCAUUGAUUAUAUGUUGUGAGCAUGGUGGGUUUGUGAGGAAGGAAAUGUGUAUCAUUGGGGAAUUUUAAUCUUCAUAGAAUUACCACCACAGAGGACUACAGUGGACUAGGACAUGGUUAUAAAGAAUCCAGGCUAGUUCCCCAGUCUGUAAUUGCAUUGAUCAAUGAUAUUUUUGUCCAGUGGUUCAGUCAUCAGUAGUCACAAUUGCUUGUCCAAUGGUUCAGUCAUCAGUAGUCACGGCCGCUAAAAGGGGGAGGUUAACAACCAAAAAAAAAGAAGUGGCAAUUCCUGAACUAGAGCCUCCGAGAUGGUUUGUUAUAGACCUGCACUAUGUGAACUGGGGAACUGUUGUCUUUCUUCUGUUUAGUGUGGAAGUUGUACUACUUAAGCAAAUGAGAAAAAAGGGGUUUGAUAAUGGGUGUAUGGAAUGCUCCUACAUCGGUAAGAAUAUUUCAGGGUCUUCUCUCGCUGCUGAUGUUCUGGACUAAGGCAAGGAAGAGUGUUUUCUCAUCUAUGAUACUAUUCCCAAUGGAAGCUUGCUGCAAUAUCUGGAUGUGAUUGAUAACAAUGGGAAGGUCCUUGAAUAGUCUACUAGAGUUUCUAUCAUCAACGACAUUGCCAAAGGUGCCAGGUAUUUACAUGAGAAGAAAGUGAUUUAUCAAACACAACAUGGGCCCUACAAAUACUAGAAUGAAGAUGCAUCCAGAAUGAAGACCUCCUAGAAUCCAUACAAUGUUCCAUUGAAACAGUCGAAGUCCACUCCUUCAUUGAUGUUGGUAACACAACACGCAAAGCCUGUACUCAAGCUUCUCUAGUCUCUCCUCAAAUCCUAAUGCCCAACCUCAGUGGCUUAAUACAUCUGAAACUGAUGCCAAACGGAUCCCUGAUGAAGGAAAUUAUGGAUACAUACAAAAGAUUUAAGAAUCAGCUUCAUCAGUACAAGCCCCAGAAGCAGUUUGCUGGAAAUGUACUUAAGCUCCAUGAGCAGACCCGUAAGUUGCAGUCGUGUCUUUGAUCGAGUUAGUAAGCUGCUCUCCCUCAAGGUUCGAACCAGAUAAAGGCAACUGGAGUUACUGCUGGUUACACUUUAACUUCUUCAUGGCCUAUACAGUUGGAAUUGCAGAUGAUAUGCAAGUGCUCAUAUUGAUGGUAUCGCUACAAAAUACUCCGAAAUUGUCGAAACAAAAGUUAUUCAAGCAAAGAUGGCAAACUGCAAUGAGAGUCUAUUGAAGAUCUCAGAGAUGAGAGGUUUGCUGAGUUCAAUAAAGAUGGCAAGUAACUUGAUGCCGAUGUUCACCUCAAGCACGUUCCGCGAUGGUCAUGCUGCUGCAUAUGUAGUGAUUUUGAUGGAAGACAGUAAGCCCAUUGGUGAGAAAUCGUUUUAUAACUUCCCAGAAUGCUUGGGAAGCAUCCCUGCUGUUUAAAUGAACUUCCCGAGAAGUGCUUGUGUAACUUGCUAAGCUGGCUACCUGAGUUGAACCACUGUGAUAUCAGUGGGGGAAAGAAACAACAAAGGCUCAACGAAGAGAUUGUACCCCGGGAGUUCAGAACUGGUGGUUAUGCGUGACGUUAUUCGGGAUUUAUAAUCGAAAAGGCUUCCUACAUGGCCAGAAUACAGAGGAUGAUUGGUUUGGGAUUGAAAAGAAGAUGAUCAUUAUUCAUCAGCUUCAUCCAAUUUUGGAGACUUUCAUGACAAGAUUGUGGGUUGAAGCUGGUCAUGUCUUUUCUUCAAAACAAAUCUUGUUGCCUGCCAAAAGAGGGCUCAUUUCUCAUGUCAUAAAAAAUGCUCAUGUCCUUGGAGAAAUUUGUGAGAUAAAAUGCGAUUAUAGUUUGCUAGCUAAAACUCAUUUCCAAGGUGCCAAUUAAAUCAACUGCCAAAAAGUUCACAGAGCACUACUCUUUGGGAUUUCAAUUCCUAGUGAUAUUGGAUAUAGGGAGUUUGUUUGUGAUAUUUUGUUCGAGAUAGAGUCUAAAAACGCAGGUUCUUCUGACAUGAAAGCCAUUGAAAACUGACGUGAGCCACCGAACAUUUCUGCUCAUGACAAGAAGAGUUGUAGGAAAAGUUGGCCAGGUUGUCUGAUGACCAUUGAUGUCCAAUCAGUUCAACAUUUUCGGCUACAGUAGCACCAGUUGUGAGUGGCUUUCUCAAGACAUCGUUCCUGAUUCCUGAAAGCAUUUCAGAUCAGUAUGAGACUUCAAGAUGGAAAUUAAAGAAUUUCCCAUGACUGCCAGAUUCGGUAGUUUGAUUUGAACAGAAUGGCGUCUCGUGAUUUUUGGAAUCAUGCAAACGAAUACACCCAACAUUGCAAAUGGAUCAAUUUCCUAUGACCUGGAAUCUCAACUAACUCUCUGGGUUAGAGAAUUCCAGUCGUAGCCAUGUCAUGAUACUACAAGACACCAGAAUUUAAAUUCAAGCAGCCAUACAAGGUUUCUUCCAAGCUGAUAGCACCACCUAGCACAGGUUUUGAUACCUUAACCUGUGGACAGAGUUUGCUUUUGGGAACAUUCCAUAUACUCGAAAUGGCAUCAAUGUCUUCUAAGUCACUACUUUUGGAUCAGUAUUUAGAGCUAGAUCUUAAUAUCGUCAUGCUAAAUUGUUGCUUUUGGUUUCAGAGACAUGAAUUGCUUGGAUAAUGCAUCCGGCUUGGCAAUUAUAAUUGUAAUGUCAGUCAUCACCUGCCUAAUGUCUCUAGUUACUGGAUUGUGUUGGCACCAGAACAUCUCCUCUAUAAUUGGCUUCAUAUUCUUCUCUGGCGUAAUUGAAGCUUUCUACUUCUUGGCUUUUCUCAUCAAGUUCCUGGAAGGAGCAUGGAUUUCUAAGCCACUCCUGAACAUGCAUAUAGGAAUGGAUGACGAGUCCAAUAAUCGUGACAUGGUGAAUUCUAGUUUAGAAAUCCCUAAUGCAGGUGAUGGUCAUGCUAAUGCCUUUCAUGCUAGCGUUGAUAUUGAUAUGAAUGGUGCCAGCGCUGAAGAUCAAACUGAGUAAAUUGGGUCUACUGCUGAAUAUGGUACGGAUGAACGACAAUCAAGGCAAAACACUAGUUUUCUUGCUACUGAGAUCCACUACUCAUCAAAAAAACCUAUCCCAAAUCAGUCCAACAAAAGGUGGGAUCUCUUUUUCCUUAAUUUUGCCUUUUUUUAAUAGGCAAAAUGAGCAUAAACAAUACUUUAUAAGGUGUCAAUGAAAAUAAACGUUCUUUGCCAUCUCAAAACCUUUUUAUAAGAUGAAAAUUAAUGUAUCCAUCUAACCUCUUAAGUUGUUCCUUCAUUGCAGGAUCUAAAUCAUCAUCAAUAUCUCCAUCUUCCAAACUAUGAUUAUGGUGGUUUUGAAAAGUGUGAACCUGAACAAUGUUCGAUUCCCCAAUUGCAUGAGCUAUGACUUUCCAAGGACAUUCAUUAACUGUGCAAACAACUGUCAUGUGUUUCCUACUAUUCCUCUUGAAGCAAUAACGGAAUCUACCAGUAAUUAACAUCAAAUAAACGGCAUCACGGAACUCGACAGCAUUGGGGAAGGUAUGUCCACUACCCAUAAUGGAAUUUUCAAACCGCCUUGAGUCACGUUCGAGUAUAUUUGAUUCCGCACAUCUUUGGGAAAACCCAUAUGACUCAAUUGUAAGAGAGUUAUUACAGAUAUCAAUUGGCGGAUCACCACCGGAGGAAAGUAGGUGUGCCAAAUUCGAACCAACAAUAGGAGUAGGGGCACUACAAAUUUAAAAAAAAAAAAAAUAUAUAUAUAUAUAUAUAUAUAUAUUCAUCUGUCUACAUAUAUUUCAAAAGUUGAUAGACAAAGUGAAUGUGAUGUUGGUAAGGCUAUAAGUACCUAUUCGAUACUAUACAGGCUUCAACAACUUCACUUGAUGAUGAGACAUAGGCUCGACAAAACAUUUCGUUGAAUUGAAUAGUGCAGGCAUGUGAUAUUCUAUAUAGGAUUGGUGAAUAGUCUCAUAGUCUAAGAUCAUGUUUGGUAGAGAGACAAAUGGAACACAGAUUUAUGAGAGGACAAGAUUGAAAGUUUGCAUAAAGCAAUUCUCUAAAUUAAGGACAUUUUGAAUAGUUCACUAGGAGAUUACAAGAGGAAAGAGAGAAGUAUGGCUUACAAGCCCACCAUGCUUAUCUCGAUGUAUUUGGAAGUGAAGCAAUAAAAGAAUCUUUGAUGAUGUUGAUCAAUCAGAAUUGUAGCUGAACAAUGUUUUCCUAAAUUUUUUGUUGAAUGGUCUGCUAGAUCAAUAGGAAAUAGAAGCCUUUCUUUUGUAGAUUUCAUUUGAUAUUUCAGCUAGUACUUUAAGGAUCAAGGAGUUUUAUUUUCCCCCUUUUUUUUCUUUUAAAAUCCUUAUGAACAUCACAAGUACAAAGGAAGUGCCCUCUUCUUAGCAAUUGUUUCACAACAUUUUACGUAUCAAAACAUUUUUUUUCAUUCUCCAAAAUGCCAAAAAAAUAAUGUCCAAAACAUUGAUUUUUAUUUUUUUAUUAAUCAAUUAAAUAUAAUUUAAAAUAAAAUAAUUAGAAUUAUAUUUUUUUAAUGAUGAACCUUAACUAAUUUAAAUUAAAUAUAUAUUAUCAAAGAGUACCAUAGUCCAAUGGUAGCAGGGAUUGAACCCAAGCCACAAUUUUGAUUUAAUAAAAAUUAAGAUGGCUAAUUAAUAAUUAAUAAUUAUUUAUAUGGAGCAAAUUGUUCUCAUGAUUUGUUUCCCCUUUUGUUUUUUUUAUCAUACUAAAUCUAAAGCUCAAAAGGGUCAUCCACUUCUCUCACUCGGGCAUCAAGGAGCCCUUUUCUGAAGUUGCCCUCCAAACGAGAGAAUCCCUAAAAAGGCCCUAUUUUCCUCUGCAACUCUCAAUCCUUGUAGGUACUAAUCUAAUCACAUUAUUAAUUUUUUUUUAAACCCUCAUUUGAUUCCCAAGAAAAUCCAUCCCCCAUUUGAUUUCCGGGAAAAUUCAUCCUUGUUUGAUUUUCGAGAAAAUCCAUGCAAAACCCCAAGGAAAACAAAAAAAAAAUGCUUUUUUUUCCUCCCUAUGUUUUCUAGAUCUGUUCUAGGGGUCUCUUUGCUUUUGUGCCAUUGGGUUUAAAUUUCACAAACCCUAAAUCCACGAUUUUUGAGCUAGGUUGAAAAAUAUAACCUUUGCCUGCAAAUCGUGAUCAGAUUACCAAAUAGCAUCUUAUGUUUUUUUUUAUAUAUAAAAAAAAAAUUUGGAUAGAUUUUGCAUCAUGCAUGGGCUAUGCUGGUAGGAAAUAUCGGGAAAUUUCCCGAAAAUACGAUAAAAAAUACCGAUAAAUACCAAAAUAUUUCUCGAUAUUUCAAACACUAGUGGUUCUCAAAUUUUUUUUCCUCAAUGAUUCCCCACAAACAACCGUCUUGUAAACAUAAAUAUUUAAGAUAUAACAAAAAAAAAUCCCCAAAUAUUCUAAAUCACGGGGUCGUGAACAAUGCAAAACAACCUUCAGCCCAAAUAUUUUCUCAACAGCCAAACAAAUCCUUAAAUGGAAAACUCACAUGCGAUUAAUCCAAAAGAAAGAGGAAACUCCACUUCGGUUUCCAGAAACCUGAAAAAUAUUCACCUUUGAUGAAGAAAUAUGAAGAUAUGACUCAACUUUGGCUUCGUUGAAGGUUUUUGGAAGAUGGCUAUUGGGUUUGGGUGGUCAGCUCGUGAAGAGAGACACUAGGGUUAGGCCAAAAUGAGACGAAAUGAGAGGAAGUGAAGAGUCAUGAAAAUGCAGAGCAAACGAGCCAUGAAAAUGUAGAUUGGGUUAGGGCAAAAUGAGAGGAAGUGACAGAGAGUUUCCCCAAAUUUCAAAGUUUAUCGAGUCGGGUGUUCUAUGGGUUUUGCAAAUUUGAUAACUUUUAAGUUUUUGAUUUUCGUGUUUAUUAAAGGCACAACUCUCGGGUGACAUGGACACGAGUGAUGGUUGCUGAUAGGGAUGCAUGGAGGGGUAAUUUCGAAAAUCCAAUUAUAAAUUGUAUAUAAUGCAUGAAAAGGAAAAAAUUUCUUGAAAUAGUGGACAUAUCUUGGGUUAUGCAAACUUGGGUUUUGAAAACAAUAUUAUUAGGAAAUGGGGCUCUCGAAACACAACUUUCCCUAUUUUUUAUAUUCCAAAUAUAAUAGUUCAUGUUAAUUAAACUAAUUAAAUAAUUUAAUUAAGUUAAUUUUUUGAAUCUAAAUCUAACGAGAUUGAAAUUAACUAGUUGAAUCUAAUUCUUACUAGUUUGAAUGUGAAAAUAAAAUUAAAUAAUCAUCUAAAAUAUAACAUAUCCAUCUAUAAUUAAAUAAUCAAAUUAACCUAAGCUUAUUCAAUAAAAAUAUACAAAUUAAUUACAAUUGAAUGUAAAAAUAAUAUUAAAUCAUCCAUAUUGAAAAUAUACUAAUUAAUUGAAAAUACAUUAAUUAAUUACAAUUGAAAACAAAAUUAAUUACAAUUUAAAACAAACAUACCUUAAAAUAAUUGAAUAAUUGAGCAACCUUAGAAAAUUUUUGAGCAAUAAGAGAUCAAAUAAAGAAUGAAAUUAAAUGUGGAUGAAAUGGAUGCAAAAUGAGUUAUUUAUAGGAAAAUUUUGGGCCAAAAUAGCUAUUGAUAGAUGAUUUCACUAUUGAAAAACAGUUUUGGCCGUUGGAUCAAAAUCAGGGCGACAUAUGACCAUUGGAUCAUGAAAUAACCAUUGGAAUAUCAUCCCAACGUUGGACCAAACCCAAAUUCAAUCUGGGGAGUUAGAUCAAUGCAGGCAUGAUGUAGGCCGUUAGAUCACGCUGAAAAGAGGAGGCAAAUUUUCUUUAAAAAAUCGACGAUUUAUCACCGAUAUAUAGACGUUUUUCCAACAUCAGUGAUGAUUGAUUGAUAAAACCGUCAAUUUAUCGCUGAUCAGCGAUAUAUCGACUAGAUUUUGGCAAUUUUUUGUUUUUUUGCCUCUUCGAUAAAUCCCCACAAAAUAUCGUGUUGAAACUCUCCGAUACACGAUAUAUCGAUGACAUACCGCCGAUAUAUCUUUGUGUUCCUAGUGAGGUUGAUGAUUUACUAAUAUGUUUCAAGUGCACAAUGAGGGAUUAAUUCUUAUUGCACACUAGGGCAUAGCCAUUUUAAAUAUCUUUAUCAAAGUUAGUGGUUUGAUUUUUAGAGAACACUUCUUAUUUGUUGAUAUUGCUAUCACCUACAAAGUAUGGUUUUAUACAUCCCUAAUUCGAAACAACAACUAUCCAUUGCAUUUGAGCAAGGUGGAGAUGUUGUUGGUUAUUAUUGCAUGCUAGGGCAUAGCCAUCAUCAUGGUUUUCUAAUCAAGUUAAUGAUGCAUUGACAUUAUGACGGAUUGAUCUAGUUUGGUUGUCUUCAUAGUUUAUUUUUGUCAAUGAAUGGCAUUGUCAUGGAUGAUUUAAAUACAUUAAUUCGAACACAUUCAUUUUGAAAACAAUCCAUGAACACAUUCCAAAAAAAGAAAAAGGGUAUCUAGGGAAUGGAUCAAUGCAUGUAUACUGAUUAUGUUCUAUAUCAUUGCACUGAGAAUAAUGAAUAGGUCUCUUAUGACUGCAUUAUGAUUCGAUAAGACAUUGUCAUAGUCUCCUAAUAGAUGUUUUACUUUAGGGCUUUAAGAGAAGGAAAUGAUCAAGCUUCUUUAUCAUGCAUGCAUGCUCUCAUCAACACAAAGUUGAGGCAUGUCAUUCAUCAAUAUAGAUCAGAAUGAGCCUAAAUAAAUCAAAGUUCUAAGUGGAAAAUGUUCAAUAUAGGGUUAUACAUCUAAGUGUAACAUGAUCGAAUUUUAUUCAAAUGUAUAAACUAUAAAUGAUUACAUACCUUUUUUUUUUUCCGAAUUCGCUCAUACCAUUAAGAUUUUUCAUCCACAAGAUACAACCUAUAUUGCAAAAAAUUAAAAAUUAAAAUAAAAGUGAAAAAAAAUUGUAUUAGAAUAUUAAGAAAACUCUACUUAUAAAUAUAAAAGAAUCCAAUUGUUUAAUAUUAAAAAAUCUCAAAUUUAAAAUCUAAAUAUUGAGGGUAAUUUUCUAUUUUUCCAUCUCAUAAUGAAUGAAACUCUAAUAUCUCCCUGCUAACUUACUAAAAGGGUCAUUAUCAACAUUUUUCACCUUAGAGCGAAUGUAAAAUUAUAAAAUUAUUAUCUGAGAACACCCACUUUACAAAUUAGAGAAAAAAACCUAAAAUAAAAAGGAAAAGUAUACCAUAAGGAAUAUUUAUUUCAAGCUCUUUAAAGUACUGAGAGCACCCAUUUUACAAAAUUGUACUCAAGUCAUGUAACAUUUGAAUCCAACUCAUUGAAACUCAUCAUUUUGUCUCAAAAAAGGUUUUUCAUUUUUUUAUUAUUAAAAAAAACCAUAAGCAGCUGAUUGUAUUCAAGUAAUUCAAUGGAUAGCCCUCAAAGGUAGGCAUCAAUUUAUCAGACAUUCAAACUAAACCACGGCAUCAAAAGAUUAUAACGAUAAGAAUAUAUAUACCUCCAGGCGAAGGAGCCAUUGAUGCUAUUAAAAGUUUGUUCUUCAAAAGAGCUUUAAGAAGUGAUCGAUUGUUCUUCAAGAGAGCUUCCAAAGAGCUUAGGGGGCUUUUUCUGUAUCCAAUUUGUUGAUCUCACUCUCAACCAACAGUAAAAGAAUAAACCUAAUCAGGAAAGAUUAAAGCUAACCAUAAAAGAACCAAACUCACCUCAGUAUAUAUGAGUUGGAUUUUUUUCAAGAGACAAUGAAAUAGAGAUGCUUCUGAGAGGAGAGGGUGAGGACAUGCAAAUGAGGAUUUGUGUGAAGAAAGAAUCGUUUACUUUCCAAAGGGACAUGCGGGCUUCUUCACUAGGAGGAUUUAAGUCAACUGGGAAUGGAUUUAAACAGCUCCAUGGUAACAAAAAUAAAUAAAAAAAUAAAGAAAAAUGUGUCCUCCAACAGUUUAUUGAUACAGUAAAGUGGACAUAUUACACUACCAUUAUGAGAAAUGACACAUUUGAAGGAGAGAGUCUUUUGAUAUAAUUGAGGCAUUAAAGUUUAAGCACUCUAUCUAACUUAUAAUCUUUAUAAAAAAGAAUUUCACGGAGACCAACUCAAAUGUAUAAAUAGCUUAUACAUUCCAACAUAAAGCAACAGCUGAUGGGAAACUGUGACUUCAAGGAGUUUUGGGCUGAAAGAAGGGGAAAGUCCCAUUAUGGUUUUUAGUCGAAUAAACAUGUUGACAGAUUCACACAAAAUCGGGCGGUUCGUCUGAUUCGACGGUCUAACUCUCUGGUUAGAUGAUUCAAUGGCGAUUCAAACUCAGAACAGUCCAUUCCGGCGAAUCAGACCGAAGGUCGGACCGAUUUUAAAACUAUGCAUUCACCAACGAAUCUGAGAAAAUCAAAAUUAAUUUUUACAAGCCGAAUUCAUAAGAAGACGAGAAAGGGAGUCAUCUCUGAACAGUAGACACAGAAGAACUUUAUUGAAAUUGGUGUUGCUUUUUGAAAGAGACGAAGUCGGCCAGCUACUUGGAAAGUUUGACUGGACAAGACUUUGAGUUGAUUUGAUGGGAGGUGGAGCAGUUUAUUGGGACUUCAAAAAUAUUUUUCUCUUCCAACCGUCCUUAGAUUUAAAAUAUUUUUUAUCAAAAUAUUUAUUUAGAAUUUUUUUCUUAAUGGAAUCACUUAUUAAAUACUUAAAAAAAAUUAAUAAAAUUUCCUUAAAAGUUUAAACAUCAUAAGAUAUUUAAAUUUUUGAAUGACCAUGUUUCGUAUUUAUGCCCAUAAUAAUUUCAUAUUAAAUUAAAAUAAAAUAUUUUUAUUUUAGUUAUUAAAUAAUAAAUGAUAUUUAAAUUGAAUUUAUAAUUAAAUGAUUAGUAUCAAAUUUAUUUCUUUUUAAGAUAAACAAAACAAACUCUACUAAUACUAAUAGUAUUUUGAUCAAACCUGAAGCAAUGGUCAUUGUAAGUAUAUUUCCCACCAAAAUAAUAUAAAAGUAAACAAUAAUACCCUUAUUAACUAAGGACAAAAUAAAUUGGAGUUCAACUAUUUUUUUAUUUUAUCCAAAUUUACCAAAAGACAUAAUAACUCCAUUUUUUUUUCGAAUUUAAAGAUUCAAAUAUGACAAAUAUAUAAGAAUUUAUAUAAUUUAAAAUAAGAUAUAAAAAACAAUUUUUAAAAUUUUCUAUUAAUUUUUUUUACCUCAAAUAAGCACUUAAUUUUUUUUUAGAGCAUUUACUAUAAAAGAAUUUAAUUCUCACCUAAAUAGAAGUAAAAAAUAAUUAUUAUUAUUAUAAAUUAUUUAUCUAAAAUUAUAGUAUGAAAAUCUUAAUAAUUUUUUAUAUUGAUAUUAUUAUUUUAAAUUUUUAUUAUUAUUAUUAUUAUUAUUAUUAUUAUUAUUAUUAUUAUUAAUUUUAAUUCAAUUAAUUAAUUUAUAAAUUCCUAACUUAUGUGAAACUUUUAUUUUCUAAAUUUAUUUUUACGAAUCUUCUAUUUUCUUUAUUUAAUUAAACUAAAUUUCUUGGAAACCUAUUUCUUUUAUUAGUAGAACUAAACUUAUUACUAUUAUAAAUUUUAUUACAAUCAUUCAACAUGCUUAAUCCUAUUAGUAUUUUUAUUAUUCUUUAUUAUUACUAUUUCUAACACAUUCUUACUCACGCACAUUAUCAUGUAUCAAUCACUUUCCAUCCACUGUAAUUACGUAUCUCUUUCACUUUUCCUAUAGCUAUUUUUUUUUCUUUUUACUUUUUUUUUCUUAUUUUCAUAUUAAAUCCACCGCCAUUUUUUUGUCUAAACACCUACAAGCACGCGCAGAGUGGCCACCCAACCCAACUCAUUCCUUGCAUCAUCAUAUCAUAUGCACAUAAUGCAACGUCUCCUCAGAGGAUGAUGUUAAUUGUCAGUUGUCACUCAUCAUUUCAUACUUAAAUGCCAUUACAAAUAGAAUUAGUCCAAGAUCUUAUUGAAAAUCUAGUCUCUUCUAAAAGGGAGAAUUGUGUUUUGGGUCCAGCUGAGCCCAAAAAUUAAGAUAAGGUCUAUGUAAUUGACCUAAUUAAUGAUAAGGAUAUUAGAUGUUAACAGACGAAAAGACCCUUUACUUUUUCAACUCAAAUGGUUGUAAAUUAAUGGGUUUCACAACUGGUAAACUUGAAAUGUCAUGUCACCAGAGUGAAAAUUUUGAAUCUUCCUACCCCUUUCUCUCCCUUCGUAAACAACAUAUGCACAAACGAUGUCGACUAUGACUGUCCCCCAAUCGCUUUCUUCAACAGCCGAGGAUUGUGAGCAUUUCAGAAAAGCUUUUGUAAGUAUUUUAUCAUGAUCAUUCCCAAAUCCAAAUGACGGGGGUCUGAAUUAUUUGCUGAUAUUUUGAUUUGAUUAGGUUGAGGCGUUUAUAGGUAUUUUAUCAUCAUCGUCCAGAGUGAAUAAAUGGGUUUCGUCCAAACGGUGAGCUUUGGGGAAGAAUAUUGUUCGGUGAUGAUGCAAUUAAUCUGGAAUAGCUAUCCUUCGGAUCAAAAAUAUUUUGAAAGCAAAGAAGUUGGUCAACCUAACGAAACAGAGAAAAUGAAGAACUCCAAUGAAGAUAUAAACCGGCCACAACUGUGGUCGUGAUGAUGGCAGUGGCCCAACAACCUCGUGUGAAUAUGGAAAUAUGUUAAAUAGGGUAUAUGCCUUAUUGUUGGGUAAGUUUCCAUUUUAUAAAUUGAUGGCUUCCACCAACUGCUAUGUCCACCAAUUGACUACUCAUUGUUAGCAUAUCAAACAUCUAUGUAGUCCAUCAGCUUCAGUUUUAGUGGGUUGUGGGCCAUAUGGUGCACCAGUUGGACAAUGCAAAACCUCCGUUCUCUUUGAUGAGUCCAGACCUCUAAAAAGCCUCGAAUGUAACUAUUGUUCUGUGGCUGACAAACACUGGGCAAGGUGUAUAUGCAUAAGGUGUUGUGUUCCUUUGGAACAUUCUAGGUUAUUCCAUUUUUUACAUUUUUCCUUUUCGUUUUGUAUACCUUGACCUGGUUACAUGAUGCAUGCACAGUUAAUGCUACUUUUGGUCUUAUUGUCUUUCUAUGUGGCUGGAGACUUUUGUAAUCAGGCUUUAUAAGCUCUAGAGGCUUGGGGCUCAUAGAAACUAAUAUCAUGAGAUUAAUUUAGGAUCCACUCUCUCAGAAUCUCUCUUGCUCUUUGUGUUAGCUGUAAGUUCAUGACUAUUUCACAUUCUAUUAAAAAUUCUAUUAGCUAUCUUGAUUUUAUCAAAAUCAUUCUGCUUGAAUUCCUAAAUUUUCUUUUUGAAGAUUUUUCUUGUCUUAGCCCACUCCACCCAACUUUUCCUUUCUUGUUCUUUUGAUUAGUAUCUGAAACAAUUUUUAUUUCGUUGAUCAAUGUAUAUUCUUGCAACAAAUGAAUUAAAAAUUUAAUUUGUGCCCAAUUAGUUUGGUGUAAAUUUCAUCCACAUUUAUCUCAUGUAAUUUUAAUUGGAAAUAUUUGGUGUUUAUGGGAAUAAACAGGAAGCUUGAAAUUGCUAAUCAUUGGCAUUAAAUUGAAGCAGGUUUAGAAAUGAAAGUUCUGGAUCAGGAAAGAAUGGAUGAGAAGGAGAAUUGCGGACAGAAGAAAAUAAUGUCUCCCUGUUUGGCUCUGAAGAAUUGCUUGGAGGAGAAAAGGGUGACUACUCUAAAAGUCAGCCACAGUUAGAAGCAUUUUGGUCUUCUUUAGAGUUUCCUCGUAAAUUAUAGACAAUUGUUAAGCCUGGUGCCACAUGUGAUGUUUAAAAAGUUGUUCACUAGUUGAAUGGAACCCAUCUUUAGGCAUGUUUUUUAUUGAAUAAAAUAUAUGUUUGAAUAAUAAUUUGCCAUGCUUAACAUAUAAUCUUCUUCUGAAUUCUAGUUGGAAAGUUGGAAUUAGCUUCGAAUAGUUUCACAUUAAUGGACAAAUUGCUGUUUUUUUAAUUUUCUUGUAUUGUUAAAAAAGUAUAGGGAACAAAUUGAUACUUCAAUUUUUCCUUAUUUUAUUAACCAAAAGAUUGCAAACAUGAUUAACCUAUGCAUGAGCAGACAUUCAAUAGUGGUUGUAUGGAAUUUUUGUCUGUGUACAAGACAUUUACACUAAGUGUACAAGAUAUAUGUGCUUAAUGUACAAGGGUGUACAAAGGUACCUAUGUUGAAGUAUUUGCAAUCGUUUUAAAAUCAUGUCCAUUUUGAAAGGAUGAGGAACAUUCCCUCACACACAUUCCUUGAUCACGCACUCAUCCUGUUCAAUUUUAUUACUUCAUACAUGUUGAUUGGAUGACCAACCACAGUAAUGAUGAAUAGGAACCUAUAUUGGGUUUUACUUCCCCCUUUUCCCUUAGGCAUCACAUUGGAACAUGAUAGCUCACCCAUAUGCACGCUUUUAGUUUUAGGUAUGUCAAAUUUUUUCCAUUGUAUAAGACAUUUAAACUAAGUGUACAAUGCAAAUGUGCUAACUGUACAAGUGUGUACAAUGCUACCUAUGUUGAAGGAUUUCAAAUGGUUUUGAAUAAAUUGCUUGCUCAUUUAUUUUUUUUAAGGGGGACAUUCCUCAUAGUCAUUCCUCAUUUCCCUUCGUACACAUUCAUUGGAUGAGAUAACACACUUAUGAUGAAUAGGAACCUAAAUUGGGUUUCAUUUUCCCCCUUUUAAUUGAGCCAUGACAUUGGAAUGUGGUUAACCCGCCAAUAUGCACUAGUUCUAUUCUAGCUAGGUUGAAUUUUUGCAAUUGUACAAGGCAGUUACACCAAGUGUACAAGACCAAUUUACUAAAUGUACAUAGGUAUACAAGGGUGUCUAUCUUAGGGGAUUUCAAGUGAUUCUGAAGAACUUCCUAUCUUACUAUUUCCAAUCGUGGGGGACAUUUCUCGCACAUAUUGCUUGACAACACACUUAGUGCAUGCAUUUUAUUUGAUGUCUACUAUGUUAAUUCCUUCUAUUAGCUUCCCUAGUAAUGAUGAAUAUGAACCGAAAUUAGGGUAAAGUUUUUUUUCAUUUUCCUUAAUCCAUGAGAAUGGAAACAUUGGUUACCCACCCAUAUGCACUCGUUCGGUUGUGCCUAUGUGGGAUUUUGUGACUGUACAAGGCAUUUACACUAAGUGUACAGUGCAAAUGUGCUAACUGUACAACUGUGUACAAUGCUACCUAUGUUGAAGGAUUUCAAAUGCUUUUGAAAAAAUUGUUUGCUCAUUUUUUUUUCUAAGGGGGACAUUCCUCAUUUCCAUUUCUACACAUUCAUUGGAUGAGAUAGCGCGCUUGUGAUGAAUAGGAACCUAAAUUGUGUGUCAUUUUUCCCCUUUUCAAUGAGCCAUGACAUUGGAACGUGCUUAACCUGGCCAUAUGCACUAGUUCUGUUGUAUCUAGGUGGAAUUUCUGCAACUGUACAAGGCAUUUACACUAAGUGUACAAGGCCAAUGUACUAAAAGUACAAGGGUGUACAAAGGUGUCUAUCUUACUUUUUCAAAUCGUGGGGAACAUUUCUCACACAUAUUGCUUGAUAACACAUUCAUUACAUGCAUUUUAUUUGAUGUCUACCAUGUUAAUUCAUUCUAUUAGCUUCCUUAGUGAUGAUGAAUAUGAACCGAAAUUAGGGUAAACUUUUUUUGUCAUUUUCCCUAGUCCAUAGUAAUGGAAACAUUGGUUACCCACCCAUAUUCACUUGAAAAUAUGUACCUAUUAGGGAUUUGGUGACUGGACAAGGCAUUUACACUAAGUGUACAAAGCAAAUGUGCUAACUGUACAAGUGUGUACAAGGCUGCCUAUCUUGAAGGAUUUGAAAUGCUUUUGAAAAAAUUGCUUGCUCAUUUAUUUUUUCUAAGGGGGACAUUCCUCAUUUUCCUUUGUACACAUUCGUUGGAUGAGAUAGCACGCUUAUGAUGAAUAGGAACCUAAAUUUGGUGUCAUUUUUCCCCAACUCAGUGAGCCAUGACAUUGGAACGUGGUUAACUCGGCCAUAUGCACUAGUUCUGUUGUAUCGAGGUCAAAUUUCUACAACUGUACAAGGCAUUUACACUAAGUGUACAAGGUCAAUGUACUAAAAGUACAAGGGUGUACAUGGGUGUCUAUCUUACUUUUUCCAAUCGUGGGGAACAAUCCUCACACAUGUUGCUUGAUAACACACAAUUGCAUGCAUUUUAUUUAAUGUCUACCAUGUUCAUUCAUCCUAUUAGCUUCCCUAGUAAUGAUGCAUAUGAACCGAAAUUAGGGUAAAAUUUUUUUUCAUUUUCCCUAGUCCAUGGUAAUGGAAACAUUGGUUACCCACCCAUAUUCACUUGAAAAUAUGUACCUAUUAGGGAUUUGGUGAUUGGACAAGGCAUUUACACUAAGUGUACAAAGCAAAUGUGCUAACUGUACAAGUGUGUACAAGGCUGCCUAUCUUGAAGGAUUUGAAAUGCUUUUGAAAAAAUUGCUUGCUCAUUCCUCAACUGAAAUGAUAAUAACCUUUCAUUGAUUGAUAUCCACGUGGGCCCUCCUCAUGAUUGUCUUCAACCUGAUAAAGGGUAUGUGUUUUUUUUUUCCCUUAGUGAGAAAGCAAAUAAAGGCAUAAUAGAUAUAUGAGUGUGUUGGCUACUAAGUAGGUACUGGUUGGUGUUUGAUGAUGUUAAAAGCCUUUAUAAAGCAGCCUCUAGUAAGCACUGAUUUUGAGAUUUAAGUUCUUUUGAAUUUGAUCAUUUUUCCCUUUCUUUUCCAAGGUUUUUCUUUCCACCUUGGUUUUGUGAAGAAAGCUUGCAUUAUUGGAAUGAUUGUUAUUUAAUGUCGUUGCAGUUGCAAAUGACACAGCUAUUCACCAAAUCCCAACCUCUGUUUUGAAUCUGAGACAAGGUUAACAAUUCGUAUAGUUCAAGUUCUUCAUGGCCUUCUAGAGAGUGAGCAUGCAGCACAUGCAUAAGCAAACAAUAGGGCAAAAGCUCUUUCUGUUCAACUACAAUCCACACAAGGAAAACUUGAUUUACUUCAGCAACAAUUAACAUCAGUUUCUUUGAAUAAAACAGCAAUGGACGGUAAGCUCAACACUGCUUCCCAUGGAAAAUGUUUGAGAGUAGAUGACUUUGACCUGACUAUUGAAUCUGUUGAAGAUAUGGAUGGUAAUGAAAGAAUAACAAGAGAAAAUAAGAUGUCAACGAUCACAACUAGCCCUCUGAAGUUCACGCAGUCAGAAGAUGGUGUUUAAAUAUUUAAGGCCAACGAGGACAACAACAGCCAACAUACGAACCUAGAGGACUAUACAAAAUUCAUUGUGCUGAAACUUAUGAAAGAACUCACAAAACAUCAUUAUGGGGCUGAGCUGCUUCAGUUCAGGAAUCCCAACAAGAGAAACAUCUUGCUUUGUAUGAGAAACACGUGCUUUAAAAAUUGUAACCUGUCUAUAAUCUAACAAGAAUUGACUUGAUAGAUUAGCUUUUUAACCAAGUACUUAGUGCUGAAGAAGGUGUUUUGUGCUUGAACGGUGUCAUUCCCAUUAGUCCAAAAUUUUGGGAUGAUGAUCGCCAUUUUUCGAUGUGCUGAAUGAUUACUUUUAAGGUGUGGAGCUACUGCAUUCUGAGAAUGGUUAAUAAUAAUUUUUAAAAUCAUACAUAAUAAAUUUGAAAAUAAAGACUAAUAAUUUUCAAGUGAUUAUGGAUUAUUCUUGAGUUCCCCUUUUCUCUUGUCUGAACUUGCUAGUUCCCAAUACUAAAGUAGGAGUCCAGGGAUAAUUUCAACACAAAUAUUAACUAUAAGUCUCUGACAAACCUUAUUCUUAUUACCACCCAACUAACCUAAGGGCAAAGUGGGUUCUUAUUACCAAGCCAUGAGCAAUUUUGCCCACCAAAAAACCUAGGACAAAAAAGGGAAAAAGCCACACCAACAUGUAUGAUAACAAAUAAGAGCAACCAUACACUCUAUUAGGCAUAGACAUCUAGGUUAGUGUGGAGGUACUCUUCCACAACCUUGUACAUCCCCAUGGCCUUGUCUUUGCCGGUCUUGAUGUCCUCGUCCUUGAGCUCAAUAUUUGAGUGAUAAUGGCUAGUCAUCUUGCACAUAGAGCCUGAGCCCGAUGCCUUGAACUUUACCUCGUUUGAAAUGGCCUUGUUUUUACACUCUUAAUUGCCUAAAUUUCCUUUCUAAGAGGCUUCAUUUUCCAAUUCUAUUUCCUUUCACACCUUCAAUGGGAAUUUAGGAGACAACUUUUAGUAUUGUGUCUUAGUUUGAUUGAAGGUAAAAUUGAAACCCAUAACAACCCUGACUUGUUUGAACCCCAUGUCAGAAAAAGUAAAAAGAAAAACAACAAAGUGUAUAGAUUCUUCAAAUAGAUGUAUCUGUAAUUGAAACAAAACAGGUGGAACACACCCGUGAACUCACCAUUAACAUUACAAGCAACUAGAAUUAUUGCUGCCUUGAACUAGAUAUCAUAGAGAACACCAAAAGAAAAUAUCUAUAUAUAAAACAUAAAAUCUUUGAGUAAUCACAAUGCUACUUUCUAUUCCUAAUUUUCCGCUUCCCAUCUGUGGGAACUGGGUGCCUUCCAUUCCUGUGCUGUAGGGUCCCAACCCCAUUUGAUAGUUUCCAUGAUGGUGAAGGGCCCACGGUAGAAUUCAAAUUCCUGCAGGAAAAUUUUGAGAACAUUUUGUCAGUAUACAUGGGAACUUACUAGGUAACAAUAGUUGAAAUGAGAAAUAAAUCAGUUUGCAUUACCUUAGUUCUGGACUAUUUGCUGGCUUUGUAUUAGGUUUCUUGAUUUUUGACUCAAUCCCAUUAAUCAUGCAAAUUAUAUUUGCAUUAUUGAAUUGCCAAAGCAAAACGGCAUCAGAAGAAGCACUGAUGGCAGCAUCCUCAUGCAAAUCAUCAUUAUUAGCAAUGUCAUAACGAUUGUUUUCCAUGAAUAUGUUAUAUGAUUGAUCCGGGAAUAGCUUUGAAGAAUUUGAAAUAAGUUUUUGGUAGAAAGCAUCAGGCAAGUUCCUAUUCUCUGUUUCCCAACAUCCUAAAGGGUUUGGAACUCUAGGUACAACAUCUUGCUUAUUCACCAUAACCAUAUAUACCCACUAACUAGAGCCAAUGUCUUUGUCGUCCUCCAAAUAAUUUUGCACAUUACUAUUGACUGGAGGCCAAGGAGGUGAUUUCCCUAGUAACUCCUUAAGAUCAAAGCUUUGGUUCUUUUGCCUCAUCAUGGAAUUGCUGCGUGCCUACAUAAUCAGAACAUCAAACUUGAAUUCUGGUUUCACAAAGACUUGGAUGCAUAAUAAUCAGUCAACUAAAAUAAAGCCAUUGUUUGACAUCUACCUAGACCACAUCUAUGUGGAACCUAAUCAUACAUGAACUAGAAAUUACUUUUUAUGAAAAUUUCCAAUGAAUGUGAUAUAAUACAUAGUUUAUGAUCAUCUUCAAACUUAGGCAUGGCGUGUCAUGAUUAUCAAGAAAUAAAGGUUCCCUCACCAUCAUCAAUUUGCUAUCAUUCAAGUUUAAAUACACUUAUGUUAUUAUUCAAAGCUAAAUAUCAAUGAUUGGGGUAAAGAAAGAGGAAUAUCUCAUCAUGAUUAAAAAAAUAUUUACCUCGAUGUUGCUUGCAUCCCACAUUGGUUGCCUGCAACUAUUUUGAUCAUCUAACAUAUCUCCAGCCCGCUUGUUACAAUGAAAAGGUGAUAAAUCACUGGUUUUUGUUAUGUAUCUUUCAGAACUGUUUGUUUUGGUUCUCCUUUUUCCUUGCCAGAGCUGCCUUUAGAGUAGCAAUCUGAAAUAAUAGUUCAAAGUUUUCAGAAGAAUAAAUAAGAAUUGAGAAGAAUGAUAAAUAAUGAGAGCAUUCAGAACCUGUUCUUUCAGCUCUUUCACAUCUACACUAUCCUUGUUUACACGAGUAGCACUAAGUUCUACCGUGGCAAAUUGCUCUGCAAAUUUAACUGUGCUAAUUGUUUCUCCAUCCGCAUCCAGUUCAGGGCUAAUGUGAACAAACAUUAGUGUCUUAGCUUGCCCCCUUAAAGAGAAUUACAAUCUAAAAGCCAUAUUAUAAUUUUAAAAAUAAAAUUAAAGAAAACAGAAUCAAAUAUGAAGUUCAUACUCUGAAAAUACAUUAGUUUAUUCUUACCAAGUGAGUCUUGAAGAAGUUCUGUUAGUUUACUAUUCCUAUAAGGGACAUGUGGACUCUUCUGGGCAAGGGAAGAGAUGACAUCCCCUAGAGCAGAGAGAGAUCUGUUAAUAUGAUGUUCCUCCUUUAGUCUAUCUCCAGUGACCUCAGAUUUGUCUACUCUCCCACUGUCGGCCAGAUCAACAAGAUGCAUACAGCCAUGAAGAAUAGUUCCUGACAUCAAGUCUCUUCCCUGAACAUGAACAGUUAGGCAUAUGCAAGUUGAUUGAAAAUCAAGUGAGCAAAACCAAUAGAGAUUACUAAAAGAGUAUUCCUAGAUAAAUAUAUAAAGGAAUAUGAUCAUACCUAUGAGAGCAACUAUUAUGGUUUCAUAUGUUCACAAGUGGUAGAGAACCAGGGUUUUAAUUUCUAUGCAAUUUUGAAAAUUCAUUCUAAUAAUAUUUAAUUCUCCCUGUUUACUUACAAUGCAAUGACAAUCAACUUAAGUCAAAAAGCAGUCAAACUCCUACUAAUCCCAUAAUCCCAGUGUUCAUUUCCGCAUGUGGCACCAUAAAAAAACAUUUAAAGAAGUACGUUUGUCCACCAUAAAUUACAUACAAAUGUGCUAACUUUAUACAGUCUCGUCACAAAUUACAAUCCCCAUUAAUCCAUUCAGACACGGUCUUGGUGUGCAUUUUGUGCUGAAAACAACAUACUCCCCAUAAUCUUCAACCUAUAAUGUUUCAAUUUCCCCUGCAUUCAUUCAAGUUGAUAGCAACAAAUCAGCAAAUUAAUUAAUUAGGCUUUUGUAACUAUUUUAACAUUAAUGAGAUAGUCAUAGAUAAUUCCUCCUAUGUACCACAUCGAUUGAUUUGGAGAACCUGCCCAUUGACCACAACUCCAUGAAUUUCAUUACAAAAACUCCGCAAUCGUGCCUACGUCAAUAUCAUUAUCAAAACGUUAUUAAGUAUGGAAUUAUAAAUAAGAGAGGAACUUAAAAUAAGUUGCAAUCCAUUUUAACAUCAUCCCGGACUGCAAGGUCAAUACUCACUCAUUAGGUUGGAGAGGUACAUCAGGUGUUAGGAAAUUGAAUGUCCUCAAAUCAUAAGGUGAUACCUCUUUUUUUUUUGUGCAGCCAACCAUAGGACAACCUUAGCCUGAAACAUUUAUUAACACAACAAUUGAAAUUUUUAUGGGAAGACAUACUUAACAAAUUAUUAGUUGUUACUUGUUACUUUACCAAAUUUUGUUGAAUUCCACUCAAAGUUGUCUUCUUCCUACCAGGACAAGAAUCUAGCAAUUGGAUUCUCUUGUUUGAUAGGUCAUAUAUGCACAGUGUCCAAUGGUUCUUUAUGAGAACCGGUAAGAAGACCUACACCAAUAGACUGCCAUUAAACAUACAUUUAAAUAUUGUACCUUCAUGCAAUAAAAAUACAAAUCCAAGCAUUAAACACAGGAAUCCACCUUGUUAACAUUGACAUAUGGAAUAUCCAUCUGAUACACAUGUGGUUCAAAGCGUCCUAUAACUGCCUCCCUCACUAAGUGUUUUGCCUAGGAGUGGAUUACCAUUUCCUGCAUAUCAAAUAGGGGAUAACAUCAGGUUUGUCAUUGUAGGUAAUGCCUGGUUCAAGACAUGAAAUAAAGUUAAGCAAUGAUUUAAUGGAAUAGUCAUCAUUACAGCUAUGUAGGGGGAUAGAAACAGUUUCGUCUUCGGUUUAUGUUCAUACUGCAACAAUCUACAGUAGGCAUCGACGACCUGAUUUUGUAGAUCAUAAAAGUGUAAGCAACUAAUUAUAUUAAAGCCACACUUUCACUUUCAAACUUAAAAUAAUGCAUAAAGAGGGAUAAGAAGUCAUAUGCACGUCGUUCCCUAUCCAACCAUUCCCUUCGAAACAGCCCAAAUUGCCUCUGGUUAGGAUAGUGUCAUGCAUAGACACUAGUUCCUCACUAUUGCAAACACAUACAAUUUAGUUUUUGUGUUAUCACUAUCAUACAAUGAGAUGAGUGUCUCUGAAGUAUGUUACCUAGCAUCCAAAUCCUCUCUAAAUACCAGUGCAGCUGCUUGUUUUAAGUCCAUUCUGAUGGCAGAUUGUUUAGUUUGUGGUUGGGAUAUGUAUGGGGACAACAGGUUUGGAGCCAUUCAACGCACUCGUCGUCUCUAGACGUUCCUAUUUGUGGGGACAACAUUACCUUUUGGUUCUUCUUCACCAUCUGCAAUACGAGAUUUAGAACUAGUCAGCAAAGGUAUACAUUAUGAUUGAGUACUUGAGUUGUUAACCAUAUGGGUGUUUGCAUAAAUUUUAUCACUUACCGCUUACUACAUUAAUGGGUACACUGGGCUGCAACUCAAACUCAGGGGCAACAACGCGAUCUGGUGUGUCUAUCACAUGGUCUGCAGCAUGUGAAGCCAUGUACUCAUCACCAAGAAAUGCAUGGUCAUCGACUGUGGGAGUGUUGGCUGGUGCAUCGCCAGAGUGACCACCAGCAUCUGAAUUUACCCCACUAUGUCUUCGAGCCCCUAACUUAUGCAUAAGGCCACGCAUUAUUCUCAGCUGCUACUGAAUGCCCCAUUGAUAUUGGUCGAUUGCUCGUUCCGCAUCAUGAUAUUGAUGUCAUUUUUCCUAUCACAUGAUAUUGAUGUCAAUCUUUGAGCACAAAAUAUCACAACAACAUAUUUCUUUAUAGUUAAGAAUCAAAAAUAAAUUACAAUGACAAUGAAAUGAACAUUUAUUAAUUUUUUUAAAAAUUAACAGCUUACAUCACUAUUUUCAGCAUCAACAUUUGUGUCAUGGUCCACAUUAGUCUCUACCUCCAUAGUUCUUUCUACAGUUGGAGAUCUCUAGGACGCCUAUAAUUAGCAUUGAAGAUUAGUAAUUAAAUAAUGAGUGUUAUGCUAGUAAUGACAAUAUAUUUAUGCAUGCAUCACUUACAAAAUCAACCUCAGCAUGUCCGAAUGCUCCAAACUCCUUUAUCUUAACGACUAGUCGCCGCUUAAUCAAAUCAUCAGUCCAUGUCAAUGCUAGGGGCACUAUAAUGGGGACUUGAACUGAAGGAAUUUGGAAUUUAAUGACAUAAUGCAGCUGCAUAAUAAAUACAAACAUCAGUAGGCAAAUGUUACUUAGUUGUGCAAUAAAAUUAUAUAAAAAAAUGGAAGACAAAUACUGAAUAAGUUCAUUACCUGUAGAAAUAAAACACAGCCAUGUACCCAAGAGGUGUUAGACUGUUGGUAUCGCCUAAUUCCCUUAACCAGUUGGUCAAGCACAAACUAGGCCCAAUUAACGUCAUUUCAGAAUCCAUCCUCAUGGAUGGUAUGCCACAAGUUACGGCAACCAUUGAGCCUAGACGUGGGGGCCAACAAUGUGGCACAUGCGUAGUAAAUGAAUGCUCUACGAAACUCCUCGCCUACAGGUAAGUUCAGGAGUUUCUCCUUGCAUGCCCGAAUAGUCCUAAAUGGAUGCUCUGAUGAUGUAAAGGUCACCUGCAGAAUCCGCCCUUCUGUUGGGAGGCCGAAAAUGAGGCCAACAUUGAUGGCUGUAACAGGAUAGUGUUUCUAAGCUGAGAACUCUAUCCGUCUAAAUCCAACAUUGAAAUGUUGGAUUAGAAAGAUACAGAUGUUGUGGCGCACCUCUGUGCAAUUUAAGUUUAAGAGACCUCCAAAUUGGAGGUCUCUUAUGGCUUGUAUUUUUUCCUCUGGUAAACGGUUGCAGAGUUUCUUAAAUCGUGCAGUUGAGCAUCGUGUAAACAUUGAUGGGCCCUGCAUGCAAUGUUUGACAACAUGGCCAUGUUAGGAAUAGCAACAUCAUUGCAGUUGGUAAUGCAAAAAAUAAGUGAAAAAGUAAAGAUGUCAUUUCUCAUAGUUACAAAGACUUGUUUGCUUGUAUUUAGAAAUAAUAUACAGCAGGGUAAGACAUGAGAUGGGGUUAGGUGCUAUUGACAGUGAGAUAUCCUAUAAGAGAGAGGAUUGUUAGUUUAUGAAUAAGCUUAUAUAGAAUAGACAAUAACAGUAAAACUGUACAGAAUAGACUAUAAAAGUACAAAAAUAAAUAUGGGAAUAUUACAUGAUAUAUAAAAGAAGGAAAUCAAGUCAAUUUAUGGAAAUAAAUUGACUAAUUCUAUUAGAGAAAGAAACCAUAAACAAAUCAAUGAAUAAUCCUAUUUAAUUCCCAUUUAGAUUGUAAGACAACUUGAUAGAACCAAAAUCAUUGGUAAUGAAUUUGUGAUCUUCAACAACAAUGAACAAAUGGAGUAAACAGAAAAUGCUAUGGAAAAGUAGAUUUCUUUCAUUGCCUUAACAUGGUUACAAUAAAAUGCUUGAGAAGGUGGAAAUAAAAGCUCACUAACUCAAAGGCCUUUUCUUCGUAUUCCCUCGCACACACUAGGUUUUGUGUCAGGAAUAAUCUUUGCAAUAAUUGUAUUCCCCCAAGUGUUUUCCACUAUACCUAACAACAUACUGGUUGCUAAGGGCCUUGCAUUCAUGGAUGUGAGCAAGGAAAAAAACUUAAAGAGAUCUCUUUGUUUUCCCUGUUCUUUUCAUUCUUCUGGCUAUUUAAAAGGGGUCUAACCUGCUCCUUUUGAUACUUCUGACAGACACAAAAUCUUGAGGAACUACUAGAGCAAGCACUUUGCUAUUGCCAUUGAACAUGGACAAGGUUUGGAAUCCAAGCUUCCGUUGAGAGUAUUCCCACAUGGUAAUUACUAUCAUUGAAUAAUUGUACACUAUCUUCUAAUACCAUGAAUCAUGUGUUCGGCCGAAGUUAAUUCAUACCUAAGUUGUUAGCUGAGUGAGGAUCCAUGGGAAAAUAAAUGAAAACUAGGACUCUAAAUCUAAACUUCUGAAAGUUUUGAGGCUUGAAUCUGAUUCACUGGGCAUAAUAAUCUAAAAUUUGCAAAAUAGAGGAAGUGGUCAUUUCAAAUUAGGUACUGAUACAAUAUGAACUGCUACUACAUAAUUUUUUGUAGAAUAGUAAACAAAGAGUAUCUUUGCCCUUGAAAACAAGAAUAAAUAAGGUGAAUCCAUGAGUCUUGGAGAAUUAAAUGAAUGAAGAGGAGUUUGGAAACCAUAAACUCCAACUGGUAGAUGGCCAAUACAACAAGAACAUCAACUAAGGUAAUAAACAUCAAACAUAGUUUCAAGUAGAGGUUAUGACACUGCUUGUUACACUUGAAACUUCAUCAGCAGUUCUCCUUCAUUACCACAACAGUUUAACUAGCAUUAAGUUAUGUUUUAUGCCAAUGCAUCAGUCUUAAAACCAAAACAUAGUUCACAACAUACACUUAUAAUAUCCUGCUUAAUUACAAGUUUUUUGUUUGCCUAAGAAAUCAAAAUUUUAAUAUCAGGCAGGACUCGACUAGAGUUUCAACAGCUUGGUUGCAUACCCAUUUACAGAUGCCAAAUUAUUAGAUAUUUGAGAAUAUUCUGAGGCUUUAAUUUCAAGACUUAAACUUCAAGAAUUACAAAAAUCUUUAGAGAGAGAGGACUUAAUUAUUUGGACAAUAUUUACAACAACAAUAAUAAUCAUCAUCAUCAUGAAGAUUGAUGUUUCAGUUCUAAUGUUUCAGUCAGUUCAUGCACCAAAUCUUCUAUCAAUUUCACAUGGAGCCGACCUAUUCAUCCACAUUCACAUUUGGUUGAGCGAGAUAUUGGUCCAACACAUUAAAAUACUGCCCCAAAAGGAGAAUUUCUGCCUUAUCGCCCUGGAAUCCCAACUAUUUAAUUGAAUUUUUUUUGAGGUACAAGUCAAGAAAACUUCUGCAAGGGAUUACAAUCAUAUGUGCCAGAUUUUCACAGAGAGCACCAUUUCAUAUGUUUUAAAGGCUGGAUAUACAGUUGAGAGAAUUAGAGUGCGUUUGGAAAUGUUUUUUCUCGAAGUGUAAUUAAAUAAAAAGUUUUCCUUUCUCAUAGAUUAAAAACAUAAAAUAUGAAAUUUUUGAUAAAAUGGAAACCACUAUUUGGGGUGGGUAAGAAUAGCUAAGAGAUUGUAUGCAACAAAAAUCAUGAAGUUAGCUCAAAAUGGGAAUGAAAUUUUUAUUCCAUUAUAGAGUAUUAAGUGCAACCAAAUAUUGAAAUGAAUCUUUGUUAAGAUUUUCUAGAUACCAUUCCAUUCUUAGCAAAGGAACAGUCUUAUUAAUUCUAAAGUAAGUGUUAAGUACCUAAAGGAGAACAAAAAUAAUAUAAAAGAAAAAAAUUUUAAGAAAAUAAAUUGUAAACAUUUAUUUAUCUUCUUUUCCUUGAUUUUCUUAGCAAUCAAAUAAGAAAACAAUUUUAUAAAGUUAGAAAUAGAAAAUAUGAAAUUAAUAAAAUUGAAAACAUUAUUUAGAGGUGGAAUGAGAAAAACUUAGAGAUGUUGAUGAAAUAAAAAUAAUGAAUUAAAUUAACAUAAAAUUGGAAUGAAAUGUUCAUUGCAAUUCAACUUAUUAAAGUACAACAAAUAUUAGAAUGAAUAUUCAUUACCAUUCUAUAACUAGGAAACAAACACAAGACGAACUGAAUGCCUCAAGCAACAUCAACUAUCCAUUAGUUUGAUUUCCAGAAACUAGAAAUCCAAGAUUCACCUAGGAAAGUGUAAGAAGUGAUCUGAAGUAAAUAGAAAUCUUUAGUGCCAGUUAGAAAGUGAGGCUACUAGAUUAGCAGUAAUCUCUAUAUCUGAGCAGCUCUUGACAGUGAACCGAAGUUGAGCGUAAAAAAUAACUCUUGGUCCGUAUAGAAAAUCAAAUUUCAUUUUUUCACUCAAAUAAGCUAAACAAAGGCCAAAGAGGAAAAUAAACACAAUCAAAUUUCAUUCAUUUGGAGAUUUAAAAUUUGGGGAAAGAGACUCACUUCCUAGGGUUAUUUAUCAUUAGUCUCUGACAUGCAAUUUUGAUUCGAGUAUGGCAAGGAUUUCGGUGAGCGAGUUGGUUGUUCAUCAGCAAUCUAGUUGCUGACUCAGCUCCUAAGGUUUUAUGCCUUUGGAAGAAGAGUUCAAUGGCCAUCACUAGCAACGUCUCUCAACAUUGAGGGUUGAAAAGAGUGAAUAGAAGAAAAAUGUCAAACAAUUAGUAAGAAAACAAAAUCACAAGUCAUUUGAAGAUUCUCACCAGUGGGUUCUUAAUAGUUUAAAGUAAGGAAGUGGCUCUUAGUGGGUUAUUGGCUAAAACUGGGGCUACCUAGUAAAACCUGUUGAACCGAUUCCAAACCGGUUCAACCGAUUGAGAAAAAUUCUAAAAUUUAACAAAAGAUUCCUCGAAGAAUAAGGAAUCCAACAAAACAAAAAAAACAGCGCUCAAUUUCGAGCUUGGAUGAGGGAGAACCGGUCAAAACAAUGCAAUGUGUUUAUAAAACGGGGCUGCUUAGCAAAACCUGUUUAACCGGUUCCCAAACGGUCCAACCGAUUGAGAAAAAUUCUAAAAAUUUACCAGAAGAUUCCUCGAAGAAUAAAUAAUCCAACAAAAAAACGACACUCAAUUCUGAGCUCGAAUGAGGGAGAAUCGACUAAAACAAUGCAAUGUGUUUAUAAAACGAGGCUGCCUAGCAGAACCUAUUGAACUGGCUCCCAACCGAUUCAACUGAUUGAGAAAAUUUUUGAAACUUUACUAGAAGAUUCCUCGAAGAAUAAGGAAUCCAAAAAAAAAUGAAUCUCAAUUCCGAGCCUGGAUGGGGGAGAACCGGCCGAAACAAUGCAAUGUGUUUAUAAAAUGGGGUUGCCUAGCAGAACCUGCUGAAUCGGUUCCCAACCAGUACAAUCAAUUAAGAAAAAUUAUGAAACUUUACCAAUAGAUUCCUAAAAAGAAUAAGGAAUCCAACAAAAAAAACGACGCUCAAUUCCAAGCCCGGAUGAGGGAGAAUCGGCUGAAACAAUGCAAUGUGUUUAUAAAAUGGGGUUGCCUAGCAGAACCUAUUGAACCGGUUCCUAACCGGUACAACCGAUUGAGAAAAAUUCUGAAACUUUACAAGUAGAUUCUCAACCGACAAAACAGCCUCCAUACCAUACACUAAAGAGUAAGGUGUAGCUCCUAUGGAGGUGCGAAAAGAGGUACAGUAUGCCCACAAUGCAAAAGGAAGUUUCUCUGACUAAUCUCGAGAAGUUUCAGUCAUCAUCCUGAAAAUUCUCUUAAUAUUCUUAUUCGCAGCCUCUACUGCCCUGUUGGUCUGUGGCCUAUAUGCUGAAGAUCUAUGAUGUCGGAUGUCAUACUUUUGCAACAAAGUAUCUACCUCAACUGGGAAGUGCACCCCUCUAUCUGAAAUUAAUUCAUGGGGAACCCCAUAGCGGCAAAUGAUGUGUGACCUGAUGAAACUAGCAACCCUAGCAAAUGUCAAAGAAUAAGGAAUCCAAAAAAAAAAAAAAAAAAACGGCGCUCAAUUCCGAGCUCGGAUGAGGGAGAACCGGCCAAAACAAUGCAAUGUGUUCCUUGUAGAAGGCCAAACCCGAACCACCCAACCUUAUUAAAACUAAGGCCACGGAUCUCAUUAAACAACCAACAAUGCAGCCUCCCUGAACUCAAGAAACCCAACUGGAAAUUCAGCCACACAGACAUCCACAUGCGGCCACCUAAAUCUCCUGAAACCAAACUGAAAUUUCAUUCACUUGAAGCCUUCCACCUACAGCUACUUAAAUCCCAUGGAACAAACUGAAAUUUCAGCCUCCUAUAGCCUAUGAAUCCAGUUGAAAUUCAGCCACCUAUAGCCCCCUCUCCCCAAUACAACUACUGGAAUCACCAAGAAGCAAACCGAAAUUUCAGCCACAUGGGGCCUCUACAUAUAGCCACAAGACCCAGGGUUUAAGUCCAGAUUAUUGAUGGGUAGCCCCAAAUUUAAAAAACAGAGAAGGUCAUGGAGACCCUUUCUCAAUACAAAGCAAAGGAGGUUUCAAGAAAAACCAAGUGGCAGAAAUGCCCAUACCAACAUAGCCACCUGAAUCUAGCAUUUAAGAAGUUCCUCAAUCCAAAGCUACAAGGCCAUAAGAAUCCUUCCCUUAACAAUCAAAAGGUCACAAUGACCUUCAACCAAAACCAAAACUAAUGAAGGCAGUGACCCUAUUACUCACACAUCAAAAGUAGGUCACACACCCCCCAAUUCUUUAUCAGAACCAACCCAAAAUGAGACAUCCACAACUAACAUAAAAAAUGAAACAUGCAAUAGUUACAUAUCAAGAGCAUCCAUAAAGCUUACCAGAUUGUUCUCCCCUCAAGCAGAAAUUUGCUUGGCUUCAAGGCCGUCUUUCCUUCAAGUUCUCACCAAUCAAGAGCUCCUUACUCUCUUCCCUCUUUGCUCACUUCACGUGCACCCAAAACUUUCUUAAAUGCUCAAAACCUUCUCCACACUCUGUUCUUUUCCCUCACCAAACUUGGACAAAGUUUUGUCCCUUAGAAAAAAAUGCAAAGGAAAAGGUCCUUCUCUAUUUCCAUUUUGCCUUUUUAUACCAGAACCCCUGCUCCUCCCACUUCCACCUUCGUUUUUCCCUCUUUUAGCUCUGGAAAGUGCCCCCAUCAACCUCGGAAUCCAUCUCCAUAAACACUCCUCACAGUCACGAGGUGAGCUGUUCUCUCCACAUUUACUCCAUUGCUUCACCACCAAGAAUCCAUAUGGAUUCAUGGUGGGCUAUAAGGAACCUAAACCAAGGCUCAAAAUGGACCCAAAAUAUUUCCCAAGACCGAUUUGGAGCUUAUGGGCCCUAGUCAUGUAGGAUUUGGGCCCCAAAAUCAGUGCUCUAUACAAGUUGGCCCAACGAAUUGGUUGAACCAGUUGAUAAAAAAAUUGAAAUUUUGACAGAAUAUUCCUUGAAGAACAAGGAGUCCAUAAAAAAAAUGGUGUGUGAUUCUGAGUUCGGAUGAGGAAGAUAUGAUCGAAACAAGCUCAAGUGCUCCGUAUUCGAACCUGCUCCUAUGAACUCUGGCUAAACUAAAGAUUUGGGGAGAUCUCACUUCCUUCUUUUAGCAUGAUGUGAAAAACUAAGGAAUUGGUCAUGACAACACUCCAAAAUGAACUACACACUCACACUACAUUGGANNNNNNNNNNNNNNNNNNNNNNNNNNNNNNNNNNNNNNNNNNNNNNNNNNNNNNNNNNNNNNNNNNNNNNNNNNNNNNNNNNNNNNNNNNNNNNNNNNNNUGACAACACUCCAAAAUGAACUACACACUCACACUACAUUGGACCGCAGAUGAACCUACACAAGGCUCGAAAAUCGAUCAAGCCCAAAAGGGGGUCAUGGUGGUGCCAUAAGGAAAAAAUUGGGUGCAUGUGACAUCCCUAAGAUAAAUGCAAGUGUCGAAGGACAAAAUUGAGGGUCUACAGUAUUACAUUUUUCAAAGAGAUUAUGGAUGUCAUGGAAAACUCUUUAAAGAUCUCAAAUUUAUCAAAUAAUCAAUGGCUCGAUGAUAAUACACUGUUGUUGAUUCCAAGAUUUUCAAAUCCGAGUGGGCUGAUGGUGACUCACAAAACUGUUCUUCAAUUCUGUGGUUCAAAUUAGUGGACUUCUUUAAACCACCUUUCAAAUUGGACAGUUGCAUAGAGGACAAAACUGCUUUUGAUGGAUUUAAAGCUCUUCAAAUCCAUGAACUUCAAAGGUUUUUAGAUUCGUCCUCAAAGCCUAUAUAAGGCCCCUAUUUCUCUUUAGAAGGCAUCAACAUUUUAGUAGGAAAAUUGAGAGCAAACAAGUGAGAUAUCCUCUUGAGUGAAUGACCUUGUAAUUGAGAAAACUCAAAACUCUCAAAGUGUUUGUAAGGCAAUGUUUGGGCCUCAAAUGAAAUGGUAGCAAGGGAGAAAAUCAGGAAAGAGAAAAACAACCAAUGUCUAGGGCUAAAACCAAAUGCUUUGGAGGUAGUAAAAUUAGGGUAGGAUACGUGGAAUUCCAACUUAGAUUUUUGUGAUUUUGUUUUUUCAUAAUCAGUAAAGGCCAUUUUCGAAAAUAUUAAAAAUUCAUAUUCUUCUUCUCAAUUUUGACACUUCCUUUAGGUCUUAGGCUUAAAUGACGAGAACUUAUAUGGACCAAAGAUUAAUUUUUGGGCCUAGCUGGAUCCAAAACACAAUUCUCCCUAUAUUAUGUACACCUGAAACAUUUUUCAAAUUAAUUUUAUGAACUAAUUUUGAAAUAUAUCUUCAUAGCAUCUACACAAAGCAUAUAUAUUGUGUAUGUACUAUUAAUAAAAAUUUGUUUACAUGAAAUUAAAAAUAAUCAUGUUUUAAAAUAAAUAAAAAAAUUAUAUAUGAAAACCUAAGAAUAUACUAUUAUUUCAAUAGAGAUAAAAUUGUUAAAAUACUAAUAAAUUAAAUAUCUUAAAUUGAUAAAUUAUAUGAAUAAAUAAGAAAAGAAAAAAAAAAUAUAAAAAAACAACAUGCAAACAUGUGAAACUAAAAAGUUCAAAGGCAUGAAAUUCAAUAUGGCAAAAAUUCAAAAAAAUGGAACCACAUUUGCAUUUUUAACUUCAUACAUUUACAUUUAUUUUAUUUUAUUUUAAGUUUGUCUUAUUUAUAUGUUAUACAACUCUAUUAUUUUUAAAUUAUUAAUUUAUUGAUAAAUAAAAUAGUAAUUAUUAUUAUUAUCAAUUUAUUUUUGUUUAAGUAAUACUAGAUCCUUAAGUUUACAUGUAUAAUAUUUUUAUCAUUAAAGUAUAUAUUUUUAAUUUCAAUAAUAAUUUUUAAAAGCACUGAAACUUCAAUAGUGAAGUCUUAUUUGGCAAUUACAACAUUAUAAAAAUGAAUUCACAUCUGGCAAUUGAGGUUUUAACUUAAAUUUUUUUUAUAAAAAUGAUAACAUGGGUCCUCCAUGUCAACAAAAGGGGCAUUUUAGACAAAAGUUUAGGAAAGUGGUUAAAAUAAAAUUUUCCCCAUAAUAGGGCUAUUUUGGCCCAAAACACUUCAGAAAAAAAAAAAAAACUCCUAAAGUUUUUGUUCCUUUCUCAUUCUCAUUAAUGUCUAAUAUUGGAGCGAAAACAAAUGAUUAUUAAAACCUUAUAGUCCUAGGUACAUUCAAGCACAAGAAUCAAAAUCAUCAAAUCCAUUCCUAUUAAAAAAAAAUUGGGAUGAAAACAUAAUAUUGAUUCUCUUUCCCCAUUUUUAUGUACCAAACAUGGCCUAAACAUGUGAGAUAAAGAAAAUGAUCAAGCUUCUUUAUUAUACAUGCUUUCUUAAAAGAAAAAAAAAAAGUAGGCAUUAAUUUUAUGCAUUGGUAAUGAUCAAAUUGAACCUAAAUAAAUCAAGUUUUAGGCAAACAUCUAAAUAAACUUGACUUUAUUAGCACAAACAUGAAAAUAUUUAAUAUGGGUUUAUAUAUCCAUGUGUAACAUGAUUGAAUUCUAUUCAAAUGUGUAAAAAUAAAUAAUUAAAUAAUUACAUACCUUUUUUUCCGACUUUGCUCAUGCCAUUAAGAUUUUUCACCCACGAAAAACAACCUAUAUUACAAAAAAUGAAACAAGAUGAGCAACAUUUUUAAUGCUAAAGCAAAUGUUAAAAUUAUAAAAUUAUUAUCAUUGGACACAUACUUUUUUAAACAUAUGAGCAAGCUAAUUGAAAAUAAUAAAUAUAAAAAACAAAGAUUUUUUAUAAUGCUUAUAAAUAAGUUAAAACAACAAAUAAAAAAAAUAUUAAUAUACUAAAAAAUCCAAGUUUAUGAAAGGUAUUAAGAAUCCAGUGUAUAAGUUGAACAAUUAAAUAGGAAUUUAAAAUUAAAAUAUUAUACCUUAAAUUGGAAAUAGCUAGAUACUUGGUGUUUAUCAGAAUCUUAUCUCUACCCUAUACAGAUCAUAAACAAAUUAAAGAAAAAAAAUAAAAUUAGAAGGAAAAAUAUACUAUAAGGCAUAUUUAUUUCGAGCCCAUCGAAAUACUGAGAGCAACCACUUUACAAAAUUGUAUUCAUGUCAUGUAACUCACUGUUUUUUCUCAAAAAAAGUUUUUUUUUUUUAUGAAAAAAAAAAAAAACAUACCUAAACUGUUGAUUGUCUUGAAGUAAUUCAAAGAAUAGCCCUCGAUGUAUCAUAAAUUCACAUUAAACCACAAAAUCAAAAGAUUGUAAAGCUAAGAAUAUAUAUACCUCCAGGGGAAGGAGCCAUUGAUGUUGAAAGCUUGUUCUUCAAAAGAGCUUUAAGAUGUGAUUGUAAAGCUAAGAAUAUAAAUUCACACUAAACGACCUUUCUCUGCAUCCAAUGUUUUGAUCCCCUCUCAAACAUUAACGCUAACCACUACCUCGGUAUAUGCUUCGGAUUUUUUCCAAGAAAGAAUGAAAGAGAGAUGCUUCUGAGAGGAGAGAGAGAGGACACAUUUGUAAAGUGGACGUAAUACAACCUCUACCAUUAUGGGAAAUGACACAUUUGUAGUAUCGGGGUUUGUGGUAUUGGAACUUUCAGAUAAGGAAUUUGAAAAUUUUUAAAUAUAUAAUUAAAAAAAAAAUAGUCGAAUAAGAAAGUCCUUUCAAUAUGAUCUUUAUGAAUAAUAAAGAAAUGUUUGCAUGAAGAUCAACUCAAUAUGAUCCGUAUGUUCUAAUUAAUUUUCUUUUUCUUUUUUUUUUUUCAUAUUAAUUUUAUUAUUAAUUCUACCACCAAUCCUGAGAAGAUCAAAAUUAAUUCCUACAAGCCUAAAUCAUUGAAAGACCUUUUCUCGAGAAAAGAGAGUUCAGAGAUAUUUAUGAACCGAGAGUGGAUACAGAAGACCCUUAUUGAAUGUAGGGUUUCUUUGAAAAGAGACGAAGUCGGUCAACAUCUCUGAAAAGUCUGAAUGGAGAGGACUCUGAGUUGAGUUGAUGGGGCAGCGGACCAGUUUAUUGGGACUUUAACAGAGAUAUUUUCUCUCUAUGACGCUGCCCUUUGAGCUGUCUCCACUUGCAACUUUUCUUUUGUACCAGACCAUCCUAACAAACAAAAAUUUAAAUUUAUAAAAUAUAACUAUUUAAAAUUAAUUAAUAAUUUACAUUUUUUAAUUAAAAUUACUACUUUUAAUGUUUAAUAACAGUUUUUUAAUGAUAUAAGUAUUAUUUUUUAUUAUAAUAAAUACUAUUUUUAAUUGAGGAGUAUAUAAAAUUUGAAUUAUUUAAAAAAAUUUUCUAUUUUAUAAAUAUUUUUAUAUAAAUACAUCAAAACUUUUUUUUAUUUUUUCAAAUGAAUAUAUAUACAUAUAUAUAUAUAUUUUUUAUUUUUUCAAAUGAAUAUAUAUACAUAUAUAUAUAUAUAUAUAUAUAUAUAUAUAUAUAUAUAUAUAUAUAUAUAUAUAUAUAAUUGAUUCUUUAAAAUAUUUUAGACAUUUUAAAAUUUUAUCCAAUUCCUUUUUAUAAAAAACCAUUUUUUAACAUUGAGGUCAUUUCCAAAACUACCCUCAAAUGUUAUUUCAUAUGUAAAACCAAUUCAAUCUUAUUUUAUGUAUUAAUUUUAUUUUAUGAGUUCAAAUAAUAAUAGCAUAAUAAUAUAUAUUAAGCUACAAUACUAAAAUAUUUUAAUUAACAUUAAUAUUUUAACAUUUUGGAUUGGAAAUGCUCUAAUGAAAGAUAUUUUGCUGCCCAUUGCAUUAAAACAAGCAUUUGACAAAACAUUUUAUCUUACAUAUUGGCACAACAAAAUUUCAUUAUAAAUCUACAAAAUAAUCCAUCACAAUGAAUAUGCAAACAUUUUCACCAUGAUUUCCAACCAUGUUUCCCUAUGAUCACUACUAUUUACGAGGAAAGAUUUAAAACUUGUUUGUCAAAAUUGAUUUAUUAAUUAUAGUUUUAAUUAAUAAUUAAUCAAUUAUUAAUUUAUUUUUUUUGUUAUAAAAAUUAUACUUCAAGGAUUUUAUUACAUGUUCAUGGUUUUACACUAUUCUAAAUAAAUCAAAAUUUAGGUAAAAUAAAUUCAUUUUUCUUAAGAUUUAAAUUAAAUACAAAUGCAGCUUAAAAUUCCACCCAUUACCUCCCUUAAAAUACUAUAACUAUUCAAGUUAUACACUACAAUCAAACAUAUUACAAAAAAAAAAAAAAAUCAUUAGUCAGAUUAAUUCAAGAGGUAGUGUAAAGCAUAGUAUGUUAAUUUUGACCAAGUGUUGCAUCCAAUUCUUAUACAAAAGUCUAUAUAUUACAAGAAAUUAAAGUGAGAAAAGGAUUAAAAGUUUAAAAACAUGGGAAUGAUAAACCCCAAGUAAAUAUCUAUUUGAAACCUUGUCAAAAUUUGCCUCAAGUUGACUUUUGAAUUAACUUUACUAUUAUAAUCACUACUACAAAAAUAAUAUAUGAUGUUACUAUUUAUGGUGUCGCAUUUAAAAUAAUGACACCAUUGAACUUAAAAUUUAUAAAGGUGACACAUCAUAUAAAAAAUCUUCAAUUAGGAUAGUUAGAUGAUGCUAAUUUCAGAUUUACGGUGUCAUUUUUUGGAAGUGACACCAUAUGAAAUAAAAAGUUUUAAAUUUUAUAACUCAAUGGGCCCUUUUUAAAAAUAGUGAGUAGGAACAAUUUAUGAAAAGUCCAUUGUUUCCAUAUAUACAUUAACUAAUAUAAAAGAUCUUGUUGCUUAACCCUAACCAUCGUUUUCUUCUCUUUCUUCUCACACCCAUGGUCGGCACACCCAUAAUUGAUAUUCUUUGCUUCGUAAAAUCUCGUGUAAGUCAAAUCUCUUAUCUAUCAUCUUCAUUUUUUUUUAUUAAUGCAAAAACUUUGUAGUAUAANNNNNNNNNNNNNNNNNNNNNNNNNNNNNNNNNNNNNNNNNNNNNNNNNNNNNNNNNNNNNNNNNNNNNNNNNNNNNNNNNNNNNNNNNNNNNNNNNNNNNNNNNNNNNNNNNNNNNNNNNNNNNNNNNNNNNNNNNNNNNNNNNNNNNNNNNNNNNNNNNNNNNNNNNNNNNNNNNNNNNNNNNNNNNNNNNNNNNNNNNNNNNNNNNNNNNNNNNNNNNNNNNNNNNNNNNNNNNNNNNNNNNNNNNNNNNNNNNNNNNNNNNNNNNNNNNNNNNNNNNNNNNNNNNNNNNNNNNNNNNNNNNNNNNNNNNNNNNNNNNNNNNNNNNNNNNNNNNNNNNNNNNNNNNNNNNNNNNNNNNNNNNNNNNNNNNNNNNNNNNNNNNNNNNNNNNNNNNNNNNNNNNNNNNNNNNNNNNNNNNNNNNNNNNNNNNNNNNNNNNNNNNNNNNNNNNNNNNNNNNNNNNNNNNNNNNNNNNNNNNNNNNNNNNNNNNNNNNNNNNNNNNNNNNNNNNNNNNNNNNNNNNNNNNNNNNNNNNNNNNNNNNNNNNNNNNNNNNNNNNNNNNNNNNNNNNNNNNNNNNNNNNNNNNNNNNNNNNNNNNNNNNNNNNNNNNNNNNNNNNNNNNNNNNNNNNNNNNNNNNNNNNNNNNNNNNNNNNNNNNNNNNNNNNNNNNNNNNNNNNNNNNNNNNNNNNNNNNNNNNNNNNNNNNNNNNNNNNNNNNNNNNNNNNNNNNNNNNNNNNNNNNNNNNNNNNNNNNNNNNNNNNNNNNNNNNNNNNNNNNNNNNNNNNNNNNNNNNNNNNNNNNNNNNNNNNNNNNNNNNNNNNNNNNNNNNNNNNNNNNNNNNNNNNNNNNNNNNNNNNNNNNNNNNNNNNNNNNNNNNNNNNNNNNNNNNNNNNNNNNNNNNNNNNNNNNNNNNNNNNNNNNNNNNNNNNNNNNNNNNNNNNNNNNNNNNNNNNNNNNNNNNNNNNNNNNNNNNNNNNNNNNNNNNNNNNNNNNNNNNNNNNNNNNNNNNNNNNNNNNNNNNNNNNNNNNNNNNNNNNNNNNNNNNNNNNNNNNNNNNNNNNNNNNNNNNNNNNNNNNNNNNNNNNNNNNNNNNNNNNNNNNNNNNNNNNNNNNNNNNNNNNNNNNNNNNNNNNNNNNNNNNNNNNNNNNNNNNNNNNNNNNNNNNNNNNNNNNNNNNNNNNNNNNNNNNNNNNNNNNNNNNNNNNNNNNNNNNNNNNNNNNNNNNNNNNNNNNNNNNNNNNNNNNNNNNNNNNNNNNNNNNNNNNNNNNNNNNNNNNNNNNNNNNNNNNNNNNNNNNNNNNNNNNNNNNNNNNNNNNNNNNNNNNNNNNNNNNNNNNNNNNNNNNNNNNNNNNNNNNNNNNNNNNNNNNNNNNNNNNNNNNNNNNNNNNNNNNNNNNNNNNNNNNNNNNNNNNNNNNNNNNNNNNNNNNNNNNNNNNNNNNNNNNNNNNNNNNNNNNNNNNNNNNNNNNNNNNNNNNNNNNNNNNNNNNNNNNNNNNNNNNNNNNNNNNNNNNNNNNNNNNNNNNNNNNNNNNNNNNNNNNNNNNNNNNNNNNNNNNNNNNNNNNNNNNNNNNNNNNNNNNNNNNNNNNNNNNNNNNNNNNNNNNNNNNNNNNNNNNNNNNNNNNNNNNNNNNNNNNNNNNNNNNNNNNNNNNNNNNNNNNNNNNNNNNNNNNNNNNNNNNNNNNNNNNNNNNNNNNNNNNNNNNNNNNNNNNNNNNNNNNNNNNNNNNNNNNNNNNNNNNNNNNNNNNNNNNNNNNNNNNNNNNNNNNNNNNNNNNNNNNNNNNNNNNNNNNNNNNNNNNNNNNNNNNNNNNNNNNNNNNNNNNNNNNNNNNNNNNNNNNNNNNNNNNNNNNNNNNNNNNNNNNNNNNNNNNNNNNNNNNNNNNNNNNNNNNNNNNNNNNNNNNNNNNNNNNNNNNNNNNNNNNNNNNNNNNNNNNNNNNNNNNNNNNNNNNNNNNNNNNNNNNNNNNNNNNNNNNNNNNNNNNNNNNNNNNNNNNNNNNNNNNNNNNNNNNNNNNNNNNNNNNNNNNNNNNNNNNNNNNNNNNNNNNNNNNNNNNNNNNNNNNNNNNNNNNNNNNNNNNNNNNNNNNNNNNNNNNNNNNNNNNNNNNNNNNNNNNNNNNNNNNNNNNNNNNNNNNNNNNNNNNNNNNNNNNNNNNNNNNNNNNNNNNNNNNNNNNNNNNNNNNNNNNNNNNNNNNNNNNNNNNNNNNNNNNNNNNNNNNNNNNNNNNNNNNNNNNNNNNNNNNNNNNNNNNNNNNNNNNNNNNNNNNNNNNNNNNNNNNNNNNNNNNNNNNNNNNNNNNNNNNNNNNNNNNNNNNNNNNNNNNNNNNNNNNNNNNNNNNNNNNNNNNNNNNNNNNNNNNNNNNNNNNNNNNNNNNNNNNNNNNNNNNNNNNNNNNNNNNNNNNNNNNNNNNNNNNNNNNNNNNNNNNNNNNNNNNNNNNNNNNNNNNNNNNNNNNNNNNNNNNNNNNNNNNNNNNNNNNNNNNNNNNNNNNNNNNNNNNNNNNNNNNNNNNNNNNNNNNNNNNNNNNNNNNNNNNNNNNNNNNNNNNNNNNNNNNNNNNNNNNNNNNNNNNNNNNNNNNNNNNNNNNNNNNNNNNNNNNNNNNNNNNNNNNNNNNNNNNNNNNNNNNNNNNNNNNNNNNNNNNNNNNNNNNNNNNNNNNNNNNNNNNNNNNNNNNNNNNNNNNNNNNNNNNNNNNNNNNNNNNNNNNNNNNNNNNNNNNNNNNNNNNNNNNNNNNNNNNNNNNNNNNNNNNNNNNNNNNNNNNNNNNNNNNNNNNNNNNNNNNNNNNNNNNNNNNNNNNNNNNNNNNNNNNNNNNNNNNNNNNNNNNNNNNNNNNNNNNNNNNNNNNNNNNNNNNNNNNNNNNNNNNNNNNNNNNNNNNNNNNNNNNNNNNNNNNNNNNNNNNNNNNNNNNNNNNNNNNNNNNNNNNNNNNNNNNNNNNNNNNNNNNNNNNNNNNNNNNNNNNNNNNNNNNNNNNNNNNNNNNNNNNNNNNNNNNNNNNNNNNNNNNNNNNNNNNNNNNNNNNNNNNNNNNNNNNNNNNNNNNNNNNNNNNNNNNNNNNNNNNNNNNNNNNNNNNNNNNNNNNNNNNNNNNNNNNNNNNNNNNNNNNNNNNNNNNNNNNNNNNNNNNNNNNNNNNNNNNNNNNNNNNNNNNNNNNNNNNNNNNNNNNNNNNNNNNNNNNNNNNNNNNNNNNNNNNNNNNNNNNNNNNNNNNNNNNNNNNNNNNNNNNNNNNNNNNNNNNNNNNNNNNNNNNNNNNNNNNNNNNNNNNNNNNNNNNNNNNNNNNNNNNNNNNNNNNNNNNNNNNNNNNNNNNNNNNNNNNNNNNNNNNNNNNNNNNNNNNNNNNNNNNNNNNNNNNNNNNNNNNNNNNNNNNNNNNNNNNNNNNNNNNNNNNNNNNNNNNNNNNNNNNNNNNNNNNNNNNNNNNNNNNNNNNNNNNNNNNNNNNNNNNNNNNNNNNNNNNNNNNNNNNNNNNNNNNNNNNNNNNNNNNNNNNNNNNNNNNNNNNNNNNNNNNNNNNNNNNNNNNNNNNNNNNNNNNNNNNNNNNNNNNNNNNNNNNNNNNNNNNNNNNNNNNNNNNNNNNNNNNNNNNNNNNNNNNNNNNNNNNNNNNNNNNNNNNNNNNNNNNNNNNNNNNNNNNNNNNNNNNNNNNNNNNNNNNNNNNNNNNNNNNNNNNNNNNNNNNNNNNNNNNNNNNNNNNNNNNNNNNNNNNNNNNNNNNNNNNNNNNNNNNNNNNNNNNNNNNNNNNNNNNNNNNNNNNNNNNNNNNNNNNNNNNNNNNNNNNNNNNNNNNNNNNNNNNNNNNNNNNNNNNNNNNNNNNNNNNNNNNNNNNNNNNNNNNNNNNNNNNNNNNNNNNNNNNNNNNNNNNNNNNNNNNNNNNNNNNNNNNNNNNNNNNNNNNNNNNNNNNNNNNNNNNNNNNNNNNNNNNNNNNNNNNNNNNNNNNNNNNNNNNNNNNNNNNNNNNNNNNNNNNNNNNNNNNNNNNNNUUGAUAUACAAAUAUUAUUGGAUGAUGUAAUAUGUUACAAAUUAAUUCAUAAGCAUUAUGAAAAUAUAAGUUAAAUGUAAUAUGAUUAUUAUAUUUAUGGACAAUUUACACAGGUUAGUCUUAUUUAUUAAUAAGCAUUACAAAAAUCUACAAACUAAUCAACAAAAAACAACCAUAUCUUCCAUAAUCAUUUACAAUGAUGUGACACCAUAAAUUAAAGGUGAUACAUUUAACGUGACACCAUAACUCAAAGAUGAUGCAUUUAAUAUGACACCUUAUAUAUUUCAUACAACUCUAUAUCAAAUUAAGCAUCACUAAAAAUAUAUGGUGUCUCUUCUAAAUGUGUCACCAUUUAUUUGCUUUGGUGUUGCUUCCAAAUACAUCACCAAUUGAUACCCUCUAUGGUGUCAGUGGAUAAGGUGACGCUAUGUUGUAGUGACACCCUAUGUUUAUAGUGACUUAUUAUAAAUGUCACCAUAUAUCUUUUUCCUUGUAGUGAAUGGAAGUAUAAAUUUUAAAAGGAUUCUCUGUGAUUAUAGGAUUUAAUUCUAAUACUCUUAUACGUAGCCAAGGGUCAUUGGACUCAUGGCAGCACACAAACAUAUCCCCUUGUAUCUAUGGAAAUUGACAUGCAAAAUACAAAUAUUUCCUCUUACAUCCCUAUUGUGUUAUAGCAUGAGUAUGAAUGUGUAUUGUCAUCUUAAGCAAACUAAUGUUGUUGCCAAUUUUUCUUGGACGCUUUUUUUAAAAAUAAAAAUAAAAUAAUGUAAGGCUAUAUAGCAGAUUCAAUUGAUAUUUUUUUCAUCUUGUCCUACAUAUGAAAAUUACAAGUAGUUCAAGAAUCCUUGUUGAAUGAAAUUGACUGAAAACAAAUCUUAUUUAUGUAAAUUCUCAAAUACUUACAACAAGAAGCCCAAACCCCCACCCCAUCUUCAUGAACUUCAUAACAAAAUACUAUAAUCCUCCCUAUGAAAUAGAACUAAUUAAUUUAAUAUCAAUAAAUCCAAAUUGCUUUCAACAUCAGGCACAAGGAGGGAUUUGAAAGUUUGUGGUUUUAUACAAUAGAACCAUCUAGAGGGAGGUUGAAUAGAUAAUCUUUUAUUAUUAGCUCAAAAACUUCAAUUUUUAUUUUAUUGUAUUGAGUUAUAUAAUUGUUAAUGUUUAAACAUCUUAUAUCGUAAAACUACUUGGAGGUGAUUUAGUGUCUUUAUGUAUUGGCAAUUCUAGGUUGAAAUUUUCAUUGUAUUCGCCUAACUCAGUUACUUCAAAUCCUUCUUCAAACUCUUGUCAUUCCUAAAUUGCUCAUAAUUGAAGAUUGUUAAAGGAGAUAGUUGGUGUUCUUGAGGCAAUUGAUGAUAUUAAACAUUGAUCAACCGAGUUUUAAACUUUUAUUCUUUUGCUGAAAAUUGGAGUUGAAGUUUAAGGAUAUCAAAUUUUGUAUUUAAAUUAUUUGGAUCAAUUACUAAUUGAUCAUGCUAAAAGGUAACAAUUUAUGUUGUAACAUGAAUUUUACAAUCUCAUCUUAUCUAUUAGAAUUUGAUCAAAUCUAUAAAAUCUUUAUUUUUUCCAAACAAAUCUGAGUUAUUAGAUGGAGAUUAAAACCUUAGUAUUUAAGCCCCUUUUUUUUAGAAAAGGCUUUAACAAUUGUAAGAGCUAGGUGGCUUUCUUGAGCUUCAAAUUCUUUAUCUAUUUUGGGAUGUUUGGUUUGAUUUUUUUUUUUAUUUUUUUUUUAUGGGUUUUAAGUUAAAAAUCUUUCAAAAUGAGUUGAUUCAAUAUAGGUUUCAUUCACACUCUUGCAUUUGUCAUCUUUAGGAUAAAAUCUAAAUUUCUUCUUAUGUAGGUUCAAGAAAAGGUCGAAAGUUUGGUGUGAACUUUAAGUAUGCUUUAAAAGAAGAAAGUGGGUAACUUAAGUUUGAAGGUACUAGGCAAACAAUUCCAAAGAGGAUUGAAGGUUUGAGUUAAGUAAAUCCUUGUAUUCAGUUUUUUUUUUCAUAGUGUUUGUUUUUUUUUAUCAUCUAUAGGCCUGUGAUAGUUUACCUAUUCAAAGGUUUUGUAUAUUAAAUCUUGUUGUUAUUAUCUCUUUAUUUCUAUCUUAUAUUUUCAUUAGUCUAUGUUGUGUCUAUGAAAGUUCCAUUGAUUUGUUAUAUAUGUUGGUUGAUUGAGAAAAUGAACUAAAAAAUGAUCAUUUAACCUUUGGCAUAGUAUGAAAUAAUUUAUGAUUUAGUAUUAAUGAGAAUUAAAACUUUGUAAAUUAUCAAAACUAUGUAGAUUUGAGCUCAGAUGUUGAAGCAUCUCUUAAAGGCAGUUGAGGUGCUCUCAACACUUGACUAUCACUUGAGCAUCUUUUUAAGACUCUAGGGUAUGCUUGAAGCUCAACUUCAAAAUUUUAUUUUUUGAUUAAAAUAAACACCUACUUUUUCAAUUUUCAUAUUGUCUACUUCAUGUAUUCUUAAAUCAUCAUUAUCCUUUUUGUAACUCCCAAUAUUUAUUAGCAUCUUUCUGAGUUGAUUCUACAACAAUCUUGCAUCUUCAAAAGAAGUGGAAGUCAAUGGAACCAAAUUGUCAACCUAAUCUAAAUAGAUUAAUGUACCAUCACUUUAAUUAGGAUAUAAUUAAUCAAUUAAAAAAAUAGCAUUUAAUCAUAUAAAGAAAUAUAUGAUUUAUGUGAAAAAACCACCAAUAAAGCAUCCUAGAGACCUUACAUAUAUAAAAGUCAUAGGGUUCAUAGAUUGUCAAGUUAAAUUCACUAAAUAUGAAGAAUAAGUACAUAGAUUUAGCUAGUAAUUAUUACUCUCCCUCAAACUUAUAUUGGUAGUCACCAAUUCUCAAUUCCAUAACAUAGUUACUUCCAUGCUGCUUAGUGGAUUGCUCAUGACCUUAAGGGAAUGUGAUAGACAAUGUGAACUAAAAACAAGGCAAGCUCAUUAAGAUGUUCCUUUUUAAUGCAUAAGGUGUGCAAUAAAAUGAGAUCGAGAAUCCUAUGCUUUGAGAGAAGGAUACUACAGUAAAAAAUGGUACCCAAAUACUAUUGAAUGACAACAUAGCUCUUGUUGCUCCUUUAUUUUUAUUUAUUUUAUUUUUUUAUUUUUGUAAUUAUCUCUUUUUUUGUUUUGAUAUCAACAUUAGAAAUAUAGAAGUCCAGAAAUUUUUUUUAGUGCUUGCAUAUUGAAGGUUCAUGCUAUAAGAGUUGGAAAAACUUGAAUAGAAACUCCCUUGAAUGAUGUAUCAAAGCUCAAUGUAUCAAUGUUAACAUAAACAUUUGAGUAGAGUAGGAUAACAUUUCUAUGUCAUAUGAAGAAAUAUACUAAAAGGGAACCAUGAAUACGAUUGGAGAAAUAUAUAUUAUAAUUUAGAGGAUUAUUAUGGUCUAUUGGUCAUAUUCAAAUGGAAGUAAUAUGGUAAUCAAUAUUUCCAUGUCAUUUGAAGAAACAUAAUAAGAGGGAACCAUGCAUGGAUAUGAUUUGAGAAAUAUAUAUUAUAAUUUAGAGGAUUACUACCUUAUAUUGGUUAUAUUCAAAUGAAAGUAAUAUGGUAAUCAAUAUGUAAUCGGUAAGAAAAUAGGUUAUGAACAAGUCAUAUUAUAACUACCUCAAAAAUCAAUAAUACAAGGAUGAAAGAGGUAUACUGAGGAAGGGUCACACCUAAAGGAUCACUUUAUUAGCACAAGUAGGAAAAUGUUAACAUAGGGUUAUGCAUUUAAGUGUAACAUGAUUGAAUUUUAUUACAAUGUCUAAAAUUUAAAUAAUUGCAUACCUCUUUUCUGAUUUUGCUCAUGCCAUUAAGAUUUUUUAUCCACAAGAAACAACCUAUAUUACAAAAAAUGGAAAAAUUAUUUUAGAAUAGUAAGAAAUUUAGGGUUCUUAUAAAUAAAAAAGAAUAUAAUUUUUUAAUACUUAAAAAAAAAAUUCCAAAGGUAAGAAUCUAAAAGCCUAUUUGAUUGUGUGAUUUAAAAACAAUUUUCUGUUUUUAAAAAUAGAAAAUUGUUUUUAAAAAUUUCUAAUUAACAUUGUUGGGUUGUCAUUCUCUAAAAACAAUUUUUAAAAACAAAGUGAAAUAGAUAAUAAUUUUUAGAGAAUAAAUAUGAAUUGUUUUCACUAGUUUUUACAAAUAAAAGAAAAAUGUGGAUUCAUUUGGGUUAUGUUUUUUUAAACUUGUUUUUUAUUCUUCAACUUAAAAAUAAUUUUUAAAAACAAAUUUAAGAAAAUAUGGCCAAAAAAACCCUAAAUGUUUACAGUAAUUUUCUAAUUUUUCAUCUCAUAAGCAAUCAAACUCUAACAUCUCACUAUUAACGUAUUAGAAAUGCAUUAUCAACUUUUUAAGUGAUACAACAUUUUGCAUAUUAAAGGGAAUGUAUAAUUAUAAAAUUAUUUUCAUAGGACAAAUACCUUUUUAAACAUAUGAGCAACCUAAUUCUGAAAAAGAGAAAAAAAGAAUGAUAAAGAGCACAAUAUUUUUUUUUUGUAUAGUGCUUAAAAAUUAGUUAAAACAACAAAUAAAAAAUAUUAAUUUACUGAAAGAUCUAAGUUUUUGAAACAUAUUAAGAAUCCAUUGUGUAAGUUGAACAAUUAAACAAGAAUUCAAAAUUAUCCUAUUGUAUUUUAAACUGGAAGUAGCUAGAUACUCACGAGGUUUAUCAAAAUCUUGUCUCUAUUCUCCAUAGAUCAUAAAUAAGUUAAAGAAAAAAUAAAACCAAGAAGAAAAAAAUACUAUAAGAUAUAUUUAUUCCAAGCUCGUCGAAAUACUGAGAGCACCCAUUUACAAAAUUGUAUUCCCGUCAUGUAACAAUUGAAUCCAACUCAUGUGACUCAUUGUUUUUUUUUUCUCAAAAACAAGUUUUUUUAAUUGCAAAAGAAAAAAGACUUAUCUGUUGAUGGUCUUGAAGUAAUUCAAAGGAUAGCCCUCAGAGGUAGGUACCAAAAACCACAAUAUCAAAAGAUGGUAAAACUAAUAAUAUAUGAAGAGUCGGUACAUUAAGUGAGAUUUUUUUAUAAGAGUACUGUAGUUUUAGAAAAUAAUUCUCAAACUACCGUAGUAGGAAAAAUAAUUCCAAAUCCACCGUAAUUUUUGUCAGGUAUGAAAGAUGAAUUUUUUUUUUAAAUCGUCUCUUCAAAAUACUAUUUAUAACAUUUUAAAAAAAAAUUUUAAAUCAUCUUUCUAAAAUAUGAGAAAUUGUCUCUUGAAAAUACAACUUUGGAAAAAAAAAAGAAGAUGAUUUUCAGAAGAAAGAAAAACUAAGAAGUAAUAAAUCAUCUCUUGAAAAGACGAUUUUUCACCAACAAUUUUCACAAAAAAAAAUUCAUAAAAAAAAGAAAAAGAGAAAACUUCAAAAAUCCAUUUUUCCAUUCCCUACUAUACUUAUACAAUAAUACAAUUAUUAUAAAUAUAUAUUAUAAAAUUAAUUAAUUUUAUUUACUAAAUUUAAUAUUUUUUCUAUUAUUUUUUUCUAAAAAAAAAAUUAUUAUUAAUUUAUUAAAAAAAUAAAAAAUUGAGAAAUUGUCUCUUGAAGAGACGAUUUUCACCAAAAAAUAAAAAAAAAGAAUAAAAAUAAAAAUUCAAAAAUCAAUUUUUCCAUUCUCUGUCAUACUUAUACAAUAAUAAAAUUAUUAUAAAUAUAUAUUAUAAAAUUAAUUAAUUUAUUUACUAAAUUUAAUAUAAGAUAAAUAAUAUUUAUCUAUUAUUCUUUUUUCUUUCAUUUUGGAAAAAAAAUAUUAUCAAUUUAUGUGAAAAAUGAGUUUAAAAAAUAAAUUUAUUAUUAAUUUAUUAAAUAAUUAUUUACAAAAUAAUUAAUUUUGUUUUUUUAUUUUAAAAUUAAUUUUAUUAUAUAAAUUUUAAAUUUUAAAAUAUUAAUCUUUAAGUUAAAAUUUUACUAUAAAAAAUGAAUAAUUUCACAUAUUUUUAGGCGAAUUUUACUUAUCAUAAGGCCUCCACUACACACAUCAUUUCCCCUAAUCCAAUAAUGCACUACACCCAUAGACCAUAGGAGAAUCUUACCUAGUACACUCUAUCACUUCAUACACUAUUACACUACAAUUCCAUUACAACACUCAACCAAUUUGACAAGAGUUUGAAGUAUUGUCAUUUCUUUUUAAAUGUUUAAAUACUCCACCAAUUUGAUCGUUUCAAGUAUUGUCAUUUCUUUUAAAACAUUCAAACGUGUGUAUAUAUAUAUAUAUACACACACCCCAUAUCCUACACACUAUACCCAUUCUACCUCUUCCCAACUUCACUUACAAUAUAAAUCAAUUUCAAACUUCUUCAUCCUCAUUUUCUCUUUCUUCCCCAUUUGAAACCAAGUUUUUCACUUUCCAUCGCUUUUAUCCAAAUCUCCCAUUUCUCUUUGUGGAACUUCUGGGUAUAUCUCCUAUUUUUUCUUCAAACACUCACACUGUUUAUCUUGAAAGGUAAUAUUUUUGCUUUAUUUUUAUUUCAAAUUAUUUUGUAAUAUAUGGUUUUUAUUAUUAUAUAAGUUUUAAAAUUUAUUUGGAUUAUGCAAUAUUUGUUUGAAUAAUAUUUAUUGGAAAUUAUUAUUUUAAAUAGAUUAAAUCAUUAAAAAAUAAAUAAAAGUUAUAUUAUUUUAUUUUUAGAUAAUAUUUUUGCCCUUGUUUCAUAUUUAUUUUGUAAUGCAUGAUGGAUAUUUAUUGUUAUACAUAUAUUAAUUUAUUGGAUUUAUGUUAAUUUUUUUAGAAUAUUAUUUGUUGUAAAUUAUCAUUAUAUAAUUCAAAAAAUAAAAGUGGUAUUAGUUUAUUUAAUUAAUAUGGAAUAAUAGGAUUAUUGAUUAUGUUUAUCAAUCAAAUAAUAUGUUUUAUAAAAUAAUAAAAUUAAAAAUUAAAAAGAAAAUAAAAUAUUAGUAAAAUGAGAAUGGAAAAUAAUAAUAAUAAAAUAAUUAUAUAUCUAUGUAUUUGCAUAAAAUAUUAUUUUAAAAAUAUUAAAGUCUAAAAAAUAGAAAUACAACAUUAUCUGACAUUAUGAAUUUAUUCUAUAUAUUUUUUUAAAAUUAAUGUUAGCCUUAAAUCAUUGAAAAAAUUGUUGUAAAAAUAAAAAUAUAAAUAAAAGUAGAAGUAAAACUAAAAUGUUAUUUGAUAUAUUUAAAUGAAUAUUUAAAUGUAUAGAAUAUAAAAUAAAAAAGUAAUGGUGUAUAAUAUAAAAUAGUAACCGUGCGUAUUAAAUGUAUAUAAUAUGUAAAUUUAUAUUUAAAAUGUUAAAUAAUAGCCAUAUUGUGGAUCCCGCAUUUCGGCUCAUGCGAUUUCCACUCGAUGACAAGUUCGAUUUUUAUUCGAAAAUGAUUUUAUUUAUUAAAAAAAAAUAUGACUUGAAGUCGCUACUUAUUUUUGUUUUAUUUUUAAAAGGGUAAACAAAAUAAGAAAGAAAACCCUAAGCGUGACUCCUUAUUUUGGAAAAUGUGGUCUGUGAAAAACCGGAUCAGGCUCGGGGGUCAGGUUACUUAUUGGGAAGGUACGGUAAAGACCGUAGCACCCCUCUAAGUCCCUAAAGUCGGGUCUCUACUAAUAAAAUGAAGCUGACGUGGCAAUCAAUAGGAAAAUCAAUGGAUACUCAAAUUAAUCAUGCACAUAUGGGAAUCAAAAGCAUGCAUAGAGAAUGAACAGAACGGGAGUGGAUGCGUACUUGGAACAUGAACGAGCGAUACGUUAUCAUAAAAAUAGAGUCGGUGUACAAUAAAGAAUACAAAACAUGUCACAUGCAUUACCAAACAAUGAUUAAGCUGUUCGAGGGAGGAUUGAAAUUUAUUCGAGGAUUGGAGUCUUAGAGAUUAUUUAAAAAUCGAAUUUUUAGGAAUUAAAUAUAAGAAUGAGAAUUUUAGAAAUUAAAUUAGAAAUAAAUUGGGACUUCGAGAUUUAUUCGAGAAUUGGAGAUUUGCAAAAUAAAUUUAAGGACUGGAAUUUCUAAAAUUAAAUUUGAAAGAAAUUGGAACUUUGGAAAUUAUUUGGGAGUUUGGGAUUUUUAAGAAUUAUUUGAGAAUGAAUGAAAAUUCGAUUUGAAAGAAAUUAGAGUUUCAAAAUUUACUUGAAAGUGAAAUUUUAGAAAUUAAAUUCGGAAUUAUGGAAUUUUUGGAAAAUUAAGUCUUAAAAAUUUGAAUCUUGGAAAGUUAAAUUUAAAAUUAGAAUUUGAAAAUUAUUCCGAGAAUUGAAUUUUGAAGAAUUAAAUCUAAAAAUUGGAGCUUUGGAAAAUUAAAUUAAGAAUUUGAGUUUUGAAAAUCAACUUUAGAAAUUGAGGAUUCGAAAAAACAUUCAAAAGUGGAGACCUUGAAAAUUAGAUUUAAGAAAAGAAUUUUGAGAAAUUAAACUUUGGGAAUAAAGAUUUUGAAAGUUAAAUUCGAAAAUUAAAAAAAAAAAAUGGAAAGUUAAACCUUGAUAUCAAAGAGGAAGAAUUUGAAUAAAUGAAUAAAUAAACAAAUAUAUAUAUAUAUAUAUAUAUAUAUAUAUAAAAGAAUAAAAUGGAGGUGGUCGUUGGGGGUGCGGGCCAAGGGUGGCCCCGUGAAGUGACAUGAUCACCUCAUGAUUACCAUCUCCCUAAACUUUAAGCUCCGCCAUACCAAAUAACCGCAAUCAGUCCAACGGUCUCUGAUGAUCGAGAGUUGUUUCAUCAAGAGAGGGUAUUUCUCCAUUGAUUUUAGGAACAUGAGGAAUAGAGACCAUCUGAUUUAAUAUUUUGCCUACUUCACCAUCGAGUGCAUUCUCAUCUGUCAGAUCUAGAGAAUAUGACCAACCCUCCCCAUUGUGUGACUUUUCGUCAGGACUAGAACAUGAACUAGAAAGUCCCAUACCAUCUAUAUCUUUCUGGCCGCUCUCAUGCCUAAAUCCAUAAUUUUCCAUAGAUUGAUCGGGCCAUUCUUUUGGAAGAAUAGAUACUUGCAAAUCCUCUACCACUUCAUGUGAAAAUCUAGCUGUUUCGUCAAUAGCAAGUUGUGAUAGUUCUUCUUAAAGAGCAUGUUCGAUAAUCUCACCAUUCUCCGCAUUGCCACAUUCAUUAUCAUAACGAUCUUCCUUUAAAUGUUAUCCAUCAUAAUAACUUACAUCAUUUUGCACAAUGGUGCCACCAUACCCGCACUUAGAAAACGGAUCAUCAUCAGAAGCCGGAGACCCCACCGAACAACAAUAGGAUCUUGCCCACAUGCGAUCAUUUGCAAUGAUAUCAAUGUCGGCUGCAUUGAUCUUGACAGCAGCUAAUUCUUUCUCCUUCAUUCUCAUGGCAUUCUCGUUAGCAUCGGUCGACAUAAUGACAAUAAGCAGUUUUUGAGGUUCUUCUUGAAUUUUAUCAAGGAGAUAUCGUCCAUCCAUGCAGCUGCCCCAUUAUUUUACUUUGACCGGGACCUGAAAAACUUGCCUCACUAUUCAUUCCCGCAUNNNNNNNNNNNNNNNNNNNNNNNNNNNNNNNNNNNNNNNNNNNNNNNNNNNNNNNNNNNNNNNNNNNNNNNNNNNNNNNNNNNNNNNNNNNNNNNNNNNNCAAGCAUGACAAUAUUAAGAUCCAACUCUAGGUAUUGAUUCAAAAGUAGUGGCUUAGGAGGCAUCGAUAUUAUUUUGAGUGUAUGGAACGUUCUCAAAAGUGAACUAUGCCCACAGAUCGGAGUAACAAAACCUGUAUUAGGCAAUGCUGUCAGCUUGCAGGGAGUCUUUCAUGACUGCUUAAACUCGAAUUCGGGCAUCUUAAAGUACCACAACAUGGCCAUAGUUGAAACUCCCAAACCCGAAGAGAGUUAGUUGAGGUUCCAGAUAAAGAAAAUUGGUGCGCUUGAGCUCAUCAGGUGCAGAAGGUAUGACCUUAACCGAUUCGGUGGGUUUGGGGUUGUAAGGUUUAGUGGUUGGAAUGUUUUGGUAAGAAGAAUAGGAUGAGAGACUAGUUGAGCUAAGGGAUCAAAGUUGAGUUGUAUCUGAUGGGUGAUCCAGAUGACGGUUUUCUUCUUGUUAAGUGCAACAGAUGAAAAGUUGGAUGGGGUAUGAGGAGUAUUUGGCUUUUGGUUUAUGCUCGGUAUAGAACAAAUGUCAUGGGAAUGCGUUGAAAGGAUGCUAGGGAAUCGUACGUACGUGUACACAGCAUCUGCGUGGGAGGCUAGAGAAAUAAUGGGUGGGAAAAGAAAACGGGUCAAACGUAAGGGGUGAUUUGAAGAUAGUGAGAGAAUGAAAUAAGUGUGUAUGCUUGUGGUGGUUAUCGAAAAUGUGAGGGGUGGGGAGUGUGAUAGCUUCAAUGGGUAUGAGAAUAGGGAUAAGCCGACAGGGAGCACGAUAGAGGGUGGAUUUUGCAAAAGGUCUUGUGGGCCAUGCAAAGGUGGAAGAGAUGGGGUACAUGGUAGGUAUUGAAAAAUGGUGUGUGGUGUAGAGAGAUGAAACGGGAGGUGAGCAGUGAGUGGGAUGUAGGGGUAAAAGGGUGGCCAUGCACACAUGUGGAGUAAACCCAUCAAUAUUGCACUUCCCAAUUCAUCCCGUGGCCGAUGAAUACAACAUCCCGGUGCUACUUCUCAUACCCAUUUUGCAUUUUCUGAAUGUCAACACCUGAAUAUAGCUUUGAAUGCUGAAAAGGUGGCGACAAACACCCGAUCAUGAUAGGAUGAUGGCUCUGAAUGUCAAGCUGGGAAGGAAUGGUGGCUUUGAAGGCCCAAACCGAGAAGAUAUGGUGGCUUUGAAUGUCAAACUGCGGAGAAUGAUGGCUCUGAACGCCCGAAUGUGAGAACGACGGCUCCUUGAACGCCUGAAACUGUGAAGAGGUAGUGGCUCUGAACGUUGAACUAAAAAGAGAUGAUGGCUCUGAAUGUCGAAACUGAAGAUGCAAUGAUGAUGGCUCUGAACGCCGAAACUGAAAAUGUGACUCUUAACAUCAAAUUGAAAAUGCGAUGAUGGCUCUGAACGCCGAAACUGAGAAGCGACGAUGAUGGCUCUGAACGCCAAAACCAAAAAUGCGAUGAUGAUGGCUUAGAGUGCCGAAACUAAAAAUGCGACUCUGAACGUCAAGUUGAAAAUGUGAUGAUGAUGACUCUGAACACCAAAACUAAGAGGCGAUAAUGAUGGAUCUGAAUGCCGAAACCAAAAAUGCGAUGAUGAUGGCUCUGAACGCCGAAACUGAAAAUGCGACUCUGAACGUCAAGCUGAAAAUGUGAUGAUGAUGGCUCUGAACGCCGAAACUGAGAAGCGAUAAUGAUGGCUCCGAACGCUGAAAGAAAAAAUGAGAUGAUGAUGGCUCUGAACGCUGAAACUGAGAAGCGGUGAUGAUGGCUCUGAAUGCCAAAACGGAAAAUGAUAUAAUGACCCUGAAUGCCGAACUAUGAACAUGGCUUUGAAUGCCAAACUGCGAAUAAAUGGUGGCUUUGAACGCCAAACUAAAAAUAAUAGCCAUGAAUGCUAAGCAAAAACAACGGCUGUGAACGCCAAUGAUAACUAUGAAUGUCAAGCUGAGAAANNNNNNNNNNNNNNNNNNNNNNNNNNNNNNNNNNNNNNNNNNNNNNNNNNNNNNNNNNNNNNNNNNNNNNNNNNNNNNNNNNNNNNNNNNNNNNNNNNNNCAAAAACAACUGGCUGUGAACGCCAAUGAUAACUAUGAAUGUCAAGCUGAGAAAGACAACUUUAAACGUCGUAAUUGAGAGGACAUGGUGGCUUUGAACACCAGGCUGAAAAUGGAUGACUUUGAACAUCAUAACCGAUAAUGGAUGGUGGCUCUAAAUGCCAAACUGUAAGGAAAUGAUUAGGGGGGGGGGGGGGGGGGNNNNNNNNNNNNNNNNNNNNNNNNNNNNNNNNNNNNNNNNNNNNNNNNNNNNNNNNNNNNNNNNNNNNNNNNNNNNNNNNNNNNNNNNNNNNNNNNNNNNAGUCUCAUGACCCGCUCGAUGAAAUCACGAGGUUUGUCGGAGUGUCGCAAUAAGCCGAACUCCUCUAACUCAUAAUGCUCUGCCGAAAGAAUCUAUCGUCACCCCGAACGGAUAAUCCGAUAGUCUUAGGGAGUAGUCUGGUAAGAGACAUACCACGAUCUUGACAUAACAAUCUACUGAAUAGUCUUGGCUAGUGAGGCUAUCAAAACCCGAAUAUCGUGCUCCACUGAAAGCUCAUCUCGACGAAAAGCACAGGAAUAGUGACCAGUGAAGCAAAUGCAAUAUCUCUUGACUGAGUAAUGAAAACUAUAAUAGAUCUGUGAGAGAAUGAUCAUCUCCAUAGCUAAAGGAGGGAAAUAUGCCCCAGUAUGGCAUCAGAUAUAUCCAAUCUGUCCUAAUAACUCAAGAAUAACUCUAUGGGGACAUACAAAGGAUCUAACAUGUACUCCACUGAAAUAGUGACGCAGGCAUCCACGCGCCUGAGAUAACUCCUUCUAAGAAUCACGACUAUAUCAGAAAACGUGAAUCUGGCUGAAAGACUCAAGAGAGGCUCCAUGGAGUAUCAGGACACAAUGAAAUCGAAUCAUCAACCCGAUGUGUAUCUCAAAAUCGAGGGUGAUCAUGCGAAUCAGUGGGGGAUGUACAAAUCUCGACUGAAAUGGGGAAUACACCCCAGUGUGGCAUCAUAAAUGUGACAAGUCGGAAAGUCAGAUGAGCUCAAAUCAUCCAUCAUCGAAUUCGUGAUCCAAGUCAUCCAUGUCUAUAACUGAAUCAGACCCACAGAUCAAAGGGGCGUCUCCCAGAAGGAAAGCAUGAUGACAUCUAAGUGUCGAGAAGUGCAGGCCUAACUGGGCAAUUCCCAAGAGGCUCCAUUGAGGAAUCAUCAUAAAGAUACCGAAUAGAUCAUCGUCUCGAUGUACGUCUUGCAAAUGGGGAUAAGCGCGUAACUCCACCAAGAUCUAUAAAUCUCAUCCUGAAUGGUAAUAUGCCCCAGUAUGGCAUCAAACAUAUGAUAGGUCGGAGACCGGGCAACAUGAAAUCAUCUAUCAUCGAACAUGCGACAUCUGUGAAGAUCCAUAAAUCUCAUCUAAAAUGGAAAAUAUGCCCUCGUAUGGCAUCAGGUGCAUAAUAGGUCAAAAGAACAAGUGACAUGAAACCAUCUCUCAUCAAACAUGUGACCUCUGUGAAGAUCCGUAAAUCUCAUCUGAAACGGAAAUAUGCCCCAGUAUGGCAUCGGAUGUGUGACAGGUCAGAAGAACAAGUGACAUGAAACCAUCUCUCAUCAAACAUGUAAUCCUGGUCAUCCGAAUCCAUAACUGAAUCAUGCCCACAGAUCUAAGAUGUACCUCCCGGAUGGAGAAGCAUGAUGGCAUCUAAGUGCCGAGAAGUGCGGGCCUAGCUAGAUGGCUCUCGGCAGGCUCCACUGAGGAAUCAUGAUAAGGUAACGAUCAUGUCCACGUCUUAGUGAGCAUCUAGUAAGUGAUGAUGAUCGUGCAAGUCCAUGAGGAUCCAUAAACCUCUAAAUGAAAUGGGAUAUGCCCUAGUGUGGCAUCAGAGGUACGAUAGGUCAAAAAUCGGGUGACACCAAAUCAUCCAUCGUCAAACACAUAAUCCCGGUAAUUCGAACACAACUGAAUCGGACCUACACAUCAAAGAGGCGACUCCUAGAAGAAGGAAGCACGACGAUAUCUAAAUAUCAACCAGAUCUCAAACACUCGUCCAAGUAGAGGCUGUCAAAGAUGACAUCUGAUCCCAUGACCUCAGGGUGGUCUUAAGACAUGGGACGUAACGUAGGCCAAGGUGAUAAGGUGAUAGAAAUGAAGGAAAACUAGACUCAAAUACCCAAUGAUCAAAAACCCACGCCCUCAUAUAUGAAAUGCAACAUGUAUAAUGAAUCUCGUGAGCCAUGGACCUAAGGAUGCCUAACAUGAAUAUGAUGUCGAUAAGGAGACAAAUAAAGCAAAAUGAACUGAUAGUGAUAUGUGUAAUGAUGAUGUGAAGAGAGUAUCAAACCCGAGAUGGGUUGCUGUAAGAAAAGAAUAAGACGUGAAGUGAAAAUGAUGAAUCCAAAGCGAAAACGAGGAUGAUGAUGAAACAAAUAACACAAAGAGGAGUAGUGAUCAACUCAAAUCAGACAUGGAGUGAAGUCACAUCAACAAUGAACGUAAUGAUGGAAGGGACAAUGACCCAGAGCUCCUAAGAGAAGGUCACUCAUCUCGCUCUCAAAAUAUACAAUAAAAAUGAAUACAAAGCAUAGAGGGUCUCAGAAAGCUCACAUACGAACUCCCAUCAACAAACAUACUCAAUCAAGUCACCCUCGAACAUCAACAUACACACUCAAUGAUAGAAAAUAAUACACAUGCGUUUUGUUUUUUUUUUUUUUACAUAUAUACAAAUGUACACACCUUGAACAUGAACAAAAUAAGCCUAAAUAUGAUAUCAAUAAUGGAUAGACGCUAUCUCGAAAGCUAAGGUAACAAAAACCCUCUUUGACAAGAUAACCUUUUCAAACUAAGAAUCUCUGAACCAGUGUCCGUUGGAUAGAUAGUGGUAAUGAUAUGACUACCCUCCAUGUAAUGAACUGAGGAAGAUCACCACUCGGGGUGGAAAGAAUAUGAAGCAAAACAAGUAGUAGAUAGAAUAAAGAAGAAUAGAUGAAGAACACAACCAAUGAGAUACAAUGGAAUGCAGUGAUGCAAUGAUGAGAAGAGAUAAUGAGAAGAAUGUGCCCCUCGGUCCAAGGCUCAUGAAACUUCCAAACAAUGAAUGCAUACACCAAAAGGGCCCCUAUCCCGGUGUGAAAAUGUGAGCAAGGCGAUAAGAAAGAAAUGCUAUAAUGCUCAUGCGAGGCUCAAUGGGCUAGCAACAGACUAUAUAUCAAAAGGGAAUAACAAGGUAUAUGGCUAACUGAAAUGACGGCCACCAUCCUACGACCAUGGUGUCAAACAUAGUACCUCUUUAGCUGAUCCAUAUUGGUCGGCUUUGAGAAUCGGUUUCCAUCUAAAUCCAUCAACCAUGCAACAUCCUCUGGGGUCAACUCCCUGAUGAAGUAAGGUUCGCUCCAGUUGGGUCUGAACUUCUUUCUAGGAUCUCUGAUCAAUCCCCUGAUGAUCUUCAGAACCAAGUCACCUAUCCGUAGUGGUCAGAGCUUGACCUGCUUUUUGAAAGUGCGGGCCAUCUUCCUCUGAUAUGCACGAAUGUGGUCGGCUGCUCUCAAUCUCCUCUCAUCUUGGAGAUUGAGCUGAUCAAAUCGAGACUGAGCCCAAUCUGCCUCGAGCAUCUGUUGCUCUAAUGCUACCCUCAAUGAACCCAACUCUAUCUCGACUGGUAGCACUACCUCCAUAUUGUAUACCAAAGAGUAGGGUGUGGCUCCUGUAGAGGUGUGAAAAGAAGUCCGGUAAGCCCACAAUGCGAAAGGAAGCUUCUCAAACCAAUCCCGAGAAGUCUUGAUCAUCCUCCGCAAGAUCCUCUUAAUAUUCUUAUUCACGGUCUCUACUGCCCCGUUCGUCUGCGGCCUGUACGCAGACGACCUAUGGUGUCGGAUGCCAUAUUACCGCACUAAAGUGUCAACCUCUGCCCUGAAAUGUACCCUUCUAUCCGAAAUCAGCUCAUGAGGGACUCCACAGCAACAGAUAAUGUGUGACCUGAUGAAACUAGCCACUCCAGAUGAUGUCAAUCUCGCAUACGAAGCGGCCUCCACCCACUUGGUGAAGUAAUCGAUGGCGACCAGGAUGAACUCAUGACCACUGGAAGAUUUCGGCGAAAUCUUUCCGAUGAUGUCAAUACCCCAUACAGAAAAUGGUCAUGGUGAAGUCAGUGCAUGCAACUCCGAGGACGGCACGUGAAUGAGAUCUCCAUGUAUCUGACACUCGGGACAUCUCUGAACAAACUGGAAACAAUCUAUCUCCAUGGUCAACCAGAAAUAGCCAAUCCUCAUGAUCUUACGGGCCAACAUAUGUCCUCCCAUAUGUGGUCUGCAGACUCUUGCAUGAACCUCUCUUAUCACUCUAUUGGCAGAGGCUCGGUCCAAGUACAAUAAUAGCAUCUCGUCAGCCGAUCGUCUAUACAAUGUCUUGCCACAAAUCACCAAUCCGGUGGCUAACUGUCUCAAUGAUCUCCUAUCCUUGGCCAUGGCAGUCUCAAGAUACACGCCAAGUCUCAGAAAGUGAUAUAUGUCAUGGUACCAGGGCAAACCAUCAUCUAUCUCCGUAUCAUCAAUUAGACAACAGUACGCAAGAGCAGAUCUCGACUCGAUCAACAAUGGGCGAACGGUGACAUCAGUAGGAAUGUCAAUCAUGGAAGCUAGAGUAGCUAAGGCAUCAGCAAACUGGUUCUGCGCUCUAGGCAGAUGGGUAUAUAUCAAAUCAUCGAAUCUCCCAACCAGUAGCUUUAAAUAUGCGUGGUAAGGCCUAAGCUUCACAUUUCUAGUCUUCCAUUUGCCUUGAAUCUGUCUCAAUACUAAAUUGGAGUCACCAAACACCUCUAUCUGUCUAAUCCCGAGCUCUAGGGCCGUUUCUAAUCCCAAGAUACAAGCCUUAUAUUCAACAAUGUUGUUCGUGGCAGGAUGUCGAUCCCAGAAUGCCAAACGAACAGAUCUGGGAAUGUGAUCACCAUGAGGGGAUAUCAACAAGACGCCUAUCCCGUAUCCAGAAUGGUUGGCUGCACCAUCAAAGUACAUGCGCCAACCUGAUAAACUGGUCACAACAGCCACAUCCUCGUCCGGGAAGUCAUCAUCAAUGGCUCUGCCGUCGGAAACUGGUAAAGAAACUAGGUGAUCCACGACAAUGCUCCCUUUGAUGGACUUCUGAGUGACAUAAUGGAUGUCAAACUCGAUUGGAAGUACCAACCAUCUUAUGAGGCGACCAACUAAGGCGGGUUUGUCAAACAAAUAUCUCAGAGGAUCUAAAUGGGAUAUCAAGUGCACUAAAUACUCUAUCAUAUAAUGUCUCAGUUGGCGUGUGGCCCAAACCAAUGCCAAACAGUAACACUCAAUCAUGACAUAUCUUGUCUCAUAGUCUAGCAUCCUCUUACUCAUAUAAUAAAUAGCUCGGUCCUUGCCUGAAUCAUCAAGCUGAGCUAACAUACACCCCAAUGCUACGUCUGAAACUGAUAGGUAUAGGAGUAAGGGACGACCUGGUGUAGGAGGCGCCAAGACUGGAGGUGACAACAAGUACUCUCUGAUCCUCUCAAAUGCACGCUGACACUGAUCAUCCCAAAUAGUAGGUUGACUCUUCCUCAAGAGUCGAAAAAUGGGCUCACAGAUGUCUGUCAAUCUGGCAAGGAAUCUGCUGAUGUACUGAAGUCUACCUAGGAAGCCUCUGACCUCUCUCUCUAUCCUCGGUGCAGGCAUGUCAAGAAUAGCUUUGAUCUUAUCCGGAUCUACCUUUAUGCCUCUUUCAUUGACCAUAUAUCCAAGGAGUUUCCCAGAAGUCACUCCGAAAGUGCACUUCUUGGGAUUGAGUCUCAAUCUGAAUUGUCUAAUCCUCUCAAAGAACCUCUCCAGAGCUGUCAGGUGAUCUGGUCUAUCUUGGGAUUUCACUAUCAUGUUGCCUACAUAAACCUCGACAUCCCGAUGCAUCAUGUCAUGGAAGAGGGUGGUCACCGCUCUUUGAUAAGUGGCUCCUGCGUUCUUCAAUCCGAAUGACAUGACUCUAUAGCAAUAAGUACCCCACUCGGUAAUGAAAGACAUUUUCUCCAUGUCCUCUAAAGUCAUUAAGAUCUGAUUGCAUCCGGAAAAUCCGUCCAUAAAGGACAACAUCGAAUGACCUGCCGUACUGUCAAUUAGCAUGUCGAUGUGUGGAAGAGGAAAAUCAUCCUUAGGAUUGACCUUGCUGAGGUCUCGAAAAUCAACACAGACUUUCACCUUGCCGUCCUUUUUGGGAAUAAGGACGACAUUGGCCAACCACUCCGGGUACUCGACCAUUGAAAAAAAUCCUACACUAAGUUGCUUCUGAAUCUCCUUAUUUACCUGCAAGCUCCAACGAGGAUGCAAUCGUGUCAACUUCUGCUUAACCGGUCUGAUAUGGGGCAGAAGUGGCAAACGAUGCUGGAUGAUAGAUGGAUCAAGGCUUGGCAUAUCCUCAUAGGACCAUGCGAAAAUGUCCAAGUAUGCUAUGAGCAACUGGAUGAGGCUAUCCCUUUCAUCAACAGAUAAAUCUGAUCCGAUCCUUAACUCCCUAGGCUGAUCUGCUGUGCCGAAAUAAAAAAUCUCUAUGUCCCCUACAACAUGUGAAACUCUCUGAUCAAUGGGAUCCGAAUCGGAAAUAGAAGAUGAGUCAUCGUCUGAAUCAUGCUGUGCAAUCUCAUCAUCAAUGUCAAAAAUCUAUGAUGUGGGUGAGGAUGGUGCGGGUAAAGCAAUAACAUGAGAGACAGACAAAUACUAAAAAAUGCUCAAAUCCAUAGAUGAAGAGUCAGAAACAUCGUCAUGACGGGAGACAAAUCCCGAUAAGACAUUAAAGGAAAGAGGUGGGUCCACAAAGUUGGACGCUCUCUUAACUAAGCCAACAAGGCCAUCAAACAAGCCAUCAACAACUAUAACAUCCUCAGCAAUCUCCAGAACGGGGGCGACCUGGAUCUCCUCGACAAUCUCGAGGAUGGACACCCCGAAGAGAUCGAAUGGUGAAGCGAGCUCAAAUGGGGCUAUCUCCUUGAUUUGGCUCAAGCUCAUCGCGAUCAUCUCAUCAACAUACUCGUCAUGUGGCACGACUUUGUCUAAUAUGUUGCUGCUCUCGAAAAAUGUCCAGUAAUCAUCGAUCUCAUCCGAGAAGCAAAGCGUCAUAAGGCUCGUGCGAUCUGGGGAGGAAGGAGUGAUCAACGCAGAAGUUGAAGGGCCAGGGGCUCCGUCACUCAAUCGUAACUGUCGGACGAGGCGCUGAAGCUCGGCCUCCUGGGUGGUGCUAAGUCCUCCGAUGAUCCCAUCAGAUAGUGCAUGUGGCUCCGACGCCCUCACAAAGUAAUCUGUUAGGCUCAUGGUAUAUGGGUGAACAGGAUAAUAAAAUGGAAUAUGGGUCAGUCGAGCCCUCACCCUCUCCUUCGGCAAUCGCUCCAUAUUACGAUAAUCAGCCUCAGUGGGGAUGAACCUGAGUCCGAAUGCUACGUCGUGAUCAAGGAAGGUCAUGAACUCACUAGGCCCGUACUGACGCUGCCCUAACCCCAUGCCGGGAAGAUAAGACAUACCCCUCAUCAUGUCAAGCACUAGAUACUGUGCUGGUCGAAAGAUAUGGCUACAAAGUCUCGACAGAAAUCCUCUAUCUCCAAAGUCUGCACCUCGUCGAAGGUGAAUCCGAUCAAAAAAAGAUAGUCAUCAGUGUGACUAAUCUGAAGUACAGGCUUGGCAGAAAUGAACACAUCUCCUAUAGACUGCACCACAACGGCCUGGCCAUCAUGAAUAAACUUCACCUUCUAAUGAAGGGAAUAAGGAAUGGCCCCAACUCUAUGGAUCCAUGGUCGGCUCAGAAGUAGGUUAAAGGAUGUAGGAAUCCUCAAAACCUGAAACACGACAACAAAAGUGGUCGGACCAAUCAAUAGCUCAAUCUCCAAUGUACCCAUGACCUUCCUCUGAGUACUAUCAUAUGCGCGAAUGGUCUGAGUGGAGGGACCGAAGUCAGAUGGUGCGUAGCCGAGGGCAAUGGCAGUGGAAAGAGGACAGACGUUCAGGACCAAGCCAUUGUCCAGAAAGAUAGAUGGGACUCGGCGGCCUGAACAAUCGACAGAUAUAUAAAGUGGACUUGUGUGGUCCGAGCCCUCCGUGGCAAGUCAUCAUCGAAGAAUACAAUGCAUGUGGCUCUGCUGGCCGUCAUCAUAUGAAUCAAUCUCUUAGGAGAAGUGGUAGUAUCGACUCUGAUCUGGUUCAAGGCUCGAAUCAGAGCAUCACGGUGAGUGCUCAAGGAUGCCAACAGGCUCUAGAUGGAAAUACGAGCUUGGGUGCUCUGUAGCUGUCUCAAAAUCUCGUCAUCCUUUACUCUGACCUCCUCGAGAGCAGAUAUACCCUCAACUAACCUAGCUGCUACGGGAGGUGGCUGUCGCAACACUCUACCUCAUUGGAGAAUAUAAUGAACAUCUAGAGUCUGAGAAUCAUCAACACGCGGAGCCUGAACCUCCUCAACAUCCGGGAUCAAGAUGAAUGAAGUCUGGACGCUGUAAUGUGGAAAAAUCAAUGGCUCAACAAUGGUAGUCUGUACCGAUGCCGCCCUGGGAACUAAUUCGAAUGAAACGGGCAUCCAAGGCCCCAAAGUCGCUUUGUCCAUCUCAUAAAUACCAUUUGACACAAUAGGCUCUGGGUUUGAAUCAUCCGAACUAAGCAUAUGAACGUGAUCAUCAAGCUCAACGAAGUCCAAGAAAUGUAUGCCAUCGGCCGGUGGAGGAACGACAUGUGUAGUGUGGGCAGGUAAUGGGUUUGUGGUCACAUUCAGCUGACCCUGACCCAAGUGCACCAAACCUUGGUUGAUCAAAUCCUGAACGACAUGCCUCAAAGCAGUUCAUCGAUCGGUCUCACGUCCAGGCCCUUGAUGGUAUGCACAGUGCAAAUCCAUCCUGAACUGAGGUGGAAUAGGCUGAGGAGGUGGCCUAGGGGUGAGAGCAGUCAAUAACCCGGCCUCUGUAAGCUUCCGAAGAGCCUGGCUCAAUGGCAUGCCUAAUUGUGAGAACUACCUCUGCGUCCUCAAAGCAAAUGGAGCAGAAGCCUGCUGAGCUCUGGGUCGGGGAUAAGAAGUUAUGGGUCUCGUAGUGAACUGAGCAGCAUAGCACGAUUGUCCUAUGGCCUUGUAUGAGACAGGUGACCUCUCGAUGCCUUGGGUGGCAUAGUAAGGCAAAGCCAAAGUCUGUGGCAUAUAGGACUAAUCAUGAGUCGGACGAGGCGCCCGUGGCCUAUACUGCUGAAGUGGAUAUGAAGGAUGAGUCUCUAGAAGCUGUGGGACCGACUGAUGGCGCCUGAGAGGUCUUUGACUAGAAGAACCGAUAGCGCUCACAUCAACUGACCUCUGUCCUCCAAAGGGUUUCUUCCCCUUAACAUCACUAGGGGAAGAAUCAGUUCACAAUUAUCUCAAGAUGCCGUCCUCGACAUCGUACAAAGCCAAAACCAACGAACCAAAAUCUAUGAAGAGUACCCCAAUCACGUGUCUGGCAAUCCUGGGCUGUAGGCUCCUCAAAACCAUCUGUAUCUGAUCUCUCUCUAGAGGCCUGUCAAUGGUCUCGGCAAUCUUCCUACGCCAACGGGAGAUGAAGGAUGAAACUGACUCAUCUAUCCUCUACCUCAGAGCCUCGAGCUCUCUCCUUGAUACAUCCAUCAUAGUGUUAAACGAAAACUAUCAUAAGAACUCCUAGGCCAAGUCGUCCCAUGUCCGGCAUCGUGAAGACUCUAGGAAUGCGAACCAGCGCUGGGCUGCCCCACUUAGAGAUAGCGGGAACAAAGUGAUCAUCUAUGACUCAUCCAAUCCGUGUGCUCUCAUCACUGUGCUAUAGAGUCUGAGGUGGAUGCGAGGACAACCAAUGCCCGUAUACCUCUCAAUGUCCAGCAUCCUGAACUGAGCCGACAAACUGGCCACCAGCAUACCCUCAAGAUCAUCCCAAAUAGCUGAUCCAUCUGACACUCUCAUCUACCUCAUAUGCUGCUCGAUACGGUCCAUAUGUGCAUGAGCGUCAUUAGUGACUGUGGUCUGAACGAUUGCAGGUGGGGCAACCUCAGAAUGCCCAUGCAAUACAUAAGGUGAGGCCUGAGGCACCAUUGGAACAGGUGGUGGCAGUGGCUGUGGCAACGAAUCAUGAAGAGUCUCAUCAUGAACUACGAGUGGUCUGCUCUACUGGCUGCCAAUCUCCUGCCUGAGGCUAGCCAAAGCCUCUUGGAUAGAAGCCAUGACGGUCGUAAACUGAUCCACUGUAACAACCUAUUGAUCCAUACUCAAUCUCUCGGAAUACCGGACUAAUCUCCCCUCUACUCUAACCCAAGAAGACGUAUCCAGACUACGAACAAAGAUUUGAUCCUAAAAGCGCGAAGAAAUGAAUAAGGAUAUGGGACGAAGAAAGCACAGAAGAAAUGAUAAUCUGAAUGGAAACAAGCAAGACAUCUAAGUGAAGGUAGACUUUCUGACCAUACUCAAACUCAUACUAAUCUCUGUACACUUUCAAUUGAAGACUAAAAAAGGAGUAUCGGAAUCCAAACUGUGGCUACAGAGGCUUUGAAAGUUCUCAGAUGCACCCACAUGUAGGGAGUGAACCCUAAUCGAAUGAUCUACGGCUCAACCUACGAGGUCAAGGUGGCUCUAAAUGGAUAUGAGUGGGCUUUAAAAGAUCCCUUAAGCAGAGGCGAUCAUACUGAUUACUACUCAAAAAGUGCUAUUUGAUAGCUUAUAAUUAAUCCUUUUAAACACUUUUGAGUAGUAGUUUAGGCCUUUUAACUCAAUUGGCAUGUUAAGGACCCUUGAAAGGAAUUUUAAUCACUUUGUGUAAGUUUUGGUGUUUUUGUUAGUAAUUUGAUCAUCAAAGCAAGUCAAGACUGAGGAGAGCUAUGAGGAAUCUUGGGCAAAGCUUAGAAGUCAUUUGCCAAGAGUAAAUCCGGAUUGCAAGGAGAAAAAGUAAAGAGAAUCUGCCAAGAAGCAUAUUCUUGAUGACAGUCGUAUCAGCCACUUUUGGAGCCUCUUAUGAGGUCCAAUUGAUGCAUGCUAUAUACCAUUUCAAAGCUCAGGAAGUCAACAAUCCAAUGCUACAAACGGUGUAUAAUUCAGAGUUGAAACGAAGAAGUUGCAGCCAUUGCAAGCCAAUCACUCCGAGCUGAAGGAAGCAUUUUGCAAAGUGCUGCGAAAUCACCCUUUUGUUGCGAAGUGAUUCCGCAGCCUUUUUGUACAGUAGGGUGUAUUUCCUUCUGAAGUUGCCCGACAUAUACCGCGAGAGGGAAGUUGGGAACCUCAAGGUGGAAGCCAACUUCGCAGCCCUGCGAAGAUAGCAUGUUGUUGCGAAAUGAUUUCGCAGCCCUCUUGAGUGUCUGAGAAAUCUCGCAGACACCAUUUUCUCUUGCGAAAUGGUUCCUGGAGCCUCCCGAUAUUUGCUACCGACAUUGGGAGAUAUUUUACAUCAGAUUUUUGUUGUCUAAAUCCCAAAAUACUCCUUGUAAGCCACCAAUUACAAGAUUCCUUAGCUUUUAAGUUAGUAAAAAGAGAAAAUAUCUAUGUAAUAAUUAGUUUUAUAUUAUGUUCAUAUAUAUACCUCUCGGGAGCCUGUUCUCAGGGAGGAGAUCCUUUUGUAAAGUUUUGGGUAAGCAAGUAAAGUUUAUUUUUUUCUACUGCCUUACCUUCUCACUUUGUAUUUUUUAGUUAAUACUAAGUUAUGAACUCUCUGAGGAGUUUUCCCCAGAGAAUGAGUAACUAAACCUCUAAUUCCUUGGAGCUAAGGUUGCCGGGGAAGGUUCCAAGUGCAAGAAUGCAAAGCUUUGUGGUUUUAGCUAGUAAUGAAGAGGAAGUGAAAUCCUUUAGUGAUUUCUAUGUUUUUAGUUAACUUAAAACACCUUAGAGUCACCUGGGCCAACACUUGGUAAGGCAAGUGAUUUCCAACCAUGGAAAUGCACUAGUUUACCCCUUGCAAGCCUCUGGUAGGUGACUUCAGGGUAGGAUUUUCUAGAAUAGCCAACACUUGAUAAGCUUUUGGACUCCAAGGAGACAUCCAUUAGUUAUCUCUUGCGAGCUUUUGACGGGUAAUCCAAGGUUAAGGAUCACCUUGAAUGGUUAAGGCUUAGUGAGAGGCUUAAACCAUUGCAAGUUGCAUCAGUGAGAGAAUUAAAGUGAAAUCUAAUUGAAGGAUGAAUCUGUACAACACCAGCUAGAGAAUUGACUAUAUGUUGAAUCUCUAACGCGAGGAAAGGAACCAUCUGACCGGAGCUAGGUCUUUUGCAUAAGGAACCACCCCAGUGAACCUAACUCUCCAAGGAAUGCUUUUCUUCCUAAGUUAUUCCGAGUACUUGUUAUGUUAGUUAGUUUAAAUCUUUACCAAUCAAAGUUUGUGUUUUAUGUCUUAAGCUAACCUUGAAAUGAAACAAGACCAAUUCACUUGGAAUUGGUAUCAUUGAUAGCUUGCUAAUCCUUCCCAGUGAACGAUCCUAGAGCCGCUAUACUAUAGUAGCUUUUUCUUUGCUACCCUAGUAUAUGGUGUUAUAGGUUAUAAAUUUUGUUGAUUACUCCCUCAAUCAAGGAGCACCAGCUGGACACGAAUCAGCUGAGACACCAAUUGGGCACGAAUCACAUACCCUCCGACAGUAUGCAACCCUCUGUACGUCUCCGAAGAGACGGGGCGCUUCCAUGCAAGGUGGUCAUCACCUCCACACAUGCACUAUCUCGACAUCCCAAGGGGGUUUCCUAUGGUGAAAACCUCUCAAACUCGCAACGCUCAAUGGUCAACUAGAGUGCACAGUGAAUGGUGCGGGUGCAUCCAAAAACCCUAGGAAGCUAAAACAGAAAGAUGAAACACACUGGCCGCACAAAUAUCCAUGAGACCUAGCUCCGAGCUAUACGAGUCUUCAAUGAUCGGACUCCAAUCGACAUCAAAGUGUCGCUCUCCUCCAGAAUGCUCCCAUACAUUGAUAUAGCCUGUCGCUAAACCCUACUCCUAAUCUCUGGCUCGGUCAGAGAAUAAGCACACAGAGGGCCUCACACUUGCAAUAGUGAGGACCAGAAUGAAGGGAAUGACCGAGACCAAGAGAUUUGGAGGUAGGGGGAUAGAUGUGCGGCCCACAUAGACAGGCGACAUGCAAUCAAGCAGAGGAAGGGUAGUCAUGCGACAUGCAGUUAAGCAGUAGACAGAAUACAUCACUUAUGCACACACACAAACUAUGACGAUCAGGAUGAAUAGCGACACGAACAUCAUGCUCAAAGACAAUCAAGAUAGUAUACAAGCCAAAGAAAACAACAUGGCAAGUCAAGCGAUGUGCAAUAGUGAGUCUAUAUAUGUGAAGUAAGUAGAACAAUCAGGAAGAAUCAGAAUCGCUAUACCAAGCAAAACAAGAUGAGCAGUCUAUGAUAAUCAGCAUGUUAAUGUACUAAACUAAUAUAGCAAUGAAGCACAGAAAAAGUGACAUCCGAAACCCCAAUCAAGAUAAUUGAUAUAUCAAUGUCCCAAUACAAUAUCCAAGCAUGCAUAAAAAAACUCUCAAUGUGCAAUCAAGAGACAAGUACUCAUUGAUUGACUCAUCAAAUACCACAUUUGCUUCAUCCUAAGUUCAAGCUUGACCCUCUAAAUGAUCCCCAACGGAGUCGCCAUUUUGUGGACCCUGUAUUUCGGCUCAUGCGAUUUCCACUCAAUGGCGAGCUCGAUUUUUAUUUGAAAAUGAUUUUAUUUAUUAAAAAAAAAAUAUGACUUGGAGUCACCACUUAUUUUUGUUUUAUUUUUAAAAGGGUAAACAAAAUAAGAAAGAAAACCCUAAGUGUGACUCCUUAUUUUGGAAAAUAUGAUAUGUGAAAAACCGGAUCGGGCUCGGGGGUCAGGCUACUUAUCGAGAAGGUACAGUAAAAACCAUAGCACCCCUCUAAGUCCCUAAAGUUGGGUCUCUACUAACAAAAUGAAGUUGAUGUGGUGAUCAAUAGGAAAAUCAAUGGAUACUCAAAUCGACCAUGCACAUAUGGGAUCAAAACAUGCAUAAAGAAUGACCAGAAUGGGAGUUGAUGCGUACCUGGGCCACGAACGAGCAAUGCGCUAUCAUAAAAAUGGGGUCGGUGUACAAUAAAGAGCACAAAACAUAUCACACGCGUCACCAAAUAGAACUUAAAAUUGUUCAAGGGAAAACUAGAUUUUUUAAAUUUUAUUUGAAAAUUGGAGUCUUAGAGAUUAUUUGAAAAUUGGAGUUUUAGAGAUUAUUUGAAAAUUGGAUUUUUAGAAAUUAAAUAUAAGAAUGAGAAUUUUAGAAAUUAAAUUUGAAAAAAAUUGGAAUUUUGAAAAUUAUUUGAGAGGUUGGGGGUUUUUUUUUUUAAAAAAAAAUUAAAUUACGGAAAUUGGGACUUUAGAAAUAAAAUUUUGAAAGAAAUUAGAAUCGAAAAUUGUUUGAGAAGCAGAAACUAUGAAAAUUGAAUAAAAAAAUUGGAAAUCUUGAAAAUCAUUUUAAAGCAUAAUUUUUAGAAAUAAAUGAAUAAAAUGAUAAUAAUAAAUAAGUAACGGAAUAAAUGCGAGAAUUGGAACAUUGGAAACUGAAAAAAAUUAAGUUCGGAAAUUGAAAAAUUGGAAUUUCAAAUAACUAAAUUUGGAAAUCGAAAUUUUAAAGAAUUAUUUAAAGACGGAAUUUCAAAUAAAUGAAUAAGUGAUUAAAUAAAUUAAUGAAAUAAUAAUAAUGACGAAAUAAUAAAGAUUAGGUAAAUAAUUGCGAAAAAUAGAAUUUUAGAGAUUGAAGAUUGAAUUUAGAGAUUGAAAAUUUGAGAAAUUAUUUAGAGAUGAGAUUUUAAAUAUAUGAAUAAGUGAAUAAAUAAAUGAACAUGAUAAUAAUAAUAACGAAAAUAAUCAUUUAACAACUGAAUGUGAAUAGUGAAAUUUUUUAGAUUGGAAAUUAAAUUUGAAAAACGGAAUAUUGAAAAAUUGAACUUUAAUUAUUAGAAUUUCUAAAAUAAAUGAAUGGAAUAAUAAUAAUAAUAAUGAAAAUAAUAUUUAAAUGAAUGAAAGUGAAUAGUGGAAUUUUUUAGAUUGAAAAUUAAAUUUGAACGUCAGAUUUUUCAAGAAUUGGACUUUAGUGAUUGAAAUUUUUAAAAGAAAUAAAUAAAUAAAUAUGGAAUAACAAUAAUAAUUAACAAAAAUAAUAUUUAAACGGAUGAAAGUGAAUAGUGAAAUUUUUUAGAUUGAAAAUUAAAUUUGAAAGUUAGAUUUUUGAAGAAUUGAACUUUAAUGAUUGAAAUUUUUUAAAGAAAGAAAGAAAUAAAUAUGGAAUAAUAAUAAUAAUAAUGAAAAUAAUAUUUAAACGAAUGAACGUGAAUAGUGGAAUUUUUUAGAUUGAAAAUUAAAUUCGGAAGUCAGAUUUUUGAAGAAUUGAACUUUAAUGAUUUGAAUUUUUAAAAGAAAUAAAUAAAUAAAUAUGGAAUAAUAAUAAUAAUAACAAAAGUGAUGUUUAAACGAAUGAACGUGAAUAGUGGAAUUUUUUUAGAUUGAAAAUUAAAUUCGGAAGUCAGAUUUUUGAAAAAUUGAACUUUAAUGAUUGGAAUUUUUUUAAAGAAAUAAAUAAAUAAAUAUAGAAUAAUAAUAAUAAUUAACAAAAAUAAUAUUUAAAUGAAUGAAAGUGAAUAGUGGAAUUUUUUAGAUUGAAAAUUAAAUUUGAAAGUCAGAUUCUUGAAGAAUUGAACUUUAAUGAUUAGAAUUUUUUUAAAGAAAUAAGUAAAUAAAUAUGGAAUAAUAAUAAUGAUUAACAAAAACAAUGUUUAAAUGAAUGAACGUGAAUAGUGAAAUUUUUUUAGAUUGAAAAUUAAAUUCGAAAGUCAAAUUUUUGAAGAAUUGAACUUUAAUGAUUGGAAUUUUUUAAAGAAAUAAAUAAAUAAAUAUGGAAUAAUAAUAAUAAUUAACAAAAAUAAUAUUUAAAUGAAUGAAAGUGAAUAGUGGAAUUUUUGAGAUUGAAAAUUAAAUUUGAAAGUUAGAUUUUUAAAGAAUUGAACUUUAAUGAUUGGAAUUUUUUAAAUAAAUAAAUAAAUAAAUAAAUAAAUAUGGAAUAAUAAUAAUAAUUAACAAAAAUAAUAUUUAAAUGAAUGAAAGUGAAUAGUGAAAUUUUUGAGAUUGAAAAUUAAACUUGGACCUUGGAGAACUAGACCUAAAAUUAGAACCUUAGAAAAUUAUUUCAUGAAUGGAAACUUGGAAAACCGAUUUUUUUUUUUGUUUUUUUAAAAAGAAAACAAAGUUUAGGUAAAUUGAAUUUUCGAGAAUCAAAAUUUUAUAAAUCGAAUUUAAAAUUAAAUUUUAGAAAAUUAUUUCGAAAAUGAUAUUUUGUAUAAUUAAAUUUAAAAUCUUCAUAAAAAUCAUAUUUGUAUCAUUAGAAAAAGGACUUAAGAGGGCCAAAUACUUGGCCCAUUAGGGCCUACACUAAUCUGGCCUAAACUUAGAGGAUGGGGCUUAAGGCCCACCUGAACCAAUCUAGGCCCACAACUUAAAGCUUUGGGAGCCCACCAACAAAAUGGCUACCAUGAAGAUCAAAGGGUGCCACCUCCUCAUUUUUUAAAAGCUAGAGGGAUGGCUAAUGGGUAGCAGGUUAGCGGUGAAGAAUAGGGCCUGCAUGUCGAUGAUGGCUGUGAUGAAAUAGAGGAAUGGAGUGGGAGUUGCUGCCCAUGAACUACCGCGCGGGCAAGCGGACAAGAGCAUGGGUGCGGUGGAGGGCUUCGUCGUCUUCACCGCCAAGCGCCACUACCUUACCGCCACAAGUGCCGGAGGAGGUGAAACAGAAAGCGGAGAAGGGGACAACUGCUCCCCCGCCGACGCUAUCGUCCAUUUUAAUGACGACUCUUGGAGGCGAACCCAGCGGCACCUCUCUCGGCCAUUUUCACGAACCCUUCACGCUCUGCUCGGAGCUUCUUGAUGCUGCCUUUGAUGCGACUUUGGAGCUACGUCGGCGUGGCUGCGGGAGUGAGGAAGACUGCCACCUUAGGAUCUUUUGGAUCGAGCGGCCCAACCUUGGCUGUUAGGCGGUAGUUGUGUGGCUGUCCAUGAAGGAUGGGAACGUGGCAAUGGAGGAAAAUGGGUACAUAAAAAAAAAGGUGGGUAUGAAAGGUAGUGAAGGCAUGAAGGGUGUUUAACUUUGGAUUUGGGUCCAUGCGCGUGGAUAAAGUUGAUGGUGAGCAUAUGUUGGAGGGGGUUCUCGGUAGACAAGAGUCUAAGAUUUUCAUGGAAGUUUCAAAUGGAUCCUCAGGAACAGAGCAGGUUCCAAAGUCAUGCUAAAUUCAUUUUCUUGCUAUACCCGGUGGGUGAGGCGAACAACGAGCAUCCAUGCUAUUAAAUGAAUAUCAAAAUAAAUAAAAAAAUUUGAUACCUUACUCAUUUAUAAGAGAAAACGAAGAAGCGAAAAAGAAGAACAAAACAGAGCAAGUGAAGCGAGCUUAGGCUCAACAAGGUCCAAUCCUCAACAAGUGACGUUCAAGACCAGCAAUGGCAAAUGAGGAAGAAUAAAAAAUAAAAAUGAAAUGAAAUAAAAGAAAUCUGAAAGCAAAGGCAUCCAAUAUGGCCAUACCUGAGUUUCCCUAGUGAAGCUUUGUCUCGCUUCCUUUGACUGGUUUUUUUCUCCAGCUGCUUUCCCCCCUUCUGAAAAGUCCUUCGUUCGAGCUCACCCUUUUUUCUCUCUCCUCUCGUCUGGCUUCUCCUCCAAGCUAUUACCCACUCCCUUGUUCACCGAUCAGCAAGCAUGUCAUCUUCAACCACCACCAUGGCUAGCAAUGCUCCUUACCACCCAUCUAUGCAAUUGGUUCUCGGCAUAAGGAAGGGUUCCCCCACUCGUCUAAGGUGCUGCCCGCUCCUCCAGGUGGUGAGAAAGCAUCCUCCUAAUGCUAUAAAAUCCCUCAAAAAAACUAAUAGCCUUUAGUUUUUAAAAAGGGGUCUACACAUUUAUAAUUACUAAAUAAAUUAUUUUAAUAUACAAAUUAUUACUCUUUCUUUUUAAAUUGAUUAAUACUAAAAAAAAAUAUAUCUCUUAAUGUUGAAAUUUUUAUUGAAAUUUAAUUUUUUUUUUUAUUUUAUUCCUUUUACAAUGAAAUUUUAAAUUAAAUAUUAAUAUUUUUAAUUUUAAAAUUUAUAUAAUAAAAUUAAUUUAAAAAUUAAAAUAAAAUAUUUAGUAGUAUUUGGGCUUUGUAGUAUUGAAACUUUGGUAUAAGAAAUUUGAAAAUACUUCUAUAAUUAUUAAAAAAAAUUAGUAGAAUAAGAUAGUCCUUUCAACAUAAUUGAGACAUUAAAUUUUAAGCACUCUAAAAUUAUAAUCUUUACAAAUAAUAAAGAAGUUUUUGCAUCGAGACCAACUGAAUAUGAUUUGUAUGUUCUUAAUUUUCAUUUUCUUAUCUUUUAUCUUCCUAUACCUACAAGCCUAUUUAGAGAAAGACCUUUUAUUGAAAAAUGAGAGUUCAGAGUUAUUUCCCUUUGAAAAUAGAGUGGAUCGGAAGGUCUUUAUUAAAUAUAGGGUUUCUUCUAAAACGAGAUGAAGUAAAUUAGCAACUCUGAACAAUCUGAAGGAAAAGGAAUUUGAGUUAAGUUGAUGGGGCGUGCGACACUUUAUUAGGACUUUAAGAGAUAUUUUCUCUUUCACGCUAUCCUUUGAAAUUGAGUUGUGUCCGUUUUCAACUUAAUUUUUUGCUCUCUGUUUUUCUAAUGAAAAUAUAUCUUUUGUUGGGAGAAAAUAUUUUGUUGAAUAUAUAUAUUCAAAUGGAAGGUAAGCAAAAAAAAAUGAUAAAAAAUGGGUGUGAUGAAAUUUCAAAUUAUUGAUCAUCAUAUGUAUUUAACCUAAAUCUUAAAAAAGUGAAUGAAAUUAACUCGUUAAAUUUGUUCAAUACCACUUUUUAUAAAUAAUUUUUUAAUCAUGUAGCAUUCAAAACAAAAAACAUAUAAUUAACGAUAACAUGAAAUUAUUAAAAUAUUUAAAAUUAAAUAAUAUAAAGAAACAAUAAAAUGGUUCAUUUAUAUUGUUAGAACCAUUGUUUUAAAAACUGGUCACUCCGAUCGGUCGGAUGGUCCAUCAAUGCCCUUUCCAGUCUGAUCUAGGGAAAUGGACAGAGACAACUGACAAUCAGACCAUCGACCAUUCUUCAUGGACCAGUCAAGGUCAAAACCUAAAUGGCCUUGCCCAAAUCCAUUAAUUCCUAACCCGUUUGCUUGUUCCCAAGGUUAACUGACAUACCAUCGACCAUUCUUCAUGGACCGGUCAAGGUCAAAACCUAAAUGGGCUUUGCCCAAAUCCAUUCAUUCCCAACCUAUGUGCUUGUUCCCAAGGUUUGUAAGUAUAAAUACCCAUCUAUUGGCCCAAAUUCAUUAUUUCAAGCCCAUUUGCUUGUUCUCAAGUUCUACAGGUAUAAAUACCCUAUAAGUGGUUUAUAGAUUUCCAAUGUGGGAUGAGUUUUGAUAAUAAUGAAAGGAGCUUUGCAUGGUGGGGAAUUGAACCUAGGACUUAUUUUUAACAAAAUGUUAGCACACCACUAUGUUACAAAGCUAUUUGAUUAAUAAUUUGAUAAAUAUCUAUAUAUCUGUUUUUUAAUUUCUAUCAUAUAAAACAUUUAAACAAAUAUAAAUAUUUAUAUCUACUAUUAUUUUUAUAAUAAUUAUACAUAUCCUAUUUAAUAAAAUUUAAUAUAUUAAUACAUUUAUAUUUAUAUUUAUCAUUUAAUUUGACAAAUUGAACAUAAAAAAUAAAAUAUUAUUAAAAUUUUUAAUAAAAUAUAUUUUAAUUUAUUUUAAUUUUAUUAAAAUAUAAAUUAUAUAUUUAUAAUGUCAUCGAUUUGAUCGCGGUUUGACCACUGGUUCAACUAGUGAACCAUGAACUGGUAACUUUUUCGGUUCAAUAUUCGAUCCAAUUUUGAAAACAUUAGUUAAAACUUUUUUAUUUAUAGAAAAUGGUAAUAUGCUUUAAAGUUGUAGGAUGUUAAAAGCCCAAAUACAUGCCUACAUAUUUUCUUAUUUAUCUCCUAGUAUUUUUACCAAGUGAUAGAUAUAUUGGUGGCCAAGCAUUAUCAUCAUCAUUAUUUAUCUCCUAACAUCUUUAUGAAGUGAUAGGUGUAGGAAGAGUGUAAAUAAUUUUUAUUUUUAUUUUAUUUUAUUCUAUUAGUUUUAUAUUUUUUGGGAAGAGUCCUAUUGGGAAUUAUUUUUAUUUUAUUUUAUUCUAUUAGUCUUAUAUUUUUGGGAAGAGUCCUAUUGGGAUUGUGCUAGUGGAGUCCCAUUCCUUUUAUAAGUAGAAUCCUCUUCCACUUUGAGUUAUCUUUUGAUUACAAGCAGAUUCCCAUUAGGAUUGUGUUAAUGACCUAUAAAAGCAGGUCACCUUUUGCUCUCUAUAUGCCAAUACCAAUUUUUCAAAGAAUUUUUCAGAGCGUUUUUCAACCAUCUAUUUGGAUGAAUUUUUUCAAAAACCCGAACUGUAUACAUCUCACUUACAGAAUGCACCCAAGGCGACAUCUAGGUGUUGAAUCCCGGAGAUAGACCAUUGGUACCCUAGUGUACCGAAUUUGUCUUCGAGUAGGAUGAAUCUAUUUCAAGGACAGUGUUUGUCAUGCCUCAUUCGAUAAGUUUUUCUUCUUAUUAAUUAUGUUCUUUGUUUGUGUCUUUUGGGCUAGUCAUUUGUUUCCAUACCCUUAAUCCAACAAUCUUGAAAUAUAUCCAAAUGUAAGCUUCUCUAGUUCACACCCAUCCUAACACCUCUAAAAUUGAUCCCUUCAAUGGGACAUUCUUUAAGAGAUGGCAGGAAAAGGUUUUCUCUACAAUUGAUGUAGUGAACUUAGGACACAUUUUGACUGACCGAAUACCAAAAGAUAGUUCUCAUUUGUUACCAACCUGGGAAAUUGGAAAUAAACAAGUUAGGCAUGCUAUUCUAAGUACCCUUUCUAAUGAACUUUUUGAUAUUUAUUGUCAAUUUAAAGUUGUAAAAGAAAUUUGGGAUGCAAUGAAUAAAAAAUAUAGUUUGGAAGAUACAGGAACUCAAAAAUAUGCCAUAGAGAAUUUUAAAAAUUUCCAAAUGACUGAGGAUAGAGAUGUAUCAUCUCAAAUCCAUGACUACCACUUGUUGAUUAAUGACUUAGCUAUUGAAGACAUUAAAUUACCCGAACCUUUUGUAGCUGGUUAUUUAGUAGAGACUUUUCCAGAGUCUUGGAAAGACUACAAAAAUAACAUGAAACAUAAAAGGAAACAAAUGUCCCUAGAGGAUGUCAUAAUCUAUAUUAAGAUUGAGGAACAAAACCGAAAUAGGGAUAAUGCUGAGAAAGUUAAGGACUUGUCUUCUAAGGCUAAUGUAGUAGAAGAAAAACCUAAACCCAAAAACAAUAGGUCCAGGAAACAAAACUCUAGGAACAAACCCAAUGCAUCAAACAAGAUCCAAAACCCAAUUAUUAAAAAGAAAAAGAAAAAGUAAGGAUCUUGUUUGACUCUAAUAAAAUAGUUUUAACCAAGAAUGAUGCAUUUGUGGGGAAGGGCUAUUGUAAUAAGGGUUUAUUUAUGUUGAAUGUUUAUGAUAUUAUCAAUAAUAAUGCAUCUUCUUCUUUUUCUGCUUACAUAGUUGAUUCUUGUGAUAUUUGGCAUGGUAGACUAGGACAUGUGAACUUUUCAUAUAUGAAGAAAAUGGUUGAAUUGAGUUUAAUCCCUAAAUUGUCCUUAGAAAACCAUGGAAAAUGUGAAUCUUGUGUAGAAUCUAAAACCACAAAGAAAUCUUGCAAAUCAGUUGAAAGAGAAUCAAAUGUACUAAGUUUAAUACACAGUGACUUAGGAGACCUAAAAAAUACAAUGACUAGAGGUGGUAAACGAUUCUACAUAACUUUCAUAGAUGACUACUCAAGGUAUACAAGGGUAUAUCUUUUGAGAAACAAAGAUGAAGCAAGAUAUGCUUUCAUCAAGUACAAAAAUGAAGUGGAAAAUCAACUAAGUAAGAAAAUUAAAAGACUUAGAACUGAUAGGGGAAGAUAGUAUGAGUCCAACCUCUUUAAUUCUUUUUGUGAAGAUCAUGAGAUCAUUCACAAAAAUACUCCUCCUUAUUCUCUUGAGUCUAAUGGAGUAGCAGAAAGGAAAAAUAAGACCUUAAAAGAAAUUAUGAAUGCAAUGUUGGUAAGUUCAGGAGCACCCUUGAACUUAGGGGGGAAGCUAUCCUAUCUGCAUGUCAUAUUCAAAAUAGAAUACCUUAUAAGAAAACUGGAAAAACUCCUUAUGAGUUGUGGAAGGGUUAUGCACCUAAUAUAGCAUACCUGAAAGUGUGGGGGUGUUUAGCUAAAGUUCUUUUCCCUGAACCUAAAAAAUGAAAACUAGGUCUUAAAACCUUUGAUGCAAUGUUCAUUAGCUAUGCUGAGAAUAGUGCGACAUAUAAGUUUCUUGUUACUAAGUCAGAAAACAGUCUUGUAGAUGUCAAUACUAUUAUGGAAACAAAGAAUGCAGAUUUCUUUGAAAACAUCUUUCCUAUGAAACUAAAUGGUGAACAACAAGUUUAGAAAACAAGUAGAGACAAGUCUAUUGAACCUUCUGAAUUUGAACCUAGAAGGAGUAAAAGUGAUAGGAAAGAAACAAACCUUGGAGAUGGUUUCUACACCUUCCUAAUAGAUGAGGACCUUAAUCCUACAAAGAAGCUAUAACUUUUCCUAAUGCGCCAUUUUGGAAAGAGGCCAUUAACAGUGAAAUCGAAUCAAUCAUGUAUAACCAUACGGGGAGUUAGUAGAUUUACCUCCUGGUACAAAGACUAUUGGUUGUAAGUGGAUCUUUAAAAGAAAGUUAAAAUAAGAUGGGUCCAUAGAGAAGUAUAAAGCUCAUUUAGUUGCCAAAGGCUUUAAACAAAGGAAAGAUGUAGAUUACUUUGACAACUUUGCCCUUGUGAAUACAAUAGCAUCAAGUAGAGUAUUGAUCACUCUAGCUUCCAUUCAUAAUUUGGUUAUACACCAAAUGGAUGUUAAGAUUGCAUUCUUGAAUGGGGAUUUGGAAGUGGAAAUUUAUAUGGAACAACUUGAGGGUCGUGUAGUUCCAGCGAAGGAGAAAAAGGUGUGUAAGUUGGUUAAAUCACUAUAUGGGUUAAAACAAGCUCCCAAACAGUGGCACAACAAGUUUGAUCAUGUGUUAGUAACUAAUGGAUAUUCCAUUAAUGAUGCUUAUAAGUGUAUCUACAGUAAGUAUGAGGAUAACACAUGUGUAGUCAUCUGCCUUUAUGUUGAUGACAUGCUGAUCUUUGGAACUAGCCUAGAGGUUGUGUGUGAGACCAAGAAAUUCCUAGGUCCUAAGUUUGAUAUGAAAGACCUAGGAGAGGCAGAGGUGAUUUUAGGAAUUAAAAUAACUAGAACACCUAAUGAGCUUAAACUUUCUCAAGAGCACUAUGUAGAAAAGAUCCUAAGGAAGUUUGAACGCUUUGAUUGUAAACUAGUGUCAACUCCUUAUGAUCCCAGCUCACUACUGAAGAAAAAUAAAGAACAUAGUGUUGCCCAAAUAGAGCAUGCUCAGAUCAUAGGGGACCUAAUGUACUUGAUGAACUGUACUAGACCUAACAUUGCUUAUGCAAUAGGUAGAUUGAGUCGAUACACCCAAAGUCCUAAUCAGGACCAUUGGACUAUUGUUCGUAGAGUCCUUAAGUAUUUGAGAGGCACCAUUAGUGAUUUAGUGGAUUUCCAAGUGUCCUUGAAGGAUUUAGUGAUGCAAAUUAGAUCUCGGAUUCAGAUGUGAUGAAAUCCACUAGUGGAUAUGUUUUCAUAUUUGGUGGAAGUAUAGUUUCUUGGAAGUUUACCAAGCAAACUUGCAUUACUCGGUAUACUAUGGAGGUUAAGUUAAUUGCCUUAGAAAAGACAAGUUUUGAGGCUGAGUGGCUUGAAAACCUCUUAGCAGAUAUCCCUUUAUGGACGAGACAAACCUCGCCUGUGUCUAUGCGUUGUGAUAGCCAAGCUACAAUUGCUAAGGCUAAGAGUAAAAUAUUUAAUGGGAAGAAUAGGCAUAUAUGGCUAAGGCACAAUAUUGUGCGGUAGCUUCUUGAAACGAAUUUGUGAGGUCAGAGUUGAAUUUGGUCGAUCCUUUGACCAAACCACUAAAUAAGAAACUAGUGGAAGAAACAUUGAGGGGGAUGGGGCUUAUGCCUAUUACAGAAGUUAAGAGUGGUGGUAACCCAACCUAUUAGAAUGGAAAUUCCAUGAAGUAGGUUCAUAUGGGUAAUAACAAAUCACUUGUUGACUUGAGGUGCUAUAUCAACUCUAAUUGUAUGAGGGUCUAUCCCUAUGGUGUAGAUAGAGCGUAUUUUGCAUUGAUUAAGGUUGAGUGUUUACUCUUAAUGAAUACCAUAUUCCUUAUGGAUGGUAUGUUUAAAUGCAUAACAUACUUGAUGGAUUCACCUAUAUGAGAGUGGAGCCGGGGCCGCUUCCUAUGAGAACUUAGGUAGUUUCUCUAGAACUCUCAUGAAUAUCCAGGUAGGGCGCAUGGCCUAUUUGUGCCAACCCAUUUUGUACAACUCGUAGUGUAAUUGAGAAAACCAAUGUGGAUAAAAGUUCAUUGAGUUACAUCAAGAAACACUGGUUCAUAGAAAUUUAUUUUCACCCUGUUUUGUGAUUCAAUACCUAUUUGUCUUAAGACUAGUUCAUAGCCUUUGGGUACCAGUACUAAUGCAUUGGAUUUUUUUUCCUCAAAAAAUAAAUAAAUAAAUAAAUAAUCACGUUUACACUUUGUGGGGGAUUGUAGGAAAAGUGUAAAUAAUUUUUAUUUUUAUUUUAUUUUAUUCUAUUAGUCUUAUAUUUUUGGGAAGAGUCCUAUUGGGAUUGUACUAGUGGAGUCCCAUUCCUUUUAUAAGUAGAAUCCCCUUCCACUCUGAGUCAUGCUCUGAUUACAAGUAGAUUCCCAUUGGGACUAUGUUAGUGGCCUAUAAAAGCAGGUCACCCCUCGCUCUCUAUAUACCAAUACCAAUUUUUUAGAGAAUUUUUUUAGAGAGUUUUUCAAAUAUUCUUUUCAUACAUCUAUCUAGACGAAUUUUUUCAAAAACCCGAGCUGUACACAUCUCGCUUACAAAGUGCACCCAAGGCAAGAGCUGGGUGUUGAAUCCUGGAGGUAGACCACUGGUACCUUAGUGCACCGAAUUUGUCUUCGAGGAGGGUGGAUCUAUUUCAAAGACAAUGUUUGCCACACCUCAACCGACAAGGCGGCACAACGUGCACAACCAUUUUUUGAUUUUUCUUUGGGAAUUUUGCUUUGUUUAGGAACUUUGCUAAAAUGGGCACUUGACCUUGAUGAACAUUUUUCCUAGAUGGACACUCGGCCUUGGUGGGCAUUUUACCUAGAUGGGUGCUUGGCCUUGAUGGACAUUUUGCCUGGAUAGGCACUUGUUCUUGAUAGGUAUUUGCUUAGAUGGGCAUGUCACCUUGUUGGGCACUUGGCCUUGAUAGACAUAUCAUCUAGAUGGGCAUUUUGCCUUGAUGGGCACUUGGCUUUUAUGAGCAUUUUGCCUAGAUGGGUAUUUUACCUUCUUUGAUCUUUCAUAGGUUGGAACUCUAUAGGUGGUGGGGUUGUGUUUUGGGUUGUAUUUUCCAGGCACACAUGUGUAGGGGUAGGGAAAUGCUGCAUUUCCUCCUGGUUUUAGCUCUAGAUGUGCUUAUUGCCAUGCACACAUGUAAGUAUUGUUCUGCUUCUUCUUCUUGUGUUUAAGGGUAAGUUGAGUUUUUUUUCGUACUCUUACAUUUUCUCUCCAUCUUUCUUUGUCUUUAUUUUGUUGUGCAGAUGAAGUGUGGCAUCAAGGAUUUUAGUAGGCGGAAAGGUGAGCUUCACUACCACGUUGCUGAAACUGACCAACUGAGGUAAGUCAGGUACUUUUUUUGCAGCUAAAGCUUUUGGUUGGGUGCUUUCUUGGCACUUGACGAUUUGACCGAGUGCUUCUUGGAACCUAAGGCUAUGGUCGGGUGCUGUUCGGCACCUAAGACUUUUUGGUUGAGUGCUUUUUUGGCACUUAAGGCUUUGUUGGGCUCUAUGCUUGGCUGGGUACUACUUAGGCACCCUAGGCUUUGUUGGGCACUAGGCCCAACUGGAUGCCACUUAGGCACCUUAGGCUUUAUUGGGCUUUAAGCCUGGUUAGGUGCUACUUGGGCACCGUAGGCUUUGUUGAGUGCUAGGCCUAGCUAAGUGCUACUUGGGCACCCUAGGCUUUAUUGGGCUUUAAGGUUGGUCAGGUGCUACUUGGGAACCUUAGGCUUUGUUGUGCUCUAGGCCCAACUAGGUGCCACUUUGACACCUUAGGCUUUAUUGGGCUCUAAGCCUGGUUAAGUGCGACUUGGGCACCUUAGGCUUUAUUGGGCACCCUAGGCUUUAUUGGGCUCUAAGCUUGGUCGGGUGAUAUUGGGCACCUUAGGCUUUAUUGGGCUUUGGACUUAGCCAGGUGCUACUUAGGCACCUUAGGCUUUGUUGGGCUCUAGGUCUGGUCGGGUGCUACUUGGGCACCCUAGGCUUUAUUGGGCUUUAGCCUUGGCUGGGUGCUACUUGUGCACCUUUGACUUUGUUAUGCUCUGGCCCUGAUCAGGUGCUACUUGGGCACUUUAGGCUUUGUUAAGCUCUAGGCUUGGCCGGGUGCUACUUAGACACCUUAGGCUUUUAAAGUCUAAUGCUUCUUUAUACCUAAGGUUUUUUUUUUUUUUUUUUUUUUUUUUUUUUUUUUUUUUUUGCGGUCAUGCGAUGCGUAACAUAUUUGAUUUGAAAAAUACAACAGUUGACGAUAUUGCUUCCCCAUUUGGGGAUCUUUGCUUUUAGAUGGAUUAGGCCAUUUGGUAAGAGUAGGAAGUUCUUCUUUGGUAGAUCCACCAGCGCCUCUUUGUCCACUGAUAGUGUCUAGGCAGUUGCAUUGAGUCAGGCCACCAAGAUCUAGUUCUCCCUUUUGAUUCGGUUAACAAGUCUUCUCAGUUUGUCCAACUACCUUCGAUACUUGUUAGCUACGGUUCAGUUGUUUGUUGUGGCCACUCAUAAGUUGUUGGGAUGACACUCUCACCAUCAACAUAGUUAGCUGCCAAUGUAGUCACCAUGGUUGGCUUUUGUUUCAUUCCCAUAGAUGAUGCCAAUUGUUGGUGCACAAUCUUUCUAGAUGUGAUGAUUUGGUGACUAUCCGGGUCGCUAUCCAAUCUUCUAUUGUCACCUCCUCUAUUGGUGGGUGUCUUGGUUCUCUAGGAAAAUGAUAUUUUUUUUCCUUGUUCUUCUUUCUCCUUUAUAGGUUAGAGUUAGACGUUGGAGGUUGUGUGGAGUACACGAUUAGCUUGGCAGGUUUGUGUUAGGCAGUGUGUGGUCGACUAUCCCUAACGCUUCAUGUUGAUGUGACAAGAUGAUGUUUUCCUUAGAGAUUUGUUCCUCAUACAUGUCUUGUUGUUGCCUUUGGUAUUCAUGCCACAUGAUCCAUGUUGGCAGCCUAAAAACUUCUUCCCAGUGACCAAUUUUUUAGUUCUUCUAGGAUCAGUUGGAGUGGGCUCUCGGAUCACUAUAGGUUUAAAUAGAGUCGGGAUGACUUCUCGAUCGGGAGACAAUAUUCAGCCGAUACAACAUCCGGGUACCCCUUCUUGGCAAAAUUCGGCACCCUCAGGAGGCAGCUUUUAUAGCGAAAUCUGCCACCCCCGACCCGAGUAAGCAGGUAGACCCACAGGUUGGCUGGCUUCUAUGGUUUGUACCUCCAAUUAUAAUGGAAGUAUAAAUUUUAAAAAGAUUCAGUGAUUGUAGGAUUCAAUUCUAAUGCUCUUAUAGUAGCCAAGGGUCCUCGGACUCAUGGUAGCACACAGACAUGUCCUCUUCUAUCUAUGCAAAUAGUCAUGCAAAAUACAAAUAUUCCCUCAUACAUUCUUAUAGUUUUACAUGUAUAUGAAUUUAAUUAUUUUAUGUUCUGACUAGUGAGUAGAAAGUGAGUUAAGGUCUCCGACAACAAGGUCUCCAAGCAACCAUAUUUCCCCAUUUUAACCUCGCUACUGCCAUUGAUGCGGUAGUAGAGUAUAACUGGCACAUAUAGAUAUGCCAGAAGAGCAAUCGAGAGCAGAUAGCUUCAAAUUCUGAAUGUGAGGUUCAGUUGGAGACUGGUUUUAUUAGCCUUUUAGAUAUGAUUUGAACCUCUAUUUUAGACAAGAACUUGGAGCUUCUGAAUAUAUGUAGUACAACUCCUUUGGUCAUGUAUAUAUGUGCAUAUUGCGUUGAGAUAGACAACAUACAAUCACUUGGCAACACAAUAUUAAAACUUUCAGAAUAUCACAAAAUUUGAUUGAUGUCAAAGACUCAUUCUGGACAUUUAGGAUAGGAGGUUACAAUAAAGCCAUUAACUGUACACAUAAGUUCAUUUGCAAGAAUUGGGAACCAAUUUAGAAGGUCAAGUAUAUUCGCUGUCAACAAGAAUGACGCCCUCCGAUUUAAGAUCUCUACUGAGGAGGAACCCAGUUUGAUCAAGAUUCUAGGAUCAAACAACAGAGUCAAAGUCAAAUCAAGAGCAACGUUCCAACUUGUCAUGAAGACCAAGAAUAGUAAUUGCUUUUGAGCAAGCAGUGAAAUUAUUUGCAAUCAGACAAUCAUCUUCUUCUUCAAGAAAUGCUGUAAUGAAAUUCUUACCAGUUGUGUCUGAUUCUUCGAAACAUGAAGUUAGCAAACAGAUUGUUCAUAUAUAAUGUCAGUUGGCAUAAAUGUAGUGUUCAAUCACCAAGCCACAAAGAUGAUACAACAGAACAGUUGCAGCAGGAAAACUUGGUUGUUUAUUCAAAAUCAAGUAAAUCUCUAGGUCCCUCAUACCACGAUUGCUCCCAAUAUUUAGGUCUUGGCGUAGACAAUUCCUUUCGUGUCUAUGUGGACAGAACAAUGCUUGGUGUUCUAGUUGUUGUCUUUCACCAUGGUCUAUAGAAAAAAUGUCCAGAAAAACAACUAAUGAUCAGUAGAAGUGUAAAAGGGAAGAAAGAAAACUACUGAUAGAUUGGAUCAUGACAGAUAUUUAUUUUUCCUAAAAGAAUGUAAAUGUAUGGUUGCUCUUUGAGUACAGCUCUCUACAGCACAAAAAUAAGGCAAUCAAAUGAAACAAACCAAGAAAACAACAAUAUUAAAAGAGUUAUGAAAUAUCACCAGAUGAGAUCCAACAGUAAAUUAAGAAACUUUAUAUAAUCUUGUUUACCUUAGGGCCAUGUCUGGAGGAGUUCCAAUUGUAGGCCUAGGGCCAAUGUUGAUAGGCACAUGCCCAGAUCUUAGACACCCUCAAGAUGAACAGUAGCAGCUACUCUAGGCGCUCCUACUGCACAGGCAAAAAACAAGUUAGUCAAUGUUUCUUGGCUAUUGGCUUUGGCUUGGACCUUGGUGGUUAUGUCAAUUUUAGAUAAAUAUGUUAAUAAUCCAAUGACUAUACUCCAAGAUUGAUGAUAUAUAUGCAAUAUAUCAAUUUGGAAAUGUCGAUAUAAACAUUUAAGGAAUUUAAAUUAGUCAAUUUUCAACAAUCUAGCAUUCAAAAGUGUACAAAAUGGUUAUAACUUGAAAGUUUGAAUAUAAACUGAGGUACAAUAUUCCUAUAGGCUCAAGUCUCCCUAGAACAAGGCAUCACAUCACAUAUUUAUGUGGCCUUAUGUUUGAGGUAAGCACCUUAUCUAUUGGCGAGUUCAUCAAUAAUAAGCUUUUUGCAAGAAAUUGGAGACCUAAAAUUACUCUAAUACUUCUUUUAUUGAACAUUAAAUUUUCUUAAAAGUGUUAUCGAUUAUCAAACAUUUAUAUCAAUGGUGGAAACUAGUUUGCUACCAAAGUGAAGGUCAAAGUCCUAAUUAUCAUUUCACUAAACAAUGUAAUAUAGUAUUAUACAAUUAUUGCUUUUAAAAGAAAAUUUACAAGCUAACUAGCGAAAUUUAUGAUUAUACCUUUUUCCGACUUCACUCACGCCAUUGAGCUUUAUAAUUUGAUGAAACAAGCCUAAAUCAAAAUUAUACAAAAAAAAAUAAAGAAUUGGAGAAAACAAACUUGUAAGCACUAAAUUUUGUACUUUAAAAGAGGAAAUAGGAUGCCAAUUGUAGGUUUAAUUUAAAGAAACCUUAAAAAAAUAUUUUUAAAAUUAUAGGAAAACCCCCAUACCUUAGAAAAGAUUGGGGCGAACAGUCUACCUUUUGGCGAUGUUCACAUCUUGAGAGGAAUGACUUCUUUCUUAGUAGAUCUGAUGAUGGUGUUGAUCUUUGGGAAGAGAUGAUUAGAAGGCUACGUUGAAUUUUAGUGAGUGAGAGAGAAAGCAACACCCAAAACCCUAAAGCAAAAAAGGAAUUAAUAACUUAAAUAGAUUCCAUUUUUUCCUUAUGACAUGUCUACCUUAGUAAGGUUUUUAUGGCAGUGAUACCAUUUGGAUAAUUAAGUCAUUGAUUUUGAUGGAUCUUUUCCAUUUGAAUUUUUAAUAUAUAAACUUAAUCUUUUUACUUGGGGUAAUAUAUUUGGUAUUUUAGGAUUUCCUUUUUAAUAAUAUGCUUUUAGUAGAUGGUUUAACUAUGUCCUAGUGUAAUAAGUAGUCUUGCAUUACAUUAUCUACUAUGGAGUAGGAGUGUGUUGCUUGUUCAAGGGAUGUAUGGGAAGUUGUUUAUUUGAUGAUAUACUUUCAACACUUAGAGUCACGACUUGAGCUAAUAAGUUUAUCAAGAUCUAAGCAUUGAUGGUGUUGCUACUCUAUUGUAUAGCAAGGAUCCAAUUAGUCACAUUGUAGGACAAAACACUUAUAGACAAUUGAUUCUACUACAUUCAAGAUAUUGUUGCUUAAGGGGAGGUAGAGUCAAAACAAGUAGACAAUUGAUACAACUACACACACAACAUAGAGACAAAACACAUGAAUAAUACUAUGGUUGAAUAAAUUAAUUGGAUGACAUCAAGCUAACAUUGAUCUAGUAUAAUUAUUUGGAGCCUAAAUGAGGGUAUGAUGAGAUGAUAAUUAUUUUGUCAUCAACAUAGUGAACAACAUAAAUUAAAAUCUUGAAAUGUCACCUUAGCCAACCUAGUAGAAAUGAUUCAUCAAAAUAUUUGAAUGUGAGAUCUUAAAUUGGUGUUUGACAAAUAAAUAUGGUAAUAAACAUAUAUUAAGUAUAUAUGAAGUGACCAAGCUGAGAUUUGUAUCAUGUUAUUAUAGGGAAUCCCGAAUCUCUUUGUUCCUUAUCCUAUGAUUAGGCUAGGUACAUGCGAAUCUUUCUAAGUUUUUCUAAAUCGUAUGAACAAUGGAAAAAUUGUGUUUUAAAAUAAUAACAAGAUUUAGAAUUUGCAUUAGAAAACAUUACCUUAGAUUUGGAUGUUCCCAAAUCUAAUUCACGUAGUAAAGGAGAAGAUUGAAGUUUUCAGAGGUCUUGAACACCCAAGAUCUUCCACCAGAUGACUUUUCCUUGAUUUUAGAUCUUAAUUGGUGAAGAGGAAGGAAGACUAAAAAGGCUAUGGUUCUCUCUCUCUUUGAAUAGUGAAAAAUGGCUCACUUCAAAAAAGUAAUGAAAACCUUAUUAUUUAAGGGGUAUUUAUUGGGUUCCCUAAUUGGGUGUAAGUGACUUAAGCGUACUAAAGGUUUGAAUCAUUUAAUUUAGCUCAAAAUGAGUCUUAAUUGAUUAAUUAACCUAACAUAGUUAUCUAAUUAAUUAAUUAGCUAAAUUUGGAGACUUUGUUCACUUACCCCUAUGCAACCUUGCAUAAUUACCAAAACACCCUUAUACGUAAAAGUGAACCAAGAGUUGUGUCAUCAAGGUAUAUGAGCUUAGGUGGAGACCAUUGAGACUUAUAGGACAGUACUAGCUACCCCAAAAUCUAAUUUUGAAGUUGAUUUAACAUUUCACUAUAGAGAAUCAAUUGCACUAUAAUACCUUAUGUAAAUAACAAUGAGAUGCUAAGUGGUCGAGCCCAUGACUUAUUAUCCAUUGCAUUCAGUCUCCCUAUGAACUGGUGUUUGUAGUCUAAUAAGGUGAAAACUAUCAACCUUUCAAGACUACCUCUACUAUCUUUGAAUUACAAAUCCUCUUAUUAUGUAUUUAAUUGAUAUAUCUUAAGUCUCCAAGAGUCUAUGUCAAGUUCCAUUUAAGAAACUACUAUGACCAUAGUUUACAUGAACAUACCUCCUUAGGAUCACUUAAGGGGACACUCUGUCUCAAUCCUCUUAGAUUUCAUGGUACUUCUGUUACAAAUACUCAUUGUCAUAGACUUGGAUCAAUAGUGAACCAAUCCAUAAGGAACAUAUCUUACGAUUUCAUUAGUAGGUCAAAGUCACUACUAACUUUAACACAAAUUCUAUAUUCUCUCAAGGUUAAGAGAUAAAACAAUGAAGCAACUUGGUGAAAUCAUGACUAUUUAAUAGCUUUAUGUCAUGAUUCACCAUAAGUCUUGUCUAAUGUGUAACCAUAUGCACUAGUAUACUCACCAUGGAAAACCCAUCCUGAUAACCAAGACCAACCAUUCCUCUAAAUAUGAAGUAGCAUACUAUAACCUCUAAUGGGUUACCUAGGCCUAUGAAUCGGUUGUGAACAAGUCAUUUACUUACAAUGAAUCCAUUUCUUAAAUUUUUUUUGCAACUCUUAAUGCACUCAAGUCCUGUACAAUACAAGAUAUAUAUAUUAAAAUGCUUACAAGGUAUAAUGUAUAGGAUUAGGAUAAAUAAAAGUGAACUAAAAGUUUAUUAAUAAAUAAUAAAAUUUUAAAUUUAUUACAUCGUGUCAUGCUUUUAUGAAACCUUUAAAAUACUAAGAGCAACCUUUCAUAAUCAUGAAUUAAACUUUAGUUUCAACUUCUAUCAAAGGCUAAAUGAGAAAAGCUAUCAUAGAGGAGGCCUCAGCCAAUGGGUAAGAUGCACUGUUAUACCAAACAAUAAGUGGAAAAUACAAUUUUAUUAAUACUUGAGAAAAAAAAAAAGAAAGAAAUAAAAGGAAGAUUUUACACUCAAACCAAGCAUUUAUUUAUAAUGAAGUGCAGUCUCCGUACGCACAUGUGGACUUAUUGGAAAAUCAUACAAAUUAUUGAAGGACGACCUUAGCUAGGCUAACAGUCUCCUAAAUAGGCUAUCUUUUAUAUAUCUUUGCAUUCAUCCAUCUCCUCAUUGUCUUUGAUUUUAGAUGGUGAGGAUGUGAAAGUAACAGGAAGCAGUGGACAAUUGUUCACAGUGAGGCUUAGCACAUCAGCUCUCGAAUAAUGUCCUACCACAUCGAACUGGAACUUUGCUUUAGGAAUCUCUCCACGAACAUCUACAUAUCAAGUGAUCACAAAAAUAUUUCAUCGGUCCAUGAUAAAUAUCAUAGAAUAUCAAGUCUUCGAUAAAACUAAGUUUGCAGUCCUCUUAAACCUAAAGAAUCAACUCAUUUGCCUUAUCUGCAUACUGAAAUAUUUGGAUAUAUAAUUGGAGAAGUUAGGGCCAUACCAAGAUCAGCUGUGAAGAGGCCUUCUCCUUCAUAAUUCGGUCCUGCUAGAAUUUCGCCAUGGGGCGAAAUGAUGACACUACCUCCAGCCCAAACAAUAGAAUCUGGAGUGACAUCUUCUUCUGUAGGACUGUAAAGAUACUCAGGUGGAGGUGGGUAAUCUUUCCUCCGACAGAACUGGAUGGGUGAAAGAACAUAGCAUCCACCCUCAAUAGCGACGUGUCUCAUUGUAGCUACCCAUGUAUCCCCGGAAUCGGCAGUAGGAGCACAAUAUAUCUCAAUACCUAUAGAGAUGUACAUUCGUAUUUUGUGAUCAAUCAAUCCCAUAUCAAAGCCAUAAUGUAUUUCAAGCCUAUUUAUAGGCUAAAACCCUAACAACUUAAAAAAGAGUACUGAAGUAUUUCAAGCCAAACCAUAUUAGUUAGUGAAGAAAAAGACAUACCUUUGCCAUACAUUGAUGUCCUGAAAAGCGGCAUUCUAUUUUCCCAACAAAUGACCGAACCAAGUUUUCCAUAUGGAGUAUCAUAAACUGGAGUAGUCGAGCAAUCUCCGAAACCCCAGAACAGCCGCUCCCAAUAUGUUGGCAUGAGUUUCCUAUGUUUUCCAAGGUAAUUACCUUCAGGAUCAAAGAAGAGAACAGUGCAAUACAAUGUGUAUCCAUCUCUCUCAACAACACCUGUCACUAAGUAGACUUUGUAUUUCGCAGCCAUUGAUGCCAAUCUAUCCACUUCAGGUCCUGAAAAUACAUUAAUAUGAGAUCAAAGAUGAAAUAUGUAAGCUGAUGGCUCAUCACAAAGCAUAAGUAGAUUUUUUUUUUCUUGGUUCAUUCAUCAAACGUGUCUUGUUUCAAUAACUAAUUAAGUGGUUCAGUUCUUUGGCUAUUUAAGGGAGAAAGAGAGAGGUAACUGACCCGGCACAUUAAUGGCAGAAGCAUGGUACUUGCGGAAACUUUCUUUCCCUCUUGGCGACUGGUCGGCGAAAUUGUAUCCCCGGGGAUACCCACCGAUAAAUGCUUCAGGAAACACAACCAGUUGGGAUCCUAGUGCAGCUGCUUCUUUCAAAAACCUCUCAGCCUUAUCUGCUCUCAAAAUCACAUUGCAAGAAUUAAUAAUCCACGACUUAGUAAAUUAAUUGGUUGAAUGGACAGAAUGAAAAUUAACUUCAAGAGAUCCCGAAUGACUUUUUGGUUGCUGAGAAAACUCAAGGAAAAAGAGACCUAGAUGAAACUUGAAACUCUCAUAUUUUCAGCUGUUUUGUAACUAAGAAAAGAGAAACCACCUCAACCCAACUCAUUAAAAUAAUUGUAAAAGCAGUAAUUCCUUGAUUGGCAGCUGAAAAUAUGAUCAGGGUUCAAUCAUCCUUUUCUUUUUUUCAGUCUCUGAGCAACCAAUUAGAUCACAUAUUCCAUUACACAAGUUGAACAAUUGAAAGAAAUGGUACGUUACCUAGAGUGGCAGGAGUAUCAUAAAAGAUACUAGAAGCUUGAACAACGGUGGCUCUAACAGUUGAAGACAUUGCAGAAAUCGUAUGCUUUUUCGUUUCCCUUUUGUUUGAGGAUUCCUUACACAACGUUCAGUAUAUAUAUUGCCCAUGAACAUGAGGUUCUUCUGCCAUUACUUGAACGAGACGAAGAGGCUGUGAAAAGUCUACCUUGGUUUUCUAUAUUCAUUGUGAGCUUUUCUCCUCAUCACAAAUUUUGAAGUUAUCCGCAGACAUUGUGGACCAGCCACAUGACUUGUACAAAUUGAAAAUGACUGUAAGAAAAUGACUCAGCCAAUUCAAGAUAUUUGUCAUUAAAAGAAUAGUCAUUAAAAGCACAAGAUAUUUGUCAUUUUUUUUUUUACAAAAACGACUGAGUCGUACAUAGUGUUAUGGUUAUAGACGCCCAAAAGAAGUCUUUUUGUGCCUUGUAAGAAAACCUUAGCCAAUUCAAGAUGACCACAGAAUCAAAAUAAGUUUUAUCGCUUUCUUUUUUUUCUACAGGUACGAUGAUUAUCUUUGAACGAAAAGAGGGAGCCGCCCACAUGCACAUAAAAAGGGAGUAAUGAGUGAUUCAAUGGCAGCUAUGGUAGAAAAAUAAAAAGGGAACUAUGCUUACCCUCACGUUGAUUCAAGCAAAUAUAUUUUUUAGGAAUUCUAAUUUUCAUAUUUCACCCCAAACACAUAAUCAAUAAAUUUAUUCUUCAAAUAUGUAUUUUAAUAACAACCAAAAUGAGAAUUCUAUAGUUAUCCCUUUUAAAAUCUUUAAUAUGACAAGUCAUCAUUUGAUCUGUUUGAUAUCCUCUCCAUAUCAUGUCUUUGAUAUCCUAACUUUGACAUUUUUUUAUUUAUAUACGCUGAAGUGAAUACACUUUCAUAUUUCUUUUUAUUCUUUUAAUAUUUUCAUAUUUAUUAACUUAGUCAUUUUUUUGAAACAUUAACAUAAAAUUAUAAUAUAUGAUCAAUAACUAAUAAGAACAAAUUAAACAUAAAUAUAAGUACGGAAUGGACAGAAAAUAAAAAAUUUAUCCUACAAAUAAUACACUAUAUAGUUUAAAAUAUUAAUUAUAAUAAUAUAUUUGAUACUUUAGGGUUUAGAUUAAAAAAUUAUGUUUUAUUUUUUAGAGGCUAGGAUAUAGGAUUUCCAUUAACCAAAGAUUUUUUGUAUGAAUCCUAAAUAAAAUGUGUAUUUAUUUUGCAAAUUCUUAUCAUAUAUAAAUAAAAUAAAAUAAAUAUAUUUUUAUCAUAUUAUUUUUAAUUUUUAUUAUUUUGUGUCAAAAUCACAGUCAAUGAUGGUGGUUUUUGUUAUGAUAUAGCUCUUAAAAGGAUGUUAUGAUGCAAUAAAUAUGAAGUUUAUUAUUUAUUUAAUGGUAUUUUGAUUUUACUUUUAUUAAUCUUUAUUUCAUGCAUUUUACCUUAUGAGUAUUCUAGCUUGACAUUUCUUGCACUAUACAUAACUUGGGUGCAUUAAAAAUUGCAUGAAAGAUCCAAGUUAUAGGUUCCUUGCAAGUAAAUGAUUUGUUCACAACCGCUUUGUGAACUUAAGCAAUCCAUUUGAUGUCGUAGUUCACUACCUCUUCAUUAGAGGAAUGAUUUAUCUUGACUACCAAGAUAGAGUUCUCAUGGUGAGUACACUAGUAUGAUGAGUUAUAAUUUAUAAUGUAAGGUUGUUGGGUAGUCAUAACUCACUAAGUUGUUAUAUUGUAUUAUCUUCUCAACCUUGAGAGGAUACUGAACUUGUGCCAAAGUCUAUAAUUGUUUGACCUAUGGGUGAGAUUCUAAAGUGAUUAUAUAUUCCUUACAGAUUGGUCACAGUAGAUAGAAGUCAGUAGUAAUAAGUAUUCUCAAUACAAACAUCACGAUAUCUCAUGGAAUUUGAGAUAGUGUUGGGUCAUAAUAAGGACAUGUGAUCAUGAAAUCUAUGGUCGCAUUAAUUCUUUAAAUGAAAUUUGAUAUAUGCUUUUGUGAGUUAGAGUAUGCUAGUUGAUCAUAUAAUAAGAGAAUAUGUGACUCAAGAAUGGUAUAGGUAAUCUUGAAAGGCAAAUAUCUUUCACCUUAUUAGAUUAUAAACACUAAUUCCUGGGGAGACUAUAUGCAAUAGAUAGCAGGUCACGAACUUAAGCACUUUGUGUCUUGUUGUAAUACACAUAGGGUAUUGAAGUGUAGUUGACUUUCUAUAGUAAGAUGUUGAGUCAAUUUUAAAAUUUGAUUAUAAGGGAGCUAGUACUAUCCUAUGGGUCUUAGCAGUCCUUGCUCAAGUUCAUAUAUCUCAAUGGCAUGGUUUAUGAGGGUUGGAUUAACUCAUGAUUCACUUAUGUGCAUAAGGCUGUUUUGGCAAGUAUGCAUGAUUACAUAGGAGUUUGUUGGGACAAAACCUUAUAAAGUAUGACAUGAUGUAAUAGAUUUAGUUUCAUUAAUAAAUUUAUUUAUUUACUAUUCUAGUUCCCUUGUAUUAUCCCAUUGGCAUUAAUUGGUUAUCAAAGUAUUUACACCCAUAUCACUUGCAUUGUACAUGACUUAGGUGUAUUUAGAGUUGACCAAAAAAUCCAAGUCAUGGGUUCUUUGCAAGGUAAUAAAUAGUUUAUAGUAGGUUCAUGGAUUUGAGCAAUUUAAUAGAGACUAUAGUGUACUACUUCCCAAUUGGAGAGAUGACUAGUCUUAGUCACCGAGAUGACUUUCCCAUGAUGAGUGCAAUAAUGUGUAUAGUUACACAUUGGACAUGACCUAUGGUGAAUCAUGACAUUAAUUGUUGGGUAGUCAUGAUUCACCAUGAUACUAGAUUGUAUAAACUCUCAACCUUGAGAAAAUAUUGAGUUUAUGCUAAAAUCAACAAGAAGCUUUUAUCUAUGGGUGAGAUCCUAAUGUGGUCAUAUAUUCCUUACAAAUUAGGUUACAGUUGAUGAAGGUUGGUGGCAACAGGUAUUCUUAAUAGAGACAACAUAAUAUCUUAUGAGAUUAAGACAACGUGUCUCUUGGGUGAUCCUAAAGACAUGUGAUCAAGAUGACUAUGACCAUAGUAAUUCCUUUAGUAGAAUUUGACAUAUGCUCUUUGUAAGCUAAAGUAUGUAAAUUGAUCAUUAAUAAGAGGAUUUGUAACUCAAGGAUUGGAGAGAUAAUUUUGAAAGGUUGCCAUCACUACCUUGUUAGAUUACAGACACCAGUUCACGGGGAGUUUACAUGCAGUAGAUAGUAGGUCAUAGACCUAAACUUUUCCUUAUUGUAAUUAUAUAGGAUAUUGGAGUGUAGUUGACUUUCUUUAGUAAGGUGUUAAGUUAACCUUAGAAUUGGAUUCAAAGCGAGCUAGCAUUUUCCUAUAGGUUCCAAUGGUCCCUGCUCAAUCUCUCAUUUAAUGGUGUCACAUUUGUUUAAGGUAUUUUAGGUUUGUAGUUAACAAGUGUGCAUUAGGGGGAAUUUAAUAAAAAUACAAGGUUGGACUAGAUAUUGUGAAUAGACUUUCUAGAUUGGCCUAAUUUAUUAAUGGAUUCCAAUAUGGCUAAUUAAUUAAUUAGGAUCUAAGUGAGUUAAAUUAGGUAACCUAAGCCCACUUUAGGCUUAAGUCACUAAAGUUCACAAGGAAGCUUAUAAAUAACUAUUUAAAGCUUAUUGGGUUUUAUGAGUAACUUAAGCUUGCCUUGGGUUUGGGUAAGUUAUCAUAACCUAAAAAAGUUCUUAAUUGAGCGCUUAGAUUAAUCAAUUAGCUUAGUCCAGAAAUACCUUUCACCAACUCUAUUGGAAACUUUGAAUUACUCCAUUUCAUGAUCUAGGAUCAAAUAGGGUGCAUGCAACUAUCUUUAGGUUUUUCUAGAUCUAAUGCACUAGAAAAAUAUGGAUAUAAAAUCCAUAAAAUGUACUAGAUUUAUAGAUUAAAACUCAUACCUAUGAUUUCAAUGUUUCUAAAUUAAAUCCAAUCCCUAAAAGAUAUCAAAGAUGUUUUAAAAGUCAUCUAUCAAACAAUUUUCCACCCAAUCUCUCCCUCCACAAAUAGACCCUAGCACAAAAAAAGGUGAAUGCUGGAAUUUUCGUCAAUUAUUGGAUCAAAACAAAAUUUAUAACCUAAUUCACUAUUCUAUAGCAGCUUGUACCCGAUCAAAAAGUGGUUUUAGUACAAACUAUUGUAGUAUAGUGGUUUUUAGGUGUCGUCCACUAGGAUGGAUUGUUCUCGGUAAUUAAGGCUUGAAUGAGAUGAUAAGAAAUUAUUGCAAUCAAGUGAAAAUGAUUUGACAAUUCAUGAUAAAAGUUCAACAUAACAAUGAUUUCAAAUUUAGAGGAAAAUGAAGGGUAAAAGAGAAGAAAAUUAAUAGAAGAUGAAAUUCUUGGAGGUAGGAUUUUCUAGAAAAAAAUUUCCACGGUGAAUAGAUGUUGAGAUCUAAUUUUCAUCAAGUUAGAUUGAAAACCUAAAUUUUCAUCUAAACCAAUUUUUGAUUUAGCUUUAGGUCUAGAUCUAAUUUCUCUUCAAAUUAGGUCAUUUAAUCCAAGAGAUCAAUUCAAAUUAUAUAUUCAAUUCAUCUUAAACUAUCUUCCAAUGAUUCACAUAAUGCAACUAUUCAAUCUCAUCAAAUCUAGCUUUAAGAAUUUGAUGAAUCUACCUAGCUUGCAUUGUAGUAAUCAUCCAAGACAAUUUGAAGAGAAAAAUCCUCAAAUUUCAAUUAAUCAAUCAAUUGGAUCAAAUUACCUUUUCAAUUCAAGCUCAUUUCUCUAAUUCACCAUAGAUUUUGCCUCUAGAUCCUCCCUCCUUUGAGAAAAAUGAGAUUUAGCCACUCAUGCUUGGAGAUUUUGCCUCACAAAACAUUUUUGGCUAGCGAGAAAAUGAAGGAAAGUGGAAAAUUCUAGAGAAAGAGAAAAUAUGGAAAAUUCUACAAUUAGAAAAUGUCUAAUUUUUUUUGAAAAUGAGUAAAUCAAGUUUCUAUUUAUAGGCCAAGGUCAAGAGGACACUUGGCAUCAUCUAAGAGGUCUUUUAAAGGCUUCUUCAUCAAGAAAUUUGGAGUUUAGUAAUAAAAUGUCCAUUUCGCAAGAGAUCCAGCACUUUCACACGAGCUCCAUCAAUUUCGCAUGAGUGUGCGAAGUGGAAAAUGCAUCAGCACCAAUUUCGCCUUCUUAGAGCAUUUCGCAUGACUGUGCGAAAUUUUCGCAUGGUCGUGCAAAAUCAGCUUCAAGAUUUCCCUUUGAGCUGUAGCCAAAAUUGCCUUCUGGUCCAUUUCAAUUUUAUACUCUGUGUUUUUGGGAUGAAUGACAUGUGAAAGUUGGAAUUUGCUAAAAAAAUAUACAUAUAUUUUUUUGAGUUAAUGUUUGUAAGCAUAAUUCUCCCAAAAACCGGUCAUGCUUCAUCAUAUUGUAUGUUUGUUUUUUUUUAUAAUGUGUGGUUAUUCAUCUUUAUAUUUGUGUAAUGGAUUGAUAUCUAUAAAUUAAGAGUAUCAAUUGAUAGGUAGAUGAAUCAAUUGAUUGGGCAUCUAAGAGUCUUAUGUGUAGAAGACUAAAAUUAUAAAUGGGGAGUUAGAAAACUUUUCAUUUAUAUGAAUAGGGUGUUACAAUUUUUGUAAUCCUAUCAUUAUGAGAUUUAAUUUGUAUAUAAAGUUUAUGAGUAAUGGAGGAAGAUGGAAAAGUAUAACCUAUGCAAUUAUAUAAAUGCAUUCAAGUUGGUAACCCACAAUUAUCCAUUAAUUUGUACAUAAUGUUUGUAAAUAAUGAAUAUAACUCCCGUGUAGUCUUUGAUGCAUGAGAAGACUAAGAGAUAUAAAUCUCUUUUAUAAGAUCAAGAUCCUAAGUCAUACUCUCAUUCUUAUGUCUUUUUGUUAUUUUACUUAUAACAACAUAUAACACACAAGUGACCCGUCUACUAUAUGAGAGUAGUGAGUUGAAGAUCUUGAGCAAAACAAUUCACAAGAUGACUCAAGCUCACUUCAAAAGUAUUAUCAAUAUCAUGGAUGAAGGUAAAAAUAUGAUCAUUAUAUUAUCAUUGCUUUAGCAUUUAUAUCUAUUAUGUUUUAUGCAUCCAAAAUUGAUUUUCCAAAAUAAUUGUUUUCACAUAAAGUUUAGUUAACAUGUACUUCUAUUUUAAAAUUUUAAAAUUUUAAAAUAAAUUUGCAGAAAUCACUUUUAAAUGUUUUUUUAUAAAAAAAAAUUUAAAAUAUGAAAGAAUCACAUAUUUUUUCAACUUUGAAAAAUAGACCUAAUAAACAUAUUUAACAUUUAUAGCAAUUAAAAAUUAAUUAAUAUUUUUUAAAAAAAAAUUAAAUAAAAGCAAUGGUGUAUCCAAAUAAUACCUUAUUCACCCAAUUUAGUUAUCAUAUGCCUUUAGUACCGAAGUGGCUGACUAAAUUUUUUCUCAAGGUAUAAUAAUGCUAAAAGAUCUUUAACCAAAACAUGGACUUCACUCUUAUUUCUUCCUACCACUUUAAUUUCACCCAACUUCACCUAUAGAAGCUCAUUCAUGUCUUAUCUUGUUUGUCUAGUUUGAACCUCAUGUUGCUCAAGUCCCAAAAGGAAUAAAAUUUCAUUCAGAAUAUAAUUAUGCACAAAAUCCUCAUUAGGGUUAGAGUUUGCUCCUUCAUUAAUUAAUUAUAAUGGUUUAGGGUCAGAAUAACAUACUUUAUUAUGUUAAAGUAUCCUAAACUUUGUUAGCAAACACAUAUGGCUGAAAGCGAAGAAUGAUCAAGAGUCCAAGUACUAACAAAGGGCACUUAUGAACCAUAGGUUGAGGAAAGUGGCUUGAGCCCAAGCUUGGGGCUUAGGUUAUUUUUUGUUUAUGCAAUACUUAAAUCCAAACUUAAAGGUGACAUUAGAAACAUAUUUCAAUCUCAUAUUUUAUCCUCUUAACUAUUGGACCUAAUUGCACUCGACAUGGAACUUGUUUAUGCAUUUUGGGAAUCACAUGCAUUUUAGUCCCAAAAUAGCUAUGCAACUUUUUUUUCCACCUAAUUAAGUUCAAAAUUAAGGGGGUGUUUGGUAAAACUUAAUACCUUUUACUAAUGACUUAAAUUGACUUUAAGUUAAAUUAUAUUUAACUUGCUAACUUAAAACUUAUUAUUUAAUUCUUACUUCAAGUAUUAAGGUUGUUUAAUAAAAUUAAUUUAAAACAUAUUUUAAAUCAUCAAAUUGAUAUAUUAUCCUCAUAAAUUAUAACUAGAGUAUAAGAGGUUGAGUGACAAUGAAGGUCGUGGAGUAGUAAAGAAAAUUGUGGAGGUAACUAGGAUAAAUGAGAAUAAAAAAGUAGAAUGAAAAUAUAAAUUUUAAAAUAAGUUAAUUGGUUUUACUUUUUCUUAAAAUUAUUUUUGAUUUUAAGUCAUACCAUUAAAUUAUUUUAAUAAACAUAAUUUACUUAAUAACUUAAAUUAAAUUAUUAAGUUGUUAAUUUACCAAACACCUACUAAUUUUCAAAUUCUAAGUUUAGCUUUGCUUUGCAGUGAAUGCAUUUAGGAUUAUCAAAGAGGUCAUCAAGGGUUUCAAACAUAUUUUAUUGCUCAACUUCUCGAAGAGGGACUUCAGAAGAGAAGAUUCCAUAAUUCUAGUUUUGUAUGCGAUUGUAUGUAUCCUACCACAUGGAGACGAUUCCUCAGCAUGCUGAUUUAUUAUUAAGUUCAUGUGAAUUACGUAUGGAAUUCCAAUUGAUGUGAACAUAAAAUUAAUUGAAUUAUGUGACAUUUUUUUUACGCAGAAUAAAACAUAUACAGUUGGAAGAUAUCUCGAGAUUCUGAUUUUAUAUCUGGCCCUCAAAAUUCUAUUUCACUGUCAGGUUGUGGACGUUCCACCCAGCUGGAGCAGAUCCCUUGGCAUGCUGAUAUGCCAACUAUUGAAAAGUCUGCACCCAUUUUCUAUAUUCAUGAGCUUUUCUCCUGUUCGAAUUAGUUUUGAAGUUAUCUACAGACAUGACUUGUACAAAUUGAAAAGUUUUAAUUAGGGCAGCAAAAGUAAUCCCUUCAAUUUUAUUAUUAUUGUUAUUAUUAUUACCUUAUAAAAAGAAUUUACCCAAUCAAAAGUGAUCGCAUAGUCAAAAUAGAUUUUAUUUUUUCUUAUCUUACAAUAAUAUAAAAAAAUAUAUAUAUACUUUCAAUCAAUGUCUCAUAUUUCUAACACGUACGCGCUCUAGAAUUUCUCGAAUUGUAGUCUAGAGUGUCAACUUUUAGUGUUUGAUCAAAAAGGCCAUAAACAAAUAUAUGAAAAAAGUAAUCAACAAGCAGAGGAUUCUUUUUGAAUAAAAAAGACCCACUUACAAGCAUGGAUUAUAAAUUGUCUUCAGUUGCGGCUGAAACUUUCUAUAUGACUUUAAAGAAAAAAGAGGUCAUAAAUAGAUAGCUGAGAACAAGUUGAGGGAUUCAAAGGCAGCUAUGGUAUAAAUAUUGUUUUAUAAAUUAAACCUUUUGUACCGCCUCUACAAAGGAACACAAAAUUGAGAGAUUCAAAGGCAGCUAUGGUAUAAAUAUUGUUUCAUAAAUUACUUUUCAAAUUUAAUUUGAUAGCAAAAAUUUAAAAUAUAAAAGUAUAAAAAAUUUGUUUCAUUCCCAAAAUUUUUGCAAAUAAAAUUUAAAGUAAUAAAUUAACACCAUGACUCUUUUCACAUCUUAUUCUCAUUUCUAUCAAAGCAAUGAUAGUAAUUGUCUUAUCUAUAAAUUUUAAAUGAUGUAAGAUCAUUGAAUUUUUAUUUUCUUUUAAACUUCUUGUUAUGUAAUUAUCAAACAUAUUUUUUUAAGACAAGAAAAAAAUUACACCGAACAAAUAGAUUUGAUACUUAGAAUAAUUGAAAACAUAAUUCGUAUUUUCCAUUUUUAAAAAUAAUAAAAGCAAAGGUGUUUCAAAACAAUACCUCAUUUGCUCAAUUAAUUAUCACAUUUCCUAAGUACAAAAGUAGGCAAGUAAAUUUUUGCUCAAGUUACAAUAGUGCUCCAAAUCCUUAUCCAAGAUUUUGAUCCUAUUUCACAAUUGUUUUUUAAAACAGUUUUUUUCUUCUCUACAACAAAAAAAAAAAAAAAACAAGAAAAUGUGUUUGAGAAUUGGAAAAUAAAGUGUUUUCAAAAAAACAUAUGUUAGUUGUUUUUAGUUUUUCUUCAUUAGCUUUUUUGAAGGUUGUUUUUAAAAAUAAUUAUACAAAUAUGAAGAAUUAUUAAAAAUAUAAUUUUAUAGACAAAAGUUAUUUUAAAAUUAUAUGCACGAGUUUUGGAAAGUCUUGCAAAAUAAGCAAAACUAUAGGAAAAAUAUGCAAAUAAAAUUUGUAUUAAAAUCAUUGGGGGCCCCCGCAUUUCGGCUCAUGCGCUUCCACUCGAUGGUGAGCUCGAUUUUUAUUUUGAAAAAUGAUUUAUUAUUUGAAAAAUGACUUGAAGUCGCCACUUAUUUUUGUUUUAUUUUUAAAGGGUAAACAAAAUAAGAAAGAAAACUCUAAAUGUGACUCCUUAUUUGGAAAAGGUGGUCUGUGAAAAACCGGAUCGGGCUCGGGGGUUAGGUUACUUAUUGGGAAGGUACGGUAAAAACCGUAGCACCCCUCUAAGUCCCCAAAAACGGGUCUUUACUAAUGAAAUGAAGCAAUCAUGACAAUUGAUAAGUAAAUCAAUGGAUACCGAAUGAAAAUCGAAACAAAAUACCCAAAUGAAUUUGAGAGACAAAGAACGUACCUGAGUGACGAGCUGAUUUAUUUCAUUGGAAACAAAGGUUAGUGAACAAACACAAAUGAUCGUGUGCAUAUCAUAGAAUAGAACAAAUCAAUCACAUAUAGCAAUCAAAUCAAUCAAUCAUAAAAUCGCAUAUGUUGGGCCCCCACUAAAACCCAUUUAUUUUUGCAUGAAUUAAUUCUGUAAAUUCCAUCACUCGGAAUUAUAGAAUUUAAUUCAUGCUUAUUUUAAAACAUUUAAAAAACAGAGGAGAUGUGAGUAUUGCUCAUCAGAAAAGAAGAUGGCAACAAAGUUUUAUUAAAAAUGGGAUUUUUGGUACCUAAAACUCUAAGGAUGAAAAUUUUGGAGUUGAGAUUAUUUAAAAAGUUAGAAUCUGAAAAAUUAUUUUUAAAAAAAGAUUUAGAAAGUUAUUUUCAAAACCAAAAGGGAGAAAUAGGAGGUGGCAUGUGGCCCAAAGGUGGCCAUGCGGAGGUGGCCAUGCAAAAACAUUUUCUUCUGGGCCAAGGGAGAGACUGCGCUAUAGGGAUCAAUGGUAUUGUUGGGCUUGUCAUAACUCUAACCAGGAUAGGAUCCCAGCCACAUAUAGCUGUAACUAGGUUGCUACAUUGAAAGAGUACCAAGAGAGGCACCCUAGCUUAACGGAGGUCAGGCCUGGUAGCCUUGCGGAGGAUAUCUCUAACCAUUGCCAGAUUUCUGAUAUGAUUCUCACUGAUGACUUCGUUGACCAACUGUUCAGCAAACUCAAUCUGUUCACUGGUACUGCCUAUGUGUGCAAUUCUCUCCAUUGAUAUGUCACCAGAAAGGAAAUGCAAAAGUAUAAACUAGAUACGAGCUCCUGUCUUGGCUUGCAUAUUUCUAAUGAUCUCACCGCCCUUACCAACUAUCAGACCAACCUUGUUGUUUGGUACUUUCAUCACGAGCUGUCCAAACCCAGUCCAACCAAUUAACCUUCAAGAAAUUAUGCCAAACCUCUUUGCUUAUAUCUGUUGUGUCAUUCCAUAAGAAUUGAACGCACCCAUAUGUAAGCACCCGUGAUGUGUCGUCACACUCCAACUGCAAAUUAAAUCGAACAAGACCUUUCAUGGAAGCAUCUCUGACAUCUAAAUGAGACCCUGUCAAACCUUGAAUUAUCUGGAGUUCAUCAAGUGCAUCAUCAAAUGCUCUUCAUUCAGAGUGUCCAACUUAGCAAUAGCUUCAUCAAAAACCUAUUUAUCCAGAUUACAAGCAUGAUCCAGGGGAUUCAGAAUCUUAUAGUAAAAGACGGAGAAGUUAAGUGCAAGCCUCAAGCAGAUAAGACGGGUUGAAGCCAAUUCCACAGCUGCAAUAUCCUACGCUGAUUUUAUAAGCUACGAGAGUGCUCUCCGUCGCCUCUCUCAUCUCGGCUCCGGUCUUGAAUGCUGAUAGAUAACAACGAUAAUCGCUCUUCAUCUUUAAACAAAGCGACUUUGGGUCACUAGCCAUAGCCGAAUGAAUAAGCUACGAAUCCAGCAGACGAAGAGUAUCGUCACAGAUGGAGGAUUGUUGAAACAUAACACGCAUAUAAUGGAAACAGACUCGUGUUGGCUCCUGCCCGCUCCCAAUGGGUAUGGCCCUCAUGCUCAUUGACAUGUUCGAAGACGUCAACAAGCGCACCAUAGACCUUCUGUAGGCAGAGGAUUGGGUUUAAUGGGUUUAGAAAGAAUUUGUGGCAUGUAUGGGUAUGGAAAUAGGUGUGAAUGAUAGCCUUGCAUGCAUGAGGAGUGGUGAAUAGGUUGAAGAGAGUGGGUUUAGAGGAUAGAAAUAUGGGUAUAGUUGUGGGUUUAGAAAAUGGGUACAGUAUUAGUGGGACGGGUAGUGGAAAAAUGGAUUGGAAGGCAUUGGAAAAUGAGGUCUCUAUGGUGGCCAUGCAUGCGUCAAAAAAUAGAAAGGAGUGCAUGGAGGUUAAAUGGAAGGAUGAAUGAUGGAAGUAGCAGCUUGGGUAGGUGUAAGCUUUGGAUUUGGGUAGGUAAAAAAAAUGAGAGAUAGGUAUGAGAUAGCCAAUGAGAGAUCUGCACCAUUUGGCAUUGUGAUCGCUCGGUUUUUGUCGUUUAUUGGAUCAAAACAAAAUUUAUAACCUAAUUCACUAUUCUAUAGCAAUUUGUACUCGAUCAAAAAAUGGUUUUAGUACAAACUACUAUAGUAUAGUGGUAUUUAGGUAUCGUCCACAAGGAUGGAUUAUUCUCGGUAAUUAAGGCUUGAAUGAGAUGAUAAGAAAUGAUUGUGAUCAAGUGAAAUUGACUUGAAAUUGCAUGAUAAAAUUCCAAAAUAACAAUGUAUUCAAAUUGAGAGAAAAAUGAAGUGUAAAAGAGAAGAAAAUUAAUAAGAGGUGAGAUUCUCGGAGUUAGGAUUUUCUAGAAAGCAAUUUCCAUGGCGAAUAAGUGUUGAGAUCUAAUUUUCAUCAAGUUAAAUUGAAAACCUAAAUUUUCAUCUAAACCGAUUUUUGAUUUAGCUUUAGGUCUAGAUAUAAUUUCUCUUCAAAUUAGGUAAUCUAAUCCAAGAGAUCAAUUUGAAUCAUAUAUUCAAUUCAUCUUAAAUUAUCUCCUUAUGAUUCACACGAUGCAACUAUUCAAUCUCAUUAAAUUUAGCAUUAAGAAUUUAAUGAAUCUACCUAGCUUGCAUUGUAGUAAUCAUCCAAGACAAUUUAAAGAGAAGAAUCCCCAAAUUUCAAUUAAUCAAUCAAUUGGAUCAAAUUACCUUUGCAAUUCAAGCUCAAUUCUCUCAUUCACCAUAGAUCUUGUCUCUAGAUUCUCCCUCCUCUGAGAAAAACAAGAUUUAGCCACUCAUGCUUGGAGAUUUGAUCUCAUAAGACAUGUUUGGCUACCAAGAAAAUGAGAGAAAAUGAAGGAAAGUAGAGAAUUAUAUAGAGAAAAGAAAUCUGAAAAGUUCUACAAUUAGAAAAUGUAUCAAAAGUCUUUAAAUGAGUCAAUCACAUUUUUAUUUAUAGGCCAAGGUCAAGAUGACACUUGGCAACAUCUAAGAGGUCUUUCGGAUGCUUCUUCAUCAAGGAAUUUGGAGAAAAUACAUUUUCGCACGAGCCUUAGCAAUUUCGCAUGAUGGUGCGAAGUGGAAAACCAUCAGCUUCAUUUUUGUCUUUCUGGAGCGUUUCGCAUGACUGUACAAAAUUUUCGCAUGGUUGUGCGAAAUUGCUUUUCACUUUUCCCUUAGUAUGCUACAGCCAAACCUAUUCUGUUUCAUUUCACAUGGUCAUGCGAAAUUGAAAAACAUGUUUUUUCGACUCCUCUUUGCAAUUCUUUCCAUUUCUUCAUUUUUAAUCCACCUCUACCACUUUCAAUUCAACUCCAAAUCCCAAUCCAAACCGAUUGCAUUGCUUAUUUCAUUAUGCAUUUGGAUCAUCAUCAACUUUAUUUGUUUUCUUCAAUUUGGUUCAUCUCUUUUGUCACCAAUUUAUCAAAAUCAUACCUUAAAAUGACUUUAAAACUUCAUAAAACUUGUUAGUAACUAUUGCAAGGGCAAAAACAUGUUAAUUGAGUGUUUUAGGCAUAAUUACUACUCAAAAGAUGUGAAAAUCAUGAGAAUUAUUAUCUAAAAUAUGCUCUUUUUGAGUAGUAAUCAUUCCCCCCAACCAACACAUUGCUAGUCCCUUAGCAAUUGUAUGACAAAAAGAAAGAAAAAUAAGGCCAAAGAAAAGAAAUCAUAACUCACAUAAGCAAAUCAUUUGAAAAAAAAAAUGUUUGAAAUUUCCAUAGCAUAAAUGGUUGAUAAACAAGCACACCCUACUAUCCAUAGGUAUCAACAAAAUCCCAACUUAUUUACUAUCUCUAAUAGAAAUAAUAUCAUGCUAAUCAAGGUAUCAAAAACAUAUCCAUCUUCAUUUCCCAAACAAUCUUUGUAAACAAGUCUUGAGUGUAAUUAAGCUAGCUCCCGAAUAUAGUACUCAAAACUAAUCCUCCCCCCAACCUAGCUCAAUUUAUCUCAAACAACAAAAAUCACUCUCUCAUAGGUUAAGAACACACCUAUCUUUAUUUUAUUAUUAUUUUUUUUACAAAUGACUUAUUGUAGGAGUGCAAUGCUAAAGGUAUCUCCAAGUAUAUGGUCCAUGUAGCGGGGAUUCAUCGAUGACUCCCAAUCAUAAGGCAUAGGGCACCAAGUUUAUAGGACUAUUUAACUAGCCACUAACUCCUCAGACUUCACCCCGGACUCCUCAAAUUAGGAUCCAAUACAUUAACACCUACAAUUGAGUUCAUACCCCACCUAUCCACCCAUGUAACAAGCAUUGAGGUCGGUGGCUCCCAACCAAAAUGGCUUAGGGCACCAGGCUUUAAAGACCUUUGGGCCAUAUACCCCUCGGACCUUGCUCAGGUUUCAAGGCAAGCAUAACUCAACAUUUUUAUUCAUCAACUCUUUUUUUUUUUUUUUUUUCAAUUGGGCACAUUGGCCUCUUUUUAAGGUGUCUCAACUCAGUUCAAGAGUAAUCAAUGUUACAAGAUAAUUAAGUCUAAGUCUUAAGGUUAGAAUAGUUUUUCAUCUUAUAUCUGGGGUCUAGAGUGCAUAGUAUGUGUCAAGACUCAAAUAGAAAUGACAAUUUGGAAAAUGAAGACUUUAAAGUCAAAUCAACUUUAAUUCACAUAACCAAUCUUCUAAGAUCAAGCAAAUAAGCUAGUAUUCUAAAUCAACUUUUUUUAAGUUAGGUUUGCUCAUUCAUCAAUCACAAAUGCUAUAGUCAUCUCAAAAAAAUCUCACCAAAUAAGUCACAAAUGUGAUUUAUGAAAAAAAAAAAUUAUAGAAAAACUAAUAACAUAUUUCCUUCUCUUCAUUUUUAACCCUCCCCCAACCUAACUUGUACAUUGUCCUCAAUGUGUAAUGAAAAUAUACAAAGAAAGGAAGGAAAGAUACCUCAAUCUCUCAUGAAUUUCAGUUUCAAUAGCUAAAACAAAAAUAAGAUCACACAUGAGAAUUGUUGGAUAUGAAUGACAUAAGAGAAGAAAAUAUGAAAACAAAUCUAUUAAAAACCAAAAAAAAAAAACUAUGUUAGAGACACAAUGUAUGGAGUAAAAUCAAGGUAUAGAUGAUGACAAUGUCCAAAGAAAACAUGAUUUCAAUGAUAAGUCAAUGAUUCUCAUGGAGUUUUUGAAAAUUUCAGACAAGUGUGCAAACUAGACAAGAAGGUGGUGUGUGUUGCAACCACUUUUUCUUUUGAAAUAAUUUGGCACAAUCAUGCGGAAAUUCGCAUGUACAUGCGAAUUGGUCAAGAGAGCUUUAUCUUAUUAUAGUCUUCAGCAUAAUUUUCGCAUAGUCAUGUGAAAAUUCGCAUGUUGAUGCGAAAUGGAUCUGAGGCUUAAAACUGUUGUAGUCAUCCACAUUAGUUUCGCACAGUCAUGCGAAAACUUCACAUGAGUGUGUGAAGUGGUCCAGAUGGCUCAUUUUACUACAGUCUUUAAGAUGGAUUUCGCAUAGUCAUGCGAAAUGCUCUAGAGGGUUCAUUUUUACAACUAUCAUUUUCAGUUUUGCACAGUCAUGCGAAAAUUUUGCAUGACCAUGCGAAUUGUGACAAAGACUCAUUUUGUACAUUUCCGAAGAUAUGAAAACUCCCCUAUUUUGGCAUGACUGUGUUAUUUUGGCAUGACCUCCCUGUUUUGGCAUGACUAUGCAAAAUGGUGAUGGGCCAUUAAAACUCUUUUUUCCUUUGCUUCAUGCAUUCCAUCCAUCCAGAAAGUCCUUCAAAACACAAGUCAAAGAAUUGAGAUGGAUUUAUUUAAUGGAAACUAAAAAAAAAAUCAAAAUCCAAAGGAAAUGAUAAACCAUUGGGCUAGCUAGCCAUUGACAUGACUAAGCCCAUUAACCUUUGCAUCAAUACUCAAUUUGGAUAUGGCUUGCAAACAAUGAAUGGACCAACUCCUUGGUACUUAAGCUUUCCCAGAAAAAUAUGUGGCUUGAAAUAACCUUCUUUGAACUUGUUCUUUUGAAUAAGUUGGUCAUGCCAUUCCUUGAGUUUCUUUUUCAUGGUCUUUGGAUUAUUUUUCAUACCAUGCUUCAUUUUUUUCACUUUCUUGAAGCUGAAAGACCAUUUCAUUAACUUCAAAGGUUGAAUUUCUUUAUUGAUCCUCCAAACUUCAAUCCGUUCAUUGGAAAUUGCUUCACUAAGUUUUGAAAAAUUAUCUUCAACCUUUUCUUUCACUAGCACUUUCAUAGGCAAUUCAAUCAAAUAAGCCUCCUUAAGUUCCUCCUCCUCCUUGGUACCAUGCUUCUUAUAUGAAUGAAAAAUGUUUAGCUCAAUUGUCAUGUUACCAAAGGUAAGUUGCAUCACCCCACUUCGACAAUUAAUUAAUGCAUUUGCUGUGGCAAGGAAAGGUCGGCCAAGUAUAAUAGGAACAUGGUUGAGUCCACUAGUUCCUUGUUUCAUAUCAAGCACCACAAAAUCAACCGGAUAAUAGAAGAUAUCGAUUUGGAUCAACAUAUCCUCAAUAAUUCCUCUUGGAAACUUAACCGAUCUAUCCGCCAAUGAAAGUGUGAUGGAAGUAGACUUUAGUUCUCCAAACCCCAAUUGCUUAUAUACCGAGUAGGGAAGAAGAUUCACACUUGCCCCCAAGUCUAAAAGUGCUCUUUUCACAAAAGUGUUGUCAAUCUUCACCGAGAUAGUUGGACAUCCCGGAUCCUUAUACUUGAUUGGGGUUUUACAUUGGAUGAUUGCACUAACUUGUUCAGUCAAGAAAGUUUUCUUUUUCAAAUGCAUCCCUCUCUUUAUGGUACACAAAUCCUUAAGAAACUUGGCAUAGGUUGGAAGUCUUAUCAUGUCAAGGAGUGGUAUAUUGACUUUGACUUGCUUGAGAACUUCAAAAAUUUCUAGAGCAUUAUUUACCACUUUCUUGGAUUGAAGAGCCAUAGGAAAAGGUGGAGCUAAGAGCAUAUCUUUCUUCUUAACCUCUUCUUUAACAAUCUCAUCUUCCUUUGAUCUAUCAUCCUCAUUCACCUCUUUCCAUUUUUCUUGUUCUUUCACAUUUUCCUUUUGUUCCCCUCUUUUAUUCUCUUUUGGUUUUGGCAUAGGUUGAUCAACUUGCUUACCACCUCUUAAGGUAAUGACUGCUUUGACUUCAUCCUUCUCAAUAGAACUUUCACUUGUCUCUCCAAUUUCAUGGACUCCACUUGGAUUUUGUUGGGGUUAUGAAGAGAAUUUUCCUUUUUCUUACACUGUAUGCAUGCUUGUGAGUUUAGAAAUAGCAAGCUGCAUAUUAUCAAUCUUUUGUGUGAGAUUGGUUUGCAAGCUAUCAAAUUUCUGAUUGAAAGAUGUCUCCACAUGAUCUAUUCUUUGGUUUACUUGAAUAUUGAUAUUCUUUUGAUCACCAAUAAAAUCACCCAAAAUUUUACUCAAGCUUACAAUAGCUUGCUCAACCAAAGAAAUUUGUUGUGGAGAGUCUUCCAUGACUUGUUGGCUUUGUGAGUAUUGACUUGAAGAAAAUUGUUCUUGUCCACAAUUCCAUGACAUGUUUAGAUGAUUCUCAACAAGUCUUUCCCCCAUAGCUAGUAUUGUAGGACAAUCACUCACUUCAUGUUCUAUAGAUUGACAAUUAGAACAUUGCUCCUUGUAAAUUGGAUUAUCAUAUAUUGCAUUCACCACAUGAAAUCCCUUAGCUUCAAGUUCCUCUAGCCUUUUUGUCAAAGCUACCAUUUUAGCUUGUAGAUCAACAUCUUCAUUCAACAUAUACAUUCCUCCAUUUGAAUUGCUUUGAGACUUGGACUUGUGUAAAUCCCUUUCAUGUGGCUCAUUCCAUGACCUUAAUAUUUUAGCCACAUAAUUCAAGAAUUCAAAAGCUUCAUCGGGACUUUUGCUCAUAAAGCCACCUCCACACAUGGUUUCUAGCAAUUGCUUCAUAGUUGGCGACAUGCCCUCAAGAAGUAACUCACCAACAUCCAUGUGUCAAAACCAUGAUGAGGACAAACAUUGAUUACUUCCAUAUAUCUUUCCCAACAAGCAUAAAAUUUUUCAUUGUCCAAUGCCACAAAGUUGGUAAUUUGCCUCUUCAAGCCACUUGUGCGAUGUAUGGGGAAAAUUUUCUUUAAGAAGGUUGUUUGUAGUUCCAACCAUGACCUUAUGGUUUGGGGCCCCAAUGAGUUGAACCACAACUUAGCCUUAUCCUUCAAUGUGAAUGGAAAAAGCUUCAAUCUCAUAAGCUCAAUGGAUGUGUUUCCCUCAUGAAAUGUAUGAAAAACCUCUUCAAAAUCCUUGAUGUGAGUAUAAAGAUUCUCAUUCUCCAUUCCAUGAAAUUGAGGUAGAAGGGGUACCAAGUGAGUUUUUAUCACAAUAGCCUCAUUAGGAAGAACUAUACAUGAUCCCAUGCCUAUCCUUUGAGGAUGCAUAUAUUCUCUCAUUGAUCUAGACAUGUGAGAAUUGCCAUUGUUUGGUCCUUGUUGAGUUUGUUGAUUUUCCCCUUGAUUUUCCAUUUCCUCAACAAUUGGAUCACAAAACAAAGAUGAUUAGCAAUAUAAGUUUUUUUUCAAUCUCUCCCUUGAAUUUUAUUCUCAAUGUAGUAUGCAAUGGAGAGCCUACAAAACAAGCUUAGAAAAACCAAAACAAACCAAGAAGAACAAAAAGAGAAAUAAAAGAUAAAAAUGGAAAAAAAAAUAAUAAUAAGAAAAAUGGAGAAUCGAUAAAGAGAACUUCACCAAUCUUGUGAUGUGGAUCACAAGGGCUAAUCCUCACCAAAAAAAAAAAUGCCUCAAUCACCUAGGCACCAUCCCCGGCAACAGUGCCAUUUUUGAUUGCUCGGUUUUUGUCGUUUAUUAGAUCAAAACAAAAUUUAUAACCUAAUUCACUAUUCUAUAGAAAUUUGUACCCAAUCAAAAAAUGGUUUUAGUACAAACUACUGUAGUAUAGUGGUAUUUAGGUAUCAUCCACAAGGAUGAAUAUUCUUGGUAAUUAAGGAUUGAAUGAGAUGAUAAGAAAUGAUUGUGAUCAAGUGAAAUUGACUUGAAAUUGCAUGAUAAAAUUCCAAAAUAACAAUGUAUUCAAAUUGAGAGAAAAAUAAAGUGUAAAAGAGAAGAAAAUUAAUAAGAGGUGAGAUUCUCGAAGUUAGGAUUUUCUAGAAAGCAAUUUCCAUGGUGAAUAGGUGUUGAGAUAUAAUUUUCAUCAAGUUAGAUUGAAAACCUAAAUUUUCAUCUAAACCGAUUUUUUAUUUAGCUUUAGGUCUAGAUCUAAUUUCUCUUCAAAUUAGGUAAUCUAAUCUAAGAGAUCAAUUUGAAUCAUAUAUUCAAUUCAUCUUAAAUUAUCUUCCUAUUAUUCACAUGACGCAACUAUUCAAUCUCAUUAAAUCUAGCAUUAAGAAUUUAAUGAAUCUACCUAGCUUGCAUUGUAGUAAUCAUCCAAGACAAUUUGAAGAGAAAAAUCCCCAAAUUUCAAUUAAUCAAUCAAUUGGAUCAAAUUACAUUUGCAAUUCAAGCUCAAUUCUCUCAUUCACCAUAGAUCUUGUCUCUAGAUUCUCCCUUCUCCGAGAAAAACGAGAUUUAGCCACUCAUUCUUGGAGAUUUGAUCUCACAAGACAUGUUUGGCUACCGAGAAAAUGAGGGAAAAUGAAGGAAAUUAGAGAAUUAUAUGAGAAAAGAAAUCUGAAAAGUUCUACAAUUAGAAAAUGUAUCAAAAGUCUUUAAAUGAGUCAAUCACGUUUCUAUUUAUAGGCCAAGGUCAAGAUGACACUUGGCAACAUCUAAGAGGUCUUCCGAAUGCUUCUUCAUUAAGGAAUCUGGAGAAAAUACAUUUUCGCACGAGCCUUAGCAAUUUCGCAUGAUGGUGCGAAGUGGAAAAUCCAUCAGCUUAUUUUUUGUCUUUCUGGAGCGUUUUGCAUGACUGUGCGAAAUUUUUGCAUGGUCAUACAAAAUUGCUUUUUACUUUUCCCUUAGUAUGCUGCAGCCAAGCCUAUUCUAUUUCAUUUCGCAUGACUAUGCGAAAUUGAAAAACAUGUUUUUUCGACUCCUCUUUGCAAUUCUUCCCAUUUCUUCAUUUUUAAUCCACCUCUACCACCUUCAAUUUAGCUCCAAAUCCCAAUCCAAACUAAUUGCAUUGCUUCUUUCAUUAUGCAUUUGGAUCAUCAUUAACUUUAUUUGUUUUCUUCAAUUUGAUUCAUCUCUUUUGUCACCAAUUUAUCAAAAUCAUACCUUAAAAUGACUCCAAAACUUCAUAAAACUUGUUAGUAACUAUUGCAAGGGCAAAAACAUGUUAAUUGAGUGUUUUAGGCAUAAUUACUACUCAAAAGAUGUGAAACUCAUGAGAAUUAUUAUCUAAAAUAUGCUCUUUUUGAGUAGUAAUCACAUUGCAACACCCUUAUUUUGUUAUACCCAUUUGUAUGCUUAUCCUUUACAUAAGGAGCUUGUCUGACACCUUUAUAGAAGCGGACAAAAAGCAUGGCUUGCUUGUAGAUCCAGUGCAACUUUCAGUAACACCCAACCCCUAUCAUUUUGACCCAAAAGGAUCUAUACCUAUGAUCAUUGAACUCAUUCCAUUUUGAGAACAAUCUUCAUGAACUCAUAAACGAAAUAACUUAUUGAAACUGAAGGUAGCACCUGUGGUAAGCCGAUUUCAAUAUAUCAUGCACACCAUAGAAAAUUGCACCUGAAGGUGCCAUACUUAUAGUGGAAGGCACCAAACCCUUGUAAAUGGAGAAGAAUCCUUCAGUUCGGAUCAUAUGGAGGAAAUGCCAAUAACACUACCCAAGGCUUUACCACCCGGUGCCACCAUCUUGGUCUGGAUUUAACAUGGUACCCAAUAGUAAGCGGAGUAUGGUAGUAGUAAUUCUAGCUGCAUCACCAGCAAUUGUCUUAAUUAGCUCAAAUAUAUGCUUCUGUUCACCAUGAACUAUAUAUUCCAGCUUUAGUCUCCUUUGAUUGCAUAUCAUUUCCUCCACAAAACUUUCGUUUACUAUCAUCAAACUGCCAUCCUAUACCACAAUGGUCCCAUCAACCCUACUGACCAUCCAAAUGUCAUUAAAUGAGCUAGAAGCUGGGGACUCUCAACAGCAAGAGCACCUUGAGGUUGAAUGAAUUUAGAAUAACCCACUGAAAACUCUUAUAUAGCUUCUUUAGGUGGAGAUGAGGAAGGAGAAUAGCCAAAAUAGAGCACAACAGAGUGAGCAAAGCAUUAAGUGGGAUCCCCCUUUCAUAUUGAAAUCAAGGGGUUCCAGCCAGUGGUGCAACAGGAGAGUUUAAAACAAAGAUCCAAAUGAGAGCAUCAAUAAACUCCCACCAUGGGAGUGAGCCAUAUUCAAAAAAACAAAUAUAAGAGAAAAGUAAUGCAUCAUCACAUACCCAGACAAUCGUCCAAUGCUUAGAAAAAAAAAAAAACCAAAACAACCAGAGAAGAUGGAAGAUAAAGAAAACAGAGUGAUGAGUGAAAAUAAUCCAAAAAGCUAUAUCAAAUGUACCUAGAAAUGCUCUUUCCAAUUUUCUUUUCUUCCCAACUACCUUCAGCAAACUAGAUUUGCUUUCUCUCCUCUGCUCCUAAUCAAACUACACCCUCAAGCAAUCUGAAAAAUGCAAUCCUCUCUCUCACAACCUCAGCGCACCAACCAUCUCUACUUCUCUCAUUGUUGCUCCAACUCCUUACAAAAAUAUCCCCUCUUUGUCUCUCCUCCCAAGCUCUUUCUCUCUCUCUCUCUCUCACUUCUCCUCAGCUAUGCUCUCUCAAUCCCUCUAAAAAAAAACAUCCUUCUCUCGCUCCUCUGUAACCUCAAACUUUUCUCUCAAGCUAAAGGAAACUUCUCCCCCCGAUAUCUCCUCUCCUCCCUAGCAACCAAAAAUACCCCUCCUCUGCCAGAAUGCCUCACCUUCUCUCUCCUACGCUCCUCCAUAACGGCCUGAAGAUUCUUAUGCCAUGCAUCAGCCGCUGAUUGCCUUCAGAAAAGAUCACUGCCUAUCCAUCCUCUCAUGCACAUGUUGCCAAAAAUAAAAAAAGGUGGUAAAGAAUGCUCCCUAAAAUGCCCUUACCUAUAAACCAAAACGAGGGUUUUACAGGCGCACAAUAUUUGUGGAAAAAUAUUCUUUGCUGAAGAAUAUUUUUUAAAGAUCAAUUGAAAGCCUAAAGCAGCUUGUUCCCAAAUGAAUUUAUUGAAUGGUGAAAAACACGUGUGUUGCGAUUUUUUGGAUUUGUAGGGGGUAUUUUAUAAAGCUUUUUUCUCUUUGUGAAACUCCUUUUCAUAUGUGAAAUUGUUUUAUUUUUAUUUUAUCAUUUUCAUUGAAGGAAGUUGCAAAUAUUUAUAGAUAAAAUUUUAAAAAAUAAAUUUAGAAUUUCUAAGAUUUGAUUACUUAAUUAAAAAAAAAAAUUGGUUUCUUGAUUUUAGCAACUUGUCUUCUUCAUUAAGGAAGUUUGCUAACAAGAGAAUAUUUACUUCUCAUUUUAUUUUGACUUCAAUUGGAAGACUUGUUUCAUUUGUUUACAAAAUUUUCCAACAAGAAAAUAUUUAUUUCUAAUUCUCUUUUGAUUUCAAUUGUUUGAUUUGAUUUGAUUUUGCAAGACUUUAUUUUAUAGCCUUCCAAAUUUCACUACGUGUCAUUUUUUGAAUUGAAUGCCACAUGCUCAAUAUAUAUGACUCAUCACUUAUUAAGCCUGAGUUUUGUUGAGCUAAAGAGUUACAAUUUUGAAGACUAAUUUGGUAGUAUUUUAAUCCACUAAAAUUUUUUGUCUACAAAUGCCCCCUCUUCAAAAUAGAUCACACACAUGCAUUGUAAUGUAUAAGAGGUGAGUCUUGAAGUUAGCCUUUUGAAUCUUCAAUAUCCUUCUUUGAUUUUUUUUUUCGAAGAAAUAUUUUAAUAGGAAUUUCCUAUUCAAAAUACUUUUCUUCAACUUUUUUCGAACAUUGCUUUAUUUAUUUAUUUUUUUUCUACCUCGUAUCAAAGAAAAACCUUGUGUUAAUGGGAAAGCUUCUUAUUUGAACAUCUAUUGUCUUUUCUCAUGGUAUUUCACUUCCAAUUUGUCAACCUAGAAGAAGUCCUUCACCCUAGCUUGUUCAAUUGCAUCUUAGACUUGGUCACAUGCCUUUAACUUGCAAUUCUUCCUCCACUUUGUCUUUUUCUUUUUUAUUUGUUUAAAAAAUAGUACAAAAUAUUUGAGCAAGACCAUAAGCAAGAGAAGAGAGGUGGUGAAUGGAGCACCAACUAACCUUAGGUCAAGAUCUUGAGCAAGAGAAGUAAGGUGGAGCGUAGAGCACAAACUUCUCUAGAGCAUGGUAGGCAUACCAUCAUGGAGUUGUCUUCUGCAUGGAGCAUGGUAGGGCAUUAUAUAUAUGAUAGGGUGGGCCAUUAUGUAACAAUGAAGAACAAAAAUCCAUGGUGUACAAUUGGGAACAACAAUUCAUGCUAUCAAGCUUCAACCUUUUUUUUUUUGUUUUUUUUUUAAUCCCUAUCUCCACCCCCCGACCCAAUAUUUUUUCAAGUUUCCAGAUUCCUUUUGAUUCUUUCUCAUUUUAUUUUUUUCAACUCUUUUUUUUCCUCCCUUUUUAACCAUUGUUUUUAAGGAAGAAAUAGAUUCACCAUCCCUUACCACAAGGUCAAUCUCCAUUGCUUGCAAAGACAAAUUUGCUUUUUGGUGUUUUUUUUCUUCAAAAAUUAUCUUAACAUUUUAAGAUAUAUAUAUAUAGAUAUAGAUAUUUAAAAAACUUAAAUAUCCAUAAUAAAAAUAAAUAUUUAAGGCUCUUGACUUGUUUAAAUUGGCUUGACUUGGAUACUUAGCGGGACCAUACUUAACACCCAUGUAGAUGAGCUAUAAUCUUGAUGGUAGGUUGUGUUGUAUUUUUUGACAUUUAAUGUGGCUUAAGAGUUAAAGUCUUCACUCAUGCAAAUUAGCUUGGUUUGGAUGCACAAUGGUCUCUAACUUCUUAAUGCUUAAUUAAACUUGGAACCAUAUUUAACACCCAUGUAGACAAGUCAUAAUCAUGACAUGGAGCACUAUUUUAUUUUAACUCUUAAUGCAACUUAAAUAUUAAAGUCUUCACUCAUACAAAUUAACUUGGGUUAGAUGCACAAUGGUGUUCAACUUGGUAAAAUUAAUUAAAAUUGAAACAUUUAACACCCAUGUAAACAAGUCAUAACUUUCACAUGGAACAGUGUUGUAUUUUUAGCUUAAUGUCGCUUAAGUGUUAAAGUCUUCACUGAUGUAAAUUAGCUUGGCUUAGAUGCAUAGUAGCAUUCAACUUUUUAACACUUAAUUUAAAUUCAUACCAUAUUGAAAACCCAUGUGGACAAGACAUAAUGAGAAAAUAAAUGGCUAAUCUAAAUAGAUAAAAAUACCUAACAAGGAAGGAGGGGGGUGAAUUGGAGUUUAAAAAAAAAAUAUAUUUUUAAACACAAUAAAAUUAAGUACAAGAAGCACAAAUAUAAAGAGAUAAGUUAUAGAAAUCAAACUCAGAUUUAUAGUGGUUCGACACUUCCUUGCCUACAUCCACUCUCCUCAAACUCCUAACCGAGUGAGGGUUCCACAUAUACUUGAAGCUUCAACCAAGCUUCUAAUCACUUUUUACACUUGGAUUUUAGCUCCAAUGGGCUCUUACACAUUCUCUUCAAGUCUCUACUCACUUGAAGAUUUUAACACACAAUUAACAGUUUGAAACUCUCAACCUAGCUCAACAAUGGCUCAAAUACAACUCAAGGCUAGGAUGAAUCACAAAGGUGCAUUAAAUAAUAUGCAAAUGAAGAUUUAAUGCACUGAGAAAAGAAUGAGAGCUUUUAUGGCAAGAACAAGUAGGUAAACAAAUCAAUGGAGGUGUUCUCUUACUCAUAAAUGAAGUGGAACUCUCAAUUUAUAGGUUUCUAAUCUCGGAAGCUAAAAAACCAAAAAGUAACCUCGAUUGGUCGAGUUAGGGGUCGACAGGUUCACUAGUCGUUAGAGCAUUAAAUGCGUGGCAGGUGAUCGUUACCCUCGACCGGACCUUGACUGGGAAGGCAAAUCUCUCAACUGGGAAAGAAAGGCUAUUGGAAGAGAGAAGGCUUUUUGCAUCUUUUGACUAGACCUCAACCGAGAAGGAGCAACUGAUCGACCAGUACCCUAGCCGGUUGAGCCGGUUGGCCAGUGCCUCAACCAAUUCACCAUUUUUUGGCCCUAAAACCUAUCUUUUUGUGGUCUUUUUUGCUUCUAACACUUAAACAAGGUCUUUAGGUAAAAUAAUAUGUCAAUUUUGAAACGCUUUGCCUAAGGUUCAUUUGAUAGAACUCGGAUUUUGAUGGAAAUGUGACUUUAAUGCGUAAACCGAGUUUUAAAAGAUGUAUGAAAUGAUAUGAAAAUUCUAAGUACACUCAUGCAUUCAUUUUACAUAGUUUUCUAUAAUUAAAAAGUCUUUCAAAAGUCUUGAUCUUGCAUCCAUUAGAUCAUUUGAUUAAUUUCCAAAUUAAUAUUUGAAAUUCUUUAUAAUUCAAACCAAUUAGUAACUUAACCAUGGUUUGUUAUCAUCAAAACAUGAUUAGGAGAACCCUUGGGCUAACACAUAACAUUGUAGCAAUGUUAUAUUUUUUACACUUAAUGCAGUUUAAGUUCUAAAAUCUUCAUUUCUAUGAAUUGGUUCACCUUGGAUGCAUAGUGGUGUCUAAAUUAUAAUACUUAAUUAAAAUUGAAACCAUAUUUAACACCCAUGUAGACAAGUCAUAACUUUGACAUGGAGUGGCAUUGCAUUUUUGACACUUAAUGCAACUUAGGUGCUAAACUUUUCACUCAUGAGAAUUGGUAUGGGUUGGAUGCAUGUGGUGUCGAACUUUUUAACACUUAAUUAAAAUUGGAACCAUAUUUAACACUAUCUAGAUAAGUCAUAACCUUGAUGUGAAGCGACAUUGUAUUUUCAACACUUAAAGCAACUUAGGUGCUAAAGUCUUCACCCAUGCAAAUUAGUUCAUCUUGGAUGUACAAUGGUGUCCCAUUUUUUAACAUAUAAUUAAAAUUGGAACCAUAUUUGACACUCAUGUAGACAAGUCUAGCCAUGAUGUAAAGUAGUGUUGUAUUUUUAAAACUUAAUGCAGCUUCAAUGGUAAAGUUUUUACUCAUGUGAAUUGGCUUGAUUUGGAUGCACAAUGAUGCCUAACUUUUUAACAUUUUAUUAAAUUUGGUAUCAUAUUUAACACCUAUGUAGACAAGUCAUAACCUUAAUGUAGAGGUGCUGUAAUAUUUUUGGUACUUAAUGCCGCUCAAGUGCUAAAGUCUUCACUCAUGUGAAUUUUUUUGGUUGAGAUGGACGUCUCUAACAUUUUAACAUUUAAUUAAAAUCAGAAUCAUAUUUAACACUCAUGUAAAAAAGUCAUAACCUUGACACAUAGUAAUAUGCAAUGUUUUAACAUUUAAUAUGACUUAAGUGCUAAAGUUUUCACUCAUGUGAAUUGGCUUGGCUUGGAUGCAUAAUGGUGUCUAACAUUUUAACACUGAAAUUAAAAUUAGAGUUAUAUUUAAUAAUCAUGUAGACAAGUCAUAACCUUGACGAGAAGCAAUAUUGUCAUUUUGACACUUAAUAUUGCUUAAAUGCUAAAGGCUUCACUCAUGCAUAUUGACUUAGCUUGGAUGAACAAUGGUAGCUAACUUUUUAACACUUCAUUAAAUUUGGAUUAUGGUUAACAUCCAUGUAGAAGAGUGAUAAACUUGAUGCAAAGUGAUGUUAUAUUUUUGGUACUUAAUAUAGCUUAAAUACGAAAAUCUUCACUUCUAAUAAUUAACUUGGCUUGGAUGCAUAGUGGUGUCCUACUUUUUAACUCUUAAUUGAAAGUGAAAUCAUAUUUAACAUCCAUUUUAUGCUAGUCAUAAACUUGAUAUAGAGCAAUGUGCAACUUUUUAACAUUUAAUGCAACUUAGGUGCUAAAGUCUUUACUCAUAUGAAUUAACUAAACUUAGAUGCAUAUUCGUUUCCAACUUUUUUAAUACCUAAUUAAAAUUAAAACCAUAUUUAAAAACCAUGUAGACAAAGGCAUAAUCUUAACAUGGAGCAGUGUAUAACUUUUAGCACUUAAUUAAAAUUGGGAUUAUACUUCACAACCACAUAUUCCUCCUCCUAUUUUUCAAUUUUUUCUUGUGGUGAUGAUUGAACUCAACUAGUUUGUCCAAGUUACCUGCAUACCUUAACAGAGAGGGGAUCAAGUCAAACUUAGUUCAAAGUAUUUUUUUAAUAUCUAACUUUUGCCAAGGCUAAUGAUUUUAAUCUUGAAAGCUUGUCUUAACUUUUGACUAUAUAUGUAGUGUUUUCAAGUUUCAAUUUAGCGACCUAUGAAUUGUACAAAUUGAAAAUGACUUCACUCAUGUGUAAAAAUAAAAGAUAUUCAUUCAUAGUUUUAGGGCAACGAAAAGUAAUCGACCCUUUUUUGCAUUAUUAUUAUUAUUGUUGUUGUUAUUAUUAUAAUUAUUAUAUUACCUUAAAAAAAAGACCUUCUCCAAAAAAUUUAAUCUACAAGUACUUGGAUUCUAUUUGAAUAUAAAAAGAGCCACUCAUAUGCAUGAAUUAAAUAUAUGUCCCAUGGAUAAGUUGUACUUAGCCACGGCUGAAGCUUUCCAUUAUGACUUGAAGGGAAAAAAAAAGAGAGGAGAAUAAUGUCAUUAAAAAACUGAUUGCCAUGUGCCUAUGCCUGCCAGUAGAUGGCUGAAAACUAGUUCUAUUCUUUUGUUUUUGCCUCUACUAAUGAACCAUAAUUGAGAGAUUCAUUGGCAACUAUCGUAUAAACAAUGGUUCAUAAAUUACUUUUAAAUUUUGAUAGCAAAGACUCAAAAUGUAAAACCAUAAAAAAUUUGUUCUAUUCCCAAAUUUUUUUAAAUAAUAAAUUAAUGCACAUGACUGUUUUCACAUCUUAUUCUCAUUUCUAUCAAUGCAAUAAUUGUAAUCAUCUUAUCUAUUAACAUGGCCUAGAGCCAUAGAGCUUCCUUUUCUUUAGUCCUAGAGCCAUUUCAGCUAAGAGUAGUCUUUCCUUAGCAUUUCCGGUCCAAAGCUUCCAUUUCUUUAGGCCUAGAGGCAUUUUCAGUCCAGAGCUGCUGUUUCUUUCGGCCUACAACCAUUUUCAGCCUGAAGCUGCCUUUCUUUAGCAUUUUCAGCCCAGAGCUACCUUUCCUUGGCAUAUCAGCCCAAAGCUUCUAUUUCUUUAGGCCUGGAGCCAUUUCAACAUACAACAUUGGUUUCUUUGGCCGGGCCUUGAGCCCUUUUCAACCCAGAACUGUCAUUUCUUCUAAAUAACUUCUCUUUUAAAAAACUUCAAUUUGUCUUUCCAAUAAAAAAAUUUAAGGCUUUGUUCUAGGUUUCAAGAAGCUGGCAUAGAAAAAAAAAAGGAAAAAAAAAAUUCUUGAUGGCAUAAAGUAGGACAUGGCCGGGAUAGUUUGAAAUACAUAAUUUUCCCCAUUCAAAUGCAAAACAUAUUAAAAGAACAUUUGGCAUGAUUUUAUGAAGUGAUUCUAUCUUUUCUAAUACUUCAAAGUUAUGAAGUGAUUCUAUCUUUUCUAAUACUUCAAAGAUAAAUUUUUUUGAAGUAUUAGAAAAAUUAGAAACAUUUCUUAAAAUCACUACCCUUAACUAUAUUUAGAUACUUUAACCAUUUCAAAUGCUACAUGUUGUUUCCUUCUACAUUUCCUCUUUAUUUUGUUUUUCUCUUACAUUUUUCCUCAAAUUUUCUAAAAACCAAACAUAACCUAAAAGAAAAGAUAAUUUGACUUAUUUUGAAAGUUCUUUAUAUAUAUAGUUUAUAUGGAAAAUUGUUUCAUGUUAAUUUAAUAAAGCAUUUAUAAUAUUGAGAUCGCUCUUUCAUAAUCAUAAAUUAACCUUUAGUUUCAACUUCUACAAGAGGCUAAAUGAAAAAAGCUAUCACAGAGGAGGCCUCAGCCAAUGAGUAAGAUGCACUGUUGUACCAAACAAUAGGUGGAAAAUACAAUUUUAUUAAGACUCUGAGACAAAAAAAAAAAAAAAAAGGAUGAUUUUACACUCAAAACAAGGAUUUAUUUAUAAUGAAGUGCAGUCUCCAUAUGCACAUGUGACUGCAUUUACAGCAUAAAGAAAGACAAGGAAAUUAACAAAUGUUGGACUCAUUGGAAAAUCAUACAAAUUAUUGAAGGAGGACCUUAGCUAAGCUAACUGUCUCCUAAAUUGCCCAUCUUUUAUAUAUAUUUGCAUUCAUCCGUCUCAUCAUCGUCUUUGAUUUUAGAUGGUGAGGAUGUGAAAGUAACAGGAAGCAGUGGACGAUUGUUCACUGUGAGGCUUAGCACAUCAGCUCUCGAAUAAUGUCCUACCACAUCGAACUGGAACUUUGCUUUAGGAAUCUCUCCACGAACAUCUGCAUAUCAAGUGAUCAUCAAAAUAUUUGAUCAGCCCUUUUAAAUAUCAGAGAGUAUCAAGUCUUCCAUAAAACCGUGUUUGCAGUCCUUUUAAACCUAAAGAAUUCACUCAUUUGCCUUAUCUGCAUACUGAAAUAUUUGGAUAUACAAUUGGAGAAGUUAGGGCCAUACCAAGAUCAGCUGUGAAGAGGCCUUCUCCUUCAUAAUUCGGUCCUGCUAGAAUUUCGCCAUGGGGCGAAAUGAUGACACUACCUCCUGCCCAAACAAUGGAAUCUGGAGUGACAUCUUCUUCUGUAGGACUGUAAAGAUACUCAGGUGGAGGUGGGUAAUCUUUCCUCCGACAGAACUGGAUGGGUGAAAGAACAUAGCAUCCACCCUCAAUAGCAACGUGUCUCAUUGUAGCUACCCAUGUAUCCCCGGAAUCGGCAGUAGGAGCACAAUAUAUCUCAAUACCUAUAGAGAUGUACAUUCGUAUUUUGUGAUCAAUCAAUCCCAUAUCAAAGCCAUAAUGUAUUUCAAGCCUAUUUAUAGGCUAAAACCCUAACAACUUAAAAAAGAGUACUGAAGUAUUUCAAGCCAAACCAUAUUAGUUAGUGAAGAAAAAGACAUACCUUUGCCAUACAUUGCUGUCCUUAGAAGCGGCAUUCUAUUUUCCCAACAAAUGACCGAACCAAGUUUUCCAUAUGGAGUGUCAUAAACUGGAGUUGUCGAGCAAUCUCCGAAACCCCAGACGAGCCGCUCCCAAUAUGUUGGCAUGAGUUUCCUAUGUUUUCCAAGGUAAUUACCUUUAGGAUCAAAGAAGAGAACAGUGCAAUACAAUGUGUAUCCCUCUCUCUCAAUAACACCUGUCACUAAGUAGACUCUGUAUUUCGCAGCCAUUGAUGCCAAUCUAUCAACUUCAGGUCCUGAAAAUACAUUAAUUUGAGAUUAAAGAUGAAACAUGUCAGCUGAAGGUUCAUCACAAAGCAGCAUAAGUAGAUUUUGUUUCAACAACUUAUUAAGUGGCUCAGUUCUUUAGCUAUUUAAGGGAGAAAAAGAGAGGUAAUUGACCCGGAACAUUAAUGGCAGAAGCAUGGUACUUGCGGAAACUUUCUUUCCCUCUUGGCGACCGGUCAGCGAAGUUAUAUCCUCGGGGAUACCCACCGAUAAAUGCUUCAGGAAACACAACCAGUUGGGAUCCCAGUGCAGCUGCUUCUUUCAAAAACCUCUCAGCCUUAUCUGCUCUCAAAAUCACAUUGCAAGAAGUAAAUUAAUUGGUUGAAUGGAGAGAAUGAAAAUUAACUUUUAAGAGAUCCCGAAUGACUUUUUGGUUGCUGAGAAAACUCAAGGAAAAACAGACCUAGAUGAAACUUGAAACUCUCAUAUUUUCAGCUGUUUUGUAACUAAGAAAAGAGAAACCACCUCAACUCAACUCAUCAAAAUAAUUGUAAAAGCAGUAAUUCCUUGAUUGGCAGCUGAAAAUAUGAUCAGGGUUCAAUCAUCCUUUUCUUUUUUUCAGUCUCUGAGAAACCAAUUAGAUCACAUAUUCCAUUACACAAGUUGCACAAUUGAAAGAAAUGGUACGUUACCUAGAGUGGCAGGAGUAUCAUAAAAGAUACUAGAAGCUUGAACAACGGUGGCUCUAACAGUUGAAGACAUUGCAGAAAAUUGUAUGUUUUUUCGUUUCCCCUUUGUUUGAGGAUUCCUCACACUGCGUUCAGUAUAUAUAUUGCCCAUGACAUUGUGGACCAGCCACUUGACUUAUACAAAUUGAAAAUGACUGAGUCAUCUGUGAAAAGCAAUUUAAGAUAACAUUCAAAAUUAAUAAGCUUUAAUUUUUAUUUAUAUAUAUAUAUACAUAAUCUACAAGUUGUUAUCAUUAUAUUUGAAUAAAAAGAGGGACCCGCCCACAUGCAUGGAUUCCAUCCAUCUAGCACACAGAUAAAUUGUCUUUAGUGGCGGCUGAGGCUUUCUAUGACUUAUACCAUAUAUCUAUACACCCCAGUAUAUAGCUAAAAACUGGGUAAUGUAUUGGCCCCUACCUAAAAUUAUUGAUUGAUUCAAUGACAGCUAUCUGAGAAAAAUAAAAAAGGGAGAACUAUUCUUACGCUUGCCUUGAUUUAAGCAAAUAUACUUUUAAUUAGGAAUUCUAAUUUUCAUAUUUUACCCCAAACAGAUAAUCAAUAAAAUUAUUCUCCAAAUAUGUAUUUUAAUAGCAACAAAAAUGAGAAUUCCAUAAUUAUCCCUUUUAAAAUCUUUAAUAUGACAAGUCGUAAUUUAAUGUGUUUGGUAGCUCUCCUUUUUCUUUUUUUCUCCUCUACAUCACUUUCUCCAUAUAAUGUCUUUGAUAUCCUCUCCAUAUCAUGUUGUUGAUAUCCUACCUUUGACAUUUUUUUUUAUCUAUGUGUUGAAGUGACUACACUUUUAGAUUUCUUUUCACUCUUUUAAUAUUUUCAUAUAUAUUUAUUAACUUUAAUAAAUUUUUGAAAACAUUAAACAUAAAAUUAUAAUAUAUGAUAAAUAAUUAAUGAUAACAAAUUAAAUAUAAAUAUAAGUAUGAAAUGGACAAAAAAUAAAAAAUUUAUCCUACAAAUAAUAGACUAUAUAGUUUAAAAUAUUAGUUAUAAUAAUAUAUUUGAUACUUUAGAGUUUAGAUUAAAAAAUUAUGUUUUAUUUUUUAGAGGUUAGCAUAUAAUAUUUCCAUUAAACAAAGAUUUUUUUAUAUGAAUCCUAAAUAAAAUGUUUAUUUAUUUUGCAAAUUCUUAUCAUAUGCGAUAUAUAUAUAUAUAUAUAUCAUGUUAUUUAUAAUUUUUAUUAUUUUGUGUCAAAAUCACAGUCAAUGAUGAUAAUUUUAGUUAGUAUAGAGCUCUUAAAAGGAUGAUAUGAUGUAACAAAUAUGAAGUUAUUAAUUAUUUACUGAUAUUCUGGUUUUACUUUUAUUAAUCCUUAUUCCAUACAUUAUAUUUUAUGAGCAUCCUAGUUUGACAUUUCUUAUACUAUACAUGGCUUAGGUGCAUUAGAAGUUGCACGGAAGAUCCAAGUUAUAGAUUCCUUUUUUAAUUCAAUAUUUUAAAAAAAAAAUUAUACUUUCAGUCAAUGUCUCAUAUUUCAAACACGUACACACUCUAGAAUUUCUCGAAUUGUAGUCUAGAAUGUCAACUUAGUGUUUGAUGAAAAAAGGUAUAAACAAAUAUAUGAAAAAAGUAAUCAACAAGCAUAGGAUUCUAUUUGAAUAAAAAAGAGCCACUUACAUGCAUUGAUAAAGGAAACUCCAACUCAGCUAGCAUACAAUCCAUGCCAAAGCAGAAUCUUUACGUAAGAAGUUGAUAAUGCAAUUUGCCAGGAAGGAAAACUACUCUCCAUAUUUGUAAUGUGGAAAAUCAAGGUUGGAAGGAAAUUUUCACUUACUUAUUCUGUAUAAUAUUCCCUUUUUUUUUUUUUUUUGUAAAGAAAGUAUGUAUUGUUUAUUUAUUUUUUAGAAAACAAUUAGUAAAGUGUGGUGCGAAUUCAACCUUUCAAAAAUAGUUUCUAUUCUUCAUGGUAUCGGAGCUAGUUAAUCUAAAACAAUCCAAAGCUUCCAUGGAAACCCCAGAAAAUGUUCUUAGCAUUCAGGCUUUUCAUCAAUGCUCGAGCCUCAUCUCCAUCAAACUGAAUAUGUCCAAUCUCCUUUUGUGGCACUCACAAGUUCUUCCUCUUGUGCGAAGCCUUGGAUUAGUCCAUCAUCUCUCUGAAAAUAGACACGCAUAAGAGGGGAUAAUGGAUAGUGAAACAAAGGAGACCUAUGAUUAGUCAAUAGAGACAUGGUCUCACAAUGAUGAUCUACUUACCUCCUGGCUUCUUGGACCCAUGACAGAAGAAGUGAUUCUUUUAUUGGAUGGAACAGAGAUUGCCUAUGAUGUUUGGAACUCUCUGGAAGAAAAACUCCUUCCAAUGACCAAAGAGAAGGAUAUGCAAUUGACCAAUAGACUCCGAGGGCUGAAGAAAGGCACAAGGUCCCUUGAUGAAUAUCUAAGGGAGUUCAAAGAAAUUUUUGAUGCAUUAGCUACAGUUAGAAAACCAGUAAGUGACCUAGACAAAGUUUUUCAACUAGCUCAAGGUCUCAUAACUAAAUACAUGGAUUUUCGGGUGGCCAUGUUAUCAAAGCCACCAUAUCCCUCUUACAAUCAAUUUGUUCUGGCUCUACAAGGGCAUGAACAAAUGAUUAUGAUAGAAAAUGAAGAGAACAAAGAGUCAAUAAACCAUGAACAAGCCUAUUUUACCCAAUGAGGAAGACGAAGAAAUCAAGGAGGAAGAUUUCUUUCUAGAGGUCAUGACUUCAUUCUAGCAAGACGAUUCAAUCACAAUGCUACCAAUGACCAAAGGCAGAAUGUUCAUCCCAACACCAGAAAUCCAAGAAAUAGCUUCAACAACCAGCUUCCACCAGAACAAAAACUCCAAAAAUCUAAAGGUACUCUUAUUUACCAAAUUUUUAAUAAAGCUAACCAUUCAGCUUUGGAUUGCUAGAACAGAUUCAACUAUUUGUAUCAAUCAGAAGAGAUUCCUCAAGCUUUGGCUGCUAUGGCUCUAAAUGAAGAAGAUAAGGAUCCUAAUUUUUAUGUGGACUCGAGAGCAAAAACCCAUAUAACAAAUGACCUAGGUAAGAUUACCCAAGUAAUUCCAUAUAAAGGGCAUGAUGCAAUUUUUGUUGGAAAUAGAGAAGCUGUAAGAAUCUCACAAAUUGGUGAAGCUAGACUAAAAACUAAACAUAUAGAUCUAAAGCUUAAAAAAUUAUUGGUUAUUCCAAAAAUUAAGAAAAAAUUGUUAUCCAUUGGACAACGUACCUCUGAUAACCCAUGCUCCAUAGAAUUCUCAUCAACUAGUUUUGUCAUUAAGGAUCAACUUCAACAAGUGCUAGCUAGAGGAACUAAGAAGAGAGGUCUCUAUGCAUUGGAGGAAAAUGUGAUUCAAGCCAUGAUAGUUACUAGGUCUAGCAAGGCACCAUAAGAAGUGUGGCAUCAACGCAUGGGGAAUCUGCAAACAAAAUCUAUAAAGCUUCUACAAGAUAAGAAUUUCAUUGAAGUAUCUAGUUGGAUGAAAUCAACAAUAGUUUGUGUUAGUUUUCAAUUAGGAAAAAGUUGUAAAGUUUCUUUUGGCUUAAAAAAUAAAAUUUCCAGCAAUCUUCUUGAAAAAAUUCAUUGUGACUUAUGGGGACUUGCACCAAAUAAUUCAACUCAAGGAUACAAGUAUUAUGUUGUCUUUAUUGAUGAUCAUACUCACUAUACAUGGCUUUAUCCCUUGAGAAGAAAAUCAAAUUUCUAUGAAUGUUUUUUGAAGUUUCAAAAUCUGGUUGAGAAUCAACUUGAAAGAUAGAUAAAAAUCUUCCAAAGUGAUGGUGGAGGUGAGUUUCAAUCAAUUAAAUUUCAAAAUCACCUAAGCAAGUGUGGAAUUUUGCAACGAGUCUCAUGCCCAUGAACUCCAGAACAAAAUGGGGUUGUAGAGAGAAAGCAUAAACACAUUGUUGAAAUGGGUUUAACAAUGCUUUUCAAUGCCAAAUUACCAUUGAGUCUAUGGGUAGAUGCAUUCCAUACUGUCGUAUACCUUAUUAAUCGACUGCCUUCCAUGGUGUUGAAAAUGUAGAGUCCAUUCUUUAUGUUUUUCAAACAAUAUCCAGAAUAUAGGAGCUUGAGAAUUUUUUGUUGUCGAUGUUUUCCAUACCUUUGAGACUACGGGAAGAAUAAAUUCUCACCUAAGAUAUCUCCAUGUGUUUUUAUUGGAUAUAGCUCUCUACACAAGGGUUAUAGAUGCUUGCAUCCUUCAACUAAAAGAGUUUACAUAUCUCAUCAUGUCAUCUUCAAUGAAAAUUGCUUUCCUUAUGCUAACUCUCUUGUUAAGAAAAAUCAUUUACAGAUUCCUAUAGAAAUGGUAUCAUUCUCAACUUCAGAUGUUUUUUGUGAGACUUAAAAAAUGGAUCACCAAACUAAGUCUUGGAAGGAGAACACUGCUAACCAAUCAAGCAACUCCAAGAAGUUCAACCAUUGGUCAUGCACUACUAGGUAAAGAAACUGGUUUAGUGUUGACGGAAGAAUUUCUACUAGUUGUAUUACUAACCAAAAUACAAAAGCAUCAUGUGUUAAUCCGACUGGAACUCCCACUACUAUUACUGUUGAAAUUUCCACUAUUGUUACUAGUAAAAAUGACCAUAAUACCGUCAUUACUACUGAAACUCCCACUGAUGUUGCUCUUGGUUCUAGUGGCCACAAUUUCAACACUGCAACUACUAUUGGAACACUCUCCUAGAUUGAGUCUACUAGUAGCUACAAGCCUGCCAAUGUUAGUAAUUUUCCUUAUAUCAGUAAGCACCUAGUAGUUGAUCUCUCUUUCCCUUAAAAAUGGCAGAAAAAUGAGCAUGUUGGUUCAUCUCCGCAAAACAAAUCCACCAGUCACAGUGUUGAUGAUGAAGUUCCUGAUAUUAGCAAGCAAAUUGUUGUUGACAUCUCUUCUCCUCAGGGCUAACACAUAGAUAACAAAGAAACUCAUAUGAUCACCAGAAGUAAACUCAAGAAUGAUCCCAGUUUAAAGUCUCAAAUGGUUACUUUUGUUGCCAUAAGAAGUAAUAUUAGUGAGCCAAAAACAUAUUGUACAACAUUGAAAAUUCCCUAUUGGUUCAAACAAUGCAAGAGGAAAUUAAGGAUUUAAUCCAAAAUCGAACAUGGGAUUUGGUUCCUAGGCCUCCAACUGCAAAUAUUGUGGGUUCUAAAUGGGUGUUUAAAACAAAGCUAAAGGAAGAUGGAACCAUAGAUAGAUACAAAGCACAAUUAGUUGCUAGAGAUUUUUCUCAAAUACCGGGUUUGGACUUUGGAGAGACCUUCAGCCUAGUUAUAAAGCAUACUAUAAUCAGAUUGAUCCUUUCAUUAUCAGUAACCUUGGGGUGGACAAUGAGGCAAUCAGAUGUUAAGAAUGCCUUCAUACAUGGGUUUCUAAAGGAAAAAGUACUCAUGGAACAACCUCCAGGAUUUAUAAACAAGGACUUUCUGAAUCAUGUCUACAAAUUGAAUUGUUCUCUUUAUAGCCUUAAGCAAGCUCCAAGGGCCUAGUUAAAUAAACUAUUUCAAUGUCUUCUUCAUCUGGGGUUUUACUGUGGUAAAAUAGACUCGUCUUUAUUUAUUCUUCGCAAAGGUCAGUCUAUUGUUUUGCUACUUAUCUAUGUUGAUGAUAUUAUAGUCACAGGCAAUGAUAACAACAUCAUUAGUGACCUCAUCAGCACCCUGAGUAGUGAAUUUUCUCUCAAGGACUUAGGAUUUUUGCAUUAUUUUUUGGGAUUGGAGGUUAAAUAUCUUCUUAAUGGGUUGUUUCUUUCUCAAACAAAGUACACUAGAGAUCUCCUAGAGCACACAAAAAUGAUGGAGUGUACUCAUAUCAACACAUCCAUGGCUCUUAAGUCCAUCAUCACACCUUCUGAUGAACAACCUAUUGAUCCUACAUGAUAUAGGUAACUUGUUGGAUUCCCCUAAUAUUUAACCUUCACAAGGCUUGAUUUUGUGCAUGCAGUAAACAAGGCCUACCAACAUUUCCAAGCACCCACUAAAGUUGACUUGCAAGCUGUCAAACGCAUCCUUAGAUAUUUGAAGGAAACAAUGGAGCAUGGAAUCAGGUUUUUCAAGCAAAGUUCGCUUCGUCUCACUGGUUUUUGUGAUGCUGAUUGGGCAGGAUGCACAAACACAAGAAGAAGCACAUCUAGGUAUUAUAUUUUUCUAGGAGCCAAUUGUAUCUCAUGGUCCUCAAAGCGACAACCUACAAUUUCUAGAUCAAGCACCGAGGCCAAAUAUCGAUCCCUUGCGUCCAGUGCUGCAGAAAUAACUCGGCUUACUUUCCUUCUCCAUGAUAUUGGCAUUCAACUAUGUGAACCUUCUCAAUUUCUAUGCGAUAACCUCAGUGCCCUUCACAUGACAGUACAUCUCGUCUUCCAUGCAUGGUCCAAGCAUAUUGAGUUGGACUAUCAUUUUAUUCGGAAAAAAAGUUGCAAGUGGAGUUUUGAUUACUUGUUUCCUUCCAUCGUCCUUACAAGUAGCUGAUAUAUUCACAAAGACACUCCCUAAGACUUCAUUCCAAGUCUUUCGAUUCAAGCUAGGAGUGCACAAGUUACCACUCACUAGCUUGCAGGGGGCUAAUAAAGGAAAGUCAAACUCAACUAGCAUACAAUCCAUGCCAAAGCAAUCUUUACGUGAGAAGUUAGUAAUGCAAUCUGCUAGGUAGGAAAACUACUCUCAAUAUUUGUAAUGUGGAAAAUCAAGGCUGGAAGGAAAUCUUCACUUACCUGUUCUGUAUAAUAUUCCCUUUUCUAUGCAAAUAAAGUAUGUAUUGUUUAUUUAUUUUUUAGAAAAAAUCAGUAAAGCGUGGUACAAAUUCAAUCUUUCAAAAAUAGUUUAUGUUCUUCAUGCAUGGAUAAUAAAUCCCAUGGAUAAAUUGUAUUUAGCAGCGGCUGAAGCUUUCUAUAUGACUAAAGAGAAAAAAAGUCAUUAAAAAACUAAUUGCCAUGUGACUACGUCUACCAGUAGAUAGUUGAGAACAAGGUCUAACUCUUAACCUUUUGUACUACCUUUACAAAGGAACACAAAAUUGAGAGAUUCAAAGGCAACUAUAGUAUAAAUAUUGUUUCAUAAAUUACUUUUCAAAUUUAAUUUGAUAACAAAAAUUUAGAAUACAAAAGUAUGAAAAAUUUGUUCCAUUCCCAAAAUUUUUGCAAAUAAAAUUUUAAAGUAAUAAAUUAACACCAUGACUCUUUUCACAUCUUAUUCUCCUUUCUAUCAAAGAAAUGAUAGUAAUAAUCUUAUCUAUAAAUUUUAAAUGAGGCAAGAUCAUUGAAUUUUUAUUUUCUUUUAUUUUCUUGUUAUGUAAUUAUCAAACACAUUUUUUUUUUAAGACAAAAAAAAAUUAGACUGAAGAAAUAUAUUUUUGCCCUGAUUUAGUCACUUGGAUUGCAAUUCGAAGGAUGGAAAUAAAAGUGUAUUCUUGGAGUUAAAGAUCAAUUGAAAGCUUAAAGCGGCUUGUUCUCGAAUGAAUUUAAUGAAUGACGAAGAAUACAUGUGUUGUAAUUUUUUGGAUUUGUAGGGGAAUUUUAUGAAGCUCUUUUCUCUUUGUCAGGCUUCUUUUUUUGUAUGAUUUUUUUUCUUCAUCAUUUUCAUUCAAGGAAGUCGCAUAUAUUUAGAGAUGAAAUUAAAAAAUUAAAUUUAGAAUUCCUAAGAUUUGAUUACUUAAUUAAAAAAAAUUGGUUUCUUGAUUUUAGCAACUUGUCUCCUCUAUUAAGGAAGUUUGCUAAUAAGAGAAUAUUUAAUUAUCAUUUUCUUUUGACUUCAAUUAGAAGAUUUGAUUCGUUUGUUCAUAAAAUUUGAAAACAAAAAAAAAAAUUAUUUCUAUUUUUUUAUUUCAAUUGUUUAAUUUAAUUUGAUUUUGGAAGACUUUAUUUUAUAGUUUUCCAAAUUUUGUUACAUGUCAUUUUUUGAAUUGCAUGUUACAUAUUCAAUAUACAUGACCCAUCACUUAUUAAGCAUAAAUUUCGUUGAGCUAAGGAGUUACAAUUUUGAAGACUAAUUUGAUAGUAUUUUAAUCCACUAAAAUUUUUUAUGUCUACAAAUGCCCCGUCUUCAAGACAAACACACACAUGCAUUGUCAUGUAUAAAAGAUGAGUCUUGAAGUUAGCAUUUUGAAUCUUUAAUAUCCUUCUUUGAUAUUUUUUUUUUCAAAGAAAUAUUUUAAUAGGAAAUUUCCUAUUUCAAAAUACCUUUCUUCAACUUUUUCCAAAAACGACUUUAUUUUCUUCCUUUUUUUCUACCUGGUAUCAAGGAAAGACUUUGUGUUAAUGGGAAAGUUUCUUAUUUGAACAUAUAUUUGCUUUUCUCAUGGUAUUUUCACUUCCAAUUUAUCAUCCUACAAGAAGUCCUUCACCCUUGGUCGAUUGUAUCUUAGACUUGAUCACAUGCCUUUAACUUGUAAUUCUUGCUCCACUUUAUUUAUUUUAUUUUAUUUUAUUUUAUUUUUAAAAAAGAAUACAAUGUAUAUGAGCAAGACCUUGAGCAAGAGGAGCAAGGUGGAGGGUGGAGCAUGAGCUAGCCUUAGGGUAAGACCUUGAGCAAGAGAAGUAAUGUGGAGUGUAGAUCACAAACUUCUCUGGAGCAUGGUAGGCAUACCGUCACAGAAUUGUCUUCCACAUGGAGCAUGGUAGGGUUUAUACAUAUGAUAGGGUGUGCCAUCAUGUAACAAUGAAGAACAACAAUCCAUGGUGUACAAUUGGGAACAACAAUUCAUGCUAUCAAGCUUCAACAUUUUUUUUUACCCCCAUCUCCAUUUUUUCAACUUCUUUUUUUUUUUUUUGUCCUUUUUUUUUCCCUUUUUUUAAGCAUUGUUUUUAAGGAAGAAAUAGGUUUGCCAUCCCUUACUAUGAGGUCAAUAUCCAUCACUUGCAAAGACAAAUUUGCUUUUUGAUAUUUUUUCUUCUUCAAUAAUUAACUUAACAUUUUAAUAUAUAUAUAUAUAUUUUAACAAACUUGAAUAUUCAUAAUAAAAUAAAUAUUUAAUGUCUUUACUCAUCCAAAUUAGCUUGACUUGAAUACUUAGUAGAUCCAUACUUAACACCCAUGUAGACGAGCUGUAACCUUGAUGGCAGGUUGUGUUGUAUUUUCGACACUUAAUGUGCCUUAAGAGUUAAAGUCUUCUCUCAUACAAAUUAGCUUGGUUUGGAUGCACAAUGGUGUGUAACUUUUUAACACUUUAUUAAACUUGGAACCAUAUUUAACACCCACGUAGACAAGUCAUAAUCAUGACAUGGAUCACUGUUUUAUUUUUAGCUCUUAAUGUGGCUUAAAUAUUAAAUUCUUCACUCAUACAAAUUAAAUUGGGUUAGAUGCACAAUGGUGUUCAACUUGUUAACAGUUAAUUAAAAUUAGAACCAUAUUUAACACCCAUACAAACAAGUCAUAACUUUGACGUGGAGCAGUGUUGUAUCUUUGGCUUAAUGCCGCUUAAGUGUUAAAGUCUUCACUCAUAUGAAUUAGCUUCACUUAGAUGCAUAGUUGUAUUAUACUUUUUAACACUUAAUUUAAAUUUGGACCAUAUUGAAAACCCAUGUGAACAAGACAUAACCUUGUAGUGGUGUUAUAUUUUUGACACUUAAUGUAGCUUAAAUGCUAAAGUCUUCACUUCUAUGAAUUGGUUCACCUUGGAUGAAUAGUGAUGUCUAAAUUGUAAUAAUUAAAAUUGAAACCAUAUUUAACACUCAUGUAGAUAAUCAUAACUUUGACGUAAUGGCAUUGUAUUUUUGACACUUAAUGCAGCUUAGGUGCUAAAGUUUUCACUCAUGAGAAUUGGUAUGAGUUAGAUGCAUUGUGGUGUCCAACUUUUUAACACUCAAUUAAAAUUGGAACCAUAUUUAACACCAAUGUAGAUAAGUCAUAACCUUGACGUGAAGCGAUAUUGUAUUUUUGACACUAAAUGCAACUUAGGUGCUAAAGUCUUCACCCACGCAAAUUGGUUCAUCUUGGAUGCACAAUGGUGUCGAAUUUUUUUAACAUAUAAUUAAAAUUUGAACCAUAUUUGACACUCAUGUAGACAAGUCAUAACCAUGAUGUAGAGUAGUGUUGUAUUUUUAACACUUAAUAUGACUUUACUGGUAAAUUCUUUACUCAUGUGAAUUGCCUUGAUUUGGAUGCACAACUAACUUUUUAACAUUUUAUUAAAUUGGGUAUCAUAUGUGUUGUUUUUUUAACACUUAAUACGACUUUAGUGGUAAAUUCUUUACUCAUGUGAAUUGUCUUGAUUUGGAUGCACAAUGAUGCCUAACUUUUUAACAUUUUAUUAAAUUGGUAUCAUAUUUAACACCAAUGUAGACAAGUCAUAACUUUAAUGUAGAUGCGGUGUAGUAUUUUUGGCACUUAAUAUUGUUUAAGUGCUAAAGUCUUCACUCAUGUGAAUUUUCUUGGUUGAGAUGCACAAUGGUGUGUAACAUUUUAACAUUUAAUUAAAAUUGGAACCAUAUUUAACACUCGUGUAGAGAAGUCAUAACCUUGACAUGGAGUAAUAUGCAAUUUUUUUAUAUUUAAUAUGACUUAAGUGCUAAAGUUUUCACUCAUGCGAAUUGACUUGACUUGGAUGCAUAGUGAUGUCUAACAUUUUAACACUUAAUUAAAAUUAGAGCUAUAUUUAAUAAUCAUGUGGACAAGAAAUAACUUUGACGUGAAACAAUAUUGUAAUUUUGACACUUAAUGUUGCUUAAAUGCCAAAGUCUUCACUCAUACAUAUUGACUUAGCUUGGAUGAAAAGUGGUAUCCAACUUUUUGACACUUUCUUAAAUUUGGAAUUAUGUUUAACAUCAAUAUAGACAAGUAAUAACCUUGACGCAGAGUGAUGUUAUAUUUUUAGCACUUAAUAUAGCUUAAGUGCUAAAAUAUCCACUUCUAAGAAUUGACUUGGCUUGGAUGCAUAAUGGUGUCCUACUUUUUAACACUUAAUUGAAAGUGAAAUCAUAUUUAACACCCAUUGUAUGCUAGUCGUAAACUUGAUAUAGAGCAUUGUGCAACUUUUUAACACUUAAUGCGACUUAAAGUGCUAAAGCCUUUACUCAUAUGAAUUAAUUGAACUUAGAUGCACAUUUGUUUCCAACUUUUUAAUACAUAAUUAAAAUUAAAACCAUAUUUAAAAACCAUGUAGACAAAGACAUAAUCUUAACAUGGAGCUAUGUAUAACUCUUAACACUUAAUUAAAAUUGAGAUUACACUUAACAACCACAUAUUCCUCCUAUUUUUCAAUUUUUUCUUGUGGUGAUGAUUGAACUUAACUAGUUUGUCCAAGUUGCCUAUAUACCCUUAACAGAGAGGGAAUCAAGUCAAACUUAGUUCAAAGUAUUUCUUUUAAUCUCUAACUUUUGCCAAGGCUAAUGAUUUUAAUCUUACAAGCUUGUCUUAACUUUUGACCAUAUAUGUAGUCUUUUUAGGUUUCAAUUUAACGGCCUAUAUAUGACUUGUACAAAUUGAAAAUGACUUCAAUCAUGUGUAAAAAAUAAUAAAAGAUAUUCAUUCCUAGUUUUAGGGCAACGAAAAAUAGUUGAUCCUUUUUUAUAUUAUUAUUAUUGUUGUUGUUAUUAUAAUUAUUAUUUCACCUUACAAAAAGACCUUCUGCAAUUAAUAUUUUAUACAUAUAUAUAUAUAUAUAUUUUAUCUUUUAUAUAUUUAGUUUUCAUAGUAUUUUUUAAUUCAAUAUAUAUAUUUUUUAAAUAUCUAUACUUUCGGUCAAUGUCUCAAAUUUAAAGCACGUGCAUGCUCUAGAAAUUCUCAAGUUGUAGGCUUGUGGCCUACAAUGUCAACUUAGAGUUUGAUGAAAAAGCGCAUAAACAAAGACAAAAAAAUUAAUCUACAAGUACUUGGAUUCUAUUUGAAUAAAAAAGAGCCACCCACAUGCAUGGAAUAAAUAUAUAUCCCAUGGAUUAGUUGUAUUUAGCCACGGCUGAAGCUUUCCACUAUGACUUAAAAAAAAAAAAAAAGAGGAUAAUGCCAUUAAAAAACUGAUUGCUACGUGGGUAUGCCUGCCAGUAGAUGGCUGAAAACUAAGUUCUAUUCUUUUCAAUAGUUGAGAGAUUCAAUGGCAACUAUCGUAUAAACAAUGUUUCAUAAAUUACUUUUAAAUUUUGACAGCAAAGACUAAAAAUGUAAAACCAUAAAAAAUUUGUUCCAUUCCCAAAUUUUUAAAAAUAAAAUUGAAAAUAAUAUAUUAACGCCCAUGACUGUUUUCACAUCUUAUUCUCAUUUCUAUCAAUGCAAUCAUCGUAAGCAUCUUAUCUAGAAAUAUGGCCUAGAGCCAUAGAGCUGCCUUUUCUUUAGUCCUAGAGCCAUUUCAUGAGCUAAUAGUAGUCUUUCCUUAGCAUUUCCAGCCCAAAGCUCCCAUUUCCUUAGGCCUAGAGACGUUUUCAGCCCAGAGCCGCUGUUUCUUUCGGCCUAUAACCAUUUUCAGCCUGAAGCUGCCUUUCUCUAGCAUUUUCAGCCCAAAGCUUCCUUUCCUUGGCAUAUUAGCCCGAAGCUUCUAUUUCUUUAGGCCUGGAGCCAUUUCAACCCAGAACUGUCAUUUCUUCUAAAUAGCUUCUCUUUUAAAAGACUUCAGUUUGUCUUUCUAGUCACAAAAUUUAAGGCUUUGUUCCAGGUUUGAAGAAGCUGGUAAAAAUCUGGCUGUUGACUAAGCUCAACUAAAAAACAGUAAAGCUUGCUGACCUGGGUAAUAAAUAACAGCUAUCUUGGCAGUAUUGUUAGUUAGUUAGAGGUUUUUUUUUUACUAUUAUAAAAGGUGCAGACUUGGGAAAACUGAAAUAAGGUAUUCAAUUGUACAGAAUAGAGAGCAAGAAAAGCAGAGAGCUUUGAAAUCCAUAACCACAGGUCUGUUUCGGUUUUCCUAUAGAGAAAAGAAAGAAACAGAGGUGAGGAGGGUUCUUGGGGAAAGCCUAUAAGUUCUUUGUUUUUUAUUCUUGUGUAAAUUCUGGUUGGUACAAUUUAAUAAAGGCUUCAGGAAAUCAGUGUGAAUGUAGAUCAAGUUGAUCGAACCACGAUAAUUCUCUUGUGUUCUUGAUCUUGGUUGAUUGUCUACAAGCUGUUUGAUUUUAUUCCUAAGAGAAGUUCUUGCAAACUGGUUGUCUUUUUCUGGUUUAGUUUCUGCUCUAAUAGUCCCUAAUUCAAGACUGGCUUUUCUCAACAGCAUGGUUUGAAACACAUAAUUUUCACCAUUCAAAUGCAAAACAAUUAACUAAUUUCAAAUGCUAUGUGUUGUUUCCUUCUAAUUUCCCCUUUAUUUUUUUUUCUCUCCUAUUUUCCUUCAAAUUUUUGGAAAACCAAACAGAGCCUAAAAGAAAAGAUAAUUUUACUUAUUUUGAAAGUUGUUUCAUGUUAAUUUAAUGAAGCAUUUAUAAUAUUAAGAUCGCCCUUUCAUAAUCAUGAGGUAACCUUAGUUUCAACUUCUACAAGAGGCUAAAUGAAAAAAGCUAUCACAGAGAAGAAGGCCUCAGCCAAUGAGUGGAAAAUACAAUUUUAUUAAUACUUGAUAUCAAAAAAAAGAAAAAAAAAAAAAAGGAUGAUUUUACUUUCAAACCAAGGAUUUAUUUAUGUUGAAGUGCAGUCUCCAUAUGCACAUGUGACUGCAUUUACAGGAUAAAGAAAGACAAGGAAAUUAACAAUGUUGGACUUACUGGAAAAUCAUACAAAUUAUUGAAGGAGGACCUUAGCUAGGCUAACUGUCUCCUAAAUUGCCCAUCUUUUAUAUAUCUUUGCAAUCAUCCAUCUCAUCAUCAGCUUUGAUUUUAGAUGGUGAGGAUGUGAAAGUAACAGGAAGCAGUGGACGAUUGUUCACAGUGAGGCUUAGCACAUCAGCUCUCGAAUAAUGUCCUACCACAUCGAACUGGAACUUUGCUUUAGGAAUCUCUCCACGAACAUCUGCAUAUCAAGUGAUCAUCAAAAUAUUUGAUCAGCCCGUGAUAAAUAUCAUAGAGUAUCAAGUCUUCCAUGAAACCAUGUUUGCAGUCCUUUUAAACCUAAAGAAUUGACUCAUUUGCCUUAUCUGCAUACUGAAAUAUUUGGAUAUACAAUUGGAGAAGUUAGGGCCAUACCAAGAUCAGCUGUGAAGAGGCCUUCUCCUUCAUAAUUUGGUCCUGCUAGAAUUUCGCCAUGGGGCGAAAUGAUGACACUACCUCCAGCCCAAACAAUAGAAUCUGGAGUGACAUCUUCUUCUGUAGGACUGUAAAGAUACUCAGGUGGAGGUGGGUAAUCUUUCCUCCGACAGAACUGGAUGGGUGAAAGAACAUAGCAUCCACCCUCAAUAGCGAUGUGUCUCAUUGUGGCUACCCAUUUAUCCCCGGAAUCGGCAGUAGGAGCACAAUAUAUCUCAAUACCUAUAUAUAUGAACAUUGGUAUUCUGUGAUCAAUCAAUCCCAUAUCAAAGCCACAAUGUAUUUCAAGACUGCUUAGAUUAAAACCCUAAUAAUGUAAAAGGGUGCUGGAGGUCCUAUUUGGUAAUUGUCUUCGGAACAGUUUUGAGAAAUAGUUUUUGAAAGUUGUUCUUUAAUAGUUUAUAAAACAUAAGAAUAUUUGAAACCUAAAAUAUAUUCAACUUAUUAAAAAUAAUUUUUAUAUUUAAUACUUUAUUUUUAAAUAUUCUUCAUAUUUAUAUAAUUAUUUUUUAAAACAACCUUAAAAACAAAUGAAAACAAUGAAGAAAAAAGUUUAAAAAAUAUUAUCUGAAAACAUUUUGUUUUAUGUUUCUAAGAAAAAACAAAAAGCGGUAUUCUAAUUGUCAAUUGUGUUUUCCUAAAUUUUUUUUGGAUAACAAAAGAUUCCUCUAAAAUAUAAUUGUGAAACAAAGCCAAACUAUUUCAAGCCAAACCAUACUAGUUAAUGAAGAAAAAAAAAUGGUAAAAGAUGUACCUUUGCCAUACAUUGAUGUCCUGAAAAGAGGCAUUCUAUUUUCCCAACAAAUGACCGAACCAAGUUUUCCAUAUGGAGUGUCAUAAAUUGGAGUUGUCGAGCAAUCUCCGAAACCCCAGAAGAGCCGCUCCCAAUAUGUUGGCAUGAGUUUCCUAUGUUUUCCAAGGUAAUUGCCUUCAGGAUCAAAGAAGAGAACAGUGCAAUACAAUGUGUAUCCAUCUCUCUCAACAACACCUGUCACUAAGUAGACUUUGUAUUUCGCAGCCAUUGAUGCCAAUCUAUCAACUUCAGGUCCUGAAAAUACAUUAAUAUGAGAUCAAAGAUGAGACAUGUAAGCUGAUGGUUCAUCACAAAGCAGCAUAAGUAGAUUUUGUUUCAAUAACUUAUUUAAGUGGUUCAGUCCUCUAGCUAUUUAAGGGAGAAAGAGAGGGGUAACUGACCCGGCACAUUAAUGGCAGAAGCAUGGUACUUGCGGAAGCUUUCUUUCCCUCUAGGAGACUGGUCCGCGAAGUUGUACCCACGGGGAUACCCACCGAUAAAUGCCUCAGGAAACACAACCAGUUGGGAUCCCAAUGCAGCUGCCUCUUUCAGAAACCUCUCAGCCUUAUCUGCUCCCAAAAUCACAUUGCAAGAAUUAACAAUUCAUGACUUAGGAAGUAAAUUAAUUGGUUGAAUAGAGAAUGAAAAUUCACCUCAAGAUAUCCCAAAUGACUUUUUGGUUGCUGAGAAAACUUAAGGAAAAGGAGACCUAAAUAAAACUCGAAACUCACAUAUUUUCAGCUGUUUUGUAACUAAGAAAAAAGAAACCACCUCAACCAACUCAUCCAAAUAAUUAUUGUACAAGCAGUAAUUCCUUGAUUGGCAGCUGAAAAUAUGAUCAGGGUUCAAUCAUCCCUUUCUUUCUUUCAGUUUCCCAGCAACCAAUCAGCUCACUGAUUCUCUUACAGAAGUUGCAGAAUUGAGAGAAAUGGCACGUUACCUAGAGUGGCAGGAGUAUCAUAAAAGAUACUAGAAGCUUGAACAACGGUGGCUCUAACAGUUGAAGACAUUGCAGAAAUCGUAUGUUUUUUCGUUUCCCCUUUGUUUGAGGAUUCCUCACACUGCGUUCAGUAUAUAUAUAUCGCCCAUGAACAAGAGGUUCCUCUGCCAUUACUUGAACAAGACGGAAAGGCUUUGAAAAGUCUGACUUGGUUUUCUAUACUCAUGGUGAGGUUUUAUCCUCAUCACAAAUUUUUAAGUUAUCCGCAGACAUAGUGGACCAGCCACAUGACUUGUACAAAUUGAAAAUGACUGUCACAUGGGAUUUUUUGUAAUUUUUAAAAAUAAUUCCCAAAUGUAGUGGAAAAAAUAAUUCUAAAUCUAACAUAGUUUUUGCAAGAUAGAAAAGAAAAAAAUAAAAAUCUUUAUUUCCUUUAAAAAAAAAUUAUAAUGAAAGAAUCGUCUUUUGAAAAGACAAUUUCUCAAAUUUUUUUUUAAAAAAUAAAAUCUAUCGGUUAGAAAUUGUCUCUUGAAAAUCGUCAGAGAUGAUUUUCAAAAAUUCAUUUUUUCAUUUUCUCUUUUUUUUUUUCAAUAAUAUUUUACUAAAUAAUAUAUUUAUACAAUUAUGAUUUUUUUCCUUUUAAAAAAUUAUAAUGAAAAAUUCUCUUUGGAAAAGAUGAUUUCUUAAAUUUCUAAAAAAUAAAAAUAAAAAUCUAUAGGCUAGAAAUCAUCUCUUGAAAAGACGAUUUUCGGAAAAAAAAAAAAAUUAGGGAGAAAUUGUCUCUUUCUCCAUUGAUUAAAAAAACUGGAGAAAUCUUCUCAAGAUGAUUUCUUAAAAAUAAAAAGAAACAUAGAAAAAAAAGUCAGUCAAUUUUCAAAAAUUUUGUUUUCUAUUAGGAAAUAUAUAUUUUACCAAAUAAUAUAUUUAUACAAUAAUAUAUAUAUAUAUAUAUAUAUAAAUUGAUUAAUUUUAUUUACUAAAUUUAAUAUGUAAAAAUAAUUAUAAUUAUUGAUAUAUUUAUCAACAAUAAUAUUUAUAAAAAUAUAAAUUAUGUUUAGCAUCCGAUAUUUAAAAAUAUUAUUUUAUAUUAAGUUAGACAUUAAUUUUAAAAAUAUUUUGUUCUUUAUCUUCAGUUUUAUCUUUAAAUUAAUUCCAUUAAUUGUAACUAAUAAAUUAAUUUAGUUUUAUAUUUUUAUUAUUUAUAAUAUAAAUAAUAUUUUAUCUCAUUCUCUUUUUUACUAUCUCACCUUUCUCUCACCUAUUUAUUAAUGGAAUCAAAUUGAAUAAUUUUUCAAUCAUUUUUCUCCAACAAAUUGAACAUGAGAGAUAAAUGAUUAAAAAUUAUUAAUGUCAAAUGCAUUUUUAAAGUAAAUAAUUUUUAAAUACCUCAUCAAAUAUUAUUCUUUUAUUAAAACUUACAUAAUAUAUAAUAAAUAUUUUUUAAAUACCUUGGAAACUUACAUAAUAUAUAAUAAAUAUUAUUCUUUAUUUCAAACUUAUGUUAUUUAUCAUAUAUAUUAAACAAUUUUUAAACACCUUAUAAAAUAUUAGUAUUCUUUAUUUGUUCUAACUUGCAAAUUAGACAUAAUCAAAUAUUAUAUAUUUUUUUUCAAACUUAAGAAUAUAUAAUAAAUAUUUUUUAAAUACAUUGGCAAAUAUUUUUUUUUCUUACUUACAAAAUUAAAAAUAUGUUGUACAUUAUUUCUUAUAGGUCUUAACGACAUAGUUUGGUUAAAAAAAAAAAAAAAAACUAUCAAUAAUCGUCCUAAUGUCAAGCUCAAGUUGUUUAAAAAUCGCACAAAACCUAUUAGGAGCCUUGUACACCCUUGUAUACUUGACACAUUUCUCUUGUAUAAUUAGUGUAACAUUGUACAAUGGUGCAAAUUUCAUAUCCCUCCUAAGUUGUGUCUAUAUAGGUGUGUUAACCAUGUUUCCAAUGGUUUGGUUGAGAAAAAAAUGACUUAUGGUCAAAUUUUUUUCUCCAAACAUCAUUAUUGGGAAAAUCAUUGGAAUUUCCAUGUGGAAGUUAAAUAAAGUGCAUGACAUGGGUAUACAAUCCUUGGGUGACAAGGAAAAUAAAAAAGUGGUUUAGAAUCAAUUGAAAUCUUUCACAAAUGGUAGUCUUGUAUACCCUUGUACACUUAGUAUAUUUCCCAUCUUUAAUACCUUUGUAUAGUGGCACAAAUUUCAUAUCCCUCCUAAGUUAUGUUCACAUAAGUGUGUUAGCCAUGUUUCCAAUUAUUUGGUUGAGAAAAUGUUGGAUGAAUUAGGGUCAAUUUUUUUUUCCCUAAACAUCAUUAUUGGGGAAAAUAUUGGAAGUUCCAUGUGAGAGUUAAAUAAAGUGUAUGACAUGAAUGUAUAAUCUGUGGGUAACAAGGCAAAAAAAAAAAGAAAAAAAAAGGGGUUCAUAAUUGAUUGAAAUCUUUCACAAAUGGUAGCCUUAUACACUCUUUUGCACUUAGUACAUUUCUCUUGUACAAUUAGUGUAAUACUUUUGUACAAUGGCACAAAUUUCAUCUCCUUCAUAAAUAAUGUAUCCACAUAGGUAUGUUAACCAUUUUCUCAAUGGUUUGGUUGAUAAAAUGUUGGAUGACUUAGGGUUAAAUUUUUUUCCCUAACAUCAUUGUUAGGGAAAACAUUGGAAUUUUCAUAUGAGAGUUAAAUAAAGUGUAUGACAUGAGUGUACGAUCCGUGGGUGACAAGGAAAAUAAAAAGAAGUGGUUCAAAAUUGAUUAAAAUCUAUCACAAAGGGUAGUCUUGUACACCGUUAUACACCCUUGUACACUUAGUACAUUUCCCUUGUACAGUUAAUGUAAUACCCUUAUAUAGUGGCAUAAAUUAUAUAUCCCUCCUAACUUAUGUAUUCACAUAGAUGUGUUAACUAUGUUUCCAAUGGUUUAGUUGAGAAAAUGGUGGAUGACUUAGGGUCAAAUUUUUUUCGCCAAACAUCAUUACUGUGGAAAGUAUUAAAAUUUUCAUGUAGGAGUUACAUAAAGUGUAUGACUUAGGGUCAAACUCUUUUAAAUAUUUUUAUUAUUUUCAUAUAAAAAAAUAGUACUAAACAAGGUUUUCAAUUUUCAUUUUUAAAAAUAUUUUUCAUUUUUAAUUAAAUGUAUUUUUAAAAAGAGACAAUAUAGAAAAUAAAAAUUAUUUUAAGAAAUAAAAAAAUAGAAAUAAAAACUAGAAAAAUAUUUUUAAACCAGACUUAAACAUAAUCUAUUUAAUUUUUAACUACUUGUUUUCAUCUAAAAUGAGUAAAUAUACUUUUCAACCCUUUUAUAUAAUAAAAAUUCAAUCUUUACUAUGUAUUGAUAUAAUCCACUUCCAAAAUUAAGUCAUAUGAAAACAUUUUAAUUGGAUAUUUAAAAUAAAAACUCUCCAUCCAUCCUUUUUUUUUUUUUUUCUUAUUUUGAUAAAUUUUUAAUUAAUACAAAUCAUAAAAAAAAAAAAAAAUACUUAGUAAACAAAUUUGCAACAUUUUAUAUCACUUAUUAUUAAAAGUCAUGUUCAAAUAGUUAUUAAAAUAAGGAAGGAAGAAGAUUAAAAAAAAAAUUGAACUUUUUAUUUUAUAAUAGUAAAAAAAAAAAAAAAAACUUUAAAAUACUUUUUAGUAUAAAAAAAAGAAAAGAAAAAAGAAAAUAGUGAAUAGAUUUAUUUUAAAUAGCGUUUUAAUCAUUAAAUGAUUUACUUCUAAAAAGUAAAGGAUAAUUUUUAUUUAUUUAAAUUAACAGUUUUAGAAAGUAUUUUCCAUAAUAGUUUUUGAAUUAUUAAUAUAAUUUUUGUUUAUUUAUAAUUUAAAAAUAGAAAAUAAUGUUGAUUUUUCAAUUAUUUAUAAAAGAGUUUUAAAAAACAAUGAAAAAUCCAAAAAUGGUUAAGUAAGAAAGAAUUUGUUGGUAGUGGCAUGUUAAUAGUGGUAGAAUAAUAAUAAAAAAAAAGAGUCAAAUGAUUAUUUUUGUCCAUUACUAUCUCAUAUCCUUGUAAUCAAUUAUGGGUGACAGGAGGACCUUAGCUCAAUUAUCAAGUAGAGCUAGGUCGGAAACACAAUUCUCCCAAUAAUUUCCGGGCAUGAUAAUCAUAUUUAAAUAAAAAAGAGGGAGCUGCCUACAUGCAUGGAUUCCAUUGUCUUUAGUGGUGAGUAAGGCUUUCCAAGAUCAAUACACACACACACACACACACACACACACACACACACACACACACACACACACAUAUAUAUAUAUAUAUAUAUAUAUAUAUAUAUAUAUAGAGAGAGAGAGAGGUAAAAACUAAGUCUAACCCAGGGAGGAAAAUAUCGAGUAUCGGUGGACCUUGACAUGAUAUAUGAGGGAGAAAUAUCGGUCCCUUGAUUUUUUGACAAUUUAUCGUGAAUCUUGCUGACUUUUUGGAAUUUAUCAACAUUUUACCUAUUUAUCACGAUAUUUUGGACCGGUCAAUGCGACCUCUACAGUCAAAUAAAUUCAUUUAUUUGAAUACCAAAAAUAUAAAAAUUAUCAUGAUAAUUUUCUUCAUAGUAUUUUUAAUAUCAUUAAUAUAUUAAUUAAGUAUAAAAAAUUAUACAUAUAUUAUCAUUUAUUUUAUAUCAUUUAAUACAAUGAAAUUAAAUGAAUUAUAAUUUUAAUAUUAAAUAUAUUUUUAAGUUGGACAUAUUAUAAUCAAAUAUCACAAUGUUAUUAUCAAAUAAUAUUUGAUAUAAUUUAAUAAUAAAUGUAUACUUAUGAAAUUCAUAUUUUUUAUUAGCAUAUACAAUAUUAUUAUCAAAUAUAAUAAAUUAUAUUAUAUAUAUCAAUUACAAUUCUAUUAUACUUUUAAUUUUAUUUUUAAGAGUUUUUUCUUACAUUUUUAUAAUUUCUGAUCAAUUUUAGGUUCAUCGAUAUUUUAUGUCAAAAUAUCCGUCGAUGUAUCUGUAAAAUGAAAGUACCGAUAUAUCCGUAAUUACCGAUAUUUUCAUCCUUGGUCUAACCUUGUGUAUUGGCCCUUCCAAAAUUUGAGUGAUUCAAUGGCAGCUCUAGUAAAACAUAAAAAGGAAGAACUAUGUUUACCCUCAUGUUCAUUCAAACAAAUAUAUUGUAUAGGAAUUCUAAUUUUCAUAUUUGAUCACCCCAAACACACAACCAAUAAAAUUAUUCUUUAAAUAUGUAUUUUAAUAGAAACUAAAAUGAGAAUUCUAUAAUUACCCCUUUUUAAAAUCUUUAAUAUGAAAAGUCAUAAUUUAAUGUAUUUGAUGGCUCUCACAUCUGUUUUUUUUUUUUUUUUUUUCUCCUCUACGUCACUUUCUCCAUAUAAUGUCUUUGAUAUCCUCUCCAUAUCAUGUCUUUGAUAUCCUACCUUUGGCAUUUUUAUUUAUUUAUAUAUGUUGAAGUGACAACACUUUCUCUUCCCAACCUCUUUACUUUCAUAUUUCUUUUUACUCGUUUAAUAUUUAUUAACUUUAUUUAAUUUUUUGGAAUAAAUAAAUAAUGAGAAUAAAUUAAAUAUAAAUAUAAGUAUGCAAGCAACAUAAAAUGAAAAUUUAUCCUAAAAAUCAUACACUUGAUACUUUAAAAUAUUAAUUAUAAUAUAUUUGAUAAUUUAGGAUUUCGAUUUAAAAAUUAUGUUUUAUUUUUUAGAGGCUGGGAUAUAAGAUUUCCAUUAACCAAAGAUUUUUUAUAUGAAUCCUAAAUAAUAUGUUUAUUUUGCAAAUUCUUAUCAUAUAUAAAUAAAAUAAAUAUAUUUUUAUCAUAUUAUUUUUAAUUUUUAAUAUUUUGUAUCAAAAUCACAAUUAAUGAUAGUGAUUUUGGUUAAGAUAGAGCCCUUAAAAACAUAACAUGUUGUAAAAAAUAUAGAGUUUAUUAUUUAUUUAAUGAUAUUUCAAUUUCACUUUUAUCUAUCCUUAUUUUAUGCAUUAUACCUUAUGAGCAUUCUAACUUGACAUUUUUUGCAUUGUUCAUGACUUGGGUGAAUUAAGAUUUACAUGGAACAUCCAAGUCAUGGGUUCUUAUAAGUGGAUGAUUUGUUCAUAGUCGCUUUAUGGACUUAAGCAAUCCAUUUGAUGUUGUAGUGCAUUACCUCUUAAUUUAAGGGAUGACUAGUUUUGACCAACAAGAUGGGACCCUCAUAGUGAGUGCACUAAUGUAUAUGAUUGCAUUUUAGAUAAAACCUAUGGUGAGUCAUGAUGUAAGAAUAUCAGGUACUCAUGACUUCACCAAGUUGCUAUAUCGCAUUUUCUAUCAACCUUGAAAGAAUAUUGGGUUUGUGCCAAAGUUUGUAGUGACUUUGACAUAUGGGUGAAAUCCAAAAGUGAUAAUAUAUUCCUUAUGGAUUAGGUCACUAUAAAUAGAAUUAAGUAGCAAUAAGUAUUCUCAAUAGAGGAAUCAGAAUAUCUCAUGGAGUUUGAGACAUUAUGUCCCUUUGGAUGAUCCUAAGGACACAUGAUCAUGAAAUCUAUAGUCGUAGUAAUUCCUUGAGUGGAAUUUGAAAUAUGCUCUUAUGGGUUGGAGUAUGUCAAUUGAUCACAUAAUAGGAGGAUAUGUAACUGAAGAAUGAUAGAAGUAACCUUGAAAGGCAAAUAGUAUUCACCUUAUUAGAUUAUGAACAAUACUUCAUAAAGAGACUAUAUACAAUGGAUAGUAGGUUAGGAACCCAAGUAGUGCAAUCGACUCUCUAUGGUAGGAUGUUGAGUCAACUUUAGAAUUGGAUUAUGAGGGAGCCAAUACUAUUCUAUGGGUCAUAGUGGUACCGACUCAAGUUCAUAUAUCUUAAUGGCAUAACUUAUGAGGGUUGGAUUAGUUAAUGAUUCAAUUAUGUGCAUAAGGGCAUUUUGGUAAAUAUGCAUGGCUGAAUAGGAGUUUGUUGGGACAAAGCCCUAUAAAGCAUGAUAUGAUGUAAUAGAUUAAGUUUCAUUAAUAAAUUUAUUUAUUUAUUAUUCUAGUCCCCUUGUGUUAUCCCAUUUGCAUGAAUUGGUUAUUUGAGCAUUUACGUUCAUAUCACUUGCAUUGUACAUGACUUAGGAGUAUUAAGAGUUGAAUAAAAGAUCCAAGUUAUGGAUUCUUUACAAUAUGAUAAGUGAUUAGAAGUCUAUUCAUGGAUUUAGCAAAUCUAGUAUAAACUAUAGUGUACUACUACCUACUAAUUAGAGGGAUGCCUUGUGAUGGUCAUCGGGAUAACUUUCUCAUGGUAAAUGUGUACAAUUACAUAUUAAAUAUGACCUACGAUGAAUCAUGAUAUUAGUUGUUGGAUAGUCAUUAUUACCCAAGGUUUUAUACUACAUAAAUUCUUAAGCUUAAAAGGAUAUUAAGUCUAUACUAAAAUCAAUAUGAAGUUUUGACCUCUGGUUGAGAUCCUAAUGUGGUCACAUAUUCCACAUAGAUUGGGUUAUUGAAGGAGACCGGUAACAAUAGGCAUUUUUAAUAAAGGAACCAUAAUAUCUCAUGGGAUUAAACUUCAUGGGUGAUCUUAAGGGCAUGUGAUCAGGAUAAAUGUUACUAUAGCAAUUCCUUUAGUAAAAUUUGAUAUAUGCUCUUUGUGGGAUGGAGUAUGUCAGAUGAUCACUUAAUAGGAGGAUCUAUAACUCAAGGAUUAGAAAGGUAAUCUUGAAAGGUUGAUAUCACUACCUUGUUAGAUUAUGAAUAUCAAUUCAUGGGAAGUCUACAUUGUUAGGAUAGAGCCCUUAAGAGCAUGACCUGAUUUAAUAAACUUUUGAAUUUAAUUAUUCCUUAAAAAUUUUCAAUUCACUUUUAUCUAUUCUCAUUCCAUGUAUUCUAUCUUGUAAGCAUUUUGACUUACAUCUUUUUCAUUGUACAUGACUAGAGUACAUAAGGUUAUCAAGUUGUUAUGACUUCACCAAGCUACUUCAAUAUGUUUCCUUUAGAGAAUAUUGAGUUGGUGCUAAAGUUAGUAGUGACAUUGACCUACAAGUGAGAUCAUUAGUUGAUUAUAUAUUCCUUAUGGAUUAGGUCAUUGUUUAUCGAUGCCAAUUACAAUAGGUAUUUUCAAUAGAGGCACCAUAAUAUCUCAUGGGAUUAAGACAAGUGUCCUAUUGGGUGAUCCUAAGGAGGUGUGUUUAUGUAAACUAUGGUCAUAAUAGUUUCUUAAGUGGAACUUAACAUAAACUCUUGGAGAGUUAAGAUAUGCUAGUUGAGCACAUAGUAAGAGGAUUUAUAACUCAUAGAUAGUAGAGGUAGUCUUGAGAAGAUGAUAGCUUUCACCUUGUUAGACUUUGGACACCACACUACAAGAAAAAAGGUCAUUAUUGACAUAUAUCAUCUUGACUUAAGAUAAUAUAUGUGAAGAUUGUCUAUUUAAAUGAACAAUUAUGACAUAUACAACUUAGUUUAAACCAAUAAUGACAUGUAUAAUAGUUAUUGCAUUUUUCCAUGACUUAUGAUGAUGCAACCUUGACAAAUAAUUUAUAAGUCAAUCUAUAAUUAAUAUGUUCAUAUGUCAAGGUACCGAAAUGAAAGCAAUAAUGACAUAUAUAUAUAUAUUUGCUAAAUUUUCCUUGGUUUAAUGAUAUGCAAUCUUGACUCAAAAUUUAUUAGUCAAAGUAUAGUUAAUCUUUUCUACCUAAAUAAAAGUAAUAAUGACAUAUAUGCAUUUGCUAAGUUUUUAUAUGGUUUAUAAUGAUACAACCUUAAUAGAAAUUUAUAAGUUAAUAAAAAUUCAAUAAAUUAAUAUGUUAAGAUUAGAAUCUUUGGUUGCGCCACUUUAACAUAUAAUUUGUAAGUGAAAAUAAGCCUAUUUUAUUUUAAUUUAUUAAGGUUGAGUUAUUGAAAAAGAAAAUCCUAAUUUAAGGCAAUUUUAUCAAAUUUUGGUAGUUUUUACAAGUAUAUUUAUUAUUAUUUUGAAUAGAAACUUGUGAUUAAAAAGGAUAAGAUAAUGUUUCCAUUUAAAAAAUAAUAUCAAUGUAUUGAAAACUAUAUCUAUAAUCUUAUUUUAAUAUUUUGGAUAAGAUACUAAGUUAUGUCUCUAUAUUUCUAAUUAUUGGAAUUAAAAUAUAUUGCCACUAACUUGUGUUAGGGUCUCACAAGUAUUAGGUAAUUAAAUUAUUAUUUAUGUAUUUAAUUAGACAUUAAAUCUACUAAGAAUAACUUAAUUAGUAUUUAGGCAUUCAUUAUAACUAAUUGCAGGCCCACAAAAUCAAUCCAUAGACCCAUUUCUUUUAAAAUGUUUUAAGCCCAUUUUAUUUAGUUUGGGUCCAUUACAUUUAUACUUUUUCUUGAGCCAUAAAAAAAACUCAAUAUAUAAAUUUUUUUCCUCUCUAUUCCAUUUACAGUCGCCCCAUCUACCCCAUCUACCCCAUCUUCCCUUUUUCUCUUCUUUUCUUACUUUUUUUUUUAAUUCUUUUUUCUUCUUCUUUCUUCUUUCUUUUUUCAUCCUCUCAUCCUCAUAUUCAUGGUAGACCCUACACCGCCACCUCCAUCUCCUGUGUUGUUACGAUCCAUGAGUCCUACACCCACCAUGGCACCAUCUUUCUUAUCACCAUUGUCGUUCCCAUGUUCGCUACAACUCAGACAUGCUUCCUGAUGUUUUGCCACAAUCUCGACGUGGUUGUUGUUGUUUCGCUUUAGCUCGGACGCUAUUCUUGAUGUUCCGUCUCCAUCAUAGCCACCAUUGUUGCAGCCCAUAGCCUUGGUACCUCCUGCACUACCCAUUGACUUUUGUUGGAUCACCAUCAGCACCAUCUCCAUGGUUGCCACUUCCUUCUUCAUCUUAGAGCUUCAAGAGACGUAGGUAAGUUUCCUUGGAUAUCUACAGUACUUGUUGUGGUAGUUUUAAUUUAAUUUUUAUAUGGGCUUGGGUCUCAUUUGCUUUAUAAUUGGGCUUCAAAUUAUUUGGUACAUAGGCUUGAUGUUAUAAUAUUUUAUUACUUGGGCCUUGUGUUUCACUUGGUUGAGCCCAAUAAUAAGAGUAUCAGGCACACAUAAGCAGGUUGGUUCUUUGAGAACCAUUGAGUUUUGUUGAACCUUAGGAUUUUUAAGGCCAUGCUUCACCAUUGAUUGGGCUUCAAGUAAGAGAUAAGUAUGGAAGUUGCAGUUACUGACCUUAGUGUCUCUACUCCUGCCCAUGGUUUCAACAUGUGGGUCAAUUGAGGGGUUUGGUGAAGCUCUCCAUAUCUUCAAGACCUCUCUGGUUGAAGAAUAGUCCAACGGCCAAGUGACUAUGGAAAAAACCACAUGUUUGGAGUUAAGUUAAUGUUGGAUAAGUAUUAAUGUACACACAAAAUAAUGAAAAAUCGACGUGGUUGGGGCUGAAGAGCCACAACAUCAUAUAUAUUUGGUUCUGAUGGAGGAGUUAAUUAAUUGAUAUUACCAUGAAGGAAUUUCUAGUAGUUUUAAUCUAUUUAAUCAUACCAUCUAAUUGAAAAGAUGUUUUUGUCCUUUUCUUUUUAUUUUUAAUAUUCUAGAUGAUAUUCUUUGUUAAAAAAUUUAGAAAUAAUACAUCUUUGUAAUUGAGCUAGCUACUACAAAAUUAUAAGUGCUCAUUUCAUUCAUCAUCUCAAAAUUAUGUCUAGUGGCCUCAACUUUGAGUCAGUCAUUGAGGGGCUUAAUUUUAGGAGGAGAAUUAAAAUGUUCUCUUUUUUUUUCUUCUUCUAUUUUUUUUUCUUGAAUAUCCACUGUGUUUUACAUUGAAUCUAGAAUCACAAAGUCAAUUCAAUUACAAUUGAUGAUAUUAAAGGUCAAUAGGUGUAUUCAUUUUAUCUUUGUGAUAUCUAAAGUUAGUAUAUUUAUUGUCCUAUGAAAAAAAAAUCUUUUAAUUUUUUGGUAUUUGUUACUUACUUUUCUAUUAAUUCUAUGUUUAUUCUACUAGGUAUCUAAGAAAUACAUCAAGAAGAAGACAAUGAUGUAGAAACAAAGAUCACCUCUUAUGAAGAUGAUGUUGUACUUUUCAAUUUAAGUUUGUAUAUUAUUUUAAUUGAAUGUUUUUAGCUAGAUUUUGUUUGUAUAUAGAAAAUAGAGAGUAACUUGAACAAGAUUUAUGGAAUUGUGUUCUUAAUAUUUAAUGUAUAUGUAAUAAUUUUUUUUCCUUAAAUAGUAAUUUAUUUAAAUUAUUUUAAAGACUUGAUUGUAAUUAUCAUAAUUAAAAAUAUACCAAAUUUAAUUUCAAGAUAGGUUUCAUAUGGUAUAUAACAUGUUCAUUUUCCAUUAAAAACUAAAAAUUAUAAUAAAAUAAUAUUAAAUUUUUCAUAAGUUAUAUUGACAUAUGGCUCAUGCUCAAUAUUGACAUGUGUAGUAGCAACUAUGACAUAUGCGAUACCAAACAUUGACAUAUAUAAAGCAAUUAUGAUAUAUAUAAAAUCUAACCUUGACAUAUAUAUUUAGAAAUCUUGACAUAUGUGGGAUUAAUCAUGACAUAUAUGACGUCUGACCUUGACACUUGUUGGAGUAACCUUAACAAAAGAGUAAGUUGACCUUGACAUAAGAUCAAGUAAUCUUGUCAUAUGUUAAAUUCAACAUUGACAUAAGUAAAUGAAACAUUGAUAGAUAUCAUACUAUUAAGAUUUCAUCAUUAGUGGAAAUAAAGAAAUCUUGACAUAUGGAUAUGUCAAGGUAGCUUUAGACUUUUCUUGACACUGGCAUAGAUGACAUAUACGAAUAGUAACCUAUCUUGACAGAUAUACCUUAUCUUAACGGUGAAAAACUGUCAACAAGGGCCUUUUUUCUUGUAGUGCCAGUUCAUAAGGAGACCAAAUGCAAUGGAUAGUAGGUCAUGGACUUGAGUACUUUGUAGUGGAGUGAAGUUGAUUCUAUGUAGUAAGAUGUUAAAUCAAUUUUAGAAUUGAAUUAUGAGGGAGUCAAUACUAUCCUAUUGGUCCCAAUGGUCCCUACUUGAGCUCAUAUGUCUUAUUGGUAUGGUUUAUGAGAAUUGGAUUGACUCAUGGUUCACUUUUAUGAGUAAAGGCUUUUUGGUAACUAUGCUAGGUUGCAUAGGGGUUAGUGAACAAAGUUUCUAGAUUGGGCUAAUUGAUUAAUUAAAAGACUUUGUGGGUUAGUUAAUUAAUUAUAAUCUAUUUUAGCUAGAUUAGGUGACCCAAGCCCUUAGUAGGCUCAAGUCACUUAAACCAAUUAGGGAACCUUAUAAAUACUCUUUUAGGGGUGAAGUAGUUGUCUUCUAUAAUGUAGAGAGAAUAAAGAGCCACAACUUCCUCCCUCACAACCUUCUCACUAGUUAAAUGCCAAAAUCAAGGUAUAGUCAAUGCAAUAGAAGAUCUUAGGUUUUUAAGACCUUCAACUACUUUGUUCAGAUACUUCACUGCAUGGAUUUGAUUUGGGAACAUCCAAAUCAAGGUAAAAGUUUUCUAUCUUGAUAUCUAAAUCCUAUUAUUCAUUUAAAAUGCAUGUUUCCCUUUGUGCUUAGGAUUUAAAGAAAACUUAGGAAGAUUUGCAUGUAUCUAACAUGAUCUAGGUAUAGGAAACAAAAAUAUCUAGGAUUCUUUACAAAAAUCCAGUGGAUAGUAGGUUAUAGGCCUAAACUUUAACUUAUUAUAAUUAUAUAAGAUAUUAGAGUGUAGUUGAUUCUCUUUAAUGGAGUGUUGAGUCAACGUCAAAAUUGGAUUUUAAGAGCCAAUAUUUUCCUAUGGGUUCCAGUAGUCUCCACCCGAACUCCCAUUUCAUGGUGGCACAUUUGUUUGAGGAAUUUUGUGUUUGUAGUUCACUAAUGUGCAUAAGUGGCAUUUUGGUAAAAGUAAAAAGUUGCACUAGAUCUUGUGUGCAGUAGGACUAAUUAAAUUAAUUAGAACGGAAGUGAGAUGAAGUAAGUGACCUAAGGCCAAUUUGGACUCAAGUCACUUAAGCCCAUAGGGAAGUCUAUAAAUACCACCUUAGGGGUGAGAGCUUCAAACUUUUGUCAUUUUUCUUUUAGAAAGAGAAAGCAAACCCUAACCACCUUUAAGUGAGAGAAAAAGAGAGAAGCUUUCCCUUCUCUUACGCGAAGGUUUGUUGUGAAAGAAAAGAUCGGGUGCAAGAUUAUUAGGUAAAUGACUUCUAUGACACAUUCUAGGGAUUGGAUUGAAUAUGGGAACAUCCAAAUCAUAGGAAUGAAUUCUAAUAUCUAAAUCUAGUAUAUUUUAUGGAUUUUAUAACUAUAUUUUUCCAUUGCAUUAGAUCUAGAGAAGCCUAGAGAUAGUUAGAUGGACUUUAUAUGAUCCAAGGUUAAGGAACAGAUUAAUUCGAAGUUCCCAUCGAAGUUAGUGAACAAUAUUUCUAGAUUAUUAGGUUGAUUAAUUAAUUUAAGCCCCCAAUUAGAAACCUUUUUAGUUUAAAUUAAAUGGCUCAAGUCUAAGGUAUGCUCAAGUAACUUAAGCCUAAUGGGAAGCCUUUAAAUACCUCUUGAGGGGUUAGGGUGUAGACCCACAUUUUUCACGUGCGUUCCCACUUGAUCGGCGAGACUCGCUUUUUAUUUGGUGAAAAAUUAAUUUUGGAAAAUUCGGAAUCGCCAUUUAUUUUAUUUUAUUUUAAAAGGGAAAAUAAAACAAGAAAUAAAACCCUAAAAAAUGACUUCAUAGUUUUUGGAAAAGCGUGUCUUUAAAAAACCCGAGUCUAGGUCUGAGGAUCAGGUUACUUAUUGAGAAGGUAUCUCUAGGAGGUAACACCCCUCUAAGCCCUAUAAAAGUCUCUACUGACUAAGUUAAGGGAAAUGUGACAAUUAAUUGAUUAAUUAUAGAUACCUAGGUAGGCUAGGUGAUUUCGAAAAAUAGCAUGCUAAACAAGAAAACCGAUCACAAAUCAUAAAGAAGAUUUAGGGUGCGUACCUGGACCACUUCUUAAGUGCUAUCACAAAACAUCAAAGGUUACUUUAAAUAGUAUAUCACCCAACAUGCACUUUAUCAUAAAUGAUCGAACAAUGUAACAAAAUCAAGACACCUAAGCACUAUCAAACAUAGGCAUAAUUCAUAAUGACAAUCAUAUUUAUAGAAUUUAGAAAGUGGGUGUUAGGGAGCGUACUUAGAUAGCAUAGAUAACUCAUAAUACGCUUCCUCGAGACAUGGAGGGUUAGAUAAUAAAUAAUAAAAUAAGAAAUUCUAGCAUGCUUGUUAUUUAAUUAGCAUGACAAAAAAAAUGAUCAAAGUAUACUAAAUCAUCAAUUAUCACACACAUCUUGUAUACAAUUCUUAAAAAAAAAAGAUAGAUAUGAUUACAACAAAUAGCAAGAGUGGUAGCAAAAAUAAGUUUUGAAAAGAUUUUCUUAUAUAGGGGUUUCACCAAUUCCCCAAUCGAUAUACACGAAUUUAGCCUAGAAUUAUCCAAUUUAUUUGGGACCACAAGCUUUGAUUCGUGUUUUGUUCAAAACCAAAUUUUUUAUUGAAAACUGAGAAAGAUGCGAACCGAUUAAAAAAAUGGUUGCAUAUUAUUUUAAGAGAAUGAGAUUUUGAUUCUAAAGACUCUAAAUGUACUUUUUUUUAAAUAGAUUUUCAAAGGGGUCUUUUGAGAAAAGUGUUUUGUUUUAAAAUAAAAGAAAUUAAUUUCGAAAACAACAAAACAUAGAAAACAAAAUACCAACAAAAAAAAAGGAAACAAAAAUCACAAAAUAAAGAUUUAGACAAUCAUGCCAAUUAAAGUAGUGAGAGUAGGGCCAACCUUCAUGGGUUUCCAGUGGCCUUCAAAAAAAGGAUUUGACCAACAAUCACUAAGGCAACAAAAUUAUGACUUCCUAAUCAAACAAACUAAUAAAAAUAUUAUCCAAGACUAACAUUUAGAUUUCAAAAAACACAUGAAUUAAGAUAAAAAAAAAAAAUCCAAUCAAGGAUUAAAGUCAACAAACUUAGCAUAUGGAGAUAAUAAUGUGGGAUUGAUUAAGGUAAAUUAACAUUCUAACAAAAUAUGAUAAAUCAAAAACCAAAAUUUAGCAAUCUUGAAAAUAUGAAAACAAUAACAUGCAAUUAACUAGAUUGAUUAUCUAAAAUUCCUAAAAACUCGAACUAAAUAUUAAUAGAUCAAAACCAAAAUAUGCCAUGCUCAAAAUAUGAAAAAUAAUAACACGUGAUUAACUAAAUUAAUUAGCUAAAAUUAUAAUAGUCAACUACAAAAUUGGAUAUAAAUGGAUUAAAAUCAAAAUUAACGAAAUAAAAAACGCACAAACACAUUCAAACUAAAAAUAAUUAAUACUAGAUUAAAUUAGAAUUAAAAACAUCAACAUCAUCUAAUAAGAUUGGCUAAACUAUUAAAUUGAAAUUGCAAAUACAUUUAAACUAAAGCAAAUAAAUAAAUUAGCAAAUUAAAACUAAACUACAAUCGGAAUUAAGACAAAAAAACAUGAAAUUUGUCUAAGAGGUUUGGUCAAACAAUUGAAUUAAAAUCAUGAACGCUUUCAAAUUAUAGAAUAAAUUAAAACUAAACUAGAUUGAGAUUAAACUCUAUCUAAGAAAAUUAGUUAAUUAAACUAAUAAAAUCAAAAUCAACAAUCAAAACUAAACUAAAGAAUAAAUUAAGACAAAACUAAUUGGAUUAAAAUCACAAACACAUUUAAACUAUCAUAUAGAUUAAAAUAAAUUAGCAUGGAACUAAUGAACUACAAUCACAAAAGAAGAAAAAAAAAGUCUAUUCUAAAAAAAAUGCGCAAAUUGAGAUUUAAAAGAAUUGAGCACAAAGAAUUAAUUAAAUCAAUGAACUAACAUCUAAAUUAAAAAAAAAAAAAUCUGUCAAAAACUGACCUGUGUUGUGAAAGAAAAAAUCCUCUCUUUGUGCGUCAAAGUGGCAACCCGAUCUUUGUCUGAAGUCUUCUGCUGCUCCCCAAAAACUCUUGUGCGUGUCCUUUCUGAAAAAAAAAAAAUUCCCCCUUGAUCUGUUCUCCUCCUCUUAUUUAUAUGGCAGCCCACUCCUAUGGAAUAUUUUAUUUCCUUUUUGGAGAUAUAUUUCCAACCUUAAAGGAGAUCCAAAUUUCCAAACUUCUGAUGGCACUUUCUAUUUCAAUACCCAUUGUCUCUCAAUGUUGUAGUCCCCAAUCUCCCUUCUAAAAAUGUUGUCAAAAUCUUCCCUGCCUCAUCUCUUGUCGAACCCUUGGAUCCUAUUGGCUAUUGUUGAAUCUGAGUGCAAUGUCAUUUGCAGAUGUCAUGAACAACUCAUCUAGCAAGCCUCUGCUGCCCCCUAUUGACCCUACGCCAACAAACUCAACUUCUCACAUCAUAUGUCAUUUUGUACGUGGGACUCACUGGAUNNNNNNNNNNNNNNNNNNNNNNNNNNNNNNNNNNNNNNNNNNNNNNNNNNNNNNNNNNNNNNNNNNNNNNNNNNNNNNNNNNNNNNNNNNNNNNNNNNNNCCCCCAUGGCAUUUCUUAUUCAUUCCAUCAUCAAUUCUCUCCACUUCUUAUCCUUUCUUCCAAGUGCUUGGUAUUCAAGACCGUUCAAGUCAUCAAGUGAUUUGUUGUUUCUUGUGAUUUGAAGUGCUACUAUCACAAGAAAGUGAUCGUUGUAUCCUGGGAGACGAUUGUCAACAAACCAUAAGCACCAGUGUGGGGCAAAUUUAUCUUAAGGACAUAGAGUCAAACUUUAGCCUCGAUCAACCAUUUGUACGAUUCAAUAUUUACUUACCUUCUCAUUUAUUUAUUAUAUGUAAUUAUUUGACCAUACAUUUGUGAUAAUUCCAGAAUAACAAUCUUAAGACGAAUUUCUUUUUAAUCUUUUGCUUCUGUCUAUGUUUUUAAUUCAGUUAAUAACAUGACCUUUACAAAUAUUAUUGAUACCCCUGUUGUUACACCUACUACUACCCAUGGUGAGAAACCAGAGAAAUUCACUAGGUUGGACUUCAAGCAGUGGCAACAAAAGCUGUUGUUUUAUCUCACAACACUUAACUUGGCUAAAGUGUUGCAUGAAGAUGCACCUACCUUAAAGGAGGAAGAGACUAACAAGCAAAUUGUGGCAGCAGUUGAAGCAUAGAAACAUUCAGAUUUUCUAUGCAAAAAUUACAUCCUCAAUGGACUUGACAACACGAUGUAUAAUGUGUAUAGUCAAGUGAAGACAACUAAGGAGCUGUGGGAGACUUUGGAGAAGAAAUACAAGACUGAAAAUGCUAGCAUGAAAAAAUUCAUAGUUGGUAGAUUUCUAGAUUACAAAAUGGUUGACUCCAAGACAGUGAUAAGCCAAGUCCAAGAGCUUCAAAUAAUUUUGCAUGAAUUACAUGCUGAGAAGAUGGAAUUAAGUGAGUCCUUUCAAGUUGCAGCGAUUGUUGAAAAGUUACCACCAUCUUGGAAGGACUUCAAGAAUUAUCUGAAACACAAGCGCAAGAAAAUGGGGCUUGAGGACUUGAUUGUGAGACUGAAAAUUGAGGAAGAUAUUCGUGUUUUUUAGAAGAAAGUGGGAAAACAUCCCAUGGAGUCCAAGGCAAACUUGGUGGAACCAAAGGCUAAUAAAAAGAGAAAGCACUUUGGUGAAGGUCCAAGUCAAGGAAAGAAUAAAUACAAGAAGUUUGUUGGGAAGUGUUACAUUUGUAAUAAGCAAGGCCAUAGGGCCAAGGAUUGCCGCUUGAAAGGACAAAGUAAUGAAAAUAAAACACAAGUGACUGAGGAAGAGGAGUUGGCAAACAUGCUUUCCGCAUUGGUACUGUUUGAAGCUAACAUGGUAGAUAACCCAAACGAAUGGUGGGUUGACACAAGUGCCACCCGUCAUGUUUGUGGAGAAAGAAACAUGUUCUCCACAUAUGUACCAGUCAAUGGUAGAAAUUUGAUCAUGGGAAAUUUUGCCACAUCUAGGGUUGUGGGAAUUGGAAAAGUGGUGCUAAAGAUUACUUCUAGAAAAGAACUUGUUCUCAUAUAUGUGCUACAUGUGCCUGAUAUUUGCAAGAAUCUUAUUUCUAGUUCUAUGCUUAGCGAAAAUGGGUUCAAGUUAGUUUUCGAGUCUGACAAAUUUGUAUUCAUGAAAAAUGGGAUGUAUGUGGGUAAGGGGUAUAUGACCAAUGGCCUGUUUAAGAUGAAUGUAAUGAUUGUUAAGCGUGAUUUCAAUAAUAAUAAAGCAAGUACUGCUGUUUACUUGAUUGAGUCUUUUACUUUGUGGCAUGAUAGGUUAGGACAUGUUAACAAUAAAACUUUAAAAAGGUUGAUUAACAUGAAUUUGUUGCCUUUUUUUAGCAUUGAUUUUAAACAUAAAUGUGAAGUGUGUGUGGAAGCCAAGAUGGCUAAGCCACCGUUUCAUUCAAUUCAAAGGAACACAGAACCUCUGGAUUUAAUUCAUAGUGACAUCUGUGACUUAAAGUUUAUACAAACAAGAGGAGGGAAAAGAUAUUUUAUUACCUUUAUAGAUGAUUAUACAAGAUACUUUUAUGUGUAUUUGCUAAGAAGCAAAGAUGAGGCCUUAGAUGUGUUUAAACACUACAAGAAUGAGGUUGAAAAUCAACUUAGCAGAAAGAUUAAGGCAAUAAGAAGUGAUAGAGGUGGAGAGUAUGAAGCUCCUUUUGGAGAAUUUUGUUCAGAACAUGGAAUAAUCCACCAAACUACUACUCCUUAUUCACCUCAAUCGAACGGUGUUGUUAGCGCAAGAACCGUACAUUAAAGGAAAUGAUGGAUGCUAUGUUGAUAAGUUCGGGUCCACCCCAAAACUUAUGGGGAGAAGCAAUUCUUUCUGCAAACCACAUUCUUAACAAGAUACCACAUAAGAAUAAGGAUGUAACUUCAUAUGAGUUAUAGAAGGGUCACAAACCCUCUUACAAAUAUUUGAAAGUGUGGGGGUGUUUGGCUAAAGUAGGAGUGCCUAAACCUAAACAAGUUAAGAUUGGGCCUAAAACUAUUGAUUGUGUAUUUAUUGGAUAUGCAAACAAUAGUUGUGCAUAUCGUUUUCUUGUACAUAAGUCUGACAUUCCUAAUAUACAUAAAGAUACAAUUAUUGAGUCUAAGAAUGCGUCAUUUUUUUAGAAUAUUUUUCCUUGUAAAGAAAAGCAAGAAGUAAGUUCAAAUAAGAGAACUUAUGAUACUGUAAAUGGUAAUCAUCAAAAUGAGGAAGAAAUAAGAUGCAGUUAGAGAGCCAAGAAGACAAAGUCUUUUGGCUUGGAUUAUCUAACUUACAUGUUAGAUAACGAACCCAAGACAUUCAAAGAAGCAAUGUCAACACCAGAAGCCCCAUUUUGGAAAGAGGCUAUCAAUAGUGAAAUUGAAUCCAUCAUGCAUAACCACACAUGGAAAUUGGUGGAUUUACCACCAGGAAAUAAACCUUUGGGUUGCAAAUGGAUCUUCAAGAAAAAGAUGAAGCCUGAUGGAACAAUAGAUAAGUACAAGGCUAGAUUGGAGCCAAAGGAUUUAAAUAAAAGGAAGGCCUUGAUUUCUUUGAUACAUAUUCACCAGUUACGAGAAUAACAUCUAUUAGAGUGUUAAUUGCAAUCGCAGCAUUGCAUAAUUUGGAAAUUCAUCAAAUGGAUGUUAAGACAAUCUUUUUAAAUGGGGAGUUAGAAGAAGAAAUAUAUAUGGAACAACCUGAAGGGUUUGUUGCUCCUGGACUAGAAAAAAAGGUGUGUAAGUUGAUAAAGUCCCUAUAUGGGCUAAAACAAGCACCAAAACAAUGACAUUAGAAAUUUGACAAAGUAAUGUUGUCAAAUGAUUUUAAAAUUAAUGGAUGUGAUAAAUGUGCAUAUACAAAGAAUACACAAAGUGAGUAUGUCAUUGUGUGCUUGUACGUGGAUGAUAUGUUAAUUAUUGGUAGCAAUAAUGAUGUCAUUAAAGCUACUAAGAAAAUGCUGACCAAUUAUUUUGAUAUGAAAGACAUGGGUGUCGUAGACGUGAUCUUAGGUAUAAAAAUGGCCAAGACAUCUAGUGGACUAAUAUUAUCUCAAUGUCAUUACAUUGAGAAAAUUCUUAAACGGUUUAACUAAUAUGAUGAUAGUCCAAUUAAGACACCAGUAGAUUUAAAUCUAUAUUUAGCUAAAAAUAAUGGUCGAGUAAUUGACCAGUUGGAAUAUUCUUGUAUCAUUGGUAGUUUAAUGUAUGUCAUAAACUGCACGCGUCCAGACAUAGCCUACGCAGUUAAUAAACUAAGUAGGUUCACUAAUAAUCCGGGAAAAGACCAUUGGAAGGCGUUGAUUAGGGUUCUUAGAUAUCUAAGAUACACCCUAAACUAUGGACAUCAUUAUUUAAGGUAUCCAGCCAUACUAGAAGGAUAUAGUGAUGCAAAUUAGAUAUCUGAUACAAAGGACUCAAAGUCCACAAGUGGAUAUGUAUUCACAAUUGGUGGUGGUGCGAUAUCAUGGAAGUCAUCUAAACAAACAUGUAUUGCAAGAUCAAUGAUGGAAUCUAAAUUUAUUGCUUUAGAUAAAGUAGGGGAAGAAGCAGAAUGGCUUCAUAAUUUUCUAGAAGACAUUCCAUGUUGGCCAAAACCAAUGCCUGCAAUAUGUAUACAUUGUGAUAGUCAAUCAGCGAUUGGAAGAGCACAAAGUAGCAUGUACAAUGGUAAGUCUCGACACAUCCGUCACAUACAUAAUAUUGUAAGGCAGUUACUUGUAAAUGGAAUUAUUUCCAUUGAUUAUGUUAAGUCAAAGGACAACUUGGUGGAUCCACUAACUAAAGGAUUGUCUAGAGAUCAAGUAAACUGCUCAUCGAGGGGAAUGGGAUUAAGGCUUAUCACUAAAGAGUUUCAUAAUGGAAACCUAACCUAGCUGACUAGAGAUCCCAAGACCUAGCUAGGUUCAAUGAGGAACUAAAUUAUGAAAUACUCUGUGAAGAGCACUAGGGAAAAAUAAAUUCCUACCCAUUCCUAUGGUGAAGUAGUGCUAUACAAGAUGUGUUUAGGAUAAGCUAUGCUUUUAAUGAUUCUAAUAAUUUGAAAGAGUUCAAGUGGAGUAUGGUAGAAUAUUCGCACUUGUAACGGCUAAAAUGAACACAACCGUGAGAAUCAAUGGUGAUCUGGAAAGGAAUUGUGUGAAUACUAUUGUCUUGAUUUACAUCAAUAGCUGAAUAGUUCAAGACAUCACAUUCACUGAUUAGCUAGUAAAUCCGAUAGUAUUUCACUAAGGUUCAGAGCCAUAAACUACCUAUCCUGAUGCGAUCACUUUCCAAUUUUGUAUUCUCUUGAUUGUUUAGUUUUCCAUUUGCCUUUUUUAAGUCAAUUUCCAUUCAUGUGGGGGAUUGUUGGGAUAUUUAUAGGUGAAUGGAAAUUAAGACAUACUGUUUCAAUUAGACACAACUCUUCGUAAUGGACACAACUUGUGUCAAAGGAUAUGUCAAGUAUUUAAGACACAUCUCUUCUAAGAGUCACUAGAAAACCUAUAAAUAGGGGGGCCCCAUGGCAUUUCUAAUUCAUUCCAUCAUCAAUUCUCUCCACUUCUUCUCCUUUCUUCCAGGUGCUUGGUAUUCAAGAGAGUUCAAGUCAUCAAAUGAUUCACUGUUUCUUGUGAUUUGGAGUGCUACUAUCACAAGAUAGUGAUCGUUGUAUCCUGGGAGACGAUUGUCAACAAACCGUAUGCACCAAUGCAGGGCAAAUUCGUAUUAAGGACAUAGAGUCAAACUCUAACCUCGAUCAACCGUUUGUAAGAUUCAAUAUUUACUUACCUUCUCGCUUAUUUAUUAUACAUAAUUAUUUGACCAUACAUUUGUGAUAAUUCCAAAAUAACAGUUGAAUCCUCGGCCACAGCCUUUGCGGCAGCUAGAAACAAUUCCAGAAGGAUUCGUGGAAGGACAGUUGUUGAUGUAGAUUUGGAAGUACACACAACAAGACCUCUUAAUAACCGCAACAAGCGUGGAAGAGCUCCAGAACAAUCUUGGCAUGUUCCGCUUCUGCCACCCAAGGAGCCCACCUUCAACUGUAGGAAAAGGGUCACCAUGAAAGAUACCAUCAGAAUUUAACUUCCUGCAGCCAGCUGAGUAUGAUGCCUGGGCCAAUCAUGUAAUUAUGCAUAGGCUUAAAGAUUUUCAGCGUACAAGAAGGUGGGUUAUAAAGACUGGCUUUUGGAGGAUAGAAAGAGAAAUGAAAGAUGGCUCUUGGCAUGUUAUCAGACUCUUUUAUUUUUGCCCUCACAGACGGUGAUCCUCGUCUGCACGCUCUUGAACUCCGAUAUCCGACAUCGUAUGGUGAUGCCACCUGGGCGCUGAAAUGUAUACUCCUCCUCGGAUUCUCUCAGAAACUCACCAAACAAUGGGUGAUCGAAGUAUAUCACCGACACAAGGACUCGUGGAAGUCACCGUCUUUUUGAUCCACGUACACCGCCAGAUGGCCUUUCGGAACCGUCACCGCUAGCAUCUCCUCACCCACCAGAAGGUAACCAGAGAAACGAGCCGGAUCCGAGUUCAACAAACAUGUCUUUUUGGCCUUGGUUUUGAGACGUUGACCCCAGUUGCAGAGUCGAGAAAUUGUCUUGGUCUUGCCAGUCGGUAGCCAGAGACGGUGGUACCCAAAUGGGUUUCGGUGGAAAAAACCAUCCGUAGAACUUGACGACCUGUUUUCCUAGUUUGAAGCCCCUGAUCUUUCUCAUGGUGUAAGUGUUUGGUGCGAGAGAAAAAUUCAGAAGCUAUAAAUUACCAGAAUUUUCAAAAGAAAGAAAACGGUAAGAUUUGGCUCAGGAGAAAGGUCAUGGAGCUUUUUGUCUUAAACCCUUUCUCUUCGUCAACACUUAACGGUGGCAGUGGAGAUGUGGAGGAGGAUGGGUUUUCUAUUCUGAAAACAGAUGGAUAUGGUGCGGCGGACUACUCCAGAAGUGAUGAAGUCUAUAGGCGACCCAUUGAGUUUCAAUGGCGGUGCACUACACCAACAGUUAUGAAUUUGCCUUUUUCAAUACAGAAUUUGCUUCUUCAAGAGAACGUCCAAGAAGUCUCGCUAUCGGUGUGGUGGCUCCUUUUUAUACCAGCAUCAGAAGUCACUGGAACUCCAGCUGUCACUCAUUCUCAGGCAUGGUGUGCAUGUCCUCAUGUUCACGUGUUCUUCACACCGGAUCAUUCUCUCUAGAGACUUCCAGAGAGCCUCCAAAAAAUGCCUGACCUCUAAUGCCAUGCCACCUCACGUGACAGCUCUCACCAACUUCAUCUUUUUGUUUUCACAGGAGCCUCCCAUUCCUAAAUAUGCAAUCGUCUCCUCAUGCAAAACAGAAUAAAAUAAAAUAAAAAAAAAUAAAAAAAAAGAGAAGAAACUAAUGAAAAUCAUGAGAUUGGUAAUAAAAUAAAACAUGAUUUAAAAGAAAAAAAAGAGAGACCAGAUUAUAUAAUUCCAUCAUUCAAUAAGGGGGUCGUAUGUAUAUUUAAAGUCUAAACAAUUCAAGCAAUUUUCUAUUAAGUAAAUAAAAAAUAAAAAUAAAUAAUAAAAGUAAAAAUAAAAAUGAAUAUAAUUAUCAAAUGCAUGCAAUAAUAAUAAAAAGAUUAUACAUAAAAAAGUUAAGCCUCAAUGAAGUGUCUAAGUGGGCCUAAGUGGGUGCCUAAUGAGCCAAGUGCGUCUAAGUGAACUUAAGGUGUCUAAACGAGCCUAGGGUGAGACUAGGUGGGUCUAAUUAAGUCUAACCUAAAGUGCACCUAAGUAAAACCUAAUCAAAAUCAAGACUAUCAAGGAUCAUAAUAAGGGGUCAAAUAAUCCCUCAACCAGAGUUUCCGAGGUGGCUCUAAAAAAAUGGGCUACACGAGAAGUAAUGGGCCACCAAGGAAUUGUUGUAAAGUACGGAACAAAUACCUAAUAAGACAUGUGCUAGAAUGAUAAAAUGGAGGGUCUACAUAGGGCUUCAGACUCUUAGACUUUUACUUCUUCCAUUCUCUUUUACAUGUCUAGAGAGAGAGAACCUAGCCCCUCCACUUUUCUCAAUCUCUACCAUCUAAGUAUCUAGCUUCAAGGAGAGUCAUUGAGGAGAAAACCAAUGGUUUCAUGAGAUUUUCAAUGACUACUAUGCGUUUGAGAACCUUCUUCACCACAAGGCUGUUUUGCUUCAUUGGUGGGGGAUAAGCUUAGGAAAGCAUGUAUGCACCUAACAAGAUCUAGGGAUAUAAAAUGGAGUGAUCUAUUUUUUCCUACAAUUUUAGCUUUCUUACUUGUAGUUUUAAUUGACCAUAUGUAUAGCUUUUCUUGGUUAAAAUUUUAAUUUUUUUGAAUGAUGUACAAUGCACUUAUUUUGUUUUUGAAAAGAAUGUUUUUAUUUUUCUUAAUAACGUACUUUUUUUUUUGAAGGAUAUACUUAAUUUUUUAAGAAAUGUAUUUAAUUUUUCUAAAGAAUUCACUUAUUUUUCUAAGGAAUCUAGUUAUUUUUCUUAGAGAUAUACUUAUUUUUUAACAACGUACUUGUUUUUUUUCAUAUUGUACUUCUUUUAAAAAUGUACUUAUUUAUACUAUCACAAAUAAUUGAAAUUAAUUAGCAAAUUAUACUAAAACAUUAAUGUAUAUGAUUCAUAUACAAUGUACUUAUUUUCUUAGGAAAGCAUUUUCUAAAGAAUGUUCUUAGUUUUUUUUAGGGAUGUACUUAUAUUAUUUAAGGAUAAACUUAUUUAUAUUGAUAGAAAUAAGUGAAAGUUGGUGAGAAAUUUAUGAUAAAACAUUAGUAAAUAUAAUUAAUGAUAUUCGAUAAUAAUAUACAUAAUUUAAGAAUUUAAAAUAUAUUUAAUAUUCAACAUAUAAAAGAACUUAUGAUAUAUAUAUAUUAUUUUGAUGAUUUGUAUAAUUUGAAUAAUUUUUAAAUGGAAUAUGAAAAUGAAAUAAUUAAAAUGUACAAACGUAGUCCUGUAAGCCAUUGAUUAAUGUGCUUAUCGUGAUCAAAGAUUCAGAUAAUGUAUAUUAAUUGAAAAUUUAUUAGCAAAUAAUAGUCAAACGUUAAUGUAUAUAAUUUAUAUACAAUGAACUUUUUUUUGAGGAAUGCAUUUUCUAAAGGAUAUUCUUACUUUUUGGAGGCAUGUGCUUAUUUUUUUAAGGCUAAACUUAUUUAGAUUGGAGCAAAUAAGUGAAAGUCCAUGAGAAAUUCAUGAUAAAACAUUAAUGCACAUAAUUUAUAUAUUAUGUACUCAUUUUUUAUUUUUUUAGAAAUGUACAAAUAAUGGAAAGUUCAUUAGCAAUUUAUAGUAAAAUAUUAAUGUACAUAUUUUUUUGAAGGAUGUAUAAUAUACGUAUUUUUUAAAGGAAUGUAUAUAUUUUUUUUCAAGAUAUAGUUAUUACAUACCUAAGACUACAUUUAUGUUCAUAUUGAAAUUAAAGAGCUUUCAUAAGAGAAAGUGUAGCCACUUGAUCAUAUAAAAAAAUAAAAGAAAAGAAAAACAGAAAUAAAAGGGUAUAUAUCAAACACUUUCAAUUAUGAUUUAUCAUAUCAAAGAUUUGAAAAAGGGACAAUUCAUUUAGUAGUUAUUUAAAUGCGUAUUUUAGAAAUAAUUUUAUCCAUUGUGUGUUUGGGAUGAAAUGUGAAAGUUGGAAUCCUAAAAAAUAUACUUAUAUAUUUUUUAAUUAAUGUAUGUAACCAUAGUUCUCCCAAAAUAUGGCCAGGCUUCAUCAUACUUCUGUUUUGAAAUGUUAAAAUUUAAAAAUAAUUUUUCAUGAAUCACUUUUAAAUGUUUUUUAUAGAAAAAAAUUAAAAUAUAAAGUAUGAUGUAUUUUUUCAACUUUGAAAAAUUCUCUAAACAUAUUUUUAAGUCAUAAAUUAACACCAACUUUUGUCACUUCUUAUUCUUCUAUAUCAAAAGACUAACAAUAAUCAUGUUAUUUAUACGCAUAAAAUUAAUUAAAAUCAUUUAAGAUCAUGAUUUUUUUUAAAAUUUUUGUUAUUUAAUUAUAAAAAAAUUAAUUUUUUUAAUGAGAAGAAAAAAAACAAGGCUUAAUAACCAUAUUUAACAUUUUUAAAAUAAAUAAAUAAAAGCAAAGGUAUAUCCAAAUAAUACCUCAUUUGCUCAAUUCAAUUAUCGCAUGCCCUAAGUAUCAAAGUAGUUGACUAAGAGUGAGUUUGAUAGUAACUUUAGAAAGAUUAAAACACUUCUUCGAAUUACCACCAAAUAUAUUUUAAGGCACGCAAGGAAAAGUAAUCUCUUCUAUUAUUAUUAUUAUUAUUAUAAUUAUCAUACUGCCUUAUAGAAAGGACUUCUAUAAUUCAAAAUAAUCACAUGGUAAAAAUAGAUUUUAUUUGUUUGUAUCUUAUAAUGAUCUUAUUAUAUAUAUAUAUAUAUCUUAUCCUUUAUACAUGCAUUUUUUUUUUCAGUUUUGGUCGUAUAUUUUUAAUUUAAUAUUAAAAAAAAAAUUUACGCUUUUUGUCAAUGUCUCAAAUUUCAAAUAUGUUCAUGCUCUAGAAAUUCUCAAGUUGUAGUCUUGUAGCCUAGAAUGUGAAGUGAGAGUUUGAUGAAAAACGAAAAAAACAAAGAUAUAAAAUAUAAUUUGUGAGUAAGGAUGAAAAUAUCAGUUUUGACAGAUAUAUUAGUAACUCGAUUUUAUAGAUAUCAGGGUAUAUUAGAAAAUAUUGGUAAAUAUUUUGACACAAAAUAUCAAUGAUAAAAAAUUGAUCAAAACUCAUGGAAAUUAAAAAAAAAAAAACUCUUAAACAUGAUAAAAUAAACAAUAAUAUAUUUAUUAAAGUUUUUUUUUAUUAUUGUAAAACUUAAAACACAAAAUUAUCAACAAAUAUCAAUGAAAAAUUUGAAAAAAAAAAUCAAAAUUAAUAAAAACUCAUAAAAUAUUAGUAAAAACUAAAUAUAUAUAUAUAUAUAUAUAUAUAUAUAUAUAUAUAUAUAAGAAGCAAUAAUACACAUAAUGAAGUUAUUUAUUAAAAAAAUUGAUAUAAUUUAAUAUAAUUAAUGAUAUUUGAUAACAAUAUAUCUAAUUUAAGAAUUGAAAAUAUAUUUAAUAUUCAAAAUAUAAAAGAAGUUAAUAUAUAUAUAUAUAUAUAUAUAUAUAUAUAGAUAUUAUGAUGAUGAUUCGUAUAAUUUGAAUAUUUUUUAAAUGGAAUAUGAAAAUGAAAUAAUUAAAAUUAAUUUACUUAUUAUUAUUUUAUUUUAUCAGUCUAGGAAUGCAACUAUUUUUAAUUUAUGUGUGUUGCAUAUUUAAAAAAUGUUGAACUAGCUUAGUUGGCCAAAGCCCCAUCCAUGCGCACCCGAGACCCAGGUUAAAGCCUUAGUGUUGUUUCCAUUAAAAAAUUUCAAACGUUGACCCAAUAAUUUCAAUAUUGACAUUUUCAUCCUUGUCUACAAGUACUUGUGUUGGGAUCCAUGCAAUAAUUAAUGGCGGAAAAAUAGAAAAACGAGAAAGAAGAACACAAAGAUUUAACGUGGUUCAACUAAUUACCUACGUCCACGGGAAUAGGGAAAGAUGAUUUUCACUAUGUUAAAAUUAAGGUUACAUAAAAGGGUAUUUAUACUAACCCUUAGGAAUGAAAAUUCAAAAAACACCCCUGAACCCUACACCCCUCAACCUAUCGUUCACCUCACAACAAAAGAAAUACAAGCCUGAAUGACAAAUUCCGUCGCUAUGCUGCCAUUCCACUCCACUUCGCUCCCGCAUUUUGCCCAUUUUUCUCCAUAUGUCUUUUCGAUCAAAUAUGAGCCACAUACUACAACAAUCUCCACCUUGGCAAAUAUUCACUCCCCCCUUAGGAGACAAGAAACAUUGCUUAUAACUCCACCUGGGACAAUAGGUUGGGGUAUCUCCCAUCUAGCAACUAGAGACAUUAAUCAAGUUCAAGCAAUGCUUGAACUUUUCUGUGGUAACAGGCUUUGUCAACAUGUUUGCUGUGUUCUUAGAGGUGUGGACCUUCACAAGUAACAGUUCACUAGAAGAAACCAAUUCCCUGAUCUUAUGAAACCUCACAUCUAUGUGUUUGGUCCUUGCAUGAUACACCUGGUUCUUUUCCAAAUAAAUGGCACUCUGACUGUCACAAUAUAAUUGAACUCCACCUUGUUGAAUACCCAACUCCUUAAACAAACCUGUAAGCCAUAAUGAUUCCUUUGCAACCUCAACUAUUGCCAUAUAUUCUGACUUAGUAGUAGAUAGUGCAACUAAAGACUGUAUCAUAGACUUCCAACAAAUAGGUCCCCACCAAGGGUGAAUACAUAACUUGUGGUAGACCUCCUGUCAUCUAAGUCACCUGCAUAGUCUGCAUUAACAUAUCCUCUAACUGAAGAAUCACUUUGUUGUUUGAUGAACACGAUGCCAUAGUAUAGACCCGCAUUUUUCAUGUGCGCCCCCACUCGAUCGGCGAGACUCGCUUUUUAUUGGUGAAAAAUUAAUUUUGGAAAAAAAGUCGGAGUCACCACUUAUUUUAUUUUUAUUUUAAAGGGAAAAUAAAACAAGAAAGAAAAACCCUAAAAUGUGACUCCAUAAUUUUUGGAAAAAGCAUGUCUUUGAAACACCCGAGUCUAGGUCCGGGGAUCAGGUUACUUAUUGGGAAGGUACCUCUAGGAGGUAGCACCCCUCUAAGCCCUAAAGAGGUCUCUACUGACUAAAUUGGGGGAGAUGUGGCAAUUAAUUGAUUAAUUGGGGAUACCUAGAUAGACUAAGGUGAUUUAAAAAAAUAACAUGUGAUUACUACCAAAAAGUGCUAUUUUGUAGACCUAAUUAUAAUGGUUUUAAGCACCUUUGAGUAGUAAUCAUAUUCAUUUAACCCAAUUAAUUCAUUAAGGUCCUUAGUAAUUGGUUUUAACCUUUUUGUGGCAAGUUGACAUGUUUUUAUCAGCUUAUGAAUCGAUUCAAGCAUGCCAAUUGAUGGAGGAGCUAUUUGGGUGAGUUAAGCAAGGAUUUUGUACGUUUAUAGGCUUGAAUUUCAAGUGGAAACACGAGCACAAGCAAUGGAGAAGAGGAAAACAGAGUGAAGAAAACAGCUGCAGUCUUCCUUUGAACUUUUGAAGCACUUUCCGAAGUCUAUUUUUUGUAUGCUAUAUACCAUUUGAAAGCUUAGGAAGUCAAGAAUCCAACGCUUCAAACCGUGUAUGAUUUGGAGCUGAAAUGAGGAAGAUAUGGCCUUCGGAAGGCAACUGCAUCAUGUCAAAUGACCAAUUUCGCAAGGUGAAUUUCACAUUGCGAAAAUUUCGCAAGGAGAUUUUCUUCAUGGUGCGAAAUUUUGCCACUUCGCACCAUGAAGAAACACCUUGCGAAAAUUUCGCAAGGUGGAUUUAGGCACAUUGCAAAAUUCCUUUGAAUCCCCUGUUUUGAGACGUUGUUGAUGUUAUUCCACUACCGGUUCUCCAAGAUAUUUUGCUUGAUUUUUAGCUUUGUAAAUACCUAUUUUACCCUUGUAAUCAACCAAUGAAUAGGUUGCUUUUGUAAUAGCUCUUGUAAUUUAGCUUGUUAUUGUCUUUAAAUAGAGGUGAAGAGCCUCAGACACGCAUCAUCUAAUCUUGUAACCUGUAACUUUAUAAGUUAUAAGAGCACUUUUGUUCAGAAGCUUCUUUUCUCUUUUCUUUCUCAUUUUCUUAGUAGCCAAACACCCUUGGAGGAUGAAAUCCCCAAGGAUGAGAGGCUAAAACCUUUUAGUUUCUUGAAGUAAUGGAUGCCAUGUGAAGCUCCCGUGUCAGGAUGGAGAUUUCCAAGCCAUGAAUGUAAGUAGCUGAGCGUCAUAAAUGUUUUCAUUCAAAGUAAAGCUUUUAAUCCCUCUGACUUGCUUUGAAUGGCCAAUACUUGAUAACCUUUUGGUCUCAGUGGAUUCUUAUUGUUAAAUCCACUGACGUUCAUUAGUUAUCUCCUACGAGCCAUUGUAUUGCAAGUCGAGGAGAUGACCUAUAUCAUUAAAAGGGCAUUUAUGAGGUUCAGCUACCCUUUUUGUAAGUUUUCAAGGACUAAAACUCAGUUGUUAAACUCAUACCGGUUCGGGAAGUAAGCAUCACCUUAGUUGCUUCCCCAACUCGAGGUGAAAAGUCCCAAAAUCUCCAUUUUUACACAGUGAGUUAAGCAUGACUAUCCAAAGCUUUGAGAAACUUCUUUCUCCAUCUUUUAACCUAUUUUCAAGUUAGUUUAGUUUACAACACCUUUAUCUUUUUAUGUUUUCAUCUUAACCUAAUUUUUAUUAAGAAAAGUUCACUCCAUCCUCCGAACUUCACCAGUUAAAGUAAAAACCCUUCCCAGUGUUCGAUCCUAGAGCCACUAUGCUAUAGUAGCUUUGCUACUUUAGUGUAAGGACCUUAGGUUAUAAAUUUUGUUGAUACCUUACAUGCAAGCUACCAAGAGGCGGGUUAUCAAAUGGCGCCGUUGCCGGGGAAGGUGCUACUUCACUGUGAAUAUAUCAGCCGGAGGUAACUUGUGAGACUUCUCAUGAGUAAGGUGAAUUCUAUCUCCUUUUUCAUUUACUAACUUUUUAUUUUAGUUUUAGAACAUUUUUAACUUAGUUUAGAUAAGUUUCUUUUAGCUUUUAACUUUCAUUUUUAGUUUAUUUUUCAUACUCUGUUUUUCCUUCCGCAUGCUCUGUUUUUUUUUUUUCUUUUUCUUUGUUUUGUUUGUUUGCUUUGUUCCAGCUGAAUCCGUGCAUGCCCUAUUGGAUUAGAGACCAAGAGGGAAGGUUAGUGCGGAUAGAGACUCCACGAGCUAUUGAAUUAGAGAUUAUUUUAGAAGUCAUGGAGAAUCAGCCAGAGGAUCAACAUUCACAACACGGGCAGGGGAAUGAUCCGAACUUGUAUAGGUCCAUGAGGGACAGGAUGCACCCUCCGAGGAUGAGUGCACCAUCUUGCAUCAUUCCUCCUACAGAGCAAUUGAUUAUCAGGCCACACAUCGUGCCUCUGCUUCCUACUUUCCAUGGGAUGGAAAGUGAAAAUCCAUAUGCGCACAUAAAGGAAUUCGAAGAUGUGUGCAAUACUUUUCAAGAAGGGAGAACAGCUAUUGAGCUUAUGAGGUUGAAGCUCUUUCCAUUCACAUUAAAGGACAAAGCCAAGAUAUGGCUCAAUUCCUUGAGGAUGGGAAGCAUAAGAACAUGGACAGAACUUCAAGCUGAUUUUUUGAAGAAGUUUUUCCCUACUCACAGAACAAAUGGAUUGAAGAGACAAAUCUCCAACUUCUCAGCACGUGAGAAUGAAAAAUUUUAUGAAUGCUGGGAGAGGUAUAUGGAGGCCAUCAAUGCAUGUCCUCACCACGGCUUUGAUACAUGGCUUUUGGUGAGCUAUUUUUAUGAUGGCAUGUCAUCUUCAAUGAAGCAGAUAUUGGAGACAAUGUGUGGGGGUGAUUUCAUGAGCAAGAACCCUGAGGAGGCUAUGGACUUCCUAAGUUAUGUCUCAGAGGUUUCCCGUGGAUGGGAUGAGCCCAAUAGUAGAGAAAUGGGGAAGAGGCCAGUUCAGCAAAUGUCAAGAGGGGGGAUGUACAGUCUGAGUGAAGACAUGGAGAUGAAAGCCAAGGUAGCUGCCAAUGGCUAGAAAAAUAGAGGAAAUGGAGUUGAGAAAAGUUCAUGAAGUCCAAGCUAUUUCAGAACCUCAACAACAAGCCAAUCCUUGCUCCAUCUGUCAGUCAUUUGAACAUAUGGUGGAAGAAUGUCCCACCAUUCCGGCAGCAAGAGAAAUGUUCGGGGAACAAGCUAACCUGAUUGGCCAAUGGAAGCCAAAUUCAAAUGCUCCCUAUGGCAACACGUACAACUCUAGCUGGAGGAACCACCCAAACUUUGCAUGGAAGCCAAGGCCAAACCCAUAUCAGUCACCAGCCCAAUCAAGCCAACAGAGUCAAGGUCAAUCCUCAGUUGAGCAAGCACUCGUAAGCCUUAGCAAGGUUAUGGGUGACUUUGUGAGUGAGCAAAAAUCCAUCAACUCUCAACUAAAUCAGAAGAUUGACAACGUAGAGAGUACAUUGAACAAGAAGAUAGAUGGGAUGCAUAAUGAGUUGUCUCAGAAAAUUGACAACAUCCAAUAUUCCAUCUCAAGGCUCACAAAUUUGAACACUGUCAAUGAGAAAGGGAAGUUUCCCUCUCAGCCUCACCAAAAUCCUAAGGGGAUACAUGAAGUGGAAUCCAAAGAUGAGGAUUCUUCAAAGGUGAGGGACGUGCAAGCUAUUAUCACUUUGAGAAGUGGUAAGGAAGUGCAUCAGCCGGAGCAUGAUCAGAGGAAAGCCAAAGAAGAUAAGGCUGAUAGAAAAGAAGAAAAGAAGAAUGAACAAAAGGGAAAGGAAGUUCAGAUGAAAGAAAGCAUCAUUCCUAGCAUGGAUGAGGAACCUCAAAUUCUUUUAAAGGAAGGCAUGAUGAAGAAGUACAUGCCUCCUCCAUUUCCUCAAGCCUUACGUGGGAAGAAACCGAUCAAGAAUGCUUCUGAGAUUCUUGAUGUGUUAAGACAAGUGAAGGUGAAUAUUCCUUUACUUGAUAUGAUCAAGCAAGUACCCACAUAUGCAAAGUUUUUGAAGGACUUGUGCAUUGUGAAAAGAGGACUCAAUGUUACAAAGCAAGCCUUCCUAACCGAGCAAGUGAGUGCUAUAAUCCAAUGCAAGUCUCCAAUCAAAUACAAAGAUCCGGGGUGUCCUACAAUCUCAGUCAAUAUUGGAGGAACCCAAGUGGAGAAAGCAUUGCUUGAUUUGGGGGCAAGUGUUAACUUACUUCCAUACUCUGUAUACAAGGAGCUGGGGUUGGGAGAACUCAAGCCAACAUCAAUCACCCUAUCCUUAGCUGACCGAUCAGUGAAAAUCCCCAGGGGGGUAAUAGAGGAUGUAUUGGUUCAAGUUGACAAAUUCUACUAUCCAGUAGAUUUUGUGGUGCUUGAUACGGAUCCCAUUGUCAAAGGGAUCAACUAUGUUCCAAUCAUCCUUGGAAGACCAUUCCUUGCAACAUCCAAUGCAAUCAUCAAUUGUAGGAAUGAGGUCAUGCAACUCACUUUUGGGAAUAUGACAUUGGAACUCAACAUCUUCCAUCUAUGUCAAAAGCACAUCCAUCCUGAAGAAGAUGAGGGCCCGGAAAAAGUGUGUAUGAUAGAUACCCUGGUGGAGGAGCAUUGUAAUCAGAGUAUCCUUGAUCAGUUUGAAGAGAAUUCAGAUGAAAGCCAUGAAGAUCUUGAUGAUGGGUUAGCUGAACCCAUGGGAAUGAAUGCCGUUAUGUCAAACUGGAGACAAAAGCCAGUGAUCCUCCCUUUGUUCAAGGAUGAGGAAGAGAUGAAAGAAGCUAAGGAUGCAAUCCUUAAGCUUGAAUUAAAGACCCUUCCUGCCGAGUUGAAGUAUGCUUACUUGGAGGAAGGCAAUAAAGCCCCGGUGGUAAUUUCUUCUUCUUUAACCGUUUCACAAGAGGGCAAUCUUCUGAGAAUCCUUAGAAAGCACAAGAAGGCCAUCGGAUGGCAAAUUUCUGAUUUGAAGGGGAUAAGCCCAUUGAUUUGCACGCACCAUAUUUAUAUGGAGGAGGGAGCUAAGCCAACUCGUCAGCCACAGAGAGAUUGAAUCCUCAUAUGCAAGAGGUAGUAAGGGCUGAAGUGUUGAAGCUUCUUCAAGCGGGCAUCAUUUACCCCAUUUCNAUAGCACUUGGGUGNNNNNNNNNNNNNNNNNNNNNNNNNNNNNNNNNNNNNNNNNNNNNNNNNNNNNNNNNNNNNNNNNNNNNNNNNNNNNNNNNNNNNNNNNNNNNNNNNNNNAAGCUUGAAUUAAAGACCCUUCCUGCCGAGUUGAAGUAUGCUUACUUGGAGGAAGGCAAUAAAGCCCCGGUGGUAAUUUCUUCUUCUUUAACCGUUUCACAAGAGGGCAAUCUUCUGAGAAUCCUUAGAAAGCACAAGAAGGCCAUCGGAUGGCAAAUUUCUGAUUUGAAGGGGAUAAGCCCAUUGAUUUGCACGCACCAUAUUUAUAUGGAGGAGGGAGCUAAGCCAACUCGUCAGCCACAGAGGAGAUUGAAUCCUCAUAUGCAAGAGGUAGUAAGGGCUGAAGUGUUGAAGCUUCUUCAAGCGGGCAUCAUUUACCCCAUUUCGGAUAGCACUUGGGUGAGUCCAACCCAAGUUGUUCCAAAGAAGUCCGGGAUAACCAUAGUCAAGGGAGAAAAUGGAGAUGAAGUGUCCACACGCCUCACAACUGGUUGGAGGGUGUGCAUUGACUACAGGAAGCUGAACGCAGUAACGAGAAAGGAUCACUUCCCUUUACCUUUCAUGGAUCAAGUCCUUGAGAGAGUAUCUGGGCAUCCUUUUUAUUGCUUCUUGGAUGGGUAUUCCGGGUAUUUUCAAAUAGAGAUUGAUGUGGAGGACCAGGAGAAGACUACCUUCACUUGUCCAUUCGGCACCUAUGCUUAUAGGCGGAUGCCUUUUGGAUUAUGCAACGCUCCUGCUACCUUCCAAAGAUGCAUGCUUAGCAUCUUCAGUGACAUGGUUGAACGAAUCAUGGAAGUCUUCAUGGAUGACAUAACUGUGUAUGGGACUUCUUUUGAGGAUUGUUUGUCACAUCUUAAAGAUGUUUUGAAAAGAUGCAUAGAGAAAGACCUUGUACUCAAUUGGGAGAAGUGCCAUUUUAUGGUAAAUCAAGGUAUUGUUCUUGGGCACGUAAUCUCAAAGAAGGGUAUAGAGGUAGAUAGAGCUAAGGUAGAACUAAUUGUGAAGUUGCCACCUCCCACCAAUGUAAAAGGAAUAAGGCAAUUCCUUGGGCAUGCCGGGUUCUAUAGGAGGUUUAUAAAGGAUUUUUCCAAGAUUGCCAAACCUCUUUGUGAAUUAUUGGUGAAGGAUGCCAAGUUUGAGUGGGAUGAUAAAUGUCAAAGGAGUUUUGAGCUUCUUAAGCAAUUCUUGACAUCAGCGCCCAUUGUGAGAGCACCAAAUUGGGAGUUGCCAUUUGAAGUGAUGUGUGACUCAAGUGAUUAUGCUAUUGGGGCUGUUUUGGGACAAAGAGAAGAUGGCAAACCUUAUGUGAUCUACUAUGCAAGCAAGUCUUUGAAUGAUGCUCAAAAGAAUUACACCACCACUGAGAAUGAAUUACUUGUUGUGGUGUAUGCUUUGGAUAAGUUCAGAGCUUAUUUGAUAGGGUCUUCCAUUGUGGUAUUCACGGAUCAUUCAGCUUUGAAGUAUUUGCUAACCAAGCAAGACGCCAAGGCUAGGUUGAUUAGGUGGAUACUUUUGCUUCAAGAGUUCAACCUCCAGAUCAGAGAUAAGAAAGGUGUUGAGAAUGUGGUAGCUGACCACUUGUCAAGGCUCAACAUUGCUCAUGACACCCAUGGACUUCCCAUAAAUGAUGAUUUCCCUGAGGAAUCCUUGAUGCUUGUGGAGGAAGUGCCAUGGUUUGCACACAUUGCCAAUUACUUGGUCUCGGGAGAAAUACCAAGUGAAUGGAGCUCUCAGGACAAGAAGAAUUUCUUUGCCAAGGUCCAUGCAUAUUAUUGGGAGGAGCCUUUUCUCUUCAAAUAUUGUGCGGACCAAAUUAUAAGGAAGUGUGUGCCUGAACAAGAGAAGCAUGGGAUCCUAUCUCAUUGCCAUGGGAAUGCAUGUGGAGGCCACUUUGCCUCUCAAAAGACGGCAAUGAGAGUUCUUCAAUCGGGCUUUUGGUGGCCCUCACUUUUUAAGGAUGCCCAUGAGGUAAGUAAAGGAUGUGAUAAGUGCCAAAGACUAGGCAAGCUUUCAAGGAGAAACAUGAUGCCUUUGAACCCCAUCUUGAUAGUGGAUCUUUUUUAUGUUUGGGGCAUAGACUUCAUGGGACCUUUCCCUAUGUCUUUUGGCCACUCCUACAUCUUGGUAGGAGUUGAUUAUGUUUCAAAGUGGGUUGAAGCUAUACCCUGUAGAACCAAUGAUCACAAAGUGGUUCUCAAAUUCCUAAAAGAAAACAUCUUCUCGAGGUUUGGAGUGCCUAAAGCAAUCAUCAGUGAUGGAGGCACUCACUUUUGCAACAAGCCCUUUGAAGCUCUUUUGGCCAAGUACGGAGUUAAGCAUAAGGUAGCUACACCUUAUCAUCCUCAGACGAGUGGCCAAGUAGAGCUAGCCAACCGGGAAAUUAAGAACAUCUUGAUGAAGGUGGUGAACACCAAUAGGAAAGAUUGGUCUGUUAGGCUCCUUGAUUCCCUAUGGGCGUAUAGGACGGCUUAUAAGACUAUCCUUGGGAUGUCACCAUACCGUCUUGUUUAUGGCAAAGCUUGCCAUCUUCCUGUUGAGAUUGAGUUCAAGGCAUGGUGGGCCAUUAAAAAGCUCAACAUGGAUUUAACUAAGGCUGGGCUAAAGAGGAGUUUGGAUUUGAAUGAGCUUGAGGAAUUAAGAAAUGAUGCCUAUCUCAACUCAAAAAUAGCUAAGGAAAAGCUAAAGAGAUGGCAUGAUCAGUUGGUGACCAAGAAAGAAUUUUUCAAGGGACAAAGAGUCUUGCUAUAUGACUCUAAGCUUCACCUAUUUCCGGGAAAGCUCAAAUCAAGGUGGGUAGGGCCUUUUGUCAUCCACCAAGUACACUCACAUGGAGUAAUUGAGUUACUCAACUCAAAUAGUGCAAAGACCUUCAAGGUAAAUGGGCAAAGACUCAAGCCCUACAUCGAGCCAUUUUCCCGUGACAAGGAGGUACUCAUCCUCCAUGACCCAUCACAUCCUUGAGAAAGUGUGGUAAGUUGAUGAGCUUAGCAUGAAAAGCUAAGUGCUCAUCUCUUUUUGUUUUAGUUUUAGUAUUACAUUCUUGUUUACUUUGCAUUUUUAAUACUUUUGCACAUAUUUUGUUUAGGUUUCUUGGUUUUGAUUUUGAUUUUUUUAUGUUUUUAAUGGAGCUUUGAUGUCCAAUAGCAGGUACGAAAGCUCACAAGCUCACAAAUGUGGAGAGAAAGGUGAAAUAGGGGAGAAAUAUAUCUAAGUCCAAGCUUAAAAGCCCAUUUCGCAACUCAAAAAGUGAGUUGCGAAAAUUUUGCAAGGUGAAUUUCACCUUGCGAAAUGCACAUUUUGGCAAGAUGCAAAAUGCAACCUCUCGAGAUUGCACUUUCGCAAGGAGUAACCAGUGCGAAAAUUUUCGCAAGUCAUUUUUCACCUUGCGAAAUUGUUUUCAAAGCAAAUAUCAAAGUGCAACCUCUCGGGAUUGGUUUUUAAGGGGAGUAGCCAGUGCGAAAAUUUGGCAAGGUGAAUUUUCACCUUGCGAAAUUUUUUCUUCAUGCUUACCAAGGUUUUGAUUCUUUUUAAAUUCAUUUUCACAGCUAUCCUGGACCAGCACUCCGCCAUGCUAUCUCAGAUCCACCAUCACCUGGGCAUAUCACCUCCUCCACCUCAGGAGCCACAUCCAUGAUUGGAUAUUUCUAUCUCCAUUUUGUAUUUGUUUUUUGUAGAUGUACAUGUUUUAUAUUCUGAGAUUGUAUGUACCUCAUGCUUCUAUCUUGUACUCAACUCUCUCAGUUUAUAUAAGCAUCAUUUUUUGUAUAUUAUUUCCUCUCUCACGUUUCUUAUGGUUUUUGAAUCAUGUGGAUGCACUCACACGCCUUGAAUACCACAUCACCAUAAGGUAUAUCAUUCCUUCCUUGUAUUUUUCGAUAGAAACAUUGGGGACAAUGUUCAUCUCGGUUGGGGGGAGAGUUGAGGAAGUAAGUAUUUCCUAUUCUAGUUAGUUAUUUUGUUGAUUUAGUAGUUGUUGCCCUUUUUCAAAAUUUUUUUGUUUCAUUCUCUAUGGUUGUUAAAGAUAAUUUCUCAAAAUAAAAUAGGAUAAGUCGAGUUUUAACUUAAUUACUUAAGUCUUAGAGUUUGUUUUAUGCUUUCAAAGUUGAUAAUCUAUUGAAGCCCUCUUUGAUUUCGAACUUAUUUCUUCCAUUUCAAGCUUUACACACACCAUGCACAUUAGAUCCCGGAUUUAUGAUGUAAAACUUUCUCACCCUCUAAGCUUAGGAAAAUUUUGACUUGGUUUAUUACUUAACCUCUUUUUAAUAAUGUUGGGACACCUCAAAAAGACCAAUGAGUCUUAGAAAAAGAAAAAGAGAAAAAGAAAAAAGAAAAGAGAAAAAGAAAAAGAAAAAGAGAAUAAGCUUCUAUUCUUUCCUUGAAACCUAAGCAUGAUCCGAAGGGGUGGCGAAAGCCUUUAAAACCCGAUGCCCUAAACCUUGAUUGGUUGGGAGUCAUCGAUCCUCUGCUUGCUACAUAGGUGAAUUGGUUAAGUUUAGUGAGUAAAAAGAAUUGUGAAUAAGAAGGUGCGUUCCUAACCUAUUAAGAGUUGGUUAAUUUUGCCAAUGUCCGAGAAAAGCUUAGGUUAGGGGGAGAGGAUAGUUGUGCAUACUAUAUCCGGAAGCUAAUCUCAUUAACACUUAGCUCAUUAUGGAAGAGUUUGAUCCGGAACCUUGAGAGUAGAGAUUCUUUUGAUACUUAAUUGCAUAAUCUCCACUCUUUGUACUUUUUGUUUAAGUUUUAGCUUUGACAACUCCUAUUGCAUUUUGAAUCUUCGUAUCUUUAGUUCACCAUGUGAGAUGUGUUUUGAUUUCAGUCAUGCCACUCAAUUAUUUUUUGGAGUGAUUUGCAUGAUCCCUUUUAUGUAUAUUAUUAUAGUUUACUUAGUUUUUAUCUCCUCCAUUGCUAAGGGACUAGCAAUGAGUCGGUUGGGGGGUGUGAUUACUACCAAAAAGUGCUAUUUUGUAGACCUAAUUAUAAUGGUUUUAAGCACCUUUGAGUAGUAAUCAUAUUCAUUUAACCCAAUUAAUUCAUUAAGGUCCUUAGUAAUUGGUUUUAACCUUUUUGUGGCAAGUUGACAUGUUUUUAUCAGCUUAUGAAUCGAUUCAAGCAUGCCAAUUGAUGGAGGAGCUAUUUGGGUGAGUUAAGCAAGGAUUUUGUACGUUUAUAGGCUUGAAUUUCAAGUGGAAACACGAGCACAAGCAAUGGAGAAGAGGAAAACAGAGUGAAGAAAACAGCUGCAGUCUUCCUUUGAACUUUUGAAGCACUUUCCGAAGUCCAUUUUUUGCAUGCUAUAUACCAUUUGAAAGCUUAGGAAGUCAAGAAUCCAACGCUUCAAACCGUGUAUGAUUUGGAGCUGAAAUGAGGAAGAUAUGGCCUUAGGAAGGAAACUGCAUCAUGUCAAAUGACCAAUUUCGCAAGGUGAAUUUCACAUUGCGAAAAUUUCGCAAGGAGAUUUUCUUCAUGGUGCGAAAUUUUGCCACUUCGCACCAUGAAGAAACACCUUGCGAAAAUUUCGCAAGGUGGAUUUAGGCACAUUGCGAAAUUCCUUUGAAUCCCCUGUUUUGAGACGUUGUUGAUGUUAUUCCACUACCGGUUCUCCAAGAUAUUUUGCUUGAUUUUUAGCUUUGUAAAUACCUAUUUUACCCUUGUAAUCAACCAAUGAAUAGGUUGCUUUUGUAAUAGCUCUUGUAAUUUAGCUUGUUAUUGUCUUUAAAUAGAGGUGAAGAGCCUCAGACACGCAUCAUCUAAUCUUGUAACCUGUAACUUUAUAAGUUAUAAGAGCACUUUUGUUCAGAAGCUUCUUUUCUCUUUUCUUUCUCAUUUUCUUAGUAGCCAAACACCCUUGGAGGAUGAAAUCCCCAAGGAUGAGAGGCUAAAACCUUUUAGUUUCUUGAAGUAAUGGAUGCCAUGUGAAGCUCCCGUGUCAGGAUGGAGAUUUCCAAGCCAUGAAUGUAAGUAGCUGAGCGUCAUAAAUGUUUUCAUUCAAAGUAAAGCUUUUAAUCCCUCUGACUUGCUUUGAAUGGCCAAUACUUGAUAACCUUUUGGUCUCAGUGGAUUCUUAUUGUUAGAUCCACUGACGUUCAUUAGUUAUCUCCUACGAGCCAUUGUAUUGCAAGUCGAGGAGAUGACCUAUAUCAUUAAAAGGGCAUUUAUGAGGUUCAGCUACCCUUUUUGUAAGUUUUCAAGGACUAAAACUCAGUUGUUAAACUCAUACCGGUUCGGGAAGUAAGCAUCACCUUAGUUGCUUCCCCAACUCGAGGUGAAAAGUCCCAAAAUCUCCAUUUUUACACAGUGAGUUAAGCAUGGCUAUCCAAAGCUUUGAGAAACUUCUUUCUCCAUCUUUUAACCUAUUUUCAAGUUAGUUUAGUUUACAACACCUUUAUCUUUUUAUGUUUUCAUCUUAACCUAAUUUUUAUUAAGAAAAGUUCACUCCAUCCUCCGAACUUCACCAGUUAAAGUAAAAACCCUUCCCAGUGUUCGAUCCUAGAGCCACUAUGCUAUAGUAGCUUUGUUACUUUAGUGUAAGGACCUUAGGUAUAAAUUUUGUUGAUACCCUUACAUGCCAAGCUACCAAGAGGCGGGUUAUCAACAUGCCAAAUAGGAUCAAAUUACAAUAAAGGAGAGUUAGGGUGCAUACCUGGAUGGCUUCUCAAAUGCUAUCAUGAAACAUAAAAGUUAGUAUAGAGAUACAUCACACAACAUGUGCUUUUGUCAAAGAUAAUCAAGCAAGCAUCAAAUAUAUAUCAAGGCAAUAAAACAGGAUGGCAAGCAUGGGCAUAGUACGCAAUGACAAUCAUAUUCAUAGGGUUUAGAAAGUGGGUAUUAGGGAACGUACCUGGAUAGCAUAGAUAACUUGUAACGUGCUUCCAUAAAACAGGAGAGGUUAGAUAGCAAACAAUAAAAUAAGAAGUCCUAGCAUGCUUGUUAUCUAAUUAGCAUAGAAAAAAAAAAAAUUAUCACAGUAUACAAAACCAUCAAUUAUCACUAAUAUCUUCUAUAUAAUUUCUAAAAAAUAAAUAGACAUGAGUUCAUCAAAUAACAAAGGGGGCAACAAAGAUGAGUUUUGAAAAUUUUCCUUAUGUAGGGGUUUCACCAAUUCCCCGAUUGAUAUACACGAAUUUAGCCCAGAAUUAUCCCAUUUAUGUGGGACCACAAGCUUUGAUUCAUGUUUGAUUUCAAACCAAAAUUUUCGUUAAAAAUCGAGAAAGAUGCAAAUCGAUCAAAAAAAUGGUUGCAUAUUAUUUUAAGAAAAUGGGGUUUUUGAUUCUAAGGACUCUAAAUGAAUUUUUAAAAUAGGUUUUUAUAAGGAAAAUUUUGAGAAAAGUAUUUUAUUUUAAAAUAAGAGAAAUUAAUUUGAGAACAAUAAAACAUAUGAGAAACAUUGUACCAAGCAAAACAAAUAGAAACAAAAUCAUAAAGUAAAAUUUUUGGCAACCAAGCAAACUGAAAUGGUGUGAAUGGAGGCCAAUCUUCACAAUUUUCCAAUGGCCUCCAUGAAUCAAAUAUAAACGAACAAAUGUCAAAGAAAAUAACUAAACAGCCUUAGAUCAAAUAAAGUCAACCAGAUAUCAAUCAAGAACUAACAAAGAUUAGUCAAGCCCAUAAAUUGAGGAUAUAAUCAAUAAUUAAAUUAGAUUAGUCAAACACACAAACCUAUGAUUAAGGUAAUGUUAAAUAUAGUACCAUAAGAACUUACAAUUCUAAAACACUUGAAUUGAGUAAGGAUCAAUCAGGAACUAGAGCUUAACACACUUAAAACAUGGAUAUAAUGACAAGGGGUCAGAUAAAUUAAAUAAUUAAAAUUCUAAAGACUCAUAAAACAAAUAUGAUGAAUCAAAAAUAAUAAUAAUAAUAAAAAUAAAAAAUAACUGAAAUUAAUAAACAUAGUGAUAAUGAUAUAGAACCAAAUGAAUUAAUCACCUAAAAACCUAAAGCAUCACAUGAAUCAACUAAGAUGAAAAUAAAAAAAAAAAGAAUAAAAUAACAUGAUGAUAAUGACAUAGAAUCAAAUAAAUUAAUCCAUUAAAAUUUUAAAGCAUCACACGAAUUAAUUAGGAUGAACCCAUGAACUAAAAUUAAAUAAAACAAGAUGAUGAUGACAUAAAACCAAAUAAAUUAAUCGACUAAAACUUGAGAGACUCGAAAACUUAAUAGAGUAAAAAAUUAGCAAACAAAGCCCUAACUUUCAAUCUAAAAAAAAAACUAAUAAACUAAUGGAUAAAAAAAAAAGAAAUCAAAAACUCAAGAACAAGGAAACUCACUUACCUUUGGAAGAUGCAGCCUACUCGCUUUGGGGAUCAAUGGCGUUCAUGGUUCUCUUGAAGAUACCAUGAAGAUCUUUAUGGAAAUUGAGGCAUGGACCCCUUAAAAUGCAACCUGCUGCCACUUUUCCUUCAAAAAAUCUCACCAUCUAAAAGUGCAACUUGCUUCCAUUUUUCUUUCAAAAAAAUCUCACCCCCUCAAAAUGCAACUUGCUGCCACUUUUUUUUUUAAACAAAUCUCACCCUAAAGUGGCAAUCUGCUGCCACUUUUCUUUUAAAAAAUCUCACCCUAAAGUAGCAGUCUGCUGCCACUUUCCUUUCAAAAAAAAUUCACCCUAAAGUGGCAGCCUACUGCCACUUUCCUUUCAAAAAAAAAACUCACCUUAAAGUAGCAGCCUGCUGCCACUUUUCUUUCAAAAAAAACUUCACCCUAAAGUGGCAGCCUUGGAGAAUCCCCACUGUACGGUUGUGUUCCAAAAAAAUUGAAUGCUGCCACUUUUCUUUUCAUCAAACUCAUAGUGCGCCCCAUGGAGAUUAAUAGAAAUCCCUUUUCCUCAUUUUGGAUGGUCACGCCCUCUCUCCUAUAGUGCAUGUGCAGAUCCAAGGAUGCAGCCCGUGAAGUGAUGUAACGAUUCCUAUUGAGUCUGUUAGUGUUGCCAAACCAGAAAGUACCCAAUUAUGAAUGUCCAGAAGAUGCUGAGGACAUGCAUGUCUUCCGACAAUGAUGUCAGUUCAGGACAGCGAUAAAUUUGAAGACGUUAGUAAAGGGAGGCUGUCCAUUGAGUGUGAUAAUGUUAUCAAAUUUAGGGCAGCAAUUUGAAUCCCUGAAUAGAGAUAGCUUCCAAGGCUUCAAGUGGGGUGAGAUGUUGAAUCACUUGUGAUAGAGAGAUUAAGCUACUAGCACAUCACUGAGAGAAUAUUAAUCUAUGACAAUUCCCACUUUCGAGUUGCUUUAGAGAAGUAAGGCGUCACAACUACAUUACCAUCUAGUAUUUUGCUUUGACUUGGCAACACUUACAUCUUUUUCAAUCAUGCACGGGGCUGUUUUGAAGUCCAAAAGUGCAAGUCGUUUUUGGAUGGCGGCUGGUUCUUGUUUGCUGUUCCUUGAGAUCAGUUUUAUUGCCAAUCAGAAUGAUGAGAAUGGUCUUAUCAGCGUGACCACGUGACUCUUCCAACCAUCGGGGUAUGUGGUCAAAACUUUGGCGUUUAGUUAUGUCGUAAACCAGCAUUGCGUCAACAGCACUCCUGUAAUACGCACUUGUAACGGCUCCGUGUCGUUCUUGGCCAGUAGUGUCCCAGAUCUGAGCCUUGACACUCUUGCGUCGGAUGACGAGGGUUCGAGUCUGGGACUCAACCCCGGUUGUAGCCUUGGAAUCCAAACUGAACUCGUUCCUAGCGAACCGAGUUUACGACUUGCCCACUUCGGUGUCUCCGAUCAUAACCACUUUGAAAACGUAGUUGAUCUUUUGGCUCGAAUUGCCAUAGCUUCCACCACUCGCCAUCACCGCACCACUCCGUUCUCUCUCUCUUGAACACUCUCUGUCUGGAUUCAAGAUCAGUCACAGCCUUCCUUUUCCCAUCCUCAAUUCUGUCCGCUGGGAAACCGAAUUGCCACCAUCAAACAGUUGGUUCCUUGCAGCCGCUGAAGCUUGUCAGCAUCACCAAGAGACCAACCAAUUGGGUUGUAGGAGAAGUCAAUCUGUUUCCAUGUAAUCUGAUCCCAAACUCCAAUCCCAUACACGUGGCUUCAAUCUUUACCGCUAGCAAUAAUCCUAUAAUCUGAAUUAAAACCCAGAGCUCCGACAAUUUCCUUUCUUUAUGGCAGCCAGAUUUGGAUCCGAUCUCGACUCUCCUUUGAGAUUAAGCAAUUUAUCAAUGUAUAAUCAGGCCGCUGUGGACAAAUCCAUGCUUGGUAGUCAUGCUUAUUGAUGAUAGUCUAGAGAUGUGGAAAUCAAACAAUUCUGAUGAACCCUCUCCCAUGCGUGAUGAGGCCGAUGAUGUGUUAUUCCAGAUUCAUCUCCGGAGAUCCCUCUAAUUAGAACGUUCAGAAUCCCCCAGAAACGAGAGCUCUCCUUGCGGUCUCCUUCUCCAGCAGCGUUCAUCCCUCCCCCCCUUUUUUUUUAUAUGCUUCACGAACUUCAUCACAUGAAUUACCACAAUCAUCAUCCGUCACUUCUGCUCCAUAGCAUGAACCACAAUAUUUUCCAUUGCGUUCAAGCCUGCCACCAUGUCCUUGUAAUAGCUUCUCAAUCCGGGGCCACCAAUUCCAUCUUGCCUAACUGCUACCACAUUACCAUGGGCGUCAAUGGAGAGAGAGUUUUGACCAGCAUGGGCGCUCGUACCAUUGGAGAUGCAGCCUUGAAGAUUCCCCCAGUGUGACCUGCUGCUGGUGCGUGUCUUCUAUGGAAUCUGUGCUGCGUGCUGGUCCUCUUGAUGGUGAGGAAUACGGCUGUGUGCUUGUCGUCUCCCUCCUAGUGGCAGCCCCCCACUUUGAGAGAAUUUGUGGCCGCUCCUUCCUAGAGAAUCCCUUAGAUGUUUCGUUUCAUCAUUUUAGCCGGAUCCAUUGCAAGCAAGGAAAUUCAUUGAUGAUUUGCUCCCCUUUUUAGGAAAGAAAGCUCAGAAUUCUGAUGCAUGUGUAGAAGCUUUGCAACUUAUUCGAGAUAUUAUACCAGUUUCAGUGAGUGAAACUUCUCCAAAAAUCUUGAAUGUCGUUUCUUCUCUGCUAAUUUCUGCUGGACUGGAUAUACGUUUGGUUAUUUGUGGCCUUCUUGGUGAUCUUGCUGAAACUGACCCUUAGGUACUCUCUGUGGCAAAUCCCAUAAAUGAAUUGGAUGUGACCUCUGUUACGGAAACGAGUGGCCUGGAUUAUGACACCAUAGUUUAUGCUUAUGAAAAGAUUAGCAUGGAGUUCUUUAAUAAUAUCUCAAAGAAUCAGGCACUGGUCAUUUUGUCGCGUUGUAUAUAUGAUAUGUCAUCCAAUGAACUGAUCUUAAGGCAUAAUGCAUAUAGGUUAUUGGUCUCUUCUGCUGAACUCUCCGUCCAAAUUCCUAAACUUGAAGUGAAGAGUGACCAUGAAACGCCCGAAGCAAUAAUAACAUUCAUAGCUGAUGGUUGUUGGAUUUAAGCAUGUAUUCAGCGCAUGAUAAACAAAUUCCUUUUGAAGCAUAUGGCAGAUGUAAUGGGCAAGGAAAAUUUUGUUCAGAAGGAAUGGGUUGAUUUACUGAGAGAAAUGGUGCUGAAGCUUCUAGAGGUGCUAAAUCUUCACUCAUUCAGGAUCUUGUAUUGUCUGAAUGUGUUAAUAAAAUUGGACCAAUGGAAGAUGCUGUGAAGGCUCUAUUUGCCUAUGGGCUCCAUCUAACUAGUCGGUAUAGGUUUUCUGAAUGAGAUGACCAUGGGAAUGGCCAAAUUUGGGAUUUCCGUAAGGUAAGAUUACAGUUAUUGCAGUUUAGAGACAGGCUGAAGACAUUUCUUGGGAUAAAUAUGGGUAGGUUCUCCGUGAAGGAAUACAACAAAUUUCGCAUUAUGCUUAUCAAUGAAGCUGCUGCUGCACUUGCUGAGAGUGGAAAAAUUGGGGCCUUAAACCUCCUUUUCAAGCGUCAUCCUUAUACACUCACUCCUUCCAUGUUGGAAAUUUUAGCUGCUGUCCCUGAAAUAAUUCAAGUUCAAACAUAUGGGCAACUCCCUCCUGGGAGGUCUCCUCCUACCAGUUUUGCUCUGAGGGAAAAAGAUUGGGUUGAAUGUGAAAGGAUGGUAGGCUUUAUCAACAGAUUACCCGAGGAUAAAGAGGGCAGCAUUCGCAUCAAAACUGAACCCAUUGCGAGGCAGAUCUUGGGAUUCUCUUGGCCAUAAGCUGAUGAAUUUUCUAGUUGAUACAAGUGCUGAAAUUUUUAUUGGUCAGACCGUUGACCUCAAAGAGCAGCAAAAUGCUCUUGGAAUCAGUCAGGAACACAUUGAAAGCGCUGCAUCACUGGAGGAUUAUGCUACCAUGAAUCCAGCCAAUUAUUUCACCUUUGUCUCCCAUAGUGCUAGAAGGUACUCUACCAAGAGGUUCUGGAACGCUCAAAUAUUUUAAGUGGAGGAUUCUAAUGCUUCAAUAGCACUCACCCUAUGACGAAUACUCAGUUUAUGAUGAAAGAGUGGAGUUUCUGGCAUCCACCUAUGCACCGAAUGCAGAAUCAAUAUUUGCUCCUCUCAUAGGAACAAACGGUUUUCACAACAAAGCAAGUGAUCAAGAUGAUGCAGGCUGCAAGAAUUUCCCGAAAGAAUUGCAAAUGGCCAGACUAGACGAUGAAGCUGUUCUCCAAAAACUGAGGCAAAUGCCAUUGGAAGUGGGAAAAUUGAAACAGAAUUUAUAAUGCUCUCCUUCCCUCAUGUUCAAAGGCUGAUCUGAACAAUACUGGAGUCGCCUAUGCAGCCAUGCUAGACAUUAGAAGCUUUAUGAGGUUACAAUAAAACCAUUAACUGUACACAUAAGUUCAUUUGCAAGAAUUGGGAACCAAUUUAGAAGGUCAAGUAUAUUCGCUGUCAACAAGAAUGAUGCCCUCCGAUUUAAGAUCUCUACUGAGGAGGAACCCAGUUUGAUCAAAAUUCUAGGAUCAAACAACAGAGUCAAAGUCAAAUCAAGAGCAACGUUCCAACUUGUCAUGAAGACCAAGAAUAGUAAUUGCUUUUGAGCAAGCAGUGAAAUUAUUUGCAAUCAGACAAUCAUCUUCUUCUUCAAGAAAUGCUGUAAUGAAAUUCUUACCAGUUGUGUCUGAUUCUUCAAAACAUGAAGUUAGCAAACAGAUUGUUCAUAUAUAAUGUCAGUUGGCAUAAAUGUAGUGUUCAAUCACCAAGCCACAAAGAUGAUACAACCGAACAGUUGCAGCAGGAAAACUUGGUUGUUUAUUCAAAAUCAAGUAAAUCUCUAGGUCCCUCAUACCACGAUUGCUCCCAAUCUUUAGGUCUUGGCGUAGACAAUUCCUUCCUUGUCUAUGUGGACAGAACAAUGCUUGCUGUUCUAGUUGUUGUCUUUCACCAUGGUCUGUAGAAAAAAUGUCCAGAAAAACAACUAAUGAUCAGUAGAAGUGUAAAAGGGAAGAAAGAAAACUACUGCUAGAUUGGAUCAGUCAUCUUCUUCAUUAGAUCAUUACAAACAGUUGGCUUUGAAAAAUUUGAAGUUAAUCAACUACAAUCAUGACAGAUAUUUAUUUUUCCUAAAAGAAUGUAAAUGUAUGGUUGCUCUUUGAGUACAGCUCUCUACAGCACAAAAAUAAACAAAUACUGUGGUCAAAGCUGUCAAUCAAAAUCCCCCUAUCCAGAAUGCAUGGCAAUGGCUGAUCCAAAUGGCCAUGUACUAGUACACUUACUAAGAUUUCCUUCAAGAAUCAUGUACAAGUGACCACCACUGUUCUCGGUGUCCAGAGGCAGUUUUCCAUACUCAUCUCCUUCUCCAUGAGGCUCAUGUAGUUAUUGGAAGGAUUCAAUAAAUAAUCUCGAAACCCAUGAGCGUUUUUGGCCCAAAGAAAUUCAGCAUAUGACAUAAUUUCGUGUAUAUAUAUAUAUGGAGAGAGAGAGAGAGAGAGGAAAAGUUUAUGAAAUAACCAUGAUUACUAGACGGGAAAAGUGUGUUUUCAUCUUUUGAUAUGACUAUAUCAGUAAAUGAGUACCAACUUUUCCAUCUCAUAGUUUGUGAAUGGAUCAUAGACUGAAAAUGAAUUAUAUGUAAUCUACUUAAUUUACCAAAGGUAAUGAAAUCUAAUUUACAAUCAAAUUAAUUAAGACACUAGGAUACCAAUCACUACUAUACGUACAUAAAUCAUAUUACAUUUCUGUAACAUUACUUUUCUUCAAUACUUCCCCUGAUCAAGUUACAUAUCAAGAACUGAAAAAAUUAUAAGGCAAUCAAAUGAAACAAACCAAGAAAACAACAAUAUUAAAAGAGUUAUGAAAUAUCACCAGAUGAGAUCCAACAGUAAAUUAAGAAACUUUAUACAAUCUUGCUUACCUUAGGGCCAUGUCUGGAGGAGUUCCAAUUGUAGGCCUAGGGCCAAUGUUGAUAGGCACAUGCCCAGAUCUUAAAAACCCUCAAGAUGAACAGUAGCAGCUACUCUAGGCGCUCCUACUGCACAGGCAAAAAACAAGUUAGUCAAUGUUUCUUGGCUAUUGGCUUUGGCUUGGACCUUGGUGGUUAUGUCAAUUUUAGAUAAAUAUGUUAAUAAUCCAAUGACUAUAUUCCAAGAUUGAUGAUAUAUAUGCAAUAUAUCAAUUUGGAAAUGCUGAUAUAAACAUUUAAGGAAUUUAAAUUAGUCAAUUUUCAACAAUCUAGCAUUCAAAAGUGUACAAAAUGAUUAUAACUUGAAAGUUUGAAUAUAAACUGAGGUACAAUAUUCCUAGAGGCUCAAGUCUCCCUAGAACAAGGCAUCACAUCACAUAUUGAUGUGGCCUUAUGUUUGAGGUAAGCACCUUAUCUACUGGCGAGUUCAUCCUUAAUAAGCUUUUUGCAAGAAAAUGGAGACCUAAAAUUACUCUAAUACUUCUUUUCUUGAAUAUUAAAUUUUCUUAAAAGUGUUAUCGAUUAUCAAACAUUUAUAUCAAUGGUGGAAACUAGUUUGCUACCAAAGUGAAGGUCAAAGUCCUAAUUAUCAUUUUGCUAAACAAUGUAAUAUAGUAUUAUACAAUUAUUGCUUUUAAAAGAAAAUUUACAAGCCACCCAGCAAAAUUUAUGAUUAUACCUUUUUCCAACUUCACUCACGCCAUUGAGCUUUAUAAUUUGAUGAAACAAGCCUAAAUCAAAAAACUAUACAAAAAAAAUAAAGAAUCGGAGAAAACAAACCUGUAAGCACUAAAUUUUGUACUUUAAAAGAGGAAAUAGGAUGCCAAUUGUAGGUUUAAUUUAAAGAAACCUUAAAAAAUAUUUUUAAAAUUAUAGGAAAACCCCCGUAGCUUAGAAAAGAUUGGGGCGAACAGUCUACCUUUUGGCGAUGUUCACAUCUUGAGAGGAAUGACUUCUUUCUUAGUAGAUCUGAUGAUGGUGUUGAUCUUUAGGAAGAGAUGAUUAGAAGGCUACGUCGAAUUUUAGUGAGUGAGAGAUAAAGGAACACCCAAAACCUUAAAGCAAAAAAGGAAUUAAUAACUCAAAUAGAUUCCAUUUUUUCCUUAUGACGUGCUUACCUUAGUAAGGUUUUUAUGGCAGUGAUACCAUUUGGAUAAUUAAGUCAUUGAUUUUGAUGGAUCUUUUCCAUUUGAAUUUUUAAUAUAUAAACUUAAUCUUUUUACUUGGGGUAAUAUAUUUGGUAUUUUAGGAUUUACUUUUUAAUAAUAUGCUUUUAGUAGAUGGUUUAACUAUGUCCUAGUGUAAUAAGUAGUCUUGCAUUACAUUAUCUACUAUGGAGUAGGAGUGUGUUGCUUGUUCAAGGGAUGUAUGGGAAGUUGUUUAUUUGAUGAUAUACUUUCAACACUUAGAGUCACGACUUGAGCUAAUAAGUUUAUCAAGAUCUAAGCAUUGAUGGUGUUGCUACUCUAUUGUAUGCAAGGAUUCAAUUAGUCACAUUGUAGGACAAAACACUUAUAGACAAUUGAUUCUACUACAUUCAAGAUAUUGUUGCUUAAGGGGAGGUAGAGUCAAAACAAGUAGACAAUUGAUACAACUACACACACAACAUAGAGACAAAACACAUGAAUAAUACUAUGGUUGAAUAAAUUAAUUGGAUGAUGAGAUGAUAAUUAUUUUGUCAUCAACAUAGUGAACAACAUAAAUUAAAAUCUUGAAAUGUCACCUUAGCCAACCUAGUAGAAAUGAUUCAUCAAAAUAUUUGAAUGUGAGAUCUUAAAUUGGUGUUUGACCAAUAAAUAUGGUAAUAAACAUAUAUUAAGUAUAUAUGAAGUGACCAAGCUAAGAUUUGUAUCAUGUUAUUGUAGGGAAUCCCGAAUCUCUUUGUUCCUUAUCCUAUGAUUAGGCUAGGUACAUGCGAAUCUUUCUAAGUUUUUCUAAAUCGUAUGAACAAUGGGAAAAUUAUGUUUUAAAAUAAUAACAAGAUUUAGAAUUUGCAUUAGAAAACAUUACCUUAGAUUUGGAUGUUCCCAAAUCUAAUUCACGUAGUAAAGGAGAAGAUCGAAGUUUUCAGAGGUCUUGAACACCCAAGAUCUUCCACCAGAUGACUUUUCCUUGAUUUUAGAUCUUAAUUGGUGAGAAGGAAGGAAGACUAAAAAGGCUAUGGUUCUCUCUCUCUUUGAAUAGUGAAAGAUGGCUCACUUCAAAAAAGUAAUGAAAACCUUAUCAUUUAAGGGGUAUUUAUAGGGUUCCCUAAUUGGGUGUAAGUGACUUAAGCAUACUAAAGGCUUGAAUCAUUUAAUUUCACUCAAAAUGAGUCUUAAUUGAUUAAUUAACCUAACGUAGUUAUCUAAUUAAUUAAUUAGCUAAAUCUGGAGACUUUGUUCACUUACCCCUAUGCAACCUUGCAUAGUUACCAAAACACCUUUAUACGCAAAAGUGAACCAAGAGUUGUGUCAUCAAGGUAUAUGAGCUUAGGUGGAGACCAUUGAGACCUAUAGGACAGUACUAGCUACCCCAAAAUCUAAUUUUGAAGUUGAUUUAACGUUCCACUAUAGAGAAUCAAUUGCACUAUAAUACCUUAUGUAAAUAACAAUGAGAUGCUAAGUGGUCGAGCCCAUGACUUAUUAUCCAUUGCAUUCAAUCUCCCUAUGAACUGGUGUUUGUAGUCUAAUAAGGUCAAAACUAUCAACCUUUCAAGACUACCUCUACUAUCUUUGAAUUACAAAUCCUCUUAUUAUGUAUUUAAUUGAUAUAUCUUAACUCUCCAAGAGUCUAUGUCAAGUUCCAUUUAAGAAACUACUAUGACCAUAGUUUACAUGAACAUACCUCCUUAGGAUCACUUAAGGGGACACUCUAUCUCAAUCCUCUUAGAUUUCAUGGUACUUCUAUUACAAAUACUCAUUGUUAUAGACUUGCAUCAAUAGUGAACCAAUCCAUAAGGAACAUAUGAUUAGCUUACGAUUUCAUUAGUAGGUCAAAGUCACUACUAACUUUAACACAAAUUCUAUAUUCUCUCAAGGUUAAGAGAUAAAACAAUGAAGCAACUUGGUGAAAUCAUGACUAUUUGAUAGCUUUAUGUCAUAAUUCACCAUAAGUCUUGUCUGAUGUGUAACCAUACACAUUAGUAUACUCACCAUGGAAAACCCAUCCUGAUAACCAAGACCAACCAUUCCUCUAAUUAUGAAGUAGCGUACUAUAACCUCUAAUGGGUUACUUAGGCCUAUGAAUCGGUUGUGAACAAGUCAUCUACUUACAAUGAAUCCAUUUCUUGAAUUUUUUUUUGCAACUCUUAAUGCACUCAAGUCCUGUACAAUACAAGAUAUGUAUAUCAAAAUGCUUACAAGGUAUAAUGUAUAGGAUUAGGAUAAAUAAAAGUGAACUAAAAAUUUAUUAAUAAAUAAUAAAAUUUUAAAUUUAUUACAUCAUAUCAUGCUUUUAUGAAACCUUUAAAAUACUAAGAGCACCCUUUCAUAAUCAUGAAUUUAACUUUAGUUUCAACUUCUAUCAAAGGCUAAAUGAGAAAAGCUAUCAUAGAGGAGGCCUCAGCCAAUGGGUAAGAUGCACUGUUAUACCAAACAAUAAGUGGAAAAUGAAAUUUUAUUAAUACUUGAGACAAAGGAAGAUUUUACACUCAAACCAAGCAUUUAUUUAUAAUGAAGUGCAGUCUCCAUACGCACAUGUGGACUUAUUGGAAAAUCAUACAAAUUAUUGAAGGACGACCUUAGCUAGGCUAACAGUCUCCUAAAUAGGCCAUCUUUUAUAUGUCUUUGCAUUCAUCCAUCUCCUCAUUGUCUUUGAUUUUAGAUGGUGAGGAUGUGAAAGUAACAGGAAGCGGUGGACGAUUGUUCACAGUGAGGCUUAGCACAUCAGCUCUCGAAUAAUGUCCUACCACAUCGAACUGGAACUUUGCUUUAGGAAUCUCUCCACGAACAUCUACAUAUCAAGUGAUCAUAAAAAUAUUUCAUCAGUCUAUGAUAAAUAUCAUAGAAUAUCAAGUCUUCGAGAAAACUAAGUUUGCAGUCCUCUUAAACCUAAAGAAUCGACUCAUUUGUCUUAUUUGCAUACUGAAAUAUUUGGAUAUAUAACUGGAGAAGUUAGGGCCAUACCAAGAUCAGCUGUGAAGAGGCCUUCUCCUUCAUAAUUCGGUCCUGUUAGAAUUUCCCCAUGGGUCGAAAUGAUGACACUACCUCCAGCCCAAACAAUAGAAUCUGGAGUGACAUCUUCUUCUGUAGGACUGUAAAGAUACUCAGGUGGAGGUGGGUAAUCUUUCCUUUUCCAUUUUUAAAAAUAAUAAAAGCAAAGGUGUUUCAAAACAAUACCUCAUUUGCUCAAUUAAUUAUCACAUUUCCUAAGUACAAAAGUAGGCAAGUGAAUUUUUGCUCAAGUUACAAUAAUGCUCCAAAUCCUUAUCCAAGACUUUGAUCCUAUUUCACAAUUGUUUUUUAAAACAGUUUUUUUCUUGGGAGAAUUACCCAAAGGGGUGGGUUAGAAAAAAUAAUGACUAUGAAGGCUCACUCUUUUAGAAGACAAUUUUACCCUUUAAUAUGUUUUUUAUAUUAUUUAUAAAUAAAUUGAGAUUGUCAAUGAUGUGGGGCUCAUACAUAAUGAUAAGUACAAGUUGAUAAAUGAUGUGGGACUCAUACAUGAUGAUAAGUACAUGUUGAUAGGCAAUCAACGGUACAUUUUUCAACUUGAAAAAAUUGUUAUCACUUUUGAACAAUUAACUAUUUAAAAAUUUGUUAUUUUUUUUUAAAUUGAGAUUUUUUAAAGAACCUUAUAAAAAAAAUAAUUUUUAAUAUCUCAUAAAUAAAAACCAUAUCCUAAAGUUAUUAUAUCAUUUUAUAUAUAAAACAUACAAUUAAAAACUUUGUUAUCAUAAUAUAAUAAAUAAUUAUUUUUUACGAGCACUCAUCAAUUGAAUAAUAUAUAAAUAUUCAAUUGACUAACACACACCUAUUAAAUGGAAUAACUCACAAUUAUUCAUUGGGUAAUAUAGCACGUGAAAAAAUUAAAUAAAAAUAAAUUACAUUAUGUUAUAAUAUAUUGUAAUGAUAGUGUAUUUAUAUUGUAAGUAUAAUGCAUUUAUGUCGUACCUAUAUUUUAUUAUAAAAGUAAUAAUUUUAAAAAUGUUUAUUCAUACCCUAUUGGUAUUAACACAUCGUAUUAAUAUAUUAACAACAUUUAUUUAGUGUUUUGAAAUUAUUUAAUAAUUUUUGUAUAUAUAUAUAUAUAAACUACGUGAAUUCAAAUUAGUAUUUCAUUUGAUUUCAGAAAUUAUUUAUGAUAUAGGUAUGUUGUGAAAUAUGGUAUGAUCAUACAAAGUUACCAUUUUCAUAAAAAAAUUCAUAAAUUUCUUAAUUAGGUUUUAUUGUAAUGUAUUGUAAUGUAAGUGUAUUUAUAUUGUAAUUAUAACAUAUUUUUGUUGUACUUGUAUUGUAUAAUAAAAGUAAUAAUCUUAAGGAUCACCUUUUAUACCUUAUUAAUAUUCAACAUAUCAAAUAUAUUAACAUCAUCCACUCGAUACAUUGAGAAAAAAAAUUUAUAUAAAAAUUUAAAUAAAAAAAAACACUAUGCAAAGGAAAAAAAAUCAUAUAAAUUUUUUUAAAUUAUUUUAUUAUAAAAAUAAAAAAUGAUUAAACAUUUUCUAUCAUUUUCUUAUUAUUUUUAGAGAAUUUGAAUGAAAAAUUAAACAUUUUAUCUUCCUUAAAUUUAAUACAAAAACAUAAUUUAUCAAUUUAAACUUAUAAUAUAUAUAUAUAUAUAUAUGAAAAAAUCAUCAUUUUUAUUAUAUAAUUAUAAAACUUAUUUUUUUCUUCAUAAAAUUAAAAAUUAGAAUAAAAAUAAAAAAAGGUAAAAAAACAAUAAAUGAUAUUUUGAAAAUAUUUUUUAAAAGUAUUUUUGUUUUAAAUAGUAAAUUUAAAUAACAAAUUAUAUAUAAUUGUAAGGGUUAAACCCAAAAUUUUGAUUUAAAAUUUAAAUAUCAAUAAUUACAAUAAAUGUGGGACCCAUGUACCAUAAAUGUAUUAACAAAUAAAGUGAAGUGCUUUAAAUGUUUUGAAUUUUAAAAGUUUUAGUUAAAGGACAGUUUUGGUAUAUUAAGCUUACUAAAGUCCUCCCCAAUAAUUAUUAAAAGAUACCACCCUUUCUAGUAAUUGUUUUGCCCAGCCUACCCUUUUGGAUAAUUCUCCCUUUUUUCUUCUCUACAACAAAAAAAAAAAAUGUGUUUGAGAAUUGGAAAAUAAGGUGUUUUAAAAAAAACAUAUGUUAGUUGUUUUUAGUUUUUCUUCAUUAGCUUUUUUGACGGUUGUUUAAAAAAAAUAAUUAUAUAAAUAUGAAGAAUUAUUAAAAAUAUAAUAUUAUAGACAAAAGUUAUUUUAAAAUUAUAUGCACGAGUUUUGGAAAGUCUUGCAAAAUAAGCAAAACUAUAGGAAAAAUAUGCAAAUAAAAAAUUGUAUUAAAAUCAUCAAGGGCGCACAAUAUUUGUGGAAAAAUAUUCUUUGCCGAAGAAUAUUUUUUAAAGAUCAAUUGAAAGCCUAAAGCAGCUUUUUCCCAAUUGAAUUUAUUGAAUGGUGAAGAACACGUGUGUUGCAAUUUUUUGGAUUUGUAGAGCGUAUUUUAUAAAGCUUUUUUCUCUUUGUGAACCUUCUUUUCAUAUGUGAAAUUGUUUUAUUUUUUUUUAUCAUUUUCAUUGAAGGAAGUUGCUGAUAUUUACAGAUAAAAUUAAAAAAAUUAAUUUUAGAAUUUCUAAGAUUUGAUUACUUAAUUAAAAAAAAAAAAUUGGUUUCUUGAUUUUAGCAACUUGUCUUCUUCAUUUAAGGAAGUUUGCUAACAAGAGCAUAUUUACUUCUCAUUUUCUUUUGACUUCAAUUGGAAGACUUGUUUCAUUUGUUUACAAAAUUUGCCAACAAGAAAAUAUUUAUUUCUAAUUCUCUUUUGAUUUCAAUUGUUUGAUUUGAUUUGAUUUUGCAAGACUUUAUUUUAUAGCCUUCCAAAUUUCGCUACAUGUCAUUUUUUGAAUUGAAUGCCACGUGUUCAAUAUAUAUGACUCGUCACUUAUUAAGCCCAAAUUUUGUUGAUCUAAGGAGUUACAAUUUUGAAGACUAAUUUGGUAGUAUUUUAAUCCACUAAAAUUUUUUAUGUCUACAAAUGCCCCCUCUUCAAAACAGAUCACACACAUGCAUUAUCAUGUAUAAGAAGUGAGUCUUGAAGUUAGCCUUUUGAAUCUUCAAUAUCCUUCUUUGAUUUUUUUUUUUCGAAGAAAUAUUUAAAUAGGAAAUUUCCUAUUCAAAAUACUUUUCUUCAACUUUUUUCGAACACUGUUUUAUUUAUUUAUUUAUUUUUCUACCUUGUAUCAAAGAAAAACCUUGUGUUAAUGGGAAAGCUUCUUAUUUGAACAUCUAUUUUCUUUUCUCAUGGUAUUUUCACUUCCAAUUUGUCAUCCUACAAGAAGUCCUUCACCCUAGCUGGUUCAAUUGCAUCUUAGACUUGGUCACAUGCCUUUAACUUGUAAUUCUUCCUCCACUUUCUUUUUUUUUGUUUAAAAAAUAGUACAAUAUAUUUGAGCAAGACCAUAAGCAAGAGAAUAGAGGUGGUGAAUGGAGCACCAACUAACCUUAGGGCAAGAUCUUGAGCAAGAGAAGUAAGGUGGAGAGUAGAGCACAAACUUCUCUAAAGCAUGGUAGGCAUACCGUCAUGGAGUUGUCUUCUGCAUGGAGCAUGGUAGGGUAUUAUAUAUAUGAUAGGGUGGGCCAUCAUGUAACAAUGAAGAACAACAAUCCAUGGUGUACAAUUGGGAACAACAAUUCAUGCUAUCAAGCUUCAACCUUUUGUUAUUUUUUGUUUUUUUUUUAAUCCCUAUCUCUACCCCCGACUCCAAUUUUUUUUUCAAGUUUCUAGAUUCCUUUUUAUUCUUUCUCAUUUUAUUUUUUUCAACUCCUUUUUUUUUCCUCCCUUUUUAACCAUUGUUUUUAAGGAAGAAAUAGAUUCACCAUCCCUUACCACGAGGUCAAUCUCCAUCGCUUGCAAAGACAAAUUUGCUUUUUGGUGUUUUUUUUUCUUCAAAAAUUAUCUUAACAUUUUAAGAUAUAUAUAUAUAUUUAUAUAUUUAACAAACUUAAAUAUCCAUAAUAAAAUAAAUAUUUAAGGCUCUUGACUUAUUUAAAUUGGCUUGACUUGGAUACUUAGUGGAACCAUACUUAACACCCAUGUAGAUGAGCUAUAAUCUUGAUGGCAUGUUGUGUUAUAUUUUCGACACUUAAUGUGGCUUAAGAGUUAAAGUCUUCACUCAUGAAAAUUAGCUUGGUUUGGAUGCACAAUGGUCUCUAACUUCUUAAUGCUUAAUUAAACUUGGAACCAUAUUUAACACCCAUGUAGACAAGUCAUAAUCAUGACAUAGAGCACUAUUUUAUUUUAACUCUUAAUAUGACUUAAAUAUUAAAGUCUUCACUCAUACAAAUUAACUUGGGUUAGAUGCACAAUGGUGUUCAACUUGGUAAUAGUUAAUUAAAAUUGAAACAUUUAACACCCAUGUAAACAAGUCAUAACUUUGACAUGGAACAAUGUCGUAUUUUUAGCUUAAUGUCGCUUAAGUAUUAAAGUCUUCACUGAUGUAAAUUAGCUUGUCUCAGAUGCAUAAUAGCAUUCAACUUUUUAACACUUAAUUUAAAUUCAGACCAUAUUGAAAACCCAUGUGGACAAGACAUAAUGAGAAAAUAAAGGGCUAAUCUAAAUAGAUAAAAAUACCCAACAGGGAAGGAGGGGGGUGAAAUGGAGUUUAAAAAAAAAAAAAUUAAACACAAUAAAAUUAAGUACAAGAAGCACAAAUAUAAAGAGAUAAGUUAUAGAAAGCAAACUCAGAUUUAUGGUGGUUUGACACUUCCUUGCCUACAUCCACUCUCCUCAAGCUCCUAACCGAGUGAGGGUUCCACAUAUACUUAAAGCUUCAACCAAACUUCUAAUCACUUUUUACACUUAGAUUUUGGCUCCAAUGGGCUCUUACACAUUCGCUUCAAGUCUCUACUCACUUGAAGGUUUUAACACUCAAUUAACAAGUUUGAAACUUUCAACCUAGCUCAACAAUGGCUCAAAUACAACUCAAGGCUAGGAUGAAUCACAAAGGUGCAUUAAAGAAUAUUCAAAUGAAGAUUUAAUGCACUAAGAAAAGAAUGAGAGCUUUUAUGGCAAGAACAAGUAGGUAAACAAAUCAAUGUAGGUGUUCUCUUACUCAUAAAUGAAGUGAAAUUCUCAAUUUAUAGGUUUCUAAUCUCAGAAGCCAAAAAACCAAAAAGUAACCUCAAUCGAUUGAGUUGGGGGUUGACCGGUUCACUAGCCGUUAGAGCAUUAAAUGUGUGGCAGGUGAUCGUUACCCUCGACCGGACCUCGACUGGGAAGGCAAAUCUCUCGACUAGGAAAGAAAGGUUAUUGGAAGAGAAAGAAGGUUUUUUGCAUCUUUUGACCAGACCUCAACCGGGAAGGAGCAAUCGAUCAACCAGUACCCUAGCCAGUUGAGCUGGUUGGCUAGUGCCUCUACCGAUUCACCAUUUUUUACUCGAAAACCUAUCUUUUUCUGGUCUUUUUUUGCUUCUAACACUUAAACAAGGUCUUUAGGUAAAAUAAUAUGUCAAUUUUGAAACGUUUUGCCUAAGGUUCAUUUGAUAGAACUCGGAUUUUGAUGGAAAUGUGACUUGAAUGCAUAAACUGAGUUUUCAAAGAUGCAUGAAAUGAUAUGAAAAUCCUAAGUACACCCAUGCAUUCAUUUUACAUAGUUUUCUAUGAUUAAAAAGUAUUUCAAAAGUCUUGAUCUUGCAUCCAUUAGGUCAUUUGAUGAAUUUCCAAAUUAAUAUAUGAAAUUCUUUAUAAUUCAAACCAUUUAGUAACUUAACCAUGGUUUGUUAUCAUCAAAACAUGAUUAGGAGAACCCUUGGGCUAACACAUAACAUUGUAGCAAUGUUAUAUUUUUGACACUUAAUGCAGUUUAAGUUCUGAAAUCUUCAUUUCUAUGAAUUGGUUCGCCUUGGAUGCAUAGUGGUGUCUAAAUUAUAAUACUUAAUUAAAAUUGAAACCAUAUUUAACACUCAUGUAGACAAGUCAUAACUUUGACAUGGAGUGGCAUUGCAUUUUCGACACUUAAUGCGACUUAGGUGCUAAAGUUUUCACUCAUGAGAGUUGGUAUGGGUUGGAUGCAUUGUGGUGUCCAACUUUUUAACACUUAAUUAAAAUUGGAACCAUAUUUAACACUAUCUAGAUAAGUCAUAACCUUGACGUGAAGCGAUAUUGUAUUUUCAACACUUAAUGCAACUUAGGUGCUAAAGUCUUCACCCAUGCAAAUUAGUUCAUCUUGAAUGUACAAUGGUGUCCCAUUUUUUAACAUAUAAUUAAAAUUGGAACCAAAUUUGACACUUAUGUAGACUAGUCUAGCCAUGAUGUAAAGUAGUGUUCUAUUUUUAAAACUUAAUGCAGCUUCAAUGGUAAAGUUUUUACUCAUGUGAAUUGGCUUGAUUUGGAUGCACAAUGAUGCCUAACUUUUUAACAUUUUAUUAAAUUUGGUAUCAUAUUUAACACCUAUGUAGACAAGUCAUAACCUUAAUGUAGAGGUGCAGUAAUAUUUUUGGUACUUAAUGUCGCUUAAGUGCUAAAGUCUUCACUCAUUUGAAUUUUUUGGUUGGGACGAACAAAGGUCUCUAACAUUUGAGCAUUUAAUUAAAAUCAGAAUCAUAUUUAACACUCAUGUAAAAAAGUCAUAACCUUGACACAUAGUAAUAUGCAAUGUUUUAACAUUUAAUACAACUUAAGUGCUAAAGUUUUCACUCAUGUGAAUUGGCUUGGCUUGGAUGCAUAAUGGUGUCUAACAUUUUAACACUUAAAUUAAAAUUAGAGUUAUAUUUAAUAAUCAUGUAGACAAGUCAUAACCUUGACGAGAAGCAGUAUUGUAAUUUUGACACUUCAUGUUGCUUAAAUGCUAAAGGCUUCACUCAUGCAUAUUGACUUAGCUUGGAUGAACAAUGGUAGCUAACUUUUUAACACUUUAUCAAAUUUGGAAUUAUGGUUAGCAUCCAUGUAGAAGAGUAAUAAACUUGAUGCAGAGUGAUGUUAUAUUUUUGGUACUUAAUAUAGCUUAAAUACUAAAAUCUUCACUUCUAAGAAUUAACUUGGCUUGGAUGCAUAGUGGUGUCCUACUUUUUAACACUUAAUUGAAAGUGAAAUCAUAUUUAACAUCCAUUGUAUACUAGUCAUAAACUUGAUAUAGAGCAGUGUGCAAUUUUUUAAUAUUUAAUGCAACUUAGGUGUUAAAGUCUUUACUCAUAUGAAUUAACUAAACUUAGAUGCACAUUCGUUUCCAACUUUUUAAUACCUAAUUAAAAUUAAAACCAUAUUUAAAAACCAUGUAGACAAAGACAUAAUCUUAACAUGGAGCAGUGUAUAACUCUUAGCACUUAAUUAAAAUUGGGAUUACACUUCAUAACCACAUAUUCCUCCUCCUAUUUUUCAAUUUUUUCUUGUGGUGAUGAUUGAACUCAACUAGUUUGUCCAAGUUACCCACAUACCCUUAACAGAGAAGAGAUCAAGUCAAACCUAGUUCAAAGUAUUUUUUUUUAAUAUCUAACUUUUGCCAAGGCUAAUGAUUUUAAUCUUGAAAGCUUGUCUUAACUUUUGACUAUAUAUGUAGUGUUUUCAAGUUUCAAUUUAGCGGCCUAUGAAUUGUACAAAUUGAAAAUGACUUCACUUAUGUGUAAAAAAUAAUAAAAGAUAUUCAUUCAUAGUUUUAGGGCAAUGAAAAGUAAUCGAUCCUUUUUUGCAUUAUUAUUAUUAUUGUUGUUGUUGUUGUUAUAAUUAUUAUAUUACCUUAGAAAAAGACCUUUUCCAAUUAAUCUUUUAUAUAUAUAUAUAAUCUUUUAUACAUGAUUUUUCUUAGUUUUCAUAGUAUUUUUAAAUUUAAUAAUUUUUUUUUUUAUAAAAAAAUAUCUAUACUUUCGGUCAAUGUCUCAAAUGUCUCAAAUUUUAUUACGUACGUGCUCCAGGAAGUCUCAAGUUGUAGGCUUGUUGCCUACAACUUGAGUUUGAUGAAAAAGCGCAUAAACAAAGACAAAAAAUUUAAUCUACAAGUACUUGGAUUCUAUUUGAAUAUAAAAAGAGCCACUCAUAUGCAUGGAUUAAAUAUAUGCCCCAUGGAUAAGUUGUACUUAGCCAUGGCUGAAGCUUUCCACUAUGACUUAAAGGGAAAAAAAAGAGAGGAGAAUAAUGUCAUUAAAAAACUGAUUGCCGUGUGGCUAUGCCUGCCAGUAGAUGGCUGAAAACUAGUUCUAUUCUUUUGUUUUGGCCUCUACUAAUUAACCAUAAUUGAGAGAUUCAAUGGCAACUAUCGUAUAAACAAUGUUUCAUAAAUUACUUUUAAAUUUUGACAGCAAAGACUCAAAAUGUAAAACCAUAAAAAAUUUGUUCUAUUCCCAAAUUUUUUAAAAUAAAUUUUAAAAUAAUAAAUUAAUGCCCAUGACUGUUUUCACAUCUUAUUCUCAUUUCUAUCAAUGCAAUAAUUGUAAUCAUCUUAUCUAUUAACAUGGCCUAGAGCCAUUUCAGCUAAGAGUAGUCUUUCCUUAGCAUUUCCGGUCCAAAGCUUCCAUUUCUUUAGGCCUAGAGGCAUUUUCAGUCCAGAGCUGCUGUUUCUUUCGGCCUAUAACCAUUUUCAGCCUGAAGCUGCCUUUCUUUAGCAUUUUCAGCCCAGAGCUACCUUUCCUUGGCAUAUCAGCCAAAAGCUUCUAUUUCUUUAGGCCUGGAGCCAUUUCAACACAACAUUGGUUUCUUUGGCCGGGCCUUGAGCCCUUUUCAACCCAGAACUGUCAUUUCUUCUAAAUAACUUCUCUUUUGAAAAACUUCAAUUUGCCCUUUUCAAGAAGCUGGUAAAAAUCUUCUAUUUAGCAUUUCGACAGUGAAUCGAAUUCACAUAGAAAAUAAAAAGGAAAAAAAAAGUCUUGAUGGCAUAAACUAGGACAUGACCGGGAUAGUUUGAAAUACAUAAUUUUCUCCAUUCAAAUGCAAAACAUAUUAAAAGAACAUUUGGCACGAUUUUAUGAAGCGAUUCUAUCUUUUCUAAUACUUCAAAGAUAAAUUUUUUUGAAGUAUUAGAAAAAUUAGAAAUAUUUCUUAAAAUCACUACCCUUAAUUAUAUUUAGAUACUUUAACCAUUUCAAAUGCUACAUGUUUCCUUCUACAUUUCCUCUUUAUUUUGUUUUUCUUUUACAUUUUUCCUCAAAUUUUUUAAAAACCAAACAUAGCCUAAAAGAAAAGAUAAUUUUACUUAUUUUGAAAGUUCUUUAUAUAUAUAGUUUAUAUGGAAACUUGUUUCAUGUUAAUUUAAUAAAGCAUUUAUAAUAUUGAGAUCGCUCUUUCAUAAUCAUAAAUUAACCUUUAGUUUCAACUUCUACAAGAGGCUAAAUGAAAAAAGCUAUCACAGAGGAGGCCUCAGCCAAUGAGUCAGAUGCACUGUUGUACCAAACAAUAGGUGGAAAAUACAAUUUUAUUAAGACUCUGAGACAACAAAAAUAAAAAUAAAUAAAGGAUGAUUUUACACUCAAAACAAGGAUUUAUUUAUAAUGAAGUAGAGUCUCCAUAUGCACAUAUGACUGCAUUUACAGCAUAAACAAAGACAAGGAAAUUAACAAAUGUUGAACUUAUUGGAAAAUCAUACAAAUUAUUGAAGGAGGACCUUAGCUAAGCUAACUGUCUCCUAAAUUGCCCAUCUUUUAUAUAUCUUUGCAUUCAUCCGUCUCAUCAUCGUCUUUGAUUUUAGAUGGUGAGGAUGUGAAAGUAACAGGAAGCAGUGGACGAUUGUUCACAGUGAGGCUUAGCACAUCAGCUCUCGAAUAAUGUCCUACCACAUCAAACUGGAACUUUGCUUUAGGAAUCUCUCCACGAACAUCUGCAUAUCAAGUGAUCAUAAAAAUAUUUCAUCAGUCCAUGAUAAAUAUCAUAGAAUAUCAAGUCUUCAAUAAAACUAAGUUUGCAGUCCUCUUAAACCUAAAGAAUUGACUCAUUUGCCUUAUCUCCAUACUGAAAUAUUUGGAUAUACAAUUGGAGAAGUUAGAGCCAUACCAAGAUCAGCUGUGAAGAGGCCUUCUCCUUCAUAAUUCGGUCCUGCUAGAAUUUCGCCAUGGGGCGAAAUGAUGACACUACCUCCAGCCCAAACAAUAGAAUCUGGAGUGACAUCUUCUUCUGUAGGACUGUAAAGAUACUCAGGUGGAGGUGGGUAAUCUUUCCUCCGACAGAACUGGAUGGGUGAAAGAACAUAGCAUCCACCCUCCAUAGCGAUGUGUCUCAUUGUAGCUACCCAUGUAUCCCCGGAAUCGGCAGUAGGAGCACAAUAUAUCUCAAUUCCUAUAUAGAAUCGGUGUUUUGUGAUCAAUCAAUCCCAUAUCAGAGCCAUAAUGUAUUUCAAGCCUAUUUAGGCUAAAACCCUAAUAACUUAAAAAAGAGUACUGAAGUAUUUCAAGCCAAACCAUACUAGUUAGUGAAGAGAAAGAAAUGGUAAAAUAUAUACCUUUGCCAUACAUUGCUGUCCUCAGAAGCGGCAUUCUAUUUUCCCAACAAAUGACUGAACCAAGUUUCCAUAUGGAGUGUCAUAAACUGGAGUUGUCGAGCAAUCUCCGAAACCCCAGACGAGCCGCUCCCAAUAUGUUGGCAUGAGUUUCCUAUGUUUUCCAAGGUAAUUACCUUCAGGAUCAAAGAAGAGAACAGUGCAAUACAAUGUGUAUCCAUCUCUCUCAACAACACCUAUCACCAAGUAGACUUUGUAUUUCGCAGCCAUUGAUGCCAAUCUAUCAACUUCAGGUCCUGAAAAGAUAUUAAGUGGUUGAUUCAUCAAACGUGUCUUGUUUCGAUAAUUUAUUAAGUGGUUCAGUUCUUUAGCUAUUUAAGGGAGAGAGGUAACUGACCCGGCACAUUGAUGGCAGAAGCAUGGUACUUGCGGAAACUUUCUUUCCCUCUUGGCGACUGGUGGGCGAAGUUGUAUCCACGGGGAUACCCACCGAUAAAUGAUUCAGGAAACACAACCAGUUGGGAUCCCAGUGCAGCUGCUUCUUUCAAAAACCUCUCAGCCUUAUCUGCUCCCAAAAUCACAUUGCAAGAAUUAAUAAUUCACGACUUAGAAAGUAAAUUAAUUGGUUGAAUAGAGAGAAUCAAAGUUAACCUCCAGAUAUCCCAAAUGACUUUUUGGUUGCUGAGAAAACUCAUGGAAAAAGAGACCUAGAUAAAACUCGGAACUUUCAUAUUUUCAGCUGUUUUGUAACUAAGAAAAGAGAAACCACCUCAACCCAACUCAUCCAAGUAAUUAUUGUACAAGCAGUAAUUCCUUGAUUGGCAGCUGAAAAUAUGUUCAAGCUUCAAUCAUCCUUUUCUUUCCUUCAGUUUCUCAGCAACCAAUCAACUCACAGAUUCUCUUACAGAAGUUGCAGAAUUGAGAGAAAUGGUACGUUACCUAGAGUGGCAGGAGUAUCAUAAAAGAUACUAGAAGCUUGAACAACGGUGGCUCUAACAGUUGAAGACAUUGCAGAAAUCGUAUGCUUUUUCGUUGCCCUUCUGUUUGAGGAUUCCUCACACAGCGUUCAGUAUAUAUAUAUAGCCCAAAAGGUUCUUCUGCCAUUACUUGAACAAGACGAAAAGGCUGCGAAAAGUCUGCCUUGGUUUUCCAUAUUGAUUUAAGUUAUCCGCAGACAUUGUGGACCAGCCACAUGACUUAAAACAAAGGGUUGUUCUACGGUACCCACUCUUCAUUUUGGGGGUACCUACCCACAUUUGACCCCAAUAAAAAUAUGACUUGUGUAAAGUACAUAUCAUUAAAAAAUUUAUAAAAACUUAUCAAACCGGUAAAGAUGACUUGUUGGUGAGAAAUAAUCACAUGCAUUUCAUAUAUAUCUAUAUAUUACAAUUUUUUAUAAUUUAUUAUUAAAUAUCAAAUAUAAUUUGUUAUUUAAUGCAUUACCUAACUCUAUCUAAAAAACGAAAAUCUUACCUACUGCUCUUAUACUCUCUCAUUUCAAGAUCAAGUUCAAAACUUUUUUAGAGAGAAAAUUUAAAAUUUGUAUUAUAUGAAGAAGAUGAAGGAUUUCAAGUGAUUACAAGUGUCUAAGGUAAUAUUUGAUAUUUUUUUUAUCCAAAUAUAAUUGUUGUAGGAAGAAAUGUGAUGUUAAAUAACGAUUUUAGAAUUUUUUAUGAGUUUAUUAUAAAAUUUUGUUAUCAAAUUGUUAUUAAUAUUUUUAUAUAAUUUUUUUUUUUUGUUCAUAGAUUAAAUUUGAAGAUGAAGCUUUAUAUGUCUUGAAGGAUGUCAAGUGAUUACAAGUGUUAAAAGGUAACAUUUGAUUUAUUUUUUUCCAUUUACAUAUAACUAUUGUAGGUAGAAAUGUCAUGUUAAAUGACAUUUAAAUAUGUAAUGAUUUAUAAUAUCUAGAUUUUUUAAUUUUUUUUUGAGUUAUUUUUAAUCAAAUUGAGAGCAUUUAGUAAUUUGUUAUGAAAUUGUCAUCAAUAUUUUGUAAGAGAGGGUACGAACUUUGUAAGAGAGGGUACGAACUUUGUAAGAGAGGCUACGAACUUUAUAAGAGAUGGUACGAACUUUCUAAGAGAGGGUACGAACUUACUAAGAUCGGGUACGAACUUUCUAAGAUCGGGUACGAACUUUCUAAGGGAGGGUACGAACUUUCUAAGAGAGGGUACGAACUUUCUAAGAGAGGGUACCAACUUUCUAAGAGAUGGUACGAACUUUCUAAGAGAGGGUACGAACUUUCUAAGGGAGGGUACGAACUUUCUAAGGGAGGGUAUGAACUUUCUAAGGGAGGGUACGAACUUUCUAAGGGUGGGUACGAACUUUCUAAGAGAGGGUACGAACUUUCUAAGAGUGGGUACGAACUUUCUAAAAGAGGGUACGAACUUUCUAAGAGAUGGUACAAAAUUUCUAAGAGAGAGUACGAAAUUUCUAAGAGAGGGUACGAACUUUCUAUAAAAAAAAAAAAAAAAUACGAACUUUCUAAGAGAGGGUACGAACUUUCUAUGAGUGGGUAUGAACUUUCUAUGAGUGGGUACAAACUUUCUAAGACAUGGUACAAACUUUCUAAGACAGGGUACGAACUUUCUAAGAGAUGGUAUGAACUUUCUAAGGGAGGGUACGAACUUUCUAAGGGAGGGUACGAACUUUCUAAGGGUGGAUACAAACUUUCUAAGAUAGGGUACGGACUUUCUAAGAGAUGAUACGAACUUUCUAAGAGAGGGUACGAACUUUCUAAGAGAGGGUACGAACUUUCUAAGAGAGGGUACGAACUUUCUAAGAUAGAGGGUACGAACUUUCCAAGAGAUGGUACGAACUUUCUAAGAGAGGGUACGAACUUUCUAAGAGUGGGUACGAACUUUCUAAGAGUGGGUACGAACUUUCUAAGAGAGGGUACAGACUUUCUAAGACCGGGUACGAAAUUUCUAAGAGAGGGUACGAACUUUCUAAGAGUGGGUACGAACUUUCUAAGAGUAGGUACGAACUUUCUAAGAGAGGGUAUGAACUUUCUAAGAAUGGGUACGAACUAGAUAAUGUAAUUUUCUAACUACUCUAUCUUUUAUAUUUCAGUUUCUUCAUAGAUACGAUGGACAAAGGAAAAGGAAAGGAAUUUAUCAUUGAUUUGAACGAUGAAGACUUUGAUUACCAAUAUGAUAGCAUUGUUAAAACUGAGUCCGAUGAAGAGGCCAUUCUAGUUUCGGACAAGAUUUUUAAUGAUUUAACUGUUGAAGAUGUAUGGAAUAUGGAGUUUAGCUUAGUAGAGGAGGCAGAAGAAUUUUAUAAUUUAUUUGCUAAAGUUACCGGAUUCAGUGUUAGAAAGGAUGAUGUGAAACGAGAUAAAAAUCAAAAUAUAGUAUCUCGUAAGUGGGUUUGUUCGAAAGAAGGAUAUCGACAUAGAGUGUGUUUAGAGAAUGAAAAUCGAAAACGAGAACCUAAGGCAGUAACUCGAGUUGGUUGUGAGGCAACAUUUUGGAUUGUGUUUAACAAACAAAUGAACAAGUGGGUUGUGAAAGAGUUUAUGGCUGAUCAUAAUCAUCCUUUGGUGGGACAAAAAAAUGUCCAAUUCCUUUGAUCCCAUAGGGUCAUUAAAAAUGCAGAUAAAGCUCAAUUGAAUGCAAUGCGAGGUGUUGGCAUGGGAACUAGCCAAAUUAUGGAUUACAUGGUGCAACAAUCAGGUGGAUAUAACAAUGUUGGCUUCACAAAAAAAGAUCUAUAUAACCAUGUUGAUGCUGAUCGUAGAGUUCAUCUAAGAGAUGGUGAUGCAGAGGGUGCUUUGGCUUAUUUGUGUGGAAAGUCUGAAAUGGAUCCAUCAUUUUAUUACAAGUACAAUGUUAAUGAAGACAACCAUCUAGCAAACCUGUUUUGGGCAAAUUCUACUAGUAAAUUGGAUUACGGUUGUUUUGGAGAUGUGUUAGCAUUUGAUACAACUUAUCGGACUAAUGCUUAUAAAAAACCGUUGGUCAUACUAGUUGGCAUUAACCAUCACCAUCAAACUAUAGUGUUUGGAUGUGCAUUAUUGGUAGAUGAGAGUGUUAGCACUUAUACUUGGGUCUUGGAGACUUUUUUUGGAUGCAAUGAAUAACAAGAAGCCUCUUUCUGUUAUUACUGAUGGGGAUAAAGCAAUGCGUAAAGCCAUUAAGAGGAUAUUUCCAGACUCUUGUCAUCGAUUAUGUGCUUGGCAUAUUCAACGCAAUGCAUUCACUAAUGUCCAUGUCAAAGAUUUUACUAAUCAUUUUUCUAAGUGCAUGUUCAUGGAAGGCACCGUUGAAGAAUUUGAAUGUGCAUGGAAUGACAUGUUGGAAAUGUUUAAUCUUCAUGGACAUAAGUGGGUGACAGAUAUAUAUGCUAAGCGUUCUAGAUGGGUAGAGGCUUAUUUAAGGGGGCAUUUCUUUGCUACUAUGAAAAACACACAAAGGUGUGAGAGCAUGAAUGCAUACUUGAAUCGUUUCCUUAAAACUCAUUUGAAGCUGUUUGAGUUUGUCAAGCAUUUUGAUAGAGCACUCUCACGUAUUCGUCAUAAUGAGGCAAAGGCAAAGUUUGAGACACACCAUUCUUCAGCUGUUCUAACAACCAAACUCUAUGCACUUGAGAAAUAUGCAGGGAUUGUUUUCACAAGGCAAUCUUUUCUAAAAUUUAGGGAUGAGAUGAAGAAUGCAGAAUUGUUUUUCCCUGUCAGUACAGAAAAUCAUGGAGGUUAUCGUGUCCAUACAUUGACCAAGUUUAGAAGCCCUGACAAGAUUUGGAAAGUAUGUUAUGGUAAUAGUGAUCGGUCUAUGAAAUGUACUUGUAUGAUGUUUGAGUCAGUUGGUUUUCCAUGUCCCCACAUGAUUGUUGUAAUGAAGAUAGAACACCUUGAAGAAAUACCUGAGACUUGUAUUAUGAAAAGGUAGUCUAAGUUAGCAAAGGAAACGGUCCAAGUUCAUCAUGACAAUGAAAGUCAAGGUGAUGCGACUAACAUCAUACGAUAUGGUGCACUCAGCUCUAUGUGCUCACGGAUGUCUUAUUUUGCAUCUCAAUUGGAAAAAGCUUUUAAAGAGGCUAGAUGUGAAAUACAAAGACUCACUUUUCAAAUGGAAGAACUUUGUAAAAAUUCAGCGGAAGAAAGUGAACGAGAAGAUUUGAAAGCUACAAAACACCAUGUUCGAGAUCCUAUCAUUGUGAAGACGAAAGGUAAUCCGGGUAACUUAAAAGACAAAUUUAAGAAACCAAGACAUUGUGGGAAAUGUAAGAAAGUAGGACACAUUGUUCGAAAAUGCCCAGAGUUCGUCAACACUCACAAUGCAUUUAUCAACAUUGAAGAUUCAAUUGAAGAUAUGGUAUGUUCAAACACACAUUCACUAAAUUCAUUAAUUAUUCACUUUAUAGUUAUUUUUAUUUGGUUAAAUUUGUUGAAAUAAAAAAUUAAAUUCUUUAUAUUAAUACAAGGGGACAUGCCUUCAUUACUAAAUCACAACAUGGAAGGUGGAUCAAGACACGAGACAAAUGAAUUUUCUCAAAAUGUAAGUUUAACAUUUUUUAAGUAAUUUUUAUUAUGAUGUGAAAAAUAUUACUUAUUAGAGUAAUUGAAAAAUUAAAUCAUAUUACAGACAACACUUGGCACAUUUCAGAAUGGUCUAGAAACAAGCUUAAAUGAUUCAUAGCUCGGGUUACAUCCACCAAAUUACUUCACAAACCAAGUAAGAGUCAUAGAAUAACUUAUAUACACCACAUAUCAUAUAUCUAUAUAUUGACAGAAGUUCCUAAACAUUUAGUAUUUAAUCAUAUGGAUUUUCUUUCAAAAUAUUAUGUAUAACUGUAAAUAUUUUCAAUGUAGGUCACCAUGAACCACUUUACAUCCGGAAUUUCGGGAGCAAGUUCUACAUAUCAUAACCAAUGAGUUGUACUACAAUGCAAAAAAUUAUGUACAAAAAAAAAUCAACUCUUAAUUGUAUUCUAUACUCUUCUUCUCUUUAUUUUUGCAUGAUUCUGAACUUUAUCUAAUAUUAUAGCUUUCUCACUAUUUUCAUCAUCAAGAAGUAAUUCGAUUGCCAAUUUGUGUCUUAUAGUUGUAGAGUUCCAAUGGGAAGGGGUUGAACUUGAGUCCAUGAAAUCAGAUCUUUGCAUAUGAUUAAUGACAUGGACUCCACAAUCCCACCUAACAAAUAAAAUAAGUAAACAUUUAUCUAGUUAGUACAUAGAAAUAUUAUCUUGAACACAUUAUAUUUGAAGAAACAAUUAUGCUUGCUUACCCAUUGGCUUGCACCUCUACCCAUGUAGGUCUUUCAAUGGGAACACUUGAUAAAUUCUUUAGAUGCCCAUUGAGAUUAAAAAAAUGUGCACACUCUUCAACCUAAUAUUCAUAUCGUUAUAUCUUUUAGCAAAAUAAAACAUGCUAUUUAACAACUAACAUUAAAAAGUAACAAAAUUCAUUAAAAUAUAAGACAUACCACAGUUCUCACAGAUGAAGUUCGCAUGUCAUCCCUUUCUAUUGAUGGUAAUGAAUCCAAUAUAUGAAUAUUAUGUUGAUGAAGAUUUAUAACACACAAAUACCAAUGAUCCGGACAUGUAUCGUGCAUCGGGAUGUAUAUCUAAACAAAACACACAUUUUAGCAUUGAUAAUUAUUUACAACUAUGAUAUGAAUACAACUUCAAAUAUGUACCUUAUUGCAAUCAUUCAUUUCAUCCAUGUGUUUGAUAAUAUGUGUGAACAUCUUGGUAGCAGUUGCCAAUUUUCUACCACCAUGUAAGAUUAUUUGCUAUGCAAAAAAAAAAAAAAAAAAAAAAAAACAUAUAUAUAUCACAAUAUUUAUUAGGUUUAUUUUUUUUCUUUAAUAAGAAAUAUAAUGGAUGAACAUACCGCAAAUGUGGUGGGUAAGUAGCAUCUUGUAGACCGUAUUCCUUUGAAUUUGUUCUCAAAACUAUUAAGUUUGCAUGCAAAUACAUUUAUGAUCUAAAAAUGAAACACAAAAAAGUUAACAAUGUUAAUUAUGUAAUAGAAUUAAUAAGAAUUGGGUUUAUCCUUGUAUUACUCACCACAUCGAGUAAUUCUUGUCUAGGCCCUAAAGUCAAGAAGUCUGCUCGAUUUGCAUGCUCAUAUUGAAAAUUAACAAGAAGUUCACUGCAAAAUAUAAGAUAUUUAAUAAGUAUAACUUUUAAAACAUGACAUACAUAAAGUAUAGUCAAAAUAAUAGGUUUACACACCUUUUGUCCAAUGAAACAUCAAACACAUAAGCAACAACUAGAGACUCAAGUGUACUCAAGGAAUGUGAAUCCUCCACGUUUGGCAAAAUGGACAUGGGGAUUAUCUAUAUUGAAAACAUCUCUAACAAACAUUACUUAUCGUUCACUAUAUUAUUAAGUAUUUAAAAAAUACUACAUCAAUGAAGUAACAUAUUACCUCUAAUAUCUUUUGUGAUCCAACAACUAUGCUUGGGAAUCUCUUAGGCUUUGACAUCUUAUUGGAUUGAUGAAUGUAGGGUGACACCUUGAAUUUACUAGGCUUGCGUUCCAUUGUUGAUCAUGUUUUCUUCAAUUGACAUGGGAGCACCACCAAUGAACUUAGUUGUUCUUCUUGUUUUUCAACAUAUGGAACAUCAACAUUAACCUAUCAUGUAUUUGAACAUUAGUAUAUAUAUAUAUAUAUAUAUAUAGAACUUUGUAAAAAACUAGGUCUUCAUAAUAUGCAAAUACCUUUUCAUCUUGACAUUGAUUGUUGACAAUGGGAGAAACAUGUAACUCCAUGUGACCACAUGAGUCAUUCUCACUCAAUCUCUCUUCUACGACAACAUUGCUCAUAGGAAAAAACAAACGUUUCAAUUCCAUAUAUUUUUCUUCAAAUUCUCUAAAAGUUGAUUCUUUACAACUUUCAUCCAUAUCAGAAACAUUUGUUUGUAGCACAAAUUUUUUCAACUUCUCAAAAGCUUCCUCCAUACCCAUCAAACUUUUUUCUUCAACCUAGUAACAAAUAAAAAUUUCCAAUAUCAUGAAAAAUAAAGUUUGAGAUGAAUAAACUAAUGUAUAUAAAUAUAGUAUAAAAAAGUACCUUAUGCCCUUCUUCUUGUUGUUCAUGAACUUUUGCAUCUUGUUUAUCACCAUCUUCUACAUUUCUCAUAUCAUUAUCUUUAUGAUCACUUGUUCUCUCAUCUUUCUCAACCACCUUCAUUUUUUCAUCAUUUUCAUUUUCCGCACCAUUAUUUUGCUCCAUAUCCACACUUUGCCCAAUUUUUAUAAUCCAUAUCGUGACCUAUAAUUUAUCCAUAAACUUUAUUAUAAUUGCAACAUCACAUAAACAAAUAAGCUUUUCAGUUAGUAAAUGUAUCUUACCUUUGGAUCAUCAUAACCUCCAAGUGUUUUGAUUUUACGUUUCAUCCUAGAGACCUCAUCAUCUCCCCAUUCAUUUAUACGAGGGCUAUAUGCAUUAAAACGUAAGUUCAUACCCUUCUUUGUGGAAAUGUGGUCUAUGUAGAAAAUCUGCAAGAAAUAAAUUCCAAAAUAAUUAUAGAGUUGAAUAUAUCACAAACUCUAUUAUUGUUAAAAAUAUCAUAAUAUAUCAACUUUGUUAAAAAUGUAUUACCAUUAGAAAAAAUAAACAUCCUAAAAUCCCACUGCUUUGUUUCUUGGAUUUAAAGUCGUUUAUGCCUCGUACAAGGAAGAAGAAUACUAUUUGAGCCCAAUUUAUCUUCUUUAUUGAUGCAGUGUCUUGAAGGAGAUGGAGGAAGGAAGGCUUGACACUAACUUUCAUCGUUGGACAUAACAAGGCACCCAAAACAAAUAAUACAAAACGAAUUUUAAAUUCAUCCCCACAUUCCUUUUCUUGCCGUAUUUGGUUUUCUAACAUCAACAAUGGCAAUUUUCUCUUCCCAUCACAAUACAUGUUGUAUAAAUCAUUCCGUUUACUUGUGCAUCUCUCUAUAUCUACCUCCACUCCCUUAGCCUUCAAGCCCAAAAUUAACUCAACAUCCAUUGGGGAUAAUUUAAUGGAAGUGUUAUGCACACUUAAUGUGCAUGAAAGAGUGUCAAAAUUCUCUACCAACCAAUGACAUAAACUAUGAUCAAGUUUAGUACAUUGCAAUCCUAAAAUACCUCCAAACCCUAUUUCUUGUAUGACGGCCUUUUGAAUAGGUUGCAAGUGUUGAAGUAGUUUAUACACCCGAUCAGGCGAACAACGCGUGUGAAGAUACGACUAGAAGUCAUAAAUAUACAUAAGCAUAUAUAUUUUAAAUUGAAAGAAAAUAUUAUCAUAAUUUAAAAACAUAAAUUUCGAAUUUCUUACCUUUGAUGCAUUUUUUGAGUUUUGACCAUUUUGUUUUAUAUAUUCAUGAGGCCAUUUUUUAGACUUCUCUAAGAACUCUUUUUUUUCUCCAUUUGAAAGGGAUUGCCACUUUUUCCCAAUCUCUUUUCGCAACUGUAAUAUUAAAUUAGUUAGGUAUCAUAUAGAGUAUAAAAGUUGACUAAAAAACAUAUUAUGCAAAUAUUCAUGUCUUUUCUUACAUCAUGAUUUAUUAUCAAUUCCUUGUUAUCUUCUUUUCUUGCGAGUACUUGUUCUUGACUGCAAAAAACAUCACAUAAAAAUGAUUAUAUUUUCAACAUGUGAAUAAAUAUCCAAAAUGAAUUAACUAUAUAUGUAUAUAUAUUCUUACAAAUAAUAAAGCCAUGAACCCAUAGGAAGUUUUGGGUUUGAAGGGGGAUCAUUCUCCUCAAAUGAUUGUUUGCUCCUAUUUAAAACACAACAUUAUGAAUGUAAUUUACAACUAAUUAAAACUAUGUACUAUAUUCAAAUAAUUAAGUUACAAAUAUAAAAUCUUACAUAUUUGGCUUUCUAAGUCAAGAUGUAGUAAGACUGCUCAAAAUAAGAUAAACUCCUCUUAUAUUAAGCAACUGUGUAGCCUGCAACAUAGUGAGCAUACCGAUAAGAAUUAAGUUUUGAAUUUGACAACAAGAAUUAAGUUUAAAAAAAAGUCAUUAGUGAGCAUAUGUCCAAAUGUUUUAAGCUCUUUUAUCAUUCUUUUCAUCUCCUUAAGAUCUUGUUUCAUUGUAUGGUUUAGUCGUAUUUUGUAAUUUCCAAAUUACAUUACAAGUCCUCUAAGCUUCGUAGCUGAAAGUACACCAUACUUUUCUUUUAACGCUUCCCACAUUUCAUGAGAAGUUUGAUAUACCUCAUACUCAAUCAUGAGAUCAUCUUGCAUACAACUUAACAACGUUAUGCGAGCUAAAGAAUUUUUUUGUGAGAGAGGCCACAUCAACAAGAUAAAUAUACAUGUCAUGUCUGGCAUAUCAAAUUAUUUACAUGUUAUGUACAAAACAUAAAAGAAAAUGUAAUAAAUAGAAGGAAAACUAAUCUUCUCCCUUGAAACUAAAAGAAACAAUGUUAGGAUUAUACACAGUGUCUUCUAUAACUCUAGAAGUUGUUUUCAAUAACCAUAACCCUCUAAGAUUUUUAUGCCUACUAGAAUUUGAAAAUCUUGCAUUUUGCAAGUUAGGAGAAAUAGAAAGCAUUGUUGUUCGUCUGAUAGCAUUCUUCACGAAGCAUGUUUCCCAGUGUUCCUUGAAAAUAGCUACUAGGUCAUCAAAAGAACUAUUUGUGAAACCAUGAGGCCCUUCUUGAAUGGAUUCCCAUAUAUUUUCAAGAAAUUUUUUCUCAGGUUCUGUUAAUGACAUUUGUAGAAUAUGCAUUUUACGGUUUGACUCUAAGAUAUAUUCCUUUUCGAAACGUUUGAACAUAUUAGCCACAUGAUCCACAUGUUCAUUUGUAGAAUGGCUAGGGUCCCUCUUGUAGUUCAAGAUUGUAUCCAAACACGGCCAAGGUCCACUACCCCUUAGUACUUUCCUAGUUCUCCUCAAUCGUACCAUUUUGCACCUGACCAAAAGAAUUUAAUUUAAUUUUAAUGAGUAACAUAUACUCAUACUUUAAUUAAAUAUUUGAACAAAUGAAAUUUUAAUUAGAAACACACAAUUAUAAAAAAAAAAAAAUGGUUUUUUAUUGUCCCUCAAAUUUUUAUUAUUAUUUUAUACACAAGUCAACAUUCAUAAUUUCAAAUAAACAAUAUAACACUAAUAAAUGGUAUUUUAUAUCAUAUCAAGGUACUUUAUUUGAGAUUUAGGUUCGAAUCCAUGUUGCAUUAUUAUUUCUAACACUAAAAGGUUCAGAAGUCUAGAAUUUUAUUACAUUUUAAAUGAAAAAUAAAAUUAAUUUAUAUAAAAUAUUUUAUUUGAGAUUUAGGUUCAAAUCCAUGUUGCAUUAUUAUUUCUAACACUAAAAGGUUCAAAAGUCUAGAAUUUUAUUACAUUUUAAAUGAAAAAUAAAAUUAAUUUAUAUAAAAUAUUUUAUUUGAGAUUUAAUUUCUAAAAUUUUAUUAAAAAUAUGUGAUAACAAUUUUUUCUAUUAACAUUAAUGUAUUUAAAUAAUUAAAAUUAUAAUAAUUUAUCUUAUCAAAUUAAUAUUAAUUCAUAAAAUAUCGGUAAUAAAAUUCGAAAGUUCAAUUUAUAUAAAAUAUUUUAUUUGAGAUUUAGGUUCAAAUCCAUGUUGCAUUAUUAUUUCUAACACUCAAAAGUCUAGAAUUUUAUUAUAUUUUAAAUGAAAAAUAAAAUUAAUUUAUAUAAAAUAUUUUAUUUGAUAUUUAAUUUCUAAAAUUUUAUUAAAAAUAUGUGAUAACAAUUUUUUCUAUUAACAUUAAUGUAUUGAAAUAAUUAAAAUUAUUAAUAAUUUAUCUUAUCAAAUUAAUUUAAAUUCAUAAAAUAUCGGUAAUAAAAUUCGAAAGUUCAAUGGUAAAUAUUUAAUCAAAAUAUAAAUGGAUAAUUACUAAUGGUAAAGAUUUAAUCAAAAUAAUUACUAAUGGAUAAUUAUUUAUAUACAAAGAGAAAUUCCUAAAAGGCCCUACUACCUCUCACACUCGGGGCUGGGGCAUCAAGAAGCCCUUUUCUCCCUCUAGACCGAGAAUCCCUAAAAAGGCUCCAGCUCCAGUUUACUCUGCCACUCUCAAUCCUCGCAGGUACUAAUCUAAUCAUGUUAUCCUUUUUUUUUCAAUACCCGUUUGAUUCUUAACAAAAUCCAUCCCCCAUUCGAUUUGUUGGAUCUGUUUUAGGGGUCUUUUUGCUUUUGUGCCAUUCGAUUUAAAUUUCAUGAACCCUAAAUCCACGAUUUUUUAGCCAGGUUGAAAUACACAACCUUUGUCUGCAAAUCAUGACCAUAUUACCAAAUAGUAUCUUUUGUUUUUUUAAAAAAAACUGGUCAGAUUUUGCAUCCUUGUGUGUGGCCUGGACUGGUAGGAAAUAUAGGGAAAUUUCCCAAAAAAAAUUCGGUAAAAAUACCAAAAUUUUACUGAUAUUUUUUAAUCGGUCAAAAUAUCAUGUUUGUGCGUGGUCUGGACUGGUAGGAAAGAUCGGGAAAUUUUCCAAAAAAUCAGUAAAAAUAUUGUCUUUCUUAGAAAUAUCGCCGAAAUUUUCGACAUUUCAAUCACUACCAUAUGACAUAAGAUGAGUGAAGUACCUGUUCUGGGAUAGUAGGUAGAGUUGCCUGUAGGGGAGAUUGGUUGCGGAUCCACCAAAGCCCCCUGAUUAUUUUCUUGCUGAUUUCUCCUCUCUCUGAUUUCUCCUUCAAAAUCCCCACUCAGCUCACUCUCUCUGUAAAUAUUCAUUUCACUCGAAAAUUCCAUCUCCACACCCUCAAAUUUCUGAAGCUUAACUCUCUAAAACUCGGGAAAAGUUGUAAUGCCCAUCAAACUAAUAGCUCACCUUUCCGAAAAUAGGCAUCAAGUGUAAUACCCAUCAGACAAAUUUUUGUCUUUGGACAAGAUUAAGCAAGAUAGAAGUGGGAAAUCAGGUGACCAGCAACCUGCUUUUAUUUUUUAUAUAUUUUUAAAUUUUUAAAAAAUAUAUAAACCAAUUGGAUGGUCCGGAUUGAACAUCUUCAUCCAAUGGUCAAAAUUGUUUUUUGGGUAGGUACCGAAGUGGUACUGUAGAAUUUUCCUAAAACAAAUUGAAAAUAAGUAAGUCAUCUGUGAAAUAUAUAUAUAUAGAUUUCAUCUUUUAUACUUGAAUCAUCUCCCCCCUCUUUUUUUUUCCUAGUUUUGGCCUUAUUUUUUUAAAAUAUAAUAUUUAUUUUACUUUUAAUCAAUGGCUCAUAUUUCGAACAAGUGCACCAGAUUUUCUGAAGUUGUAUAUAUAAUAAUCUACAAGUUACAAUAGUGAUUAUAUUUGAAUAAAAAGAGGGACCCGCCCACUUGCAUGGAUUCUAUAUAGGACACAAACAAAUUGUCUUUAGUGGCGACUGAGGAGGCUUUCUAUGACUUGAAAAAAAAAUAAAACAAAAAUAGUCAUUAAGAAAUCAGUGCCAUGUAGUUAGUGUCCGCCACUAUCUACACUUUCUUUAAAAGAACAAAAUUGUCAUUUUCUUUUAUCUCAAAAAUCACUGAAUCGUACAAAAUAAUAUAAGAUAAGAUUCAAUUCAGUCUUUUUUGGCCUCAUAAGAAAACCUUAGCCAACUCAAGGUGACCACUACAGAAUCAAAAUAGGUUUUCUUUUUCUUCAUAGAUAUAUAGCUAACCAUUCAGCUUUGGAUUGCUGGAAUAGAUUCGACUAUUUGUAUCAAUCAGAAGAGAUUCCUCAAGCUUUGGCUGCUAUGGCUCUAAAUGAAGAAGAUAAGGAUCCUAAUUUUUAUGUGGACUCGAGAGCAACAACCCAUAUAACAAAUGACCUAGGUAAGAUUACCCAAGUAAUUCCAUAUAAAUACAAAUGACCUAGGUAAGAUUACCCAAGUAAUUCCAUAUAAAGGGCAUGAUGUAAUUUUUGUUGGAAAUGGAGAAGCUUUAAGAAUCUCACAUAUUGGUGAAGCUAGACUAAAAACUAAACAUAGAGAUCUAAAGCUUAAAAAAUUAUUGGUUAUUCCAAAAAUUAAGAAAAAUUUGUUAUCCAUUGGACAACGUACCUCAGAUAACCCAUGCUCCAUAGAAUUCUCAUCAACUAGUUUUGUCAUUAAGGAUCAACUUCAACAAGUGCUAGCCAGAGGAACUAAGAAGAGAGGUCUCUAUGCAUUGGAGGAAAAUGUGAUUCAAGCCAUGAUAGUUACUAGGUCUAGCAAGGCACCAUAAGAAGUGUGGCAUCAACACAUGAGGCAUCUACAAACAAAAUCUAUAAAGCUUUUGCAAGAUAAGGAUUUCAUUGAAGUAUCUAGUUGGAUGAAAUCAGCAAUAGUAUGUGUUAGAUUUCAAUUAGGAAAAAGUUGUAAAGUUUCUUUUGGCUUAAGAAAUAAAAUUUCCAGCAAUCCUCUUGAAAAAAUUCAUUGUGACUUAUGGGGACUUGCACCAAAUAAUUCGACUCAAGGAUACAAGUAUUAUGUUGUCUUUAUUAAUGAUCAUACUCGCUAUACAUGGCUUUAUCCCUUGAGAAGAAAAUCAAAUUUCUUUGAAUGUUUUUUGAAGUUUCAAAAUCUAGUUGAGAAUCAACUUGAAAGACAAAUAAAAAUCUUCCAAAGUGAUGGUGGAGGUGAGUUUCAAUCAAUUAAAUUUCAAAAUCACCUGAGCAAGUGUGGAAUUUUGCAACAAGUCUCAUGCCCAGGAACUCCAGAACAAAAUGGGGUUGUAGAGAGAAAGCAUAAACACAUUGUUGAAAUGAGUUUAACAAUGAUUUUCAAUGCCAAACUACCAUUGAGUCUAUGGGUAGACGCAUUCCAUACUAUCGUAUACCUCAUUAAUCAGCUGCCUUCCAUGGUGUUGAAAAUGGAGAGUCCAUUCUUUAUGCUCUUCAAACAAUAUCCAGAAUAUAGGAGCUUGAGAAUUUUUGGUUGUCAAUGUUUUCCAUACCUUUGAGACUAUGGGAAGAAUAAAUUCUCACCUAAGACAUCUCCAUGUGUUUUUAUUGGAUAUAGCUCUCUACACAAGGGUUAUAGAUGCUUGCAUCCUUCAACUAAAAGAGUUUACAUAUCUCAUCAUGUCAUCUUCAAUGAAAAUUGCUUUCCUUAUGAUAACUCUCUUGUUAAGAAAAGUCAUUUAUAGUUUCUUAUAGAAAUGGUAUCAUUCUCAACUUCAGAUGUUUCUUGUGAGACAUCAAAAAUAGAUCACCAAACUAAGUCUUGGAAGGAGAACACUGCCAACCAAUCAAGCAACUCCAAGAAGUGCAACCAUUAGCCAUGCACUACUGGGCAAAGAAACCAGUUUAGUGUUGACGGAAGAAUUUCUACUAGUUGCAUUACUAACCAAAAUACAGAAGCAUCAUGUGCAAAACCGAUUGGAACUCCCACUGCUAUCACUGUUGAAAUUUCCACUGUUGCUGCUAGUAAAAAUGACCAUAAUACCGUCAUUACUAUUGAAACUCCCACUGAUGUUGCUCUUGGUUCUAGUGGCCACAAUUUCAACACUGCUACUACUACUGGAACACUCUCCUAGAUUGAGUCUACUAGUAGCUACAAGCUUGCUAAUGUUAGUAAUUUUCCUGAUAUCAGUAAGCACCUAGUAGUUGAUCUCUCUUUUCCUUAAAAAUGGCAGAAAAAUGAGCAUGUUGGUUCAUCUCCGCAAAACAAAUCCACCAGUCACAAUGUUGAUGAUAAAGUUCUUGAUAUUAGCAAGCAAAUUGUUGUUGACAUCUUUUCUCCUCAGGGCCAACACACAGAUAACAAAGAAGCUCAUAUGAUCACCAGAAGUAAACUCAAAAAUGAUCCUAGUUUAAAGUCUUAAAUGGUUACUUUUGCUGCCACAAGAAGUAAUAUUAGUGAGCCAAAAACAUAUCAUACAACAUUGAAAAUUCCCCAUUGGUCCAAACAAUGCAAGAGGAAAUUAAGGUUUUAAUCCAAAAUUGAACAUGGGAUUUGGUUCCUAGGCCUCCAACUACAAAUAUUGUGGGUUUUAAAUGGAUGUUUAAAACAAAGCUAAAGGAAAAUGGAACCAUAGAUAGAUACAAAGCACAAUUAGUUGCUUGAGGUUUUUCUCAAAUAUCAGCUUUGGACUUUGGAGAGACCUUCAGCCUAGUUAUAAAGCAUACUACAAUAAGAUUGAUCCUUUCAUUAGCAGUAACCUUAGGGUGGACAAUGAAGCAAUCGGAUGUUAAGAAUGCCUUCCUACAUGGGUUUCUAAAGGAAAAAGUAUUCAUGGAACAACCUCUAGGAUUUAUAAACAAGGACCUUCCGAAUCAUGUAUGCAAAUUGAAUUGUUCUCUUUAUGGCCUUAAGCAAGCUCCAAGGGCCUGGUUAAAUAAACUAUUUCAAUGUCUUCUUCAUCUGGGGUUUUACUAUGGUAAAAUAGACUCGUCUCUAUUUAUUCUUCCCAAAGGUCAGUCUAUUGUUUUGCUACUUAUCUAUGUUGAUUAUAUUAUAGUCAUAAGCUAUGAUAACAACAUCAUUAGUGACCUCAUCAGCACCCUGAGUAGUGAAUUUUCUCUCAAGGACUUAGGAUCUUUGCAUUAUUUUUUGGGAUUGGAGGUGAAAUAUCUUCUUAAUGGGUUGUUUCUUUCUCAAGAAAAGUACACUAGAGAUCUCUUAGAGCACACAAAAAUAAUGGAGUGUACUCAUAUCAACGCACCCAUAGCUCUUAAGUCCAUCAUCACACCUUCUGAUGAACAACCUAUUGAUCCUACAUGAUAUAGGCAACUUGUUGGAUUCCCCCAAUAUUUAACCUUCACAAGGCUUAAUAUUGUGCAUGUAGUAAACAAGGCCUACCAACAUUUCCAAGCACCCACUAAAGCUGACUUGCAAGCUAUCAAACGCAUCCUUAGAUAUUUGAAGGGAACAAUGGAGCAUGGAAUCAGGUUUUUCAACCAAAGUUCGCUUCGUCUCACUGGUUUUUGUGAUGUUGAUUAGGCGGGAUGCACAAACACAAGAAGAAGCACAUCUAGGUAUUAUAUUUUUCUGGGAGCCAAUUGUAUCUCAUGGUCCUCAAAGCGACAACCUAAUAUUUCUAGAUCAAGCACCAAGGCCAAAUAUCGAUCCCUUGCGUCCAGUGCUGCAGAAAUAACUUGGCUUACUUUCCUUCUCCGUGACAUUGGCAUUCAACUACGUGAACCUUCUCAAUUGCUAUGCGAUAACCUCAGUGCCCUUCACAUGACAGUAAAUCUCGUCUUCCAUGCAUGUUCUAAGCAUAUUUAGUUGGACUAUCAUUUUAUUCGGAAAGAAGUUGCAAGUGGAGUUUUGAUUACUUGUUUCCUUCCAUCGUCUUUACAAGUAGCUGAUAUAUUCACAAAGGCACUCCCUAAGACUUCAUUCCAAGUCUUUCGAUUCAAGCUAGAGUGCACAAGUUACCACUCACUAGCUUGCAGGGGGCUGAUAAAGGAAAGCCAAACUCAGCCAGCAUACAAUCCAUGCCAAAGCAAUCUUUACGUGAGAAGUUAGUAAUGCAAUCUAUCAGGAAGGAAAACUACUCUCAAUAUUUGUAAUGUGGAAAAUCAAGGCUGGAAGGAAAUAUUCACUUACCUGUUCUAUAUAAUAUUCCCUUUUCUAUGCAAAGAAAGUAUGUAUUGUUUAUUUAUUUUUUAGAAAAAAUCAGUAAAGCAUGGUAAAAAUUCAAUCUUUCAAAAAUAGUUUAUGUUCUUCAUGCAUGGAUAAUAAAUCGCAUGGAUAAAUUGUAUUUAGCAGCGGCUGAAGCUUUCUAUAUGACUAAAGAGAAAAAAAGUCAUUAAAAAACUAAUUGCCAUGUGACUACGUCUACCAGUAGAUAGCUGAGAACAAGGUCUAACUUUUAACCUUUUUUACUACCUUUACAAAGGAACACAAAAUUGAGAGAUUCAAAGACAACUAUAGUAUAAAUAUUGUUUCAUAAAUUACUUUUCAAAUUUAAUUUGAUAGCAAAAAUUUAAAAUACAAAAGUAUGAAAAAUUUGUUCCAUUCCCAAAAUUUUUGCAAAUAAAAUUUUAAAGUAAUAAAUUAACACCAUGACUCUUUUCACAUCUUAUUCUCCUUUCUAUCAAAGCAAUGAUAGUAAUAAUCUUAUCUAUAAAUUUUAAAUGAGGGAAGAUCAUUGAAUUUUUAUUUUCUUUUAAUUUCUUGUUAUGUAAUUAUCAAACACAUUUUUUUUUAAGACAAGAAAAAAAUUAGACUGAAGAAAUAUACUUUUGCUUUGAUUUAGUCACUUGGAUUGCAAUUUGAAGGAUGACAAUAAAAGUGUAUUAUUGGAGUUAAAGAUCAAUUGAAAGCUUGAAGUGGCUUGUUCUUGAAUGAAUUUAAUGAAUGGCGAAGAAUACGUGUGUUGUAAUUUUUUGGAUUUGUAGGGGAAUUUUAUGAAGCUCUUUUCUCUUUGUGAAGCUUCUUUUUUUGUGUGAUUUUUUUUCUUCAUCAUUUUUAUUCAAGGAAGUUGCAUAUAUUUAUAGAUGAAAUUAAAAAAUUAAAUUUAGAAUUCCUAAGAUUUGAUUACUUAAUUAAAAAAAAUUGGUUUCUUGAUUUUAGCAACUUGUCUCCUCUAUUAAGAAAGUUUUCUAAUAAGAGAAUAUUUAAUUAUCAUUUUCUUUUGACUUCAAUUAGAAGAUUUGAUUCGUUUGUUCAUAAAAUUUGAAAACAAAAAAAAAUUAUUUCUAUUUUUUUUAUUUCAAUUGUUUAAUUUAAUUUGAUUUUGCAAGACUUUAUUUUAUAGGCUACAUGUCAUUUUUUGAAUUGCAUGUUACAUAUUCAAUAUACAUGACCCAUCACUUAUUAAGCAUAAAUUUCGUUGGCUAAGGAGUUACAAUUUUGAAGACUAAUUUGAUAGUAUUUUGAUCCACUAAAAUUUUUUAUGUCUAGAAAUGCCCCAUCUUCAAGACCAACACACACAUGCAUUGUUAUGUAUAAAAGGUGAGUCUUGAAGUUAGCAUUUUGAAUCUUUAAUAUCCUUCUUUGAUAUUUUUUUUUUCAAAGAAAUAUUUUAAUAGGAAAUUUCCUAUUUCAAAAUACCUUUCUUAAACUGCUUUAUUUUCUUCCUUUUUUUCUACCUGGUAUCAAGGAAAGACUUUGUGUUAAUGGGAAAGUUUCUUAUUUGAACAUGUAUUUGCUUUUCUCAUGGUAUUUUCACUUCCAAUUUAUCAUCCUACAUGAAGUCUUUCACCCUUGGUCGAUUGUAUCUUAGACUUGAUCACAUGCCUUUAACUUGUAAUUCUUGCUCCACUUUAUUUAUUUUAUUUUAUUUUAUUUUUAAAAAAGAAUACAAUAUAUAUGAGCAAGACCUUGAGCAAGAGGAGCAAGGUGGAGGAUGGAGCAUGAGCUAGCCUUAGGGUAAGACCUUGAGGAAGAGAAGUAAUGUGGAGUGUAGAGCACAAACUUCUCUGGAGCAUGGUAGGUAUACCAUCACAGAAUUGUCUUCCACAUGGAGCAUGGUAGGGCUUAUAUAUAUGAUAGGGUGUGCCAUCAUGUAACAAUGAAGAACAACAAUCCAUGGUGUACAAUUGGGAACAACAAUUCAUGCUAUCAAGCUUCAACUUUUUUUUUUACCCCCAUCUCCAUUUUUUCAACUUCUUUUUUUUUUCCUUUUCUUUUUCCUUUUUUUUUUAACCAUUGUUUUUAAGGAAGAAAUAGGUUUUCCAUCCCUUACUACGAGGUCAAUCUCCAUCACUUGCAAAGACAAAUUUGCUUUUUGAUAUUUUUUUCUUCAAUAAUUAACUUAACAUUUUAAUAUAUAUUUUUUUUAACAAACUUAAAUAUUCAUAAUAAAAUAAAUAUUUAAUGUCUUUAUUCAUUCAAAUUAGCUUGACUUGAAUACUUAGUAGAUCCAUACUUAACACCCAUGUAGACGAGUUGUAACCUUGAUGGCAGGUUGUGUUGUAUUUUCGACACUUAAUGUGGCUUAAGAGUUAAAGUCUUCUCUCAUACAAAUUACCUUGGUUUGGAUGCACAAUGGUGUCUAACUUUUUAACACUUUAUUAAACUUGGAACCAUAUUUAACACCCACGUAGACAAGUCAUAAUCAUGACGUGGAUCACUGCUUUAUUUUUAGCUCUUAAUGUGGCUUAAAUAUUAAAUUCUCCACUCAUACAAAUUAACUUGGGUUAGAUGCACAAUGGUGUUCAACUUGUUAAUAGUUAAUUAAAAUUAGAACCAUAUUUAACACCUAUACAAACAAGUCAUAACUUUGACGUGGAGCAGUGUUGUAUCUUCGGCUUAAUGCCGCUUAAGUGUUAAAGUCGUCACUCAUAUGAAUUAGCUUGACUUAGAUGCAUAGUUAUAUUAUACUUUUUAACACUUAAUUUAAAUUUGGACCAUAUUGAAAACCCAUGUGAACAAGAGAUAACCUUGCAGUGAUGUUAUAUUUUUGACACUUAAUGUAGCUUAAAUGCUAAAGUCUUCACUUCAAUGAAUUGGUUCACCUUGGAUGAAUAGUGAUGUCUAAAGUGUAAUAAUUAAAAUUGAAACCAUAUUUAACACUCAUGUAGACAAAUCAUAACUUUGACGUAAUGGCAUUGUAUUUUUUACACUUAAUGCAGCUUAGGUGCUAAAGUUUUCACUCAUGAGAAUUGGUAUGAGUUAGAUGCAUUGUGGUGUCCAACUUUUUAACACUCAAUUAAAAUUGGAACCAUAUUUAAUACCUAUGUAGAUAAGUCAUAACCUUGAUGCAAAGUGAUAUUGUAUUUUUGACACUAAAUGCAACUUAGGUGCUAAGUCUUCACCCACACAAAUUGGUUCAUCUUGGAUGCACAAUGGUGUUGAAUUUUUUUAACAUAUAAUUAAAAUUUGAACCAUAUUUGACACUCAUGUAGACAAGUCAUAACCAUGAUGUAGAGUAGUGUUGUAUUUUUAACACUUAAUAUGACUUUACUGGUAAAUUCUUUACUCAUGUGAAUUGGCUUGAUUUGGAUGCACAACUAACUUUUUAACAUUUUAUUAAAUUGGGUAUCAUAUGUGUUGUUUUUUUAACACUUAAUACGACUUUAGUGGUAAAUUCUUUACUCAUGUGAAUUGUGUUGAUUUGGAUGCACAAUGAUACCUAACUUUUUAACAUUUUAUUAAAUUGGGUAUCAUAUUUAACACCUAUGUAGACAAGUCAUAACUUUAAUGUAGAGGCAGUGUAAUAUUUUUGGCACUUAAUACUGCUUAAGUGCUAGAGUCUUCACUCAUGUGAAUUUUCUUAGUUGGGAUGCACAAUGGUGUCUUAACAUUUUAACAUUUAAUUAAAAUCAGAACCAUAUUUAACACUCGUGUAGAGAAGUCAUAACCUUGACAUGGAGUAUUAUGCAAUGUUUUGAUAUUUAAUAUGACUUAAGUGCUAAAGUUUUCACUCAUGCGAAUUGACUUGACUUGGAUGCAUAGUGAUGUCUAACAUUUUAACACUUAAUUAAAAUUAGAGCUAUAUUUAAUAAUCAUGUAGACAAGAAAUAACUUUGACAUGAAACAGUAUUGUAAUUUUGACACUUAAUGUUGCUUAAAUGCCAAAGUCUUCACUCAUACAUAUUGACUUAGCUUGGAUGAAAAGUGGUAUCCAACUUUUUGACACUUUCUUAAAUUUGGAAUUAUGUUUAACAUCAAUAUAGGCAAGUAAUAACCUUGACGCAAAGUGAUGUUAUAUUUUUAGCACUUAAUAUAGCUUUAGUGCUAAAAUAUUCACUUCUAAGAAUUGACUUGGCUUGGAUGCAUAAUGGUGUCCUACUUUUUAACACUUACUUGAAAGUGAAAUCAUAUUUAACACCCAUUGUAUGCUAGUCGUAAACUUGAUAUAGAGCAUUGUGCAACUUUUUAACACUUAAUGCGAUUUAAGUGCUAAAGUCUUUACUCAUAUGAAUUAACUGAACUUAGAUGCACCUUUGUUUCCAACUUUUUAAUACCUAAUUAAAAUUAAAACCAUAUUUAAAAACCAUGUAGACAAAGACAUAAUCUUAACAUGGAGCUAUGUAUAACUCUUAACACUUAAUUAAAAUUGAGAUUACACUUAACAGCCACAUAUUCCUCCUAUUUUUCAAUUUUUUCUUGUGGUGAUGAUUGGACUUAACUAGUUUGUCCAAGUUGCCUAUAUACCCUUAACAGAGAGGGAAUCAAGUCAAACUUAGUUCAAAGUAUUUCUUUUAAUCUCUAACUUUUGCCAAGGCUAAUGAUUUUAAUCUUACAAGCUUGUCUUAACUUUUGACCAUAUAUGUAGUCUUUUUAGGUUUCAAUUUAGUGGCCUAUGACUUGUAAAAAUUGAAAAUGACUUCAAUCAUGUGUAAAAAAUAAUAAAAGAUAUUCAUUCAUAGUUUUAGGGCAACAAAAAAUAAUUGAUCCUUUUUUAUAUUAUUAUUAUUGUUGUUGUUGUUAUAAUUAUUAUUUCACCUUACAAAAAAACCUUCUGCAAUUAAUAUUAUAUAUAUAUAUAUAUAUUAUCUUUUAUAUAUUUAGUUUUUAUAGUAUUUUUUAAUUUAAUAUAUAUAUUUUUUAAAUAUCGAUACUUUCGGUCAAUGUCUCAAAUUUAAUAAUAUUUUAGAAAGUGUUUAUAAUAUUUUUAACACUUGAAUGAUAAAAAAUUUUAAAUAUUAAAAAUGUUAAAGACACUUUCUUAAAUUACUACCAAACGGGUUCUAACUUCAAAACUAUUUUUCAAAUUCUAAGUUUAGCUUAGUGGUGAAUGCAUUUAGGAUCACCAAGGAGGCCAUCAAGGGACUUCAGAAGAGAAGAUCCCAUAAUUCUAGUUUUGUAUUUGAUUGCAUACAUCCUACCAUAUGGAGAAGGUUCCUUAGGAUGCUUAUUUAUCCGCUUAUGUGAAUUAUGUACAAAAUUGCAUUUAAUAUGCACAUAAAAUUAAUUGAAUUAUGUGGCUUUUUUUUUUUCCUUUUUCUUUUACGCAUAAUAUAACAUAUACAAUUGGAAGAGAUCCCGAGAUUCUGAUUUUAUAUCUGGCUUUAGGGAUCAUAUUGGGGCCUCAAAAUUCAAUAUCACUGUCAGGUUGUGGACAGUCCACCCAGCUGGAGCAGAUCCCCUGGCUUGUGGAUAUGUCAACAAUUGAAAAAGUCUGCACCCAUUUUCAAUGUUCUUAGGUUUCGAAGUUAUCAGCAAACAUUCAUUGUGGACUAGGUACAUGGCUUGUACAAAUUGAAAAUGACUUCAAAUAAUAAAAGAUAUUUAUUCAUAGUUUUAAGGCACGCAACGAAAAUAGAUUUUAUUUGUUUGUAUCUUAGAAUAAUCUUAUUAUAUUUGUAUAUAUAUAUAUAUAUAUAUAUAUAUAUAUAUCUUAUCUUUUAUACAUGCAUAUUUUUUUUUUCAGUUUUGGUCGUAUAUUUUUAAUUUAAUAAUUAUUUUAAGAAAAAAGAUUUAGAGGCCAUUUGGUAGUGUUUUUUAAAAACACUUCUGGACUAAAAAAAAAUGCUUUUGUUAAAAAAUUAAGAGCAUGUUUGAUAGUGAUUUUAGGAAACGUUUUUAAUAUUUCUAAUAUUUGAAAAUUUUUGUCAUGCAAGUGUUAAAGGGCGUUUGGCAAUGCUUUUAGAAAGUGUUUCUAAUAUUUCUAAUACUUGAAAAAUAAAAUUUCUUAAGUAUUAGAAAUGAUAGAAACUCUUUCUAAAAUCACUAUCAAACACAUUCUUACACUUUCCAUCAAUGUCUCAAAUUUCAAAUAUGUACAUGCUCUAGAAAUUCUGAAGGUGUAGGCUUGUAGCCUAGAAUGUGAAGUGAGAGUUUGAUGAAAAACGAAAUAAACAAAGAUAUAAAAUAUAAUUUGUGAAAAAUUAUGAAAAUAUUGAUUUUGAUAGAUAUAUUAAUAACUCAAUUUUACAGAUAUAUCAGGGUAUAUCCAAAAAUAUUGGUGAAUAUUUUGACACCAAAUAUCAGUAGGAAAAAAUUGAUCAAAACUCAUGAAAAUAUUGGGAAAAAAAACUCUUAAACAUGAUAAAAUAAACAAUAAUAUACUUAUUAAAGUUGGUUUUAUUGUAAAACUUAAAAACACAAAAUUAUCAAUAGAUAUCAAUGAAAUUUUUUUUUAAAAAAAUCAAAAUUAAUAAAAACUCGUAAAAUAUUAGUAAAAACUAAAAUAUAUAUAUAUAUAAGAAGCAAUAAUACACAUAACGAAGUUAUUUAUUAAAAAAAAUGAUAUAGAUUUAAUACAAUUAAUGAUAUUUGAUAAUAAUAUACAUAAUUUAAAAUUUUAAAAUAUAUCUACUAGUAACAUCAUGAUUAUUUAAUAUUCAAAAUAUAAAAGAAAUUAUGAUAUGUAAAUAUAUAUAUAAAUUACUAUGAUGAUUUUUAUAAUUUGAACAAUUUUCAAAUAUAAUAUGAAAAUAAAAUAAUUAAAAUUAAUUUAUUUAUUAUUAUUUUAUUUUAUAAGUCUAGGAGUACAAAUAUAUUUUAUUUAUAUGUGUUGCAUAUUUAAAAAUGCUAAACUAGCUUGUGGCCUACAAUGUCAACUUAGAGUUUGAUGAAAAAGUGCAUAAACAAAGACAAAAAAAUUAAUCUACAAGUACUUGGAUUCUAUUUGAAUAAAAAAGAGCCACCCACAUGCAUGGAUUAAAUAUAUAUCCCAUGGAUUAGUUGUAUUUAGCCACGGCUGAAGCUUUCCACUAUGACUUAACACUACUACAAAAAUAAUUUAUGAUGUCACUAUUUAUGGUGUCGCAUUUAAAAUAAUGACACCAUUGAACUUAAAAUUUAUAAAGGUGACACAUCAUAUAAAAAAUCUUCAAUUAGGAUAGUUAGAUGAUGCUAAUUUCAAAUUUACGGUGUCUUUUUUUGGAAGUGACACCAUAUGAAAUAAAAAGUUUUAAAUUUUAUAACUCAAUGGGCCCUUUUUCAAAAUAGUGAGUAGGAACAAUUUAUGAAAAGUCUAUUGUUUCCAUAUAUACAUUAACUAAUAUAAAAGAUCUUAUUGCUUAACCCUAACCAUCGUUUUCUUCUCCUUCUUCUCACACCCAUGGUCGGCACACCCAUAAUUGAUAUUCUUUGCUUCAUAAAAUCUCGGGUAAGUCAAAAUCCCUUAUCUAUCAUCUUCAUUUUUUUUAUUAAUGCAAAAAACUUUGUUAGUAUAAUUGUUUUAUAUCUCUUGAUUUAGUAUAUCUAUGAUGUGGGUUUUGUAAAUGGUGUUUUUUAUCGAGUUCCAUGGAAGUAAAAACUAGGUUUAACAUUCUAACAUAUUUUUUGUUUCAUUGCUAAUAAGCCCCAAAACAAAUGAAAACAAGAAAAAUGAAUUAUUUUUAAAAAUUUUGUCUAAUUGAGAAUGAGAGAUACACUAGUUUGUAGUAAUUUUUCGCAUGAAAUAAUAUUUUAUUGAAGACUUGACUAUAUAGUGUAUUGGUUGUAAUUUUUCACAUGUGAAAAUAUUUUAUUGAAGACUUGACUAUAUUUGAUACUUUUUUCCACCGUGCUAGGAGCUUUUUGGUGAAGUCUAACAAUAGAGAUUGACAUCUACUACAAGAUGAUGCUCAAUUAAUCCAAAAGCACUUAAGUUAUUUAGGGUUUUCUUCAGUUAACCUAAGAAAACAUUCCCACUUUCUUUGUAUUGAGUCACCUAAAUAGAAUAGAAUAUUGGGUAUUAGAGUGGUAAAGGGUAUUAUAAAUAUGACUUUUUUUUUUAGAGUCACCUACAUGGAAUGAAUUAUUGGUAGGUGAACAAAAUAUUGGGGUGAUUGUAAUAGUUGAAUUAGUAAAUGGAAGAUAAGUGUAUGUUGCUUUGUUUAUUCUAUAAAAACAAUAAUUUUAGUAGUUGAAAUUUACAUGCUUUGUUGUUUUAUAAAAACAAUAAUUUUAAUAUUUGAAAUUUUAAAAUGUGAAUGAAAUGCCUGAAAAUAUGUUUUGAAAAAUAGGAUAGUAAUAAAUGUUUAUAGCUCAUUUCCUAAAAAUAUUUUGAUAAAUUAAAAUAAUAUGUGGUUAAAAUAUAUUUUUGUGAAAGUAUUUAAAAAUGAAUCAAAAUAUUAAUAAUUGUUAUUUUGUUUGAAAAUAAUUUAGGAAUAUAAAAUAAUAUUGGGGAUAAUUUUUGAGUUUAAAUUGGGUUAUAAACGGUUAAUUUUUUUAGGAUUGUCUUUUUUGAAAAUAAUCCAAUGAUAAUUUUUUUAAAUAAGAAUGUUGAAAAUAAUUUUAAAAAUAAAAUUUUGUUGGCAAUGAUUUUUCUAAAAGUAUUUUAGGCAUAAAUGGAAAUUUCUUGUAUGAAAAUAAGAGAAUUUAUAUAUAUAUAAUAGACAUAAAAAUAGACUUCUUUGAUAUUUAAUAAACAAGUGAAUUUUUCUCCAAAAAAGGAAUAAAAUAAGAAUUUCUCUAUUUAAUAAAAUAAUUUAUAUAUGAGAUAGUUUUCAAUAAGAAAGUUUUGAAAAUAAAUUUGGGAUAAAAUAUUUUUUAGUAAGUUUUGUUUAGAUAAUUCAAGAAAAAAGUGGUUUAUUAACUUUUCUUAAAAAAUAACAUUCUUCUUUCUUUUUUGAAUUGAUCAUUUUUUUUAGAAAUAAAAUUGUUAGAUUCUAUUUUUUGUAAAUGUUUAAGAAAUUCUAAAAAAUUCUUUAAAAAUAAAAUGACCUUUCUACCACAUUCCUUGUAAUAAAUAACUGUUUUUUUAUACAUAUUGUAAAGUAAAAAAAGAAGUCUUUGUUUAGUUAACCUAAGAAGACAUUCCUACUUUUCUUUGUGUUGAGAGUCACCUAAAUGGAAUAAAAUAUUCAAUAUCAUAGGAGAGUAAAAAGUAUUAUAGAAAUGAUUUUGUUGAGAGAGUUAUCUAAAUGGAAUGAGAUAUUGGUAGGUGAAUAAAAUAUUAUGGUGAUUGUAAUAGUUGACUUAGUGAGGGGAGGAGAAGUGUAUGCUUCUUUGUUUAUUCUAUAAAAACAAUAAUUUUAGUAGUUGAAAACGUGUAUGAAAUGACUGAAAAUAUUUUCUGAAAAAUAAGAAAAUAAUAAAUGGAUAAUAGCUCAUUUCCUAAAAAUCUUUGAUAAAUUAAAAUAACUUGUAGUUAAAAUAUAUUCUUGUGAAAGUAUUUAAAAAUGAACCAAUAUAUUAAUAAUUGUUAUUUUGUUUAAAAAUAAUUUAAGAGUAAAAAAAUAAUACUGAGUUCAAAUAUGACUACUUUGUUAUGAGAUUCAUUAAAUAAAUAAUUGUUGAUUUUACAGUUAUUGCAUCAAAGGUUUUACUCGUUUAAUGAAUUGUACAUAAUUUCAUACUUUCAAUUAUUGUGAUAUUAAUGUUAUUCUCAUUUGAUUUCAGUUUGAUGACAAAUAAAACAUAUUCUCAAGUAGAAUUUGAUGAAAUUAGAGAAGAAUAGAUUACUUUUGUGUUAUAACUAAUCAUGAAUCAUAUUGAUGUAUCGUGAUCAUUCAUGGUAAGUCCCUUAGUUGUUAUAUGAUUGAAUUUUCCAUUGGUAUUGUAUAACAUUACUUAUUCUUUACGGACUAUUUUUAUACCAAAAUGAGAAAAAGGAAAAAGAAAAAAAAACAUUAGUACUUAGAUUUGUUUAUUGUUUAUAACAUCACAUUUUUAUUUUCAAUAAGAACUCUAAAACUCAUUAAACUAUGAAAUGCAGGUAUACACUCUUGGGAGGACAAUAUGAAGAAUAAAAAGAAAGGAGAAAGAGGCAACAAGAUUUAGGUUUUUAGAUAUGACUCUUAUGUCAUACAUUAUAGGACAUAAACAUUACUUUAUUUGGAAUUGAGAAUUUUGGGUUUUUGGAUGCAACUCUUGUGUCAUUUUAUGGUUAGCCGGUUUUAUGCAUAUGAAAUGCAAGUAUACAUGAAUGUUGGGAAGCUUAACAUUUCUAAAUCAUGUUUUAAUGUGUAUUCACUUUUCUUUUUUAGUUUUGGUGGGUUUGAUGUGUUUGAUGUACUAUCAUUUUGUGAACAUUUGAUAUAUAAAUAUUAUUGGAUGAUGUAAUAUGUUACAAAUUAAUUCAUAGGCACUAUGAAAAUAUAAGUUAAAUGUAAUAUGAUUAUCAUAUUUAUGGACAAUUUACACAGGUUGGUCUUAUUUAUUAAUAAGCAUUACAAAAAUCUACAAACUAAUCAACAAAAAACAACCAUAUCUUCCAUAAUCAUUUACAAUGAUGCGACACCAUAAAUUAAAGGUGAUACAUUUAACGUGACACCAUAACUCAAAGAUGAUGCAUUUAAUAUGACAUCUUAUAUAUCUCAUACAACUCUAUAUCAAAUUAAGCAUCACUAAAAAUAUAUGGUGUCUCUUCUGAAUGUGUCACCAUUUAUCUGCUUUGGUGUUGCUUCCAAAUACGUCACCAAUUGAUACCCUCUAUGGUGUCAGUGGAUAAGGUGACGCUAUGUUGUAGUGACACCCUAUGUUUAUAGUGACUUAUUAUAAAUGUCACCAUAUAUCUUUUUCCUUGUAGUGUAAAAAAAGAGAGGAUAAUGUCAUUAAAAAACUGAUUGCUAUGUGGCUAUGCCUGCCAGUAGAUGGCUGAAAACUAAGUUCUAUUCUUUUCGAUAGUUGAGAGAUUCAAUGGCAACUAUCGUCGUAUAAACAAUGUUUCAUAAAUUACUUUUAAAUUUUGACAGCAAAGACUAAAAUUGUAAAACCAUAAAAAAUUUAUUCCAUUCCCAAAUUUUUUAAAAUAAAAUUGAAAAUAAUAAAUUAACGCCCAUGACUGUUUUCACAUCUUAUUCUCAUUUCUAUCAAUGGAAUCAUCGUAAGCAUCUUAUCUGUAAAUAUGGCCUAGAGCCAUAAAGCUGCCUUUUCUUUAGUCCUAGAGCCAUUUCAUGAGCUAAUAGUAGUCUUUCCUUAGCAUUUCCAGCCCAAAGCUCCCAUUUCCUUAGGCCUAGAGACGUUUUCAGCCCAGAGCUGCUGUUUCUUUCGGCCUAUAACCAUUUUCAGCCCAAAGCUUCCUUUCCUUGGCAUAUUAGCCCGAAGCUUCUAUUUCUUUAGGCCUGGAACCAUUUCAACCUAGAACAUUUGUUUCUUUGGGCCUUGAGCCCCUUUCAACCCAGAACUGUCAUUUCUUCUAAAUAACUUCUCUUUUAAAAGACUUCAAUUUGUUUUUCAAGUCACAAAUUUUGAGGCUUUGUUCCAGGUUUGAAGAAGCUGGUAAAAAUCUUCUAUUUAACAUUUCAACAGUGAAUCGAAUUAAAUAAAUAAAUAAAUAAAUCUUGACGACAUAAAGUAGGACAUGGCAUAGUUUGAAACACAUAAUUUUCACCAUUCAAAUGCAAAACAUAUUAACUAAUUUCAAAUGCUAUGUGUUGUUUCCUUCUACAUUUUCUCUUUAUUUUUUUUUCGUAUUUUUCUUCAAAUUUUUUGAAAACCAAACAGAGCCUAAAAGAAAAGAUAAUUUUACUUAUUUUGAAAUUUCCUUAUAUAUAGCUUAUAUGGAAAGUUGUUUCGUGUUAACUUAAUGAAGCAUUUAUAAUAUUAAGAUCGCCCUUUCAUAAUCAUGAGUUAACCUUAGUUUCAACUUCUACAAGAGGCUAAAUGAAAAAAGCUAUCACAGAGAAGGCCUCAGCCAAUGAGUGGAAAAUACAAUUUUAUUAAUACUUGAUACCAAAAAAAAAAAAAAAAGGGAUGAUUUUACAUUCAAACCGAUGAUUUAUUUCUGUUGAAGUGCAGUCUCCAUAUGCACAUGUGACUGCAUUUACAGGAUAAAGAAAGACAAGGAAAUUAACAAUGUUGGACUUACUGGAAAAUCAUACAAAUUAUUGAAGGAGGACCUUAGCUAGGCUGACUGUCUCCUAAAUUGCCCAUCUUUUAUAUAUCUUUGCAAUCAUGCAUCUCAUCAUCAGCUUUGAUUUUAGAUGGUGAGGAUGUGAAAGUAACAGGAAGCAGUGGACGAUUGUUCACAGUGAGGCUUAGCACAUCAGCUCUCGAAUAAUGUCCUACCACAUCGAACUGAAACUUUGCUUUAGGAAUCUCUCCACGAACAUCUGCAUAUCAAGUGAUCAUCAAAAUAUUUGAGCAGCCCGUGAUAAAUAUCAUAGAGUAUCAAGUCUUCCAUAAAACCAUGUUUGCAGUCCUUUUAAACCUAAAGAAUUGACUCAUUUGCCUUAUCUGCAUACUGAAAUAUUUGGAUAUACAAUUGGAGAAGUUAGGGCCAUACCAAGAUCAGCUGUGAAGAGGCCUUCUCCUUCAUAAUUCGGUCCUGCUAGAAUUUCGCCAUGGGGCGAAAUGAUGACACUACCUCCAGCCCAAACAAUAGAAUCUGGAGUGACAUCUUCUUCUGUAGGACUGUAAAGAUACUCAGGUGGAGGUGGGUAAUCUUUCCUCCGACAGAACUGGAUGGGUGAAAGAACAUAGCAUCCACCCUCAAUAGCGAUGUGUCUCAUUGUAGCUACCCAUUUAUCCCCAGAAUCGGCAGUAGGAGCACAAUAUAUCUCAAUACCUAUAUAUAUGAACAUUGGUAUUCUGUGAUCAAUCAAUCCCAUAUCAAAGCCACAAUGUAUUUCAAGACUGCUUAGAUUAAAACCCUAAUAAUGUAAACGGGUGCUGGAGGUCCUAUUUGGUAAUUGUCUUUGGAACAGUUUUGAGAAAUAGUUUUUGAAAGUUGUUCUUUAAUAAUUUAUAAAACAUAAGACUAUUUGAAACCUAAAAUAUAUUCAACUUAUUAAAAAUAAUUUUUAUAUUUAAUACUUUAUUUUUAAAUAUUCUUCAUAUUUAUAUAAUUAUUUUUUAAAACAACCUUAAAAACAAAUGAAAACAAUGAAGAAAAAAGUUUAAAAAUAUUAUCUGAAAACAUUUUGUUUUAUGUUUCUAAGAAAAAACAAAAAGCGGUAUUCUAAUUGUCAAUUGUGUUUUCCUAAAUUUUUUUUGGAUAACAAAAGAUUCCUCUAAAAUAUAAUUGUGAAACAAAGCCAAACUAUUUCAAGCCAAACCAUACUAGUUAAUGAAGAAAAAAAAAUGGUAAAAGAUGUACCUUUGCCAUACAUUGAUGUCCUGAAAAGAGGCAUUCUAUUUUCCCAACAAAUGACCGAACCAAGUUUUCCAUAUGGAGUGUCAUAAAUUGGAGUUGUCGAGCAAUCUCCAAAACCCCAGAAGAGCCGCUCCCAAUAUGUUGGCAUGAGUUUCCUAUGUUUUCCAAGGUAAUUGCCUUCAGGAUCAAAGAAGAGAACAGUGCAAUACAAUGUGUAUCCAUCUCUCUCAACAACACCUGUCACUAAGUAGACUUUGUAUUUCGCAGCCAUUGAUGCCAAUCUAUCAACUUCAGGUCCUGAAAAUACAUUAAUAUGAGAUCAAAGAUGAGACAUGUAAGCUGAUGGUUCAUCACAAAGCAGCAUAAGUAGAUUUUGUUUCAAUAACUUAUUUAAGUGGUUCAGUCCUCUAGCUAUUUAAGGGAGAAAGAGAGGGGUAACUGACCCGGCACAUUAAUGGCAGAAGCAUGGUACUUGCGGAAGCUUUCUUUCCCUCUUGGAGACUGGUCCGCGAAGUUGUAUCCACGGGGAUACCCACCGAUAAAUGCUUCAGGGAACACAACCAGUUGGGAUCCCAAUGCAGCUGCCUCUUUCAGAAACCUCUCAGCCUUAUCUGCUCCCAAAAUCACAUUGCAAGAAUUAACAAUUCAUGACUUAGAAAGUAAAUUAAUUGGUUGAAUAGAGAAUGAAAAUUCACCUCAAGAUAUCCCAAAUGACUUUUUGGUUGCUGAGAAAACUUAAGGAAAAGGAGACCUAGAUAAAACUAGAAACUCAUAUUUUCAGCUGUUUUGUAACUAAGAAAGAAGAAACCACCUCAACCAACUCAUCCAAAUAAUUAUUGUACAAGCAGUAAUUCCUUGAUUGGCAGCUGAAAAUAUGAUCAGGGUUCAAUCAUCCCUUUCUUUCUUUCAGUUUCCCAGCAACCAAUCAGCUCACUGAUUCUCUUACAGAAGUUGCAGAAUUGAGAGAAAUUGCACGUUACCUAGAGUGGCAGGAGUAUCAUAAAAGAUACUAGAAGCUUGAACAACGGUGGCUCUAACAGUUGAAGACAUUGCAGAAAAUUGUAUGUUUUUUCGUUUCCCCUUUGUUUGAGGAUUCCUCACACUGCGUUCAGUAUAUAUAUAUCGCUCAUGAACAAGAGGUUCCUCUGCCAGUACUUGAACAAGACGGAAAGGCUUUGAAAAGUCUGACUUGGUUUUCUACGCUCAUGGAGAGGUUUUAUCCUCAUCACAAAUUUUUAAGUUAUCCGCAGACACAGUGGACCAGGCACAUGACUUGUACAAAUUGAAAAUGACUUUCACCUGGGAUUUUUUGUAAUUUUAAAAAAUAAUUCCCAAAUGGUAGUGGAAAAUAUAAUUCUAAAUCUAACAUAGUUUUUGCAAGAUGUAAAAGAGAAAAAUAAAAAUCUUUAUUUCCUUUAAAAAAAUUAUGACGAAAGAAUCGUCUUUUGAAAAGACAAUUUCUCAAAUUUCUUAAAAAAAAAAAAAAAUUAGGAGAGAAAUCGUCUCUUGAAGAGACGAUUCUUGAAAAAAAUAAAAAAUUUAGGGAGAAAUUAUCUCUUGUGAUUUCUCCAUUGAUAAAUAUAUAUAUAUAUAUAUAUAUAUAUAUAUAUAUAUAUUGAGAAAUCUUCUAAAGAUGAUUUCUUAAAAAUACAAAGAAAAUGAGAAAAAAAAAAAGACAGAGAUGAUUUUCAAAAAUUCAUUUUUUUCAUUCUCUUUUUUUUUCAAUAAUAUUUUACCAAAUAAUAUAUUUAUAUAAUAAUGAUUUUUUCCUUUAAAAAAAAUUAUAAUGAAAAUUUCGCUUUUGAAAAGAUGAUUUCUCAAAUUUCAGAAAUCUAUAGGCUAGAAAUCGUCUCUUGAAAAGACGAUUUUUUGAAAAAAUAAAUAAAUAAAUUAGGGAGAAAUCUUCUCAAGAUGAUUUCUUAAAAAUAAAAAGAAACAUAGAAAAAAAAAGUCAGAUGAUUUUAAAAAAUUCAAUUUUCUAUUUGGUGAUAUAUAUUUUACCAAAUAAUAUAUUUAUACAAUAAUAUAAAUAUUAUAAAUAUAUAUAUAUAUAUAUAUAUAUAUAUAUAUAUAUAUAUAUAUAUAUAAGUUAGAUAUAUAAAAAUUAAUUAAUUUUAUUUACUAGAUUUAAUAUAUAAAAAUAAUUUUAAUUAUUGAUAUAUUUAUCAACAAUAAUAUUUAUAAAAAUAUAAAUUAUGUUUAACAUUCGAUAUUUAAAAAUAUUAUUUUAUAUUAAGUUAGAUAUUGAUUUUAAAAAUAUUUUGUUCUUUAUCUUUAAAUUAAUUCCAUUAAUUAUAACUAAUAAAAUUAAUUUAGUUUUAUAUUUUUAUUAUUUAUAAUAUAAAUAAUAUUUAUCUCAUUCUCUUGUUUACUCUCUCACCCUUCUCUCACCUAUUUAUUAGCGGAAUCAAGUUGAAUGAUUUUUCAAUCAUUUUUCUCCAACAAAUUGAACAUGAGAGAUGAAUGAUUAAAAAUUAUUAAUGUCAAAUGCCUUUUUAAAUACCUCAUCAAAUAUUAUUCUUUUUUUAAAACUUACAUAAUAUAUAAUAAAUAUUAUUCUUUAUUUCAAACUUACAUUAUUUUUUAUAUAUAUUAAACAAUUUUUAAUCACUUCAUAAAAUAUUAGUAUGCUUUAUUUGUUCUAACUUGCAAAUUAUACAUAAUCAAAUAUUAUAUUUUUUUUUCAAACUUAAGAAUAAAUAAUAAAUAUUUUUUAAAUACCUUAGCAAAUAAUUUUUUUUUUCUUACUUAUAGAAUAAAAAAUAUGUUGUACAUUAUUUCUUAUAGGUCUUAAUGACGUAGUUUGGUUAAAAAAAAAAAACUAUCAAUAAUCGUCCUAAUGUCAAGCUCAAGUAGUUUAAAAAUUGCACAAAACCUAUUAGGAGUCUUGUACACCCUUGUAUACUUGACACAUUUCCCUUGUACAAUUAGUGUAAUCUUGUACAAUGGUACCAAUUUCAUAUCCCUUCUAAGAUAUGUGUUUAUAUAAGUGUGUUAACUAUGUUUUCAAUGGUUUGGUUGAGAAAAAAUGACUUAUGGUCAAUUUUUUUUCCCCAAACAUCAUUAUUGAGGGAAUCAUUGGAAUUUCCAUGUGGGAGUUAAAUAAAGUGCAUGACAUUGAUAUACAAUCCUUGGGUGACAAGGAAAAUAAAAAAGUGGUUUAGAAUCAAUUGAAAUCUUUCACAAAUGGUAGUCUUGUAUACCCUUGUACUCUUAGUAUAUUUCCCAUCUUUAAUACCUUUGUACAAUGACACAAAUUUCAUAUCCCUUCUAAGUUAUGUCCACAUAAGUGUGUUAACCAUGUUUCCAAUGAUUUGGUUGAGAAAAUGUUGGAUGACUUAGGGUCAAUCUUUUUUCCCUAAAUAUCAUUAUUGGGAAAAGUAUUGGAAGUUCCAUGUGAAAGUUAAAUAAAGUGUAUGACAUGAAUGUACAAUCUAUGGGUAACAAGGCAAAAAAAAAAAAAAAGGUUCAUAAUUGAUUGAAAUCUUUCACAAAGGGUAGCCUUGCACACUCUUGUGCACUUAGUACAUUUCCCUUGUACAAUUAGUGUAAUAACUUUGUACAAUGACACAAUUUUCAUAUUCCUCCUAAAUAAUGUGUCCACUUAUGUUAAUCAUUUUUUCAAUGGUUUGGUUGAGAAAAUUUUGGAUGACUUAGGGUUUAAAUUUUUUNNNNNNNNNNNNNNNNNNNNNNNNNNNNNNNNNNNNNNNNNNNNNNNNNNNNNNNNNNNNNNNNNNNNNNNNNNNNNNNNNNNNNNNNNNNNNNNNNNNNNNNNNNNNNNNNNNNNNNNNNNNNNNNNNNNNNNNNNNNNNNNNNNNNNNNNNNNNNNNNGUGUCCACUUAUGUUAAUCAUUUUUUCAAUGGUUUGGUUGAGAAAAUUUUGGAUGACUUAGGGUUAAAUUUUUUUCCCUAAAUAUCAUUGUUAGGGAAAACAUUGGAAUUUCCAUAUGAGAGUUAAAUAAAGUGUAUAACAUGAGUGUACGAUCCGUGGGUGACAAGGAAAAUAAAAAGAAUUGGUUCAAAAUUGAGUAAAAUUUAUCACAAAUGGUAGUCUUAUACAUUGUUAUAUACCCUUGUACACCCUUGUACACUUAGUAUAUUUAUCUUAUACAAUUAAUAUAAUACCCUUGUAUAGUGGCAUAAAUUAUAUAUCCCUUCUAAGUUAUGUAUUCACGUAAAUGUGUUAACUAUGUUUCCAAUGGUUUGGUUGAGAAAAUGGUGGAUGACUUAGAGUCAAAUUUUUUUCGCCAAACAUCAUUACUCUGAAAAGUAUUAAAAUUUUCAUGUAGGAGUUGCAUAAAGUGUAUGACUUAGGGCCAAACUCUUUUAAAUCUUUUUAUUAUUUUCACAUAAAAAAAUAGUACUAAACAAGGUUUUCAAUUUUCAUUUUUAAAAAUAUUUUUCAUUUUUUAAUUAAAUGUAUUUUCAAAAAGAGACAAUAAAGAAAAUAAAAAUUAUUUCAAGAAAUAAAAAAAUAAAAAAUAAAAACUAGAAAAAUAUUUUAAAAUCAGACUUAAGCAUAAUCUAUUUAAUUUUUAACUACUUGUUUUUAUCUAAAAUGAGUAAAUAUAUUUUUCAACCCUUUUAUAUAAUAAAAAUUCAAUCUUUACUAUGUAUUGAUAUAAUUCACUUCCAAAAUUAAGUCAUAUGAAAACAUUUUAAUUGGAUAUUUAAAAUAAAAGCUCUCCAUCUAUCCUUUUUUUUUUUUUUCUUAUUUUGAUAAAUUUUUAAUUAAUACAAAUCAUUAAAAAAAAUACUUAGUAAACAAAUUUGUAACAUUUUAUAUAACUUAUUAUUAAAAGUUAUGUUCAAAAAGUUAUUAAAAUAAAGAAGGAAGAAGACUAAAAAAAAUUUAAACUUUUUAUUUUAUAAUACUAAAAAAAAAAAAAAGAAACUUUAAAAUACUUUUUAGUAUAAAAAAAAAAGAAAAAAGAAAAUAGUGAAGAUAUUUAUUUUAAAUAGCAUUUUAAUCAUUAAAUUAUUUACUUCUAAAAUGUAAAAGAUAAUUUUUAUUUAUUUAAAUUAACAUUUUUUAAAAAGUAUUUUCCAGAAUAGUUUUUGAAUUAUUAAUAUAAUUUUUGUUUCUUUAUAAUUUAAAAUAGAAAUAAUGUUGAUUUUUCAAUUAUUUAUAAAAGAGUUUAAAAAAACAAUGAGAAAUCCAAAAAUGGUUAAGUAAGAAAGAAUUUGUUGGUAAUGGCAUGUGAAGAGUGGUAGAAUAAAAAAAAGUCAAAUGAGUAUUUUUGUUUAUUACUAUCUCAUAUCCUUGUAAUCAAUUAUGAGUGACAGGAGAAACUUAGCUCAAUUAUCAAGUAGAGCUAGGCCAAAAACACAAUUCUCUCAAUAAUUUCGAGGCAUGAUGAUCAUAUUUAAAUAAAAAAGAGGGAGCCGCCCACAUGCAUGGAUUCCAUUGUCUUUAGCGGUGGGUAUAUAUAUAUAUAUAUAUAUAGAGAGAGAGAGAGAGAGAGGGGGGGAUGUAAAAACUAAGUCUAACCUUGUUGAUUCAAUGGCAGCUCGGGUAAAACAUAGAAAGGAAGAACUAUGUUUACCCUCACGUUCAUUCAAACAAAUAUAUUGUUUAGGAAUUCUAAUUUUCAUAUUUGAUCACCCCAAACACAUAACCAAUAAAAUUAUUCUUUAAAUAUGUAUUUUAAUAGCAUCUAUAAUGAGAAUUCUAUAAUUAUCCCUUUUUAAAAUCUUUAAUAUGACAACUCAUAAUUUAAUGUAUUUGAUAGCUCUCACAUCUGUUUUUUUUUUUUCCUCCUCUACGUCACUUUCUCCAUAUCAUGUCUUUGAUAUCCUACCUUUGGCAUUUUUUAUUUAUAUAUGUUGAAGUCACAACACUUUCUCUUCCCAACCUCUUUACUUUCAUAUUUCUUUUUACUCAUUUAAUAUUUAUUAACUUUAUUUAAUUUUUUGGAAUAAAUAACUAAUGAGAAUAAAUUAAAUAUAAAUAUAAGUAUGCAAGCAACAUAAAAAUACACUUGAUACUUAAAAAUGUUAAUUAUAAUAUAUUUGAUAAUUUAGGAUUUCGAUUUUAAAAUUAUAUUUUAUUUUUUAGAGGCUGGGAUAUAAGAUUUCCAUUAACCAAAGAUUUUUUAUAUGAAUCCUAAAUAAUAUGUUUAUUUUGAAAAUUCUUAUCAUAUAUAAAUAAAAUAAAUAUAUUUUAUCAUAUUAUUUUUAAUUUUUAAUAUUUUGUAUCAAAAUCACAAUUAAUGAUAGUGAUUUUUGUUAAGAUAGAGUCCUUAAAAGCAUAAAAUGUUGUAAAAAAUAUAGAGUUUAUUAUUUAUUUAAUGAUAUUUCAAUUUCAGUUUUAUCUAUCCUUAUUUUAUGCAUUAUACCUUAUGAGCAUUCUAACUUGACAUUUUUUGCAUUGUUCAUGACUUGGGUGAAUUAAGAUUUACAUGGAACAUCUAAGUCAUAGUCGCUUUGUCGACAUAAGCAAUCCAUUUGAUGUUGCAGUGCAUUACAUCUUAAUUUAAGGGAUGACUAGUUUUGACCAACAAGAUGGGACCCUCAUAGUGAGUGCACUAAUGUUAUGACUGCAUUUUAGAUAAAACCUAUGGUGAGUCAUGAUGUAAGAAUAUCAGGUAGUCAUGACUUCGCCAAGUUGUUAUAUUGCAUUUUCUAUCGACCUUGAAAGAAUAUUGGGUUUGUGCCUAAGUUUGCAAUGACUUUGACAUAUGGGUGAAAUCCUAAAGUGAUAAUACAUUCCUUAUGGAUUAGGUCACUAUAAAUAGAAUUCAGUAGCAAUAAGUAUUCUCAAUAGAGGAAUCAAAAUAUGUCAUAGAGUUUGAGACAUUAUGUCCCUUUGGAUGAUCCUAAGGACACAUGAUCAUGAAAUCUAUAGUCGUAGUAAUUCCUUAAGUGGAAUUUGAAAUAUGCUCUUAUGGGUUGGAGUAUGUCAAUUGAUCACAUAAUAGGAUGAUAUGUAACUGAAGGAUGAUAGAAGUAACCUUGAAAGGCAAAUAGUAUUCACCUUAUUAGAUUAUGAACAAUACUUCACAAGGAGACUAUAUACAAUGGAUAGUAGGUUAUGAACCCGAGUAGUGCAAUUGACUCUCUACGGUAGGAUGUUGAGUCAACUUUAGAAUUGGAUUAUGAGGGAGCCAAUAGUAUUCUAUGGGUUGUAGUGGUACCAGCUCAAGUUCAUAUAUCUUGAUGGCAUAACUUAUGAGGGUUGGAUUAGUUAAUGAUUCAAUUAUGUGCAUAAGGGCAUUUUGGUAAAUAUGCAUGGUUGAAUAGGAGUUUGUUAGGACAAAGCCCUAUAAAGCAUGAUAUGAUGUAAUAGAUUAAGUUCCAUCAAUAAAUUUAUUUAUUUAUUAUUCUAGUCCCCUUGUGUUAUCCUAUUUGCAUUAAUUGGUUAUUUGAGCAUUUACAUUCAUAUCACUUGCAUUGUACAUGACUUAGGAGUAUUAGGAGAUGAAUAAAAGAUCCAAGUUAUGGAUUCUUUACAAUGUGAUAAGUGAUUCGGAGUCGAUUCAUGGAUUUAGCAAAUCUAGUAUAAACAAUAGUGUACUACCUACUAAUUAGAGGGAUGCCUUGUGAUGGUUGUCAGGAUAACUUUCUCGUGGUAAAUGUGUAAAAUUAAAUAUUAAAUAUGACCUAUGAUGAAUCAUGAUAUUAGUUGUUGGGUAGUCAUUAUUACCAAAGCUUCUAUACUAUAUAAAUUCUUAAGCUUAAAAGGAUAUUGAAUCUAUACUAAAAUCAACAUGAAGUUUUGACCUAUGGGUGAGAUCCUAAUGUGGUCACAUAUUCCACAUAGAUUGGGUUAUUGGAGGAGACUAGUAGCAAUAGGUAUUCUUAAUAAAUGAACCAUAAUAUCUCAUGGGAUUAAACUUCAUGGGUGAUCUUAAGGGCGUGUGAUCAGGAUGAAUGUGACUAUAUCAAUUGCUUUAGUAAAAUUUGAUAGAUGCUCUUUGUGCGAUGGAGUAUGUUAGAUGAUCACUUAAUAGGAGGAUCUAUAACUCAAGGAUUAGAAAGGUAAUCUUGAAAGGUUGAUAUCACCACCUUGUUAGAUUAUGAAUAUCAAUUCAUGGGGAGUCUACAUUGUUAGGAUAGAGCCCUUAAGAGCAUGACUUGAUGUAAUAAACUUUUGAAUUUAAUUAUUCAUUAAUAAAAUUUCAGUUCACUUUUAUCUAUUCUCAUUCCAUGCAUUCUAUCUUGUAAGAGUUUUGACUUACAUCUUUUGCAUUGUACAUGACUAGAGUACAUUACAAGUUGCACAGAAGAUUUAAGUCAUAAAUUCCUUUCAAUUAGAUGACUUGUUGAAAAUUAGUUUGUGGGCUUAGGCAACCCAUAAUAGGUUGUAAUGAACUAACUCCUAAGAGAAAGGAUGGUUGUUUUUUACCAUUGAGAUGAGUUUUUCAUGAUGAGUGCACUAGUGUAUAUGGUUACACAUUGGAUAAGACCUAUAUUGAGUCAUGACAUAAGGUUAUCAAGUUGUUAUGACUUCACCAAGCUACUUCAAUAUGUUGUCUCUCAACCUUUAGAGAAUAUUGAAUUGGUGCUAAAGUUAGUAGUGACAUUGACCUACAAGUGAGAUCAUAAGUUGAUUAUAUAUUCCUUAUGGAUUAGGUCAUUGUUUAUCAAUGCCAAUUACAAUAGCUAUUUUCAAUAGAUACACCAUAACAUAUCACGGGAUUAAGACGAGUGACCUAUUGGGUGAUCCUAAGGAGGUGUGUUUAUCUAAACUAUGGUCAUAAUAGUUUCUUAAGUGGAACUUAACAUAAGCUCUUGGAGAGUUAAGAUAUGCUAAUUGAGCACAUAGUAAGAGGAUUUAUAACUCAUAGAUAGUUGAGGUAGUCUUGAGAAGAUGAUAGUUUUCACCUUGUUAGACUAUGGACACAAGUUCAUAAGGAGACCAAAUGCAAUGGAUAGUAGGUCAUGGACCUAAGUACUUUGUAGUGGAGUGAAGUUGAUUCUCUAUAGUAAGAUGUUAAAUCAAUUUUAGAAUUGAAUUAUGAGGGAGUCAAUACUAUCCUAUGGGUCCCAAUGGUUCCUACUUGAGCUCAUAUGUCUUAUUGGUAUGGUUUAUGAGGAUUGGAUUGAUUUGUGGUUCACUUUUAUGAGUAAAGGCGUUUUUGUAACUAUGCUAAGUUGCAUCGGGGUUAGUGAACAAAGUUUCUAGAUUAGGCUAAUUGAUUAAUUAGAAGACUUUGUUGGUUAGUUAAUUAAUUAUGAUCUAUUUUGGCUAGAUUAGGUGACCUAAGCCCUUAGUAGGCUCAAGUCACUUAAACCAAUUAGGGAAUCUUAUAAAUACUCUUUUAGGGGUGAAUUAGUUGUCUUCUAUAAUGUAGAAAGAAUAGAGAGCCACGACCUCCUCCCUUGCAACCUUCUCAUUGGUUAAAUGCCAAAAUCAAGGUAUAGUCAAUGCAAUAGAAGAUCUUAGGUUUUUAAGACCUUCAACAACUUUGUUUAGAUACUUCACUGCAUGGAUUUGAUUUGGGAACAUCCAAAUCAAGGUAAAAGUUUUCUAACUUGAUAUCUAAAUCCUGUUAUUGAUUUAAAAUGCAUGUGUAGACCCCCAUUUGGGGCUCAUUCCUUUGCAUCUCUACAGGUUAUAAUUCUUUGCAGGUGGAGGGCUCUCAAGGAGCCACGUGUCGCCUCGUGGUUGGUGGUCAUAGAAACAGAUGGUGGAAUUGAGGAGCGAGUGAGAGUUUGACAAGUGGCAUGGAGAUAUUCUGGCCGUUAGAGAGGAGGUACGUUUCUGUUGUGGAAGAGUAGCAGGCCAACUGCAGGAACAGGGGGGGUGCCUUUUCAGCAGGAGGAGCGUAUGAAAGAGAGAAGGAUCUCUUGAGCUGGAGGAGAGUUUCCGGGAGGCUGGUUACAGAAGAGAGAGAGAGAGAUUUGAGAGGAGGGGGAGGAUCCCAUGGACGACUGUGAGAAAUUCUGGAGUCUUGGAGUUUGAGCUGAGGAAGAGAGAUAUUUUUNNNNNNNNNNNNNNNNNNNNNNNNNNNNNNNNNNNNNNNNNNNNNNNNNNNNNNNNNNNNNNNNNNNNNNNNNNNNNNNNNNNNNNNNNNNNNNNNNNNNUGUUAGAGAGGGUGUGCUUUCUCUGCUGUGGAGAAGAGCUUUUUGUUUGGUUUUUUUUGGGGGGGAAGACAUGAGAGGUUGGACGAAGAAGGCUGGCAGCUAGGGAGAAGAGAGGAGCGUCUCCUGCAGAGUAGAGGGAUUCUGGGAGAGCUCGUUUGGGCUGUAGAGAGAGAAGAGAGUGAGAGAGAUUUUGGAAGAGCUUCAGGGAGUUUUCUUUAGAGAGGUGAGGGAUUCCAGGGUAAGUUUGGGGGGAGUUAGAGGAGGAUAUUUUGAGUAGAGGAGAGCUUUUGUUGGGGUCAUUGGGAGAAAGACGGGGGCUGCAGAGAUCUUUUUGGGGGGAGAGAGAGCUUUUGUGUGGUUUUUUUUUAGAGAGAGUCUGGAGCUUGAGAGAGGAGCCAAGAGGGGUUACAGAGAAAAGGAAGGUGCUUUUCAGAGGGGCUGCAAGAGAGAUUCCAGGAGCUGCAGAGGAGGAUGGUUUAGCUCGAGAGGGGGGGUGCCUUUUGAGGCUCGGCUGGAGAUAUUUUCUAGGCAGAGAGACGUUUGAGGAGAGAUUUUUCUGGACAGUUGCAGCCCAAAACAUCCAGCGGAGGAAGAGACUUUCAGGUUUGGUUACUAUGGUUGUCACAUACGUUUUCAUUCUUCAUGCCUUUCAUACAUAUCUUAUUCUCUUGGAUUUUCAAUUCCGUUUGUUGGGUUGUUUUGGUUUGGAAUUGUUUUGGUUUAAUAUCUGAAGAGCUUGCUGUAUGUUGUGCUCUGUUCUUGUAAGCAUUCUCUGUUUUCUUUUAACCCACUGAUUGUUGGACCUAUGGAUGUAAUGAUGAAAUGGGUCUGACAUGAUUGUUAAAGGCUUCAUGUUCAUUUCCUGUUAUUAUUCUCUGGUUCCUCCGUUUUCCUCUGGACGUGCCUUCAAGUUUGUAAGGUUGGGAGAUAUUGGAUUGAAGGUGAACAUAGCGGUUUAUGGUAAGAUGGUUGCUGGGUCUGGGUUUUCGGUAUUGAUGCAUCCUAGAAGAAUGGUAUGUCUGUAAGAGGUGGCUCAUCCCUUUUCCUUGUGGACCAAAGCUGGAAUUGCAUGAACGGGAGUGAUUCGUGGUAGAAAGUCAUUGAGGUCAAAACAUGGGAGGAGAUUGUUGCAGCCACUGGGUCUUGUUAGAAUCUAUCUGCCAUUGGGAUUAUUCUGGAGGAUUGAAUGCUACUUGAUAUAGAAUUUCAAGUUUCUGAGACGCCAUGUUUGGAAGGGCAUUUGUGUUUAUCAUAUCUCAAACUGCUGGGAGUGUUCUUUGUUGUAAAUGAUGCAUACUGAUGGGUCAUUAUACAACUGAAUCUCUUCAAUAGAGAUCAAUGUAUCAAUUAUAGCCAAAGAGUCACCUGCUCAGCACAUUCAAGAUCCCACUGCUAUGGUUCCUGCCUGUGUACAUGCGAAGUUCAUAGCUUGCCUGUCAACAUGCAUCUAAUGAACAUGAAUGUCUAGUAUAUGAGGGAGAGAUCUUAUAUGAUACAGGUCAUUGUGAGGAAGGGCUUCGGAAAGCAAAAGAGUCUAUUAGCCUUAAAAGGUCUUUUGAGGCCUUCUUUUUGAAAGCUCAUGCAUUGGCUGAUUUUAGCCAAGAUCCAUCCCACUCAUAGUUCAUGCACAUACCCAUCUAAUCCCACCACUACAACCUCUUCUUUCCCUGCAUCCUCACACUCCACCCUACCUAUCACUCAUCUAUCCAACUCGUCUCUCCAUUCCGUAUACCCGUCACCCACCAUUCAUCCCUCGUGAUUUCAUUACCAUAUUCCAAUGGUCACCCGUUCAUCUCUCCUCCUACCCGUUCCACUAAUCAAACCCAUAAACCCAUAUUCCCUCAUACCAUAACCCUACACUCAUCUCCAACAAUUUUCUCUUGGAUCCGGAGAUUCUUAAGCCCACAAUCAGUGAAAAGUCAAUGGUGCUGAUUCUUUGUUCACCAUCAAACCCAACGUGAUCUGUACAUCCCAAGAAACUCCUAGAGGAGAUUGCUGAUAUUGUAGCAAAACAUCCUAGACUCCUGGCAUGUGGGAGAGAACACUUACUGUCAAUGGAUUUUCAAAGACUAUUGCAAUGACUGGUUGUCGACUUGAAUACCUGGCUGGUCCAAAACACUUUGUGGCAGCAUUGCAGAAUGCUCAGUAGAUAGCUCCAUCAUCAAGACAACCUAUAUGCUGACAUAUGAGAGUGCAUCUGAAUUUCUUCAUUUGAACCUGGAAGUAGCAAGGGUAGCAUCUCUAAAUCUGUUGGUUUGAGUGUGACCUUAACCUCUAGGUUUGAUAGUUCGAUCGAUUCAAGCCCAAUUAUCCUGUUUAUGAAAGGAAUACCAGCUGAACCUAGGUGUGGUUUCAGUCGAAAAGCAGUUGAAAUCCUUCAACAAGAAAAGGAUAGCUCUGUCCAGCAGUGUUUAGAUGCAUUUUUGCAUGUUGUGUCAUCUACUAUACCGGGUUUGCUGGAGAUAUUCAGCAAAUGAUGGGAGAAAUGGCGGCAUGGCCAAAUUGCUGUCCUUACCAAUCAGGCUGCCCCAAAAAUUAAUGUUCAUUUGUUUCCUGUUGUUCUUCAUCUUCUUGAGAACACGUCCGUGGGUAAGGAGGACGACAGAAAAUAGCGGGUUAGAGAUGGAUACAUCUUUGUUUCAGGAAGCUGCCACGUUCAUAAAGCUAAAUAUAGGUUAAAGUGGAGGGACUGAAUUUUGAUUACAGCCGGAGCUAGGGCUACGGGGUCGGUGACAGAUGACCUCUUCAUGAAGUCCAUGGAAUCAGCGUCGAAGGAUGAUACUGAGUUGAGCACAAAAUAUGAACAACAAGGAGGGUUAUGGCGUUCUCUGGACUGCUCUUUCUGGUAUUAUGCCUGAACCACCUACUAAAUCAGUAGUUUUGAGUCACAUGGAGCUGCUCCUUAAAGACGAGAUAUAUGCCCGAUUGACUAGAAAGUGGUCUCUUUUACCUGAAGAAAAUGGAGACACGUGGGCAGACUUGCUGUCAUACAGCAAGGAAGUUUGAAACAGCUCUCAUUGCUGUAGUAAGAAAGCCACCCUCAUUGCCGACAACGUUCUGCCCUUGCGCUCUACUCCCGAAGGUGCCGAGGUCUGUAACGUUGAAGAUCACGUUAGUGAUCGAGGUGUCUUCGCCAGAGCAUCCGGCGAGUGAGCUAUUGUCGCCAGCCACGACCCUGAUAAUGGCACCAGCAGAAUCAAGCUCCCAUACCACCUUUUUCUUUAACAGCCACGUCGGCCAGAAGGGGAAAUGGUCCAGCUGUAGCAAUCCCACUGGUUGUUUUGGGAAUUCAAAAUGAGACAAAGGUGUUGACUUUAUUGAAACUUUGGAUAUUUUAAAUGAGCAUGAUCGUCUUAAAAUGGGAGUUCUUGAACGAGGAUCCAGUAGUCAUGGCAAGACGCACUGCCCUGGCAAAGAGGCUUGAGUUAUACAGAAGCGCUCCAGCUGAAAUUGAAGAGGGGGUGUUGCUAGAAUCACUGGUACAAUCUUUCAAACGAGUUCAAGGUACAGUUGCAGUGGAAAUCCUUCUAUCAAACUGAUUUCAUUCUCCAAACAAGCAGUUGAAACUUUGAUGAUAAGUGGGUCCAGUCAUUUAUGGUCAGACUCUCCCGAGGAUUGAGCACAUAGUUAUACAGUUGUGAUUAUAUCCCCAAGUACUAACAUGAGUGAAGAUCUGAAAUUUCAGCAGUGGGUAGGAAUCCAUUAAAUUUGAAGUAAAGAAGUUCUCUUUCUUGCACAAGAUGAUCUUUGAGAGGCAUGAAAAAUACGUUUAUCUGAGAUUGGUUGAAGAUAUCAUCUCAAAUAAUGUUCAAAGGGAUGAUAAGACAAGGACUGGUACUUUAUCGAAGUCUGGUUGUCAGAUGCGGUUUAAUCUAUGAAAAGUUUUUCCGUUUCUUACAACUAAGAAAGUAUUUUUGGUGGUGGAUCGUUGAAGAACUGUUAUGGUUCAUCAGUGGCACAACAAAUGCAAAGGUCCUACAGGAAAAGGGAAUUCAUAUAUGGGAUGGCAAUGCACCCAGGGACUACCUUGAUAGUAUUGUUUUGGAAGACAAAGAUGAGGGGCCUGUCUCAGAUUUUAAUGGCUCAGAAGCUGGGAAUGAAUUUUAAAAAGUCAUAGCAGGUCAGGGUGCCUACCCAUUCUAAUCUCAAGAGAGCGACAGAUGCAAUCUCCCACACCACAGAGUUGUAUUAGUGGCGCAUCCGGUCUACGUGCAGAACCUCAUUAUGCAUGGCCACCUUUGGCAUGCAAUUUUUGAUCAUUUGUCAUUGCUCUUUCCCUGCAUCAUUGGUUUAAAAAAAUGAUCUCCCAAGAUCCAAAUUUAAAGCAGUUUUCCAAAUCUUGGCUUUCAAAUAAUUUCGAAUCUUUGCAAUUUUCUUCUUUAGGCUUGUUAAGUUCCAAAAUCUCAUUUUCCAUAAAAUUUGGCCGCCAUUCUCUCUUCGGCGAGCCACUUUUGAAUUUUCUAUGAUUUUCAAAAUGUUUUAAAAUAAGUGUGAAUUUAUUUUCGUAAUUCUUAAUUAUAGAAUUUACGAAAUUAAUUCACUCAAAAAUAAAAUGGGCUUUGGUGGGGGCCCUACAUCAAAGAAUUUUCUUUAAAAUAAAAAUCAAUUUGAAUGAAUUGUGACGUGAUGACUUUUGUGCUCGAUUUAGCGACAUGUGAGCUAUGUUUAUGCUCUUUAUUGUACACUGACCCAAUUUUUUGUGAUAGCGCAUUGAUCGUUUGAUGCUAAGGUACGCCCCGCUCUCACUUUGAUCAUUCUUCAUUGGGUGUUCUGAUUUUCAUACGUGCAUAAUCAUUCUGGGUAUUUUCUGAUUUACACAUCAAUUGCCAUGUCAGCUUCACCUCAUUAGUAGAGACCCGACUUAGGGACUUAGAGGGGUGCUACGGUCUUCACCGUACCUUCCCGAUAAGUAACCUGACCCCCGAACCUGAUCCGGUUUUUCGUAGAUCACCUUUUCCAAAAUAAGGAGUCACACUUAGGGUUUUUCUUUCUUAUUUUGUUUACCCUUUAAAAAUAAAACAAAAAUAAGUGGCGACUCCAAGUCAUUUUCAAAUAAUCAAUAAAAACCAAUUUUUCAAAAUAAAAUUCGAGCUCGCCAUUCGAGUGGGAAACGCAUUGAGCCGAAAUGCGGGGUCCACAGCAUGUUUUCCUUUGUGCUUAGGAUUUAGAGAAAGCUUAGGAAGAUUUUCAUGUAUCUAACAUGAUCUAGGUACAAGAAACAAAAGUAUCUAGGAUUUCUUACAAAAAUCCAGUAGAUAGUAGGUCAUAGGCCCGAACUUUAACUUAUUAUAAUUAUAUAAGAUAUUAGAGUGUAGUUGACUCUCUUUAAUGGAGUGUUCAGUCAACCUCAAAAUUGGAUUUUAAGAGUCAAUAUUUUCCUAUGGGUUCCAGUAGUCCCCACUCAAGCUCCCAUUUCAUGGUGGCACAUUUGUUUGAUGGAUUUUGUGUUUGUAGUUCACUAAUGUGUAUAAGUGGCAUUUUGGUAAAAGUACAAAGUUGCACUAGAUCUUGUGUGCAGUAGAGUUAAUUAAAUUAAUUAGAACCGAAGUGAGAUGAAUUAAGUGACCUAAGGCCAAUUUGGACUCAAGUCAUUUAAGCCCACAGGGAAGUCUAUAAAUACCACCUUAGGGGUUAGAGUUUCAAACUUUUGCCAUUUUUCUUUUAGAAAGAGAAAGCAAACCCUAGCAACCUUUAAGUGAGACAAAAAGAGAGAAGCCUUCCUUUCUCUUAUGCGAAAGUUUGUUGUGAAAGAAGAGAUCGGGUGCAAAAUUAUUGAGUAGACGAUUUCUAUGACACAUUUUAGGGAUUGGAUUUAAUACGGGAACAUCCAGAUCAUAGGAAUGAAUUCUAAUAUCUAAAUCUAGUAUAUUUUAUGGAUUUUAUAACUAUAUUUUUCCAUUGCAUUAGAUCUAGAGAAGCUUAGAGAUAUUUAAAUGGACUCUAUAUGAUCCAAGGUUAAGAAACAGUAAUUCGAAGUUCCCAUUAGAGUUAGUGAACAAUAUUUCUAGAUUAUUAGGUUGACAAAUUAAUUUAAGCCCCCAAUUAGAAACCUUUUUAGGUUAAAUUAAGUGGCUCAAGUCUAAGGUAUGCUCAAGUAACUUAAACCUAAUGGGAAGCCUUAAAUACCUCUUGAGGGGUUAGGGCUUUAGACUCUUAGACUUUUACUUCUUCCAUUCUCUUUUACAUGUCUAGAGAGAGAGAACCUAGCCCCUCCACUUUUCUCAAUCUCUACCAUCUAAGUAUCUAGCUUCAAGGAGGAGUCAUUGAGGAGAAAACCAAUGGUUUCAUGAGAUUUUCAAUGACUACUAUGCGUUUGAGAACCUUCUUCACCACAAGGCUGUUUUGCUUCAUUGGUGGGGGAUAAGCUUAGGAAAGCAUGUAUGCACCUAACAAGAUCUAGGGAUAUGAAAUGGAGUGAUCUAUUUUUUCCUACAAUUUUAGCUUUCUUACUUGUAGUUUUAAUUGACCAUAUGUAUAGCUUUUCCUAGUUAAAAUUUUAAUUUUUUUGAACGAUGUACAAUGCACUUAUUUUGUUUUUUAAAAGAAUGUGUUUAUUUUUCUUAAUAAUGUACUUUCUUUUUUGAACGAUAUACUUAAUUUUUUAAGAAAUGUAUUUAAUAUUUCUAAAGAAUUCCCUUAUUUUUCUAAGGAAUCUAGUUAUUUUUCUUAGAGAAAUACUUAUUUUCUAAAAAUGUACUUGUUUUUUUUCAUAUUGUACUUCUUUUAAAAAUGUACUUAUUUAUACUAUCACAAAUAAUUGAAAAUUAAUUAGCAAAUUAUACUAAAACAUUAAUGUAUAUGAUUCAUAUACAAUGUACUUAUUUUCUUAGGAAUGCAUUUUCUAAAGAAUGUUCUUAGUUUUUUUUAGGGAUGUACUUAUAUUACUUAAGGAUGAAACUUAUUUAUAUUGACAGAAAUAAGUGAAAGUUGGUGAGAAAUUUAUGAUAAAACAUAUACAGUUGGAAGAGAUCCCGAGAUUCUGAUUUUUAUGUCUGGCUUUAGGGAUCAUAUCGGGGCCUCAAAAUUCUAUAUCACUGUCAGGUUGUGGACAUUCUACCCAGCCGGAGCAGAUCCCUUGGCUUGCGGAUAUGUCAACAAUUGAAAAAGUCUGCACCCAUUUUCAAUAUUCUUAGGUUUGAAGUUAUCAGCAGACAUUCAUUGUGGAGUACGUACAUACAUGACUUGUACAAAUUGAAAAUGACUUCAAAUAAUAAAAGAUAUUUAUUCAUAGUUUUAAUGCACUCAACGAAAAGUAAUCUCUUCUAUUAUUAUUAUUGUUGUUGUUAUUAUAAUUAUCAUACUACCUCAUAGAAAGGACUUCUACAAUUGAAAAUAAUCACAUGGUAAAAAUAGAUUUUAUUUGUUUGUAUCUUACAAUAAUCUUAUUAUAUAUAUAUAUAUUAUCCUUUAUACACGUUUUUUUUUUUUCAGUUUUGGUUGUAUAUUUUUAAUUUAAUAUUUUUUUUAAAAAGAAAAAAAGAUUCACUUUCCGUCAAUGUCUCAAAUUUCAAAUAUGUUCGUGCUCUAAAAAUUGUCAAGUUGUAGUCUUGUAGCCUAGAAUGUGAAGUGAGAGUUUGAUGAAAAACGAAAUAAACAAAGAUAUAAAAUAUAAUUUGUGAGCAAUGAUGAAAAUAUCAGUUUUGAUAGAUAUAUUAAUAACUCGAUUUUACAGAUAUGAGGGUAUAUAAGAAAAUAUUGGUAAAUAUUUUGACACAAAAUAUCAAUGAAAAAAAUUGAUUAAAACUCAUGAAAAUAUUGAAAAAAAAAACUCUGAAACAUGAUAAAAUAAGCAAUAAUAUAUUUAUUAAAGUUUUUUUAUUGUAAAACUUAAAAACACAAAAUUAUCAACAAAUAUCAAUGAAAAUUUUGAAGAAAAAAAAAGAAGCAAUAAUGCAUAAUGAAGUUAUUUAUUAAAAAAUGAUAUAAUUUAAUAUAAUUAAUGAUAUUCGAUAAUAAUAUACAUAAUUUAAGAAUUUAAAAUAUAUUUAAUAUUCAACAUAUAAAAGAAAUUAUGAUAUAUAUAUAUAUUAAAAAAUUAUUAUGAUGAUUUGUAUAAUUUGAACAAUUUUUAAAUGGAAUAUGAAAAUGAAAUAAUUAAAAUGUACAAACAUAGUCCUGUAAGUCGUUGAUUAAUGUGUUUAUCAUGAUCAAAGAUCCGGAUAAUGUAUAUAAUUGAAAAUUUAUUAGCAAAUAAUUGUCAAAUGUUAAUGUAUAUAAUUUAUAUACAAUGAACUUAUUUUUUGAGGAAUGCAUUUUCUAAAGGAUAUUCUUACUUUUUGGAGGCAAGUGAUUAUUUUUUUAAGGCUAAACUUAUUUAGAUUGGAGCAAAUAAGUGAAAGUCCAUGAGAAAUUCAUGAUAAAACAUUAAUGCACAUAAUUUAUAUAUUAUGUACUCAUUUUUUAUUUUUUUAGAAAUGUACAAAUAAUGGAAAGUUCAUUAGCAAUUUAUAGUAAAAUAUUAAUGUACAUAUUUUUUUGAAGGAUGUAUAAUAUACGUAUUUUUUAAAGGAAUGUAUAUAUUUUUUUUCAAGAUAUAGUUAUUACAUACCUAAGACUACAUUUAUGUUCAUAUUGAAAUUAAAGAGCUUUCAUAAGAGAAAGUGUGGCCACUUGAUCAUAUAAAAAAAGAAAAAAAGAAAAAAAAGUAGAAAAAAAAAGGGUAUAUAUCAAACACUUUCAAUUAUGAUUUAUCAUAUCAAAGAUUUUAAAAAGGGACAAUUCAUUUAGUUGUUAUUUAAAUGCUUAUUUUAGAAAUAAUUUUAUCCAUUGUGUGUUUGGGAUGAAAUGUGAAAGUUGGAAUCCUAAAAAAUAUACUUAUAUAUUUUUGAAUUAAUGUAUGUCACCAUAGUUCUCCCAAAAAAUGGCCUGGCUUCAUCAUACUUCUGUUUUUAAAUUUUUAAAUUUUAAAAUAAAUUUUCAUGAAUCACUUUUAAAUGUUUUUUAUAGAAAAAAUUUAAAAUAUAAAAGUAUGGACGUCAUCAAGGGACUUCAGAAGAGAAGAUCUCAUAAUUCUAGAGCAUGCUUAUUUAUCCGCCUAUGUGAAUUAUGUACAAAAUUCCAUUUAAUAUGAACAUAAAAUUAAUUGAAUUAUGUGGCUUUUUUUUUUUCUUUUACGCAUAAUAUAACAUAUACAAUUGGAAGAGAUCCCGAGAUUCUGAUUAUAUAUCUGGCUUUAGGGAUCAUAUCGGGGCCUCAAAAUUCUCUUUCACUGUCAGGUUGUGGACAUUCCACCCAGCUGGAGCAGAUCCCUUGGCUUGCGGAUAUGUCAACAAUUGAAAAAGUCUGCACCCAUUUUCAAUAUUCUUAGGUUUUGAAGUUAUCAGCAGACAUUCAUUGUGGACUACGUACAUGACUUGUACAAAUUGAAAAUGACUUCAAAUAAUAAAAGAUAUUUAUGCAUAGUUUUAAGGCACGCAAGGAAAAGUAAUCUCUUCUAUUAUUAUCAUUGUUGUUGUUAUAAUUAUCAUACUACCUUAUAGAAAGGACUUCUACAAUUCAAAAUAAUCACAUGAAAAUAGAUUUUAUUUGUUUGUAUCUUACAAUAAUCUUAUUAUAUAUGUAUAUAUAUCUUUUUGUGGACCCUGCAUUUUGCUUAUGCGCUGCCACUCAAUGGCGAUGUUUUUUUUUUUUUUUUAGAAAAUGACUUGGAGUCACCAUUUAUUUUUGUUUUAUUUUUGAAGGAUAAAUAAAAUAAGAAAGAAAAUCCUAUGUGCGACUCUUUAUUUGGAAAAGGUGAUCUGUGAAAAACAAAAAAAAAAUGGCUCGGGGGUCAAGUUACUUAUCGGAAAGAUACGGUAAAGACCGUAACACUCUUUUAAGUCCCUAAAAACGGGUCUCUACUAAUGAAAUGAGACAAUUAUGACAAUUGGUAGGGAAAUCAAUGGAUAUCAACAUGAUCACACUCUGAAAGCCAAAGCAUGUAUGGAAGACAAUCAAAUUGAGAGAGUGCGUACCUUAGUAGCAAACCAUAAUGCGCUAUCAAGAAAUGGGGUUAGUGCGAAACAAUGAUCAUAAAAUAAGUCACAUACAUCACUAAACAUGAUAAUAAAUCAUCAGAUAUCACACUUCACUCAAUUUUAUUUUCAAAGUACACAUUCACUGAUGUUGGGCCCCCACCAAAGCCCAAUUUAUUUUUGCAUGAAUCAAUUCCAUAAAUUCCAUCACUUUGAAUUACAAAAUUCAAUUCUUGCUUAUUUUAAAACAUUUUAAAAAUCAGAGGAGAUGAGAAUUGCAUGCCGAAGAAAAUGACAGCAUAUCUUAUUGGCAAAAAUGGAUUUUUGGAACCUAAGAGAAAUGCUAAGGAUGAAAAAAAGGGAGAGUUGAAAUUAUUUUUGAACAAACUAAAAUCUGGAAAAUUAUUUGAGGAAUGGGGGUGUGGGAAAUUAUAAAAAAAAAAACAAGAUGGAAAAGUGAAAGAAAGCCAAUGUGUCUACUAGGGUUGCAUGCCAAAAGUUAGCCAUGCUGUUUUCUCCUGUAGCUUCUCUUUUCAAUACAGUGAGACCAAUUAGAAAAACUGAUUCAACUUCUGAACUUGUAGCCCUCCGUCAUCCUGACCACUUCUGACACUUUGGGACGGUGGGCAGGCAGAUAUGGAGUGUACAGUAAGGCCACUUACAACAAUUCUCCCACGUCGAGCCUGUCACAGUUGUAGCUUAUUUGGUGGUGUGAGGCUGACCAGGUCCUCCACAAUCUCUUCUGACCGGUUUCUCAGAUUAUCAAAUGAUUUCUCCACCUAAGCAUGAGUAUUGUAUAGCACAUGUCUUUCCAGGUAGUAUUUAGGUUUGCAUACAUGUUCGACCAAAUAAUCAGGAACGACCCAAGGUAUCUCAUGUCUCAGGAACUCCUCCACAAACACGCUUCAGAGUGUCAAAAGGGGGGUGCAAUGCACUGUCGCAAUAGCUACAAUUCAUAUCCAGCUGGUACGACCACUAACAAUAUCAAGGUCCAUCUCAGUAGGGUCGUUUGCUUGCAACUCCACCAGAAUCCCAUCAAACUCUCUCUAAAUCAGCCUUUGGCUUGCAUGAAUCAUUUCACGUUUGACCCUUAAUAUAUUAGGACACCAUGCAACGAAGGACGUCAUGCUUUUCUAGCAAUCCUCUUCAGUCACAGAAUCAAAAUCAUAGGCGGCAUGUCGACACUCAUCAACUUCAAAUGGAUUUUCUGGUUUUUGCGUCCUCUUUGAAAAAUAUUGAAAUAGUGUGGUGGUUCACCUUGGAGCGCUGAAUGGGAGGAGAAGAUGUUGGAAAGUCAAUCUUCCUAAAUCUUCCAUAUUAAGAAUAGAUGAUCUGUAUAUGUUAGUUUUCCUAUUGUAAUUCCUGACUUAUAGCUGGAUAGCCUAGAAUAUGGUAAGCUAAUUCCUUACUUGUAGAAAAAGAUCUCAAACCUCCUUGUAUAAAUACACACUUCAACAUCAAUAAUAUUAUUCAGCCAAUUCCCUUUGUCAUUCAUAUGUUCAUGGUAUCAGAGCAGGACUAAAAUCCUGAUUCAUCGCUGCACUCUAAUCUCUCGUGUAACAUCUCUUUUCUUCAAUCAUCAAGGCAAAAUCAGAGAUUCCUACAGAUUUCUCAAAGGCAGAUCUCUCCAAUCCCUAUUUCACUCACCAUUCAGAUCACCCAGGUUUGGUUUUGAUUUCCAAAUCUUUCAGUGGAGACAAUUAUUCAGCUUGGAAAAGGGCUAUGAUUCUAGCUUUAAAUUCCAAGAACAAAUUGGGUUUUGUUAAUGGCUCAAUCAAGGCUCCUUCAGAAGAAAUUGAUCUUGAAGGUUAUGCGACUUGGUCACGGUGUAAUGACAUGGUUCACUCCUGGAUCGUCAAUACUCUCAAUCCAGAAAUUGCGGACAGUGUAAUCUAUUAUUCUACUGCUCAUGAAGUUUGGGAAGAUCUCUGUGAGCAAUUCUUUCAAAGCAAUGCGCCUCGCAUCUUUGAAAUUCAGCGAUAUAUUGCUUGUCUUCGACAAGAGCAACUCUCUGUCUAUGCCUAUUACACAAAAUUGAAAGGCUUGUGGGAUGAACUAGCUUCCUACAACGCUGCAGCACAUGGGGCACAACAAGAUCAACAAAAAUUGAUGCAAUUUCUGAUGGGUUUGAAUGAAUCUUUUAGUGCUAUUUGCGGGCAAAUCCUCAGAAUGAAUCCUCUCAUUUCUGUCUGCCAAGCAUACUCCUCUAUCUCUCAAGAAGAAAAACAGCGCCUCCUCACUUCAACGAAUGCAGCAGCGGAAUAUGCUGCAAGUGCUGCUAUGGCCGUGCGCAGCAACGACAAGUUUUCGGCAACUUGGAAGGACGGAAUAGAUCGAUCGAACAUAGGAAGGAUGGAACCGACUGAUCGCCCCUCUGGUUCUCAAAAUUUCCGGGUGAAUCGGUCUUCUCAGGGACAAGAUGGCAGACCAUUUUUUGAUCAAGAUCGGCGCCGCAUGGGUUCUGGAAGAGGACACCCCCAGUGCUUGUAUUGUGGAGAUAUGGGUCAUUGGGUCCAAAAGUGUUUUCAACUACAUGGAUACCCACCAGGCCAUCCUAAAGCAAGAAUGAACUUAGGCUCAAACUUAAAUCGGAAUAAAAGUUUUUUUGCGGCUAACCAAGUUUCUGAGGCAGAUGAAGGGAAACCUGCAGUUGCAUUGUCAAAAACCCAACUCAAGCAACUUUUGUCACUUCUUAAUAACCAAGAUGAAAACUCUAGUUCCAAAGUGAAUGCGGUAACAAAGCCAGGUUUGUCCAAAGUCGCUUCCCGCAAUUGGAUUAUUGAUAGUGGGGCGAUGGAUCAUAUUACUUCAUCCUCUAAGUUAUUGCAUAAAGAUAAAAAUUGCUCAUUACCUCCCGUAUUGUUGCCUAGCGGAGAAAAAACGAAUAUUGUUACGAAAGGGUCUUUGCCUUUGAAUUUCGUCUAUUAUCUGCAUGAUGUCUUAUCUGUGCCUACAUUCAAAGUUGAUUUAAUAUCAGUUAGUCGUUUGACAAGAGGUCUAAAUUGUUCAAUAGCGUUUUUCCCUUAUUGGUGUAUUUUGUAGGAUUUAGCUACAAGGAGGAUGAUUGGUUUGGGUAAACAACGUGACGAACUAUACUAUUUCGUGGCACUAGCGACGGAGAAAUCUUUAGCCAACCAUUCCUCAUCCAUAAACCAACCAGCCUAUAAUCUCACCAUCUCUUCCACCGAUCUCUGGCAUAGUCUCUUAGGCCAUAUAUCACCUUUUCAUUUGAGUUUCAUUGCCAAGAAUUUUUUGAAUUUUUCUGUUCAGUCCAAUAAUGCUUGUCCUAUAUGUCCUUUGGCUAAGCAAAGUUGUUUACCUUUUGGUACUAGUGCUAUUUCUUCUACAAAACCUUUUGAGAUUAUUCAUUGUGACAUUUGGGGUCGUUAUCGACACCCUUCUCUGUUUGGUGCCCAUUACUUUCUCACUAUUGUCGAUGAUUAUACACGUUUCACAUGGAUAUUUUUAAUGCGACAUAAAGACGAAACACAAUCACUUUUAAAACGUUUCUUCAGCUAUGUGUUCACACAAUUUGAAUUUCGCAUUAAAACUUUUCGAAGUGACAAUGGUGGAGAAUUUACCUCACUUCAUUCUUUUUUUCAAGAUAAUAGGGUCAUCUUUCAGCAUUCUUGUGUUUACACGCCUCAACAAAAUGAGGUUGUGGAACGCAAACAUCGUCAUAUUUUACAAGUAGCCCGAGCUUUGAAAUUUCAUGCUCAAGUUUCCAUUCAAUUUUGAGGAGAGUGUGCUCUCACUGCCGUACACAUCAUCAAUCGGUUACCUUCACCAGUAUUGUCUUUCAAAACUCCUUUUGAAUUGCUUUACUCAAAACCACCUUCUUACUCCCAUCUCCGUGUUUUCAAAUGUUUAGCCUAUGCCACCAAUGUUCACACCUCUUGAUUACCGUGCCAUGCCAUCCAUCUUCAUCGGUUAUCCUGUUGGUCAAAAAGCAUACAAAUUAUUUGAUUUAUCAACCAAAAAGGUCUUUACUAGCCGAGAUGUCAAAUUUCAUGAAGAUAUUUUCCCUUAUGUCUUUCUCAAGCCCAACUCUACUCUCCCUUUGUUGACCCAUAAUUCUGGUCCAAUCCCCUUGGUGGCCCACGACAUCUCUUCCUUCCUUGACUCUAAUUCUCACGCACUUUCCCCUCUUCUUUCCGACCACACAAGCACGCCGUCUCCCACCACAGAAAAUGACGACUUUUCCUCUCCUUCUCGACCUUCCGAAAUCGUUAUCGAACCUUCUUCUUAGAUUGAUCCAAACCUUCCACCAUCGCCUUCUGCAACUCUAGUAUCGCCUUCUCCGAUGCCACCGUUUGCAUCCAUCUCGUUCGCUCCUGCAACCGAGACACCCAUCUUUUCACCAGAAACACACUCACCCAAACCAGCCGCUCCGCUCUGUCGCUCCAGCCGCCAUAUCGCCCCGCCAAUCAAGCUCCACGAUUAUGUUUGCUCCCACGUUUUCUCCGAUCAAUCGUCUUCCUUGAUUCCAGGUCCGACUAAAGGUACACGAUAUCCACUGUCCAAUUAUGUUUCUUAUCACAUAUAUAAGCCUGCAUAUAGAUCUUUUGAUGCUUAACAUAGUGCUGUCAUAGAACCCAUGUCUUAUUCGGAAGCCGCCGCUCAUCCUGAGUGGUAUGAGGCAAUGCGUUCUGAAUUGCAGGCUCUCCAAGCUAAUGGCACUUGGUCUCUCACUCCACUUCCGGCCGGCAAGACACCGAUUGGCUGUCGAUGGGUGUAUAAAAUUAAACACCGUUCAGAUGGGUCUAUUGAGCGUUACAAAGCACGAUUGGUAGCGAAAGGCUUUACUCAAUUAGAAGGUGUCGAUUAUCAGGAUACAUUUUCCCCCAUUGCCAAGAUCAUAUAUGUCCACUGCUUGCUUGCAUUGGCCGCAGCCCGUGGCUGGUCUCUUCAUCAAAUGGAUGUUAACAACUCUUUUCUUCAUGGUGACUUACAUGAGGAAAUAUAUAUGUCUCCGCCGCCAAGGCUUCGGCGAUAGGGGGAGGAAAACUUGGUAUGUCGCCUUCAUAAAUCACUCUAUGGUCUGAAACAAGCUUCUUGCCAGUGGUUCGCCAAGUUCUCAGAAGCUAUUCGAUCCGCCGGUUAUGCACAAUCUCAAGCCGAUUAUUCUUUGUUCACCAGACAACAAGGCAAGUCCUUUACCGCCCUCUUGAUAUAUGUUGAUGAUAUUCUGAUUAUUGGAAAUGAUCCUGUGAGCAUUGCUACAACAAAAAAAUUUAUGCAUAGUCAUUUUCAUCUAAAAAAUCUGGGUGAUUUAAAAUACUUUUUUGGCAUUGAGGUUUCUGCUUCUAAAAAUGGGAUUUUUAUUUCCCAACGUAAGUAUGCAUUAGAGAUUAUUGAGGAUGCAGGAUUGUUGGGCGUUGCCCCUAUUGAUACACCUAUGGAACGAGGAUUGAAAUUGUUUGAUAAGAGCGAUUUGCUCAAGGAUCAAGGUCAUUAUAAGAGAUUGGUUGGAAGGUUAAUAUAUCUAACUGUGUCAAGGCCAGAUAUCACUUAUGCAGUUCAUGUGUUAAGCUGGUUUAUGCAUCAUCCGAGAAAGGCUCAUAUGGAAGCAGCAUUCAGAGUUGUGCGUUAUCUCAAGAAUGUACCUGGUCAGGGUCUGUUCUUCUAUUCGAAUGAUGAUUUCAGAUUGAGAGCCUACUAUGAUUCUGAUUGGGCAGGUUGUCCACUUACUAGAAGGUCCACUACAGGCUACUGUGUAUUCCUUGGACCUUCACUGAUUUCUUGGAGAUCAAAGCGACAGAAAACAGUGUCACUCUCUUCAGCCGAAGCAGAGUAUCGUGCAAUGACAGGAGCUUGUUGUGAGUUGACAUGGCUUCGGUACCUUUUGAAAGAUUUGGGUGUUUUACAUCAGGAACCUGCCUUGCUAUAUUGUGACAACAAGGCAACGUUGCACAUUGCAGCCAACCCUGUUUUCCAUGAGCGUACUAAACACAUUGAGAUGGAUUGUCACUAUAUUAGGGACAAGAUCCAAGAUGGUUCCAUUAUUACAAGACAUGUGAGCUCAGCGCACCAACUUGCAGACAUUCUGACCAAACCAUUGGGAAAGGAGAUUUUUGCUCCUAUGAUUCGCAAGUUGGGAGUGCAGGAUAUCCACUCUCCAACUUGAGGGGGAGUGUUGGAAAGCCAAUCUUCCUUAAUCUUCCAUAUUAAGAAAAGAUGAUCUGUAUAUGUUAGUUUUCCUAUUGUAAUUCCUGACUUAUAGCUGGAUAGCCUAGAAUAUGGUAAGCUAAUUCCUGACUUGUAGAAAAAGAUCUCAAACCUUCUUGUAUAAAUACACACUUCAACAUCAAUAAUAUUAUUCAGCCAAUUCCCUCUGUCAUUCAUCUUUUCAGAAGAGAGCUGCGUUCUCAGCGGNNNNNNNNNNNNNNNNNNNNNNNNNNNNNNNNNNNNNNNNNNNNNNNNNNNNNNNNNNNNNNNNNNNNNNNNNNNNNNNNNNNNNNNNNNNNNNNNNNNNAAAUAGGUUAAUGGGUAUUAAAAAAAAUGAUUAUAUGCAUGGGGGCAUGAGGGGUGAAUAUGGAAAUGAGUGUGAGAAGGUGGCAGUGGGUAUGAUGGAAUAUGGGAGAUGGAAUGGAUGUGUAUACAUGUGGUGUGUAUGGGAGAUGUGGAGAUUGAGAAGUAAAGUAAAUGGGUAUGAAAGAUGGUCACAUAUGCAUGAAGAGGUAUGGAAAAUAGGAUGGGUACAUGGUGGAGUGUGAGGUUUGAUUAGGAUGGGUUCAAUAAGUAUGCUGGGUAUAGGCACUGGGUAUGGUGGAGUGUGAAAGGUACGUGGUAUAGAGAGAAGGGCAUGGUGGGUGCCAUGCAUGGCCAUGCAAGGAGCUGUAAUCAACAUCUCAUUUUUCACUAGGCUUUUCAGAAACUCUAAGCAAAUAAUUUGCGUAUCUAUUGGCAUUAGAAUCCAUGUAUAUAUGAAGCUUCAUCUCCGGCAUCUCGCGGACCUUGCACUAUAGCAUGAAAAUUGUUUUCUCUGAAUCGCUAGCUUACAUGCAUCCUCAGUAUAUACUCUUCUGACACCAACUUGAAUACAAAACGUGGAAAGAAUGCCUGUGCCUAAGCCAACAUCCACUACAACUUUGGCAACAAUAGGACUCUAAGGCUGCAUAGUUACUGCCUUAUAUGUUAUAGUCCUCACAUGAUACUUGAUCAAUCUGUCUUUAGCAAUUGACUUGUAUGCUAAACCCCUCUCCAGAUAGCUUAUCUUUCCCAGAGAUCAGUCAACUGCUCAAGGUAUUCCUCAAUACGCUGUUUGGGGCAAGGACUUUGUAACCACAGUUUACACCCUGAGCUUUUCAAGUGAUGAUACAUGAACCAAGCUACUCCACAACUAGUUACAUGUAAGCAAAUAGGCGUGAAGGAUGAAAGUGCUUAAAAACAGAGUAAGAAUGAUGAGACCCAAGAAAUAUUUAGGCAAAGACACAUUUCUAGAAUGAUAAACGAGAUCAAAACAGGUGGGACAAAUGGGAAAGCUUCAAUAUAACUAUCAAACAUCAAACCUAAGUCCAAAGAGGGAUCCCACCAUUUACAGGGGAAAAUCAAGAGUAUGAAAGGGGACAAAACAUAGCAAAUGUAAUGUGAGCUUAAGUACAACAAACCCAACAAUCAACGCUUAGGAUCAACAAUGACAAGGAAGAACACCAAGAAAUCCAAAGAGAAAGUGUCCGUAGUGAUCAUACCUGAGCUCCUCAAGUGAAAAUGGUUCAACUCCUUCUCCUCCAGAAUAUUUGGCUCCUCUGUAACAAAAAUCUCCAGCAACCAACACGUUUCUCACCUUCUCACAGCAAACGCUCCCCUCUUAGUCUUUUUCUGUUACCCUCCAGAAAAUGUCCUCCCUCACUUCCUCUCUGUAACUCUAAAUAUCCAGCUUGCUCCCCAAGAAAACGAAAAUGUCCCUCUGUAACUCCUCCUCCAGCUUGCUUUACUCCCUCUAUAAUCUCUCUGGUAGCCUCACUCUCUCUCUUGUAAUCCCAACUUUCUCUCCAAGCUACCUCCCCCAAGCCAAAAGAACACUUUCAAAAUCUCUCACCACCCUCUCCCUAGAAUCCUCUCAUUCCUGCCCCGUUUGCUUCUGCCCCAAGCUAAAAUGAACCUCCCAAAAUAUCUCCUUAUGUAACGAUCUGCAACAGCUCUCCACAAUCUUCCUAAACGGUCUCUAGUACGUGUCGUCCUUUGAUUCCUCAAGAAAAAUGUCACUGCCAGCCUCCUCUCUCAUGCACGUGCUACCAAGAAUAAAAACAGGUGGUAAAAAAUGCUCCCUAGAAUAUGUUUAUAUUAACAUCAUAAAUCCAAGAAUGUCUACACAGGAAUCUCAUGCCAAAUCAUAUAAAGAAAAACAUACCGAGUCCAUUUUGCAUUUUUGUUUUGAACAAGGUAUGGAUGAUCUUCUAAGGCUAUGGAGGGCACCACCUUUCUCUGAAUUCUCUCUGACGAUGGGAGCGGGAGAGAACGGUUCUUUUCUACUUUCAAAAGAUGUGAUAUAUAAUAGAACAAACACUUUCCUUAACAUUUUAUACCCUCCUACCUUAGGGACCUUCCCGUUUAAAAGAUUGGGUCAUAUGUGUCUCAGGCCCAUCAUCUAAGACACACAUGGUAUCGGGCUCUACACAUGAGGUGGCCCACACUUUAGUACUAUCAGUAAAUAAAAUACCGAAAAUUCGAAUAGCUUGAUCAUGAAUAAUUGUUAAAACAUGUGUGAGUCCAUAUCUUAACAGAAUACCCUUACCUAUAGACCAAAACAAGGGUCUACACUUAUCCUUUAUACACAUUUUUUCUUUUUUAGUUUUGGUCGUAUAUUUUUAAUUUAAUAUUUAAAAAAAAAAUUUGCACUUUCCGUCAAUGUCUAAAAUUUCAAAUAUGUCUAUGCUCUAGAAAUUCUCAGAAGUUGUAGUCUUGUAGCCUAGAAUGUGAAGUGAGAGUUUGGUGAAAAACGAAAUAAACAAAGAUAUAAAAUAUAAUUUGUGAGCAAUGAUGAAAAUAUCGGUUUUGACAGAUAUAUUAAUAACUUGAUUUUACAGAUAUCAGGAUGUAUCAGAAAAUAUUGGUGACUAUUUUGACACAAAAUAUCAAUGGAAAAAAAUGGAUCAAAACUCAUUAAAAUAUUUUUUUUAUAAAAAAACUCUUAAACAUGAUAAAAUAAACAAUAACAUAUUUAUUAAAGGUUUUUUUUUUUUUUUGUAAAACUUAAAAACACAAAAUUAUCAACAAAUAUCAAUGAAAAAAUUGGAAAAAAAAUAUCAAAAUUAAUAAAAACUCAUAAAAUAUUAGUAAAAACUAAAAAAAAAAAAAUUAUAUAAGAAGCAAUAAUACACAUAAUGAAGUUAUUUAUUAAAAAAUUGAUAUAAUUUGAUAUAAUUAAUGAUAUUCGAUAAUAAUAUACAUAAUUUAAGAAUUUAAAAUACAUUUAAUAUUCAAAACAUAAAAUAAAUUAUGACAUAUAUAUAUAUAUAUAUAUAUUAAAAAAUUAUUAUGAUGAUUUGUAUAAUUUGAAUAAUUUUUAAAUGGAAUAUGAAAAUGAAAUAAUUAAAAUUAAUUUACUUAUUAUUAUUUUAUUUUAUAAGUCUAGGAGUGCAACUGAUUACUACUCAAAAAGUGUUAUUCAUAGCUUGUAAUUAACUCUUUUAAACACUUUUGAGUAGUAGUUAUCACCUUUUAACCCAAGUAACAUAUUAAGGACCCUUGCAAUCAAUUCUAAUCAAAUUGUGUUAAGUUUUGGUGUUUUGAUAGCUUUUUUAUCACCAAAGCAAUCCGAGAUUGAGGAGAGUUCUUUGGAAUCCAUGGCAAAGCAAUGAAAAGCUGUCCGGAUAGGAUAUGCUAUCAUCCGAACAGGGCGUCCGGACACACCAUCGGAGAACGGCGGAACGUGGGCUGUGGCAGGCUGUCGAAAUGACGUAGCAAGGCUUGUGCACUUUAGUCAAUGAUCCGGACAACAUAUCCGGAUAGGAUAUGCUAUCAUCUGGGGUGUGAUAAUCGCGAGUGCCGUGUGCUUCUCCUUGAGGGAGUCCGGAUAGUGGAGCGUGCCGCCAUUCCACCCGGAUGUCUCACAUCCGGAAUUCUGCUUCGCCGCCAUUCCACCCGGAUAUUUCACAUCCGGCGCCUGACGCCGGAUGGGAGAGGAAGGCGUUUCAACUUCCCCGGUCAGACAUAUCCGAAUCCUCUGAUAGCGCUUACCCGGAGAGUUUCGCAGCCAUUUUGCACAGUGCCGCGGUGUUCUCCUGAAGCUUCCCGAUAUUUGCCACCGACAUUUGGAGAUAUUUUGCUUUAGAUAUUUGAUGUCUAAAUCCCCAAACUCUCCUUGUAACCCACCAAUUAUAGGAUCCCUUAGUUAUUAAGUAAGAACAAAGGGUGAAUAACCCCUUAUAUAUAGUUUGUAAUUUUAUAUAUAUCAUCAUGUGGAAUCUCUCGGGAGCUUGUUCUCAGGGAGACGACGUAUCCUUUGUAUAAUUUUGGAAGGAAGUAAAAUACAGAGCAUUUGCUCUGCUGUUCAUAUAUAUUUUUGUUUUUUUGUUAUUUUACUUUCUAGCCAAUCAAACUCUGAGGAUUUUUCCUCAGAGGAUGAGAGGUUAGGCUCUUUGUCUCUUAGAGUGAAGAAAGCCGGGUAAGUUUCCAAAUGCAUAAAUUGGAAGUUUUGUUGUUUUAGUUUUUAAUGAAGAGAAAGUGUGACCCGUUAAUGGUUUUUAUCUUUUUAGUUAACUUAAAACGCCUUUAAAUCACCUGGGCCAACACUUGAUAAGGCAAGUGAUCUCCAUCCAUUGAGAUGCACUAGUUUAUCUCUUGCGAGCCUUUGGGAGUUGGUUUGAAGGUAGGAUUUUCUAGAAUAGCCAACACUUGGUAAGCUUUUGGACUCUAAGGAGACAUCCAUUAGUUAUCUCUUGCGAGCUUUUGAUGGGUAAUCCAAGGUUAAGGAUCAUCUUGGAUGGAAAAUGCUAGGUGAGAGGCACGAGCCAUUGCAAGAUGCAUCAGUGAGAGGGAUUUAGUGUUUGAACCCAUUAAAGGGAAGCAUCUGUACCACACAGGUUCGGGAAAUAACUAUAUGUUAAAUCCCUAAUGCGAGGAAAAGAAACAAGUGAUCGGAACUCCCUUUUUGUAUAAGGAAUCUGAGCCCAGUGAUCUAAACUCCAAGAAACACUUUUGUUUGUAAGUAAAAUCAGUUAUUAUUUUUGGUUAGCUUAAAACCAACAUUUUCCACCAAAGAUUAUGUUUUCUUUUAAAGCUAACCUUGAAAUGAAAAGGCACCAAUUCUGCUUUGAAUUAAUAUCAAUUGUGGAGUGAAAACCCAUCCCAGUGAACGAUCCUAGAGCCACUAUGCUAUAGUACCCUAGUUCAUGGAGUAAUAGGUUAUAAAUUUUGUUGAUUACUACCUCAAUCAAGGAGCACCAGUUGGACAUGAAUUAGCUGAUACACCAAGUGGGCACGAAUUAGCAACUAUAUUUAAUUUAUAUGUGUUGCAUAUUUAAAAAAUGUUGAACUAGCUUAGUUGGUCAGAGCCCCAUCCAUGUGCACCCGAGACUCAGGUUAAAGCCUUAGUGUUGUUUCCAUUAAAAAUUUUCACAUGUUGACCCAAUAAUUUCAAUAUCGACAUUUUUCAUCCUUGUUUACAAGUACUUGGAUUCUAUUUGAAUAAAAAAAGGCACUCACAUCCUUGGAUUAAAUAUAUAUCCCAUGGAUAAGUUGUACUUAGCCACGGAUGAAGCUUUCUACUAUGACUUUAAAAAAGAAAAAUGUAAUAAAAAAACAGAUAGCAAUGUGGUUAUGUCGGCCAGUAGAUAGCUAAAAACUAAUUCUAAUCUUUUUGUUUCAAGAAGAAUGGAAUUCAUUUUUGUUAUUCAUGAAUGUGUUCUUAAAUACAGUGGAUGACAAUCAGUUCAUAUAAGAGAGUUUGUUUCUAACAGACUUAGUUUUUAAUAGUUAGUUAGUUUUAGAACUAACAAGCUAAUGUUAAUUGUGAAGUGUGGAAUCUAAUAGAGACAUUACAUUCUUGUUGCUGCUGAUGGGCUGCCAUGAUUGGUGUUUAUCAUCCCCUUACAAGCUCGCAAGGCAUAGAACUACAAACAGUUGAGUGUCGAGGGAAGAGAACUGGGAGCUUGGAAAAUUCUUGGUAAAUAUAUCAACUAGUUGUUCAGUGAAAGGUAUGUAUUGGAUGUGAAGGCCUCGUUGAAGGACCUUAUCACACAUAAAGUGAAGGUCGAUUUCUAUAUGUUUGGAGUAUUCAUGGAAGAUUAAAUUGGUGGUUAGAGCAAUUUCACUCUCGUUGUCACACCAUAUUAGGGUUGUUGUAGUUUGGGCAAUGCAAUGUUCUUUCAAGAGAGACUGAACCCGUAGUAUUUUUGUAGUGAGAGAGGCAAGUGCUUGGUAUUUUGAUUUGACACUGCUACGUGAGACCACUUUUUGUUUCAUGGACGACCAUGAUAUGAGGUUGGGUCUAAAGAAUAAGUAGUAUCACCUGGUAUUUCAUCCAUCAUCGAGACAGGAUGCCCAGUUUGCAUCUGUGUAACCUUGAAGUGCAAGGGAAGAAGAGGCUUGGAAGAGUAGACCAUGUGAGGUGUGCUCUUCAAGUAUCAAAGAAUUCUUUUUACUACAAUCUAUUAGAGCAAAAACCAGAUAUAGUUUGUUUUAUUUGUAUCUAUCUUAUUGUUGUAACUAUCAUCCUUUAAUCAUGUAAGUAGUUAGCUAAUUUUAUGCUAUUUCAAACUCUGUAAUUCAGCUAUAUAAAGUUGCUCUUGUAUUUAUUAUUAACAUAGCAAUAUAAUACAAAUAUUCAUUCUCAUAUUUUCUUUACAUGGUAUCAGAGCCCUCAUUCUAAUUUUUUGAUCAAUCAUGACUUCUUCUCAAAUGAUCCUUUCAAAUUCAAUCUCUUCUUCUGCUCAUCAUACCUUCUCUGUCAAGCUUACUCCAAGAAAUUAUCUUGCUUGGAAAACUCAAUUUAAUCCUCUUCUUAAUUACCAAAAUCUGACUGGGUUUGUUGAUAGUUCAACUGUUGCUCCAUAAAAAAUAAUUAAAGAUUCUUCUACUCCUCAUGUUGAGAUUCCAAAUCCAGAAUAUGAAACAUGGUAUAAAAAGGAUUAGAUGUUUCAUUCCUGGAUCAUUUCUUCUCUUUUCGAAGAGAUAUUUCCUUAUGUUAUUGGGUUAUCUUCAUCUUAUGAAGUAUGGUAGGCUCUCUCUCAAGUUUUUGGUUCAGUUUCUCAAAACCGACAGCUGCAAUUGCACAUUGAACUCCAAGAAUUGAAGAAAACGAUGUCUCUGUCUUAGCGUAUUUGCAACGUGCUAAAGCUCUAGCUGAUGAGCUAAAUGUGAUAGGUCGUCCUUUUGCCCCAACAAAAUUUAAUGCAAUAAUCUAUCGCAAUAUUGGUAGUGACUAUCAUGCCAUUAUCAUUGCCUUAAAUCUUCGUUCUGAACCAGUGUCAUUUCAUGAACUCCAUGGGCAACUUAUUGCUCAUGAAAUUUUACUUAAGAGCUCUACUAAUCUUCCUCAAGCAAGCAUGGUGACUUGUCAAUCUAAUUCUGCUCCAUUGAUUCCCACUCCAUCUCAGAAUAAUAAUCACAAGAAAUCUUCAAAUUGGAAUGGAAAUUGACCCCGUGGUCCUUGCUAAAUCUGUGGCUAUAGAAACCAUACCGCUGAUCAUUGUCGUCGUCGAUAUUCUCGUUACAACUCUCACAACCAAAAUGUAACUCCUCAUGCUAAUUACUCUUCGACUGGUCAUUCUCAAAAUAAUUGUGCAAGUUCUCAAGUUCCCAUUGCCAACUACACUCAUGGAGGUUCCACUAUGCCAUGGUAUCCUGACACAUCAGCGAACUAUCACAUCACCCCUGAUUUAGCCAAUCUCAGCAUUGCUCAUGACUAUAACGGACAUGACCAGCUCCAUGUUGGUAAUGGACAAGGUUUGAAAAUAACUCAUACUAGUAUCACAUCCCUUCCUUUAUCUUCUAGUUCUCUCUCUUUAAAAAAUGUUCUCUGUGUUCCUCAAAUUGUUAAAAACUUACUUUUAGUUCAAAAAUUUGCCACCGAUAAUUCUUGCUUCUUUGAAUUUUGGCCCUCUUAUUUUCUUGUCAAGGAUCAGGUGUCCAAAAAAAUCCUCUUGUAGGGCCCAAGUGAAGAUAGAGUGUACGCUUUUCGCCCUAAUGUCAAGCAAGCAUUUACAGUUGAAGCACCAACCAUGGACAAAUGGCAUGCUACUUUGGGACAUCCUCAAUGGCGUAUCGUGUCUAGUUUAAUCAAGCAAUUUCAUUUACCUUGUUCUAGUAAUUCUAGUUCUCUUUGUUCUUCUUGCAUUUUGGGCAAACAUGCUAGACUAUCUUAAGGAUCAGUUCAACAUAAAAGUAUUGCUCCCUUUCAACUUAUUUACUCUGAUGUUUAGGGCCCUGCUCCUUUGUUGUCCAGUCUUGGCCAUCGCUAUGCUCUUAUUUUCGUUGAUGAUUAUUCCCGUUACACAUGGGUUUAUUUGAUUAAAAAUAAAAGUGAUGUUUAUUAUGUCUUUCUUCAAUUUGAGCAAUUCAUUCAUCGUCAAUUUAAUCAUAAAAUUUUGGCAUUCCAUUCGGACUGGGGAGGAGAAUACCAAAAACUAAACACCUAUUUUAAACAAGUUAGCAUUGUUCACAGACUUGCAUGUCCUCAUACUCAUGAACAAAACGGUGUUGUAAAACGGAAAAUUCGCCAUCUUGUUUAUACUAGUCUUGCACUUCUUGCUCAUGCUAAUUUACCACUACGGUAUUGGAAUUAUGCAUUUGAAAUGAGCUGUUCUUCUAUUAAUAAUUUUCCCACUCUAAUUCUUAAUAAUUCUUCCCCAUACUUUGUUUUAUUUCACAAAUAUCCUGAUUAUUCUACUCAAAAGCCUUUUGGGUGCACUAUUUUUCCUCUAUUACGUCCAUAUAAUAACCAUAAGUUUGCAUUUCGGAGCACUCCUUAUUCUAUCUUGGUCCAAGUCCCUCUCACUCGGGUAAUCGUUGUCUUAAUUUAUCAAAUGAUAGGGUCUAUAUUGCUAGGCAUGUUGUUUUUAAUCCUAGCCGCUUUUUGUAUCGUUCUCAUAUUGCAGCAUCUUAAGCUCCAAAGGACUUUUCAAAUUUCCCGUGGCUUCACAUUAAAAGUGUACCACCAUCAUCCGCGGGUUCUGUUGGAAAUUCAGGUCAGACCUCUACUCCCUCUAAUAUUCAUUUAUUUUCUACCACUGAUCAAUCUUCAAAUAAUUCCUUAUUGUCAACUCAGUCCCCACCUUUGACCACGCCACCCUUCUCUCACUCUCCUAUCCCACAACAAUCACCUUCCUCAGAUUCAACCACUGAUCCUCUAUUAUAUCUUAUUGUUGAUCUCACCCAUUAUCCAGCUCAACUAAAUCUCUCCUCCUCGAAUUCACCCCAUGCAGCUUCAUUCCUCCACCAUGAAAAAAAGACAUGCGUGUCUUUCCACCAAAGCUAAAAAUUACCUUAUCACAUAACCACAAACCUUCACUCAAGCCAAACCAUAUGCUAAAUGGUGUGAUGCAAUGCAAAGUGAAAUUAAUGCCUUGCUUCAGAAUCACACAUGGGUUCUUGUUCCUCGACCUCUAGCUGCCAAUAUCAUUGACAGUAAAUGGGUUUAUUGAAUUAAAAGGAAAGUUAAUGGGGAGAUAGAUCGGUUUAAGGCUCAGCUCGUUGCGAAGGGUUACUCGUAGCAACCUGAUAUUGACUACACUGAGACCUUUAGUCCUAUGGUUAAAGCUACUACAAUUCAAACUAUUUUAUCAAUUUCUACUUCUUCACAUUGGCCAAUCUGCCAACUUGAUAUGUCAAAUGCGUUUUUACAUGGUUUUAUUGAUUCAGAUAUUUAUAUGGAGCAGCCCAUUAGCUUUCAAGACUCUUCACAUCGAGACUAUGUAUGUAAGUUGUCUAAGUCGUUGUAUGGUCUCAAACAGGCCCCUUGGGCCUGGUUUCACAGACACACUUCCUUUCUGCUGGACCUUGGUUUUCAAGCUUCAAAGGUUGAUUCUUCUUUGUUUAUUCUUCAUCAAGGUGCUCUUAAAUUCUAUGUUCUAAUUUAUGUGGAUGAUAUCCUCCUUACUUGCUCUAAUUCUACAAAACUGGAUUGGUUUUUAAGUAAGAUCAAAUCAACCUUUCUAGUUCGAGAUCUUGGAUCCCUUCAUUUCUUCUUGGAUAUUGAGGCACAAUUUUCGGUUGAUGGUCUUCUCAUCACCCAACAAAAGUACAUUACUGAUCUGCUGGCCAAUUCUAACAUGUCUAACUGCAAGCCUUGUCAUACACCUAUGUUGACCAACCCUCCACUUUCCAAACUCUCUGGUGAUCCUUUAUCAAAUGUAGAGUAAUAUCGCCAAGUGGUUGGAUCAUUGCAGUACAUUACUCUGACCAGACCUGAUAUCUCAUUCUCGGUCAAUAAAUUAUCUCAAUUUAUGCAUCAACCCACUUAAGAGCAUUGGACAACAGUCAAGAGGCUGUUGCUUUAUCUUAAGGCUACUGUUGGUUUCGGUUUGUUCUUCUCCAAGCAUUCCACUCUUGAUUUGCAAUGCUUCACUAACAGUGAUUGGGGUGGUUGCCCCGAUGAUCGUCAAUCAACAAAUGGUUAUGCAGUCUAUCUAGGCAAAAAUCUUAUUUCAUGGACUUCGAAGAAAUAACCAACCAUUGCACGGUCUUCCACCGAGAGUGAAUAUUGUGCUCUUGCUAACUCUACUGCUGAAAUUAUGUGGCUUUGAUCACUUCUCUCUGAACUUGGCUUCUUUUCCUCAAAUCCAGCUAUAUUGUGGUGUGAUAAUGUGGGAGCUAUUUAUCUAUGUUCGAAUCCUGUCUUUCAUGCCCGAACAAAACAUAUUGAACUUGACUAUCAUUUCAUUUGAGAACAAGUCCAACAACACCACAUUCAGGUUUGUUUUAUUUAUUCAGAUGACCAGAUUGCUGAUAUUCUUACCAAACCACUUGGUCAUCAUCUAUUUGUUAAGCACCGAGACAAGCUUCAACUCUAUUCUUCUCUGCCUUCAGCUUGACGGGGGGUGUUAGAGCAACAACCAGAUAUAGUUUGUUUUAUUUGUCUUUAUCUUAUUGUUGUAACUAUCAUCCUUUAAUCAUGUAAGUAGUUCGCUGAUUUUAUGCUAUUUCAAACUCUGUAAUUCAACUAUAUAAAGCUGCUCUUGUAUUCAUUAUUAACAUAGCAAUAUAAUACAAAUAUUCAUUCUCAUAUUAUCUUUACACAAUCUAAUAACUAGUGGUAGGAUGAGCCAUAAACUGGUAAGCCUUAUUGAUGGAGAAGGAGAUAUCUGCACGAGUUAUGGUGGAAGUGCUCUUACUAUGCUUCGAUAAAGCUUCUUAAUCAAAAAGAGGUUCUCCAUCGGCAGAAGAUAAUAGUUUGCCCAAGGCACUUGAAGUAUGGGUAGGUUUGGGGUCAAGUAUAGAAGUUCUCCAGAGAAACUUUGUGAUGUAUCAAAGCCUUUGGCAACGAGGCAGGGUUUAUAGCAUUCGAUGCUCCCAUCAGGUUUGCAUUUGAGUUUAAACACUUAUUUAUAUCCAAUGGGAUUGUUGUGAGACGAUGAUAGCACUAGAGUCCAAGUGUUAUUUUGUAACAAAGCUUAAUACUCAGCUUCCAUAGCCAUACACUAAUUCUGGUAUGUUAAGGCUAGUUUAAAAUUCUAUAGGAUAGUCUGUGAGGUUGUGAGGAGAGUUAUGGUCUUGAGAAGUCCUACUUUGGACCUAGUAAUCAUGGGAGGAUGAUUGGUAUUCAAUGUAGUUAAUUAAUCAUGGGAGAAUUUUAUGAAAAUAGAUUUUAAAAUUUUGAGAGGAUAUUUUUAUCAAAAUUCUUUUUGCAAAUUACUCUCAUGGAAAUUUUAAAAUUUUCAUGUUCAUAUUCUCGUAUUACAUUAGGCAUCCAAUCAGGAAAUAAAUAUUUUUAGAAAUUUUCAAAGUAGAUAAUUUAUUUAUCAAGGAAAUUACUAAAGGUUUUAAAAUGCUCUUAUUUAUCUCAAAUGAUUAAGUAACGAGGGCCUUAACUAAGCUCAUGACCUCCAUUGUCAAGCCCAUCUUGAUUUGGGUUCAUCACUACUCCACCGGCAGGUUAGACCCUAGGAAUAAAAGGAUAUGGACUCUCCAUUAAGACGAUACUAGACAUAUCUAUAGUGGGAGCAACCACCCCACUAGUGGGGUUCCUUACUUGGUGACGUUGAUAGUUAAAUGAAAAUGGUUAUAUACUUAUCAUUGGAUAUGAAGUGGUCAAAUCACCUUCCGUUGUCUCACUUGCAUAGUCCAUGGGCCAAAUAAAAGGUAUGUUGAUCUUGCCUUUAGAUACCUUUCAUAGUUAAGGUAGAGAGAUCAAUAUGAGAGGGUAUCUAACUAGUUAUAAGGUCAUGACUUGCCCACGAUAGACUUGAGAGGUAAUGUUGAUAGGUGAUAGUACUACCUUGUUAGAUUACAAACACCAGUUCAUAGGGAGUUUGCAUGCUGAUUCGUGCCCAAUUGGUGUCUCAGCUGAUUGGUGUCCAUCUGGUGCUCCUUGAUUGAGGGAGUAAUCAACAAAAUUUAUAACCUGCUACACCAUAUACUAGGGUAGCAAAGACAAAGCUACUAUAGUAUAGUGGUUCUAGGAUCGUUCACUGGGAUGGGUUUUCACUUUGCAAAUGAUAUUAAUUCAAAGCUGAAUUGGUGCCUUUUCAUUUCAAGGUUAGCUUUAAAAGAAAACAUAAAGAUGUUUGAAUGAAAAAGGUUCAGUUUUAAACUAACCAAAAAUAGUAACUGAUUUUACUUACAAAGAAAAAUGUUUCUUGGAGUUUAGAUCACUAGGCUCAGGUUCCUCAUACAAAAAGGGAGUUCCGGUCACUUGUUUCUUUUCCUCGCAUUAGAGAAUUAACAUAUAGUUCCUUCUCCAACCGGUGUUGUACAGAUGUUUCCCAUUAAUGGGUUCAAACACUAAAUCCCUCUCACUGAUGCACCUUGCAAUGGCUCAUACCUCUCACCUAGCACUUGCCAUUCAAGGUGAUCUUUAACCUUGGAUUACCCGUCAAAAGCUCGCAAGAGAUAACUAAUGGAUGUCUCCUUGGAGUCCAAAAGCUUACCAAGUGUUGGCUAUUCUAGAAAAUCCUACCUUCAAACCACUUCCCAAAAGCUCGCAAGAGAUAAACUAGUGCAUCUCCAUGGACGGAGAUCACUUGCCUUACCAAGUGUUGGCUCAGGUGAAUUAAAGGCAUUUUAAGUUAACUAAAAAGAUAAAAACCAUUAACGGAUCACACUUUCUCUUCAUUAAAAACUAAAACAACAAAACUUCCAAAUUAUGCAUGUGGAAACUUACCCGGUUACCUUACUCCAAGAGACAAAGAGCCUAGCCUCUCAUCCUCUGACGAAAAAUCCUCAGAGUUUGGUUGGCUAGAAAGAAAAUGAAAAUGAAAGAGAAGGAAAAAACAGAGCAAGGCUCUGUAUAUUUUAUAUAUUAAUAUAUCUAUAUUACAUACUUCUAUAUCUAUUACAGUGGAUGCAAGGGAAUAUAUAUAGAGACGUUUUUCCAACCUUCCUAACUAAGAAAUCUUAUGGUUGGUGGAUGACAAGGAGAAGAAUGGAAAUUAUACAAAAAUAUCUGAAGAAAAAUAUCCAAAGUGUCGGUCGCAAAUAUCGGGAAGCACUAAGGACCAUUUCAUAGGUGAAACCGAGGUCUGCGAGAUUUCGCAGACACACAAAAAGGGCUGCGAAAUCACUUCACAGCAAAAGACUGAUUUCGUAGCGCUGCGAAGUUGGCUUUCAGCUUGCGGUGUUCGGCUUCCAAUGUGUAGCAAAUAUCGGGAAACUUCAGGAGGAAUUCCACAGCACUGUGCAAAAUGGCUGCGAAAUCAUUUCGCAACAAAAGGCUGAUUUCGCAGCCGUGCAAAAAUCUUCCUUCAGCUUGGAGUGAUCUGCUUGCAAUGGCUGUAACUCCUUUGUUUCAACUCCAAAUCGUGCACGUUUUGAAGCAUUGGAUUGUUGACUUCCUGAGCUUUGAAAUGGUAUAUAGCAUGUAGAAAAUGGACUUCAGGAAGUGCUCCAAAAGUGCCUGACAUGACUGUCAUCAAAAAUGCUUCAUGGAAGAUUUCUCUUUGCUUCCCCUCCUUGCAUUCCGAAUUUGCUUAUGGAAAAGGACUUCAAAGCUUCGGUUCUUCAUGUUUUUGAGCUUUCCAUUGCUUUUCCAUGGAUUCCAAAUAACUCUCCUCAAUCUCAUAUUGCUUUGGUGAUAAAAAAGCUAUCAAAACACCAAAACUUAACACAAAUUUAUUAGAAUUGAUUGCAAGGGUCCUUAAUAUGUUAAUUGGGUUAAAAGGCAAUAACUACUACUCAAAAGUGUUUAAAAGAGUUAAUUACAAGCUAUGAAAUAACACUUUUUUAGUAGUAAUCACAUGCAAUGGAUAGUGUUAGGUUAAACCCUUAAAAGUAUGACAUGGUGUAAUAAAUGAAAUUCGUUAUUUAUUUAAUGAUGUUCCAAUUUCACUUUUAUCUAUCCUUAUUCCAUGUAUUAUACUUUAUGAGCAUUCUUACCAACAUAUUUUGUAUUAUAUGUGACUUAGGUGCAUUAGGAGUUGCAAAGAAGAUCUAAGUCAUGGGUUCCUUACAAAUAGAUGAUUUGUUCACAACCAGUUCAUGGGUCUAGGCAACCCAUUAGAGGUUGUAGUGCACCACCUCUUAAUUGGAGGGAUGACUGGUCUUAGUUAUCGGGAUGAGUUUCCCUUGGUAAGUGUACUAGUGUGUAUGGUUACACAUUAGACAAGACCUACAGUGAGUUAUGGCUUAAGGCUAUCAAGUAGUUAUGACUUCACCAAGCUGUUUCAUUGUGUGUUCUCUCAACCUUGAGAGAAUAUUGAGCUUGUGCUAAAGUUAGUAGUAGCUUUGACAUACAGGUGAGAUUGUAAGCUGAUUAUAUAUUCCUUAUGGAUUGGAUCAUUAUUAAUGGAAGAUGGUAGCAAUAGGCAUUUUCAAUAAAGGCACCAUGAUAUCUCAUUGGAUUGAGACAAUGCGUCUUCUUAGGUGAUCUUAAGGAGGUGUGUUCAUGAAAAUUAUGGUUAUAGUAGUUCCUUAAGUAGAACUUGAUAGAGACUCUUUGAGAGUUAAGACAUGUCAAUUGAAUACAGAAUAGGAUGAAUUGUAACUCAAGGAUAGUAGAGGUAGUCUUGAAAGACUGAUAGCUUUCACCUUGUUAGACUAUAGAUACCAAUUCAUAGGGAGAUUAAAUACAAUGGAUAAAAGGUCAUCGAUCCAAGCACGUAAUGUCUCGUUGUUAUUUACAUAAGAUACUAGAGUUCAGUUGAUUCUCUCUAGUGGGAUGUUGAAUAAACUUCAAAAUUGGAUUUUGAGGGAGUUGGUACUCCUAUGGAUCUUAAUAGUCCCCGCUCUGAACUCAUAUACCUUGUUGGCAUGGAUUAUAAAGGUCGGAUAGGCUUUAGGUUCACUUUUAUGCAUAAGAGCGUUUUGGUAAUUAUAUAAGAUUACACAAGAGUAAGUGAACAAUGUUUCUAGAUUGGGUUAAUUGAUUAAUUAGUAAGCCCUAUUUGGUUACUUAAUCAAUUAGGACCUAUUUUGGGCUAGAUUAAGUGACCUAAGUCUAUGUGAGCUUAAGUCACUUAAGUUUUCCAUCACUUUUUGCUUCCACUAUCUAGAGAGAGAGUCAUAGCCUCCACCCUCUUUUCUUCCCCACCGAAAGUGUGUCAAAAACAAGGUUGAGUCAUCUAGUGGAAGAUUAUGCGUUUACAAAACUUCCAACAACUUCAAGGUCAUUUUCAACACUUAGAAUUUAAGGUUUGAGAAUAUCCAAAACUAAAUGUUAGGACUUUAACCAUAAAAGAUCAUUUUUUUAAAAAAUUGGUUUUACUUCCGAUGCUUAGAUCUAAGAUGCCAACAGAUAGUAGGUCACGUACUUGAGCUUUGUUUUAUUGUUAUUUACAUAAGGUACUAGAUUGAGUACAAUUGAUUCUCUUUAGUGGAAUGUUGAAUCAACUUCAAAAUUGGACUAUGAGGGAGCUAGAAAUCCUAUGGGUCUUAGUAGUCCUUACUCUGAUCUCAUAUACCAUAAUGACAUAGUUUAUGAGGGUUGAAUUGACUCUAGAUUCAUUCUUGUGCAUAAUUUCAUUUUGGUAAUUACGUAAGGUUGCAUAGGGGAUAAUAAUCAAGAUCUCUAGAUUAGGUUAAUUGAUUAAUUGGAUAACCCUAUGUGGUUAAUUAAUCAAUUAUGACCUAUUUUGGGUUAGAUUAAGUGACUCAAGCCUUGAUGGGCUCAAGCCACUUAAGUCUAGUGGGCAACCCUAUAAAUACCCCUUAAGGGUUAGGGUUUCCAUGACUUUUAGAUAAGUGGUCUUCCACAUCUAGAUAAAGAGCCAUUACUUCCUCCUUUUCAUUGGUCACACUUUGUAGUGCCAAGAUCAUGGUUCGAGUCAUCGGACAGAAGAUCUUGGGUGUAUGAGACCUUUGGAGUCUUCAAGCUUCUUCUUCACCACAAGGAAUUGUUAUAGGAACAUUCAGAUCCAAAUAUGGGGUUAAAUCUCUAAAUCUUUAUUCUUAAUAUGGUUGCAGUAGAUUUAGAGAUGCCUAGGGCUAGAUGUAUGCAACCCACAAGAUCUAGGGCAUGAGAUGGAGUAAUCUAGGAUUCCAACAAUUUAUUCAACUAUAGUAUUGUUUGUGUGUUUUGUCUCUAUGUUGUGAGUGUAUCAAUUGUCUAUUUCUUUUUACUACCCCCCCCCCCCCCCNNNNNNNNNNNNNNNNNNNNNNNNNNNNNNNNNNNNNNNNNNNNNNNNNNNNNNNNNNNNNNNNNNNNNNNNNNNNNNNNNNNNNNNNNNNNNNNNNNNNGGGGUUUUUGGGAAAAAAAUUUUGGGGGUUAGGAACCUUUGGGGUUUUAAAGUUUUUUUUUCCCCCAAAGGAAUUUUUAUGGGGAAUUUUGAGUCCAAAUUGGGGGGUAAAUUUUAAAAAUUUUUUUUUUAAAUGGGGUGGAAGAAAUUUAAGAAAGCCUUGGGGUAGAUUUUUCAAACCCCAAAAAUUUGGGGCAAGGGGGGGGAUUAUUUGGGGUUCCCAAAAUUUUUUCAAAUAUAUUUUUUUUUUGGGUUUUUGUUUUUAUGUUGGGGGGGUUUAAAAUUUUUUUUUUUUUUUACUACCCCCCCCCCCCCCCUCUUAAGCAACAAUAUCUUGAAUGUAAUGGAAUCAAUUGUCUAGUUGUUUUGUUCUACAAUGUUUCUAAUUGGAUCCUUGUAUAAGUGAGUGUAUCAAUUGUCUAUUUCUUUUUACUACCCCCCCCCCUUAAGCAACAAUAUCUUGAAUGUAAUGGAAUCAAUUGUCUAGUUGUUUUGUUCUACAAUGUUUCUAAUUGGAUCCUUGCUAUACAAUAGAGUUGACACACCAUCAAUGCUUAGAUGUUGAUAACCAUAUCAGCUUAAGUCAUGACUUUAAGCGCAGAAAGUAUAUCAUCAAUUAAACAACUUCCCAUACAUACCUUGAACACGCAACACACUCCUACUCCAUAGCAGAUAAUGUAAUUCAAGAUUACUUCUUAUUACAUUAGGAGAUAGCUAAACCAUCAACUAAAAGCAUAUAAUUAAAAAGUAAAUCCUAAAAUACCAAAUAAAUAUAUAUAUUACCCCAAGUAAAGAAGAUUAAGUUUAUAUAUUAAAAAUUCAAAUAGAAAAGAUCUAUCAAAAGUCAUCAUUUAAUUAUCCAAAUGUUGUCACUAUGAUAAAAACCUUACUAAGGUAGACACGUCAUAAGGAAAAAAUGGAAUCUAUUUAAGUUACUAAUUCCUUUUUUGCUUUAGGGUUUUGGGUGAUCCUUUCUCCCUCACUCACUAAAAUUCAACGCAGCCUUCUAAUCAUCUCUUCCCAAAGAUUAACACCAUCAUCAGAUCUACUAAGAAAGAAGUUGUUCUUCUCGAGAUGUGAACAUCAACAAAAGGUAGUGUUUACACCAAUCUUUUUAAAGGUAAGUAGUUUUCCUAUAAUUUUAAAUAUAUUUUGUAAGGUUUCUGUAAAUUAAACUUACAAUUGCCAUCCUAUUUCCUCUUUUAAAGUACAAAUUUUAGUGCUUGCGGUUUUUUCUAGCUUGUUUUCUCUUAUUCUUUAUUUUUUGUAUAUUUUGAUCUAGGUUUGUUUCAUCCAACUAUAAAGUUCAAUGGCAUGAGUGGAGUCGGAAAAAGGUAUAAUUAUAAUUUUUUUUGGAUGACUAUAUUACAUUGUUUAGCGAAAUGAUAAUUAGGCCUUAGACCCUCUCUUUGGCAGCAGACUAGUUUCCACCAUUGAUAUAAAUGCCUGACUAUGUUUGAUGAUCAAUUACACUUUUAAGAAAAUUCAAUAUUCAAGAAAAUGAGUAGAGUAAUUUUAGGUCCCAAUUUUUUGCAAAAAGCUUAUUAUUGAUGAACUCAUUAAUAGAUAAGGUACAUGCUUAACUCAAACAUUUGGCUACAUAGAUGUGUGAUUUGAAGCCUUAUUCCUGGCAGACUGAGCCUUUGGAAAUAUUUUCCAUCAGUUUAUACUCAAACUUUCAAGUUAUAAUCAUUUUGUACACAUUGAAUAUGAAAUUGUUGAAAAUUGACUAUUUAAAUACCUCAAAUGUUUAUUUUGAAUUUCCAAAUUGAUGUAUUGCAUAUGAUGCAUCUUGGAAUAUAGUUAUUGGAUUAUUAACUUAUCUAUCUAAAACUGACCUACCUACCAAGGUCCAAGCCAAAGCCAAUUGCCAAGAAACAUUGGCUAACUUAUUUUUACCUGUGCAGUAGGAGUGCCUAGAGUAGCUGCUAUUGUUCAUCUUGAGGGUGUCUAAGAUCUGGGCAUGUGCUUGUCAACAUGGGCCCUACGCUUAACAAUUGGGAUUCUUCCAGACAUGGCGCCAAGGUAAGCAAGAUUACAAUUUUUUUUAAUGUACUCUGCAUUCAAUAUUGUUGUUUUCUUGGUUUGUUUCAUCUGAUUGCCUUAUGAUUUUUUCAUUCUUAGCAUGUAAGUUGAUCAAGGGAGGUAUUUGUUUCAUCUGUACGUAUGGUAGUGAUUAGUAUCUGAGUUUCCUAAUUAAGUUGAUUAUAAAAAUAGAAUAGAUUUCAUUACCUUUGGUAAAUGAAGUAGAUUACAUAUAAUUCAUGUUCAGUCUAUGAUCAAUUCACAAAAUUUCUCAGACAUGGUACGAAAUGGAGAUCAGUAUUUUGUAGUAAUCAUGGUUAUUUCAUACAGUAGUCCCUAUUUACACAUACAAAAUCAUGCCAUAUGCUGAAUUUCAUUAGGCCAAAAACACUCAUGGGUUUCGAGAUUGUUUAUUGAAUCCUUCCAUUAACUACAUGAGACUCAUGGGGAAGCAGAUGACUAUGGCAAACUGCCUCAAACUUGGAUAAAAGCCAUUCUUCAUGAUUGAUGCCAUGAUUCUUGGAGGAAAUCUUAGCAAGUUUAUUCUCUGUGUGUAUGUGGUUUUUGAGAUGGGAUACUAGUGUGGGAAUAUGGAUCAGCCAUUGACAUGCAUUCUGGAUAGGGGGAUUUUGAUUGACAGCUUUGACCACAGUAUUUGUUUAUUUUUGUGCUGUAGAGGGCUGUACUCAGAGCAACCAUACAUUUUCAUUCUUUCAGGAAAAAUAAAUAUUUAUCAUGAUUGUAGUUGAUUAACUUCAAAUUUUUCAAAGCCAGCUGUUUGUAAUGAUCUAAUGAAGAAGAUGACUGAUUUUCUUCCCUUUUACACUUUUUCUGAUCAUUAGUUGCUUUUCGGAACAUUUUUUUUUACAGACCGUGGAGAAAGACGAAAGCCAGAAAAGCAAGCACUACUUCUGUCCACGUAGAGAAUGAAGGAAUUGUCUUCCCCAAAGACCUAAAGAUUGGGAGCAGUCGUGGUAUGAGGGACCUAAAGAUUUACUUGAUUCUGAAUAAACAAAGCAGUUUUCUUACUGCAACUGUUCGGUUGUAUCAUCUUUGUGGCUUGCUGAUUGAACAAUCUGGUUGCUAACUUCAUGUUGUGAAGAGUCAGACACAGCUAGAAAAAAUUUCAUUGCAGCAUUUCUUGAAGAAGAAGAUGAUUGUCUGAUUGCAAAUAAUUUCACUGCUGACACAGAAGCAAUUACUAUUCUUGGUAUUCACAAGUUGGAACGUUGCUCUUGAUUUGACUUAGACUCUGUUGCUUGAUCCUGGAAUCUGGAUCAAACAGGGUUCCCCCUUAGUGGAGAUCUUAAAUUGGAGGGCAACAUUCUUGUUGACAGUAAAUAAACUUGACCUUCUAAAUUAGUUCCCACUUCUCGCAAAUGAACUUAUGUGUACAGUUAAUGGCUUAUUGUAACCUCCUAUAUAUCCUAAAUGUAUAGAUGAGUCCUUAACAUCAAUCGGAUUUUGUGAUCUUCUGAAAGUUUUAAUAUUGUGAGUUAAUUGUCACAUUAUAUUUUAUCAGAUUUUUAUGUUCAAAAAGCAAAUCAUGAAAAGAGUUUACAUGAUUACCCUUUUAAUUUGAACAAGGUCAAGAGUUGUUGCUUUUUUUGUUUUUGUUUUUGUUUUUUUUGUUUUUGGAUUCAAAUAGAAUAAAAAUAAUUUUGUGUUGGUGAACUUGGCUUAGUUUGAAAAAGGCGAAGCCCUUCCUCACCUCAAAAGCCCCAAGUUCCUGUCAAAAAAUAGAGGUUCAAAUUGUAUCUAAAGGCUAAUAAAACUAUAGUUUCCAACUCCACCUCCUCACCUUCAGAAUUUGAAGCUAUCUGCUCUUGAUUGCUCUUCCAGCAUAUGUGCCAGUAUCCUCUUCUACCAUAUUGAUGGUAGUAGCGAGGUUAAAAUGGUUAAAUAUAUAGUUGUUUGGAGACAUUGUUGUCAGAGACCUUAACUCACUUUUUACCCACUAGCUAAAACAUAAAAUCAUUUAUUGUAGGGACUACUGGGGUUGAAUUUUUGGCUGCCAAAGUUGAAAGACAGCUAGGUCAACUUCUAAGCAAAAGAAACCAGAGGUUCAGUUGGACUAUGCUGCACCUCUAUAGGUGAUCACUAGUUUGCUACAAGUAAUUCAUGUCGGAGAUCUCAUGAAUAUACUAGCAUAUUAAUGUGUAUAACAAACAACAUCAUAUUUACAAUCCAUUCGACAACCCCCCUACUAGAUUACAAUAUGUCUAGGUUAAAAAUGACAAAAUUAUGCAUAAAAGGUAUAUGAACAAGCUAUUGGCUUUUCAAUUUUUGUGGUUAUUACUACCUUCACGCCAUACGCCAUUGUGAAGGGUGUCUCACUCUUGGGUUUUCAAUCUAUUAAGCAGCAAGCUUAGCGCACCAAGGCUAGCUCCUCGUUGGAUUUUGCUCAAUUGUUGCAGCAAGGGAACUAUGAUAUGGACUAGAAAAUCCUUCUUCUAAGCUUGCUGUAGAAAUUGUUGAUGAGAAUAGGGUUAAAUUGGACCUCAUUGUUUUAUCACCAUUUCUUGGGUAUGCCAAAUUGACAUAUGAGAAAUGCUUAACAUCAAAGUCUUAUAUGUUUGCAUAAGCUUUUGGUUUCACUUACUUUGUAAAAUGAAGCGUUUCUAAGGCGGGACAGUGGACAACAAUCCUGUAAUAUCAAACUUAACAUCGAAGUCAUAUAUGUUGGCAAUAAUAAAAGUAGGGGUUUAACUUGGGUGGGUUGACCCAAUCCAACCCAAACCCAACCACUACAAGAAAAAUGGGAAACAAUGACGUUUUUUAAGCGUCAAGAAAGGUAACAGAUGACGACGCUUCUCUAAAGCGUUCUCUUCGCCUCUGUCAUUGUAUGUCUUAGGCAACAAUGACACUUUCAGGAAGCGCUAUCUUUAAUAAAAUAAAGGUUUUGUUUUUGGCUGAAAGAUGACUUUCCAAAACUCUAAAUCCGAUCUUCACCGUUCAAAUUUAAGAUUAAUGACUUAUAAACCUCUCCUCCAAAUUUCAGCUCAAUCAAACCAUGAAAAAAGCGGCAUCGGACCUUUGAUGAAAUCUGGGCAUGAUGUAAAAAACCACUGUUUUUCUCUCUUCUCUUCUUUCCCUCUAAUGACUGUCCGAAACUCCAAAUCCAAUCUCCACCGUUCAUAUUGAAGAUACAUGAGCCACGAACCUCUCCUUCAAAUUUCAACUCGAUCGGACCAUGGAUGAAGCGGGAUCAGACAUUUGAUGAAAUCUGGGCAUGAUGAGAAAAACCUACGUUUUUCUCUCUUCUCCUCUUUCUCUCUAAUGACUGUCCGAAACUCCAAAUCCGAUCUCCACCGUUCAUAUUGAAGAUACAUGAGCCACGAACCUCUCCUUCAAAUUUCAACUCGAUCGGACCACGGACGAAGCGGGAUCGGACAUUUGAUGAAAUCUGGGCAUGAUGAGAAAAACCUACGUUUUUCUCUCUUCUCCUCUUUCUUUAUAAUGACUUUUCGAAACUCCAAAUCCGAUCUUCACCGUUCAGAUUGAAGAUAAAUGAGUCACGAAACUCUCCUCCAAAUUUCAGCUCAAUCGGACGACGGACGAAGUGGGAUCAAACCUUUGAUGAAAUCUGGGCAUGAUGAGAAAAACUUGCAUUUUUCUCUCUUCUCUUCUUUCUCACUAAAAACGGUGGCUCUCUCCUUUCUUUCUUGUCUUCCAAAAGUUAGGGUUUUCAAGGGAGACUUUAUAACAAAUUCUAAAAUACCAUACAUGUCCUUUUUCAAUAAAUUAAAAUAGUAUUCUUUAUUUCAUCUUCCAAUAAUAAUUUUUAUAUAUUGAACUCAUAAUGAAUUUAUAUUGUUUAAUUAUUUGAUAUUUUAGGUUGAUGUUGGUUUAAUUUGAAUAUUGAUAUUUAAAAAAAAAAAAAACUAAUUUAAUAGAAUGAGCUUAAUUCCCAUAAAUAUUAGAAAGUUUUUAUAAAUAUUCUUAUUGCAUUUAGUUUUAUUGUGAGUCUAAUCAUCAUUAAAUUAAUUUAAAUAUUAAUUUAUUUCAUUUUAGUUAAAUAAUUUCAAAUUUAUAUUCAUUAACUAUAAAACCUUCUCAAAUAAAAGGGUUAAACCCAAUAAAUGUGGCCCAAGGCUCGAACAAGUGCUCAAAAUAGGCCACUUUUUUGUGGACCACAAAUAAAUUAACAAAUUAUUUUUAAAUGAAAUAUAAGAUAACUUCUAAUUUAAUAAAAAUGAAAAAUAGUUUAUGAAAAUAGAUUGUAUUGAUACAAACUAUAAAAAAAUUAAUAUCAAACAAUAAAAAAAAUAAUUUAUUAGGAUUUUAUUUUAUUUAUAUCCAAAUUUUUUUUAAAAAAAACCUUAAUGUAGCAACUUUAUGUCAUUAAUAUUAAUGUCAAUUUACCAUAAUUAAUUUAUAGAAUAAAAUUCUAAUAUCAAAAUUUGUAUAAGUUAACUUAAAAACAAAAAUUUUAUAAGUCAAUACAACUAUGACACUUCUCAGGAACGUCAUUACAUACCCAUCAAAUAAUGAUGCUUAUAAUAAGUGUCAAGGUAAAUAAUAAAACUAUGACGCUUCUUAUAAGCGUCAUUAUAUACACAGUUAUAAGGAAAAAGAUGACAUCAAAUAAUGACACUUAUAAUAAGUAUCAAGAUAAAUAAUAUAACUAUGACACUUCUUAUAAGCGUCAUUGUAUACCCUCAAUAAUGACGCUUUUAGAAAGCGUCAUAAAAUAAAGCGUCAUUAAUUUCAAUUUUUGUAGUAGUGAACCCAACAUUUGGGUAGACUUGAGCAAUCAUUUUCAAUACUUGAGUUAGGUUUGUGUUAGAUUUUUUCAACCCAAGUUCACUUUCAGUUGGGCUUGGGCUAAGAUUCAGAUAACCCGACCAUAAGCCGAACUCGAUUUAAUAUUUUGAUAAUAUUUGUAAUAUAUAUUAUCCUAUAUAAUAAUAUUCAUUUUCUUUUUAAUUUUUUUAAAAAAAUCAAAUUAUAUUAUAUCAUAUAUUUUUCAAUUUUUAAAAAAAUAUAUAAAUUUAUUUUUAUUUUUUUGUUCCUAUCUUGAAAUUUUGUUCUAUUUACUAUUUAAAUAUUUAAAAUUUCAUAUAAAUACAUUUAAAAAUAAAUAAAAUAUUAUAGAUGAAUUUUGAAUUUUGUAACUUGAUUAACUUGAAGUCAACCCGAUCAACCUGAAUCUAACCCGACUAACUCAAGUCUAACUUGAACAAUCAAAAUUCAAUCCGAACUUAGAAAAAUGAGGUUGGAUUGGGCUUAGGUUAAGUACUUCAGGUUAGAGUUCAAUUUGGGUGGUGUUUGGGUUGAUUGUUUCUUAAUUCAGAUUGGGCUUAGAUUAGUCAUCAACUCAACUAACUCGUCCAAGUUGUUGCCCUAAAUAAAAGGAAUGAAGUAUUCAUGGUAGAAUUCCAUGAGCAAAGUAUGAAUAAGUGAUGAUUAUUGAAAUAAUUUGGAAAUCAUUGAUGAAGUUAGAGUUGUUGAAUGUAGAGUAAUAUCUCAAAUAUUUCCUUUUACCAUAAUUACUCCAUAUAGAGGAUACAUAGAGAAGGAAACAGUCUCUCAACUGAUUUAUUUUAUUUUAUGAUCGAUACCAUAUCAAGAAAGAAAAAAAAUAUCUCAAUGAAUUUAUUCUAUUUUAUGUUGAUUUAAUUUAUUUUAUGAUGUAAAUUUAGUAUAUGUAAUGUCACACUCUAAGGUUAAAACCACGGUUUAACACAAAACCAAGGAUUAGUCCACAAUUUUUAAACUUCAAAUAUGAAUUAGAUGAAAGGUUAUAAAUGAUUGUUGUUAAAUUUUUCUAAUUAGAUGCCUUUGAAACAUCUCUUUGGGUUUGGAAAACUUCAUGUCUUUCAUAUAACGUACGUUCUAAGCACAAUGAGUUAAACUAUUACUUUUUUCAAGACAAGGUCACAAUGGGAGCUCUUGGUACUUUUUUCUUCCCUCAAGACCUCUUCCUAAGGCUUUCUUUUAGAAUCUUCAAUAUAAGCUAGGAGUGCAUAGGUUACCACCCGCUAGCUAGAGGGGGAAUCAUAAAAGUACAAAAGAAUUCAUGGAAUAUUUUCAAUAGCAAAAUGGGGAAAAGAUUAUUGAAACAAUUUGGAAACCAUUGAAGUCAAGCUGGGCUGAAUGUAGGAUAAUAUCUCAAGGAUUGUCUAUUACCAAACUCCAUAGAGAGAAUUCGAUAACAUACAGAGAAGGAAAUAAUCUCUCAAUUGAUUUGUUUUAUUUUAUGAUUGAUAUGUAGAGAACGAAGAAAAUCUCUGAAUUUUUAUUUAUUUAUUUAUUUUUUUUGUGAUGUAAAUUUGGCACAUGUAAUCUAUUUAAACUCAUCCAACCAAUUCAUGUAAGACAAGUUAAUAUUCCAUGUCAUAUCUUCGUCAGGAUAAGGUUAUGUUUCCACCUACUUUGUAAAAAGACGAGCUUCUGGGGUGGGGCAGUAGACAACAAUCCUGUAAUAUUAAUCCACCAUCGCGUAAAAUCCAAAGGAUUGACGAUGGAUAAUGGUUUCUUAGCAAGGAAGUGGAAUAUGGGUGUGAAACACGAGCAUUUAUCACACUUGCUCAUAUAUGGUGCUAUAUCUUUGUGCAUGAACAACAAACAGUACCCCUGGGAAAGGGCAUAAUGGGCUACGGAUUGUCCUGUUGUUGAUGCAUUGCCCUUGGUAUAUCUCAACCAACACAUACUUGGUCUCGUCUAUUCUUAGACACGUCAAUUACCAACCAAAGAAUGAUCUUCGGUAGAGUUCUUCAUUGAUGACGGAGUAACUCAUAGCAUGUAUUCUCAAUUUGUACACUUUGCUUCUCAUCCUUAGGAAUUAUGUUGUUCUCUAAGUAGGCAUGGAAAUAAUCCAUCCAACAAAUGGUCGAUUGUGUUAUUAAUUCCAGUCUGGGUGGCAGCUAGAUGAGUAUGACUUUUCUAUGUACUUAACAGGGAAGGCACUUCUGCAAGCUUAGCUAAGUUGUUGACCUACUCAUUUUUAUAGUUUAUACUAAUGAAGAUUUCAAGGUUAGUCUUCAGGAAGGCCAUGUAAUGGGUCGUCCUAUCACCCCAUGCCUUAUAUUUUCUGUUCACGUGAUUGUCCAAAAUCAUCAUAACAAUCUGCUGCACAUGCACGACAGCAGAAGCUCAUGACUAUGACCAUCAGAAUAUGGAGGUCUGAGAGUGUUUGACUGCCAAUGUUUCCAUACUUGAGGAACUAUAGGCAAGUAAUGGGCACGACAUCCCAAGAACCCCAGAUAUAGACUUGAUAUGUGCAUUGUAGAAAGGGUGGUUUCAGAUGAGACGUGCCUGGCUUAGUUCCCCCCCUUAAGUUGAUUGAGGGCACAGAUUUUAUUGGAUAUGCAAGCAAAGAGCCCAUAUAUAAGACCUAUUUUUAGGGUUUCCCUCUUCUUUUCUACAAAUCUUGUUUUCUGAAACCCCUCCCGGGACACCUCGAAUUUUUUAGACCCUCACCACAAUCACUCUUCCGUUGUUGAAACCCAACACUGCUCCCCUCGAAAUCCUCACCACAACAAGCUAAAUCCUAUAGAAAAUGUUCCUUAUCUCAUGUUAUUUUAUUCGUUGCUUUAAAACCCUAACAUCUCUCUCCUUUCUAGAUUUUCUGUGAAUUCUUAUGAUUUGAAAUUUUAACCGAUUUUUGUUUUUAUAAAUUUUUUUUUGUCAUUAUAAGGCUUUAGAAGAAUGAGAGUGUCAAUGCUAUAGAAAGCAUUGCCAGGUUUCAGUUUUUUCAUAUUUUAUACUUUUCUAUAUGGUUUCUAAAAAAUUUUAGGAAAUAAAAAAGAAAAUUAAUUUGAUGAUGAUUAUUUUUUAUUUUUUAUUUUAUUUUAUUUUUUUUAAAAAAAAUCUGAAGAUUAUGUCACUAUAUUUGAAGAAAAAAAAAAAUGAAUUUUCGGUCUUGACUAUGAUCCUCUCUUUCUUUUCUGUUUCAGAUGAGACCAUAGGUCAUGGAUGGAGAAAGAUUAUGGAAACAAGAUUAGGGCAUUGACAAAUAUGUUGUCUCCUCUAUUUCCUUUUAUUUUUUUUGUUAAAGACUAUGUUUGGUUCAUGGAAAGUAUUAAGAAAAAAAAAUUAAGGAAAAUGAUUUUCUUGUAUUUGAUUUCACCUUAAAAAAUAUAAAAGAAAAUCAAAUAUAAUUAAAAUUUGUCAAAAAAUUAUAUAUUUUUAAAGUAUUUAAUCUUAGGGAAAUAGGUAAAUUGAGUUUGAAGAAGCAUGUAAAAAUAAUUUAUUGAGUUUAAAAUUAUUUUUCAUUUUCCUUCACUUUUUCUUUCCUUCUACUUUUCAUUCCUAUUUUCUUUCUCUCCCAUUUGCCCUCAAAUUUUCCAAGAACCAAACUUAACCUAAAGGAUUUUAACUUUUAGAUGGUGUGGUAUAUUAAGGAUCAUGCUCUUUGAUUGCUCAAUUUAGUCAACCUUUCAAUGACAUUAUAUUUAUGUAUUUUUCCCCUAGUUUAGUGAAUAAUGUUUUCCCUUAAGUUUGAUUUUUGGGAUAUAAUUUUUCCUUAUUAACUUUUGAAAUCCAGGUUUUAUUUUUAUUUCAGAGAUACAGGAUUUGAAAAGUCUGGUUUAGCAAUUGACAUUGCUAAAGUUGAGGAAAUUUUCCAUGAAAUGCAGGAAUUAGAAGUCAGACCAGAAGUUGCCAAUGCCACCAUAUUCAAAGUAUGGCAUUGAACCAAAUAAAAUCUAUUUGAAUUAAAGAGCAAGGAUUACUUAUACAUCAUAGAAAGAAGAACAUCCUACAUGAAAUAUCCUUACAUACAUGUCGCCUAAUCCCAUCACAAUUUCACCUUCUUAUCAAUCCCACAUACAUGACCCCCUUUAAAGUUAACUUCCUAGAACACAAGUCAAUUAUCAAAAUAGGAUCACUGUACAACUAUCUCUUUAAAAUAGAAAUCAUCCUACCAAACAAUGAGGAUCACCGCAAUUGCUUGGCAAAAUUAUGCGACAGUCUCAUGAGCCUAUGCCAUGGAAGAUCAGUCUCAUAAACUAAGCAAUCCCUUUCUUAUGUCGACCAGUUCAAAGCAUAGGUAAGUAUUCCUUUUUUUUUUUUUACUUAAGUAUCUGCUGUUAUGUGUCUGUUAUGUCUGUUAUGUCUGUUAUGUGUCUCUUCAUAUAUUCUUAUUAAUCCACCUCUACAAAAUAGUUUCUAGUUGGGUUUAUUUGUUGACAUUUGCAAUAUUUCAGCCAAAAUUUAAUUAUGAACCUUAGCAUUAUAAGCAGCUGCUGGUGUCCUCUACCUGUGGCUAAUUAGUGUACUAAUGGUAUUUCUAUAUGCAUGCCACUUGUAUUGAUCCUAAAUGUUUGUGUGGCUAAAUUCCAGGAAGAAAACACGGUUCAUUUUCAUCAUCCAACGACUUUAUUAAUGGAUGUUUAGGGUCAUUAAAAAAAGAGAAUGAUUUAUUGAUUUUGUCAAUAUAAUUUGUAGAUCAUGACUUAUAUUGAGCAUAAAUUUUGGUAGCCUAGUAAAUCUAUUGUGAGACAUUCUUUGAUAUUUAAUUAUUGGGUUAAACUAAUGAGAUUGUUUAAGAUGGUUUUAAUGAAUUUUUUUAACUUGGGAAUUAGAAUUAAUUAAAUAGUGGGGUAAUUUGGUAAAUUUGUAAUAUUAAAAAACCUAUAGAAGUAGAAAAAUUUAUAGUUCUAUAACCCCCUUGGUUUAUUUGAUCAUAACAUUUUGGGAGAAGAUAGCGAAGUAAAGAGACAAGAAGAAAGAUUUCCUAGGGUUUGGUUGAAAGGAGAAUUGGAUAUAUAGGAAUACACCACAUCUCUCCAAGAAUUCCAAGGAUUAGAAGGUUUGUGCUAUUGUCCCAUUUCAAAUCCUUUUUUCAACUGCUUGUUGCCCAAGAGAUAAUAAGAUCUUGGAGGAUGUUCCAUCCAUAUUUUAUUUCUUAUGUUAAUCCUAGAUGGUUAUUUAAUUAUUAUUUGGUUUUGGAUGUUGUAAAGUUUUUUCUUUUAUAUAUAUAUAUAUAUAUAUGUUUGAUUUGGGGAUUUCAAAAGUUUAAGUUAUUAUUUUCGAUGUAGAAUUAAGAAAGAUCGUAAUGUAAUUGAUUUAGGAUGAAAUUCCUAUCUUGAUUGAUCAAAUCAACAAACUGAUUGAUUAAACUUUAAGUUCUAGUUGGAUAUACCGAGUAGGAGGGUUAAGAUUUUUUUUUGCAAAUUUUAGAAACCUGAGAAGCUUCAAGAUAUCACAAACAAAUUUUACAUUAAAUAUGAAAAUGAUUGAGUGAAAUAUAAUAUACCAAAGAAGGUUUUAGAGUUAUUAUUAUUAUUAUGUGUAAUGAAAGUCAUUUUGGGAUUUUAGUUGAGUAUGGAAUGCGGGUAAGAAUGGCAAUAAGGGUUUUGUGUGUAACCUUGUCCAACCCACCUAAAUGGAUGUUUGGUAAAAUUUAUUACUUAUUACUUUUUUAGUAAAUUUAUCUCAAAAUUUAUUUUAAUUAAUCAAAUUGACAUAUUUAUUCUUAUUAAUUUUAACUAAUAUUUAUCCUCACUUAUUUUAACUCAUUUAUUUCCAUUAAUUCUAAGUAAUAAAUUUAUUUGUAAAACAUUUAUGCUUAAAAUAUUGUAGAUAUACAAGAUAACUAUAAAAUAUUUAUUAUAUGAAAUAAGUCAUACUUGUGGAAUCAUAAUUUUAAAAUAUAUUAUAGGGAGAAUUUUGUUUUGGGCCCAGCUGAGCCCAAAAAUUAACAUUUGGUCCAUAUAACUUCCAUAAUUGAUGGAAAUGAUAUGAGAUGUUAAAAGACCAAUAUAUCCUUCAAAUUUCUAUACAUUACCUUUUAAGGACAUAAAAUAGUGAUGGACUAAAAUACCCAAUGACCUUUCACAUAAUUUUUUUUUUUUUGUCUUUAUUGCACCAUUAUUCAUGCAAUCAUAAUAAUUCUAUUUUAACAAUUUGGGUUUUUCAUUAUUUUAAUUUUUUUUAUAUAAAUAAUUGAAAAUCAACAUUAUUUUCUAUUUUAAAUUAUAAAUAAAGAAAAAUUAUGUUCGAAAGCUAUUUUAAAAAAUACUUUCUAAAAAAUAGUAAUAUGAUUUAUAUUUUUUAUAUUUUCUUUUUGAAAAAAUAUUUAUUUAAAAAAUGAAAACUAUUUUAAAAAAUAAAAAUUGAAAACCUUGUUUAGUACUUUUUUUUAUAUGAAAAUAAUAAAAAGAACUAAAUUUCAUUCAUUGAUUAUCCAUUUUUAUUUUUUUUCAUUAGUUAUUUUAAUAAAAAAAAUAUAUAGUAUGUUUACGAUUAAACAAAGAAAUUGAUCAAUUAUGUGUUUUUUGUGGGACUAUCUUUUACAUGAAAAAUAAUUAAAUAACUAAAUUAUAUAUAUUUAUUACUCUUUUUAAUUUUAUUUUCUUUAUUUAUUUUUUAUCGAAAAUUUUAAUAUAUCCAUAAUUAACAAAGUAAUAAAUCAAUUGUGCACAUUUUAAUCUAUUAAAAUAAAUUAAUUUCUAAUUUAAUAAAUAAAAUGAAAUAAGUAAAUAAAUUUGGGGUUAUUUCUAUUUUUUAAUAUAUCUUAUAUCAAUAUUUUUUAUGAUUAAAUAAAUUUUUUAUUUUUUAUUUCUUUAAUUCCAAAAAUAAAAUGAAAUAAAUAAAUAAAUUUAGAAUUUUCCAACUGAUCUUAUAUUCAUAUUUCUUAUGGUUAAAUAAAUUUUUUAUUCUUUUUUCUUUAUUUCCAAAAAUAAAAGGAAAUAAAUAAAUAAUUUGACUUAAAUAAUAGUUUUUAAGUAAUUUCUUUGUCUUAUUUUUAAUUACAUUUUGCAUUGAAAAUAAAAUAAAAUAACGUUUUUUUUUAGUCACUGUACAAGGUAUUUACACUAAGUGUACAUGACAAAUAUAUUAACUGUACAAGGGUGUACAAAACUAUUAUUUGUGAAGGAUUUUAAGUGAUUCUAAAAAACUUGUUUGUUUAUUUCCCUUAACCAAGGAUAAAUGACAUUCCUUACACACAUUGGUUAAGCAUAUAUUCAUCUCAUAUAUUUUAUCUAACUUGUAUAUGGUCAUUUUAAUAGGUACCUCACUUAUGAUGAUUGUAAAACAAAAUUAUACAACAAUUUUUUUUCCUUUUUAAAACCAAACCGAUGCAAACAUGGUUAACCGACCUAUUGUUAGAUAUUCAUAAAAUGAUGUAUGAAAUUUGAGUUAUUGUACAAGGGUAUUAUACUAACUGUACAAGACAAAUUUACUAAUUGUAUAAGGGUGUACAAAACUACUUUUUGUUAAGGAUUUAAAGUGAUUUCGAAAAACUUUCCCAUUUUUUUCUACUCAAAUAUUUUUUCCCCACUCAAAUUCUCUCACUCAAUAAUUGUUUCGAAUUUUAUUUUUAAAUUUCAUCAUCAAAUUUUUGUAAUUGCAUAUUUUGUUUUUGUAGUUUUAGCAAUGUUCUUUCUUUCCACUAUUUUUUUUUUUGUGAAAUUUUAUCCACAUGAAUCUAUAUUUAAAAUUAUAAUCAUAUUUAUCAAAUUUUUUACUAAGAUUAUCUUUAAUUUUUUUUAAUAUAUUUAUACUCAUUUAUUUAAAAAAUGAAAAACUAAUUUUUUUUGUAAACAUGUUCUAUUACCUUUCAAGUAAAAAAUUAGAUAAGUUUCAAAGUCAAUAAAUAAAAAAAUUAAAUACCACUUUCAAUAAUUUUUAGAUAAAAUUUUAUAUAAUAUAUUUUAUUUGAAACUUAAUUUUUAAAGUUUAACUAAAAAAUUGUAUUGACAAUUUUCUUAUUGUGGGUCAAAAUACUUUGCAUUUGUCUAUCUAGAUAAGAAAAAUUAUUAAUAUAAUAUUAGAACUUCAUACCUUAGUUAUUUUUUUUCAACAAAUUUAUCUUUUUAAAAAUUUUAAAAUAAAAACAUUAAAAAUUAAAAAGCUAAAAAGAUAUAUAUAUAUAUAUAUAUAUAUAUAAUAUAGUGAAGUGAUAGUUAAUUUUAAAAUUUUUUAAAAUAUGGUUAAUGUAGAAAAUAUAAAAAAUAAGAGAAAAAUAUAGAUGAAAGGGUAAUAUAAAUUUAAAAUAAAAAAUGAAAAUUAAACUAAAAGAUAAAUACAUAAAGAUAAAAAAUAUUUGGAUGAAAAAUCCCAAAAUUUUUAUCAUUGCUUUUAAUAAGAGCAAAAAGAUUCAAUAUCUUUAAAAAUGAAAAAUAAAAAAAUAUUAUUGUUUUUUAUUUGACAUAAAAUAGAAAUAUAUAUUGGAAUAAAAAGGGAAAAAAAAAGUUAGAAAUGAGUAAUAUUUAAUAGGGAAUAGAAAAGGAAAAAAAACACAAAAAAAAUUAAAAUUCACACUCACUUGUAGGCAUAUAAGGGAUAAGGGUAUUUUAGGAAUUAAUGAAAGACAAUAUCCUUCAUCUUAAUUUUCAUACUUUGUUUGGAUCUUGGGCUUAAAUAUGGGUGGUUGGAGGAUCAAAUGUUAAUUUUUGGGCCCAGCUGGGCCCAAAACACAAUUCUCCCUAUAUUAUAACUAGUGUGCAUAAAUAAGGUAAACAAUGUUUGAUAUUAAGAAUAAGUUAAUUAUUUUAAAUUAAUACUUAAAGUUAGAUGAUUUGUUCCCAAUUGGUGUCUCAACUGAUUCAUGUCCAGCUGGUGCUCCUUGAUUGAGGCAGUAAUCAACAAAAUUUAUAACCUAUUACACCAUGAACUAGGGUAGCAAAGACAAAACUACUAUAGCAUAGUGGCUCUAGGAUCAUUCACUGGGAAGGGUUUUCAACUCACAACUGAUAUCAAUUCAAAGUAAAUUGGUGCUUUUUCAUUUCAAGGUCAGCUUAAGAAAUAAAACACAAACUUUGUUUAAAUGAGGUUUUGUUUAAAGCUAACUAAAAAGAAAGUAAUGGAAAUUGCUUACGAAGAAAAACAUUCCUUGGAGGUUUAGGUUCACAGGGGAGGUUCCUUAUGCAAAAACAGAGCUCCGGUCAUUUGGUUCGUUUCCUCGCAUUAGAGAAUUAACAUAUAGUCAAUUCUCUAACCGGUGUUGUAUAGAUGUAACCUUUAAAUAGAUUUUAGCUCUAAUUCCCUCUCACUAAUGCAACUUGCAAUGGCUCGUGCCUCUCACCUAGCAUUUUCCAUUCAAGGUGAUCUUUAACUUUGGACUUCCCUUCUCAAGCUCGCAAGAGAUAACUAAUGGAUGUCUCCUUAGAGUCCAAAAGCUUACCAAGUGUUGGCAAUUCUAGAAAAUCCUACCUCCAAGUCACUUCCCAAAAGCUCGCAAGAGAUAAACAAGUGCAUCUCCAUGGACGGAGAUCACGUGCCUUACCAAGUGUUGGCUCAAGUGACUUGAAGGUGUUUUAAGUUAACUAAAAACAUAGAAAUCAUUAAAGGAACACACUUUCUCUUCAUUAAUUGCUGAAACCACAAAGCUACUAAUUCUUGCACUUGGAACCUUUCCCGGCAACCUUAACUCCAAGGAACUAAAAGUCUAGUCACUCAUUCUCUGAGGAAACUUCCUCAGAGCUUGUUUGGCUAGUAAGAAAACUAAUGAGAAAACAAUUAUAUGAAGGAAAAACAGAGCAAGUGCUCUGUGAAAUAUAUUUCUUUUUUCCGUCGAUUACAUAAUAGAUCUCUUUGUAAAGAAAAUUAAAACUAUAUAUAUGAGGUUAUUCACCCUUUUUACUUACUUAAAGACUAAGGAAUCCUAUGAUAGGUGGAUUACAAGGAGAGUUUGGGGAUUUAGACAUCAAAUAUCUAAAGCAAAAUAUCCCAAAAUAUCUCAAAAUGUCGAUCGAAAAUAUCAGGAAGCUUCAGGAGAACACUGUUGCACUGUAUACUGAGAGAAAAACUCUGCAGGUAAGCGCUAUCAGAAGGUCCGGAUAUGUCUAUCCGGAGAAGUUGAAACGUCCUCCUCUCCUAUCCGGAUGUGAGAUAUCCGGAUGUAAAAUGUCGGCGCACGGAAUUCCGGAUGUGAAAUGUCCCGCGCCGCCAAGUUAUCCGGAUCAAUUCCAUCGGGAUUCCCCCAAGUGGAAAGACGACGCAAUGCUAUCCGGAUUCUCUCAGGGAGAAGCACACGGCACUCAUGAACAUCACACCCGGACAAUAGCAUAUCCUAUCCGGAUAUGUUGUCCGGAUGGAAAACAUUGACUAAAGCGAGCAAGCCUUGCUACAGCCCAUGUUCCGCCACUCUCCAAUGGUGUGUCCGGACGCCUUGUCCGGACAUCUUUGCCAUGGAUUCCAAAGAACUCUCCCCAAUCUCUGAUUGCUUUGGUGAUCAAAAAGCUAUCAAAACACCAAAACUUGACACAAUUUGAUUAGAAUUGAUUGCAAGGGUCCUUAAUAUGUUAAUUGGGUUAAAAUGUGAUAACUACUACUCAAAAAUGUUUAAAAGAGUUAAUUACAGGCUAUCAAAUAGCACUUUUUGAGUAGUAAUCACUCCCCCCAACCAACAUAUUGCUAGUCCCUUAGCAAUGAAGGAGAGAAAAAUAAAAAUAAACAGUACUAUAAUUUACAACAUCAUGCUGAUCAAAAAACAAUUUUCAAGUGGCAUGAUGAUCUAACUCUCACAUGGAACAUUAAAGAAAUAAAACUCAAACUUCAACAAGAGUUAUCAAAUAACUUGUCUAAUCACAAUUCUUAAAGAGAAGACAUUAUGCAAAUUUAAGCUUUAAAAGAGUUUCCACUUCCAAAGGGUCAAACCUUACUCUUCCACAAAAAUCUAAGUGUUAUUUAUUAGUUUCCGAAUAUAGUAUGUUGAACUAAUCUCUCCCCCCAACCUAGUUAUUUUUCAUAGCUUAGCAAACUAAUUAACCUCCAAUAGGUUAAGAACGCACCUCAUUUUUUCACAAUUAUUUUUUUCAUUGUAGGAGUAUAAGGCUAAAGGUAUUCUUUUCUAAAUUGUCCAUGUAACGGGGGUCCAUCGAUGACUCCCAACCAAUUAAGGUUUAGGGCAUCAAGCUUUAAGGAUCUUUCAACCACUAACUCCUCGGAUUUUACCCCGGACUUUUGAGAAUAAAUUUUAAUACCCAAGCACCUACAGUAUGUUAAACUCCACCUAUUCACCCUUGUAACGAGCAUUGAGGUCGGUGACUCCCAACCAAUUAAGGCUUAGGGCACCAGGUUUUAAAGAUUUUCACCAUAUACCCCUCAGACCUUGCUCGUGUUUCAAGGCAAGCAAAUAUUUUUUUUCUUUCUUUCUUUAUUCUUUUUUUCAAAGGCUCAUUGGCCUUUUAAAAGGUGUCCCAACACUUAUUAAAUUGAGGUCAAAUGUACCAAGUCUAAAAUUUUCCUAAGUCAAGAGGGAAAUAGUUUUUCAUCUUAUAAUCGAAACCUAUUGUGCACAGUGUGUGGAUAGCUUAAAGUGGAAGAACUAAGGUUGAAUUCAAUAGAAGUUUCAAUAAUUCAUCAACUAUAGUAAGCAUAAUACAAACUCUAAGUCAAGUAAAAAGACAAAAAUUCAAUUUCUCUCAUUUCAAUUUUGAGAAUUUUUUCCUUAAUAACCAUGGAGAGUAGAAUAAAAACUUUAAAAAUUUUAAAAAUUAAGCAAAAAGCAACUAAAUUACCAAAAUAGCUUAGCAUUUAAUAACAAAAAACUUCCUUCCUCAACUCUCCCUCCAACCAAGCUGAACAUUGUCCUCAAUGUGACAAAAGCGAUUGAAAAAUAGGGAGGAAGUGGUACCUCCUUAGAGACAUGAAGUGAUGCUGUGGAAAUAAUGGCUCAGAUGUCUCUCCUGUAGGAGGCUCUGGAUGAGGCAUAGACUGAUCAACAAAAGGAGGGGCCUAUGAUGGUUCUGAUGAGCUGGGAGCAGCUUCUUUCGAUUUUCUUGAAUUCCUCCUGAUUUUAAUCAUUCAAAAAGAUUAAGUUAGUUACAAUUUACAUAAUUUCAAGACCAAAAUUACAAUCAAAUAAUUUACAAAACUUAAAAAUUAACAUAUUUAACAAAAUUAUGGACUUUGGUGAAACCAAGUCCAUCUAACCCUUCUCUGUUCGGGAUUUCUGUGGCUCAAGGAGGUUGAUUUCCUCAUUUUCUGGCUUGAACGGCUCAAUGAAUGGCUUGAGGCGAUGACCAUUGACUUUGAAGGUGUCUAUGCCAUUGGAAUUUAGUAAUUACACCACUCCAUUGAGAUGUACUUGGUGAAUAAUGAAAGGACCUAUCCACCUUGACUUGAGCUUCCCUGGAAAGAUAUGGAGCCUUGAGUCAUAGAGUAGGACUCUUUGUCCUUUCCUCAAUUCUUUGUUGGAGAUUAGUUGAUCAUGUCACUUCUUCAUCCUCUGUUUUGCAACUUUGGAAUUGAUGUAAGCAUCAUUUCUUAAUUCCUCCAUCUCAUUAAGGUCUAAGCACCUCUUUUCCCCAUCUCUGAUCAAGUCCAUGUUCAACCUCUUGAUUGCCCACCAAGCUUUAUAUUCAACUUCCACAGGGAGGUGGCAUGCUUUGCCAUAGACAAGACGAUAGGGAGACAUGCCAAGAAUAGUCUUAUAAGUUGUUCUAUAUGCCCAUAAUGAAUCAUGCAGCUUAAUAGACCAAUCUUUUCUGCUUGUAAUCACCACUUUCAUCAGUAUGUUUUUUAUUUCCCUGUUUGCUAGCUCUACUUGCCCGGAAGUUUGAGGAUGAUAAGGUGUAGCUACCUUAUGCUUCACUCCAUACUUGGCUAAUAAGGCUUCAAAAGGUUUGUUGCAAAAAUGAGUACCUCCAUCACUGAUUAUGGCCUUAGGCACCCCAAAUCUUGAGAAGAUGUUCUCCUUGAGAAAUUUGAGAACCACCCUAUCAUCAUUAUGUUUACAGGGGAUUGCCUCCACCCAUUUGGAAACAUAGUCCACCCCUACCAAUAUAUAAGAGUUACCAAAAGACAUUGGAAAAGGUCCCAUGAAGUCAAUACCCCAAACAUCAAAAAGAUCAACUAUAAGGAUGGGGUUCAUGGGCAUUUGGUUUCUUUUUGUAAGCUUCCCGAGUUUUUGGCAUCUAUCACAACUCCUACACAUGAUGUGGGAAUCUUUGAAAAGCGAUGGCCAAGUAAACCCUGAUUGUAAGACCUUCAUGGCUGUUUUCUGAGAGGCAAAGUGGCCUUCACAGGCAUUCUCAUGGCAGUGGCUAAGGAUCCCUUGUUGCUCUUCUUCAGGGACACACUUUCUUAUGAUCUGAUAUGCACAAUACUUGAAAAGGAAGGGCUCUUCCCAAUAAUAAGCAUGAAUCUUUGUAAAGAAGUGCUUCCUGUCUUGUGCUUUCCACUCACUUGGAACUUUACCAAUAACCAAAUAGUUAGCAAUAUGAGCAUACCAAGGAGCUUUCUCUAGCAACAUAUGUGAUUCCUCAGGAAAAUCAUCAUUAAUAGGUAAUACAUGGGAAUUAUGUGCUAUAGCCAACCUUGAAAGGUGGUCAACUACCACAUUCUCCACCCCUUUCUUGUCUCUGAUUUGGAGAUCAAACUCUUGCAACAAAAGAAUCCAUCUAAUCAACCUUGCUUUUGCAUCUUGCUUUGUCAAUAAAUACUUUAAGGCUGAAUGGUCAGUGAAAACAAUGAUGAAAGACCCUACCAAAUAAGCACGAAACUUGUCUAAAGCAAACACCACAACAAACAAUUCUUUCUCUGUAGUUGUGUAGUUUCUUUGAGCCUCGUUCAAUGUUUUGCUUGCAUAGUAGAUCACAUAGGGCUUCCCAUCUUCUCUUUGGCCAAGUAUAGCUCCUAUAGCAAAGUCACUGGCAUCACACAUUACUUCAAAGGGUAAUUGCCAAUUAGGAGCCCUUACUAUUGGAGCGGUUGUCAAAAAUUGCUUCAAUUGAUCAAAACUCUUUUGACAUCUUUCAUCCCAGACAAACUUAGCAUCCUUAGCCAAAAGUUCACAAAGAGGCCUUGACAGCUUAGAGAAAUCUUGUAUAAACCUCCUGUAGAACCCUGCAUGGCCAAGAAAUUGCCUUACUCCUUUUAUAGUGGUUGGGGAUGGCAAUUUGGCAAUAAGUUCCACCUUUGCUUUAUCAACUUCAAUGCCUUUCUCGGAGAUGAUAUGGCCAAGGACAAUUCCUUGACGUACCAUAAAAUGGCAUUUCUCCCAAUUGAGCACCAAGUCUUUUUCAAUGCAUCUUUUAAGAACCGCUUCCAAAUUUACUAAGCAUUCUUCAAAUGUACCUCCAUAUAUGGUGAUAUCAUCCAUGAAAACAUCCAUAAUUCGCUCCACCAUAUCAUUGAAGAUACUAAGCAUACAUCUUUGGAAUGUUGCAGGUGCAUUGCAUAAACCAAAAGGCAUUCUUCUAUAGGCGUAUGUUCCAAACGAACAGGUGAAAGUGGUCAUCUCCUGAUCUUCAACAUCAAUUUCAAUUUGGAAAUACCCUGAGUACCCAUCCAAGAAACAAUAGAAAGGAUGGCCAGAGACUCUCUCCAGCACCUGAUCAAUAAAUGGGAGUGGAAAAUGAUAUUUCCUUGUAACAACAUUCAAUUUCCUGUAAUCAAUACACCCCCUCCAGCCUAAAGUGAGGCGUGUAGCAAUUUCUUUGCCUUUUUCAUUCUGAACCACAGUAAUCCCUGACUUCUUUGGUACCACUUGAGUAGGACUCACCCAAGGGCUGUCAGAUAUGGGAUAAAUAAUACCCGCUUGGAGUAGCUUCAGUACCUUAGUUCGCACCACUUCUUGUAAAUGAGGAUUCAAUCUUUUUUGAGGUUGACGAAUUGGUUUAGUUUCUUCCUUCAUAUAUAUGUGAUGUGUACAAACCAGAGGACUGAUUCCUUUCAAGUCAGAUAUUUGCCAUCCUAUUGCUUUCUUGCACCUCUUAAGAAUUUCAAGUAGAGAAAUCUCCUGAUGACCGGUAAGAGAUGAAGAUAUAAUAACAGGACAUUGGUUAUUUUCUUCCAGGUAUGUAUAUUUUAAUUCCAUGGGCAGAGGUUUCAAAUUGAGCUUCGGGAAUUCUUCCAUUACAUCAUCUUGUCCCUCCUCUUUAUUGAAUUAAGGUAGGAUCUCUUUUUUCCUCCUCCAACCUUGUAGAGUAGCAAGGACAUCAACGGGUUCAGACAACCCUUCUUCAAGAUCCUCAAGUCUUUCAUUCAACUCGUCUUGUAUAUUUUGAUCACAAUGCUCCUCCACUAGAGUGUCAAUAAUGCAUACCUUUUUUGGACCUUCUUCUUCUUCCAGAGUAAUCAGCUUCUUUGACAUAUGAAAGAUAUUAAGCUCAAGUGUCAUGUUGCCAAAAGUGAGCUGCAUAAGUCCAUUCCUACAAUUUAUGAUUGCAUUUGAAGUAGCAAGGAAUGGCCUUCCAAGAAUGAUAGGAACAUAAUUAGCUUCCUUAACUAAAGGAUCAGUAUCAAGAACAACAAAAUCUACUGGAUAGUAGAAAUUAUCAACUUGAACUAAAACAUCCUCAAUUAUCCCCCUUGGAAUUUUCAGUGACCUAUCAGCUAAAGAUAGGGUGAUUGAUGUUGGCUUUAAUUCACCAAGUCCCAAUUGCUUAUAAACAGAGUAUGGUAGCAAAUUCACACUUGCUCCCAAAUCUAGCAAAGCUUUUUCCACUACCUUUCCCCCAAUCAUGACUGAAAUGGUAGGACAUCCCGGAUCUUUGUACUUCAAAGGAGAUUUGCAUUGUAUGAUGGCACUUACUUGUUCAGUCAAAAAGGCUUUCUUAUUCACAUUCAACCCUCUUUUGAUAGUGCACAGGUCCUUUAGGAACUUUGCAUAUGUUGGAACUUGCUUAAUCAUGUCCAGCAAUGGAAUGUUGACCUUCACUUGCCUCAAUACUUCAAGGAUUUUUGAUGCAUUUUUUAUCCCCUUUUUCCCAUGCAAAGCUUGAGGAAAAGGUGGAGAUGUGCGUUUCUUCAUCAAUUCUUCCUUAAUAAGCUCUUUCUCCGGAUUUGCAUUCACUGUUGAAUCACGGUCCUCCUUCUCUUCACUGAUAUCUUUCUUCUUUCCUUUCAUUUCCUCCCUCUUCUUUGUCUCUUCUUCUUCCUUCUCUUCCGCAUAUGGCUUGGGUGUUGGUGACUCAACCUUUUUACCACUCCUUAGAGUGAUCAAGGCUUUAACAUCUCUCACCUAUGAAGAUUCUCCCUCAUGAGUUUCCAUUUCGUGGAUACCCUUGGGGUUUUGGUGAGGUUGAGAAGGAAAUCUACCCUUCUCUUGCACUGUGUUCAAAUUAGUGAGCCUUGAGAUUGAGUAUUAGAGAUUAUCUAUCUUCUGAGAUAAGUCAUUUUGCAGCCCAUCAAUCCUUUUGUUCAAAGUAUUCUCUACACUGCCAAUUCUUUGACUGAGUUGAGAGUUGAUGGAUUUUUGUUCUCCAAUAAAAUCUCCCACAACCUUGCUGAGAUUCACUAUUGCUUGUUCAAGACUUGAAGCUUGUUGGGAUGGUUGAGAUGGUUGAGCCGACUGUUGGUACUGAGGUGCUCUUGGCUUCCAUGAAAAAUUUGGAUGAUUCCUCCAACUUGAGUUAUAAGUAUUGCCAUACGAAGCAUUGCUAUUGGGCUUGAAUUGUCCAAUGACAUUUGCUUGUUCUUCAUACAUUUCUCUAGCAACUGGAAUUGAAGGGCACUCCUCUACCAAGUGUUCAUAAGAUUGACAAAUAGAACAUGACUUUACUUGCACUAGUGUUUCAGCAACAGCUUGCACUUCAUGCAUCUUUUUCAGUUCUAGCUCCUCCACUCUUCUUGUCAUGGCCGCAAAUUUUGCUUUUAUAUCAUCAUCUUCAUUCAAGGUGUACAUCCCAUCCUUAGCAUGAAGAGCAUUUGGUUGAGACUUCAUCUUUCCCACUUCUCCUCUGUGCGGUUCAUCCUAUCCCCUUGAGACUUCAGCUAUAUAACUCAAGAAAUCCAUAGCUUCCUCAGGAUUCUUACUCAUGAAAUCCUCUCCACACAUUGUUUCGAGGAGUUGCUUCAUUGAGGAAGACAUCCCAUCAUAGAAAUAACUCACCAACAGCCAUGUAUCAAAGCCAUGGUGAGGACAAGCAUUAAUGGCUUCCAUGUAUCUUUCCCAACACUCAUAGAAUUUCUCAUUCUCUUUAGCUGAGAAGUUUGAAAUUUGCCUUUUCAAGCUAUUUGUUCUGUGAGUAGGAAAAAAUUUCUUAAGGAAUUCAGCUUGUAAAUCAGUCCAAGUACGGAUACUCCUUGGCCUUAAAGAAUUAAGCCAAAUCUUGGCCUUAUCCUUUAAAGUAAAAGGAAAUAAUUUAAGCCUCAUCUGGUCGAUGGAAGCUCCUCCCUCUCGGAAUGUAUUACAAACAUCUUCAAAUUCCUUGAUAUGGGCAUAAGGAUUCUCACUUUCCAUUCCAUGGAAAGUUGGCAGAAGUGGCAUAAUAUGGGGUUUGAUCACUAGCUGCUCUGUAGGGGGCACUAUACAUGAUGGUGCACUCAUAUGAGGUGGAUGCAUACAGUCCCUCAAUGAUCUGAAUUCAUUGGGAUUGUCUUGAUGAUCAUGGUGACUAUGCUGAUCUUCAGGUGUAGUUUCCAUGAUGUUCAAGAUUACUUCCAACUCCUUGUUAUGAGGUGUUUCAAGUUUAACAAGCCUUCCUCCCCAAUCUCGUAUCCACUUUGGCAUACACAACUAGUAUCAAAUGUAACAAAGAAAAAAAACAAAAAUAGAGGAAAACAAAAACAAAACUACCAAAAAGAGUUCGAUUAACUAAAACUAAAUUUAAAACUAUGCUAGAAUAUAAAUGAGUAAAAGAAAAAACUAAAAGAGUUAGUAAAAUGAGAGAAAACUCACUAAACUUGUGAUGAAAACCACAAGUACCCUGAAAUAAUAUCAAUAUAAAGUUGACACCUUCCCCGGCAAUGGUGCCAUUUGAUUCGUUCCCAAUUGGUGUCUCAGCUAAUUCAUGUCUAGCUGGUGCUCCUUGAUUGAGGUAGUAAUCAACAAAAUUUAUAACCUAUUACACCAUGAAUUAGGGUAGCAAAGGCAAAGCUACUAUAGCAUAGUGGCUCUAGGAUCGUUCACUGGGAAGGGUUUUUAACUCACAACUGAUACCAAUUCAAAGUAAAUUGGUGCUUUUUCAUUUCAAGGUCAGCUUAAGAAAUAAAACCCAAACUUUGUUUAAAUGAGGUUUUGUUUAAAGCUAACUAAAAAGAAAGUAAUGGAAAUUACUUAUGAAGAAAAACAUUCCUUGGAGGUUUAGGUUCACAGGGGAGGUUCCUUAUGCAAAAACAGAGCUCCGGUCAUUUGGUUCGUUUCCUCGCAUUAGAGAAUUAACAUAUAGUCAAUUCUCUAACCGGUGUUGUACAGAUGUAACCUUUAAAUAGAUUUUAGCUCUAAUUCCCUCUCACUGAUGCAAUUUGCAAUGGCUCGUGCCUCUCACCUAGCAUUUUCCAUUCAAGGUGAUCUUUAACUUUGGACUUCCCUUCUCAAGCUCGCAAGAGAUAACUAAUGGAUGUCUCCUUAAAGUCCAAAAGCUUACCAUGUGUUGGCAAUUCUAGAAAAUCCUACCUCCAAGUCACUUCCCAAAAGCUCGCAAGAGAUAAACAAGUGCAUCUCCAUGGACGGAGAUCACGUGCCUUACCAAGUGUUGGCUCAAGUGACUUGAAGGUGUUUUAAGUUAACUAAAAACAUAGAAAUCAUUAAAGGAACACACUUUCUCUUCAUUAAUGGCUGAAACCACAAAGCUACUAAUUCUUGCACUUUGAACCUUUCCCGGCAACCUUAACUCCAAGGAACUAAAAGUCUAGCCACUCAUUCUCUGAGGAAACUUCCUCGGAGCUUGUUUGGCUAGUAAGAAAACUAACGGGAAAACAAUUAUAUGAAGGAAAAACAGAGCAAGUGCUCUGUGAAAUAUAUUUCUUUUUUUCGUCGAUUACAUAAUAGAUCUCUUUGUAAAGAAAAUUACAAACUAUAUAUAUGAGGUUAUUCACCCUUUUUACUUACUUAAAGACUAAGGAAUCCUAUGAUAGGUGGAUUACAAGGAGAGUUUGGGGAUUUAGACAUCAAAUAUCUAAAGCAAAAUAUCCCAAAAUAUCUCAAAAUGUUGGUCAAAAAUAUCAGGAAGCUUCAGGAGAACACCGCUGCACUGUAUACUGAGAGAAAAACUCUGCAGGUAAGCACUAUCAAAAGGUCCGGAUAUGUCUAUCCGGAGAAGUUGAAACGUCCUCCUCUCCCAUCCGGAUGUGAGAUAUCCGGAUGUACAAUGUCGGCGCACGAAAUUCUGGAUGUGAAAUGUCCCACAUCGCCAGACUAUCCGGAUCAAUUCCAUCCGGAUUCCCCCAAGCGGAAAGGCGGCGCAAUGCUAUCCGGAUUCCCCAAGCGGAAAGGUGGCGCAAUGCUAUCCGGAUUCUCUCAGGGAGAAGCACACGACACUCGUCAACAUCACACCCGGACGAUAGCAUAUCCUAUCCGGAUAUGUUGUCCGGAUGGAAAACAUUGACUAAAGCGAGCAAGCCUUGCUACAGCCCACGUUCCGCCGCUCUCCAAUGGUGUGUUCCGGACGCCUUGUCCGGACAUCUUUGCCAUGGAUUCCAAAGAACUCUCCUCAAUCUCUGAUUGAUUUGGUGAUCAAAAAGCUAUCAAAACACCAAAACUUAACACAAUUUGAUUAGAAUUGAUUGCAAGGGUCCUUAAUAUGUUAAUUGGGUUAAAAGGUGAUAACUACUACUCAAAAGUGUUUAAAAGAGUUAAUUACAGGCUAUCAAAUAACACUUUUUGAGUAGUAAUCAUUAGAAAUAACCUUAAAUUGCAACAUUAAGUUAUUAAGUCAUUAAAUUAAUUUACCAACACUCACUAAAAGAGUGAGUUAUUGGGAAAAUUGUUGUUAAAAUUGCACAUGAGAUUAUAUAGUUAUCUUUAAAAACUCCAAAAUUCACACUUGUAUCUAGCAUAUAAAAACUUUUUCCCAUAUCUUAGUUUUGCCCAUAGCCUCACACAAAUCCCUCACUCUAAAUUCCAAUAUCAGAUUUGGUUCACAACUAAUAUUUAUGGCUGCUAAUUAAAUCUCCCGUGUUCAUACCUCUCUUUCUCUCUCUCUCUCUUUCUCUGAGCUUUAUCUCUGCCACUACUAGUCAGAGUACGCUUAAACUGUUCUUAGUUUUAUUUUUUAGUUUUGAGUCUUUGCUCUUAUAAUUGUAUGGAAUGGUGGUUAUAUUAUAUUGUUUAAUGAAAUUGUUUUCGUUCAUUUCUCUCAUUGUGUGAUUGUUUUCUUUGAUAAUUUUUCUCAUUAGAUUAUGCCUAAUAUUUUUAGCUUUUAUUGCUUAAUAUUGUACAAGAUUUUAGGGUUUUUUUUUUUAAAAAAAUAUAAAUAAAUAAAAAUUGUUGAUUGGUUUUUAUUGGGUUUUCAAUUUUUUAUUUUUCAUUUUUCAUUUUUAUCUCACUUAAGAUUGAGAAGUUUGUGUUAAUUUCAUUCACCUCCCCUAACGUUUUAGUUAAUAUGCUUAAUCCUUAUUAAUUUGAGAUUUCAUCAAAUACCUCUCUUAUUUUAAGUAGGAGAAGGUUAGGUGAGUGAGCAUAACAAAUGAAAAUAAUAGGAAAAAUAUUUAAUGUAAUUUCAAACUAAUGAAAAUCAAGUGUAUUUAGCGAAAACUUGAGGGGAAAUGAGUGAAAUUAACCCGAGUAAUUUGUUUUCAAAAGUAUUGUUUACUAUUUUGGUAAAGUUGGUUCCUUUCACUAGUUUGAUGAACUUGUGGUGAUCGACAAUAAACUUAAAGGAAAUGAGUUUAGUCUAGUAGACUGAACCUCUCAGCAAGGAUCACAUUUGUGUGCGUUGGUUUGGGAUAUUUGAUUUGUAGAUGAAAGCGUGUUUAUCAUAUGAGGAAGGGGCUCGGAUAUCAUAAAAUCAAGAAUCCCAUAAUCACCCGUUGACAUCAAAUUAAAGAGUAUUAAGGCCUUUAGGAAAACAUUUCUUAAUUGUUGGUUCUAAGCCAACUGGAGUCAGAUUCGUCCAACUUAACGGAGGUUAGACAGUCUUCCCCCCUUCGUUGUGCCUCCCAAAGUAUCCGCCCAACAAUAGUGAUACUGGGUGAACUCCUUUCCUACACAAAAGGAUGUUUGAAUGGAUAGUCUGGGCACGCCGCUUUGAAGCUUAAGUCAGGCAAAUAUAGCUCAAGCUACUUAGUGGGAGAAAGUGAGUAAGCGUAUGUGUGCACAUACCUUGUUUGUGCUUUUUGGAGUGUUUUAUAGUGUUAAAAAGAAUGCCCCUAUAGUGCUGACUAAGCACUUUGACUUCCUUUGUAAUGAUGAUUGUCCUAUAGGCGACUGAGCAAUCAUCAUAGUUUUGGGUGGCUGGCAGGCGCAAUCAGUUGGCGUGCCAUGAUUUUGGACCGUGUAGCCACCUGUCCCCUCAGCCUGUUGAUGGUGUGAGGUUAAGUGCAACAAUUAAUUGACAUGGACUUAAAUGUUAGAAGAGGUCCCAUCAGCCGUUCACAUGUCAGGUGUGAAUGAUCACACAUGCUAGUGGGUCUUGAAGACUUGACUGGACAGUCCUCUCUGUUUAGGAGGUCCAACCUCCCUUUGUCGUCCAACCCUGUGGGAGAAAAGGGCCUCCUUAUACUUGGUAUCAAAUGGAACUAGUCGUGGUUUGGACAAAACUAUCCGGACAGGUUGCAUGCUUGUGCUAGACGGUCAAGGUGUUCGGGUUAGAAAAGGGACACAUGGAGGGGAAACCCCCACAUUAAUGCUAUAAGUGCAUUCUGUUCAAUGAAAAAGUGUAAGGGAUAUAAGUAUGGAUAUGAUUCAUCAUCCCAAAACAUUCUUGAAAAGCUUCUACAAUUUCUUAUUUAUCUGUUUCUUAAAGAAAAUAGCUGGCCUUUAUUAAAAAUAAAAUAAAAAUGGGAAGUAGAUUAUUUGAAAACAAUUGAUGGAGAAAACAAUAAAUGAGCUUAGAUUAGGAAAAUGGUAUUAUAACAGUGAAGGAUCAAGAUAAGCUAAAUUUAAUUGGUUGAAGGAGAAGUUUAUUCUUUGAUGAAUUUAGCAUAUCAUUUAAUUAAACACAUGACAACAAAUGAAUUAUAUUAGACAAAGCUCUAAUUAAUGAAAAGCUUAAAUUGACUAUUUUAAUUUUUUACUUUUAGUAAAAUACCUUUUUCUUAUUAACUUGAUUGUCCAAACUAAAAUCUUAAUACAGAUAAAUGACUUAAAGGGUGCUUGAUUGUUUUUUUAGUUUUUGCUGAAAGCAAUUUGCUUUCACACUUUAAGUUGCUUGUUUUUUUACUUUUUUUUUAUAACUUAUUAUUAAUUUUUUAUUGAAUAGAAAAAAAAAUCAAAAUAUUUAGUUUUUUUUUUAAAUAGAAAAAAAUAACAUAUUGAUGUUUCUAUACUUUUUAAUUCUUUAUAGAAAUAAAAUAUUACAAAAACAAAUAAUUCAAUACUUAAAUACACUAUUAAGCACUAUUUAGUUUUAAGUUCCAUUUAUAAUUAAAUAAAAAAAAAAAAAAAACAAGCACUACCUUACUUAUCCUCAAUGUCCUUUGGAGGACUGUGUUCAAGUUCUUUAAUUUGUAAUAAGAUAAAGCAUCUGAACUUUGAGAGGCUCUAGUUGGUCCAAUGUGUUGUUUUCUUGACUCCUUUUAUAGACCUUUUGAUGCAUAGCUUACCAUUACAAUAUUGAUACUCACUCUAACUAAUUUAUAUGACAAUGAUAAUUAUUAAAAUGUUUAGAACUAAUUUUGAAUUUUCUUCUUUCCAUUGGGAUUUUGAGUGAUAAUUCGUUUACAAAACACCACCACCAAGAAACAUUAAGGGCAAUAUCAUGGCACCAUCACCUGGAGGUAUGUGGUUCUAUGCUUUCAAAGUUCUACUUCAUCCAAAUGGAUAGCAUAUUUGUCAAUUUAUUUUGAUAUGCAUGACAAGAUCCUUUCAAACUAUGUGCGUUGCCCUCAAUUUAUUUUUUAGUAGUUUAUUUACAUUUUGUUUUGAGGUUAAUAGACUAGAGUAGGCAUAAUUUUGUCCAAAGGUGACGUUACUUUUCAAAGGUUAUACUGAGUUAUUAUAAUUAUUUACCUAGUAGGAGAAUUUUACAAUGGUUAAUAUCUGUUAUGGGCAUUAUUCCUGAUGUUUGAAAAGGUGUUAUCUUCUUUUUAAGUCUUUUUAAGUGUAAGAACAAGUAAUUCAAUAAAUGAGAUAAGUACUUUAUGUACAUAUUACUGCAAUGUAACUGAUGUAUGAAAUGACAACAAAAGUAUGCGCCUAUUUAAAAGUAGUGUGUUGAUAUUGAUGCAUGGGAAUGGCAUAACAAGGCCAAUUAACUAAGGGUGUGAAGACAAAGCCAAUUAUUAUCAUCCGUUUUAAGGAAUCGAGUUUCAGCAAUUUGUCAUGUUCAAAUAAAAGGCAUUAAGUUAGAGAAACAUAUGGUUUGAAAGGAAAAAGAUACACUUGUGUUGAUGGUUAAGGUUUCUCCUUUCUUUCAAUAUUUUUAGUGUUGAAUUCUUCUUUUUUUUUUUAAUCGUUUGUGUGGUUCUAAGAAGCCUAGGUACUAUAAUAUGAUAAAACAUAUAAUUUAGUUUUUAUUAUUCUCCAAAUUUGCACUAUUUAUGGACAUAAAGUGAAAUGAUAUGAGUGGAGUCGGAAAAGGUAUGUAUUUUACACAAUUAUUCAGAAUGUUACAAAGUUCAUCAUUUUCACAUAGCUUCUAGCACCUUUAACCUUAUUCUCUAAGUAAUGCAACUUUACUAAUAUUGCCACUUUCAAAUUCAUGGUUGGGAACCAAAUUUAAUCUUGCUAUUUAUAGGAUCAUUUGGGCAUGUAUUUCAUUUUUAUUUGGCUCUCUUAUUUCCCUAAGAGAGAUAUUUCCACAAAUAUAAUUGGUUAGUGUCAGCCCCUUAGCCUCUUGACUUAACCAUGGAGGAAUAGGCCUCAUGGGUAGGCCUUGCACCCAUGAGAGACUAGGAUGAAAGCAAGGAAAUCCUGGAGGUUUGGUGGUUCAAACUUUAGGAGCCAUGUGAGGAGGCCAUGGGCGAGCCAGACACGCACUGUGUGCGGGCCAGACGUGCACCAUAGGUGAGCCAGAUGUGCACCACAGGCGAGCCAGACGCGCACUGCGAGCGCACCACUGGUGAGCCAGAUGCGCACCGCACGCACACUGCGGGCGAGCCAGACAUGAACCACGUGCGCACCUGACUUAGGUGGUGCAGAUGACGGCUAAGGGACAUGGAAUUUUAAUUUAUAAUUAUUUAUUAUUCCAUUAUGUCUCCUCAGGCAUAUUGAUGUCUCCUCAAGAAACAAUGAAAAGGACCCAUAUUACUCUUUACGGGGGGGUAGGUGAUUCAAAGGAGGGAGCCACCAAGGAAAGCCUUGACCGCACCAAAAGGGCACCAUGGCACGGCCUUAGGAGUGCCUAGGACGCACGACGCGACUCGAGCACACACACAUGGGCUCCAUGACAUGUGUGGCGUGCACCUCGUGGUCAUAAUGGCACAGGGCCUGAUGCGACCUACCCCCUUCCUGCACAGCCACGAGGGUGCCUAAGCCUUGUGCAGUGAGCCAGCUGAUGAAACCAUGGGCGCAAUGCCAUGGUCUGAGGGCUCCAAGCAAUAGCUGACUUGCACCAAAAUGCCUACAGACAGCACAAGGGCAGAAUGCCCUAUGCACCAAGAGGGAUUAGCCAUCAGCACAAUGCCAUGGCUCGUUGCUGGGAAGCAAGCAACAAGCCCAAGCCAUGGGCACCUAGACAUGGCAUAAGCUCACACAUCAGUGUGGGAAAGGCACACUGAUGCACCAGUUGCUUGGUUAGAUGGUUGGUGCACGCUGCCUGGCUCAGAGGGCCUUGAUCAAAGACAUGCUGAUGGGCACCAGGUCAUAAGAGACACCUUGCGGGGAAGGAGUCGGCUUGUUAGGGGGACUCUCCAGAAGCUUGGUGACCAAGACCUGAGGAGAUGACAGUGCAGCUAGCUAGUGGCAGCUAGCUCAGAUAGCAAGUGACCAAGUCAAGCCGUCAUUUGACCUGUAGUUGGUUGAGGGAUGAUGGUUGGUGCAAGUGGGUGGCAUGUGCAGGCCACUAUCUAGGUGGUGGGUGGUUAUGCAAGGCAGUUGUGGGCGGUUUUGGCCAGUUGCAUAACCACCAAGUUGGCUCCAACAUUUGAAUAUGGGAAUUCAAAUUUGUAACUACAACUUUGAGUCUUUUAAAAGGGCUCUUGCAGCCUUGAAACAGAGAGAAAGAGAUUUUGGGGAAAAGAGUUCCUUCUCGUAUGCUUUCGUGAGAGCAUUGUACUCUGGUUCAGGAAACGAUUUUGUCUUGUAAGAGUGAAAUAAUACAAGUUGGGAAAGGAUUCCCAUAACCUCGUGUGUGUCCCUGUUGCUUUGUUCUUUCUGUAUUUUACUCUGUUUUUCUAAACGUUGGGAAGGAAGGUUGGCUAAGGAAGGGUCCUUAGCACCGCGCACUCGUGAAAAAUUCAGUGAGAUAUUUAGGGGUGUGACAGUUAGCAUAGACAAACUAGAACCUUUUCUUUGUCAAAUAAGUAUUUCUAUUAACUUUGUUUAUGAUCUAUAUAGUUGUACUUAAGUAUUCCUAUUAAGUACAUAAAUUUUGCAAAGGAUUCAUUAACUUUCUUUUAUGAUCUAGGAACUGAUUCAAUAAUUUGUUAGCUCCUAGUACCUUUUAUUCUAUUACUAAUACAACUAAAAUAGAAUGCUUUGUUUUUCAACCAUAUGCAUUGUUUAGUUAGAGUGAUGGUUUAGGACCUUUGAGUUUGGAUACUCAAAGUUGAGCUAACUAAUUCAAGGCUUUGAUCUUUACAAUUUAAUUUAGUCAUUGUAAUUUCUAGUUUAAGGCCAUUGGAUUUCAUAAUCUGAGGUCAUUAAAAUUCAUAAAAAGCAACAAAAUUUGAAACAUCAAGGUCGCUGAGCCUAUUUAGAAGCCUAUUUAGGCAGAAGGGUGAGGUAUAUAGAAUUUAAGGGAAAGUGGAGCUACAAGAUAGGUGGGGUUAAAUGGAUAAAAGAAAGUGAGAAUUUCUUUUCUUUAUCAUUUUGGGUUAAACGGAGCCAUUUUAAAAUAACAAUUAUCAUGUUACAAGGACAAUAUGUUAUUUCCCUUUCUUUUAGGUGGAAGAAGGCUCAAUAGAUGUUGAUUCCUCUUUAGUGGGCCUUUAACUCUAUGCCAUAAAAGUUAAACCCCUAAACAAAUCUCAAGAUGCUCAGUGUUAGGAAGGUUAACUCCUUUUGUGUGAUGCUCUGGGUAUUUCAAAGCCUAAAAUACAUUCUCUCAACUUGGAUAAGCAUAUUGGUAUUAAGGCACUAUGUCAAAGGUGAAAAGGUCUAGGGGAUCUAGCUAUAACUAUUUUGGAGAAAACAUACAAUCAUCUCUACAACCAUAGUAACACAAUCUCUUAUGUGCAUAUGAUGUCACUUAAAGCAUGAGAGACCUCAUUGGCAGCCACAAAGAGUAGGCAUGCUCCAUGGACAUCUAGGUGACCCAUGGAUAUAUUUGGAAAUAGAAAUCCAUAUGCAUCCAUAUCUAAAUGAUGUAGCACUAUCGUCUAGGAAGAUAUACAAGGUGAUUAUGACCCUUUGACACAUGACACCAAGUCUAAAGAUGCAUGGUUCUUUGUAAUUUGUUGUGAUACAAUGAAUCUCACAUUUCACAAGUUGAACACAUGCAAUGUGAUGAUCCAUCCAAAAAAUCAUCCAAAGGCCUAACCAAUUUCAUGAUAGUAGUAGAUUAGAAAAGAUGGUACUUUAAUCAUUUGCAUAAAUAGUACUAGUUACAGAAAAGGGAAAUAAAUUAUUUUUCAGAUAAAAUGAAAAUGUGCCACAUUAGUGUAUAAAAUUUAUGUGAAAUAAUUUGUAAGCAUGAAUUUCUAAUUGCAUGCACAAAACCUGUGCAAAUGUUCUAUUUAAUUGCUUAAUUUUGUGUGCAUCUCUUUAGGUACAAAUACAAUGAUGUGUUGAGUUUUUUUUUUUUUAACUAUUUUUACAAACAUGCUACUCAAAUGAGAUUUAUAUCUAUAUCUAUCUAUUGAUAUAGAUAUUUGUAGCAAUUGGCUAAGGUAGUUGCACUUAGCUUGGGUUAUGUCUAUGGAUGGAUUUUGUGGAAAUCCUGUUAUCUACUACACGUUCACACAUGUUCACACAACUCUAAAGUGGUCCAACACCAGAUCAUCUCACCGCCCUACAGUUUAGGAACAUGUUCCACAAACUGCCGAUAAUGAUGGCAAAUGAAAAACGACGUGGUUUGAUGGGAAGCCACAACUUUAUAUAUCAAUUUUGGUCCCGAAGUCGUCUCUCUGCUGUUUUUCUUCAAUAAUACACUAUCUCACGAGAGAGAUUAGAGUUUGGAAAAUCAAAGACUUGCACCAAUUAUAGAAAUUCAAAAACAAUGGUUGGAGGUAAGUAGAUGAUCCUAAGUCUUUUUCAAAUUUGAUUCAUAUGGAAAAAGUUCAUAUACUUUCAAUUGAAUAUAUUGAAUGUAUUCUUACAAAUCCAUCUAAUUACAUUAAGUUCAACUCUCUAUUUUACCUACUCAUAGUAUAGUUUCUUUUGCAUUUUCAAUAUUAAACAUCUACAUAAGCAAGUUAAUGAUCAUUUGGUAACAGGUUGGUGGGAACUAGGGGAUGAGAGGAACAACUAACCCAUUCUUAGAGAGUGAUUCAGGGUAUCAACCUUGCAAGGAGCCACAAUGAUGGUUCUAUUGGCAUGCAAGAUCAACUCCAUCACAAAAUUCCCUCUUUUCAGCAAGCGUAUGAGUUGGGUGUCCUCAUACUUGACCGGAGACUCCUACACAUGACCUGAAGCUCCUAAGGGAGUAUUCAAAGGCCUAGGUUGUGAAAGAGCUUAACCUUAUGCUAUUUUUGUGCAAAAACCAAACCAAGAUGGAAAUGGAGAAAAAGAGUUAUUUGGGAACUCAUAGACUUGAGGUGCAAUAACAAGUACUUCAAAAUUAGCCCAAACAAAAAGUCAGACAUUUCCAUGAUUACAAUUAUUAAUUAGUCUAGUAUUUUCUUGGCCAUUUCUGCUUCACGGUAUGUCUGCUAUACAGAAAUAAAAAUGAAAUAAGAAUUAGAAUGCAAGUGAAUGGCACUACCAUGUAGGAGAGAAUCCAAAUUUUGAGAUGAAUAGAAUCUAGUUUAUGUGACAAUGAAUCUUUUAUGCCUAUUCGUAUUUUUAACAAGUCAUCCAAGGACAGUAAGGCCAUGUUUUGUUAACGUAUAGUAGGGAUUAGGGACUUGGGUUGGGACUUGGGCAUGGUUGAUAUUCCCAUUACUCUUGGUUCAACAUUUGAAAAUUGGGAAUAUAUUCUCACCAUGCACUUUGGGAAUUCUAAUCCCUACUUUGUGCUUUAAUUCCAUCAUAAUUAUAAUGACUAAUAUACCCUUUAUCUAUGCCCAGAAACAAAUAAAUUUAUACUAAUGAUAUCUAACUUUAACUCAUAUAUUUAAUAUUUAUCUUAAAAAUAAUAUUUUUGUAAUCUAAUAAAUUAUUUAUUUUUUAACCCUUCGUUAUUCAUUUUUAAAAUAUUAAUAUCUCUUGCUAGUAUUCUUUAUUAUUUUUCCUAAAUUUUUGGCAAUAUAAUAUCCCCAAAAUAAAUAUGACCUCAAUCAAUAUUUAUCUUAAUUCAUUUGACACAAAAUAUAUUUAUAUAUAAUAACUAUACUUUUUAUUUUAAUUAUCAUUUAUAUUUUUAAGAUAAUGCCUUACCCUACACGUCAUAUCCUAUGUGACACUAUAAGAAAAAAGGGUAAUAAUGAUGUUUUUUAGGCGUCAAUAAAUGUAUACGAUGACGCUUCUCGAAAGCGUCCUUUUCGCCUCUGUCAAGGAAUGGGUGUAGGCAACCAUGUCGCUUCUAGACAGCGUCAUUGUUGAUUGGUUUAUAUUAACACGUUAAAAAACGUCAUUAUUGAUCUACCUAUGUUAACACUUACACUAGCGCCAAGGAAUGGCCAAAAUAUCAUUUGUCUAUUUCGACACUAAAAAAAGUGUCAUCUUAUGUGGAUAAUAAUAUUGAAAAUCCCCCUGUUGAAAUGAUAUAUUUUGUAUGUCCUGUUAUAUAUAAUUUUGGCUGCAUGAUUAUUUAUAAAGUACCGAACAAUAACUUCAAUAUUAAUAACUACAUCUUCCAAAAGAAAUUGAAUAAAUUUGGGAAUAAUAUAAUGAUAAAGAACUAAUGUCUACAUAGUUAAUUAAUACGCAAAUUUGAAAAUGUAUCAAAAUAUUUACAAGCAUAUUUUCCAACUUCAACAUAUAUAAAACAAGUACACAUGUACCAAAAAACAAGGUCUCCAAAUUCCUUAUNNNNNNNNNNNNNNNNNNNNNNNNNNNNNNNNNNNNNNNNNNNNNNNNNNNNNNNNNNNNNNNNNNNNNNNNNNNNNNNNNNNNNNNNNNNNNNNNNNNNNNNNNNNNNNNNNNNNNNNNNNNNNNNNNNNNNNNNNNNNNNNNNNNNNNNNNNNNNNNNNNNNNNNNNNNNNNNNNNNNNNNNNNNNNNNNNNNNNNNNNNNNNNNNNNNNNNNNNNNNNNNNNNNNNNNNNNNNNNNNNNNNNNNNNNNNNNNNNNNNNNNNNNNNNNNNNNNNNNNNNNNNNNNNNNNNNNNNNNNNNNNNNNNNNNNNNNNNNNNNNNNNNNNNNNNNNNNNNNNNNNNNNNNNNNNNNNNNNNNNNNNNNNNNNNNNNNNNNNNNNNNNNNNNNNNNNNNNNNNNNNNNNNNNNNNNNNNNNNNNNNNNNNNNNNNNNNNNNNNNNNNNNNNNNNNNNNNNNNNNNNNNNNNNNNNNNNNNNNNNNNNNNNNNNNNNNNNNNNNNNNNNNNNNNNNNNNNNNNNNNNNNNNNNNNNNNNNNNNNNNNNNNNNNNNNNNNNNNNNNNNNNNNNNNNNNNNNNNNNNNNNNNNNNNNNNNNNNNNNNNNNNNNNNNNNNNNNNNNNNNNNNNNNNNNNNNNNNNNNNNNNNNNNNNNNNNNNNNNNNNNNNNNNNNNNNNNNNNNNNNNNNNNNNNNNNNNNNNNNNNNNNNNNNNNNNNNNNNNNNNNNNNNNNNNNNNNNNNNNNNNNNNNNNNNNNNNNNNNNNNNNNNNNNNNNNNNNNNNNNNNNNNNNNNNNNNNNNNNNNNNNNNNNNNNNNNNNNNNNNNNNNNNNNNNNNNNNNNNNNNNNNNNNNNNNNNNNNNNNNNNNNNNNNNNNNNNNNNNNNNNNNNNNNNNNNNNNNNNNNNNNNNNNNNNNNNNNNNNNNNNNNNNNNNNNNNNNNNNNNNNNNNNNNNNNNNNNNNNNNNNNNNNNNNNNNNNNNNNNNNNNNNNNNNNNNNNNNNNNNNNNNNNNNNNNNNNNNNNNNNNNNNNNNNNNNNNNNNNNNNNNNNNNNNNNNNNNNNNNNNNNNNNNNNNNNNNNNNNNNNNNNNNNNNNNNNNNNNNNNNNNNNNNNNNNNNNNNNNNNNNNNNNNNNNNNNNNNNNNNNNNNNNNNNNNNNNNNNNNNNNNNNNNNNNNNNNNNNNNNNNNNNNNNNNNNNNNNNNNNNNNNNNNNNNNNNNNNNNNNNNNNNNNNNNNNNNNNNNNNNNNNNNNNNNNNNNNNNNNNNNNNNNNNNNNNNNNNNNNNNNNNNNNNNNNNNNNNNNNNNNNNNNNNNNNNNNNNNNNNNNNNNNNNNNNNNNNNNNNNNNNNNNNNNNNNNNNNNNNNNNNNNNNNNNNNNNNNNNNNNNNNNNNNNNNNNNNNNNNNNNNNNNNNNNNNNNNNNNNNNNNNNNNNNNNNNNNNNNNNNNNNNNNNNNNNNNNNNNNNNNNNNNNNNNNNNNNNNNNNNNNNNNNNNNNNNNNNNNNNNNNNNNNNNNNNNNNNNNNNNNNNNNNNNNNNNNNNNNNNNNNNNNNNNNNNNNNNNNNNNNNNNNNNNNNNNNNNNNNNNNNNNNNNNNNNNNNNNNNNNNNNNNNNNNNNNNNNNNNNNNNNNNNNNNNNNNNNNNNNNNNNNNNNNNNNNNNNNNNNNNNNNNNNNNNNNNNNNNNNNNNNNNNNNNNNNNNNNNNNNNNNNNNNNNNNNNNNNNNNNNNNNNNNNNNNNNNNNNNNNNNNNNNNNNNNNNNNNNNNNNNNNNNNNNNNNNNNNNNNNNNNNNNNNNNNNNNNNNNNNNNNNNNNNNNNNNNNNNNNNNNNNNNNNNNNNNNNNNNNNNNNNNNNNNNNNNNNNNNNNNNNNNNNNNNNNNNNNNNNNNNNNNNNNNNNNNNNNNNNNNNNNNNNNNNNNNNNNNNNNNNNNNNNNNNNNNNNNNNNNNNNNNNNNNNNNNNNNNNNNNNNNNNNNNNNNNNNNNNNNNNNNNNNNNNNNNNNNNNNNNNNNNNNNNNNNNNNNNNNNNNNNNNNNNNNNNNNNNNNNNNNNNNNNNNNNNNNNNNNNNNNNNNNNNNNNNNNNNNNNNNNNNNNNNNNNNNNNNNNNNNNNNNNNNNNNNNNNNNNNNNNNNNNNNNNNNNNNNNNNNNNNNNNNNNNNNNNNNNNNNNNNNNNNNNNNNNNNNNNNNNNNNNNNNNNNNNNNNNNNNNNNNNNNNNNNNNNNNNNNNNNNNNNNNNNNNNNNNNNNNNNNNNNNNNNNNNNNNNNNNNNNNNNNNNNNNNNNNNNNNNNNNNNNNNNNNNNNNNNNNNNNNNNNNNNNNNNNNNNNNNNNNNNNNNNNNNNNNNNNNNNNNNNNNNNNNNNNNNNNNNNNNNNNNNNNNNNNNNNNNNNNNNNNNNNNNNNNNNNNNNNNNNNNNNNNNNNNNNNNNNNNNNNNNNNNNNNNNNNNNNNNNNNNNNNNNNNNNNNNNNNNNNNNNNNNNNNNNNNNNNNNNNNNNNNNNNNNNNNNNNNNNNNNNNNNNNNNNNNNNNNNNNNNNNNNNNNNNNNNNNNNNNNNNNNNNNNNNNNNNNNNNNNNNNNNNNNNNNNNNNNNNNNNNNNNNNNNNNNNNNNNNNNNNNNNNNNNNNNNNNNNNNNNNNNNNNNNNNNNNNNNNNNNNNNNNNNNNNNNNNNNNNNNNNNNNNNNNNNNNNNNNNNNNNNNNNNNNNNNNNNNNNNNNNNNNNNNNNNNNNNNNNNNNNNNNNNNNNNNNNNNNNNNNNNNNNNNNNNNNNNNNNNNNNNNNNNNNNNNNNNNNNNNNNNNNNNNNNNNNNNNNNNNNNNNNNNNNNNNNNNNNNNNNNNNNNNNNNNNNNNNNNNNNNNNNNNNNNNNNNNNNNNNNNNNNNNNNNNNNNNNNNNNNNNNNNNNNNNNNNNNNNNNNNNNNNNNNNNNNNNNNNNNNNNNNNNNNNNNNNNNNNNNNNNNNNNNNNNNNNNNNNNNNNNNNNNNNNNNNNNNNNNNNNNNNNNNNNNNNNNNNNNNNNNNNNNNNNNNNNNNNNNNNNNNNNNNNNNNNNNNNNNNNNNNNNNNNNNNNNNNNNNNNNNNNNNNNNNNNNNNNNNNNNNNNNNNNNNNNNNNNNNNNNNNNNNNNNNNNNNNNNNNNNNNNNNNNNNNNNNNNNNNNNNNNNNNNNNNNNNNNNNNNNNNNNNNNNNNNNNNNNNNNNNNNNNNNNNNNNNNNNNNNNNNNNNNNNNNNNNNNNNNNNNNNNNNNNNNNNNNNNNNNNNNNNNNNNNNNNNNNNNNNNNNNNNNNNNNNNNNNNNNNNNNNNNNNNNNNNNNNNNNNNNNNNNNNNNNNNNNNNNNNNNNNNNNNNNNNNNNNNNNNNNNNNNNNNNNNNNNNNNNNNNNNNNNNNNNNNNNNNNNNNNNNNNNNNNNNNNNNNNNNNNNNNNNNNNNNNNNNNNNNNNNNNNNNNNNNNNNNNNNNNNNNNNNNNNNNNNNNNNNNNNNNNNNNNNNNNNNNNNNNNNNNNNNNNNNNNNNNNNNNNNNNNNNNNNNNNNNNNNNNNNNNNNNNNNNNNNNNNNNNNNNNNNNNNNNNNNNNNNNNNNNNNNNNNNNNNNNNNNNNNNNNNNNNNNNNNNNNNNNNNNNNNNNNNNNNNNNNNNNNNNNNNNNNNNNNNNNNNNNNNNNNNNNNNNNNNNNNNNNNNNNNNNNNNNNNNNCAACUUCACUAUACGAUUUUUUCCCUUUAAACUAAUAAUUAAUUGUACAUACAUGAUGAUUCGUUAAGUUAGCAAAAAAUUACUAAAGUAUAGAAACUAAUAAAAUUUAUUAAUGAGUAUAUACCUUUGUGGAUAGGAGGCUUGGAUCAACAAUUAUAUCUUUCAUGUAUCUCAUCACAUAAUAACCACACUCCACACUUCCUAGUUGUCUUAGGCACUAUAGGCACACAUAUGAAUUAUGGUACCAUAAAAACAUUAAUAUCAUGAUGUUUUAUGUCAUUAUUAUCUAAGUGACAAAACAUAAAACCAUAUUCAAAUUUUAGGGUUGAUAUAAGUGGUCAUAUGAUAUAUCUUACUCUAACCAAGUAACUUACCACUACUUUUACCCAUGUCGGCUCCCUCUUUGAUGAUCUUUGUUUCUCUGGUGGAUGAAUUCGUAGUGCCCUACAUGGAAAAGAAAAUUAACAUUUUAGAUACUAUGCACUAUAUUCAAGUAUGGAAAUGAAGACACUUACAUGUUAACAAUUUCCUUAAGAUCAUCACAUGGUUGCUUUUGCAUCGGAUCAAGGUAGUACGCAGUCAUUGUCCUCAUAUCCAAUGCCACCAAGACCCAGUGGAAACUACAAUAGCACAUUAGAUAUUAUUUAGUAAUUAGCAUUGAUUAAGCUAUUUAACAUUAAAAAAAAACUUAAUAUUUUUCAUAACUUACUCAGGGUUAUAUGGAAUAAAAAUGUAGUCAGCACGCUUUGCAUGCAUUAAACGAUUUGCAAUCAACCUUGACCUAUUUUCCUUUGUUGUCUCACCCAUUCCAGCUUUAGAGACUAAAGCUGGAUUGAUAAAAGCAAAUCGUUCAGUGAGCCUUGCAUCACUUAGCUUUUUCCGUAGGUGCCUGUUUAAAUUCCACAUACCUUGAUAAGAAAUGACCAUUUUACUUUUAUAUAUAUAUAUAUAUAUAUAUAUAUAUAUAUAUAUAUAUAUAUACAUAUAUAUAUAUAUAUUUAAAUUAACACACAUUAGCAAGUUAUAAAAUUAUUUACCAUAUAUAAUAUAUGACACAAUUAGCCAACACUUCCUUAAAUGAAAUUAUCAUAUCCAUGUCUUCUUUCAUAAGGAAGGUCUUAAAACUCUCGCCAAAUACAUCAUUUGGGACCUCCACACCUUGUGCUUUCCCCUCAUUUAGCAUGAGACCUACUAAUGCAUCAAAAUUGUUGAUAUCUUGAGGGUUUUCACCAAUUUUCAAGUCAUUUUUUGUUGUUUUUUGUCUUUUCCCUUUGUGAGAUCCCUAUAAAAGAAAGCACCAUGUUUUCAAAUGAUAUACAUAUCUUUAUAAACUAUUGCAAAUGAAAAUAACACACCUUAAUGAAUUUAGUACUCAAAUUGACUAAAUGGGUUGGCCAUAAAACUUGGUAGCCCACUGCGGCUCCAACUGUUGUAGCUUGUCCAGGAAUGGGAAUAGGAAGUGGUGUAUUUGAUUCAUAGGGAGCAUCCAAAACAACUAGGUAGUUGGGACCACAAUCCAUUACAAUUGUUCCACCAGCCACUGUAUUUUCUCUGGUCCCUACUGCCAACUCACAUUUUCUUGCCUUCAAAAGUAAAUUAAAUUGUUAAUUUCAAUAUAAAAAAAUAAUCAAUAAAUGAAGUUUAAAGUGCAUUGACUAUGUUAGGGCUAUAUUUAAGACACAAAGUUACAUAUUUUAUAAGUAAUAGUUGUAGUGGAAUAGAAUAUUACUAGUAGUAAUUAUAUUGUAAUAGAAUCUACCUAAAAUGUAAAUAUCAAUCUAACAAAAAUAAAAGCAAUUGGAAGAAAUUAUUUAUGAAAAUUAUCUAGGAAUUUGUGACAAUUACGUCAUUGAACUAGGAAAUGUAAACUAAAAAUAACACACCUUCAUGUGUGGUUUUAUUUUCAUAGGUAAGGUCUCUUCCUCAACUUUACGAAUUGGUUUCUCCACUACUUUUGGUAGAAGCAACAAUUUUGAUUUCAUGUUGGAACUACUCACAUCGGAUUGUGGUGUAGCAACUCCUAUCUGAGAUAGUCUCGCUAACACAUCAGCCUUAAACUUAACUUGACGUUCUUGAGUUGCUUUUAAAAUAUCCCUCACAACACGUUCUGACAUACUAUUGAAAUAUCGUCCAGGCGUGUAGUGCUUCCCUUUAGCUCGAACUCGACCAGUAUACUCAGGAGUACCUAGUGCUUGAGAAAGUAUGUCAUUGCUCCCACUAUAGCUUAUGCCACUCUCUUGAGACCCUUUCAUCAAUUCAUCCUAAAACAAAAGGAAGUUAUGAAGUUAACUUUCAAAUAAGUAAAACCAAAUAAGGUGUUUAAAGAUGUGAUUUUUGGGUACAAAAUGUCUACUUACUAUUUUUUCCACUACUGGUAGGACCACAUCAUCAUAGCUGCCAUCUUUUUUUUGCAUUGCCCUCUUCCAAAGUAAACUUCUAUCAAUGCUUUCUGUGGAGCCAACUUCAAUCAUCUAAUAGAAAUGGAAAAUUAAAGAUAGUUAUUAGAUGACACAUGUGGUUUUAUUUCUAUUUUUUGUCAGAAAAGAAACAAUUAAGAAACCCAUAUAAAAUAUUCCUUCAUUACUUAUACAAUCAUAUAAAAUUAAACCACAAUAAGAACUAACAAAAACUUACCAUCUCUUCUUCAAGUCCAGCAUACCCUUUUCUACUUAGAUGAUGAUUAUAUAUAUGCUUCUUUCUUCUUUGUUUUUGUACUUCCCUAUAUUCCUACAAAUUAAAAUGGAUGCUUAGUAUAUAUAUGUGGAUGCAUGUAGUAUGUUUAAUGUUAAUUGUAUUUGUACCUAGAAUUUUUUAGACAACCUAUUUUUCACAAAAAUAUUCCAAUCUUCAUCAUCGAUAAAAUGAUAUUCAGCUGGUGGUUUCUUAAGAAGCUCUGGCUCAUCUUUGAAAGGAAGAAUAUGUUUCACAGUCAACGUGUUCUUAAAAGAUCGAAAACAUUUUCCCAAUGUAAGCAUACAAUUCCUUCUGCUUUUCUUGUCUAAUGUAAAAGCAAUCUACAAAUUAUAAAGUCAUUAGUUUCUCAAAAUUUGAAAGAAAUAUAGAGAUUGUAGAAAACUUAUUUAUGUUAAAAAAAAAAAGUAACCUCAAUAGAGUCCCACAACUUAUCCUUCAAUUGUUCAGGGACAUCUCGCCAUGUGUUAUAUCUGAUUGGUACCAUCGUACGUGCCAAUACACCUAAGUAGCUUGUUAGGUGCACAAAAGAUUCUCCUACAUAGAUACCAUUAGCAUUGUACUUUAUGACCAACUUUAUCCCUCUAUUCCUAUUCCUUAUAAUCAUGGAUUUCCUUGUUGUCCCUCUAUAUUUUUUUUGUGAAGGGGUUUUCUCUUCCUUUGAAUCCAUGCCUAUAACACAUCAAUGAGAAAUGAUAAGUAUACCCAUUAAUUGCAAGUAAAAUUGAAUUUUUUAUAACAUGAACUCAUAUUAGUAACAUGAACAUACUAGGAACAUUUUACAUGCUAGAUAACAAUAUUCACAUGUUGUCAUGAAAUAUUUAAAAAUAAUAAUAAUAAAAACUUACUAGAAGAUCCUCACCAAAGUUUUUUCUUAUGGAACUAGAAAUCAUAAGCUUUGAGUUGAGACAAAUUGAUAUCCUUGUAUUACCCUUUAGAUCACUCUCAGAUAUGUGUAUAAUAAUAAUCAUGAAAUAGGGAAUCAAUAAAUUUAGAGACAUGAUGAAUUUAAUCCACUUAGAAAAUAAAUAAACUAUUUACUGAAAUGCAGAAUUUCAAUAUUAACAAGUUAAUGGGAUAGUUACAACCUUCACAACAAAACAACAAGGUCAUAAAUUUAGUUACAUAGAAGAUUUUUUAUCAAUCCAGAAUCCCUCACAGUCUCCUCGAAUGUAAAUGACAUCAGAGUCAUCCAUUGUAUCAAAUGAUUCAACUUGUGCCAAGGUGGUAAUGAGAGGAUGGUGUUCAAUAGAAUUAUCCAUGAAGUCAUCAGAAUCUUUUGCUGAAAAUGAGAAGUCCCUUUCAGGAGUUGACAAAACAACUGACCAUCUUGGAUCAAGUUGGUCUUGUACAUAGAAUACUUGCUUGGCUUGGGAGGCUAAAAUAAAUGGAUUUGAUUUAUGAGCCAUCUUAGUGAAGUCAACUAAUGUCAGCCCAAACUCAUCAACUUUGAUGCCGCUCUUAUUAUCAACCCAAUUGCAUUUGAAAACUGGAAUCCUAAACAUGGUAUAAUCAAGAUCCCAUAUCUCAGUAAUAAUACCAUAGAAACAUAGCUCACCAAAUACUGGAUUCUUAUCAUUGGCACUAGAAAUUUGCAUUGUUGUUGCUACAAUGCUUACUCCACUAUUCUGUGUAACUCGUAACUCAUCACGGUCUUUUGUAUUGUACUGACACCCAUUUAUAACAUAGCCAUGAUACUUGGCCACGUAGUGGGUAGGACCAUGUGCCAUCCAUCUUAAGGUUUCAGAUAUAGGCUCUUUGUCAGCAAUGGCAACUUCUACCUUUUUGAAUGGACCAUAGUUAUUAAUAUUUUUUAUGAUUAGUGCUAAGAAUGGUGCAAUUUUUAGAAUAAAUUCAAUACAUUUUUUUGCAACCAAUGAGUGAAUGUUCGCAUAUGUUCUUCUUGUAGCCACUUUUGUCUCUUAGAUUGACGAGGAUUGUUCAAUUUCAACCAUUUCAUGUGUUCUCUAUAAGAUAUGUAUAAGAAAGUAACAAUAAGUUUCCAAAAUUAGUUUAAGUAAUCUACACAUAAAAUCAAAAUAGUUGACCCUUACUCGAUAUAAGGUUGGAUGAUAGUUGUAUUUUCCAACACAUAAUGAUGUGCUUGCAACAACAAAUUACAAUCAGCUUCGGUGAUAUGACCUCCAGGAAUAGGCGCCCCAACUUUAUGGUCAACAUUAGUGCUACUAGGAACUCCAAUUGCAUCCACAUUUGAUAAGUACUUUGUACAAAAUUCAAUAGCUUCCUCUGCAAUGUAGCAUUCAACAAUGCAACCUUCAGGGUGGUUACGGUUUCGCACAUAACCCUUUAAUACUUUCAUGAACCUUUCAAAUGGGUACAUCCAUCUAAAAUAAACCGGUCCACAAAGUCUCACCUCUCUAACAAGAUGAACCGUUGAAUGAAUCAUGAUAUAAAAGAAGGAUGGUGGAAAGUACUUUUCAAGUAAGCACAAUGUCACAACAAGUUCAUUUUGUAACUUAUCCAAUGUAGACACAUCAACCACCUUCUUACAUAAAGCAUUGAAAAAAAGGCUCAAUCUAGCAAUAGCAUGUCGUACAUGCUUUGGCAAAAGUGAUCGCAAUGCCACUGGUAACAAUUGUUGCAUCAGUGUAUGAUAAUCAUGGGACUUCAGGCCAUAAAGCUUCAAAUCUUCCAUUGACACAAGAUUUCUAAAGUUUGAGCAAUACCCUUCAGGAACCUUUAACUCAGCUAAAGUUUGACAAAAUACUUUCUUCUCCUUUCUAGGCAAUGUAUAACAUGCAGGCGGAAGGUAAGUUCGAUUCGAUUCAAACCUUGGUGCCAGUUCACACCUUAAGCCUACGUCCAUAAGGUCUAGACGAGAAUUGAGUCCAUCUUUUGUCUUCCCUGGGAUGUUAAGUAAUGUACCAAUGAUGCUUUCACAAACAUUUUUCUCAAUGUGCAUUACAUCCAAAUUAUGAUGAACAUGCAAAUAUCUCCAAUACUCAAGUUCAAAGAAUAUAGACUUUUUCUUCCAACAAUUGGUAUAAGUCACAUUGGAUUUUUCAUGUCUUCCCCUUUUUUUCCCCUAUGAAUUACAAAUGGCAUUCAUUUUCAAUAGCAUUUCCUCUCCACUUAAUGGUUGUGGAGGUGAUCGAAACUCCUGCUCACCAUUGAAUGCCUUUCUAUGUUUUCUAAAAGGAUGAUUGCAUGGAAGAAAACGUCUGUGGCUUGUAAAUGAGUUCUUUCUCCCAUGCUUCAACCUAUGUGAAUAGGUUUCCGGUCCACAUAUUGGACAAGCAAAAUAUCCUUUGACUGUGCAACCAGAUAAGUUUCCAUAUGUAGGAAAGUCAUUUAUUGUCCAUAAUAGAACAACCCUUAAUGUAAAGACCUCUCUUUGAUAUGCAUCAUAAGCUUCUACCCCUAUCUCCCACAAGGUUUUAAGGUCCUUAAUCAAUGGUGCUAAAUAGGUAUCUAUGUCAUUUCCAGGUUUUUGUGGACCCGAUAUUAACAAAGAUAACAUCAUAAAUUUUCUCUUCAUGCACAACCAUGGUGGAAGGUUAUAAGUGAUCAUGACAACUGGCCAACAACUAUACCUGUUGCUCAAAGAACUAUGGGGAUUUAUGCCAUCUGCUGAAAUGACAAGUCUAAGGUUUCUAGGUUCUGCAGCAAAAUUAGGCCAUCUAUGGUCAAUUACCUUCCAUGAUGGCGAGUCGGAUGGAUGACGCAUUUUUCCAUCAAAUUCUCCACCUUCUGCAUGCCAUAUGAGGUCUUUUGCAAUUUUUGAGGACUGAAACAUUCUUUUAAAUAGUGGGAUAGGUGGAAAAUACCACAUCACUUUAACAGGAACUCCUUUACUCUUUUUGCUUCCUCUUCUAUUCACCUUCCACCUUGAAGCUCCACAUGUAGGACAUGAAGAUGCAUCUUUUAACUCAUUCCUGAAAAGUAUGCAAUCAUUGGGACAUGCAUGUAUUUUUUCAUAUUCCAUUCCCAAUGCAUUCAAUGUUUUUUUUGCUUCAUACAUAGACAAUGGCAACUCAUUAUUUACAGGCAACAUAUCACCAAGUAAGCUUAAUAGCUCGGAGAAGCUUUUAUUAGACCACCCAUAUCUUCCUUCCAGAUUGUAUAAUUUAACUAAAGUAGAUAAUUUGGUGAAGUUUUUGCAAUCGAGAUACAAAGGUUUUUCAGCAUCUUCAAGCAACCUUUCAAAUAAUUUUGGAUUAGCCUUACAAUCAUCUUGUGCAGCUUCAACCAUUUCUACUGUAUGAUCCACAUUACCAAUAUGAAUUCUAUCAAAACAUUCAACCCUUGUAGUUGGGGGUCCACUACUUAGAGUUGCCUCCCCAUGCCAAAACCAAGUAUGGUAACUUUGGUCAAUUCCAUAAAAGAAUAGGUGUUCUCUAAUCUUUUGAGGAGUAUUGAAGAUCAAAUUUCCACACUGUAGACAUGGGCAUUUGAUGGAGUUUUGAUUUGCAGAAUUUUGAACUGCAAAUGAAAUAAAAUUUUCAACCCCAUCCUUAUAGUCUUUUGAUCUUCUAUCUUUUGACAUCCAAGAACGAUUCAUUUGCCUAUAAUAGUUGAACUCAAUUCCUAUAUAGCAAACAUAAGCAAACAAUGGAAAUGGAAAAGAAUUAGAAAAGUUACCUUUAGAAAACACUCAAAACUUUCAGUUUCUCAUUUGUGACAUCCAAAAUUUCUUUUAAACUUUCUAUGGACAAACAAUUAGGAUUCAAGUGCGAUAAAAAAUUUGAACCUCAUCCUCAAUAAAAGAAAGGAUUAACAAUAUGACAAUAGAACCUUUUGAUGCAUGUUUUUAUGCCUUUUAACAUGUCCAUCAUCCAAAAUCAGGUAGUUGUUCCUAUCCCAUGCAGGAAUACAUAAUCCCUAUGUGUUAAUUGCCAAUAUACUCAAUUUCAUUUUAAAGAAAUUUUUGCAGCAUUUCCCCAUAGUUCUCCAAGUACACAAAAUGAACAAGGUAUAAUAUGUGACCUUGUUCAAAUAUGCACCCAGAGAACAAGAGGAAAUACUACCAAAAUUUCUAAAAAGUGAAUUAAGCACAAGCAAUUAACUUCAUAGAUAUUAUGUUUUCCUACACUGUCCAAUCGGACAAUUCAAAUAUCAUUGCAAAAAAAAUAUCUUUAUCACAUUCUAGACAAUUUAAAAGUUGUCAACUUGAAAGUGGCUUAGAUAAAACCUUUUUCACCUUUGACAACUUAAAUGUCUUUAAUAUGUAAUAAGAGAAACUUUUAUCUUACAAUGAUAGUUGAAUGGGAACUCUAAGGUUUCAUGCAUGCAUGUUUGAUUAAAAUUAAAACACAAUUACUUAUUGAAUAAUCUAAUAAUUAUAAAACACCUAAAGUUGUUCCAUAAUUAUUGCUAUAUUUCAUCAUUAAACAAGAUUAUUAUAAGAAAGCAUACGUAUGGCCCAUGAUUUGCGAAUCAAGUCACACCAGUAUAUGUCAAAAUUUCGGCCUUGGUAUCAAACUAAGCUGGGGAAUAACUCGUACAAUUCAGGUACUCAAUAAGAUUUAAACAAAAUUUAAAAUAACGCUUCCAUUAUAUUCUUCUAACCACCCAAAGUAAAAAUGGUAUUAUAAUUAAAAUAUGUUGGUUUGUAUAAGGAAAAAUAGUGUACCUUCCUCACUCUGUCUUUGUCUCGAGUCUUGCAUCACACACCUCUCGUAGUCCAAUGUAGGUCACUGUCUCUUAAAAUAUGUAUAUGCAAAACAAAUAAUAAAUAAAGAUAUAAAAUAAAUCCAUUAGUAGAUAUUAACAAAUAAAUACAAAAUAAAUUAAAAUAAGAAAUAAACUAAGAAGAAAAAACAUAUAAGUAAGAAAAAAAAGAUUUUCACAUGUGCAACAAUGGUUAAAUAUUUUUAAAAAUUUAUAAAAUUAUUAAAAUCAAACUAUUUUAGUUAUUAUUAUUUUUAAAUGGUAAUUAAUACUCAUAUAAAAUAAAAUAUAUGCAUGAGGAGAAAGGUAAGAAGAUUAUUCCUUAUGCCCCUUUUCAUUUGAGAUUAUGACUUUUGGUGAUGACCUAAUGGUGGGUGCACCGUGAACCACACUAUUUGACCCGGGUCAAGUCCUUAAGGCAAGAAAGAUGAUUGCAAGAUGGGUAGAACUGUGGACCCGCAUUUUUCACGUGCGUCCCCACUCGAUCGGCGAGACUCGCUUUUUAUUUGUGAAAAAUUAAUUUUAGAAAAGUUGGAGUCGUCACCUAUUUUAUUUUUAUUUUAAAGGGAAAAUAAAACAAGAAAGAAAAACCCUAAAAAGUGACUCCAUGGUUUUGGAAAAAGCAUGUCUUCGAGAAACCCGAGUCUUGGUCCGGGGAUCAGGUUACUUAUUGGGAAGGUACCUCUAGGAGGUAGCACCCCUCUAAGCCCUAAAGAGGUCUUUACUGACUAAGUUAAGGGAAGCGUGGCAAUUAAAUGGUUGAUCUCGGAUACCUAAGUAGGCUAGGUGAUUCCAAAAAAACAUAACAUAUCAAACAAAAUCAAAUCACAAUUAAGGAGAGUUAAAAAUGCAUACCUGGACGGCUUCCCAAGCGCUAUCAUAAAACAUAAGAGAUUAGUUUGGAGAUACAUCACACAACAUUUGUUUUAUCAAAGAUAAUCAAACAAUCAUCAAAUGUAUAUCAAGGCAAUUAAAGAGGAUAGCAAGCAUGGGCAUACAUAUUCAUAGGGUUUAGAAAAUGGGUAUUAGGGAACGUACUUGGAUAGCAUAUUUAACUCCUAAUGCGCUUCCACAAAACAUGAGAGGUUAGAUAACAAACAAUAAAAUAAGAAGUCCUAGCAUGCUCGUUAUCUAAUUAUCAUAGCAGAAAUUGUCAAAAUAUAUGAAAACAAUAAUUAUCACACUCAUCUUGUAUACAAUUUCUAAAAAAAAAGAUAGAUAUAAUUUCAAAAAGUGACAAAAAUGGCAACAAAAAUAAUUUUUGAAAAGAUUUUCUUAUGUAGGGGUUUCACCAAUUCCCCAAAUUAAUAUACACAAAUUUAGCCCAGAAUUAUCCCAUUAUUUGGGACCACAAGCUUUGAUUUGUGUUUUUGUUCAAAACCAAACUUUUUGUUAGAAACCGAGAAGGAUGCAAACCGAACAAAAUAUGGUUGCAUAUUAUUUUUUAAAAUAAAAAAAAGAUUUUGAUCCUGAGGACUCUAAAUGAGUUUUUGAAAUAGAUUUUUAAAAUGAUUUUUUGAGAAAAGUAUUUUAUUUUAAAAUAAAAGGAAUUAAUUUGGAAAAAAUAAAAUAUAAGAAAUAAAAUACCAAACAGAACAAAAAUGAAACCUCAAAGUAAAAUUUUUUUAGUAAUUAACAAAAAUGAUAAUGGUGAUGGUAGAGGCCAAUCUUCAUGAUUUUCCAAUGGCCUCUAAAAAUCAAAUUUAAUAAAUAUUCACCAAAGCAACAAACCAAACGACUUUAGAUCAAAUAAAACUAAUGAAAUAUUAAUCGAGAAUUUAUAAGGAUCAAUCAAACACAUAAAUUGAGAUAAACAAUCUAGGACUAAUUUAAAAUCAACCAAACACCUAAACAUGUAAUUAUAAUAAUGUGAAUAUAGUAACACAAGCACAUAGAAUUCUAAAACAUAUUAACUAAUCAAAAACUAGAAUCAUCAAUUUUAGAACGUGAGCAAAAUAACAUAAGAUUAGUUAAACUAAUUAACUUAUUGGAAAAAAAAAAGCAUGAACUAAAUAUUGAUAAACCAAGAAUGAAGAUUAGUAUACUCAAAACAUGAAUAAUACGACUUAGGGUUAAUUAAAUUAGUUAUCUAAAACUUUGGAAAACAUACAAACUAAAAGUGGAUCAACCAAGAAUUAACCAAAUAUUUCUUAAACUAAUCAACUUAAAUCCUAAAAAGGAUGAAUCAGAAAAAUGAUUUACAUUUUUUUUUUUUAAAAAAACAUAAAUUUAAUUAGAUGGGAUCAAAUAGACUAAUGAGCUAAAAUUCUAAAAUAUCUAAACUAAAUAAGAUGAACCAAAACAUGAUCAAAAUAAACUUAAAAACAUAAACUUUAUUACAUAGGAUCAAUUAGAAUAAUAGACUAAAAAUUAUAAAACACUUGAACUAAAUAAAAAGUUGACUAAAAAAAAACUGACUUUUAAAAUUAAAUCUAUUAAAACCGAUCUAAGCAAAAUUCUAACUUUUCGAACUAAACAAGGAAUCAAAUCCAAACUACACAAAGAUUCUAAUUUUUCAAUGUAAUAUAAUGAAUCAAAAUUAAAAUAAAACAAAAAAUUCUCACCUUUUAAACCAAAGUAAUGAAUCAAAACUAAGCAAACAAAAAUUUACUUUUCAAUCUAAUAUAAAAAAAAAUCAAAACUAGAUUAAACAAAAUUCAAACAUUUCAAAAAUAACGCAAGGAAUAAAAAAAUAAAUUAAAUAAAAUUUUAACCUUUCAAUCUAGUUCAAUGAAUAAAAAAUUGAAUCAAACAAAAAUUCUAAUUUUUCGAGACAAACAUAAUGAAUUAAAAUUAAACUAAAUAAAACCUAACUUUUGAAACCAAGACAAUGAAUCAAAAUCAAACUAACUACAUUCUAACUUUUUCAUCCGAUUAAAAAAAAAAUUAAUACAUAAAAACUCUAACUUUCAAUCCAAUAAAAAAUUAAAACUAAAAUCCUUAGAAAUUCUAACUUACCUUCUCUAGAAUUCCUCUAUGGUGGUGCAACUGCUAGUGCUCAAUGGUGAAUGUGUGGUGGCUGCCUCCUUCCUCUCUUCCCUUCAGGCCUCUCUUUGUUCCCUCAAAAAAUAGUAUCUCUCCGUGUCAAUCUCUAAAAAAAAAUCCCCUUUUCUAUAUGGCAGCCUCUCUUUAUAUGGCUGCGUGAGGAUUUCCAAAAUUCCUCUUCGUCCAGCCAGCAUGUAGCCAUCCUCUUCUUAUGGGAAGUGGGGAUUUUUUUAUGGCAGCCUCUCCAUCAUUGAAUAUUCUAUUUCCUUUUUUUUUUAAUGCAUGUGGAUAUGGGAAGUAUGGCUCGCUUGGAGAUUCCCAAGGAUGCAGCCGCAUGUUGUUUUGGUAAGUGUCCAAAUCUAGUAAUCGCUUCAUCAGCCGUUUAUUAGAGUGACCGGGUUGAACUGGAUUUUCUCGGACUUCCCCAGAAAUCUACGAUCUAGGUCUAUGCGUAUUUCCGCGAAGCAAUGCGUGUCGAAACUCCUUUGCCAUGGAAAGAUGCCAACAACUCAAAGUGGCAGCCCCUCAACGUGGCAGCCUUCUUUUAUGCAAAGAUGACAGCUGGUUCUAUUGGUUUUCCCAUAGAGAGUGUGUCCCAAUGGCAGAGUGAUCAAUCCGUACAUGAAGAUGGAGAGAUAUUGUCUAUGGUGUGUCGGUUCUACAAUUCUGACGGUGCGACGCUAGGAUGAUGGCUCUUUUGCUGCAUCUUCCUCUCCAAAAAUUCUGAUUUUCGUCCUUGGAAAAAUUCUGAUCGUUGUCUUAUAAAAAAAAAUAAAUUCUGAACAUCCACUACUCCAGAAAUUCUGAUCGUCGUCCUCUCUAAUGGAGAGAAGAUCACCCUCUGUGUGCGAUCUCCUUUCUGAAAAAUCCUCCCAGCACUUUGAAUCUCCUCCCCAACACACUCAAACCUGCUUCUCAACCACCACCCUAGAAAACUCCACCAAAACAUUGAACAACACGAGUCAUCAAGCUGUUAGAAGAAGCAUCAUGGUCAUAGGCGUAGAUGACGCAGUCCAGGUCAGAGCUUUCUUUUUGGAUGGUUUUGACGGUGAGCCACAAGACCCUCUCACCAUCAUCGUUGAGGCUUGGCCAAGACCUUCUUGACCAUCAACCUUAGCUGAUCAAAACCAGAGGAAUGAUCUGAUCCAGACAUGAUUUUCCUCAUGAAACAAGAAAUUCUGCUUGGUUGGUAUUGAUCAAUAGCAGUAACUCGUAGUUUACAGCUCUCCUACAAGUGUAAUCCUUGUGUUUCUUUUGUGUAGAUGGCUUCUCAAAUCCUCAUUGCUGCAUGUACGUCUUUGCCUUGCUCAUAAUCUUCCCGAAGAAAUCCCAUGCAAUUUUUCUCCUCAUGCAAAAACAGAAUAAAAUAAAAUUCAAAUUCAAGGAAAAGAUGAGAAAUUAAUCAAAGUCAUCCAAUUGGUAAUAAAAUGAAAUAUGAUUAAAAGAGAAUGAAAGAGAAAAUCAAAUAUUAGAUUGUACAAUUCUCUCCUUUGAUAAAGGGGCUAUAUGCGUAUUUUAAAUCUAACAAUUCAAACAAUUUUUCAUUAAGUAAAUAAAUAAAUAAAUAAAAAUAAAUAAAAUGAAAUAUAUAAAGACAGUUAAAUACAUGAAUAAGUAAAUAAUAAAAAGUAAAAGUAAAAAUGAAUAGACAAAAUAAAUGUAAUUACCAAAUGCAUGCCAUAAUAAUAAUAAUAUUAAAAAAUAAACAAAUAAAUAAAUAAAAUAAAAUAAAAAAAAGAAAUGCUGAGCCUCAAUGAAAUGUCCAAAUGGACCUGUUCUGAAAAAGGUGUCUAAGUGACCUAAGUGACAUGUGUGUAAAUGAGGAGGUGUCUCGGUGCGAGUCAAGGUGAAUUUAGGUGGGCCUAGGGUGGUGUCUAAUGGGUCAGGUGUAUCUAAAAGUUAUCCUAAAAAGAAUAACAAAAGCCUAAGUCUAAAUUAGGGUUGCCAAGGUUCACAAUAAAGGGUCAGAUAAUCCCUCGACCGAAGUCUCCGAGGUGACUCAGAAAAAGGUAAGUUGUACGAGUAGUAAUGGGCCACCAAGGAGUUACUAUGGAGCAUUAAAAAUGAAUUUAAAGACAUGUGCUAAAGGAACAAAAUUGAGGGUCUACAAGAACUUAAACGAAUGAGAUAGAAAAGUCUGGUCUAAAUUAAGGUGGCUUAACAAUCCGUAAUCAUCUUGGUUAGGUUGUAUCAUAUUGUGAAAGAGAAGUUACAAGCUAGGUCUUCAGCAUCCAGCAAUUCCACCCUUUGAUUUUUCCAACAAGUUGCACCAUCUAAUAAUAAUACCUAUGAUCCUAUACCUUAGUUUUGAUUCCUUAUGUAUACAAAGUAUAUAUGGUUACACUAUAUUAAAGUAAUUUUUUUCUCUAAAAAGUAAUUAGUGUAAAUUUUAAAAGUAGGCUAAUAUUCAUUUUUUUUUUCACUUCUUAUUUUUUGUUUUGAAAAUAGAAAAUAGUAACAACUCUUAUACAAAAUAUUUUACUAUUUUUUGUUUUUAAAAUAGAAAGUUAGAAAUUGCAUUUUAAAAGCAAUAUUCUAUUUCAAUCCACACAAAUGAUACAAGUUUUGAAAUAUUCCAUUACCAUAUUUUGAGUAAUAUUUUUAAAGGGUUAAUUUAAUUCAUUUCCCCUUAAGAUUUGACUAAAUAUAAUGGCACCCGAUAAUAUGAAAUUUGAAGAAGUCCAUAGACUCUUCAAGUCUAUAAUUAGAAGUUCCUAGUAAGUUGUCACCCAUACUAAUGAAAUUUCUUGAGUCAACAUUAAUCUCGAACCUUUUUGCUACCUUCAUUACCUAUUUUGCCCCUUGACCACCUACUUAGUCCUCUUUACUUUGACCAUGUGUGUUUCUCUUACUUGCCCCUCUACUUUUAUGAAAGAAGCAUAUAGAAGAAGCCCAUUCAAGUUUUUAAAUUUUUCUUUGUUUGGAUCAUUCCUUGAAACCUUCUAAAAUUUCCCUUGUACUUAGCCUCAACAUUACAGGGUCCAAUAAAACUCUUAUAAAUAAAAUUAAAAGUGUAAUAAAUAUUAUAAAAUUAUUUUAUUAAAAAUAUUAAUAUAUAUAUAUAUAUAUAUUAUAAUUAUUAAAUUAUAUAAAAUCUUAUUCAAUAAUAAUAUUGUGAUAUUUAAUUAUAAUAUGUUUAAUUUUAAAAUAUAUUUAAUAUUAAAAUUAUGAUAUAUUUAAUUAAUAUAUUAAUGAUAUUAAAAACUUUUUACAAUUUAAUUAAAUAAAAAAAUUAUUUACAUAUAAAAUAAUUAUAAUUAAUUCGUUGUUUAAAGGAUUUCAACAAGGUAUAUUUUAUUAAGUAAAGAAAUAAGGGCAGCUUCCUUGAACUUUCAAUCCCAACUUGCAGAUUUUACACCUUCGGCAUCACAGGUAUAUUGAGGAGGACAAGGAAAAGUGCCAUCAACGUAUCCUAAGAGGUCGUUGCUAAUUAAAACAGGGAGGAAUUUAUCUUUCCAGAGAAGAUAGUUGGUGGAAUCAAGUUUGAUUGGUAAUAUUCGGUGCAGCAAGUAGAGUGGAAGAAGGCAGUGAAUUCGAAAUAGAAAACUGAUAAGAAUGUGACAAAGAAGAAGGAAGAAUAGAAGGAUAUGAUGGUGUAGAGAAAUAAGAAGAAGAAAAGAAUAAGGUGAAGAAGUUUAUUUGAGGAGAAUAGGAGAUGACAAAGUUGAUACCUGAGUCAAGAAGGGAGGAAGAGCAGUGGUGGAGAUGACAGAUGGAGGUCCGGCAAGAGUGCUAGGAGGCAAGGACUUAAAAACCUGGGUCAACGACGAUGCCGCUAAGGACGAAACCUGGCUAGGAAUAUCAAUAUGUGCAGCAGACAACAGAAGAGAUGAUGUUUCAAUGGAUGAGGAAAUUUCAGCAGUGGAAGAUGGUGUCGCAACCAUGGCAGAGGAGAUUGAGAGAGGAUGCAGCAGGAAAGAAAUUGCUCAAACAAUGACAGCGACAGGUUUAGAAUCCUUUCAACGCACCAAAUUUAGAGUCAGACUUGACAACCUUUCAAAGACGCGGAGGCAUAGAAUAUUCCUGAUUAAAAUAUGUGAGAUCAUAAGCACCAAGGAAAUCAACGACCCCACCAUAGCUACUGCCACUCUCCGCCUCUUCUUCCACGACUGCAUGGUCGAAGGCUACAACGCCUCAGUCCUCAUCUCCUUCAACACCACCCAGCACGACGUCGACAUCAACCUCUCCCUCCCAGGCAAUACUGUAUCAAUACAUCCAGAUUGUACGAGUCUUGCCUCUCCAGUCAUCAGUCAUCAUUCAUGACUUUGUAGGAGGGAUGAGGUGGACCAAACAAGGCCUUCGGAUGGGCCCAAAUCCAACCACAUCCAAGGUCCAAAUUCCUAUCCCCUAAAGUAAAAUUUAAAUUAUUAUUAUUAUUUACAUUUUGUAGAAGUUUCUUCUUUAAAUGGAUUUUAUUUUUGAUAAAAACUUGCUAUGGAAAGUCUGCAUCUUGAUUUCAACCGAGCCAAGCCCAUAUCUUUUGGACCUGGUGCCUCCCCCAAUCCUUGACUGCCCAACAACUAAAAUUCAAACCCAAGCCCACCAAAGAAAAUUUUAAAACACGUCAUGCCUUUGCCAAUUGUUCCCCUCUCAAUACCAUUUAAAAAUCCCCCAUUCUCUAGCUUUCUCAAUUGUCGCAGCCGAACUUGUCUUCUCCUUGGUGUACGAACACGGCACGUCCAUACCUAUAGGCGGCAAAGGCUACACCUCCUUUCCCACGCCCUUGUGCUGGUGCGUGAGCCACCCACCACAUUACCCUCAACCUCCAUCCCGAUCACCAUGCUGGCUGCUACAUCUCCAUGGCAUUACACUAGGCAAAAACAAGGCGGCACUUCCCACCACAACUAAAAGAAGAAGCUGGAACUAUAUCUAUUACAACUUGCAGCGUACCAUAUAACAACAAGAACAAAAAAUGCACUGUAUUUAUUUGGGAUACCAUUACCCUGAUUUUCUCCUCCUAAAAUAAUUUCCUCAUCUAUGAAACAAUAAUAUUAGAUUUUUGGAACAAUGAAAACUCUUCCAUUUGUCUUCAUUUGUACUAAUCUAUUCAAGUUUGAGGAAAACAACAUUACUUGAGAAAGAGAUUUUCCUGUAACUAUGAUGCUCUGUAGUAGAUUUUGACAAUGGUAACCUCCCAUGUAUGGAAGUUAGACAUGGUCAUUCCAACGGAUUAGGGCAUUUUAGUGGUGGACUUUGCAAGAGGAAUGGAUUUUGGCAAUUGAUGUGGAGUCAAAUGACUUUGCAAGGGGAAUGGAUUAGGGCAUUUUAGUGGUGGACUUAGUGAGAGCUAUAGGGUUUCGGGGUUUCUUCAGUUCUGAAAUUGUGGAGGGAAUGUCUGGCGGGUACUCGUAGAAAGGGAAAAGCAUUUAAUUAAUAUAUAUUUAGAACAUAUAUAUAUAUAUAUAUAUAUAUAUAUAUAUAUAUAUAUAUAUAUAUAUAUACUAUUAUUUAAUGUCACCUAAUAUAAGCGCUAUGAAAUAUCACAACUAUGACACUGCUAUAAAGUGUCAUGGAAUAACCAGUUAUUCUUAUAAGUGCCACAGCAAGCAAUGAUACUUUAAAUAAGUGCCAUGAAAUAAAAAAACUAAUAUAAAAAAUGACCCUUUUGAAAAAACACCAUUGUAUAUCCAAAUAUAAUGAUACUUUAUGAAAGCGCCAAGGAUUAAAGUGUCAUAAUUUUCUAUUUUUGUAGUAGUGUGAUUAUGAGUCUGACAAAUAGAUUCCUACACUUCUAAUCCAUCCCUUAUACAUACGGUUUGAUUUUUAUUGAAGUCCUUACUAUUGUAAAACAAGGCUACAUCGUUAAGAGGAGUCUUGUUGCAGCCUUCUUCAACUUGGAUUGAACUACACAUCUUCUUCCUUUUGCAUUAACAUAAACAUAAAGGAGAAGAGGAUGAGUCAAUCAAGUUAACCAUGGACUGAAAUAAGAGGAUGAUGGAUAAAAAUGAACUAUUUUUCAUACUUUGUUUUGGAGCUUAGGCCUCUUGUUAUAGUUUUUUUUAUGCAUCGUUUAUAGAAAAGUAAUAAAUGGAGGCAUUGGUUAUACAUUUCUUUGAAUGAUUUAGUUAUGUCCAUUUUGAAGGCUCCAGCCAUUAGAUGAUUAAUAUGGAAUUACCUUUAAGGUUUUAGCUAGCACUUAUAAUAACUUUGAACAUCAUGUGAUUAAGGGGCCAGUCUGUGAAGUGAUAAGUGUGAUAGUCUAAUUGCAUUUAUUGUGUUAUAGUGGUAUGGGUCAGAUAAUGAAAUCAUGUCAAACAAUUUAUAGAGGUAGGGCAACUCUUUUGAUCUUGCCACUUGUAAAGGAUUUCGAUGUCCCCCCUCCUCCUUCGCAUUUUGCAAGUCAUUUUAGUGAAUGAAGGGGAAAAUGGAAAUGGCCACGACACCUUUUAUGGAGGCAACUUGUCUUUUUGUCUAUUCAUGGCAUCACUAGUAAGGCAAUCUUCAUUUAUGAUUAUAAAAGGGAUUUUGGUGUUAGCAUUUUAACUUUCCCCUUUUCUUCUUUAUUUCUUUUUCAAACCUUAGUUUAAGGUAAUGGUGAAUUUUAUGGACAUAAGACAAAGCUUUAAGAUUCCUCCUACCAGGGAUUUGCAUUUCUACCAGAAAAAUGAACUUCUUCUACUCAAGCUAAGAAAAUACUUAAUUCAUGGUGUGCAUUUGAAGGUUGGUUUUCGUCUUCCUUCUCGUAUCUUUUUCAAAAAAAAAAAAAAAAAUUCUUUUCUAAAGGUACCCUCGUACCAUUUUAAUCCCAAUACUAUGAGUGUUCUCAUGGUAGUUAUUGAAGAUUCUUUCAGAUAAUUGAUAUCAUCCGAAUUUGUUGAAGAGGUUUGAAUUAAUUCAAACUAUUUAAACAGUUUUGGAUAUUUUAGUUUGAAUUAUUAUUAAAAUUUGUUUUAUCUCUAGUGUACUUAGAUAAUACUAAGUCUAUAAAUUAGUUCGUAAUUCAAUUCAAUAAGAUAUAACUGCAGUGAUUUAAGUUUUUCUUCCUACUGCCGGAAACAAGGUAUCGAAGUUGGUUGUGUAGUUGAAGAAAAUAUACACCAUGGUCAAAACUGCCAUGACAUGGAUGAGCAGGGGUAACAACUCAGAGGUCUCUUUGAAACCUUCUCAUUCAACCUCUACAAUUGUCUCCAUUGCUACCAAUCACUCAUCCCUUCAAAUAACUACUCAUAAGCCUAACAACAAAAAUUCCCUUCAAUGGUCAAGGGCUGCUCAAAUGGUUAUUCACAGACGUAGGAAGAUUAGAUAUCUCCACAUCACAAUAAAGAAGCUAAAUGAAACUAAUCCUACAUUUCAUGCUUGGGAUGCUAGCAAAUCAAUUGUUAUGGUUUGGCUCGUGAACUCAAUGGAAGAAAACAUUAGUGAAAAUUACAUGUGCUACUUAACUACAAAGGAGCUUUGGAUGCUGUGAAUCAUGCUUUUUUAGAUCUUGAAAACUCGGCUUAGAUGUUUGAACUAAGAAACAAUGUUCGAAAUCUAACACAAGAUGAUAAGGAUGUAAUAUAGUACUUCAAUAUUUUCAACAAAUUAUGGCAAGAAAUAAAUAUGUUUAAUGAUUGUAUAUGGUGUUAUGCCGAGGAUGGUGAAAGAUACAAGAAAAUGGUAGAUAAAGAAUGAAUAUUUGAUUUUCUUGUUGGACUUAACAAGGAGUUGGAUGAGGUUCGGGGAUGAUUGCUCAGAACAAAACCACUGCCCUCAAUUGAUGAGAUUUUUGUAGAAGUGAGGAGAGAAGAGUGUUGUAAGCGUGUCAUGCUCGAAGAACAAAAACCACCACCUACAUCAGACAACUUAGCCAUAGUUGUUUGUGGCCCAGACUCAACAAACAAAGGAGAUUCUCAUGGGAAUUGGAGAUGAAGUUGGCUAUGCUGAGAUCAUUAUCAAUGUCACAAUCAUACUCGUGACACUUGCUAGAAAAUACAUGGAAGACUAGCAAAUUAGAAGGAGAAAGUUAACAAAUCUAAUUUGAAAUGCUAUUAGACUGAAUAGAACCGAGCCCUAAGCCAGACAAUAGCAAAGUCACUGUUUCCCUUACUAAGGAUAAAUGGAACAACUCUACAAAUUAUUGACACCAGCAUCAUUACCAAAUAACUCGAGUACAUCAUUGUUAGCUCAAAAGGAUACAUUUUCAGUUGCUUUGAAUGGUGUUACACAAAGACAAGAAUCAUGGAUCAUCCAUUUAGGUGCAACAUAUCACAUGAUAAGGUGUUCAAAUUUGUUUUCAACUUACACACCAGUCUAGGAAAUUUUAAAGGUAAAAUUGUGGAUGGUUCUCUAUUAACAGUUGCAAGAAUGGGUACAAUCAAGAUUGGCCUAGAUUUGAUUCUCUGUUCUGUAUUACAUGUUCCAAAUUUGACUUGCAACCUAUUGUCUAUCAGUAAACUUACUUAAAAUCUUAAUUAUAUUGCAAAAUUCUCACACUCUACUUUUAACUUUCAGGACCUAAUUACAGAGAGGAUGAUUGGCAAGGCUAGGGAACCCAACAGACUAUACUGUCUUGAGAAAGAAGACUUUGUGAAUAAACAAGCUCAAACGGUCAGUUGUAAAGCUUCUAGUUUGUCUAGAAAACAAUAAAUAAUGUUAUGGCAUCGUAAGCAAGGUCACCCUAGUUUUUCUUAUUUGAACAAUUUGUUUCCUUCUAUGUUUAAGAAAAAUGAUUUGUUUCAAUGUGGAGUUUAUCAUUUAGCAAAACACCAAUGUUCUGUUUUUCCUUCUCAUCCAUACAAAGCUUUGAAACCUCUUGCCUUGAUUCAUAAUGAUCUUGGAGGUCCUUCAUGAGUUCAUAAUGUCCUUGGGAAAAGAUGGUUUGUGAUUUUUAUUGAUGACCACACCAGGUUUGUUAGGUUUACUUGCUAAAAGAAAAAUAAAAAACUAAACAAAUAUUCAAAAAAAUUCGUCGAAUGGCCCAAAAUCAAUUGAACUAAAAAAAUACAACUUUUCAAUACCAAUAAUGGUGGUGAAUACUUUAAUAUAAAAUUGGGAAGAUAUUUGUUACAAAAUGAGAUUAUACACUAGAGUUCUUGUCGUCAAAAUCCUCAACAAAAUGGGAUUGUCGAAGGCAAAAAUUGUCAUCUUCUCAAAGUAGCCUGUUCCAUAAUGUUCACCACAAAUUUACCCAAAACCUUUUAAGGGGAUGCAGUUCUUAUGGCUUGUUACUUGAUAAACCAUAUGCCUUGUUGAGUUCUAGAAUUCCAAACACCUUUAAAAAUAAUUUCAAUCCUAUUUCCCACACACGAACCUUCACCUCUCUUCCAUUGAAAAUAUUCGAUUGUACCUCAUUUGUCUACAUUCGUGACCCUACCCAUAGCAAAUUGGAACCUAGAGAACUUAAGUGUGUAUCUUUCAAUUAUUCUAGUAUUAAAAAAGGGUAUUGAUGUUAUUGUAUAGAAAAAUGAAAAUAUUUUGUUUGGAUGGAUGUUACAUUUUUUUAAAAAAUCAACCCUUUUACACCAAAAAUUCCCUUUAGAGGGAGAACUUAGUUGAAGAAAAUUUUCAAGAUGUUAUGCUACCUUCUAUUCCACUUUCCACACCUAUAUCACCAAAUCGAUAAAAAAUGUUGUCUUAUGUUCCACCUUCUACAGGUAUACCAACAUCACCAAAUCGAUAAAAAAACGUUGCCUUCUGUUCCACUUUCUACUAGUAUACCAAUAUCAACACAAUCCUUAAAUUGAUCAAAAAAUUUAAAAAUUCCAAAGCUACCGAUACCACAACCUAAACCACCAUCGAAUUCACUAUCUAGUCCACAAAUCAGCUUACUUGAGUCUUCCAAUCCACCCAAGCCAAUGAUGAUUAUGCACAACAAACCCUCAACAACAAUGAUAAGAGGAGAUUUGCAGUUACAACCUGAGUUACAUGUUUAUUCAUGGAGAAAUAUUUCAAAAGGAGUAGAGAAAUCGGUGAACCUUCAACGUGGUAACUUGUCUUAACCUAAUUUAUAUAUACAUUUAUCCCUUACAAACCUUAACAUUGAUGAGUUUGAUGUACUCAUAGCAUUGAGGAAAGGUGAGAGUGUUGGGCAAAACAUGAUAUAACAAAGUUAGACUUAUCUAUCCUCUUACUAUCCCUCUGGUGUAUUGACAUUGAUUUAAGCAUUCAACCCAUGUCUCUUACAUUGCACACGAAUUAGGUGCAUUAGGAGUUGCACAAAAGAUAGAAGUCAUGAGUUCCUUGUAAGUAGAUUAGUUGUCCACAGUUGGUUCAUGGAUUUGGGCAAUCCAAUAGAAACUGUAGUACACCACCUCCUAAUUGGAGGGAUAAAUUGUCUUCGCUGUUGGGAUGGGUUUCCCAUGGUGAGUGCACUAAUAUGUAUGAUGCACAUUGGACAAGAUUUAUGGUGAAUCAUGAAACAAGGCUAUCAAUUGUCAUGAUACACCAAUUUACUAUAUUGCAUGGACUAUCAACUUUGAGAGGAUAUUGAGUUUGUGUCAAAAUCAACAGAAGGCUUUGACCAAAGGGUGAAACCUUAAAGUGGUCAUAUAUCCCUAUGGAUUGGGUCACUAUUGAUGGAGGUUGGUGGCAACAGGUAUUCUCAACAGAGGUACCAUGAUAUCUCAUGGGAUUGAGAUAGUGUGGCCCCUUGGGUGAUUUGAAGGACAUCUAAUCAUGAAAUCUGUGGCCACAAGAAUUCCUUUAGUGGAAUUUGACAUAUGCUUCUUAUAACUAAAGUAUGUAAGUUGAUCACAUAAUAAAUGGGAUAUGUAACUCAAGGAUUUGAGAGGUAAUCUUGAUAGGUGAUAGUACUACCUUGUUGGAAUAUGGACAUCGGUUCAUGAGGAGUUCACAUGCAGUAGAUAGUAGGUCAUGGACUCAAACACUUGGUGUCUCAUUGUAAUAUACAUAGGAUACUAGAGUGCAGUUGAUUCUUUGUAAUGGGAUGUCAAGUCAAUUUAGAAUUUGAUUAUGAGGGAGCCAGUACUCCUAUGGGUCCCAAUGGUCCCCGCUCUUAGCUCAUAUUGCUUGAUGGCAUAGUUUAUGAGGGUUUGAUGGGUUUUUAGUUCACUUUUGUGCAUAAGGGAUUUUUGAUAAUUACGUAAGGUUGCACAAGGAUAAGAGAGUGAUAUAUCUGGACUAGGCUAAUUGAUUAAUUAAGACCUUGUGUAGUUAAUAAAUCAAUUAAAAACCUUUUUGGACAAAAUUAAGUGACCCAAGUCUAUGGUGGGCUCAAUUUUCUUAAGUCCAAUAGGAAACCUAUAAAUACCCCUUUAGGGGUUAGGGUUUCUAAGUUUUGUCAUUCUCCAUUUUCAGUCUAGAGAGAAAACGCUAGCCUCCACCCUUGAGAUCUCCACCAUCUCAGUGCCUAGACAUAAUCAACAGUCAUCAGACAGAAGAUCUUGGGUGUAGAGAAGCACUUUGGAAUCAUACAGGCCGUAUGCCCGAGAAUCGCAUGGGAUGCGCACAGGCCGUGUCCAUAAGAUUCGCACGCAAUGUGCAUAAGCAUCAUGCACCGGAAUUGUAUGGGACGCGCACACGAGUAGCAACAUGAGAAGAAGUUCUCUAGUUUUUCUAUGCAUGUUAUUCACCGCAAGGAAUUGAUCUAGGAACAUCCAGAUCUAGGUAUGAGCAUUUUUUUCUCUAGAUUUUUAUUCUUUAAUGGUUUUUUAAACCAUUUUUUUUGUUGUGUUAGGUCUAGAAAGCCUUAAAGAUAGAUGCAUGCACCUUAUGAGAUCCAAGGCAUGCGAACAGAGUAAUCCAAGGUUCCUAAUAGCGAGAACUUGCACUCAACAUGCAAUAUCAAAUUUUGUCUCAUAAGAUCAUUUAUCACCUUCUCUUCAAACUCUAACAACUAAUCUGGUAGGUGUUGAUAUUCUAAGAACAAUACAAGUAGCUUUGAAAGAACCAAACUGGGAAAAGGCAGUUGAGGAUGAAAUACAUGCUCUUGAAAAAAAUGAAACAUAGGAUUUGGUAAAAAAGCCCAAAAGAAAAAUUCUAGUAGGUUGUAGGUGGGUAUUUGAUUCGUUCCCAAUUGGUGUCUCAGCUGAUUCAUGUCCUCUCAAUGGUCCCUGAUAGUGGUGCCAUUUGAUUCGUGUCUAGUUGGUGUCCCUUGAUUGUGGUCCUCAGGGAGUAAUCAACAAAAUUUAUAACCUAUUACACCAUGUACUAGGAUAGCCUUAGCUAGCAUAGCAUAGUGGUUCUAGGGUCGUUCACUGGGAUGGGUUUUCACUCUACAAUUGAUAUUAAUUCAAAGUUGAAUUGGUGCCUUUUCAUUUCAAGGUUAGCUUUAAAAGAAAACAUAAAGAUGUUUAAAUGAAAAAGGUUUGGUUUUAAACUAACCAAAAAUAGUAACUGAUUUUACUUACAAAGAAAAGUGUUUCUUGGAGUUUAGAUCACUAGGUUCAGGUUCCUCAUACAAAAAGGAGAGUUCCGGUCACUUGUUUAUUUUCCUCUCAUUAGAGAAUUAACAUAUAGUUAAUUCUCUAAUCGGUGUGGUACAGAUGCUUCCCCUUAAUGGGUUCAAACACUAAAUCCCUCUCAAAAGCUUGCCAAGUGUUGGCUAUUCUAGAAAAUCCUACCUUCAAACCACCUCCCAAAGGCUCUCAAAAGAUAAACUAGUGCAUCUCAAUGAACGGAGAUCACUUGCCUUAUCAAGUGUUGGCUCAGGUGAGUUAAAGGCGUUUUAAGUUAACUAAAAAGAUAAAAACCAUUAACGGGUCAUACAUUCACUUCAUUAAAAACUAAAACAACAAAACUUCCAAUUUAUGCAUGAGGAAACUUACCCGACUUUCUUUACUCCAAGAGACAAAGAGCCUAGCCGCUCAUCCUCUGAGGAAAAAUCCUCAGAGUUUGAUUAGCUAGAAAGAAAACUAGCGAGAAAACGAAAAUAUGAAGGAAAACAGAGCAAGUGCUCUACAAAAUAUAUUUCUUCCUUAUAUAAAAAGGUUGUCUCCAAGAACAAGCUCUCGAGAUCUAUAUUCUAUAUCAUUGUAAAGAAAAUUACAACUAUAUAUAAGAGGUUAUUCAACCCUUUGUUCUUACUCAAAGACUAAGGAAUCCUAUGAUAGGUGGGUUACAAGGAGAGUUUGGGGAUUUAGACAACAAAUAUCUAAAGCAAAAUAUCUCAAGAUGUCGGUCGGAAAUAUCAGGAAGCUUUAAGAGAAAUUCCGCUGCACUGUAUACUAAGAGAAAAACUCUCCGAGUAAGCGCUAUCAGAGGAUCUAGAUAUGUCUGACCGGAGAAGUUGAAACGUCCUCCUCUCUCAUCCGGUUGUGAGAUAUCCAGAUGUGAAAUAUCCGAUCAGAGGAUUCGGACAUGUUUGUCCGGACAGAAUUCCAGGAGUGAGAUAUCCGCACAUCGCAAGGGGGACCGUCUGCGUGUACAAGGUGUAGGAACCCCUCCCCCUGAUGACACAGAGCACGCAUUGCUAUCCGGCGCAACUCCAUUAGGAUUCCCUCAGGGGACACGCGCCGCCAUGCUAUUUGGACUCCCUCAGGGAGAAGCACACGACACUCGUGCACAUCACACCCCGGACGAUAGCAUAUCCUAUCCGGAUAUGUUGUCUGGAUGGAAAACAUUGACUAAAGUGAGCAAGCCUUGCUACGUCAUUCCAAUAGCCUGCCACAGCCCAUGUUCUGCCACCAUCCAAUGGUGUGUCUGGACGCCCUGUCUGGACAUCUUUUGCUCCUUGCAUUUCAGAUUUGAUUAUGGCAAAGGACUUCAAAGCUUCGUUUCUUCAUGUUUCUGAGCUUUCCAUUGCUUUGCCAUGGAUUCCAAAGAACUCUCCUCAAUCACGGAUUGCUUCGGUGAUAAAAAAACUAUCAAAACACCAAAACUUAACACAAUUUGAUUAGAAUUGAUUGCAAGGGUCCUUAAUAUGUUAAUUGGGUUAAAAGAUGAUAACUACUACUCAAAAGUGUUUAAAAGAGUUAAUUACAAGCUAUGAAAUAACACUUUUUGAGUAGUAAUCAGUAUUCACAAUAAAAUAUAAUUUAGAUGGAUUGAUUGAACAGUAUAAGGCAAGGCUAGUUGCAAAAGGGUUCACUCAAACAUAUAGAGUGGACUAUCAAGAGACAUUCGCGGUACUUGUUGCUAAGCUAAACACCAUUUGGGUCUUGCUUUCUCUAGCAACAAAAAAUUAUUGGUAGCUUCAACAAUUAGACGUAAAGAAUGCCUUCACUACAAGGAAUUUCAUUUUUCCCAAUUGACAUACAUUAUUGGAAUAAACAUUUACCAAUGGAUAAUCUCGACACAUGGUAGUCAAGGAAAGGUGUGUAGGCAAAAGUCUAUUGAUGGGAAUUUUCUAUCAAUAAUAAAAAAAAUUUAGUGACGAACUAUCUAAUGGAUUUGGACCGUCACUAUUACCAACGGAUUAAAUUGGUUGGAAAAUGUAAAUAAUAAAAUAUUUUAGGUUGUCAUUAAAUCUCGAUUUCAUUACAUUCAUAUAAGGCAUCUUGUUACACUCCUUACUAGUUCUUGCUACUUUUAGAUAUGGGCCUAGAUGUUGCUUUGGGAUUGAACUCAUGACCUCAAGUUUGAAAGGAAGCCAUUGUGCCACUAGGCCAACUUUGUUAUUUGCACGAUAAAGAAUAUAUAUAAGAUUCAUAAAUGUAAAUAUCCUAUACUUAUGUAUUUAUAUUAUAAAUAUUAUCUAUAUAUAAAAACAUAUCAUAAAUUAUAUAUGCAUGAAUAUAUAUAUAUAUAUAUAUAUAUAUAUAUAUGUAUGUAUGUAUGUAUAUUAUAAAUUGAUUAAAAUAAAAUUAUUAUAAAUUAGUUCAUUUUAAUUCUUAUGUAUUUUGCAUAAUGAUUAAAUAUAAAAUGAAUAUAAAUUUAUAAGUAAAAUUAUUAACAUUUUAAAAUAAAAAAAUACUUAAGCAUGUAUUAUCGUUUUUUAUGUUAUUAAAUACAUUUAACUUAGAUAAAUCUCUAUAAAAUAUAUUUUAAAAUUUUAAAUAUUAUUAUUGGAUGUCACAAAUUAGAUCAUAUAUAUCCCAAUUUAUUUAAUGAAACAACUUCAAAAUUUCUAUUAUUACUUUUUAGGGAGAAUUGUGUUUUGGGCUCAGCUGGGCCCAAAAAUUAAGAGAAGGUCCAUCUAACUAACUUAAUUAAUGAUAAGGAUAUCAGAUGUUAACAGACGAAAAUGCCCUUUACAUUUCCAACUCAAAUGGUUGUAAAUUAAUGGGUUUCAUAGCUGGUAAACUUGAAAUGGCAUGUCACCAGAGCGAAAAUUCUGAAUCUUCAUACCAUUUUCUCUCCCUCUAUAAACAACAUACGCACAAACGAUGCCGGCCGUAACUGUCCCCCAAUCGCUUUCUUCAGCAACCAAGGAUUGUGAGCAUUUCAGAAAAGCUUUUAUAGGCAUUUUAUCAAUGAUCAUUCCCAAAUCCAAAUGAUGGGGGUCUGAAUUAUUUGCUGACAUUUUGAUUUCAUCAGGUUGAGGCAUUUGUAGGUAUUUUAUCAUCAUCGUCCAGAGAGAAUAAAUGGGUUUCAUCCAAAUAGUGAGCUUUGGGGAAGAAGAUUGUCUGGUGAUGAUGCAAAUAAUCCAAAAUAGCUAUCAUUCGGAUCAAAAAUAUUUCGAAAGCAGAUAAAUUGGUCAACCCGACGAAACUGGCUGCCAAUGAAGAUAUAAACUGGCUGCCACCAACUAUUAUGUCCACCAAUUGACUACUCAUUGUUAGCAUAUCAAACAUUGAUUACUACUCAAAACAUGCUAUUUUGUAGCUUGUUAUUAGCUCUUUUAAGCACCCUUGAGUAGUAAUUAUUACCUUUUAACUCAAUUAACAUGUUAGGGACCCUUGCAAUCGUUUCUAAUCAAUUUGUGUUAAGUUUUGGUGUUUUUUGAUAGCUUUAUACUCACCAAAGCAAUUUAAGAAUGAGGGAGAGCUAUAUAUAAUUCAUGGCAAAGCUUUUGGAAGCUCAAAAUUAUGAAGAAACCAAGCUUUGGAGCCUCAUAAUCCUUUGCCUUAGUCGUUCAAAGUAUGCAAGGAGAGAACAAUGGAGAAGAGGAAAACAGGGUGAUGAAAAUAGGGGACACAGCUGCAGUCUUUCAUUGCACUUUUGGAGCACUUCCCGAAGUCCAUUUUCUACAUUCUAUAAACCAUUUCAAAGCUCAGAAAGUCAAGAAUCCAACGAUUCAAACCAUGUACAAUUUGGAGCUGAAAUGAGGAAGAUAUGGCCUUCGGAAGACAACUGCAUCAAGCUGAGGGACAAUUUCGCACGAUGGAAAUCAAGGUGCGAAUUCCUCAGUCUAAAGUGUGGGAAUUUCGCACACCUGAAACCAACGUGCGAAAAUUGGAUAUUUUUUCCGACUCUUUUUCUUCUGAUAUUUUUUGUGUCUAAAUUUCCAUUUUCUCCUUGUAUUCAGCCACUCAUGUAAUUCCUUAGCUAGGAAGUAUCCAAGGAAGGGUAAAAUUACCUUCCUAUAUAAAUUCUCUUGUAAUCACUGAAAAAUCAUCUUUUCGGGGAGCUUUCUCCAGGAGACCAACUAUUGUAAAUUUGUUACUUAGAAAAAUACAGAGAUCUCUUUUGCUUUCUUUUUCUCUCUACUAUUUUCUAUUUUCUUGGAAGCCAAACACCCUCUGAGGAUGUUUUCCCAGAGGAUGAGAGGCUAAACCAAUAGUUUCUUGGAGUAAAGGAAGCUAGGUGAAAAGUCCAGAUUAAAAGGUGGAAAGUUUCCGUGCAUUAAAUUCAGGUAGUUGGAGUCCAUAAAUGGCUUCUAAAUUCAAAGUUUUGCUUUAAAUCCCUUAGAAUCACUUUGAUUGGCCAAUACAUGGUAAGCUUAAGGUCUCUGUGGAUGCUUAUUACUAGAUCCAUAUCAGUCCAUUAGUUAUCAUAUACGAGCCAUUGGAAAGUGAUUCAAGGUGAUAGUCCAUAGUGUCUUAAGCCAUUAAUGGACCUUGACUACCAUCUCUAUUGACUUAUAUGGAUUAAAUUUUCAUGGUCAAACCUAUACCGGUUCGGGAAAUAACUAUAGGUUAAAUCCCCAAUGCGAGGAGAAAAAUCCGGAAUUUUCCACUUUGCAUCCUGAACUUGAACCUAGCAACCUUUAGCUCCAGGAGACUUUCUUUCUUCCACUUUUUAUAUAGUCUAUGUGAGUUUAGUUUUAAUCACCACUUUCAAAACAAUUUUAUUCUCUUUUAAAUUUCAAGUUUGUGCUAAAGGAAAUCAUCAGAAUCAAUUUCUAAUUUAGAGUCUGUCACUGAUAAAGUGAAAACCCAUCUCUGAGUUCGACCCUAGAACUGCUAUACUAUAGUAGCUUUGCUACGCCAAUAUAAGGUCAUAAGAUUUAUAAAUAUUUUUGAUUAAAAGACCCGGCUGGGCAUCGAAUCAAAUGGCGCCGUUGCCGGGGAUGGUGCCACAAUACAGUGAUACAACCUUUUAGAGGCUACUUGUGAUUUCCAUCACAAGUUUGGUGAAUUCCUUUUUCACUAAUUUCAUUUUCUUUCAUUUUCCUGUGGUUAAUUUUAUUUUCAUUUUCUUCCUAACUUUAACCUUUUUUUCUAGUUUCCUUUUUGUUUUUGUUUUUUUUUAGUAUUACAGGUAUUGUAACUUGUGCAUGCCCUAUUGGAUUAGGGACCAAGAGGGAAGAUUAGUAAGGAUUGAGAAUCCUCAAGACACAGAGUUGGAUAUCUGUGUAAACGUCAUGGACCCUCCACCAGAGGAUCAGAAUUCUCAACAAGGUCAAGGGGGUAAUCCCAAUGCAUAUCUAUCCAUGAGAGAUAGAAUGCAUCCACCAAGGAUGAGUGCACCCUCAUGCAUCCUACCCCCUCUUGAGCAGUUGGUUAUAAGGCCCCAUAUUGUGCCCCUCCUACCAAAUUUCCAUGGAAUGGAGAGUGAGAAUCCAUAUUCUCACAUCAAGGAGUUUGAGGAGGUGUGUAAUACCUUUAGAGAGGGAGGAUCUUCAAUAGACUUGAUGAGACUCAAGCUAUUCCCUUUUACUUUGAAGGACAAGGAAAAAAUAUGGCUUAAUUCUUUAAGGCCAAGGAGCAUAAGGAAUUGGGUUGAUCUUCAGGCUGAGUUCUUGAAAAAAAUUUUCCCCACCCAUAGGACCAAUGGGUUGAAGAGACAAAUCUCAAACUUUUCUGCAAAAGAAAAUGAGAAGUUCCAUGAAUGUUGGGAAAGGUAUAUGGAAGCCAUUAAUGCUUGUCCUCACCAUGGUUUUGAUACAUGGCUCCUAGUGAGCUAUUUUUAUGAUGGAAUGUCUUCUACCAUGAAGCAAAUUCUUGAAACCAUGUGUGGGGGAGAUUUUAUGAGUAAGAAUCCUGAAGAGGCCAUGGACUUUUUAAGUUAUGUGGCUGAGGUGUCAAGAGGCUGGGAUGAGCCCAACUCAAGAGAGAAAGGAAAGUUUCCCUCUCAACAAACCUAAAAUCAAAAGGCUGGAAUGUACAUGUUGAGUGAAGAUGUGGACAUGAAAGCUAAAGUGGCAAUAUUAGCUAGGAGGUUAGAAGAACUUGAGUUGAAAAAGAUGCAUGAAGUCCAAGCCAUUUCCGAUACCCAAGUUCAUGUCAUGCCAUGCACCAUUUGCCAAUCAUGUGAUCAUGUGGUAGAUGAGUGCCCAACCAUGCCAACCGUGAGAGAAAUGUUAGGUGAUCAAGUAAAUGUUGUGGGGCAAUUUAGGCCCAACAACAGUGCAUCCUAUGGUAACACCUAUAAUUCAAGUUGGAGAAACCAUCCAAAUUUUUCUUGGAAACCAAGACCACCUCCAUACCAACCGCAAGCCCAAACUCAAGCACCUCAACAAACCUCUUCAGUGGAGCAAGCCAUUGCAAACCUAAGUAAAGUCAUGAAUGACUUUGUGGGUGAACAAAGGGCAAUCAACUCCCAAUUGCACCAAAAGAUUGAGAAUGUUGAGAGUUCUCUAAAUAAGAGAAUGGAUGGGAUGCAAAAUGAUCUAUAUCAGAAGAUAGAUAAUAUUCAAUACUCCAUCUCUAGGCUUACCAACCUCAACACAGUGAUUGAGAAAGGAAAGUUCCCCUCUCAACCAAGUCAAAAUCCUAAGGGUGUUCAUGAAGUUGAAACCCAAGAGGGGGAUUCUUCAAAUUUGAGAGAGGUCAAAGCUGUGAUCACCUUGAGGAGUGGAAAGGAGGUUGAUCAACCCUUGCCUAAGGUGAGGCAUGAUGAAGAACUCAUGUCAAAGAGACCUUUGAUUAAAGAGAGCAAUAGCCAAGAAGAGAAGAGUGGGAAGAAAAGUGCAUUCAAAUCAAGCACUGAAGAAAAACCAAGGAUUGUGAUUAAAGAGGGUAUGAUGAAGAAACAUAUGCCUCCCCCUUUUCCUCAGGCUUUACAUGGAAAGAAAGAAAUCAAGAAUUCAUCAGAAAUUCUUGAGGUUCUGAGACAAGUGAAGGUGAAUAUACCCUUACUUGAUAUGAUCAAGCAAGUCCCCACAUAUGCAAAGUUUCUAAAGGACUUGUGCACAGUCAAGAGAGGGUUACAGGUGACAAAGAAUGCAUUCCUCACUGAGCAAGUGAGUGCUAUCAUUCAGAGUAAUUCCCCAGUUAAGUAUAAAGAUCCGGGAUGUCCCACCAUAUCGGUUAACAUUGGAGGGACACAUGUGGAAAAAGCUUUACUAGACUUGGGAGCAAGUGUGAAUUUGUUCCCAUACUCUGUGUAUAAGCAACUGGGACUUGGAGGAUUGAAGCCCACAACCAUGACCCUCUCCUUAGCUGAUAGGUCGGUCAAAAUCCCAAGGGGAGUGAUAGAGGAUGUUCUAGUUCAAGUGGACAAAUUCUACUAUCCUGUGGAUUUUGUGGUACUUGACACUGAUUCCACUGUCAAGGAAGAGAAUUAUGUGCCAAUCAUCCUAGGGAGACCUUUCCUAGCUACCUCCAAUGCUAUCAUUAAUUGUAGGAAUGGGGUGAUGCAGCUCACAUUUGGAAACAUGACAUUGGAAUUAAACAUAUUCCACCUAUGUAAGAGGCAUCUACACCCUGAAGAUGAGGAAGGAUUUGAGGAGGUGUGCUUGAUCAACACUUUGGUUGAAGAGCACUGUGACAAGAGUUUAGAGGAGAGCUUGAAUGAAAGCCUGGAAGUCCUUGAAGAUGGGUUCCCUGAACCCUCUGAUGUGCUAGCCAUUAUGUCUCCUUGGAGGAGACGAGAAGAGAUCUUACCACUGUUCAACCAGGAAGACUCAGAAGGAGUUGCUGUGGAGGACCCUCCAAAGCUUAUUUUAAACCCACUUCCUGUGGAUUUGAAGUAUGCAUACUUGGAGGAUGAUGAGAAAUGUCCAGUGGUGGUUUCUUCAACUCUCACUAGUGAUCAAGAGGAUAGUCUUUUAGGAGUCCUCAGAAAAUGCAAGAAAGCCAUUGGAUGGCAAAUUUCUGAUCUGAAAGGGAUUAGCCCUUUGGUGUGUACCCAUCAUAUUUAUAUGGAAGAAGAUGCAAAACCAGUGAGGCAACCCCAAAGGAGACUGAAUCCUCACAUGCAAGAGGUGGUGAGGGGUGAAGUUCUUAAGCUACUUCAAGCUGGGAUCAUAUAUCCCAUCUCAGACAGCUUAUGGGUGAGUCCCACCCAAGUAGUCCCAAAGAAAUCUGGAAUUACUGUAAUCUAGAAUGAGAAAGGGGAGGAAGUCUCUACACGUCCUACCUCAGGAUGGAGGGUGUGUAUAGACUAUAGGAGGUUGAAUUCAGUAACUAGGAAGGAUCAUUUUCCAUUGCCUUUCAUGGACCAAGUCCUUGAGAGAGUCUCAGGACAUCCUUUCUAUUGUUUUCUAGAUGGUUAUUCAGGGUACUUCCAAAUAGAAAUUGAUUUGGAAGAUCAAGAAAAGACAACCUUCACUUGCCCCUUUGGUACUUUUGCAUAUAGGAGAAUGCCCUUUGGUCUAUGUAAUGCUCCUGCAACUUUCCAAAGAUGUAUGCUAAGCAUCUUCAGUGAUAUGGUGGAACGCAUCAUGGAAGUUUUCAUGGAUGAUAUCACUGUAUAUGGACGUUCUUAUGAGGAGUGUUUAUUGCAUUUAGAAGCUGUUCUCCAUAGAUGUAUUGAGAAAGACCUAGUGCUAAAUUGGGAGAAGUGCCAUUUUAUGGUGCAAAAAGGAAUUGUCUUAGGACAUAUCAUCUCCAAAAAUGGCAUUGAGGUAGAUAAGGCAAAGGUGGAGCUAAUUGUUAAGUUGCCACCUCCCACAAAUGUUAAAGGAAUUAGGCAAUUCCUAGGACAUGCCGGGUUCUAUAGGAGGUUCAUUAAGGAUUUCUCAAAAAUCUCAAAACCUCUUUGUGAACUCUUGGUAAAGGAUGCCAAAUUUGUGUGGGAUGAGAAGUGUCAGAGGAGUUUUGAGGAAUUGAAACAAUUCCUCACAACUGCACCAAUAGUGAGAGCCCCAAAUUGGAAAUUACCUUUUGAGGUAAUGUGUGAUUCAAGUGAUCUUGCUAUGGGGGCUGUUUUGGGGCAAAGAGAGGAUGGAAAGCCCUAUGUGAUCUAUUAUGCAAGCAAAACUUUGAAUGAGGCUCAAAGGAACUACACAACUACUGAGAAAGAGUUGUUGGCAGUAGUUUUUGCCUUGGAUAAGUUUCGUGCUUAUUUGGUAGGGUCCUCUAUAGUGGUGUUCACUGACCAUUCUACUUUGAAGUACUUGCUAACCAAGCAAGAUGCUAAGGCAAGAUUGAUAAGAUGGAUUCUUUUGCUCCAAGAAUUCAAUCUCCAAAUCCGGGAUAAAAAGGGGGUAGAAAAUGUGGUAGCUGACCACUUGUCCAGACUUGUGAUAGCACAUGACUCACAUGGUCUGCCUAUCAAUGAUGACUUCCCUGAGGAGUCUCUCAUGUCAGUAGAUGUAGCUCCAUGGUAUUCUCACAUUGCGAACUUUUUGGUUACUGGAGAAGUACCAAGUGAGUGGAGUGCCCAAGACAAGAGGCAUUUCUUUGCUAAGAUCCAUGCCUAUUAUUGGGAGGAACCUUUUCUUUUCAAAUAUUGUACAGAUCAAAUUAUAAGGAAAUGUGUUCCUGAGCAAGAGCAAUCGGGAAUUCUUUCCCAUUGCCAUGAUAGUGCAUGUGGAGGUCAUUUUGCCUCCCAGAAAAUAGCUAUGAAAGUGAUCCAAUCAGGCUUCUAGUGGCCCUCUCUUUUCAGGGAUGCCCACUCUAUGUGCAAGGGAUGUGAUCGGUGUCAAAGGCUUGGUAAGCUAACACGCCGAAAUAUGAUGCCCUUGAACCCCAUCUUAAUAGUGGAUAUCUUUGAUGUCUGGGGAAUAGACUUCAUGGGACCAUUUCCAAUGUCGUUUGGACAUUCCUACAUUUUGGUGGGAGUGGAUUAUGUCUCUAAGUGGGUAGAAGCAAUCCCAUGUAGGAGUAAUGAUCAUAAAGUGGUUCUUAAAUUCCUCAAGGACAAUAUCUUUGCAAGAUUUGGAGUGCCAAAGGUCAUUAUAAGUGAUGGGGGAACCCGCUUUUGCAAUAAACCUUUUGAGACUCUUCUAGCCAAGUAUGGGGUUAAGCACAAGGUAGCUACACCUUAUCACCCUCAAACAAGUGGCCAAAUUGAGUUAGCCAACCGUGAGAUCAAGAAUAUAUUGAUGAAGGUGGUCAAUGUGAAUAGGAAGGAUUGGUCUAUCAAGCUCCUGGAUUCCUUAUGGGCUUAUAGGACUGCUUACAAGACCAUACUAGGAAUGUCUCCCUAUCGCCUUGUUUAUGGCAAAGCGUGUCAUCUUCCAGUGGAGAUUGAGUAUAAAGCAUGGUGGGCAAUCAAAAAGCUCAACAUGGAUUUGACAAGAGCCGGGUUAAAGAGAUGUUUGGAUUUGAAUGAAUUGGAGGAAAUGAGGAAUGAUGCAUACCUCAAUUCAAAAAUUGCAAAAGCAAGAUUAAAAAAAUGGCAUGAUCAAUUGGUAAAUCAAAAGAAUUUGAUCAAGGGACAAAGAGUUUUGCUUUAUGACUCUAAACUUCAUCUUUUUCCAGGAAAAUUGAAAUCCAGAUGGACGGGUCCUUUCAUAAUUCAUGAAGUGCAUCCCAAUGGAGUGGUGGAAAUAUUCAAUCCCACAGGCAAUCAAACCUUCAAAGUUAAUGGCCAUCGUCUCAAGCCAUUCAUAGAGCCUUACAGUACAGACAAGGAGGAGAUCAACCUCCUUGAACCACCACAACUCUGAGUGAAAGCAGGGUAUCAUGGGCUAAAUAAGUCCAUGAAUUUUUUGCUAUAGUUUUAUAGUUAUAUCAUUAUUUUUAUUUCUUUUUAUUAUAAUUCUUACUCAAUCUUAGUUUAUUUUGUCUUAAUUCAAGUCAAUUUUGAUGAUAAAUUUCAGAAAAAAAUCAUGAAAGAUGUGGAGAACUCUUCAAAAGCAAGACAAGGGAGUAAAACCAAGGAAACAGAGCACUGCAUUUCAAGGUGCGAGAAUUUCGCACAGCUGAUUUCAAGGUGCGAAAAUUUCGCACACCUUAUUUCAAGGUGCGAAAUCCUCGGUCCAAAGGGAGCCAUUUUCGCACACCUCAAAAACAAGGUGCGAAAUUUAUCUCAAGGUGCGAAAACUGAUUUCAAGGUGCGAAAUUCCCUAAAAGCCAUUUUCGCACACCACUGUUCAAGGUGCGAAAAUUUUCGCACAGUGCGAAAUCCACUCCUGGCACACGAGUGCCAUUUUCGCACACCUCAAGCCAAUUUUCGCACCGUGCGAAACAAGGUGCGAAAUUUUCGCACAGUGCGAAAUUGAGUGCGAAAUGCAUUUUAAGGUGCGAAUUCUUCAGUCCAAAGGGUGCCAUUUUCGCACACCUAAUUUCAAGGUGCGAAAAUUUGCACACCUCAUUUCAAGGUGCGAAUUCCUCAGUCCAAGGGGUAGGAUUUUCGCACACCCAAACCCAAGGUGUGAAAUUUUAAAGUCCAAGGUGCGGAAAUUUCGCACGGUAAAAUUUUAAGUUCCAAAAAUUUUAAACUGACUUUUAAAUUAAAAUUUUACCCCCGAAAUUGUGCCUAACGUCCAAAAACGACUUUUUGGUUACCUUGGAAAAUUUUUAAACAUCAAAACCCCCCCCCAAACCCCAUUCCUAUAUAAGCCCUUGAAGCCCAGGACCUCAACAGUCUACUCCGCGCACCAGCUGAGGAGCCUCUGGAACCCCAAACAGCCACCUCCCUUCAUUUCAGCCAUGCCAAAGACCAGAGGAGGCCUUUCUGCCUCCCCAUCAACACCGACGCCUCGACCACAUCAAGCCGCCAUGGGAGGCGCCGCUUCGCCACCUAUUCAGGCACCGGCCAUUCCCCCAUCUGAGAGGGGAACCCCUUCUCAGCGCCGAUACCCCACCAGGAGGCCACCCACUGAACCUGUGCCACCCGCCGACCAAGCUCAAAGACCUGCUUCUCGGCCCCCUGCGAAGAGAACCAAGUUCUCGGGUCCUGGAGAGCCAUCUCAUGUGCCUCAGGUAGAGCCGCCUACAGAGGAACCUCGAAUUCCUGUGGAGAUUACUCCCGAGACCCUUAUCAGGCGUCCCAUGAUAGCCGGACCACCGAUAGAGGGCAACUUGGAUUGCAGAGAUCGAUCCUUCCACUCCGAGACCUACUUUGAUAUAGAGGCCCUCAGACAGCAGCCAGAGCUCAGAGAUUCAUUCCGACUGCUACAGAGAUAUCACAUGGAGGAUCUUCUCACUCCUAGGCAAUUCUACUAUCCUAGAGUAGUUAUAGAUUUUUAUCAAUCUAUGACUACUCGAGGCCUCCGCAAUCCUACCCUCAUCCAAUUUACCAUAGACGGAUGCCAGGGUGCCAUUGGAGCUCGCCACAUUGCUGAGGCCCUCCGUAUACCUUAUGAGCCUGUGAUUCAGGCAGACUUCAGGGAGUGGUCCUCAUUUUCUCAGAGCGACAUGGUCCGUAUUUUGUCCAGGGGGACUUCUACAGCCUCAGUGUUGACUAGGAGAGAGCUUCCAUCUGGGAUGCUCCUUAUUGAUGUCCUCCUGCGUGCCAACAUCUUCCCACUUCAGCAUAAGGUUCAGAGGAGAGGAGCUAUACUUGAGGCAUUAUUCAGGAUUUUUGAGGGCUAUUACUUCGGCCCUCAUCAUUGGAUUAUGACUUCUCUUCUUCAUUUUGAAGAAAAAGUCCAUCAAAAGAAGCUUCAGAGGGCAGAUGGCAUCCCAUUACUAUUUCCGAGGCUCCUCUGCCAAAUUUUAGAGCACCUGGGCUAUCUUGAAGAGCCCCGUCUUGAGAGGCGCCACCAUUGCAGAGAGGAUUUCUCUCUCGACAAAUGGCAUCACUUGGUAGCCUACUUUGCACCUCACGGACCCCCAGUUAUGCCCCCACCUCCAGAGCUACCCCGAGAUGACUAGCUACCUCAGGCCCAGCAGGAUGAGAUUCUCACUGACACUACACCUCCUGCCCCUGCAGCACACACCUCAGUGCAUAUGCCCGAGGCUAUACAUUCUACCUCCCCUAUCACUCAGGGUGCUCCACCAGUCAUGCCAGCUUCCCCAGCACCUCCUCCUUCAUCUAAGCCCACUGUCACCGUUUUUCUUACGGAAUUCAGAGGCUUAGUGCAUUCAUUGCAGACACUGAGCACUGCUCAGGAUUCUAUUAUCCACCAGAUGGCCACUAUUCUUGCGCAUCAGGAUCAGAUCAUUGCUACUCAGGCCCAGCAUACCACGAUCCUUCAUCAGAUUCAGCAGCAUCUGAGUAUGCAGACACCUCUUGGGCAUGAUACGUCUGCACCAUCCGAGCCUCUAGUGCCAGAUGAGGAGAGCUUACCAGUUGAGCAGCCCAUACCAGAGGAGGAGAUCAGAGCAGAGCCAUCACAUGACCCCACUCAUAUCUGAUUUUUUUAUGUUUUACUUGCUUUUUAUAUUAGACUUGUAAAUCCCAUCUUUUGCAUGUUUUAUAAACUGGGAUUGGAAGUAUUACUUGAAAUCAUAUAUUGUAUAUUUCUUUUCCAAGUUAUAUAUAUAUAUAUAUAUAUAUAUAUCCUUUUUUAUUAUAGUCCCUUUUCUCAUUACUCUUUUCUCUUUGCAACAUGUGGUUUAAGGUAUUCCAUACCUCCUAUAUACUCAGACUUUGAACCACAGGAGGUACCACUUCCUCCCUUUUCUUUUAAAUCGCUCUUUAAACAUUGAGGACAAUGUUUAGUUUGGUUGGGGGGAGAGUUGAGAAAGGAAGUUUUGUACUAAUGCUAAGUUAUUUAUGUAAUUUAGUUGAUUUUUGCUUAAUUUUUAAAAUUUCUAAAAGUUUUUUUGAAUCAUUCUCUAUGGUUGUUAAAGAUAAUUUCUCAAAAAUAAAAUAGGAUAAGUCGAGUUUUAACUUAAUUAUUUAAGUCUUAGAGUUUGUUUUAUGCUUUCAAAGUUAAUAAUCUAUUGAAGCCCUCUUUGAUUUCAAACUUAUUUCUUCCAUUUCAAGCUUUACACACACUGUGCACAUUAGAUCCCGGAUAUAUGAUGUAAAACUUUCCCACCUUCUAAGCUUAGGAAAAUUUUGACUUGGUUCAUUACUUAACCUCUCUUAAAUAGUGUUGGGACACCUCAUAAAGACCAAUGAGUCUUUGAAAAAAAAAAAAAAAAAAAGAAUAAGCUUCUAUUCUUUCCUUGAAACCUAAGCAUGAUCCGAAGGGGUGGCGAAAGCCUUUAAAACCCGAUGCCCUAAACCUUGAUUGGUUGGGAGUCAUCGAUCCUCUGCUUGCUACAUAGGUGAAUUGGUUAAGAUUAGUGAGUAAAAAGAAUUGUGAAUAAGAAGGUGCGUUCCUAACCUAUUAAGAGUUGGAUAAUUUUGCCAAUGUUCGAGAAAAGCUUAGGUUGGGAGGAGAGGAUAGUUGUACAUACUAUAUCCGGAAGCUAAUCUCAUUAACACUUAGCUUAUUAUGGAAGAGUUUGAUUUGGAACCUUGAGAGUAGAGAUUCUUUUGAUACUUAAUUGCAUAAUCUCCACUCUUUGUACUUUUUGUUUAAGUUUUAGCUUUGACAACUCCUAUUGCAUUUUGAAUCUUCAUAUCUUUAGUUCACCAUGUGAGAUGUGUUUUGAUAUCAAUCAUGCCACUCAAUUAUUUUUUGGAAUGAUUUGCAUGACCUCUUUUAUGUAUAUUAUUACGUUUGCUUAGUUUUUCUCUCCUUAAUUGCUAAGGGACUAGCAAUAUGUCGGUUGGGGGGAGUGAUUACUACUCAAAACAUGCUAUUUUGUAGCUUGUUAUCAGCUCUUUUAAGCACCCUUGAGUAGUAAUUAUUACCUUUUAACUCAAUUAACAUGUUAGGGACCCUUGCAAUCGUUUCUAAUCAAUUUGUGUUAAGUUUUGGUGUUUUUUGAUAGCUUUAUACUCACCAAAGCAAUUUAAGAAUGAGGGAGAGCUAUAUAUAAUUCAUGGCAAAGCUUUUGGAAGCUCAAAAUUAUGAAGAAACCAAGCUUUGGAGCCUCAUAAUCCUUUGCCUUAGUCGUUCAAAGUAUGCAAGGAGAGAACAAUGGAGAAGAGGAAAACAGGGUGAUGAAAACAGGGGACACAGCUGCAGUCUUUCAUUGCACUUUUUGAUCACUUCCCGAAGUCCAUUUUCCACAUUCUAUAUACCAUUUCAAAGCUUAGAAAGUCAAGAAUCCAACGAUUCAAACCAUGUACAAUUUGGAGCUGAAAUGAGGAAGAUAUGGCCUUCGGAAGACAACUGCAUCAAGCUGAGGGACAAUUUCGCACGAUGGAAAUCAAGGUGCGAAUUCCUCAGUCUAAAGUGUGGGAAUUUCGCACACCUGAAACCAACGUGCGAAAAUUGGAUAUUUUUGCCGACUCUUUUUCUUCUGAUAUUUUUUGUGUCUAAAUUUCCAUUUUCUCCUUGUAUUCAGCCACUCAUGUAAUUCCUUAGCUAGGAAGUAUCCAAGGAAGGGCAAAAUUACCUUCCUAUAUAAAUUCUCUUGUAAUCACUGAAAAAUCAUCUUUUCGGGGAGCUUUCUCCAGGAGACCAACUAUUGUAAAUUUGUUACUUAGAAAAAUACAGAGAUCUCUUUUGCUUUCUUUUUCUCUCUACUAUUUUCUAUUUUCUUGGAAGCCAAACACCCUCUGAGGAUGUUUUCCCAGAGGAUGAGAGGCUAAACCAAUAGUUUCUUGGAGUAAAGGAAGCUAGGUGAAAAGUCCAGAUUAAAAGGUGGAAAGUUUCCGUGCAUUAAAUUCAGGUAGUUGGAGUCCAUAAAUGGCUUCUAAAUUCAAAGUUUUGCUUUAAAUCUCUGUGGAUGCUUAUUACUAGAUCCAUAUCAGUCCAUUAGUUAUCAUAUACGAGCCAUUGGAAAGUGAUUCAAGGUGAUAGUCCAUAGUGUCUUAAGCCAUUAAUGGACCUUGACUACCAUCUCUAUUGACUUAUAUGGAUUAAAUUUUCAUUGUCAAACCUAUACCGGUUUGGGAAAUAACUAUAGGUAAAAUCCCCAAUGCGAGGAGAAAAAUUCGGAAUUUUCCACUUUGCAUCCUGAACUUGAACCUAGCAACCUUUAGCUCCGGGAGACUUUCUUUCUUCCACUUUUUAUAUAGUCUAUGUGAGUUUAGUUUUAAUCACCACUUUCAAAACAAUUUUAUUCUCUUUUAAAUUUCAAGUUUGUGCUAAAGGAAAUCAUCAGAAUCAAUUUCUAAUUUAGAGUCUGUCACUGAUAGAGUGAAAACCCAUCCCUGAGUUCGACCCUAGAACUGCUAUACUAUAGUAGCUUUGCUACGCCAGUAUAAGGUCAUAGGAUUUAUAAAUAUUUUUGAUUAAAAGACCCGGCUGGGCAUCGAAUCAAACAUCUAUGUAGUCCAUCAGCUUUAGUUUUAGUGGGUCGUGGGCCAUAUGGUGCACCAGUUGGACAAUGCAAGACCUCCGUUCUGUUUGAUGAGUCUAAACCUCUAAAAAGCCUCAAAUGUAACUAUUGUUCUAUGGCUCACAAACACUGGACAAUGCAUAACGUGUUGUGUUCCUCUGGAACAUUCUAGGUUAUUCCAUUUUUUACAUUUUUCCUUUUCGUUUUGUAGACCUUGACCUAGUUACAUGAUGCAUGCAUAGUUAAUGCUACUUUUGGUCCUAUUGUCUUUCUAUGUGGUUGUAGACUUUUGUAAUAAGGCUUUAUAAGCUCUAUAGGCUUGGGGCUCAUAGAAACUGAUAUCAUGAGAUUAAUUUAGGAUCCACUCUCUCAGAAUCUCUCUUGCUCUUUGUGUUAGCUGUAAGUUCAUGACUAUUUCAGAUUCUAUUAAAAUUUCUAUUAGUUAUCUUGAUUUUAUCAAAAUCAUGAGCUUUUGUUUUCUACUUGAAUUCCUAAAUUUUCUUUUUGAAGAUUUUUCUUGUCUUAUCCCACUCCACCCAACUUUUCCUUUCUCGUUCUUUUGAUUAGUAUCUGAAAUAAUUCUUAUUUCGUUGAUCAAUGUAUAUUCUUGCAACAAAUGAAUUAAAAAUUUAAUUUGUGCCCAAUUAGUUUGGUGUAAAUUUCAUCCACAUUUAUCUCAUGUAAUUUUAAUUGGAAAUAUUUGGUGUUUAUGGAAUAAACAGGAAGCUUGAAAUUGCUAAUCAUUGGCAUUAAAUUGAAGCAGGUUUAGAAAUGAAAGUUCUGGAUCAGGAGAGAAUGGAUGAGAAGGAGAAUUGCGGACAGAAGAAAAUAAUGUCUCCUUGUUUGGCUCUGAAGAAAUGCUUGGAGGAGAAAAGGGUGACUACUCUAAAAGUGAGCCACAGUUAGAAGCAUUUUGGUAUUCUUCAGAGUUUCCUCGUAAAUUAUAAACAAUUGUUAGGCCUGGUGCCACAUGUGAUGUUUAAAAAGUUGUUCAUUAGAUGAAUGGAACCCAUCUUUAGGCAUGCUUUUUACUGAAUAAAAUAUAUGUUUGAAUAAUAAUUUGCCAUGCUUAACAUAUAAUCUUCUUUUGAAUUCUAGUUGUAAAGUUGGAAUUAACUUCGAAUAGCUUCACAUUAAUGGACAUAUUGCUGUUUUUUUAAUUUGCUUGUAUUGUUACAAAAGUAUAAGGAACAAAUUGAUACUUCAGUUUUUCCUUAUUUUACUAACCAAAAGAUUGCAAACAUGAUUAACCUAUGCAUGAGCAGACAUUCAGUAGUGGUUGUAUGGAAUUUAUGUCUGUGUACAAGACAUUUACACUAAGUGUACAAGGUACCUGUGCUUAACGUACAAGGGUGUACAAAGGUACCUAUGUUGAAGUAUUUGCAAUGUUUUAAAAUCAUUUCCAUUUUGAAAGGAUGAGGAACAUUCCCUCACACACAUUCCUUGAUCAUGCACUCAUCCCGUUCAAUUUUAUUACUUCAUACAUGUUGAUUGGAUGACCAACCACAAUAAUGAUGAAUAAGAACCUAUACUGGGUUUCACUUCCCCCUUUUCUCUUCCCCAUUUUCCCUUAGGCAUCACAUUGGAACAUGGUAGCUCACCCAUAUGCACGCUUUUAGUUUUAGGUAUGUCAAAUUUUUACCAUUGUAUAAGACAUUUACACUAAGUGUACAAUACAAAUGUGCUAAUUAUACAAGUGUGUACAAUGCUACCUAUGUUGAAGGAUUUCAAAUGGUUUUGAAUAAAUUGCUUGCUCAUUUUAUUUUUCUAAGGGUGACAUUCUUCAUAGACAUUCCUUAUUUCCAUUUCUACACAUUCAUUGGAUGAGAUAGUGUGCUUAUGAUGAAUAGAAACCUCAAUUUGGUGUCAUUUUUACCCUUUUCAGUGAGCCAUGACAUUGGAACGUGGUUAACCUGGCCAUAUGCACUAGUUCUAUUGUAUUUAGGUGGAAUUUCUGCAACUGUACAAUGCAUUUACACUAAGUGUACAAGGCCAAUGUACUAAAAGUACAAGGGUGUACAAGGGUUUCUAUCUUACUUUUUCCAAUUGUGGGGAACAAUCCUCAGACAUGUUGCUUGAUAACACUCAUUGCAUGCAUUUUAUUUGAUGUCUACCAUGUUCAUUCAUCCUAUUAGCUUCCCUAGUAAUGAUGAAUAUGAACCAAAAUUAGGGUAAACUUUUAGGUCAUUUUCCCUAGUCCAUAGUAAUGGAAACAUUGGUUACCCACCCAUAUUCACUUGAAAAUAUGUACCUAUUAGAGAUUUGGUGAUUGGACAAGGCAUUUACACUAAGUGUACAAAGAAAAUGUGCUAACUGUACAAGUGUGUACAAGGGUGCCUAUCUUGAAGGAUUUGAAAUGCUUUUGAAAAAAUUGCUUGCUCAUUUAUUUUUUCUAAGGAGGACAUUCCUCAUUUCCCUUUGUACACAUUCAUUGGAUGAGAUAGCGCGCUUAUGAUGAAUACGAACCUCGAUUUGGUGUCAUUUUUCCCCAACUUAGUGAGCCAUGACAUUGGAUAAUGGUUAACCCAGCCAUAUGCACUAGUUAUGUUGUAUCUAGGUCGAAUUUCUGCAACUGUACAAGGCAUUUACACUAAGUGUACAAGGCCAAUGUACUAAAAGUACAAGGGUGUCUAUCUUACUUUUCCAAACGUGGGGAACACUCCUCACACAUGUUGCUUGAUAACACACGCAUUGCAUGCAAUUUAAUUGAUGUCUACCAUGUUCAUUCAUCCUAUUAGCUUCCCUAGUAAUGAUGAAUAUGAACCGAAAUUAGGGUAAACUUUUGUGUCAUUUUCCCUAGUCCAUGGUAAUGGAAACAUUGGUUACCCACCCAUAUUCACUUGAAAAUAUGUACCUAUUAGAGAUUUGGUGACUGGACAAGGCAUUUACACUAAGUGUACAAAGCAAAUGUGCUAACUGUACAAGUGUGUACAAGGGUGCCUAUCUUGAAGGAUUUGAAAUGCUUUUGAAAAAAUUGCUUGCUCAUUUAUUUUUUCUAAGGGGGACAUUCCUCAUUUCCCUUUGUACACAUUCAUUGGAUGAGAUAGCGCGCUUAUGAUGAAUACGAACCUCGGUUUGGUGUCAUUUUUCCUUAACUUAGUGAGCCAUGACAUUGGAACGUGGUUAACCCAGCCAUAUGCACUAGUUAUGUUGUAUCUAGGUCGUAUUUCUCCAACUGUACAAGGCAUUUACACUAAGUGUACAAGGCCAAUGUACUAAAAGUACAAGGGUGUACAAGGGUGUCUAUCUUACUUUUUCCAAACGUGGGGAACACUCCUCACACAUGUUGCUUGAUAACACACGCAUUGCAUGCAAUUUAAUUGAUGUCUACCAUGUUCAUUCAUCCUAUUAGCUUUCCUAGUAAUGAUGAAUAUGAACCCAAAAUUAGGGUAAACUUUUGUGUCAUUUUCCCUAGUCCAUGGUAAUGGAAACAUUGGUUACCCACCCAUAUUCACUUGAAAAUAUGUACCUAUUAGAGAUUUGGUGACUGGACAAGGCAUUUACACUAAGUGUACAAAGCAAAUGUGCUAACUGUACAAGUGUGUACAAGGGUGCCUAUCUUGAAGGAUUUGAAAUGCUUUUGAAAAAAUUGCUUGCUCAUUUAUUUUUUCUAAGGGGGACAUUCCUCAUUUCCCUUUGUACACAUUCAUUGGAUGAGAUAGCGCGCUUAUGAUGAAUACGAACCUCGAUUUGGUGUCAUUUUUCCUUAGCUUAGUGAGCCAUGACAUUGGAACGUGGUUAACCCAGCCAUAUGCACUAGUUAUGUUGUAUCUAGGUCGUAUUUCUCCAACUGUACAAGGCAUUUACACUAAGUGUACAAGGCCAAUGUACUAAAAGUACAAGGGUGUACAAGGGUGUCUAUCUUACUUUUUCCAAACGUGGGGAACACUCCUCACACAUGUUGCUUGAUAACACACGCAUUGCAUGCAAUUUAAUUGAUGUCUACCAUGUUCAUUCAUCCUAUUAGCUUUCCUAGUAAUGAUGAAUAUGAACCGAAAUUAGGGUAAACUUUUGUGUCAUUUUCCCUAGUCCAUGGUAAUGGAAACAUUGGUUACCCACCCAUAUUCACUUGAAAAUAUGUACCUAUUAGAGAUUUGGUGACUGGACAAGGCAUUUACACUAAGUGUACAAAGCAAAUGUGCUAACUAUACAAGUGUGUACAAGGGUGCCUAUCUUGAAGGAUUUGAAAUGCUUUUGAAAAAAUUGCUUGCUCAUUUAUUUUUUCUAAGGGGGACAUUCCUCAUUUCCCUUUGUACACAUUCAUUGGAUGAGAUAGUGCACUUAUGAUGAAUACGAACCUCGAUUUGGUGUCAUUUUUCCUUAACUCAGUGAGCCAUGACAUUGGAACGUGGUUAACCCAGCCAUAUGCACUAGUUAUGUUGUAUCUAGGUUGAAUUUCUGCAACUGUACAAGGCAUUUACACUAAGUGUACAAGGCCAAUGUACUAAAAGUACAAGGGUGUACAAGGGUGUCUAUCUUACUUUUUCCAAACGUGGGGACCACUCCUCACACAUGUUGCUUGAUAACACACGCAUUGCAUGCAAUUUAAUUGAUGUCUACCAUGUUCAUUCAUCCUAUUAGCUUUCCUAGUAAUGAUGAAUAUGAACCGAAAUUAGGGUAAACUUUUGUGUCAUUUUCCCUAGUCCAUGGUAAUGGAAACAUUGGUUACCCACCCAUAUUCACUUGAAAAUAUGUACCUAUUAGAGAUUUGGUGACUGGACAAGACAUUUACACUAAGUGUACAAAGCAAAUGUGCUAACUGUACAAGUGUGUACAAGGGUGCCUAUCUUGAAGGAUUUGAAAUGCUUUUGAAAAAAUUGCUUGCUCAUUUAUUUUUUCUAAGGGGGACAUUCCUCAUUUCCCUUUGUACACAUUCAUUGGAUGAGAUAGUGCACUUAUGAUGAAUACGAACCUCGAUUUGGUGUCAUUUUUCCUUAACUCAGUGAGCCAUGACAUUGGAACGUGGUUAACCCAACCAUAUGCACUAGUUAUGUUGUAUCUAGGUCGAAUUUCUGCAACCGUACAAGGCAUUUACACUAAGUGUAUAAGGCCAAUGUACUAAAAGUACAAGGGUGUACAAGGGUGUACAAGGGUGUCUAUCUUACUUUUUCCAAAUGUGGGGAACAACAACACCCAACAUACGAACCCAGAGGACUAUACAAAAUUCAUUGUGCUGAAACUUAUGGAAGAACUCACAAAACAUCAUUAUGGGGUUGAGCUGCUUCAGUUCAGGAAUCCCAACAAGAGAGACAUCUUUCUUUGUAUGACAAACACGUGCUUCAAUAAUUGCAAUAGUUGUAAGUUAGGAAUUAUAGAGGUAACUUGCCUAUAAUCUAACGAGAAUUGACUUGAUAGAUUAGCUUUUUAAGCAAGUACUUAGUGUUGAAGAAUGUGUUUUGUGCUUGAACGGUGUCAUUGCCAUUAGUCGAAAAUUUUGGGAUGAUGAUCGCCCUUUUUCGAUGUGCCGGAUGAUUACUUUUAAGGUGUGGAACUACUGCAUUCUGAGAAUGGUUAAUAAUAAUUUUUAAAAUCAUAUAUAAUAACCUCCAAAAUAAAGACUAAUAAUUUUCAAGUGAUUAUGGAUUAUUCUUGAGUUUCCCUUUUGUCUAGUCUGAACUUGCUAGUUCCCAAUACUAAAGUAGGAGUCCAUUGAUAAUUUAAACACGAAUAUUGACUAUAAGUCUCUAACAAACCUUAUUCUUAUAAUCAAUCAAGCCAAUAUCCACCCAACUAACCCAAGGGCAAAGUGGGUUCUUAUUACCAAGCCAUGAGCAAUUUUGCCCACCAAAAAACCUAGGACAAAAAAAGAAAAAAGCCACACCAAAAAAAAAACUAUAUAUAUAUAUAUAUGAAAAAAAAAAAGGUCUCAAACCACAUGGCAUCCACAUGAUUGAGAAACACCAAUUUAGAAUUUAUUUUGAUAGGGGAUUUACUAUAUAGAAUAUUUCUUGAAAACAAGUUAUAAAAAGUUCAAAACCCCCAUGAACAUGUAGUCUGAUGAUGUAUAAGGCAUAAGAGUAGAGAAACGAAAGGAAUGGAUAUUCAUGGCGUUUUUUCUAGUGCAAUUUUCUAAAACAAUAAUGGCGUAUUUUCUUAUGAUUGUAGACAGUUGAUGGAUGAGAUCAAUUAGUCAUAAUUCUACCCUUAUUUGCAAGAUCAUUCUUCGCCGAGAUCCUUUUGCUUUCCCUUUGGGGCUUUGGAUUCCUGAAUUGUAAUCCUUUUCCUUCUCUCUUCCAAUUAAGGAAUGCAAGCACGCAACCUGGUUUCACCUACACAUAUUGCCCUCUUCUAUAGAGCCACCAUCGAAGCCCUUAUGAACUAAACAGAGAUACCCAGUUUAAUUUAAGAACUUUGUCAAAUGAAGGAAGUAAUUACUCUGGCAGAAAUAUCAACUGAUUUAAUUUCUGACAGUCGUACAUCAUCCUCCAUAGCAUUACAUCUACUAAAAGGGUUUCUAUUCUAGUUUCACAUGUAGAAUUGCAUUUAUAAUUCAUACACUACAUUCCAAAUUUAACCAAACAAAAGCUAAAACAAAAGGCCUAAGCUAGAGCCAUUUGCAUUUCGACACCCAGAUUGCCUAAGCCUGGCUUGAGGCUGUGUACACCCAAGGUUGCCAGGAUUGAUGAUGAGCCCCUGAUGAAGCCAAGGUUUCCAUCUUCACCAUUGGAACAACCAGCAGCAAGUGAUCAGAUAUUCAAUGGCAAAUCGAGUGGGGCUAUCCUAAGGGUGGUCACCUUUUGAUAGAAUCAUUAAUCCCUUCAAUUGUUGUGCUAUUGAGAAGCUGCAUGCCCUCUUCACUCAUCUGCUGAACUUCAGAAGGCGACAAAAUUCUAAUGCAGCGGACACAACCAACAAACUCACUGGCAGAGGAACAUUGAUAAGCAUUAGAAAUAUGUCUAACUACAGAAUCGAAUCCAUAGUGCUAGUUGUUCCAAAUGAAAACAGAAACUACUAAAAACAUAAGCUGUGAAAGCAAGAUAUAGCAAGAAAGUGAACUAUAAACAGUCCCCACCAGAAUGCCAGCAAAAUGAUCCUAAAAAUGUAGGUAUAUACUGACUUUAUUUCUACUUAAUUUUACUAUGAUAAUGUAUUGGUCUAGUUACUAUAAUGGUAUAGUGGGGGUUCAGUAGAUCUGGGUUCUAUCAGUGUAUGCAUGCACAAAACAACAGAACAGAACUUACUUCUGAGGAUCAUCCCCAACAAGAAGUACAUCAUUCUCAUAAUCCACAUACACCAUUUUCCAACUUGAGCCUUUCUGGUCGUUGAGCACACCUUCAAGUCCAAACAUGCAUUUAAUUGCCUAGCAUAAUUCUUCAUAAUUCUUAAAACUUGCAACAUCAAUUGACCUCCUAACUGAUCCCAUUUUUUUAACCUGCCAUAGCCAAAAAUGCCAUCAAAACCAGAACUCCCUGUUUUCUAAUAAAAAAAUGCACCAAAAAAGAAUGUCCUUAUUGAAUGAUGCAAGGCAGAAACAUAUGAUCAAAAACAGUUCGUUGGCAAACAUAGAAAAGUCAAUGUGUAGCGAAAUGGAGUUUGCAGUGACAUUAUGGCAGUAACAAUAUGUUAAAACUAAACUAGGCACACACUGGAUCAAGGAAGCAUGUAGGAGUGUUGUUGACUUGUUUCAAUAUACUUCAGGUGGUAAUGAUGGGCAUGCCUCAAUCUUUUUGAUGAAAAAGAGACAAUGUAGUCAUUUAAAGAUAUACAAAUUGUUAGUUUAAAAAAAAUUUGUAUCAACAGAAAUAAUACAUGGUACUGUAAAACAUACCACAAGGUGAGUCUACCACAAACCAGUAUGCAUGUGGCACACAUACAGAGACCAGGAAUCAAUAAUAAGUUAAUGUUUAUAUGGAAAUGAGCUCUCAAAUACUACUCUAUCAUGAGACAUUACAUCUAUGAAUUUACUUGACACAUUGUUCUUAACACAAAAAUUUUCAUGUUUUAAACAAGAAACAAAAUUUGUCGAUGCUAAAUAUACUGAUCACUUCCAAUUAGGCAAGAAAAGUUUUAACCUCAGAUACUAAGUCACACCAAAGCUUAUGGGGAUCCCAAUCCAUUUAUAUGGAGCCAGGAUUGUGGCUCUACAAUGAUUGGUCAAUGGUUAUUUAGCUGAUGAUUCCUAUACAAUAUCAUAAAUUAAAAAGACCUACAGGAGAAACAAAUUAGAACAAGUGAUUUAGAGUUAUUCAGUAUUGGGGCAGAUUUAGUCCAGCGCCACCCAGAAACCAUGCUUGCACUUUUAACCAACAAAAUAAUUUAUUAUAGGACAAAAUAAGGAGAGUUGAUUUCUAAAGUAGGAUUGAUAAGUUACCUUCUCAUUUACCAAUUCAGUGAUGAUAGAUGCACAUUGCUGCAAUGACUUAAUCCUUGUUAUGCAGUGAGUUGAUGGUCGCUCUAAAGCAUCUCCUAUAUCCAUGGAUCCUUGUGAAGUCUCAGAAGGUGCCGAGCUAUGACUUUCCAAGCUUCUAGUAUAACAUGUGUUAGUGAUUCCUACACCAGCAAUUGGCAUUGGUGCACUUGAUUUGGUCUUCAUAUUUACAGAUGUUAGAGGGGCACUCCCUAAUUUGCAUUGUGAAUGACUUGGCUUGGAAGCAAUAGCCGAGGAAGAUGACACAUCCAUUGGGGGUCCAGAUACAAAAACAUAAUCCUAAUCAACCAACUCCUCCUAUGAAUCCACAACUGUGGAAUCCAUACAAAUAAGAUAAUAAAAAAUAACAUAAAUUUUAGCAACACGUUUUUUUAGAUAAUAGAAUAUUAAAAUGAGCAAUGAAAUAUUAUUGAAAACUUUGGUACCUCUUGAACAACUUCUCAUUGGUCUUUGUUCCAUGGAUUUUAGAGGUUCUUUGACAUUCUCAUCUGAAGGCCUAAGACUGUCAAUCCUAAAGCUAGUAAUUUCUGGUUUAUAUGAUGCACUGCUGUAUUUAGAAGCAAGAUCCAUGUUGUUGGGAGUGUUAAAUAUUGUUUCCCUUAUAUCAACUUUUUUAUCAGGAGAAAAUCCAUAGGUAGACUUCAUUGAGGACCUCUUCCUCAAAAAUGAUGGGCUCCCUUCAGCACCACUAGAAUCAUCAUCUAGAGGAAAAGACAUACAAUCCUCUUGAGAACUUGCCUCUGUCUUUCUCACAGAAUUGCAUUCAGACAAAGGAAACCCGUCAAUUAUUCUUGAUGAUCUCCUACUAUUGCAUGGCACGAAGGAUUUUAACAUGAGUAAAGAAUGAAAAUAUCAUAUGCCAAGAUCGAGAAGAGUAAAAAAAUUUCUCCUUUACCUUAACGCUUCAUUUGGUUGCUUUUGAGAAAGGAAUGGGUGGUUAAAAAACUCUUCAAAUGUUAGUCGUUCCACUGCAUAUACAAGGACAUAGAAGGAUCAAAGAGCUAUUAAACCUCAAUAAGCCUUUAGUAUUAGAACUACAGUGAUUUCUUUUUGGCACAAUCAGAUAUCAUAUAUGUUUCACUUUUGUAUCAUCUUUAGCUGUUUUAGGCUUUUCACUUGGUGCCAUUAAGAAUUCCUAGCAACAAAUAGGUUUCCCCAAUAAAACACACACACACACACACACACACACACACACACACAUAUAUAUAUAUAUAUAAAUGAUGCCAGUUUCGAGCUAAAUUAUGUGAAAUACCAGGAUUGCGGCGCAACAAUUUCUGACACAAAUCUUUGCAGUCAGCACUCAAAUCAUUAUUAUCAGGAGGGAAAUGCAAUUCACUAUAUUUAACAAUGUUUUGGAGCAACUGGUCAAGAAACAAGACAAAAAGUUAAUCAAGGAAAAGUUAAGGGCACAAAGAAAGACAAAUUAAACAUAGCUAGAGAAUUAUUACUACUUAAAUUAAACACAAGAAGAAUCAAUAAUUAAACCAAGUUGAAAACCCAACCACUACAAAUGAUUAUUGCAGAUGUGCUAAAAAAAAGAAAAAGAAAAAAUACUUGUAUAUGAUUGUUUCCUGUAAAUGGUGUUCUUCCAGUCACAAGUUGAAAGAGAAUGGCACCAACACUCUAGAGAUCUGCCUGCAUAUUUGGUUCAAGUUAAUCAGAGAAGGUUAUGCAAGAAAAUAGAUGGAUUCUUACAGAUGAAGAAAGUAAAUAUCACCUUUGCGUCAUAUUUCUGAAGUUGCAUUAUCUUUGGCGCCAUGUACAGUGGUGAACCACACAAUGUUUCUACAAGACCUCUAGGUUGUAGAGAUCUGCCAAAAAAGAAUUGGAACAUAUAAACUUAUUGAAAGGACCUUAACUAUAUAGCCCAUUUAGUUGUACUAGAAACUAGAAACGUUAAACAAAAGGAUUUUUAAAAUGAAAGAGAAUAGGUUUCAUUUCAAUGAAUAUUUACACCAUUUGAAAUCAGGAGACUCAUGAGAAAGUUCAGUUUGUUGAAUCAUUUUGGAAUACAAACAGAGGAAAACUUGUUAAAACUUUGUCAUGUAAUGUUAAUAUCACAACUUGGUUUUGCUAAAAGUUAGACCAUCAAGUGUUCUCAAAAAAUAAAAAUAAACAAAAAAAAUAAAAUAAAAAAGAAUGUAUUAAAAGAAAGAAUCUUAUAGGCUUGCUAAAAAAGAUUUGAAAAGUAAUCACCAUCAAAACCCACAUACAAAAUGUAAAAGAUAAUAUGAAUUUUACCUUGCAAAUCUAAAAUCAGCAAUCUUCAGUACUAAAUUGUUGUCAUUUGUGGAGAGAAGAAGAUUUUGUUCCAAGUAAUACAUAUGCCAAAUGGAAUUAGAUCUUAUGCAAUGCCUCUUUUGCACAGGAUAUACAACAUAAAGAAUACCCGUCACUAAAAUUUCCAUAGUAUUUGCAGAGGAUAAAAAUUAUGAUGGGCAUGCCCUAUAGAGAAGUUAAAAUCAUGACAAAGUCAGAAACAAAACAAGAGCCAAUAUAUAUAUUAAUAACUUUUUUAUUAAAAAUGAAAAGUAGACAAGAAAAAAGCAUGCUUGGGAUUGUAGAAAAUGGUAAAUGGGCUUUGGUUUGCCGCAGCAUGAGCUGUAGCUGCAAGAACUCCAAUAUGCAGGCUAUCAGUAGACAGAACUGAUGAUGACAAUGAUGUUUGCUAACGGUUUGCACGCCUCACACCAAACAAUAGCUGUGAUUUCUCAUCUCUUGUGAUGACAAUGAAUACAAGAUAACGAGGUUAGCUAAAAUAUAUUUUGUAGAAUGCAAUAUAUUAUUAAACAAGCAUUAAACCUGUGGCUAUGAAACAGACUUGAGUGAUUGUCCAAUAUGGAUAUAUCAUACAAGGGUCAAAACUUUCAGAUGUCCUAAGAGUUUCUUUCUACAGUUUCAAGGAUGACAAACGACAUUAGAAACUUUUACAAUAUUGGCACUGGUUGUCACCAAUCUCAUACACAAGAUGUUAAAAACAGAAUGAGGGAAAAAGAAAAAGAAAACCUAAUUGUUGCAUGCCUACAUAAUCAGAACAUCAAACUUGAAUUCUGGUUUCACUAAAACUUGGAUGCAUAAUAAUCAGUCAACUAAAAUGAAGCCAUUAUUUGACGUCUACCUAGACCACAUCUAUGUGGAACCUAAUCAUACUUGAGCUAGAAAUAACUUUUUAUGAAAAUUUCCAAUGAAUGUUAUAUAAUACCUAGUUUAUGAUCAUCUUCAAACUUAGGCAUGACGUGUCAUGAUUAUCAAGAAAUAAAGGUUCCCUCACCAUCAACAAUUUGCUAUCAUUCAAGUUUAAAUACACUUAUGUUAUUAUUCAAAGCCAAAUAUCAAUGAUUAGGGUCAAGAAAGGGGAAUAUCUCAUCAUGAUUAACAAAAAUAUUUACCUCGAUGUUGCCUACAUCCCACAUUGGUUGCCUGCAACUAUUUUGAUCAUCUAACAUAUCUCCAGCCUGCUUGUUACAAUGAAAAGGUGAUAAAUCACUGGUUUUUGUUCUCUAUCUUUCAGAACUGUUGGUAAAUGAAUGUUGCAUGUCAUCUAGUUUUCCUCUUUCCUUGCUAGAGCUGCCUUUAGAGUACCAAUCUGAAAUAAUAGUUCAAAGUUUUCAGAAUAAUAAAUAAGAAUUGAGAAGAAUGAUAAAUAAUGAGAGCAUUCAGAACCUGUUCUUUCAGCUCUUUCACAUCUGCACUAUCCUUGUUUACACGAGCAGCACCAAGUUCUACCGUGGCAAAUCGCUCUGCAAAUUUAACUAUGCUAAUUGUUUCUCCAUCAGCAUCCGGUUCAGGGCUAAUGUGAACAAACAUUAGUGUCUUGGCUUGCCCCUCUAAAGAGAAUUACAAUCCAAAAGCCAUAUUAUAAUUUAAAAAAUAAAAUGAAAGAAAACAGAAUCAAAUAUGAGGUUCAUACUCUGAAAAUGCAUUAGUUUAUUCUUACCAAGUGAGUCUUGAAGAAGUUUUGUUACUUUACUAUUCUUGUAAGGGACAUGUGGACUCUUCUGGGCAAGGGCAGAGAUGACAUCCCCUAGAACAGAGAGAGAUCUGUUAAUAUGUUGUGCCUCCUUUAGUCUAUCUCCAUUGACCUUAGAUUUGUCUACUCUCUCACUGUCGGCCUGAUCAACAAGAUGCAUACAGCCACGAAGAAUAGUUCCUGACAUCAAGUCUCUUCCCUAAACAUGAACAGUCAGGCAUGUGCAAGUUGAUUGAAAAUCAAGUGAGCAAAACCAGCAGAGAUUACUAAAAGAGUAUUCCUAGAGAAAUAUAUAGAGGAAUAUGAUCAUACCUGUGAGAGCGACUACUAUGGUUUCAUAUGUUCACAAGUGUCAAAGAACCAAAGUUUUAAUUUCUAUGCAAUUUUGAAAAUUCAUUCUAAUAAUAUUUAAUUCUCCCUAUUUACUUACAAUGCAAUGAAAAUCAACUUAAGUAAAAAAACAAUCAAACUCCGACUAAUUCCAUAAUCCCAGUGUUCAUUUCCGAAUGUGGCACAAAAAAAAUAAAUUUAAAGAACUACAUUUGUCCACCAUAAAUUACAUACAAAUGUGCUAACUUUAUACAGCCUUAUCACAAAUUACAAUCCCCUUUAAUCUCUCCGGACAUAGUCUCGGUGUGCAUUCUGUGCUGAGAACAACAUACUCCCCAUAAUCUUCAACCUGUAAUGUUUCAAUUUCCCCUGCAUUCAUUCAAGUUGAUAGCAACAAAUCAGCAAAUUAAUUAAUUAGGCUUUUCUAACUAUUUUAACAUUAAUGAGAUAGUCAUAGAUAAUUCCUCCUACAUACCACAUCGAUUGAUUUGGAGAACCCUCUCAUUGACCACAACUCCAUGAAUUUCAUUACAAAAACUCUGCAAUCGUGCCUACGUCAAUAUAAUUACCAAAACGUUAUUAAGUGUGGAAUUAUAAAUAAGAGAUGAACUUAAAAAAAGUUGCAAUCCUAUACAAUAUCCCGGACUGCAAGGUCAACACUCACUCAUUAGGUUGGAGGGGUACAUCAGGUGUUAUGAAAUUGAAUGUCCUCAAAUCAUAAGGUGAUACCUCUUUUUUGUGGGCAGCCAACCACAGGACAACCUUGGCCUGAAACAUUUAUUAAUGCAACAAGUGAAAUCUAUAUGGGAAGACAUACCUAACAAAUUAUUAGUUGUUACUUUACCAGAUUUUGUUGUACUCCACUCAACAUUGUCUUCUUCCUACCAGGACGAGAAUCUAGCAGUUGGAUUCUCCUAUUUGCUAGGUCAUAUACGUACAAUGUCCAAUGGUUCUUUAUGAGAACCGGUAAGAAGACCUGCACCAAUAGACUGCCAUUAAACAUACAUCUAAAUAUUGUACCUUCAUGAAAUAAAAAUACAAAUCCAAGCAUUAAACAUAGGAAUCCACCUCAUUAACAUUGACAUAUGGAAUAUCCAUCUGAUACACAUGUGGUUCAAAGCGUCCUAUAACUACCUCCCUCAGUAAGUGUUUUGCCUGGAAGUGGAUUACCAUUUCUUGCAUGUCAAAUAGGGGAUAACAUCAGGUUUGUCAUUGUAGGUGAUGCCUAAUUCAAGACAUAAAAUAAAUUUAAGCAAGGAUUUAAUGGAAUAGUCAUCAUUACAGCUAUGUAGGGGGAUAGAAAUAGUUUCAACUUCGGUUCAUGUUCAUACUGCAGCAAUCUAUAGUAGGCAUCGACGACCUGAUUUCAUAUAUCAUAAAAGUGUAAGGAACUAAUUAUAUUAGAACCACACUUUCAUUUUCAAACUUAAAAUAAUGCAUAAAGAGGGAUAAGAAGUGAUAUGCACGUCGUUCCCUAUCCAGCCAUUCCCUUCGAAGCAGCCUAAAUUGCCUCUAGUUAGGAUAGUGUCAUGCAUAGACACUAGUUCCUCAUUGUUACAAAAACAUACAAUUUAGUUUUUGUGUUUUCACUAUCAUACAAUGAGAGGAGUGUCACUAAAGUAUGUUAUCUAGCAUCCAAAUCCUCUCCAAAUACCAGUGCAACUGCUUGUUUUAAGUCGAUUAUGAUGGCAGAUUGUUUGGUUUGUGGUUGGGAUACAUAUGGGGACAACAGGUUUGGAGCCAUUUGACGCACUCGGCGUCUCCGGACGUUCCUAUUUGUGGGGACAACAUUACCUUCUGGUUGUUCUUCACCAUCUGCAAUACGAGAUUUAGAACUAGUCAGCAAAGGUAUACAUUAUGAUUGGGUACUUGGGUUGUUAACCAUAUGGGUGUUUGCAUAAAUUUUAUCACUUACCGCUUACUACAUUAAUGGGUACACUGGGCUGCAACUCAUACUCAGGGGCGACAACACGAUCUGGUGUGUCUAGCACAUGGUCUGCAACAUGCGAAGCCAUGUACUCAUCACCAAGAAAUGCAUGGUCAUCGGUUGUGGGAGUGUUGGCUGGUGCAUAACUAGAGUGACCACCCACAUCUGAAUUUACCCCACUAUGUCUUCGAGCCCCUAACUUAUGCAUAAGGCCACGCAUUAUUCUCAGCUGCUGCUGAAUGCCCCGUUGAUAUUGGUCGAUUGCUCGUUCUGCAUCAUGAUAUUGAUGCCAUAUUUCCUAUGACAUGAUAUUGAUGUCAAUCUUUGAGCACAAAAUGUGACAACAACAUAUUUCUUUGUAGUUAAGAAGUAAAAAUAAAUUACAAUGACAAUGAAAUGAACAUUUAUUAAGCUUUUAAAAAAUUAGCAACUUACAUUACUAUUUUCAGCAUCAACAUUUGUGUCAUGGUCCACAUUAGUCUCUGCCUCCAUAGUUCUCUCUACGGUUGGAGAUCUCUGGGACGCCUAUAAUUAGCACUGAAGAUUAGUACUUAAAUAAUGAGUGUUAUGCUGGUAAUGACAAUAUAUUUAUGCAUGCAUCACUUACAAAAUCAAUCUCAGCAUGUCCGAAUGCUCCAAACUCCUUUAUCUUAGCGACUAGUCGUCGCUUAAUCAAAUCAUCAGUCCAUGCCAAUGCUGGGGGCACUGUAAUGGGGACUUGGACUGAAGGAAUUUGGAAUUUAAUGACAUAAUGCAGCUGCAUAAUAAAUACAAACAUCAGUAGGAAAAUGUUACUAUGUUGUGCAAUAAAAUUAUAUAACAAAAUGGAAGACAAAGGCUGAAUAAGUUCACUACCUGUAGAAAUAAAACGCAACCAUGUAUCCAAGAGGUGUUAGACUGUUGGUAUCACCUAAUUCCCUCAACCAGUUGGUCAAGCACAAACUGGGCCCAAUUAACGUCAUUUCAGAAUCCAUCCUCAUGGAUGGUAUGCCACAAGUUAUGGCAACCAUUGAGCCUAGACGUGGGGGCCAACAAUGUGGCACAUGCAUAGUAAAUGAAUGCUCUACGGAACUCCUCGCCUACAGGUAAGUUCAAGAGUUUCUCCUCGCAUGCCCGAAUAGUCCCAAAUGGAUGCUCUAAUGAUGUAGAGGUCACUUACAAAAUCCGUCCUUCUGUUGGGAGGCCGAAAAUGAGGCCAACAUUGGUGGCUGUAACAGGAUAGUGUUUCUGGGCUGAGAACUCUAUCCGUCUAAAUCCAACAUUGAAAUUUUGGAUUAGAAAGAUACAGAUGUUGUGGCGCACCUAUGUGCAGUUUAAGCUUAAGAGACCUCCAAAUUGGAGGUCUCUUAUGGCUUGUAUUUUUUCCUUUAGUAACCAAUUGCAGAGUUUCUUAAAUCUUGCAGUUGAGCAUCGUGUAAACAUUGAUGUGCCCUGCAUGCAAUGUUUGACAACAUGGACAUGUUAGGAAUAACAACAUUUUUGCAAUUGGUAAUGCAAAAAAUAAGUGAAAAAGUAAAGUUGUCAUUUCUCAUAGUUACAAAGACUUGUCUGCUUGUAUUUGGAAAUAAUAUACAGCAGGGUAAGACAUGAGAUGGGGUUGGGUGCUAUUGAUAGUGAGAUAUCCUGUAAGAGGGAGGAUUGUAAAUUUAUGAAUAAGCCUAUAUAGAAUAGACAAUAAUAGUAAAAAUGUAUAGAAUAGACUAUAAAAGUACAAAAAUAAAUAUGAGAAUACUACAUGAUAUAGAAAAGAAAGAAAUCAAGUCAAUUUAUGGAAAUAAAUUGACUAAUUCUAUUAGAGAAAGAAACCAUCAACAAAUCAAUGAAUAAUCCUAUUUAAUUCCCAUUUAGAUUGUAAGACAACUUGAUAGAACAAAAAUCCUUGGUAAUGAAUUUGUGAUCUUCAACAACAACGAAUAAAUGGAGUAAACAGAAAAUGCUAUGGAAAAGCAGAUUUCUUUCAUUGCCUUAACAUGCUUACAAUAAAAUGCUUGAGAAGGUGGAAAUAAAAGCUCACAAACUCAAAGGCCUUGUCUUUGUAUUCCCUCGCACACACUGGGUUUUGUGUCAGGAAUCAUCUUUGCAAUAAUUCUAUUCCCCCAAGUGUUUUCCAUUAUACCGAACAACAUGGUGGCUGCUAAGGGCCUUGCAUUCAUGGAUGUGAGCAAGAAAAAAAACUCAAAGAGACCUCUUUGUUUUCCCUAUUCUUUUCAUUCUUUUGGCUAUUUAAAAGGGGUCUAACCUGCUCCUUUUGAUACUUCUGAUAGACACAAAAUCUAAAGGAACUGCUAGAGCAAGCACUUUGCUACUGCCAUUGAACAUGGACAAGGUUUGGAAUCCAAGUUUCUGUUGAGAGUAUUCCCACAUGGUAAUAACUAUCAUUGAAUAAUUAUUCACUAUCUUCUAAUACCAAGAAUCAUGUGUUUGACCAAAGUUCAUUCAUACCUAAGUUGUUAGCUGAGUGAGGAUUCAUGGGAAAAUAAAUGAAAACUAGGACUCUUAAUCUCAACUUGUGAAAGUUUUGAGGGCUGAAUCUGAUUCAGUGGGCAUAAUAAUCUAAAAUUUGUAGAAUAGAGGAAGUGGGCAUUUCGAAUUAGGUACUGAUACACUAUGAAAUGCUACUACAUAAUUUUUUGUAGAAUAGUAAACAAAGAGUAUCUUUACGCUUGAAAACAAGAAUAAAUAAAGUGAAUCCAUGAGUGUUGGAGAAUUAAAUGAAUGAAGAGGAGUUUGGAAACCAUAAACUCCAACUGGUAGAUGGCCAAUACAACAAGAACAUCAACUAAGGUAAGAAACAUAGAACAUAGUUUCAAGUAGAAGUUAUGACACUGCUUGUUACACUUGGAACUUCAACAACAGUUCUCCUUCAUUACCACAGUAGAGUAACUAGCAUUAAGUUAUGUGUUAUGCCAAUGCAUCAGUCUUCAAACCAAAACAUAGUUCACAACAUACACUUAUAAUAUCCUGCUUAAUUACAAGUUUCAUGUUUGCCUAAGAAAUGAAAAUUAUAAUAUCAGGCAAGACUCAACUAGAGUUUCAACAGCUUGGCUGCAUACCCAUUUACAGAUGCCAAAUUAUCAGAUAUUUGAGAAUAUUGUGAGGCUUUAAUUUCAAGACCUAAACUUCAAGAAUUACAAAAAUCUUUAUAGAAAGAGGACUUAAUUAUUUGGAAAAUAUUUACAACAACAAUAAUAAUCAUCAUCAUCAUGAAGAUUGAUGUUUCAGUUCUAAUGUUUCAGUCAGUUCAUGCACCAAAUCUUCUAUCAGUUUCACAUGGAGCUGAACUAUUCAUCCAAAUUCACAUUUGAUUGAGCAGGAUAUUGGUCCAACACAUUAAAAUCAUGCCCCAAAAGGAGAAUUUCUGCCUUAUCGCCCUAGAUUCCCAAUUAUUUAAUUGAAUUUUUUUUAGGUACAAGUCAAGAAAACUCCUGCAAGGGAUUACAAUCAUAUGUGCCAAAUUGUCACGGAGAGCACCAUUUCAUCUAUUUUAAAGGCUGGUUAUACAGUUGAGAGAAUUAGAGUGCGGUUGGAAAUGUUUUUUUCUCGAAGUGUAAUUAAAUAAAAAGUUUUCCUUCCUCGUAGAUUUAAAACAUAAAAUAUGACAUUUUUUAUCAAAUGGAAACCACUAUUUGGGGUAGGUAAGAAUAGUUUAGAGAUUGUAUGCAAUGAAAAUCAUGAAGUUAGCUCAAAAUGGGAAUAAAAUUUUCAUUCCAUUAUAGAGUAUUAAGUGCAAUCAAAUAUUGAAAUGAAUCUUUAUUAAGAUUUUCUGGAUACCAUUCCAUUCUCAGCAAAUGAACAGUCUUAGUAACUCUAAAGUAAGUGUUAAGUACCUAAAGGAGAACAAAAAUAAAAAAUAAAGGAAAAAAUUUUAAGAAAAUAAAUUGUAAACAUUUAUAUAUCUUCUUUUCCCUGAUUUUCUUAGCAAUCAAAGAAGAAAACAAUUUUAUAAAGUCAGAAACAAAAAAUAUGAAAUUAAUAAAAUUGUAAACAUUAUUUAGAGGUGGAAUGAGAAAAACUUAGAGAUGUUGAUGAAAUAAAAAUAAUGAAUUAAAUUAACAUAUAAUUGGAAUGAAAGGCUCAUUGCAGUUCAACCUAUUAAAGUGCAACAAAGAUUAGAAUGAAUAUUCAUUACCAUUCUAUAACUAGGAAACAAACACAAGAUGAACUGAAUGCCUCAAUCAACAUCAACUAUCCAUUACUUUGAUUUCCAGAAACUAGAAAUCCAAGAUUCACCCAGGAAAGUGUAAGAAGUGAUCUAAAGUAAAUAGAAAUCUUUGGUGUCAGUUAGAAGGUGAUGCUACUAGAUUAGCAGUAAUCACUAUAUCUGAGCAGUUCUUGACAAUGAACCGAAGUUUAGCAUAAAAAAUAACUCUUGGUCCGUAUAGAAAAUCAAAUUUCAUUUUUUCACUGAAAUAAGCCAAAUAAAGGCCAAAGAGGAAAAUAAACACAAUCAAAUUUCAUAUAUUUCGAGAUUAAAAAUUUGGGGAUAGAGACUCACUUCCUAGGGUUAUUUAUCAUUAGUAUCUGACAUGCAAUUCUGAUUCGAGUAUGGCAAGGAGUUCGGUGAGCGAGUUGGUUGUUCAUCAGCAAUCUAGUUGCUGACUCAACUCCUAAGGUUUUAUGCCUUUGGAAGAAGGGUUCAAUGGCCAUCACUACGUCUCUCAAAAUUGAGGGUUAAGAAGAGUGAAUAGAAGAAAAAUGUCAAACAAUUAGUAAGAAAACAAAAUCACAAGUCAUUUGAAGAUUCUCACCAGUGGGUUCUCAACAGUUUGAAGUAAGGAAGUGGCUCUGAGUGGGUUGUUGGCAGUUCGAAGUGAGCGGCAGAGGUAGUGGUUAUCUAGUAGCUCUAUUGAGCCAUUUAUAAUAGCAGCUCAUUUCUUCUCCUAAAUAUAAGAGUUGUUAUAUUUACAACCUAUUUCUUUCCUCAGUUAUAAGACCUUUUAUAGCAAUAGUGAUUCCUUUCCCUAGCAAUAAUGUUGGUUUGGUUGUGGAUUUUGCCCAAUAAAAACUAAGUCAUUAUAUCUUACAUUUCUUGUAGUGUAAUAUAGAUCAUUUAUAUAUAGAUGUAGGAAUUAGAUAAGUAAAUCCUUGUGGAGACCACCUAACUGCUAUUCAUGUUCACUAGUUCUUUUUUAGUAAAUUCACUUUUUAUUUUGAGUGCUAAGGACUAUGAUCAGUUAAAAAUCAAAGUAAAACCUGAAAUUGAAGUGUGAAAUUGAUUGUUCAAACAGAUUUCAAAAUUAAACCUUGAGCCAAGAGUUGUAAUUGGAAAUAGUAAUCAAAACAUUUGAAAUUAUCUUCUAAUUGUUGUGAUAAUUUCACUAAAAAACGAACCAAAAUUCAAAAAUUGGCAUAUUGCAUGUGUCUUCUAAAGGGGGACAACUUGUCCUCAUAAUCUUGCUUUACAAAAUGGGUUGAAUACCGGUGUAACAAAAAGCUAAUCAAGGGAUACUUAGAUUGCUUCAUAGUAAGACAUCAUAGCAACUUAAAAGUCAAACAAUUGUUUUCUUGGAUGUUGUUUGAUAGUUUAACAAACCAUAAGAAAGUUGUAAAAAAUAUAGUAGUUUUUUUUUCCCUCUUUUCUUUGUGUCAAGUUGUAAUUUAAGUGUAACCUAAGUAAAGAAAUGGGAAACUUAAAUUAUGUGGUGAAGCAUUACACUAGGUAAGGAAGUUCAUUUUGACUUAAAACUUUUAUAGGUUUUAUAAAAUAUGGUUUUAGGUGACACAACCGAACAUACUUUGAGUAUAUCCAUUAGCAUUAAUCCCAUCCCCAUCACCAUUCCUACCACAACACCUUUCUUUAUCCCUUCCUCUACCCUCAUCCCUCCUCCUAGACGACAUGGUUUUUGCCUAUCCCCACAGCUGUAUAGCGAAGACCAUUAGAUCCCUAAAGCAUAAUUUUAUAUGGUGUUAGUGAACCACAUUUUCCAUAUUACCAAAUUGUACACAAAUAUUACCCGACAACUUACAAAGCUGAUAGAAUAGUAUUGAAUAAAUAAACGUUGAAUUGUUAAAAUAUUAUAUUAGAGAACUUUCCAACAUAACUGAUACAUGGUAACUAUAAUAACGGAGAUGAAGAAAUCACUUAAAUUUCAUGCAUAAUAUAUAUAUAUACUAACUUAAAAGGUAUCUGGAAAUGAAAAUUUCAUAAAAUGAUUUUAGAUUAUAUAUAAACAAGGGAGUCAUUUGUACACACCAAUUCAAAUGUGCAAAAUAUCAGAAAAUGAAAUUUUACCCAUUUUGAUACCAACAUGCAUUCUAAUUUAUGUUCUCACAAUACAUUAAAAUUGCAUGACUAUAGAUUAUAAGUUCUUAUGGCACUCUACCAGAGAAGCCAAAACCUCUCAAAUAGUAUGUUGGCAACGAAAGAAUACAAAAAACAACAAAGAUAAGCAAGCAUGAUGAACCAUACCGAGAGUGGGAGUGAACUGGUAGCAGAACCAUCUAGGCCAUUACUAGCCAUUUUUAAUAUUAUAACUGCAUCAUUGGGCAUAGAAAAGUAGAAUGUUAUGCACAGCUAAACUGACCAACUGAAUAACUAGACAGCAAGUAUGGUACAAUACUAUGAAAGUUCAGCUAAGUGACAAGAAAAAUGCACGCAUCCAAUGAUGUGAGUAGGACAUACUUAAAAUAGGGAAGUGAAAGUAUACAUCAAGUUAAAGGAUACCACAUUGAAAGUGCAAUUUCAAAUUAAAUCAGUAAUGAAAGCAACUCCAAAUAAUAAAAAUUAAAAAGUAGUUCUAUAAAAAUAAAAAUAAAAGUAGUGCAUCGUGUCUAUAAUAAGGACAAUACAUAACAUCCAAAAGCAACAACCCCAUGACCAUAAAGAAAAUAAUGGAACAAUGAGGGAUCGUACACAAAAUGAAAACCUUACAAGCAAAGAAAUGAACAUGUCACGACAAUGGAUUAUUACAUUUAGAUCGAUUGUGACCUAUGCCAUUGCAUCGAGAGCAAUGAAUAGCUCUCUUAUGGCUAAAUUGUGACUCAAUAUGCCUUUGUCGGGGUCUUCCUGGAGGACGUCUCACUUGCGGGGGUUGGAGACUAGGAAAUAUGUUGCCUUGGCCAUCUUGCAAAGUCCCAGCCUUACAAACUUUAGGCAUAUUGUGUGUUGGUAAUGGUUGAAACUAACCCAAGUAAAUCAAAUGUUGGGUGGAGACUUUAAAACAUGGGUCGAUAUAGUCAUACACAUCAUGUCUCAAUGUGCGGAUCACAGCACAUACAUGUGGACAUGGCAACCCGAACAUUUGCCAUGUUAGACAUGUACACUUAUGUUGCUGCAUAUCCACAACCAAAUAAACAUCUCCAAUAAAAACCUGGAACGUCUCACCCAAAUAGGGCAUCACAAUAAUCGAAGCAGAUCUCGUGAUAUUUGACAUUAGCUUUUCCUCUGUUUUGGGUCCAACCAUGCUCUUCCACUUAUCUGUACCACGCAUAUGGGUGUCCAACAUGGCUACAAGCUUAUCCAUGUCCAUCAACAACAACGUAUAAAUUGUUUGGUGUCGUUCCUCUCUUAACCACGCAUUGAAGGACUCUGCAAUAUUAGUGGUCAUUUUAUCCCAACAUUUUUUAAGGAACUUUGACAUCGCCCAAUGCUCCAGACUAUUCUCCGUAACCCACCUUGCUAGGUCACCAUUAAAACGCACAAGUUUUUCAAAUGCCUCAUUGUAGUCUAUAUCCAACCGAGCAUAUGCAAUGUUGUCUAAAAGCAACAAAGCAUCUUCUUUCCCCUAAUGUUUUGCCUAUUGAAGAAGCUUGAAAAGUUCUCUUUCACAUGUCGAUAACAAUAGGCGUGAUUUUCUUCCUCAAACAACUUCGAAACACUAUGCAAUAUCCCUUGAUGUCUAUCUGAUAUAAUACUUACUUCUUGAUCAUCUAGGAUCUCCUUCAAUUUCUCCAAGAACCAAUACCAAUCCUCAUAAUUUUCUGAACCAACCACACCCAGGGCUAGAGGGAACAUUCCAUCAUCUGCAUCAUAUGCAAUGGCAGACAAAAGAGCUCCUUUGUAUGGACCACUUAGGUGGCAAGAAUCAAUAGCCAAUACCGGUCGACACCCCAUGGUGAACCCUUGAAUUGAAAAUGCAUGGGCAAUGAACAAUUGCUUGAAGUGACCUUCAUGAGAAGUGUACUCGGCAAUAGUUCCAGGGUUAAUUUCCCUUAGCCUAUGGCAUAACCAAGGCAAAAAUGCAUAGGGCGCAUGUGGAGAUCCAUAUAAAUGCUCUUUUGCCUUCUCUUUAAGAUGCCAUGCUUGGUUAUAAGUCAAUUGAACUCCAUGAUCACAUUCANNNNNNNNNNNNNNNNNNNNNNNNNNNNNNNNNNNNNNNNNNNNNNNNNNNNNNNNNNNNNNNNNNNNNNNNNNNNNNNNNNNNNNNNNNNNNNNNNNNNAGUCAAUUGAACUCCAUGAUCACAUUCAAAAUCCUUGCAAAUUUGUCGGGGAAGGUAUUCUGGAGUUGUUCUAAACACGUCUUCAACAACAACAACACCUCUCUUGGAAGAAACCCUCACCUUAGAUAAACACUCAUCUUGAGCUAUAUGAUUAUGAUUAACUUGGUAAGCAUAAACUCGCAAUAUUUCAUUUCCUUCAACAGCAUGAGCUGUUAUCUUCCAAGGACAACCCUCAACCGAACACUUUACUGACAUAUGAGUAGGUGAAUUUUUCUUGUACUUGUAUUGAAACCUUCCAGCUAAUGACAUUUGGUAUAUUGCAUUCCGAAACUCAUCUGCAUUCUUAAAUGUAUGUCCAAAACCUAAUAUUGCCUCACAAAACAGAUUCGAUUCCAAAGGAGUGUACUCACUAUCUGCAUAACGCGAUGCAAAACCUCUUGAUAACAUCAUAGUAUUAGGACUUGCAUUAUGAAGGAAACGUAGGAAGUGGACCUCUGCAUUUACAUUCAUAACCAAAAUUAGACUACAUAAUGCGUAAAAUUGAUAUUCAGAAAAUUUUAAAUAGACAUCCAAGUGAAAGCGCAUUACCCAAAUGCCAACUGUGUAUUCAGCAUAUUUGCCUCUAUGGCUUCCACAUCGGGUGAAUCUACUAUGUACACAUUUGCAAAGUCAUCACUGUGGGAAACCACAUUAUCCAAGUCAUCCUCAUCUUCUAAAUCUUGGAUGACUCUAGGGUUAAACUUAAGGGUGUAGUGCAUCCUCCUCACAUGAAGGGAAAUGUCGAAUUUUUCUAAGACCUUAUGAGUGAAUUCUUCAAAUGUCAUUCCUUUAUAAAUGUGAAUACCUUUGCUUCUUCCACCAACAUAUUCCCAAAGACCAUCAUUUUUUUGGACAAGUUUGCCUCCCACGAAAAUAUAACAGUAUAUUCUAUUUGUGGCAUCCAUCAACCUAUUGAAAUAAAGCACAAAUUUAUAUUGUUGAACAAACAAUAAUGCAUAUUCAAUGUGAUCUUAAAAGUUUUUUCAUCUCACAAUAUACUAUGUUCCCAUAAGAAAAAGUUAUAUUUUAAAAAAUGUAUAUACAAACAAAUGUAACUUUAAAGUCUUAAAAAAUAAUUUUUGUUGCUCCUUUUGAUUAUUCUAACCAUUGUCAACAGUAAGAUUAUUUUAAGAUAGGCACUAAUAAACAAACAGUGAGUUGAACUAAGAUAUGAAGACCGAGCUUCUCUCUUCUCUUGGACUAGUAAAUACUACCUAACCUAAACAAAACUAAAAAUAAUAAUAAAAAUAAAAAACAAAAAUGAGAAAUGUAAAACUGAAAUGGAAAUUAAAAGAUUGAAAUUAAUAGAUUAAAAAAAAUCAUUAAAUUAAAAACUAAGAAAGGCUAUAAAAGGAAAAAAAAUAUGAAAGAUUACAACUAAAAACUAUGUUACUUCUACUCCUACUUCUAAAAACAAAUCUCUAACUUAUUUUCCCUAUCAUUCCUCUUUACUUAUAUAUUCAUAGUUCACAUUUUUAUAAGCAAAAACCUCUCUCUCCAACUACUUUAGUGCUACCCAAUUUGACACUACUACUUACCUAUGCUAAUAAUCUAAUCGUGUCAGUACUUGGAACUUUAAGACAGAACAUCACAACAAUAUCUAGUAAAGUAGGAGGAUUUUGUGUCUGAUUCAACAUAAUACUCCAGAACAUAUAUAUAUACACCAAAAACAUUGAAAUUAUGGAACUAUAAGACAUUCAAUAGGAAAUAAUCCCCCACGUUUUAUUAAGCUCUGACCUAUACUUACACUAGGUAGAAAACAAAUUCUCAUUCUCACUCAAACCCUUAGACAAUUUCUGUUGGUACUACUAUAUCAAACAUACCUACAAACUUAUUCAAAGAGAAUGGAGAUAUUUAAAUAUUAAUUAUAAAGCGUCGCUUUGCAAAAUAAUAUGAAGAGAUAAUAGCCUAAAAAAUGUAACAAAUGCAGAAUUCUCUUCUAAACUAUCUGUCCUACUUUAGAUGAUUCAUACAAAACCAUAAACAAUAGUUUAACACGUUUAAGGUUUAAGAAUAAAAAACUAAUAGAUAAAAAGAGAUAAAUAUGUUACUUGUGCCUACAUCUCAAGCCAAGGCACCAUAAGAAAACUUUAGGGUUUUUAGGUUUUCCAUUUCCUCUUUCCAUUUUUCCUCUCCCGGUUUUCUAGCAACCAAUUAAACAAUUAUAAAUUAUUUUCAAGUAUAUAUGACAAUUUUUCACAAAUAUUUUUUUGAAUUUAAAAUAUACAAAUAGCAUGAAAAAAAAAUCUAAAAAAAAUUACAAAAAUAAAAUCAAAUCGAUUAAGCCAUGAAUCAUGAGUUGCAGGUAAAGUGCAUUUUCUGUAUUCUCAAGGCUUAAAGAAAAAAUUAUGGUUCAAAAUUUUUCCUUCUUUUUCUCAUUAUUUUCUCAGCAUCCGAAUAAUAGUAGCAAACCAAGAAGUCAAUUAUUGAAUGGGAACAGUAACUUGAGCUCUAGAGAUCAAGUUGAACAUAGUUUAGAGAUUUGGACUAAGAAAAUUUAGGUCGAGAUUUAGGCAAUCUACUAACCUCAAAUAUGCAACAAGAGACACCCAACUGAAAUCCAUACCUUAUUCAAAUUUUCGAGAGAGACAAAUGCGAGAAAAAAUGAAAGAGCCAUAGAGAUUGAGAUACAAGCGAUGGAGGUACUCGGGAGGAAGAGAAGAAAACGACUUCUAGGCUUGAAAUGCUGAAGAGAGAGCAAAAUUAGGGCAAAAUUUCAAAGAGCCACAGAGAUUGAUAGCAAGCGAUGGAAAAACUCGGGAGGAAGAGAAGAAAACGACUUCUAGGCAGAGAAGAAAACGGCUUAUAGGCUUGAAAUGCUGAACAGGGAGCAAAAUUAGGGCAAAAUUCCAAAGAGCCACAAAGAUUGAGAUGAAAGCGAUGGAGGAACUCGGGAGGAAGAGAAGAAAAUGGCUUCUAGGCUUGAAAGGCUGAAGAGAGACCAAAAUUAGGGCAAAAUUCCAACCUGGAUUUUUUUGUUUAUUAUUUUUUUUUUCAUAAUCAGCAAAGGUUAUUUUUGGAAUUAAUAAAAGUGCAUAUCCUUCUUUUUAAUUUUGACACUUCCUAUGGGUUUUCAGCUUAAAUGGGUCAGUUAGAUGGACAUUCUCUUAAUUUUUGGGCCUAGCUGGGCCCAAAACACAAUUCUCCCUACUUUUUAUACCAUUUAUUUAGAUUUUUUGCUCAAUAUUUGCAUAAGUUUUGAUCAAUUUUCAUCUCACCGAUAUUUUGUGGAAAAUAGAACAUCCAUGAAUGAUGGAAGUCCCUAUUUUGGAUCAGAAAAGCAUUAAACCAUGCUCUCUGAUAAUCCCAAUAAUUAAAAAACACUCCUUAAUCUCCUUUUUAUGCUGCUUAACUUCUUCAUGAAGUUCCUUAAUGCUGACAUCCUUGGGAGACUGCUGGUCAAACCUGUUAUAUAUAUAUAUAUAUAUCAAUGAUAACAUUUCAUUAAUUUCUUUCUAAAAUGGAUAAUAAAAAAUAGUUAAAAAAAAUUAAAAUGAUAAAACUAUUAUGAUUACAAAAAAUAUGUUCUUUAUAAAUAUUUUAUGAAACUAAAAAAAUAACCAUAAAAUUGUUUGUUACUGGCUAGAUCAUAUAUAUCACACAACUAUCUUUUCAAUAUAUAAAUCAACAACAUUUCAUUAAUUUUUUUCUAAAAUGGAUAACAAAAAGUAGUUAAAAAAAACAUUAAAUGUUAGAACUAUUAUGAUUAAAAAAAAUAUGUUCUCUAUAAAUAUUUUAUGAAAUUUUAAAAAUAAUCACAAAAUUGUUGUCACUGGCUGGAUCAUAUUUAUUGUAUAACCAUUUUGAAAAGAUUUCAUAUUCAUAAGAUAACAAUUAUUUUUGGAACAAAUUAUGUGGUAUUAUUAUCCACUAUAAUAAUAGCAGUGUUUUAGUGAGUAGUAAUUUUUGUAGAAAACAUUAUUUAUGAAAGUUUAUUUUUUUUAACAAGUAUAUUGCUUUUGUGACAAAGUAUAUUAGUUGAGCAUUUUCAAUGGUUUAAAUCCAUCACAAUAAUAUUGUUGCUGACAAGUAUUUGUUGUUGCAAUUACUAUCGGUAAAUAGUUACAUAUAAAUGAUGAACAAUUCAAUUUGUGAUGGAAUAUGUGUGUAAGAAAUUCGUGAUAGCUUAAAUCCAUCACAAAAGUAAAUAUAAGUGGAUUGACAAUACUUAAUUUUUUGGUAGUGCUUCCUUAACGAUGAUCUAGAAGAAGAGGUAGAUGGAAUUACCACUAGGUUUUGAUGCGACAAGGAAAGAUGAAAAGGUGUGUAAAUUGAAAAAAAUAUCUUUACAAGCUGAAGCAAUCACCAUGGGCUUGGUUUGAUCAAUUUACUAAGACCAUCAAACAAAUGAGGUACAAACAAGUUCAAGCAGACCAUACCUUGUUUUACAAACAUAAAGAUGGUAAGAUCAUUACUCUUAUUGUUUAUGUAGAUAAUAUUAUCCUUACAAGAGAUGACAAAUAGGAGAUGGAAGAUUUAAAGGAGAAAUUGGCAAUGGAAUUUGAGAUAAAAGACGUUGGAUCAAUGAGGUACUUUUUCGGCAUGAAAGUGGCUAAAAAUCAAAAAGGUAUAUUUAUUUCUCAAAGAAAGUAUACCUUGAAUCUUUCAAACAAAUUUGGAAUAAUGGGGUGCAAAUUAACCGGUUGAUACUCCAAAAGAUUGUUUUCUUAGUAUUUUAUAAAAAUAAGGGUGUUUGAUAAGUUGUUUUUUAUUUUUAUUUUUUAAGAAAUAAAAGAAAAUUUCUUGAAUAAGUUGUUUUUAAAAACUUUUUUUUAGUUUGAUUUUGUAAAAAAAUUUAAAAGUUCAAUUUAUUUUGUAUUAAUUAAAUUUAAUUCAAGUCUUAAAAAAAAAGGAAUAUAGUUUUUAAUUAUAAAUAAAUUUAAAAAUGAAAUCUGAAUUGUAAUAUAAAUAAAGAAAUUAUAAAUUAUAUUUUUUUGUUAAAAAAAUAAUUUUUCAUAUGUUAUAAAAAUAUGAAUAUGGACAUCUUCACAAAAACAUAAAUUUUUGUUGUUAAAAACGAACAAUAAUAAUUUAUUUGAAAAGCAAUAAAGUUUAAUAUUUUAAUACACAAACGAGCCAAGUUUUUUGCUAUAUGCACACAUUUAGUACUCAAUUGUGGAUAAAGUAUUUUGGAAUACUUUGAUUUAAUUAAAAAUUAAAUGGAUCAAUUUCUUGAGCUUUAAAUUAUUUUUAAAAAUUAUUAAACACACUAAUAAAUUCAAUAUAAAUUUUCAAAUAAUUUGAAAUUAUUUUCUCUAGUGAGAAAAUUUAUAAAAAUAUAAUUAUAUGCAAAAUAAAUAAAUAAUAGAGUUAUUGUGAACCAUUUUUUAUUCUUAAAUUCCUAAUAUUAAUUGGAUCAUAUUUGUUUUUCAAAAUAUUUAAAAAAAAUUAUUGUACUUAUUAAUGAAUCCAAUGCUUUUAAUCUUGUUUAAUUUGGAGUUUAUUUGUCUAAUGAAAAAAUAAAAUAAAAUAAAUUAUUUUAUGUAGAAAAGAAACAAUAGGGUCAUUGUAGACCAAUUUUUGUUAUAAGUGUAUGAAUUGGGUCAUUAUUUGAGUUUCAAAUUAUUUUAAAAAGUACAUACUAAACUUGAUCAUGAAUCCAACACACUAAGACUUGCUUGAUUUGAAGUUUACUUGCCUAGUAAAGAAUUUACAAAAAUAUGAUUAUAUGCGAAGAAUAAACUAACCAAGUCAUUCAAAAUGAAUUUUGGGGUAUGACUUUCUAAUAUUAUUGAGUUUCAUAACUUUCUACUCCUAAUUAAAUUGGUUUCUGAGUUUCAAAUUAUUUUUAAAUAUUAAUAAAUUUUACAUAUAAAGUAUAGUUUGAUUUUAAAUAUAUAUGCUUAAUAAAAAAUGUUAGAGAAGUUAAAGAAAAUGCAUAAAAACAUGUGUAAUUCAAAUAAAAAUAAUAUUUGGAGAUUUAUUUUAUUUGUAGUGGUAUUGACUAAUGGAGAGAGAGAGAGAAGAAGAAAUAUAUCAUAUUUAUUAUUAUUUUCUUUUUUAUUUUUAAUUUUUAUUUGUUUCCUUUCCUUUUUAAAAAAUUGGCUAAAACAACUUUUAUUUAUUCUUUAAAAAUGGUUUUUUUUUUAUGUCACUUUGUUUUUAAAAAUAGAAAAUAUAAAACAAUAGCUAGAUAGUGCAAUAAAUUUUAAUUUCAUUUUUAAAAAUAAAAAACUAUUUCUAAAUCAUCUCAUCAAAGAGGCUUUUAGUGUCUAUUAGCAUCAUUGAUCUUUAGAAUAUUUAAAAAAUGAAAUAAAAUUCUAUUUGAGAACUAAAACAAGAAAAAUAGUUAUUUUUAUUUUUAACUUAGUUUCUAUCAAAGGUAUGCCCCUGAUAAGUGUUGCAAUGAAAGAAAAUGAAAGGGAAGAGAUAAAUUUUUAGAAUAGUUUCAUGUUCUUUUUUGUUUAUAGUACUCUAAUAUUUUCAUAUAUAUACACUAUUUUGACAACGGUGAAAUAUUCCUUUUCUAACAAACAAAUAACACUCUAACAAACCUAACAGUUCCUUACUUAUCCUAUGCGCACAGUACCUAUCAUAAGGUUUCUUGAAGAAUUUGAAGAAAAAUAUGAAGAAUUUGAAGACAAAAUAUGGAGGAACACCUCAAUUCAUUCUGUGAUACCUCGCUUUACAAUGAAUGAAAGCAAAAAUAAAUAGCCUACGGAUAUGAGACAAUUCCGGAAUGGAAUUUCCCUUACAUGGAGAGUGAAUAAACUCUUACAUGGGAAGUGAAUAAACUACUCUUACAUGGAAAGUGAAUAAACUACCUUGCUAGAAUUACUCCUAAAUAUAUAAACUACUCUUACAUGGAAAGUGAAUAAACUACCUUGCUAGAAUUACUCCUAAAUCAAUUAUAAUAAAGGUUGUACAUUACACUAAUUAGGGAAGUAAACAGAGGAUGCUGGCUUGAUUUCCAACACUCCCCCUCAAGCCGCGUUGUAGAUGUUGAUCAUUCCAAGUUUUUCUGUCAGAUCUUCGAAGUUAACUCGAGCAAGAGCUUUUGUGAGAAUGUCAGCCGUUUGACAGUUUGUCGGAGUGUAGCUGACUUUGAAAACUCCUUCUUCAAUCUUUUCCUUGAUAAAGUGUCGAUCUAUCUCCACGUGCUUAGUUCGAUCAUGAUGAACCGGAUUCUUAGCGAUACUGAUGGCAGCUUGAUUGUCGCAGUAUAACACCAUGGGAUGCUUGAAAGCUUCCUGAAUAUUCUAAGGAACUUGUAUCUCUGUGAUGCUAAAAGUGAAUGCACGAAACGUAGGUGAUAGCUUAUCAUAAGAAAUAAAAUUUCCAAUGGGAUGCUGAGUGCAUGAUCUAACUUCUUUCCUCCAAGCUAUGGGCAUAUUAAGAAUAUCAUUUUCUAACUCGGAAUCAACAGUACCAUCAGGAGCAUUGUUACCUGGAAGUUUGCUUGGAUUAGGACCCGGUUCUGCCUCAUGGGUUUGUUGAGAAAGUGCUCUUUCCUCCGUUUCCUCUUGGAUGUGCUCCUUAUCCCACAAGUCAACAAUGGACUCGGGUUGAUUAAAUGACUCUGGAGGAAUGUGAUUUUCAGUGGUGAUGGGUGACUCACUGAAUGACUCAAGAUCCCAAAAUUGAUAUUCUUGAGUUGAAUUCUCCCCCUGAAUAUCGUUUUUGGGAUAGUAAGGCUGGGUUUCAAAAAAGGUGACAUCCAUUGAAUUGUAGAAUUUUCUUGUGACCGGAGAGUAACACUUAUACCCUUUUUGAUUUGAAGAAUACCCAAGAAAGAUGCACUUGAGUGACCUAGAAUCAAGUUUACUUCUAUGUUGUUGAUUGAUAUGAACAAAGACAGAGCACCCGAAAAUUUUGGGUGGGACGGUGGAGAUGAGACGAGUAGUCGGAAAGGAUUUUAGGAGUGUUUGACAAGGUGUUUGGAAUUUUAGUACCCUAGACGGCAUCUUAUUGAUGAGGUAGGCUGCCGUAAGGACAGCUUGCCCCCAGAAUAAUUUUGGAACAUUCAUGGAGAACAUUAGUGAUCUAGCCACCUCUAACAAAUGCCUAUUUUUCCUUUCAGCGAUUCCGUUUUGUUGUGGGGUAUCAACACAUGAACUUAAGUGAACUAUCCCUUCUUGUGCUAGAAAUUCUCCUAGAAUGGAGUUGAAAUAAUCCCUAGCAUUAUCAGACUUUAGAAUUUGUAUUUUUGACUGGAAUUGGGUCUGAAUCAUAUUUUUAAAAUUUUUGAAAAUUUGACUCGUUUCAGAUUUUUCUUUCAUGAGGAAUACCCAAGUUAAUCUAGUGUGAUCAUCUAUGAAUGAGACAAACCACCUAGUACCAGUUACAUUUUUUAUUCUUGACGGACCCCAGAUAUCGCUAUGAAUCAUUGAGAAUGGACUAGACUCUUUAUAGGGUUGAAUGGGAAAGUGAGACUGGACUUGCUUUGAUAAUUGACAGAUUUCACACUCAAAGGAUUUUGGAUUUUUAUUAAAUAAUGAAGGAAAUAAAUGCUUGAGAUACAUAACAUUUGGAUGACCUAAGCGAUAGUGCCACAACCUAAUUGCACUAUCGUUAUUUUGACAUGAAACCGAAAAAGAAUUACUACCAACUGUCAUUUGAGGUUGUUCUUGUGGAUCAUGGCGCUCCUUAAGGAUGUAGAGUCCAGAGCAUUCCUCAGCAUUGCCAAUCGUCUUCCCGGAAUCCAAAUCCUGAAAUUCACAGUGAGUGGAGGAAAAAUUAGUAAUACACCUCUUUUCCUUAGUGAGUUUACUAAUUGACAAUAGAUUACAGUCCAAGUUAGGAACAAGGAGAACAGAGUUGAGAGUAAGAUCCCUUGAUAGUACAACUGAACCUGUUCCGGCAACCUUUGAUAGUGAACCAUCUGCUAUUCGGACUGUUAAAUUAUUUGGACAUGAGCUAUAUGUAUCAAAAAUUGUCGCAUCUCCCGUCAUAUAAUCAGAUGCUCCUGAGUCCACUAUCUAAGGUUUUUUACGUUUCUUACCAGCAGUGAAGGCACUCAAAAAAUUACCUUUGUGAGCCAAGGUUCCGGAACCAAUGACCUGGUUGGAAGAUGAGCCAGUUUGUGACUGUACUGACAAAAGAGGAGACAGUAGUUUCUGAAGCAUCUCCAUUUGCUCCUUAUUAAAAGGGCUAGCUUCAGGUUGUGGUGAUUGUUCAUCGGUAGCCACAUGAUUGCCUCGUCCUUCUUUCUCAAGUGGUUGACGUGGCUUCCAAUCUACUGGCUUUCCAUGAAUCUUCCAGCAAGUUUCUCUUGAGUGUCCCGGCUUUCUGCAAUGAUCACACCAAGGUCUACCUCCUUUAAUUUUUUGACGGUUGUCAAAAGGAGCGAAUUGAGUCUUAAGAGCCGAGCUUUCUGCCAUAUUCAGUUGUUGAUGGGAUCCCAUCAUGAGAUUUUUCCGACUUUCUUCGCGACGGACUUCAGAGAAUGCCUCUCUGAGGCUAGGUAGGGGUUUUACUCCCAUGAUUCUUCCUCUGAUUUCAUCAAGAUUUUUGUUCAAACCUAACAAAAAUUUAAACACACGUUUCCCUUCGACAAUCUUUUUAUACAAAAAACCAUCUGUAACACAAUUCCAGUUAUGAACCUCAAACGUAUCAAGUUGACGUCAUAGACGAGUAAGAGUAUUGAAAUAUUCAGUUACCAUAAGGUUCCCUUGACGCAAAUCGUGGAGGAUGCCUUCAAUCUGGAUGAUUUCAGAUGUGUUUUCCUUGUCUGAGAAAGUUUCUUUUGCAGUGUCCCAGAUUUCUUUGGCAGUAUCAAAUGACAGAAAAUUUUCACCAAUGUCAGCGGUCAUAGAGUUGACUAGCCAGGACAUGACCAUAUUAUUUUCUGCUAUCCACUUUUUGUAGGUUGAUGUUGUGGUUUCUGGUGCCGCCGAAGCUCCGGUGAUGUAGUCAUCUUUCUCCUUUCCCCGUAUAAACAUUAAUAUGGACUGAGACCAUUGCAAAUAAUUUUUCCCAUUCAGUUUAUGGGCUGUGAUUGGAAGAUGAGAGGUUUCCAUCUGAUGAGAGGAUGAAGAUGAUGAGAUGAUGAUAUCAGAAGUAGAGGAUGAUGAAUUGGUAGCCAUUCCAAAGGCUGGACAGUAUUUAGGCAUAAAUUAGAAGAAUAGAAUUGAGUAAAAAAAACUGACUAAAGAUGAAGACGAUGAGACAGGAUUAAACCUACUCUGAUACCAUGAAGAAUUUGAAGAAAAAUAUGAAGAAUUUGAAGACAAAAUAUGGAGGAACACCUCAAUUCAUUCUGUGAUACCUCGCUUUACAAUGAAUGAAAGCAUAAAUAAAUAGCCUACGGAUAUGAAACAAUUCCGGAAUGGAAUUUCCCUUACAUGGAAAGUGAAUAAACUCCCUUGCUAGAAUUACUCCUAAAUCAAUUAUAAUAAAGGCUGUAUAUUACACUAAUUAGGGAAGUAAACAGAUGAUGCUGGCUUGAUUUCCAACAUUUCUUGAAGUGGGUUUCACGUGAGGUUAUUGUUGCAUGUAAUCUUCAGUUAAAGAAGCUGCAGGCAUUCCAUUAACAUGCCCAUUCAAGUUGAACAUGGACUUCUCUGAAACGUUUGCUGAAGAACCAUUAUUGACUUUGUCUUGCAUGGAUAUGUUAUGCCCUUGCAAAUGUGAAAGAGAGGUUAUGUGAAGCUUGUUGCGAAGAUGCUAGAAGCGCUAGACAAGGAGUGGUUUAGUAAAUAUGUCUGCCACUUGCUCAAAACUUUCACGAAUGAAAUGAACAUUGAGCUCAAAAUGUUUUGUACGAGCAUGAAAUACAGGAUUGUUGCCAAGGGCGAUAGAACCUUGGUUAUCACACCACAUUACUGGAGGAUGUGGUGGAGAAAAAUGGAGCUCUUGAAAUAGGGACUGAACCCAAGUGGGUUCUGCUAUUGUAGUUAUAAGACAGCGGUAUUGUCAUGCCCCAGAUUCUGGGCAACCUAAAAUUUAACUCGUGACCUUAGGUCAAAGGUUUGACCCUAAGGGUUACACUUAUCCAAGAUGGCAAUUAGUCCUAAUUAUCUGAUUUUUUUUUCAACAAAACAACAUCUAACCCUAAACAUUAAAAACACCCUUCAACUAGUCAAUUGUAUGCCACCUAAUGUAUGUCUGAUUUUCUCUUAUUUUCUUUUAGUUAUGCUUACAACUAUUUUCUAUGAUCUUGAGAUCCUCUAUAAGCAUCUUGGAUGUGAGAACAAGGUUUGAGUUGAACCAAAAAACUAUGGUUUCAUGGAGGUCUUAGGUGUUGUCCCAUUUCGACCAAUAAUUUUUUUUGAAUUAGUUAAAGGGUUUAGAGAUACUCAAAUGAAUGAAACGAAAUUUGUUGGAUUUUUAACUUCUUGAAGUUAAAUAUGACCAAAUUUAAUAAUUUGUAGAUGUCAUUUGCCCAUGGAAACAACUAGAGAAAGAGAGAUAAAGCUCUUAGAAAAAAAAUGGUGCCACAUCUUCACCUGGUGCCAUUUUUCAUCGUUAGCAAGCUAGAAUUAGCUGAAGGUAUAUGGUGUCACAAUGGUGCCAUAUCUUAUAGUGGACGCACUUAUGGCAUUAGUGCCACCAAUUUCCCCUGAAAGUGAAGAACGAGCUAGGCCCAUACUCCAAGCAAUCAUUAGGUAUUCCACUUACCAUUUGGAUGCAUCAACGUGACAAAACACUUAGAGCAUGGUUUGAGAGCCUAUAAAAGAGAGGAAUGGCAACUGUCAUUUUGUUCUUGGUUUUUGGUAUUGUACUAUUAGACUUUUGGAAAACGAGAUCUUGGAGGCAUUUGGAAUUUAGGUUUCUUUCUAUUUUUCUUCUUUUGUUUGGAUUAUUUUCUUCAUUUUGAACUUGUUUUCCUUAUAUUUUCAUUGUCAUUAGAUCAAUGCAUUAAUUGAUUUGAGAUUUGAGUUUUUAAUGUUCGAUUUCGUAUAUUUUGUUUUAUUCCUUCAGUUUAAUUUUGUUUUAAUUUCUUUUGAGAAGUUUAGUAGGUUGAGGAAAGGGGACACUAGGCAUCCUCUUCCAUAAUUGGAAUGAUCUUGUGAUUAUUAGGUAUUAAUAUAUUUAUUCAACGUAUUAUUCGGAUUCCUUCAAUCUUGUGAAGUCAUCAUAUCUCAAUGUUUGGGAAUUAAAGUGGUGCACCUUUUUUACUUGAAUUGACCAUUAUUGAGUCCUUAACGUUUCAAUUUGGCAAACAAAAUAGGUAAUGAGAAUUUUGAAUGUUCUACAAAGAAAUCCAAUUAGUGAGUUGAGAUUUUCAAUUCAAUUUAAGUGUGCUUUUGUUGAAAAUAAUCCAACUUAAAAAACUUGUAGGUGUCUUAGAUUUUUAUUGUAAUUAAGAAUCGUUCAAUGGUAUGAAGGGAACCUAAAGGAUCCCUAUCUCCUUUAUAUUUUGUUACAUUUGGUUAAGACAAUUUAAAUUCCCCUGUUUUCUUAAAACAAAAAAUUCACAAACCUUCUUGCUCAAAUCAAAUUGAAAGAAAGAUUUUUCCACAAAAUCUAGCUUUCACUAUCUAGAUUCUUCUACCUUACCUACAUUCCAAGAUCAUCUCCACGAGGUUCGAUACCUUGACUCAUCGGGAUUUUGAAGUUAUAACUGAAGAACCACCUAUUUAUUCAUAGACAUUGGGGAUUUGUCAGAUGAUGACGAGGCAAAGAAGUAGUGUCUAACUUUAAUACCUUGGGAAUAAAUUGGUAGCACAAACGAUGGAAGUAAAACAAAGCAAAAGAAGAAAUUAGGAGCAUAACUGAUGGAAGCAGGAGGAAGAAGAUGAAAGAAGAAAAUGGUGCUUGGAGAUGUUAAGAAGUAGGAGUGACCAUUGUGUAGUGGUUACCAAAUCUCUUAGAAUCUAUAUCCACCAUAGAACCACUACUUUUUUUUUUCUUGAUUUUCUUGUUUGUAAUUUCUCCAUAGAGGAAAAUUAGGGAGGGGAGAGGGGUAGUUGCAGGGACCCCAAACCAAGCAUCCCGCAAUCAUUGUCUACGAUUAUUAGUGAUGUAUUGCAUGAUUAAGAAACUACAAUGGUCAAACUUGCCAAACGAGUGAAAGCUAAAACACUAUAAAAAUCUAAUUUUAGUAGGUCAAGGUAUGUACAGUGAAUUCUAAGAUCUUUAUUCACUCUCAUGAUAUUAUCUAUUGAACCCAAUCCUUGCCUGUGAUUAAUUUAAUCGUCGAGGAGAGAUCAACCAAAGAUUAGGCUCUCUCCACUCUAGCUAUCUUCUACUUUGUUGUAGAGGAAGGUCAAGAGAAAACAUGAACCUUCCACAUUUCAAAGGGUGAAACAUUAACCCAAAAUCUCAAGAGUACCAAAUUUUGUUAUUAGGACAAAAAAAAUUACCAUAAGCUCAUGCUAAAAGAAAUAACCCUUUUAGGGGGGCAGACAAUACCAUGUUAAAGUCUUUUAUACACUACUACAAAAAAUGUAUUCAAUGACGUUCAUUUUCUUGACGCUUGUAAAAAAUGUCAAGGAAUUGUAUUAAUCAUGGCACUUAUAGAAAUUUGGAUAACAAGGACGCUUCUUAAAUAAAUAUAUUGACGAUUACGAAAUUUACCUAAAUAUUGGCGCUUCUUCAAAGGUAAUAUUGCCGCUUUAAAUAAGAUGAUGCUUUUUUGGAGUGUCAUUGUCUACUAGAGUAAAAUUUGCCAACCUUAACACUUGUAAUAAAUGUCAUUAUCUCUAUGCCUAUAUAUACACUUCUAUUUUCCCAAUCUACUAAGAACCCUAGCCUUGCAAUCUACUAACAACAGCCACAACAAAGACGAUUGACGAACUCAAUGGUAACCAGUAGACACCCAUCUGUAGCCUCAUCGGGGACAACAACAACCAGUUGGAACGCUCCUUCUCCUAUCAAGUCGAUAACCUCAAUAACCUCAACUAGGUAUUGUGAUGAUUUUUCACCAGAAAACAACUACCACAGACAACCUUCAUCAUUGGAGAAAUCUAGAACAAAAAGAGCCUAACCCUUUUUCAUAGAUGAUCUCUAGUAGUGAGAUGCCCUAAUUGAUUUGCCGCCACUAAGAUAUUGGGAACUCCUACAAAUAAUCAGCACAAGUAAAUCCCUUUUUUGAAGGUAGAGCUUCCAUAAUUUUUUUUUUUUUUUUGAUGGAGUCACAACCUUUGCGAUUUCGCACUCGAUAAAUCAAAGACUCUACUGCUUGGUUCUUUUAAUUUAUCCUUUUCAUUUCUUUAUUCUUUUGUGGUUUUGCGUUAAUGUUUUCAUUUAUUGUUAAGAAAUCCAAGUAAAAUUAGGAAGAUAUAAUUUGGAAUUGCAAUCUUCCCAAAUCAACCCCAAUCCCCUGUUUUGGUUGUAUUUGAGGCUCCAUUACUAUUAUUAUUAUUAUUAUUUUGAAAAAAGAAUUCAACUUUAGUGUUUUGUUGAGCAGUAGAUGACAUUUAUCUUGCUAUGACUUUUAAUAAUUUCUGGGGAGCAAGCAGAAGCCUAUUCUUAAGAACAACCAUUUUCUUGACCAUCAUAUUAAACACUUGUCUUUGCAAAUCAACAACACUCCUGAUUGUCGCCAAGUUCCUCUUUUUUUUUUCUUUUUUUUCUUACUACUCCUCCACUAUUUGAAUAUUGGUUGCAUCUAACCCCGAUAUAUGUAUCUAUAUGUGUUAUAUCAUUAUUUUUAAUUUAUUUUUAUUUCUUCUUUUUUGGUUUAUAUUCCAUGUUUAUUUCUGAUGCUAAUGCCAGGUAGUCUAGUCGGUACAUGUUGGGCAUUUUUUUAAAAAUCCAAAAACAGAUUGAUUGGAUUCUGAAAAAAAAUAAGAGAGUCAAAAAAUCAAAAGACAAUAGACUACAUUUAUGGUGAUUAAGGCCAAAGAAUGAAUUUAGACAGGUUAUCAAUGACAAUGGAUCUCAGAGAGCAAACUGGUUUCAUACUAUGAUGUGAGAAAUUCUAAAACUAUCUUACUAAUUCAAGAAGAAAACAAAUAGCACAUAUAUAUGUGGUUACAUAAUCCUAUUUAUGAAAUUCAAAAUUUAAUUGGAAACUGACUCUAUCAUUGGAAAGUAACUCUAACCAUCCCUAUAAAUUAGGAACACUCCUAAUAUAUAUAAAUUUUGACUUAUCAUAACUGUACCAUAAUUUCCUAAACUUAAGGACUCUCUAUCUUUCUUUACCCUUUGUCAUCCUUUCAAGGAUCAGCACACAUGGUAGAGAAAAGGUGACCUUAUAUUGGCUUUCCAAAAGAUGGCAUGGAACAAAAAUAAAAGCGACUAAGAUGGUUGAGGAUAUUUGACAUGAGAAACUGAAAUACAAGUAAGAGUGUGCCUGUGAGUGUCAGGGCACAUGGUAGAAAAGAUGUGCCCUUUUACUGUUUCUCCAUUUAACUUAAAGGUUACACUAAACAAAAACAAUAAGUUUAGGAUAUCUGACACAAGCUACCAAUUUGGAAAAAAAAGGAAAUGGAAGUAGGAGAGUGCAUGUGAGUGUCACAUAGAUGGAAAGAGAGAGAGAGAGAGAGCAACUAACAAUUGAAAUUGCUAAAUUUGGUGAGAAAAAACUUUGAUAAUUCUGGUGACAAAAUGAGAUCAGAGAUAUAGAGAGCAUCUCCUGUUUCUUCUGUUUCUUAUUUCCUUCAAUCAUUGGCAAAUGGCACUCAUGAUUAAAAUCUAAAAAUUCUUUCCAAGACUUAAAGAACCAGAUGCUUUUUUAACUGCUCACUGCUUUAUUGAACACAAAUGAAAAAGGAGUAGCAGUAUCCAGAACAGGGAAUCCAGCCAAAAAAGUGGAAGAAUUUUAUAUAAUACUAACUAUAUAAGUUUCAGACCUUUAAAGGAUCCUGGUAAGGGUUCCUUAUUCCAUAAUAUUUAUGUAACACAUUUUAUGCAAGAUAGGUUUCAUCUUUGCCAGUUGAUAAUUUUCAUCUACUUAUUUAUUUAUUUAUAAUAGGGAAUACUUAUCUAAAUAAUUCUUUUUUUCUAAAAGGCAUGCUCAAUAUUUAUUUUUUAUUUGGAUAUGUGAUCUUAGAAAAUCGGAGUUAUGGCUUAGGCCUUUGUCUCUAUAUUGAAGUAAAUUAAUGAAUGGAUAAAAACAUUGUCUCUGAACUAUUAUCAUGCUCCCUAAAGGCCAAGGUAAAAUGCUAGAAAAUAUUGGUCAAGAUGGCCAAUUACUUAAACUGUUAUUUUGAAAACCUUUCUCUAGACUGCAAUAGUCCCUCAACUGCUGGCUGGCACCAUCUAUUAUUAAUCAGGAAAAGGAACUCAUGAGUGAGAUGAAAAAACAUUAUCCACUACUUUACUACUUUCUGUAAAUCAUGUUGAAAAUAUUAGUGGAAUCCUUCAAGUCAGAAUCCUCCUAGGUAUGUUUUUAUUUGUUUUUUUUUUUUUUUUUUUGCUUCUUACUGUUUUAUUUUAAAUUUUAUAUGUUGGGUGAUAUCUUAUUUUCUAGGAUCAUUAUUUGCUUCUCUAUAGGGUCAGAAGUUUUCGAUUCAAGGUCUUUUGGGAAAAGAAAUCUGCUCUAGUUCUUUUAUUAAUGGAACCUUGUUGAUAUCCCAUUUAUCACCAUAGGUUUUUGGUACAACUUGUCUUUAUUGCUUUGUAGGAUAAAGACUUUUCAUAUUAUAUGGUUCAAUUAUUGAAUUCCAAAUUGUUGUAGGAUUACCAUCACUUUCAUUUUCCAGUUUCUGGAACCAUUGAGCAUUUUGUUGACGUACCAAGAUGCUUAUAUACAGUAUGUGCAAUUAAUAUAUGUUGAAAUUCAUGUUUGUUUUGCAAACUGUUUUUUAUUUCUUUAGAACUUCUUCUGAUCUUUUACUUCAUUUCUUUCUACUAGGUUUAUCCCAUUGUUGUGAAUAGCAAGUAUUGCAAUGUAUUCACAGAAAACAAGCAAGCAGUAUCUAUUGUUUCAACAUCUGAUUUUGGGAAGGUCUGUGGUUUCAAUCAUUUGAUGUUGCUUAAUUCACAUUUCUUGAAUUUUAUCUGUCUUUAUGUGACAAUAAAACAAGCUCCAACCUUUUCUUUUUAAAAAAUUGUAGUUCUUUAAGCUCAACUCUCUUUUAACUUGUUUUCCAUAGAAACAUGGAUAGUGAUUCUUUGUAGCUGGAAAGACCUUGAUGGGGGAUCAUUGGUCUUUCUAAAUUUAUGAUUUUUUUUCCAUAUCUUUUCCAUUUGUUCUCUAUAUAAUUUUAAUGUUCCCUGGAUAUAUUCAAUUAUUAGUUUUAAGGUGUGAAUAUAAUCUAAGAAUGUACCAAAUCUCAUAUCUAUAAAUUAAUUAACCUAAUCAAACAAAUAUAAUGAUCAUGAAAGUAAGGAAAAUAAGGAGGUAGUAUAGAUCAAUGCCAUCAUUUGUGAUAACCUCAGAAAGGCGUAUCUAGAACAAUGUUAUUAAAAGCAAAAUGCGAUGUCACGAUAAUAGGACUCCUUUUAGCAUAAGUCAAAAGGCGAAAAACAAGGUCAUAGUAAGACAAUGAAGAAUAUAAAUAUAUGUACCUAUUUCAUUCUUAACCAUUAUAAGUAUCAUCUUUUUUUAUAUUAGAAAUAAAAUAAAAAUUAUAUUAAUAAUAGUAAAGAUACAAGAGAAGAAUGAGAGGUCCUGCCCUAAAAAUACAGAAUCUAAUCAAAGUAAGAAGACACCCCUUUAUACAGAACAAACUAUACACAAAGGAUGUUCAUAGCUUUUUGUGUCCCAAAUUUUUAAAUAUCAAAUGUUUUUCUUAUUUUCUUUUGUUUCUUAGGGAAAAUUAUGCAAUCUUCUCUAGGAAACACUAACAUGACUAAAGCACCUACUAUUUUAUGAAAGACUUCACAACUUUUAAGGUUAUAUUUGGUUCCUGAAAAAUUUAGGGAAAAAUGCGAAGAAAAGAAAAUAGAGAGGAAAAGUAAAAGGAAAGAAAAAGUGAAAGAAAAUAAAAAAUAGGUUUAAGUUCAAUAAAUUGUUUUUAUAUGCUUCUUCAAACUCAUUUCACUUAUUUCCAUUCAUUAUAUAAAUAUGAAAUAUUUUAAAAAUACAUAAAUUUUAACUAAUUCUAAUUAUAUUUGAUGUUCUUUUGUAUUUUCCAUAGUGAAAUUAAAUAUGAGAAAACCAUUUUCCUUAACUUUUUUUUCUUUCCUUAAUACUUUACAAGAAUUAAACGUAAUCUAAAGGUGCUGCCUUAACACAAGUCAACAAGGUCUUUACUUCGAGAUUUUCUUUUUAAGAUUUAUUUGCAUUCAUGAGUAUUUGGUGCUUGUGAGAAGAUUGUUUACUUGUAAAGUUAGCAUGCCCCUGUACAUUAUUUAAUUCCAAGAAAAAGAUUUGAUUUGAAAACACAUGAGCUUACACUAGUUUCAACUUAUCAAUAGUUAGAGAGAUGUAAAACUCGAACUAGUUUUACCUUGUCAAGAAUCAAAUAGAUGCAACUUAAAAUAUCAUUCUGAGGAAAAAAGGGAUAUCACUUUAUAUGGCUACUUUUAGCUAUUCUAGUCAAAUAAAACAAGUGUAAAAAAACAAUGGCCAGUAUUAAUUAAUUAGAUGAGAACAUUGUGGCAGAGCAGAAAUGUGAGCAAGACUUAAUUUUGUGGUAUUUUUCAGCAAUACAAGCUUUGACUUUCUAUCUUUUGUUCCUGUUGUUUUGUAGGUAGUGGAAGAAUCUGUUUAGAGUGUCAACCUAUUUCAUGGAGGCGUUGGUGACAGAGCAGGCUAGAAAAUACAAUGGAAGGAUGAAGAAGAGUCUUCGUGUUGCCAUUUCAUUGAUUGGAGAUUCCAAAAUAUGUAUUAACCUCUAUACCAUCUAUGAUUUGAUCUUGCUAUGUAAAUUCUUUUGAAAUAUUUCAUUUCUCCCUUAUACUUUUUGUGGUAUGAUUCUUGGAAUUUUUGUAAGGUUGAUUACAUGGAUGAGCCAAGUACAAAUUAGAUCCAACUUCAAGAGACGACUUAUGGAAUGUUGUCAAGCAUGUAAAGCAAGGUCGAGCCGAGCAAUAAUUCUAACAACUACUCUCUCUCUUUCUCUCUUAUUAUAUUUGGACUUGCAUCAAUAAGGAGUACACCCUAGCUACAUAUGGUCCUAUCCUUAUAUUUAGUUCUGCUCUUGGUCCUUGUUAUUGGCAUAUUUUUAGGAGUUGAAGACUUGAAUUAGUUUAGAAGUCAAACUUUGUAUUUUAGGAGAUGUAAAUUAGUUUUUUGAUUUCUUGAGAUUUCGAUCUAUAGGAGUCCUUUUUUCUGCCCUUCUUUACCAAAUGUACACAUAUAGAUACACUUUUUCUAAGCAAUAUAGAUAUACUUUUUCUCUGCAAUUCCUUUCAUGGUAUUAGACCUUGCCAACUAGAGCUCCUCUUUUCUUUUUACAUUUAGUAUACAUGAGAAAUAGCAAUUAAAAAAAAUGAAUUCCGGUUUCGCACUUUAUGUGUUUGUAUUAUAGACAUUCUUAAGGUAAAGUUCCUUAAGCUUUAUUUUUUUGUAAUGUAUUGCAUGAUAGGUUGAUGUUUGAAUCUCUAUUUAGCUUCAUAGAUAACCUGAAUUUGUUAUUAAAUUUUUAUGCAAUCAUAUCUUUGCCAUAUAGUUGUCACUUUGGAUCGCUCACAUAAUUCUAGAUAUUUUCCCAAAUAUGCCUAAUAAAUAUGUUUUAUUUUAAAAAGUAAUCAUAAUCUUUUUAAAAUAUGAAAUAUGAGCUUUCAUUAAAAAAUAUUCAUCAUUAGAAGAUGUUUAUCUACUAUUAAGUUGUAGAUAUUCUUCUCUACAUUUUUUAUGCAUGCCAAUUUAUUUAUUAUUAAGUUGUGGAAUUCAUAUAGUUGUUGCUAGCCUUGAUAGUGAUAAAUAAGAUGAAUGUUAUGUAUGAUACAAUUGGCUACUAUUUUGGAUGCAAUGUUGCAAUGUAUAUCAGAUGGUGGGAAAUAUUAAUUCUUUUAACUUAACAAAAAACUUAGUUGAUAAAGUAUCAUGGUGUGAACCUUAUUUAUUUCAUGUCACACCAUAUUCCCAAACCUUCAUUUGUCAAUGUUGUGCAUUCGAUGAGGUCUAUUACUAUUAGAUGAUGCCUAAUUGAAUAUUUUAAUGGACUAUUAAUGUUGAUAUUCUCUUGUCCCAAACUUGGUGUGUUUUUCUACUUUCUUUUGGGCUAUACUAAAGAUUUAAUGAAUUAUUGAUGUCGAUGUUCUCUUGUCCAGUAUUUGAUUAAUCUCGUGCUUUGUGUUUUAACUAUUGAUAGUAAUUUUGUUGUAAUUAUUCUUAGGGUCACAUAUGUCAAUUGAUAUACACAUUUGUUUUCCUAUUAUAUUUUCAUUGUCAUUUCUUUCUCUCUAUUUCUAAAAGUAUUCAUUUAUAUAUCUUUUUUUGAAAUUGUAAUUGAUUUUAGUUUUUUGUGCAUGUAGGUCAUCUUUUUGGGAAAUUAACCUUGUAGUUGGAUAAGCUAGCAAGAAGAAGUAUUGAUUACUACUCAAAAAGUACUAUUUUAUAGCUUGAAACUAACUAUUUUAAACACUUUUGAGUAGUAGUUAAUACAUUUUAACUCAAUUGGCACAUUAAGGAACCUAGCAAGGGUUACUAAUCAGUUUUUGGCAAGUUUUGGUGUUUUUGGUAGCUCAAAUCCAUGGCAAUGCAAGUUGAAGUUCAAAUACAUGAAGAAUCCGAGCUUUGGAGCACUUUAUAGCCUUUUUCCAAGCUUGGCAAUAGGUUACCAAGCCAAUCAUAGAUGCAAGGAAGAAAACCAGAGGAAGAAAUCCAACAACCAGCAUUUUCUCAUGGCUGUGCAAAAUUUCGCACACCAUGUGAAACCACAAGAGGCAGCCAAAGAAUUUCAUACACCAUGCGAAAUUUCGUAUAGUAUGCAAAAUCUUCCUAUGCACCGACUCCGUUAGAUUUUUAUCUCCAAAUAUUUUGUGUAAUUUCCUAUUUUCUCCUUGUAAUCAACCUAGAUAUUUUCUUUUAUAUCUUUUGCUAACAUCUUUUGUAGAGAAACACACACAUAGAUGGGUGGAAUUCAUUGAACACUUGUAAAUUCCCAUAGUAAUAAAUAUACAGAGCUUUUGCUCUGCCUUUCCUUCUCAUUUUGUUUUCACUUUUCUUUCUAGCCAAACAACCUCUGAGGAUGAUUUCUCAGGGGAUGAGUGGCUAGGUUUUAUGUUUCUUAGAGUGAUGGAAGCUAGGUGAAGGACCCACAUAUAAAGGUGGGAGUUGUCCUUGCUUUAAAUGAAAGUAGUUGUUAACCAUUAAUGGUUUUUAUUUCAAGGUUUAGCUUUAAAUCCCUUAAAAGCACCUUGAAUGGCCAAUACUUGGUAAGCUUUUUGGAUUCUAUGGAUGCUUAUUGCUAGAUCCAUGGAUGUCUAUUAGUUAUCAUUUACGAACCAUUGGAAGGUGGUUGAAGGUGAGGGUCUUUAGUGUUUGAAGCCAUUAAUGGGAAGCAACUAUCUUUUUUCAUGAACCCUUUGGAUCAAAUCUUAAUCACUAAAUAUAAAACCGGUUCGGGAGAUAACCAUCCUUUAUGUUAUUAUCCCCAACGUGAGAAGAAGAUCCGAAAUCUCCCUCUUUGCCUAAGGAACCCGAUCCUAGUGACCUAAAACUUCAAGAGACCUUUUCUUUGUAGUUAACUUCACUUAUUAUUUUUGCUUAACUUAAAAUUAAUCUUUGCAACCACAAUUCCAUUUUCUUUAAAAGCUAAUUUUCAUAAGGAAAAGCACCAUUUUAUUUCCUUCACUAAAGUCAACUGUACGAUGAAAACCCAUCCCUAUGGACGAUCCUAGAGCCACUAUACUAUGUUAACUAUGCUACCCUAGUGUAAGGUGAUUUAGGUUUUAUAAAUUUUGUUGAUAACACCUGUCUGAGCCAUAAUCAAAUGGCAGGACUGCAAUGGGGACGAAUCAAGUGGCGUCGUUGACCGGGAUGGUGCCAAAAUACAUUGAAAUGACUUUUGGUGAACACUUGUGAUCUUCAUCACAAGUUUGGUGAUUUUUCUUUUACUAAUUCUUUUUCUUUGUCUAUAUUUUGGCUUAUCUUUUAUUUAGUUUUUAGCUAACCUUAACUUUUUCCUAGAAUUGUAUUUCUUUUGUUUUUUUUUUUUUUUUUUUUGUUUCAGUGAUCUUUAGUUGUGCAUGCCCUAUUGGAUAAGAGAUAUUGAGGGAAGACUUGUGAAGAUUGAAAAUCCUCAAGAAACUGAGCUGGAAGUGUGCUUGAACAUCAUGGAUAUUCCACCUAAAGACUAGAAUAGCCAACACGGUCAAGAGGAUAAUUUCAAUGCAUAUCAAUCCAUGAGGGACCGCAUGCAUCUGCCUCGUAUGAGUGCACCUUCAUGCAUAGUGCCUCCCACUGAGUAGCUAGUAAUCUGACCUCACAUUGUGCCACUCCUACCUACUUUCCAUGGGAUGGAAAGUGAGAAUCCCUACUCGCAUAUUAAGGAAUUUGAGGAGGUUUGUAAUACAUUCCAAGAAGGAGGAGCUUCAAUUGACUUGAUGAGGCUCAAGUUAUUUCCUUUCACCUUGAAGGAUAAGGCCAAGAUUUGGCUUAAUUCUUUAAGGCCAAGGAGUAUCCAAACUUGGACUGAUUUGCAAGCCAAGUUUCUCAAGAAGUUCUUCCAUACUUAUGGGACCAAUGAUUUGAAAAGGAAAAUUUCGAACUUCUCAGCUAAAGAGAAUGAGAAAUUCUAUGAGUGUUGGGAGAGGUAUAUGGAAGCUAUUAAUGCUUGUCCUCACCAUGGCUUUGACACAUGGCUCUUAGUGAGCUAUUUUUACGAUGGUAUGUCUUUUUCAAUGAAGCAACUCCUAGAAACUAUGUGUGGAGGAGACUUCAUCAGUAAGAAUCCUGAGGAAGCCAUGGACUUUAUGAGUUAUGUGGCUGAAGUUUCAAGAGGAUGGGAUGAACCAAAUACUAGAGAGAUGGGAAGAAUGAAGUCUCAACCUAAUGCAAAGGGUGGGAUGUAUGUUUUGAAUGAAGACAUUGACAUGAAGGCAAAGGUAGCAGCUAUGGCAAGGAGAUUGGAAGAGCUAAAAAUGAAGAAAGUACAAGAAGUGCAAGCCAUUUCUGAGACAUCAGUGCAGACUAUGCCUUGUUCCAUUUGUCAAUCUUAUGAGCACUUGGUAGAGGAAUGUCUUACAAUUCCAGUAGUGAGAGAGAUGUUUGGAGAUUAAGCAAAUGUUAUUGGUAAAUUCAAGUCCAAUAACAAUGCUUCAUAUGGCAACACCUACAAUUCAAAUUGGAGGAACCAUCCAAAUUUCUUUUGGAAACCAAAGCCAUCUCAAUACACACAACUUGCUCAAGCACCUCAGCAAGCCUCGAAUCUUGAACAAACUAUUGUGAACCUUAGCAAGGUUGUGGGAGACUUUGUGGGAGAUUAGAAGUCCAUCAAUGCUCAACUCAAUAAGAGAAUUAACAGUGUGGAGAGUACAUUAAACAAAAGGAUGGAUGGGAUGCAAAAUGAUCUGUCUCAGAAGAUAGACAAUGUCUAAUACGCAAUCUCAAGGCUUACCAACCUCAACACAGUGCAAGAGAAAGGAAAGUUUCCUUCUCAACCUCAUCAAAAUCCCAAGGAUAUCCAUGAAAUGGAGGCUCAAAAGGUAGAAUCUUCAAAGGUGAGGGAAGUCAAAGCAAUUAUAACCUUGAGAAGUGGUAAAGAGGUUGAUCAACCCACAUCCAAGCCAAGGCAUGAUGAAAAGAGUGUGGCAGAAAAAGAAAAGAGUGAAGAAAUUAAAGGAAAGAGAAAAGGGAAAAGUACAAAGAAAGAUGACCAUGAUUCUAGUGUGGAUGAAAAACCCGAGAGGAUAGUCAUCAAGGAAGAUAUGAUGAAGAAAUACGUGCCUCCACCUUUCCCCCAAGCUUUGCAUGGAAAAAAAGGAACUAAUAAUGCAUCAAAAAAUUUUGAAUUAUUGAGGCAAGUGAAGGUCAAUAUCCCUUUGCUAGACAUGAUCAAACAAGUGUCAACAUAUGCAAAAUUCUUGAAGGACUUGUGCACUGUAAAGAGAGGAUUAAAUGUGAACAAGAAAGCCUUCUUGAUUGAGCAAGUGAGUGCCAUCAUACUGUGCAAGUCUCUAGUGAAGUGCAAAGAUCCGGGCUGCCCUACCAUCUCAAUGAGUAUUAGAGGGACUUGUGUGAAAAAAACUUUGUUGGACUUGGGAGCCAGUGUGAAUUUGCUACCAUAUUCUAUCUACAAGCAAUUGGGACUUGGAGAGUUGAAGCCAACAUCCAUCACUCUAUCUCUGGCAAAUAGAUCAGUGAAGAUUCCAAGAGGGAUGAUCGAAGAUGUCAUGGUUCAAGUUGACAAAUUCUACUAUCCAGUGGAUUUUGUUGUUCUUGAUACAGAUCUGGUUGUCAAAUGAACUAACUAUGUUCCUAUCAUACUUGGAAGACCAUUCCUAGCUACAUCAAAUGCAAUCAUCAAUUUUAGGAAUGGAGUCAUGCAACUCACAUUUGGCAAUAUGACAUUAGAGCUCAACAUCUUCCAUUUGUACAAGAAGCAUAUCCAUCCGGAAGAAGAAGAAGGUCCAGAGAAAGUGUGCAUGAUUGACACUUUAGUGGAGGAGCAUUAUGAUCAAAGAAUGCAAAAAGAUUUGGUUGAGAGUUUUGGGGAUCUUGAUGAAGGGUUACUUGAACCCUCAUAUUUGCUUACUACCCUGUCCCCUUGGAGGAGGAGAGAAGAAAUUCUACCCUUAUUCAAUGAGGAGGAGACACAAAGAGCUGUUAAGGAGGAGCCCCCAAAGCUUAUUCUUAAGCCACUACCCACAGAGUUGAAGUAUGCCUACUUGGAAGAAGACAAGAAGUGCCCUGUUGUUAUAUCUUCAGCUCUUACCAUUCACCAGGAGGAUUGUCUACUUGAAGUCCUUAGAAGAUGUAAGAAGGCAAUAGGGUGGCAAAUUUCUGAUUUGAAAGGGAUCAGCCCUUUAGUCUACACCCAUCAUAUUUACAUGGAGGAUGAAGCUAAGCCAAUUCGUCAACCUCAGAGAAGGUUGAACCCUCACAUGCAAGAGGUGGUGUGAGCUGAUGUUCUUAAGCUACUUCAGGCUGGUAUUAUUUACCCCAUAUCAGAUAGCCCAUGGGUGAGUCCUACUCAAGUUGUGCCAAAAAAGUCUGGGAUCACGGUGGUGCAAAAUGAUAAGGGAGAAGAUGUCUCUACAUGCCUCGCUACAGGUUGGAGGGUGUAUAUCGAUUAUAGGAAGUUCAAUUCGAUGACAAGGAAGGACCAUUUCCCAUUGCCCUUUAUUGAUCAGGUGCUUGAGAGGGUCUUUGGGCAUCCUUUUCAUAAUUUCUUGGAUGGCUACUCCGGGUACUUUCAGAUAGAAAUUGAUGUUGAAGACCAGGAGAAGACCACUUUCACGUGCCCAUUUGGCACCUAUGCAUACAGGAGAAUGCCUUUCAACUUAUGCAAUGCACCCGCAACUUUCCAAAGAUGCAUGUUAAGCAUUUUCAGUGAUAUGGUGGAGCAUAUUAUGGAAGUCUUUAUAGAUGAUAUCACCAUAUAUGGAAGUGCAUUUGAUGAAUGCUUGGUCAACUUAAAAACUGUUCUGAACCGAUGCAUUGAGAAAGACUUAGUGCUUAACUAGGAGAAGUGUCAUUUCAUGGUACACCAAAGGAUUGUCCUUGGGCACAUCAUCUCCAAGCAAGGCAUUGAAGUUGACAAAGCAAAGGUUAAACUCAUUGUUAAGUUGCCAUCCCCAAAAAAUGCCAAAGGAUUAAGGCAAUUCCUUGGCCAUGCCGGGUUCUAUAGGAGGUUUAUCAAUGAUUUCUCUAAGCUUGCAAGACCUCUUUGUGAACUAUUGGUGAAGGAUGCUAAAUUCAUAUACGAUGAUAGAUGCCAAAGGAGUUUUGAAGAAUUGAAGCUAUUUCUAACAACCGUACCAAUAGUGAGGGCUCCCAACUGGCAACUGCCUUUUGAGGUAAUGUGUGAUGUCAGUGACUUUGCUAUAGGAGCUGUUCUUGGGAAAAGAGAAGAUGGAAAACCCUAUGUGGUCUACUAUGCGAGCAAGACAUUGAAUGAGGCGCAAAGAAACUACACAACCACUGAGAAAGAAUUGUUAGCUGUAGUUUUUGCCUUGGAUAAGUUUCGUGCUUACUUGGUGGGGUCCUUCAUUGUGGUUUUCACUUAUCACUCUGCUUUGAAGUAUCUGUUGACUAAGCAAGAUGCUAAAGCAAGGCUGAUUAGAUGGAUUCUCUUGCUUCAAGAGUUCAAUCUCUAGAUCAAAGACAAGAAAUGAGUGGAGAAUAUGGUAGCAUACCACCUUUCAAGGCUAGCUAUCGCACAUAAUUCCCAUGGUUCGCCCAUUAAUGAUGAUUUUCCAGAGAAGUCUCUCAUGUUGGUGCAAGUUGCUCCUUGGUAUCCUAACAAUUCAAAUGAAAUAGUGGAACUACUCAACUUCAACAGCACCAGGAGCUUCAAAAUGAAUGGCCACCGUCUCAAGCCCUUUGUGGAGCCUUUUUCUCACGACAAGGAGGAAUUCAUCCUCCUUGAUCCACAUCAAGCUUGACAAGACCAGUUAUUUUUUAUGGACUUAGUCUUUUUAAAGACUAAUUGAGUCCAUAUCUUUUUGUUUUAUUUCUGAUUUGAGAGUUUUCCUGUAUUAUUACUUGUUUUGAUUUUUAUUUCUCGUUUUAAUUUUAUUUUGGUUUGAUUUAACUUAAGUUUUUUAUGACCAAUUACAAGGGGGACUUCAAAGCGGCUGGGCAAGUCCUUAAAAAUUCUUGGCAGAGGAAACACCAAGGCAAUUCACACACCUUGCGAAAAUUUCGCAGGGCAUGCGAAAUUUAUGGAUCAUUUCUCAUGGGGUGCGAAAAUUUUGCACCCUGCGAACUCAUUUCGCACGUUGUGUGAAAAUCAAAAGGCGUUGUGCAAAAAAGAAAAGUCGCUCUGCCAGCCCUUUUUAAACCCCUGAUCUUUAACUUCUCCAUUUCGCAAACACCAAACACCCUGCGAAUCCCUCAUUUUCCUCUACCACAUUGCGACCUCAUCUCUCUCCAUUUGACAUCUUGCCCGCGCACAUCACUUUGAAGACUUGCACUCCGAGCCCCCUUCGAGCACGGACCCGAGGCCAUAUCUCCAUUUCCGACAUGGCACCGACUCGAGGAGCCCUUCCCGCCCCUUCACCGCGUUGCACUACGAGGUAGAGAGCCUCCACUACUCAGGUGCCUAGUGAUUCUCCAUCUUAGGUCGCUGAGGCCCCAUAGAUUCCACUUUCUGAGGGUGGAGCGCCUACUAGUCCUUCCUCACCUGCUUCUCAGCGCAGAUACGAGACGAGGAGACCACCUACUACACCAGGGGCGACUACUUCGCGCCCUGAGAGUUCAAUGCAACGCCCUCCUGCCAAGAGGGCUAGAACUUCAGGCCUAGGCGAGUCAUCCAAAGCUUCAUAGCCUAAGCCUCUUGCGGAUUCUGAGCUUCCUUCCGACAUGUCACCGAGGUCUAUUAUCAGACACCCGAUGCUCACAGCACUACCCAUUGAUGGAAACUCAGAUUACAGAGUGAGACCUUUCCACUCAGAGCUAUAUUUUGAUCAGGAGGCCAUGCGACAGUAGCCUAAGCUCCGAGACUCUUAUGGCCUACUGCAGAGGCACCAUCUUGAGCACCUUAUGACUCCUCGUGAGUUCUUUUAUCCUAGAGUAGCACUAGAAUUUUACCAGUUCAUGACUACUCAUGGCGUCCCAAGUCCUACUACGAUUCAUUUCACCAUUGAUGGACGUCAUGGUAUCCUCGAGGCCAGAGGUAUCGUAGAGGCUCUACAGAUUCCUUUCGAACCAGUGGAUCCAUUUGUUUUUUGCCAGUGGUCCCCAGUAUCUCAGAGGGACAUGGUCCACAUUUUAUCCAAAAGGACCUCCAUUGAUUCGAUCCUUCUACGGAAGGAGCUUCUACUUGGGAUGCUCCUCGUAGAUGUGGUGCUAUGUUCCAACCUCUUUCCCCUACAGCAUUCGGUACAGAGGCGAUGAGCUAUCUUGGACGCUUUAUUUCGUAUAUCAAAGGGCUUCUACUUUGGCCCACACCACUUGAUCAUGGCCUCCCUUGUCCACUUUGAGGAGAAGGUCCAUAGGAAUAAGCUUCAGAGGUCGAACACCAUUCCAUUACUAUUCCCGAGGUUGCUUUACCAGAUCUUGGAGUAUAUGGGUUUUCCUACUGAGCCUCGGCUCGAGCGCCGCCGCCUUUGUCGAGAGCAAUUCCCUCUUGACAAAUGGAAUUAGUUGGCGGGUUAUUCUACACCUCCAGGAGCCCCUCAUAUGGUAGCACCUCUAGUGCCCCCAUAGACAGAGCAGGGUGAGUUUCUGACAAAGACUAUACCACCUACCCCUGCAUCACCUACUUUAGCACCACCAGUGCCCAUGCCCGAGGCUACUUCUACUACUCUCCAUGUGACUCCUAUUGUUCCACCAGUUGGUCCUACUACAUCCGAGCCUUCCAUCACCAUCUCGGCUUCGGAGUUUCAUGCCCUUGUGCAUACCUUUCAAACACUGACCACCACACAUGCUACUCUCUUCCAGCAUAUGGCUGAGAUGCAUCCCCAUCAGGACCAACAGACUGCUAUACUCCGCCAGAUUCAGCAGCACCUGGGACUUCUGCCUCCACCUCAGCCUCACCUUCCUGCAUCAUUAGAGCCUUUAGCUCCAGCUGAGGAUACUAUUCCAGCUGAGGACACUACCACAGUAGAGGUCCAAAUCCCGCCAUCUUAAGAGGCCACCACAGAUGCCAUUGCUUCAUAUGAUCCUCACGAUAAGCCUCAGACAAUUGACACAGUCACAACUACACCUGAGAAUGCAUCAUCUCCACUUGAGGGUGCCACUACUUGAUCAUAGGACAUCUCUUUAUCUUAUUGUAUUUACAUAUUAUAUUAGUGGAGAUUUGUCCUUGUUUUGAUGCUUUAUACUCUGGGAUUGGAUGUAUUACCUGAUCAUAUCUCAUAUUGUACUUUCUUAGAUUAAUAUAUAGACAUACUUUUUUUUUAUUAUACUUAGCAUUUUUCUAUUUCCUCUACUCAUUACUCUUUUGUUUUUUUUUACUCAUGUGGUUUCUCCCAUAUGACUCAGACUCCAUUUCACUCAAGAGGUACCACUUCCUCCCUUUAUUUUCAAUUGCUCUUGACACAUUAAGGGCAAUGUUGAUCUUGAUUGGGAGAAGAGUUGAGGAAGGAAGUUUUGUUAAUAAUGCUAGGUUAAUUUUUUAAUUUAGUUACUUUUUGCUUAAUUUUAAAAGUUCUUUACCCUACUCUCCAUGGUUAUUAAGGCAAAAUUCUCAAAAUGAAAUGGGAGAAAUUGAGUUCUUGCAUUUUUACUUGAAUCUUAGAGUUUGUAUUAUGCUUAUUGAAGUUGAUGAAUUAUUGAAACUCCUAUUGAAUUCAACCUUAUUUCUUCCACUUUAAUCUUACCACACACUGUGCACAUUAGGUUCCAGUUAUAAGAUGAAAAACUAUCUCACCCCCUGAACUUAGGAAAAUUUUGACUUGGUACAUUUAACCUCGUUUUAAUAGUGUUAGGACACCUUAUAAAAAGCUAAUGAGCCUUCGAAAAAAAAAAGAACAAAGUGUUUCACUUACCUUGAAACCCGAGCAAGGUUCGAGGGUAUACGACAAAAGUCUUUAAAACCCGGUGCCCUAAGCCUUUAUUGGUUGGGAGUCACCGACCUCAAUGCUCGUUACAAAGGGUAAUAGGUGGAGUUUAACAUAUUGUAGGUGCUUGGGUAUUGAAUUUCAAUCUCAAAAGUCCGGGAAAAUUUUGAGGAGUUAGUGGUCGAAAGAGCCUUAAAGCUUGAUGCCCUAAACCUUGAUUGGUUGGGAGUCAUCGAUGGAUCCCCGUUACAUGGACACUUUAGAAAACAAUACCUUUAUCAUUGCACUCCUACAAUGAAAAAAUUAUGAAAUAAAAGAGGUGCGUUCUUAGUCUAUUGGAGGUUGGUCAGUUUGAGAAAGAACUAGGUUGGGGGGAGAGAAUAGUCCGACAUACUAUAAUCAGAAACUAAUAAGCUUAACACUUAGAUUUUUGUGGAAAAAUAAGGAUUGGACCCUUGGGAGUGGAAAUUCUUUUGAUGCUUAAAUUUGCAUAAUGCCUACUCUUUAUAAAUUGUGAUUAAGCAAGAUAUUUGAUGACUCUUGUUGAAGGCUGGGUUUUGCCUCUUCGAUGUUCCAUGAGAGAGUAUGAUCCACAUCAUGGCACUUGAAAAUUUUUUGGAGUGAUUAGCAUGAUUUUGUAAAUUAUUUAAAUGUCUAAUUUUCUUUAUCUCUCCUUCAUUGCUAAGGGACUAGCAAUGUGUCGGUUGGGGGGAGUGAUUACUACUCAAAAAGUACUCUUUUAUAACUUGAAACUAACUAUUUUAAACACUUUUGAGUAGUAGUUAAUACAUUUGAACUCAAUUAGCACAUUAAGGAACCUAGCAAGGGUUACUAAUCAGUUUUUGGCAAAUUUUGGUGUUUUUGGUAGCUUAAAUCCAUGGCAAUGCAAGUUGAAGUUCAAAUACAUGACGAAUCCGAGCUUUGGAGCACUUCAUAGCCCUUUUCCAAGGUUGGAAAUAGGUUGCCAAGCCAAUCAGAGAUGCAAGGAAGAAAACCAGAGGAAGAAAUCCAACAACCAGUAUUUUCGCAUGGUUGUGCGAAAUUUCGCACACCAUGCAAAACCACAAGAGGCAGCCAAAUAAUUUCGCACACCAUGUAAAAUUUCGCAUGGUAUGUGAAAUCUUCCUAUGCAUCGACUCCGUUAGAUUUUUAUCUCCUAAUAUUUUGUGUAAUUUCCUAUUUUCUCCUUGUAGUCAACCUAGAUAUUUUCUUUUAUAUUUUUUUUAUAUCUUUUGGUAUAGAGAGAGACACACACACAGAUGGAUGAAAUUCAUUAAACACUUGUAAAUUCCCGUAGUAAGAAAUAUACAGAGCUUUUGCUCUGCCUUUCCUUCUCAUUUUGUUUUCACUUUUCUUUCUAGCCAAACAACCUCUGAGGAUGAUUUCUCAGGGGAUGAGUGGCUAGGUUUUACGUUUCUUGGAGUGAUGGAAGCUACAUGAAGGACCCGUAUGCAAAGGUGGGAGUUGUCCUUGCUUUAAAUGAAAGUAGUUGUUAACCAUUAAUGGUUUUUAUUUUAAGGUUUAGCUUUAAAUCCCUUAAAAGCACCUUGAAUGGCCAAUACUUGGUAAGCUUUUCGGAUUCUAUGGAUGCUUAUUGCUAGAUCCAUGGAUGUCUAUUAGUUAUCAUUUACGAGCCAUUGGAAGGUGGUUCAAGGUGAGGGCCUGAUUACUACUCAAAAAGUGCUAUUUGAUAGCUUGUAAUUAACUCUUUUAAACACUUUUGGGUAGUAGUUAUCACCUUUUAACCCAAUUAACAUAUUAAGGACCCUUGCAAUCAAUUCUAAUCAAAUUGUGUUAAGUUUUGGUGUUUUGAUAGCUUUUUGAUCACCAAAGCAAUCAGAGAUUGAGGAGAGUUCUUUGGAAUCUAUGGCAAAGAUGUCUGGAUAGGGCGUCCGGACACACCAUUGGAGAGCGGCGGAACGUGGGCUGCAGCAAGGCUUGCUUACUGUAGUCAAUGAUCCAGACAACAUAUCCGGAUAGGAUAUGCUAUCAUUUGGAGUGUGAUGUUCACGAGUGCCGGAUAGCAUGGCGGCGUGUAUCCUCUGGGGGGAAUCCGGAUGGGUCCCUACACCUUACACAUGCAGACGGUCCCCUUGCGACGUCCGGAUAUCUCAUCCGAAAUUAUGUCCUGUCAAACAUGUCCAGAUCCUUUGAUCGGAUAUUUCACAUCCGGAUCCCCUGACGUCGGAUGAGAGAGGAGGCGUUUCAACUUCCCCGGACAGGCAUGUUCGGAUGUUCGGAUCUUCUGAUAGCGCUCAUUCGGAGAGCAUCCGCGACCGACAUUUCAGAUUACCCGGAUUUUGCAUAGUGUCGCGGUGUUCUCCUGAAGCUUCACGAUAUUUCCGACCGACAUCUUGAGAUAUUUUGCUUUAGAUAUUUGUUGUCUAAAUCCCUAAAGUCUCCUUGUAAUCCACCUAUCAUAGGAUUCCUUAGUCCUUAAGUAAGAACAAAGGGGUGAAUAACCUCUUAUAUAUAGUUUGUAAUUUCCUUUACAAAAGGGAGGAUACAUAUGAUGUAAUCCGAUAUAUGGAAUCGACGAACAGAGCACUUGCUCUGUUUCUUCUUCAUAUUUUUGUUUUCUCAUUAGUUUUCUUUCUAGUCAAUCAAACUCUGAGGAUUUUUCCUCAGAGGAUGAGAGGCUAGGCUCUUCGUCUCUUGGAGUGAAGAAAGCCGGGUAAGUUUCCUCAUGCAUAAAUUGGAAGUUUUGUUGUUUUAGUUUUUAAUGAAGAUAAAGUGUGACCCAUUAAUGGUUUUUAUCUUUUUAGUUAACUUAAAACGCCUUUAAAUCACCUGGGCCAACACUUGGUAAGGUAAGUGAUCUCCAUCCAUUGAGAUGCACUUGUUUAUCUCUUGCGAGCCUUUGGGAGGUGGUUUAGAGGCAGGAUUUUCUAGAAUAGCCAACACUUGGUAAGCUUUUGGACUCUACAGAGACAUCCAUUAGUUAUCUCUUGCGAGCUUUUGACAGGUAAUCCAAGGUUAAAGAUCACCUUGAAUGGCAAAUGCUAGGUGAGAGGCACGAGCCAUUGCAAGAUGCAUCAGUGAGAGGGAUUUAGUGUUUGAACCCAUUAAGGGGAAGCAUCUGUACCACACCGGUUAGAGAAUUAACUAUAUGUUAAUUCUCUAAUACGAGGAAAAGAAACAAGUGACCGGAACUCUCCUUUUUGUAUGAGGAACCUGAACCUAGUGAUCUAAACUCCAAGAAACACUUUUCAUUGUAAGUAAAAUCAGUUACUAUUUUUGGUUAGUUUAAAACCAAACCUUUUUCAUUUAAACAUCUUUAUGUUUUCUUUUAAGCUAACCUUGAAAUGAAAAGGCACCCAUUCAACUUUGAAUUAAUAUCAAUUGUAGAGUGAAAACCCAUCCCAGUGAACGACCCUAGAGCCACUAUGCUAUGCUAGCUAAGGCUAUCCUAGUACAUGGUGUAAUAGGUUAUAAAUUUUGUUGAUUACUCCAUGAGGACCACAAUCAAGGGACACCAGCUGGACACGAAUCAAAUGGCACCACUGUCAGGAACCAUUGAGAGGACAUGAAUCAGCUGAGACACCAAUUGGGAACGAAUCAGGGUAUUUAGUGUUUGAAGUCAUUAAUGGGAAGCAACUAUCAUUUUUCAUGAACCCUUUGGAUCAAAUCUUAAUCGCUAAAUAUAAAACAGAUUCGGGAGAUAACCAUCCUUUAUGUUAUCUUCCCCAACGGGAGGAGAAGAUCUGGAAUCUCCCCCUUUGCCUAAGGAACCCGAUCCUAGUGACCUAAAGCUCCAAGAGACCUUUUCUUUGUAGUUAACUUCACUUAUUAUUUUUGCUUAACUUAAAAUAAAUCUUUGCAACCACAAUUCCAUUUUCUUUAAAAGCUAAUUUUCAUAAGGAGAAACACCAUUUUAUUUCUUUCACUAAAGUCAAUUGUACAAUGAAAACCCAUCCCUAUGGAUGAUCCUAGAGCCACUAUACUAUGUUAGCUAUGCUACCCUAGUGUAAGGUGAUUUAGGUUUUAUAAAUUUUGUUGAUAACACCCGUCUGAGCCAUAAUCAAAUGGCAUGACUGCAAUGGGGACGAAUCAAGUAUGUUGAAGACCAAAGCACAAUUGGGUUGCAUGUAAAGAAAAAAUGGACUAUGUUAAGGGACUAAACAUUAAAGUUGUGAAUUUUUUUUUGAUAUUUUAAUAUAUUUUAGCUUUUUUUGUGUUUCUUAUUUAUGAAAUACAAGUUCACUAUUUGUGAUUAAAUACUGUAAUUUGGAAAUGUAUUACCAGGUGAAAAAUUAGGUGCAACCACUAAUUUCAUUGGUACAUAAUUUUUUUUCUUAUGUGUAUGCAUUAUUUCAAUAGCAGGUGAAAAAUUAGGCGCAACAAUUAUUAAAUUAAAACUAAAUUUAAAAUUAAACAAUUAUCUUCCUUGAUGCUUUUACUAAGUGUCAAGGAAUGAGAGUAACCACCAGUAACAUUUAUACAACCCAAUAAUGGCACUAAUAAAUGUGUCAAGAUAGUGUGAACAACUAACAAUGACACUUUUUUAAGUGUCAAGGUUCUCUUCAAUGGCGCUUUCUAGAAGUGUCCUUAUAGUUCGAUAUUUGAAACUACUAAACAAUGACACUUAUAGAAAGUGUCAAGGUUUCUUCUACUCAACAAUGGUGUUUAUAAAAGUGUCAAUGUAGUUUGAUAUAACUAAUGAUGACACUUUUUUUAAGCGUCAAGGUUCUCUUCAAUGGCGCUUUCUAGAAAGCGCCAUUGUAGGCAAAUACUUAUUAUGACAAGCUAGUAGAUGAUGCUUUGGGGAAAUGCCAUUGAAUGUAUUUCUUGACACUUAAAAAGCGUCAUGGUUAACAUUUUUUCUUAUAGUAGUGUGGGCAAAACGUUCAUUCAACAUAUAUCACAUGAAUAUUCAAAUAAACUAAAAAGCAAAAAUUGAAUUGGAAAUUAAAUGGUAAUGGGCAUUUUAUAAACAUUCUAUGUUGAGAAGAUGUCCUUCCAAUGUGAAUAUGAGAAGGAAGUGUAAAUCUCCUUUCAUAUUUGAAUGAGACACAAAAGAGUUAGCUGAUUCAAGCAAAACAAACUCAACUUGGAAAAUUAAUGUAAUGGAUGAUUCCAAAUAAGAGAAAGUUGACUUCAAAAUUAAUGUGAGAAUUAGGUAGCAUUUAGUGUAGGAACAUGUUGCAUUAUUUCAUUGUUUUAGAUAUUUAAGUUUUUGUAGCUUGGAUGGACUGGUCCAUUGGGUAUAUGAAGUUUAAUUUGCAAUGCACAUAAUUUGAAAGAAUCUUGUCAAGUCUAUCAAAAUUAAUUGACAAAUAUGCUAUCCAUUUGGAUGAAGUAGAACUUCAAAAGCACAUAAGCACAUACCUCCAAGUGAUGGUGCCAUGAUAUAGUCCUUAAUGUUUCUUGGUGAAGGUGUUUUGUAAAAGAAUGCAAAGAAGAAAAAUUCAAAAUUAGUUCUAAACAUUUUAAUACCAUAGAAAUUAGUUAAGACUGAGUAUCAAUAUUGUAAUGGUAAGCUAUGCAUCAAAAGGUCUAUAAAAGGAGUCAAGAAAAUAACACAUUUGACCAACUAGAGCCUCUCAGAGUUUAGAUGCCUUAUCUUAUUACAAAUUGAAGAACUUGCAAACAGUCCUCCAAAGGACAUUGAGGAUAAGUAAGGCGGUGUUUUUUUUUUUUUUUUCUUAAUUGUAAAUAUAAUUUAAAACUAAAUAGUGCUUAAUAGUGUGUUAAGUAUUGGGUUGUUUGUUUUUACCAUAUUUUAUUUCUAUUAAGCAUUAAAAAAUAAAAAACAACCAACAUGUUACUUUUUCUAUUUAGAAAAAGCUAAAUAUAUUUUUUUUUCAAAAAAAAAUUUAUAAUAAGUCAUAAAAAAGUAGAAAAACAUACAACUAAAAGUUUAAAAGCAAAUUGCUUUAAGCAAAAAGGUAAAAAAACAAACACCUUCUAAGUCAUUUAUCUGCAUUAAGAUUUUAAUUAGUUUUAGGGAUGAUCAAUCAUACCCAUACUUAUAUCCCUCACACUUUUUCACUGAACUGAAUGCACUUGUAGCAUUAAGAAAUGUUUUCCCAAAGGCCUUAAUACUCUUUAAUUUGAUGUCAAUGGGUGAUUAUGGGAUUCUUUAUUUUAUGAUAUCUGAGCCCCUUCCUCAUAGGAUAAACACACUCUCAUCUAUAGAUCAAAUCUCCCAAACCAACCAACACAAAUGUGAUCCUAGGUAAGAGGUUCAGUCUACUAGACUAAACUCAUUUCCUUCAAGUUCAUUAUUGGUCACCACAAGUUCACCAAACUAGUGAAAGAAACCAACUUUACCGAAAUAGAAAACACUAUUUUUGAAAACAAAUAACUACUCGAGUUAAUUUCAUUCAUCUCCCCUCUGGUUUUCACUAAAUACAUUUGAUCCCAUUGAUUUGAAAUUACAUUAAAUACCUUUCAUUUUCUUUUUAUUUGUUAUUUUCAUUCACUUAAUCUUCUCCUACUCAAAAUAAGGAAGGUAUUUUAUGAGAUCUCAAAUUAAUAAGGGCUAAGUGUAUUAGUUAAAACUUUAGGGGAGGUGAAUGAAAUUAAUACUAACUUCCCAAUCUUAAGUAAGAUAAAUAAAAAAUAAAAAAAAAUUAAAAGCCUAGUAAAAACCAAUCAACAAAAAAUUGUAAAAAAAAUAAAAAAAUAAAAGAAAAAACUAAAUCUUGUACAAUGUUAAGAAAUCAAAGCUGAAAAUAUUAGGCAUAAUCUAAUGAGAAAAAUUAUCAAAGAAAACAAUCACGCAAUGAGAUAAAUGAAUGAAAUCAUUAGACCUUACAAUUUCAUUAAACAAUAUAUUAUAACCACCAUUCAAUACAAUUAUAAGAACAAAGACUAAAACCCAAAAAAAAACUAGAGAAAAAAAAAAAAAACAGUUUAAGCGUAUUCUGACUAUUAGUGACAUAGAUAAGGUCAGAGAGAGAGAGAGAGUGUGUGUGUGGUACAAGCACGGGAGAUCUAAUUAGCAACCAUAAAUAUUAGUUGUGAACCAAAUAUGAUAUUGGAGUUUAGAGUGAGGGAUUUGUUCGAGGCUAUGGGGAAAACUAAGAUAUGGGUAAAAGUUUUUAUAUGCUAGAUACAAAAGAAACUUGUAGAAACACGAAGAUAAAGAAUGGAAGAAAAUCUGUUUCAAACCAAUUUUUACAUACAAUAUUUAUAUGGUGUAUCAGUUACAUGAGAAUAACUACUUAUCUAGCUAACCCUAUCAACUUAACCUACUGACUUGAGCGAUGUUGCUAACUACCCUAGCUGACUCUAACAAUAUUUCGUUGUUACAACCUUCGGGCAGGUAUCCUAACAGUAAAGGAGUUAUAGAGCCAGGUGAAUUCUUGAUCUUGAACUCCAUCAUCCCCCCACAAGCUCAUGGGUCGGGGAAUAACCGAUAGACGAGUUCUAAAGGAGGUGAACUGUGAGCUUGGAAGAUGUUUGGUGAAGAUAUCAGCAACCUGUUGUACUGAUGGUGUAUACUGAAUGGUGAUGGCUCAGAUAAAAUGGAGAUUGUUUUCGAUGUGUUUACUCCUUGCAUGAAACACCAGAUUUGCAGCUAGUCGAGUAGUAAUUUGGUUGUAAGCUUGAAUAUCAAGAGAUGUUGAGGGAUGAAAUAUAAGGUCAAGUGAGGGAGUUCUUUUAAGAUACCGCAAUACUCGUUUAAGAGCCAUCCAAUGUACAGUGGUGGGGUGAGCCAUAAACUGACAAGCUUUAUUUAUGGUGGAUAAGAUGUCUGGUCUGGUGAUUGUUACCUAUUGAAGGGCCCCCACGAUACUGUGGUAUAGAGAAGCAUCUGAGAAUGUAUCACUUGCUAACUGAGAAAGGUUGGUGCCAACAGCUCCAGGUGUGGAAAUGGAUUUUGAGUCUUGUAUGGCUGAUCUUGUGAGUAGGUCUUGGAUGUAUUUUUGCUGAUUGAGGUGCACAACACCAUUAACAUGGGAGACCUCAAUACCUAAAAAAUAAUUGAUGCAACCUAGGUCGCGGAGAGCAAAUGUGUCUUGAAGAUAUUUUAGGAAGGCCAACACCUGAGAAAGGUCAUUACCUGUGACCAGUAUAACAUCUACAUAGACUUGUAGGAGUAUGGUGAUGUUUGAAGAGUGAAAAAAAAACGAGUUAUUUGCUCGGGAACAGGAGCAGCCCCCACUUGAGUAAGGCUAUUUUGAGCUUAAGAAACCAAGCACGGGGGGCUCGUUUUAGGCCAUAGAUGGUUUUGUUUAAGCAGCACAUAUGAGUGGGGUGUUUGGGGUCUUCAAAACUAGGAGGAUGUUGCAAGAAAACUCGUUCUCUAAGAUCACUGUUGAGGAAGGAAUUUUGGACAUCUAAUUGGCGAAUUGUCCACCUGAAAGAUAAUGCAACUGUAAGAACAAUACGAAUAGUGGCAACCUUGACCAUUGGUCUAAAUGUAUCAAAGUAAUCUAAACCUUGUGUCUGAUGAAACCCUUCAGCAACAAGCUGAGCCUUGUACCGAUCAAUAGAGUCGUCUAGCUUGCGUUUGAGUUUAAACACCCACUUGCACCUAAUAAUAGGCCUAUUGGUUGGUGCAGGAGUAAGUUUCCCAGUGUUGUUAUGAAUGUGAGCUUGAUAUUCAAUUGCCAUGGCUUUCCUCCAAUUAGGAUCUUUGAAAGCUUCUCAGUGGGUGGGAGAUUCAAUAGUUUUGGGUGCUAAAAAAAGUAUAGGUUUGAGAUGACCAGUCUUGGAUUUGGUAAGCAUGUGAUGGUUGUUUCAUGGGUGGUUGGAGGUAGCUGGUUGAGAUGAAUGUGGCAGAGACUUAGCCAUAAAUGGGACUUAAAUAACUGGUGGAACGAGUUGAUGAGAUGCACUAGAAUUUGUUGGUGAUGAAGGCCUCUUCCCAGGAUGGAAAGUGUUUGAAGUUGUUGAAUUAUGGGUAUUGGAUGUGAAGCCAAGAAUAGCUGGAGUGACAGCCUGUGGAGAGAUUGUAGGAAUUGGUAAAGGGUGAGGAAUGUGAUAUGGAAAAACAGUCUCAUCAAACACUAUGCCGGGAAAUAUAGAUGCAACUGGUUGUGAGGUCCAUGAAAAUGUAUCAUUUCUUAAAAGAGAUAUAUCUGAGAAAGAGACAUUGUAUGGAUCUGUAUUGGAGUUUCUGGUUGUUGUAAGGUCUGAUAUAUGGAAAACAGAGGCACCCAAAAACUUUUGAGAAAGUAUAAUCUGGAGGACAACCAAAUAAGGUUUGAAAUGAAGAGUGCAAGUUUAGAACUUUUGUGGGUAAUCAAUUAAUGAGGAAUGUGGCUAUUUGAAAUGCAUAUAACCAAAAUUUGGAGGGUUGGUUUGCAUUAGCCAAGAGAGUCAAACAUGUUUCAAUAAUGUGUCAUAUAUUUUGUUCCAAUCUCCCAUUUUGUUCUGGUGUAUGAGGGCAUGAGCAUCGCUUUACAAUUCCUUAGUGAGAAAUGAAGCAAAAGCUUUAAAUUCACCCCCCCAUUAUCUUAUUGCAGGCAUUUAAUCUUGGCAUUAAAUUGUUUCUCCACUAGAGUUUGAAACUUAAUAAAUGUAGAUAAUGCUUGAUCCUUGGCAUGUAGGGGAUAAAUCCAUGAGAAUCUGGACCAAUCAUCAACAAGUAACAAGAAAUAACAAGCACCUGUAGUUGCUUGAACUGGAGUUGGGCCCUAAAGAUUGGUAUGUAUGAGAUCCAAAACUUUAGUUGUCUUUGAUUGAGAAAGAGAAAAUGGUAAUUUGUGACUUUUCCCAUACUGACGUGUUGUACAGAUAGUUGAAUUAUUUUUCUGAAGAGAAACAUUACAAGAGGCUAAUGCAUGUUGAAGAAUAUCUGCAGAGGGGUGACCUAACCAAGCAUGCCAGAGAGUGGAUGGUGUUGUUCUCGUUGUGACUGUAGAGGUAACAAAAGCAGUUGGUGUUUAUCUUGGCACAAGCUGUCUUGGAAACUAGCAAAGACCUUGUUCAAGCUUGCCUUGUAGGAGUGUGUUCUUCGUUUGCUAAUCCUUGAUUACAAAAUGACGAUGAUGAAAUUCAACAAAUGAAUUAUUGUCAUGGCAUAGUUUAGAAACACUAAUGAGAUUUGUGGCAAGCUUCAGAGCAUGAAGAACCUUGUUUAGCUUGAAUUUCUUGUAUUUGGUAGAUAAAAGAGUGCAACCAAUGUGAUGUAUAGGAAGUUUCUUACCAUUUCCAAUAGAGACUUGAUAAGGUUCGUGAUAAGGAUGCACGACAGAUAGAUGAGUAACAUUGUUGGUCAGAUGAUGAGUUGCCCGUGUCAAGAAACCAAGAAUCCGAUGAUGCUGGAGAGGCUACCAUGGCUUGAACUUGGUUACUGUUGUCAUUAGGAAAUGUGUUAUUGUUGGGAGUUGUAUGUGGAAGAUGACUCCCUUGAAAAUUGAUAUCAAAUCGGUGAUAGCAUGAAGGAGCAAUGUGUUCGUAUUUGCCACAUAAUUGGCAUUGUGGUCUAUUGCCUUGAUGCUACUUAAAGCCUAGAUUUCGGUUGCCUAAGGAUCCUCUACUUUGAGGUUGUGCUGAGUUUGGUCUAGAAUUUUGAUAGUUGUUGCGAUUGCUAGAGAUCCUUCUGAUAUUGCCUCUCGUUUGUUGCAUUUGAGAGACAACAACAUGACCAGAUAUGGAGUCUUCUUUUGGGAUUGUGUUUUGAAAUUUCAGACAUUGUUCAUGUGUGAGAAGUAUGCUGUGAAUAGAGUGGAUGGAUAUGUCAUCUUCUCGAGCAGUGAUGGAAGCAACAAUAGGAUUGUAAUCAGCACCAAGUCCUCCCAGUAUCUGUAACACCUGGUCUUUUUUUAAGACUGGUUCUCCAAUAGCUACGAGAUUAUCAGCUAUAGUUUUCACUUUGAGAAGAUACUCCAUCAUGGACAUUGUGCCUUUGCGAGUUGUUUGAAACUCCAAUCGAAGUUGCAUUGCUCUUGCUUUGGAGGAGGUUGAAAAUAUCUUCACCAGAGACGUCCAAGCUUCAUGAGAGGUUUGGUAUCCAACUAUUUGCCCCAUGAUUUCAGGGGUAAGAGAAGAAUAUAACCGGCUAAGAAUCAUACGGUCAUAACUUCUCCAUGAAACGAAUUAUGGGUUUAUUGUGCCUGUAGCUGUCAUCUUGGUAGGGUGCAUAUUCAGUCCUUCACUAUGAUCUUCAAAGCCAUUGGCGAAGAUGACAUUCUCCAUUUAGGUUUGCCAUAAGAUGUAAUUGCUUUUGUCUAGUUUAACAGGGAGGGUAUGAUUUAGCAUUUGAAGAGAAUAGCUCGAUCCUGGGAGUGAAGUAAUCUGUGUGGGAGUUUGUGAUUCAGAGGAUGGAUUAAAGAAAGACAUGGUUAAAUUUGGGAAAUCUUUUCUACAAGAUUAUUGAUGGAAGGAUAAUUUUUUGUGGUUGAUGAAGGAUCGUUUUUAGCAGUUGAGAGGAAGAAGAAGGGCUAAGGUAGGGUUAUGGCUUUGAUAGCAAGAAGAAACUUGCAGAAACAUGAAAACGAAGAAUGGAAGAAAAUUUGUUUCAAACCAAUUUUUACAUAUAGUAUUUAUGUAGUGUAUCAGUUACAUGAGAAUAACUGCUUAUCUAGCUAACCCUAACAACUUAACCUACUAACAAUAUUUGGUUGUUACAACCUUCAGGUAGGUACAAGUGUGAAUUUUGGAGUUUUUAAAGAUAACUAUUUAAUCUCAUAUGUAAUUUUUUUUGAGAUUUGAAGAAGUGAUAUAAAAUUGAAAUAGCCCUAGAUGUGAUUUUGAUAAAAAGGGCACAUACUGACUUACCCCAACAACAAUUUUCCCAAUAAGUCACUUUUUUAGUGGGUGUUGGUAAAUUAAUUUAAUGACUUAAUAGCUUAAUUUAAGUCAUUCAGUAGAUUAAAUAUAUUUAGUAAAAUAACUUAAUAUUGCAAUUUAAAGUUAUUUUUAAUUUUAACUAUUAAUUUAAAAUAGUUAACUUGUUCUUAAUAUCAAACAUUUUUUACCUUACUUACACACAUUAGUUAUAAUAUAUUUUAAAAUUAUGAUUCCACAAAUAUGACUCAUUUCAUAUAUAAUAAAUACAUUAUGGUUAUCUUAUACAUCUAUAAUUUUUUAAAUAUAAAUGUUUGACAAAUAAAUUUAUUGCUUAAAAUUAAUGGAAAUAAAUGAGUUAAAAUAAGUGAGGAUAAAUAUUAGUUAAAAUUAAUAAGAAUAAUUCUAUCAAUUUAAUGAUUUAAAAUAAAUUUUAAGAUAACUUUAGCAAACAAUCUUAACAUUUAAUAUAAAAUAAAAAAGUAAUAAGUUUUAAAUUAAGGACUUAAAAUGAAUUUAACUUAAAUUGAACUUAAAGCAUUAAGUAAUAAAUAUUAAGUUUUACUAGAUAUCCAUUUAGAGUGAUUUAGGGUGGAUUGGACAAGGUCACACAUAAAACCCUUAUUGCCAUUCUUACCUGCAUUCCAUACUCAACCAAAAUCCCAAAAUGACUUUCAUUAUACGCAAUAACUCUAAAACCUUCUACAAUACUUCACUCAAUCAUUUUCAUAUAUAAUGUAUAAUUUGUUUUUGAGAUAUUUUGGAGCUUCUCAGCUUUCUAAAAUUUGCCAAAAAAAUAUGAAAAAAUCUUAACCCUCCUACUCGAUAUAUCCAACUAGAACUUAAAGCUUAAUCAAUCAGUUUGUUGAUUUGAUCAAUCAAGAUAGGAAUUUCAUCCUAAAUCAAUUAAAUUACCAUGUUUCUUAAUUCUUCAUCCAAAAGAAUAACUUACACUUUUGAAAUCCCAAAUCAAACAUAUAUAUAAAAGAAAAAAACUUCACGACAUCCAAAACCAAGUAAUAAUUAAAUAACCAUCUAGGAUUAACAUAAGAAAUAAAAUAUGGAUGGAACAUCCUCCAAGAUCUUAUUAUCUCUUGGGCAACAAGCAGUAGAAAAAAGGAUUUGAAAUGGGACAAUAGCACAAACCUUCUAAUCCUUGGAAUUCUUGGAGAGAUGUGGUGUAUUCCUUUCCAAUUAAUUAAUUAUCAUUAAUUAGUUUAACCCAAUUAUUAAAUAUCAAAGAAUGUCUCACAAUAGAUUUACUAGGCUCCCAAAAUUUAUGCUCAAUAUAACUCGUGAUCUACAAAUUAUAUUUACAAAAUCAAUAAAUCAUUCUUCUUUUUUAAUGACCCUAACCAUCCAUUAAUAAAGUCGUUGGAUGAUGAAAAUGAACCAUGUUUUCUUCCUGCAAUUUAGCCACAUAAACAUUUAGGAUUAAUACAAGUGGCAUGCAUAUAGAAAUAUCAUUAGUACAGUACUAAUUAGCUACAGGUAGAGGACACCAGCAGUUGCUUAUAAUGCCAAGGUAUUAAAUUUUGGCUGAAAUAACGCAAAUGUCAUCAAGUCAACCCAACUGGAAACUAUUUUGUAGAAUAGAUGAAGAGACACCUAACAGACAUAACUAAAAGACAUUUGGAAGAUGCUUUAAGUAAAAAAAAAAAAAAGGAAAAGUCACCUAUGCCUUGAACUGGUCGACAUAAGAAAGGGAUUGCUUAGUUUAUGAGACUGAUCUUCCAUGGCAUAGGCUCAUGAGACUGUCGCAUAAUUUUGCCAAGCAAUUGCGGUGAUCCUCAUUGUUUGGUAGGAUGAUUUCUAUUUUAAAGAGAUAGUUGUACAGUGAUCCUAUUUUGAUAAUUGACUUGUGUUCUAGGAAGUUAACUUUAAAGGGGGUCAUGUAUGUGGGAUUGAUAAGAAGGUGAAAUUGUGAUGAGAUUAGGCGACAUGUAUGUAAUGAUAUUUCAUGUAGAAUGUUCUUCGUUCUAUGAUGUAUAAGUAAUCCUUGCUCUUUAAUUCAAAUAGAUUUUAUUCGGUUCAAUGCCAUACUUUGAAUAUGUGUGUUGCUGCUUGACCUCGGUACAGGCUGGGGGCUGGGUGCUGGACGACUGUACACGCUCACAAUUCAACGAGCGUUGAUGUUGAGAGCUUGACGACAAGCCAUGGCGAGGAGGGCUGAUGCUUGUUUCAAGAAGGGCAUCUGCUAUUGGUUGGAAGGAAAGAUGGUACAUCCGACGUAGCUGCUUGCUGGUAUUGCUAUAUUUCUGCCUGAGAAUCAGGGAUAACUACGAAUCGUGGAAGAAAUUAAGUUUGAUCAUCCUUUUAAACUCCCUCUGAAGAGGACUUUCAUUAGUCAAAAUUGCCCAACCUCUUCACCACUAACUCAUAUUCAUACUUACCUAAUUAAUAUCUAUUAGGAAGUCAACCAUUUAAUUAAUUCCACUGUUUGAAUUUUUUAAAUUAUAUAUAUAUAAAAUUUUGUUGGUAAAAUUUGACUUUUUAAUAGUAGGGCAUAAAAUAACAACUUUGAAGUUCUUGGAACUUUCAUGUUAAAAUUAUUUAAUUUGGUAGUUGAAUUUAUGUAUCUAGUUGAUAUCUAUAUAUAUGUUUUAGAAAAAUUCACUUGUUGAUUGACUGAAUUUAUUUGGUCCAAUAAUGAACCUUCCUAGCAUAUGUCUCGUUGUCAAAACAGAUGGAUUUCUUGAAUCAAGAUUCUAGGAAGAGAAAUUAUGUAUACAUCUUCCUAUCUUGUCUAAUAUAAUAAGUUUAUCUUUUUAAUAGUCACAAAAAAAAAAAAAAGUUAUAAAAACUAAUUUAAUCAAAGAAUAUAAAAUAAAUUGCAAAUGUGAUACUUAAAAAUUGAGGUCAUGUUUGGUCUAUUAAAUUAAAAGUAAAAAUUUAAGAGCAUAAACCUAUUAUGAGAAGAAAUCAACACUCUCCAUAAAUACAAAGAAAUUACAAAAACUUAAUUAUUUAAUUGAAGCAUGGUGAUAUGUUGAAGAUUUAAGGGUUAAAAUAAGUUAAAUUACUUUAAGUAGCAUAUAAAAAUAAAUUAUGAAUUUUAAAUUUUGUUUAUUUUCCUUCACUUUUUUUACUUAUAUUUCUUCUCUCUAUUUUCUUUUUCUUAUAUUUUUUUCCUUAAAUUUUUUUGGAACCGAACAUAACUUCAUUUUUUUUUCUUAUAUUUUUCUAGAAACUCAACAUAGCCUUAAGCAAGAUUGAAAACUAUAGGUGUAAGGAUUAACACAAAUAUUUUAGGCAUAAUAUAAAGUAAAAUUAGAUUUUGUAAACCAUUUUAGUGACUAGAAAUUAUAGGGAAUUUCAAAUCUAUGAACUUAAUCAACACUAUGCCACAUAAAGUCACUGUCCCAUCCGACCUUCCUAGUUAGAGCCCUCCAACCCUCUCAAAUUAGAACCUUUAUCUUUGUAACAGCAUCCUAAAAAAACUUGUGACCUAUUCCAUCACCACAAGAAAACCUACAGGUUAUGAUUAGUCUGAAAAGUAUUAAGGAAAGAAAAAUUUAAUUUUAUCAUGAAAAAUAUUUUUAAAAAAAAUCAAAUAUAAAUAAAAUUUAAAAUUAUUUGGUGUUUGGUAAACAAACUUAAUAACUUAAAGUAACUUAAUAACUUAAUUUAUGUUAUUGAGUAAAUAAUUUAAUGAUAUGACUUAAAAUAAAAAAUAAUUUAAGUAAUAAUAUAAACAAUUAACUUAUUAUUAAAUCUACAUCUUCAUUUUAUCUUUUUACAGUCAUUUGCCUUAGUUACCCCUAUAAUUUUUUAUACUACUUCACAACCUCCAUUGUUACUCGACUUCCUUUGUUCUAAUUAAAAUUUAUGAGGAUAAAUAUAUCAAUUUGAUGAUGUAGAAUAAAUUUUAAGUUAAUUUUAUCAAACAACCUUAAUAUUUGAAGUCAAAAAAUAAGUAAUAAGUUUUUAAGUCAAUAAUUUAAGUAUAUUUUAAUUUAAAGUUAACUUAAGUAGUUAAAUAAUAAGUAUUAAAUUUUACCAAAACUUGAAAAUGAAAAAUAAAUUAAAUGAGGUUGAGAUUGUAUAUAAAAAUAAUUUAUUUCUUAUUUUUCUUUUCUUUUUCUUUCCUUUUCAUUUUUUCUAUCUAUCUUCAUUUGCCCACAAAUUUUUGGAACCAAACAUACCCAUAAGAACUCAUCUAAAUGUUGUCUCAAAAGUUGUUCCAAGGAACUUCACAAAAUCUUAUACUCCCUAGAAAUUGUUACCUAGAUCUAAAAUGUAAGCUUCAUGGGUCCUCAAGGAUAAUUAACCAAUCAAAACUGAAUUACGAAAAAGAAAAAAAAAACUUUUAUAUUUUAAAAUAUUCAAACCCUUGAAUCUCCCAAGGAGGAUGAUUGAUCAGUCAUAUGGCAGUAAGGGAAAUUUGUCAAGGCUAUGUAUAGGACUAUCAUAACUCAUGAUCAAUCCUCCAUAUAUAAAAUUUUUAUUCAUGGGGCACACCACUUGUAUAUAUUUAAUUUUUUUUCCCCUCUCAUUUAUAUCCAUUAUUUUGUUAUAUGGUUGAGUCUUUCUUCGAAAACAAAAUAAUUUAGGACUCUUCUGCCCAUGUUUUCUUGAACUUAUUUUUUUAAAAUUGUUUUAAAGUUGAACAACACAAAACAAUUUAUUGCUAUUUUGUAAAUAUAAAGAUGUUAACACAAACUUUUGCUUUAUCUUAAAUUUUCUUAACAAAAAUUCAUUUCUUUUUCAACCUUCUAAUAUUUCAGUCAAUUUUUUCAGCAAAAUUUGAAUCUAUAUAUAUUCUCAUCCUUGAAAGGUAUAAGGCAUUUCACUAAGAUUAUAAUUUUCUCAUCCUCUUUCACCUAUUUGGUUUCUUUUUGGAUGCAAAUGUCUGUGAUGAAAAAACUAAUAACUGAAAAAUGAGUAUCAAGUUGAAAGAGACGAACUUCAUUUUGUCUCCUUGGGAUUUUGUUAAAAUAAUUAUAUUUUAACUUAAACAAAAAGUGUAAUUUUAAUUUGGAGGAAAAUUUUCAUAUUUGAGGUAAUAUAAGGUAUUUUGUUGCAUGUUAUGCACUUAUCAUAGCUUAUUUAUCUAGUUACAUAUAUUGAUUGAAGUAGCAUAGAUUUCAAUAAAUAGAUUCGAUGUUUACUAUGUUUUUAGCAUUUAUUUAACUUGCAAUGACUUAAAGAAUUAGGUUUUUACUUAGGUGGGUGCUUUUAUAUAUAUAUAUAUAUAUAUAUAUUUACUUAAUUCUAAAUAGAACUUAAAAAUAAAUAGUACUUAGUAGUAUUAAGUAUUAGAUUAUUUGUUUUUGUAAUAUUUUAUUUCUAUUAAACAUUAAAAGUAAAGAAAAACCAACAUACUAUUUUUCCUAUUUAGAAAAAACCAAUUAUUUUAGUUUUUUUAACUAAGCAAAAAGUUUAUAAUUAGUCAUAAAAAAGUUUUUUUUUAAAAAAAAACAAACAAACAAACAAUCAACUAAAGUUUGAAAGCAAAUUGCCUUUAGCAAAAAGUUAAAAAAACAAACACUCCCAAAGUUAAAUAUUUAAUUUUAUAAUCAUGGGUCGGAUUUCAAGUUACAAAAAAUUUAGGUCAUGACAAAUAUUACUUAGGUUUUUACUUGUAAUAUAAUAGAUCAAAUAGUUCUAAAUCAUGACACUGGUAUUAUUGAAAUUCCUAUUUGGUUCUAACAAUUAUUUAAUACUACUUUUUCAUGGUAUCAAAGAAAUUUAAUUUAAUUAUGAGAACAUAAGAGCCUAUAAUAAAGUUAAAAUCCUUAAUACCACACUAUCUAAAAGUUAAAAUCCUUUAGUUUAUGUUUGGUUUUUGGAAAAUUUGAGGGCAAAUGUGAGAGAAAAAAAAUAAAGAAGAAAAAUAGAAGGAAAGAAAAAGUGAAGAAAAAUAAAAAUAAUUUUAAACUCAAUAAAUUAUUUUUACAUGCUUUUUCAAACUCAUUUUUCUUAUUUCCCUCUAUUAUAUAAAGAUUAAAUAAUUUUAAAAUAUAUAAAUUUUUAACAAAUUUUAAUUAUAUUUGAUUUUCUUUUGUACUUUUUUCACAAUGAAACCAAAUACAAAAAAAAUCAUUUUUCUUAACAUUUUUUUUUCUUUCUUUAAUACUUUUUGGAACCAAAUAUGGCCUUAACAAACAAGAAAAGGAAAUAGAGUUGACAACAUAUUUGCCAAUGUCCAUCUUGUUUCCAUAUUCUUUCUCCACCCACGACCUAUGGUCUCAUAUGCGACAAAAGAAAGAGAGCAACAUAGUCAAAAUUCAUUUCUCUCUUCAAAUAUAGUGACACAAUAAGUAAAUAAUAAUAAUCAUCAAAUUAAUUUUCUUUUCUUUUUUCUUACCUAAAGUUUUUUAGAAACCAUAUAGAAAAAUAGAAAAUAUGAAAAAACUGAAACCUGACCUUGCAUUCUAUUGCAUCGACACUCUCAUUCUUCACAAGACUUAUAGUGACAAUAAAAAUUAUAAAAACAAAAACCGGUUAAAAUUUAAAAUCGUAAGAAUUCACCGAAAAUCUAGAAAGAAAAGAGAGAGGUGUUAGGGUUUUAAAGCAACGAAUAAAAUACCAUGAAAUAAGGAACCUCUUCUAUAGUCCAACGAGGGUGCAGUGUUGGGUUUCAACAAGGGAAGAGUGGUCGUGGUGAGGAUUUCAAAAAUUGGAGGUGUGCCAGGAAGGGUUUCAGAAAACAAGAUUCGUAGAAAAGACAGGGAAACCCUAAAAAUAGGUCUUAUAUGUGGGCUCUUUGCUUGCAUAUCCAAUAAAAUCUGUGCCCUCAAUCAACUUAUAGUGGGGGAACUAAGCCAGGCACAUCUCAUCUGAAGCCACCCUUUCUACACUGCACAUAUCAAGUCUAUAUCUGGGAUUCUUGUGAUGUUGUGCCCAUUACUUGCCUAUAGUUCCUCAAGUAUGGAAACAUUGGCAGUCAUCUUCAAAUUGAUAAAUGGUAGUUUUUUCCAUUCAUACUUUCAUUCGUUCAUGUACAGAGUAUAUAUAGAGGGUAAUCACCAUUCUAAGAAUGGGAAAGAAUAAUACAAGGAAAGAAUGAUAUAAGGAAAUAACAACUAAUAUCCUAAUAUCUCAACUUUCCUAAUAUCUCAAUAUUCUUAAUAUCUCAACUUUCCUAAUAUUUAAACAUUCCUAAUAUCUCAACACUAAAUAAUAUAAGGAAAGAAUGAUAUUCGGAAAGCAUUCCUAAUAUCUCAACACUCCCCCUCAAGUUGGUGCAUAGAUGUCACACAUGCCCAACUUGUCUAAAAAUUUUGAGAACACUUGACUUGAGACAGCUUUGGUGAGGAUAUCGGCCAAUUGAUCUUCUGAUCGAAUCUUAGGCAAUUCCACAAUCUUAUCAUCCAACUUUUCCUUAAUGAAGAAUCUAUCCACCUCGACAUGCUUUGUACGAUCAUGUUGUACUGGAUUAUGAGCAAUGUCACAUGCGGCUUUAUUGUCACAAAACGAUCGGAUUGGUUGCCUAGAUAGGUAACCUAAAUCAUGUAAGAGAAGUCUUAGCCAUAAUGCCUCACAAAGUCCUAGAGCCAUACCUCUAAAUUCUGCUUCUGCACUUAAACGAGCGACGACAUUCUGCUUCUUACUUUUCCAUGUCACAAGAUUACCACCUACAAAGGUAAAGUAACCAGAUGUAGAUCGCCUAUCAUCCACUGCACCGGCCCAAUCAGCAUCAGUAUAUACUUCUAUACUCUGAUGAUUAACAUUUUUAGCAAACAAAAUUCCCUUCCCAGGAGCAUUCUUCAAAUACCUCAAAAUAAGCAUAAUUGCAUUCAUAUGUUGCUCUCCAGGAUUAUGCAUGUAUUGACUCACUACACUCAAUGCAUAACUUGUAUGAGCUAAGUACAUUAAUCUCCCCACAAGUCUCUUGUAUCUUCCCUUAUCGGUUGAUACUUGAUUAGGUUCAACACACAAUUUUAGACCUUCUUCUAUUGGUGUAUUAACAGGUUGACCUCCCGACAUUCCAGUCUCCUAUAAAAGAUCUAAGGCAUACUUUCUUUGAGACAGAAAAAUUCCUUCACUUGAUUGAGAAACUUCAACCCAAGAAAGUAUUUCAGAUGACCUAGAUCUUUCAUUUCGAAUUCUCUAGAUAGAUAAUUUUGUAGAGCUUUUUUUUCUUCAGGAUCGUUCCUAUAACUACCAUGUCAUCCACAUAUACGAUGAGUGCGGUAAUCUUACCAUGUUGCUUUUUCAAGAACAAAGUGUGAUCUGAAUUACUUUGACGAUAGCCAAAAGCUCUCAUUGACUUUGUGAACCUUCCAAACCAUGCUCUCGGGGAUUGCUUCAACCCAUACAAUGACUUCUUCAAUUUGCACACCUUUUGACAUUGCUUUUCUAACACCAUGCAUCCUGGUGGAAGAUCCAUAUAUACUUCUUCAGAUAACUCGCCAUGAAAAAAGGCAUUUUUCAUAUCGAACUGUUGUAAUGGCCAAUCUAGGUUUGCAGCUAAAGAUAGUAAUACUCGAACUGUGUUGAUCUUAACUACAGGUGCAAAUGUCUCUGUGUAGUCAAUUCCAUAAGUUUGAGUGUACCCUUUUGCUACCAGUCUUGCUUUAAAUCGUUCAAUACUACCAUCUGCCUUGUACUUCACAGUAUAGAUCCAACGACACCCAACUGGCUUCUUUCUUGGUGGACAUUCUACGAGUUCCCAUGUUUCAUUCUUCUGCAAUGAUUUCAUCUCUUCAUUCAUAGUUGCUUUCCACCUUGGGUUAGCUAAGGCUUCCUGCACAUUGUUAGGAAUAGCUACAGUAGAUAAUUGAUUUACAAAUGACUUAUUUGAUUCAGACAAACGAUGGUUAGACACAUAGUUGCUCAUGGGAUAUUUGACUUUGGUAGACAAUUCAGGUUCAUAUGUGGGUUUAGGAAUACCUCUAUUAUGUCGGUGUGGUAACCGUUUCAUGAAUGGAUCAUGUUCCAAAUUAAGAACACCUUCAACAAACAACGAUUGGUUUGGUAUUUCAGUGAAGACAUCUUCAGACCCAAAUUGUUGACCACUCAUAUCCAACUCACCCGCUUCUUGGUUCACUAGUUCAGAUUGUCUAGAUUCAUUCUCCUCAGAGAUAUGAUAAUCAUAAUCGAGAGUUUGAAUUUCCUUAUGGUACUCCCCCCUGAAGUUCAGACUCAGAUGAAAAAUACAUCAAAUCUUCAUGAAACACCACAUCCAUUGUAAUAUACAUUUGUCGAGUUGGAGGAUGGUAACAUCGAUAUCCCUUUUUGUGCAAUGCAUAUCCCACAAACACACAUUGCAAUGCAUGGGAAGUUAACUUGGUGCAUUGGUGUUUGUGUAGAUGCACAAAUGCCACACAACCAAAAACACGAGGAGGUAGAUUUGGGACAGUUGGGGCAACUACGGCAUUAGUAAGAGCUUGGAGAGGUGUUUGGAAGUUAAUUGAGCUGGAAGGUACCCGAUUGAUCAAGUAUGCGGCAAAUGUGAUUGCUUCUCCCCAAUAAGAUAUCGGUGUUUUUGCUACUAUCAAGGAAGCACGAACAACCUCUAACAAGUGCCGAUUUUUCCGUUUAGCGACUCCAUUUUGCUGGGGUGUAUUGGAACAAGUAGUCUGAUGAAUGAUGCCAUGUCCUUCCAAAUACUUUUGAAGAUCAGAACUUUGAUAUUCUCCACCAUUAUCACUACGCAGAACCCGAACCUUUGCAUUGUACUGAGUUUCAAUCAUUUUAUGAAAUUUUUGAAACAACAAGUUCACUUCAUCUUUGGUCUUCAUCAAGCAUAACCAUGUCAUUCUGGUAUAAUCAUCAAUAAAAGUAACAAACCAACGUGAGCCACUCAAAGUUGGGACUUUGGAUGGGCCCCAAACAUCAAAAUGUAUAACCAUAAAAGGAAACGGACUUUUGUUCAAAAUUAACGGAAACGAAACACGAUGGCUUUUAGCCAAUUCACAAAUAUCACAACGGAAACUAGAAAUAUCACUCUUUGCAAACAAACUAGGAAACAAUUUUUUUAAAUAACCAAAGGAAGCAUGUCCCAGACGUCGAUGCCACAACCAAAUUUCAGACUUUUUCUUCUCCCCCUCAGAUCCAUCUGCCAUCAAGGCUUGUUGCAACUUAUUUGAAUCCUUUGACUGCAAGUCCAAGUAAUAGAGUUUUCCCUGCUUAAUACCACAACCAAUCGUCUGUCUUGUUUGGAUGUCCUUAAUCACACAAAAUUCAGGCCAAAAAAUGACUAUACAAGAUAAGGCUGCGGUGAUUUGAGAAACUGACAAAAGAUUGUAAUCUAAAGAUGGAACAACUAAAACAGAAUCCAAAUUCAAAGUAUCAGUAAGAGUUAAGGAUCCUUUCCCAAUGACUGGGGUUGUGUUACCAUUGGCUGUGGAAACAAUUUUUUGUGAGGAAGGUCUAAGGGGUGAAACCUGUCUAGAAUCAAAAGUCAUAUGAUCUGUAGCACCAGAAUCAAUUAUCCAUGCACUAUUAAUAACAGGUGUAAAAGUAUUUAAAAACUUACCACCAUGAUCUGUAGUGGCUACCAAUGCAGAGGCUUUCUCAGCAACAUUAGCCUUUGUUUUUAUUUCGGCAACAGUUGCAAUCGAGGUUUUCUUGGAAUCCUUCUUCCGUUGAUCACGAUUAUUACCAUUAAUAACAAAGUGUUGAUAGCCUAAACAUGAUCUAAAGAUCCAUGGUUCAAACCCUCGGUUCCUCAUUGUUUUCCUAGUCAUACCAAGAGUCGUUGCUUUGAAAUUGUGGGAUAUCCAGAUUGGUGGGAUCAAUCUUAUUGCAGUGAGUGCAUUUGAAGGUUGACUUAUCAAUAUUAGGGCUUGUCUUAGGAUGGAUGAUCACUGUCGGACUACCAUAGCGACAAAAUAUCCAGGAUUUCAGUUCCAUGGCUCUGAUACCAUCUUCAAAUUGAUAAAUAGUAGUUUUUUCCAUUCAUACUUUCAUUCGUUCAUGUACAGAGUAUAUAUAGAGGGUAAUCACCAUUCUAAGAAUGGGAAAGAAUAAUACAAGGAAAGAAUGAUAUAAGGAAAUAACAACUAAUAUCCUAAUAUCUCAACUUUCCUAAUAUCUCAAUAUUCUUAAUAUCUCAACUUUCCUAAUAUUUAAACAUUCCUAAUAUCUCAACACUAAAUAAUAUAAGGAAAGAAUGAUAUUUGGAAAGCAUUCCUAAUAUCUCAACAAGUCAAACACUCUCAGACCUCCAUAUUCUGAUGGUCAUAGUCAUGAGCUUCUGCUGUCGUGCAUGUGCAGCAGAUUGUUAUGAUGAUUUUGGACAAUCACAUGAACAGAAAAUAUAAGGCAUAGGGUGAUAGGACGACCCAUUACAUGGCCUUCCUGAAGACUAACCUUGAAAUCUUCAUUAGUAUAAACUAUAAAAAUGAGUAGGUCAACAACUUAGCUAAGCUUGCAGAAGUGUCUUCCUUGUUAAGUACAUAGAAAAGUCAUACUCAUCUAGCUGCCACCCAAACUGGAAUUAAUAACACAAUCGACCAUUUGUUGGAUGGAUUAUUUCCAUGCCUACUUAGAGAACAACAUAAUUCCUAAGUGUACAAAUUGAGAAUACAUGCUAUGAGUUACUCCAUCAUCAAUGAAGAACUCUACCAAAGAUCAUUCUUUGGUUGGUAAUUGACGUGUCUAAGAAUAGACGAGACCAAGUAUGUGUUGGUUGAGAUAUACCAAGGGCAAUGCAUCAACAACAGGAUAAUCCGUAGCCCAUUAUGCCCUAUCCCAGGGGUACUGUUUGUUGUUCAUGCACAAAGAUAUAGCGCCAUAUAUGAGCAAGUGGAAUAUUCACACCCAUAUUCCACUUCCUUGCUAAGCAACCAUUAUCCCUCGUCAAUCCUUUGGAUUUUACACGAUGGUGGAUUAACAUUACAAGAUUGUUGUCUACUGCCCCACCCCAGAAGCUCGUCUUUUUACAAAGUAGGUGGAAACAUGAAUAAUUUGAAUGAGUUUAAAUAGAUUACAUGUGCCAAAUUUACAUCACAAAAAUAAAUAAAUAAAUAAAAAUUCAGAGAUUUUCUUCUUCUCUACAUAUCAAUCAUAAAAUAAAACAAAUCAAUUGAGAGAUUAUUUCCUUCUCUGUAUGUUAUCAUAUUCUCUCUAUGGAGUUUGGUAAUAGACAAUCCUUGAGAUAUUAUCCUACAUUCAGCCCAAUUGUUUCCAAAUUGUUUCAAUAAUCUUUUCCACAUUUUGCUAUUGAAAAUAUUCCAUGAAUACUUUAGUACUUUUAUGAUUCCCCCUCUAGCUAGCUAGCGGGUGGUAACCUAUGCACUCCUAGCUUGUAUUGAAGAUUCUAAAAGAAAGCCUUAGGAAGACGUCUUGAGGGAAUAAAAAAGUACCAAGAGCUCCCAUUGUGACCUUGUCUUGAAAAAAGUAAUAAUCUAACUCAUUGUGCUUAGAACAUACGUUAUAUGAAAGACAUGAAGUUUUCCAAACCUAAAGAGAUAUGUUUCAAAGGCAUCUGAAUAGAAAAAUUUAGCAACAAUCAUUUACAACCUUUCAUCUAAUUCAUAUUUGAAGUUUAAAAAUUGUGGACUAAUCCUUGGUUUUGUGUUAAACCAUGGUUUUAACCUUAGAGUGUGACAUUACAUAUACUAAAUUUACAUCAUAAAAUAAAAUAAAUCAACAUAAAUUCAUUGAGAGAUUUUUUUUCUUUCUUGUUAUGGUAUCGAUCAUAAAACAAAAUAAAUCAGUUGAGAGAUUGUUUCCUUCUCUAUGUAUCCUCUAUAUGGAGUAAAUAUGGUAAAAGGAAAUAUUUUAGAUAUUACUCUACAUUCAACAACUUUGACUUCAUCAAUGAUUUCCAAAUUAUUUCAAUAAUCAUCACUUUUUCAUAUUUUGCUCAUGGAAUUCUACCAUGAAUACUUCAUUACUUUUAUUUAGGGCUACAACUUGGACGAGUUAGUUGAGUUGAUGACUAAUCUAAUCCCAAUCCGAAUUAAGAAAGAAUCAACCCAAACACCACCCAAAUUGAACUCUAACCCGAAGUACAUAACCUAAGCCCAAUCCAACCUCAUUUUUCUAAGUUCGGAUUGAAUUUGGAUUGUUCAAGUUAAACUUGAGUUAGUCGGGUUAGAUUCAAGUUGAUCGGGUUGACUUCAAGUUAAUCAAGUUACAAAGUUCAAAUUCAUCUAUAAUAUUUUAAAAUUUUUUUAAAUGUAUUUAUAUGAAAAUUUAUAUAGUAGAUAGUACAAAGUAAAUUUCAAGAUAGGAACAAAAAAAUAAAAAUAAAUUUAUAAAUUUUUCUAAAAAAUGAAAAAUAUAUGAUAUAAUAUAAUUUGAUUCUAUAAAAAAAAUUAUAAAGUAAAUGAAUAUUAUUAUAUAGGAUAAUAUAUAUUAUAAAUAUUAUAAAAAUAUUAAAUUGAGUUCAGCUUAUGCUCGGGUUAUUUGAAUCUUAGUCCAAACCCAAGCCAAAGUGAACUUGUGUUGAAAUUUUUUUACCCAAACCCAACUCAAGUAUUGAAAAUGAUUGCCCAAGUCUAACCAAAUGUUGGGUUGGGUUCGGGUUGGAUUGAGUCAACCCGCCCAAGCUAAACCUCUACUUUUAUUAAUGCCAACAUAUAGGACUUUGAUGUUAAGCUUGAUAUUGCAGGAUGUUGUCCACUGUCCCGCCUCAAAAAUGCUUCGUUUUACAAAGUGAGUGAAACAAAAAGCUUAUGCAAAUAUAUAAGACUUUGAAGUUAAGCAUUUCUCAUAUGUCAAUUUGGCAUACCCAAGAAAUGGUGAUAAACAAUGAGGUCCAAUUUAACCCUAUUCUCAUCAACAAUUUCUACAGCAAGCUUGGAAGAAGGAUUUUCUAGUCCAUAUCAUAGUUCCCUUGCUGCAACAAUUGAGCAAAAUCCAACGAGGAGCUACCCUUGCUGCCCUAAGCUUGCUGCUUAAUAGCUUGAAAACCCAAGAGUGAGACACCCUUCAUAAUGGCAUAUGGCGUGAAGGUAGUAAUAACCACAAAAAUUGAAAAGCCAAUAGCUUGUUCAUAUACCUUUUAUGCAUAAUUUUGUCAUUUUUAACCUAGACAUAAUGUAAUCUAGUAGGGGGGUUGUCGAAUGGAUUGUAAAUAUGAUGUUUGUUAUACACAUUAAUAUGCUAGUAUAUUCAUGAGAUCUCCGACAUGAAUUACUUGUAGCAAACAAGUGAUCACCUAUAGAGGUGCAGCAUAGUCCAACUGAACCUCUGGUUUCUUUUGCUUAGAAGUUGACCUAGCUGUCUUUCAACUUCGGCAGCCAAAAAUUCAACCCCAGUAGUCCCUAGAAUAAAUGAUUUUAUAUUUUAACUAGUGGGUAAAAAGUGAGUUAAGGUCUCUGACAACAAUGUCUCCAAACAACUAUAUAUUUAACCAUUUUAACCUCGCUACUACCAUCAAUAUGGUAGAAGAGGAUACUGGAACAUAUGCUGGAAGAGCAAUCAAGAGCAGAUAGCUUCAAAUUCUGAAGGUUAGGUGGAGUUGGAAACUAUAGUUUUAUUAGCCUUUAGAUACAAUUUUAACCUCUAUUUUUUGACAGGAACUUGGAGCUUUUGAGGUGAGGAAGGGCUUCCAACCUCUAUUUCUGAUAGGAACAUGGAGCUUUUGAGGUGAGGAAGGGCUUCGCCUUUUUCAAACUUAGCCAAGUUGUAGUGCAACUCCUUUGGCCAUGCAUAUAUGUGCAUAUUGCCUUGAAUUCAGUCAAAGUAAAAGGGUAAUCAUGUAAACUCUUUUCAUGAUUUGCUUUUCGAACAUAAAAAUCUGAUAAAAUUUAAUGUGACAAUUAACUCACAAUAUUAAAACUUUCAGAAGAUCACAAAAUCUGAUUGAUGUUAAGGACUCAUUCUAUACACAUAAGUUCAUUUGCGAGUAAGUGGGAACCAAUUUAGAAGGUCAAGUAUAUUUACUGUCAACAAGAAUGUUGCCCUCCAAUUUAAGAUCUCCACUAAGGAGGAACCCUGUUUGAUCCAGAUUCCAGGAUCAUGCAACAGAGUCUAAAUCAAAUCAAGAGCAACGUUCCAAUUUGUGAAUACCAAGAAUAGCUGUAUCUUCUUUUUACAGGAUCCAGAUUCUGUGUAAGCAGUGAAAUUAUUUGCAAUCAGACAAUCAUCAUCUUCUUCAAGAAAUGCUGCUAUGAAAUUAUUUCUAGCUGUGUCUGACUCUUCACAACAUGAAGUUAGCAACCAGAUUGCUCAAUCACCAAGCCACAAAGAUGAUACAACCGAACAGUUGCAGUAGGAAAACUUCUUUGUUUAUUCAGAAUCAAGAAAAUCUUUAGGUCCCUCAUACCACGACCGCUCCCAAUCUUUAGGUCUUGGGGGAAGACAAUUCCUUCAUUCUCUACGUGGACAGAAGUAGUGCUUGCUUUUCUGGCUUUUGUCUCUCCACAGUCUGUAAAAAAAAUGUCCCAAAAAACAACUAAUGAUCAGAAAAAGUGUAAAAGGGAAGAGAGAAAACUGCUGAUAGAUUGGAUCAGUCUUCUUCUUCAUUAGAUCAUUACAAACAUCUGGCUUUGAAAAAUUUGAAGUUAAUUAACUACCAUCAUUAUAAAUAUUUAUUUUUCCUGAAAGAAUGAAAAUGUAUGGUUGCUCUAUGAGUACAGCCCUCUACAGCACAAAAAUAAACAAAUACUGUGGUCAAAGCUGUCAAUCAAAAUCCCCCUAUCCAGAAUGCAUGUCAAUGGCUGAUCCAUAUUCCCACACUAGUAUCCCAUAUCAAAAACCACAUACAUACAGAGAAUAAACUCGAUAAGAUUUCCUCCAAGAAUCAUGGCAUCAAUGAUGAAGAAUGGCUUUUAUCCAAGUUUGAGGCAGUUUGCCAUAUUCAUCUGCUUCCCCAUGAGUCUCAUGUAGUUAAUGGAAGGAUUCAAUAAACAAUCUCGAAACGCAUGAGUGUUUUUGGCCUAAUAAAAUUCAGCAUAUGGCAUGAUUUUGUAUGUGUAAAUAGGGACUACUGCUAGCUUGUUUGUAUGAAAUAACCAUGAUUACUAGACAGUCACAUCAAAUUAAGCAGAAUCUACAAAAUACUGAUCUCCAUUUCGUACCAUGUCUGAGAAAUUUUGUGAAAUGAUCAUAAACUGAACAUGAAUUAUAUGUAAUCUACUUCAUUUACCAAAGGUAAUGAAAUCUAUUCUAUUUUUAUAAUCAACUUAAUUAGGAAACUCAGAUACUAAUCACUACCAUACGUACAGAAAUCAUAUUACUUUUCUUUAAUACCUCCCUUGAUCAACUUACAUGCUAAGAAUGAAAAAAUCAUAAGGCAAUCAGAUGAAACAAACCAAGAAAACAAAAAUAUUGAAUGCAGAGUUAUGAAAUAUCACCAGAUGAGAUCCAACAGUACAUUAAAAAAAAUUGUAAACUUGCUUACCUUGGCGCCAUGUCUGGAGGAAUCCCAAUUGUUAAGCAUAGGGCCCAUGUUGACAAGCACAUGCCCAGAUCUUAGACACCCUCAAGAUGAACAAUGGCAGCUACUCUAGGCACUCCUACUGCACAGGCAAAAAUAAGUUAGCUAAUGUUUCUUGGCAAUUGGCUUUGGAUUGGACCUUGGUAGAUAGGUCAGUUUUAGAUAGAUAAGUUAAUAAUCCAAUAACUAUAUUCCAAGAUGCAUCAUAUGCAAUGCAUCAAUUUGGAAAUUCAAAACAAACAUUUGAGGCAUUUAAAUAGUCAGUUUUCAACACUUUCAUAUUCAAAUGUGUACAAAAUGAUUAUAACUUGAAAGUUUGAAUAUAAACUGAUGUACAAUAUUCCCAAAGGCUCAAGUCUGCCAGGAAUAAGGCUUCAAAUCACACAUUUACGUAGCCUCAUGUUUGAGUUAAGCAUGUACCCUAUCUAUUAAUGAGUUCAUCAAUAAUAAGUUUUUUGCAAGAAAUUGGGACCUGAAAUUACUCUACUCAUUUUCUUGAAUAAUGAAUUUUCUUAAAAGUGUAAUUGAUUAUCAAACAUAGUCAGGCAUUUAUAUCUAUGGUGGAAACUAGUCCGCUGCCAAAGAGAGGGUCAAAGGCCUAAUUAUCAUUUUGCUAAACAAUGUAAUAUAGUCAUCCAAAAAAAUUUAUAAUUAUACCUUUUUCCGACUCCACUCAUGCCAUUGAACUUUAUAGUUGGACAAACCUAGAUCAAAAUAUACAAAAAAUAAAGAAUAAGAGAAAACAAGCUAGAAAAAACCGCAAGCACUAAAAUUUGUACUUUAAAAGAGGAAAUAGGCUAGCAAUUGUAAGUUUAAUUUACAGAAACCUUACAAAAUAUAUUUAAAAUUAUAGGAAAACUACUUACCUUUAAAAAAUUGGUGCAAACACUCUACCUUUUGUUGAUGUUCACAUCUCGAGAAGAACAACUUCUUUCUUAGUAGAUCUGAUGAUGGUGUUAAUCUUUGGGAAGAGAUAAUUAGAAGGCUGCGUUGAAUUUUAGCGAGUGAGAGAGAAAGGAUCACCCAAAACCCUAAAGCAAAAAAGGAAUUAGUAACUUAAAUAGAUUCCAUUUUUUCCUCAUGACGUGUCUACCUUAGUAAGGUUUUUAUCAUAGUGACAACAUUUGGAUAAUUAAGUGAUGACUUUUGAUAGAUCUUUUCUAUUUGAAUUUUUAAUAUAUAAACUUAAUCUUCUUUACUUGGGGUAAUAUAUAUAUGGUAUUUUAGGAUUUAAUUUUUAAUAAUAUGCUUUUAGUUGAUGGUUUAGCUAUCUCCUAAUGUAAUAAGAAGUAAUCUUGAAUUACAUUAUCUGCUAUGGAGUAGGAGUGUGUUGCUUGUUCAAGGGAUGUAUGGGAAGUUGUUUAAUUGAUGAUAUACUUUCAAUGCUUAGAGUCAUGACUUGAGCUGAUAUGGUUAUCAACAUCUAAGCAAUGAUGGUGUGGCAACUCUAUUGUAUAGCAAGGAUCCAAUUAGUAACAUUGUAGAAAAAACAGCUAGACAAUUGAUUCCACUACAUUCAAGAUAUUGUUGCUUAAGGGGAGGUAGUAAAAAGAAAUAGACAAUUGAUACAACUACACUCACAACAUAGAGACAAAACACACAAACAAUACUAUAGUUGAAUAAAUUGUUGGAAACCCUAGAUUACUCCAUCUCAUGCCUUAGAUCUCGUAGGUUGUAUGCAUCUAGCCCUAAGCAUCUCUAAAUCUAUUGCAACCAUAUUAAGAAUAAAGAUUUAGAGAUUUGAACCCCAUACUUAGAUCAAAAUGUUCCUAGAACAAUUCCCUGUGGUGAAGAAGAAGCUUGAAGAGUCUGAAGGUCUCGUACACCUAAGAUCUUAUGCCCAAUGACUCGAACCAUGAUCUUGGUACUCCAAAGUGUGGCCAAUGAAAUGGAGGAAGUAAUGGCUCUUUCUCUAGAUGUGGAAAACCACUCUCAUUUAAAAGUCAUGAAAACCCUAACCCCUAAGGGGUAUUUAUAGGGUUGCCCACUAGACUUAAGUGAGUUAAGCCCAUCAAGGCUUGAGUCACUUAAUCUAGCCUAAAAUAGGUCAUAAUUGAUUGAUUAACCACAUAUGAUCAUCUAAUUAAUUAGCCUAAUCCAGAGAUCUUGAUCAUUAUCCCCUAUGCAACCUUAUGUAAUUACCAAAAUGAAAUUAUGCAUAAGAAUGAAUUUAGAGUCAAUCCAACCCUCAUAAACUGUGUCAUUAUGGUAUAUAUAUGAGCUCAGAGUAGGAACCACUAAGACCCAUAGGAUUUCUAACUCUCUCAUAAUCCAAUUUUGAAGUUGAUUCAAUAUUCCACUAAAGAGAAUCAAUUGCACUCGAUCUAAUACCUUAUGUAAAUAACAAUAAAAAAAACCUCAAGUACAUAACCUACUAUCUGUUGACAUCUUAAAUCUAAGCAUCGGAAGCAAUACCAUUUAAAAAAAAAAUUGAUCUUUUAGGGUUAAAGUACUAGCUUUUAGGUUUGGAUAUUCUCAAACCUUAAAUUUUAAGUGUUGAAGACGACUUUGAAGUUGUUGGAAAUCUUGUAAACCCAUAAUCUUCCGUUCAAUGACUCAACCUUGUUUUUGACAUACUUUCAAUGGGAAAGAAAGAAGGCUGGAAGCUAUGACUCUCUUUCUCUCUAGAUAGUGGAAGCAAAAAGUUAUGGAAAACCUAACCUCUAUGGGAUAUUUAUAGAAUUCCUAACUAGGCUUAAGUGACUUGAGCCCACGUGGGCUUAGGUCACUUAAUCUAGCUCAAAAUAUGUUCUAAUUGAUUAAUUAACCUAAUAGAACUUACUAAUUAAUCAAUUAACUCAAUCCAAAGACUUUAUUCACUUACUCCUGUGUAACCUUAUAUAAUUACCAAAAUACCCUUAUAUAUAAAAGUGAACCUAAAGCCAAUCUGACCCUCAUAAUCAAUGUCAACAAGGUAUAUGAGUUCAAAGCAGGGACUAUUAGGACCCAUAGGAGUACCAACUCCCUCAAAAUCCAAUUUUGAAGUUGAUUUAACAUCCCAUUAUAGAAAAUCAACUGAACUCUUAGACUUAUAAAAUAAAAUAAUAAUAAGUAAAUUAACUUUAAUUAUUUCAUUUUCAUAUUCCAUUUAAAAAUGAUUCAAAUUAUACAAAUCAUCAUAAUAAUUUAUAUAUAUAUAUGUCAUAAUUUCUUUUAUAUUUGAAUAUUAAAUAUAUUUUAAAUUCUUAAAUUAUGUAUAUUAUUAUCGAAUAUCAUUAAUUAUAUUAAAUUAUAUCAAUUUUUUAAUAAAUAACUUCAUUAUGUGUAUUAUUGCUUCUUUUAUAAUUUUUUUUUAGUUUUUAUUAAUAUUUUACCAGUUUUUAUUAAUUUUGAUUUUUUUUUCAAAAUUUUCAUUGAUAUUUGUUGAUAAUUAUUUGUUUUUAAGUUUUACAAUAAAAAAAAAACUUUAAUAAAUAUAUUAUUUCUUAUUUUAUCAUGUUUAAGAGUUUUUUUUUUUUUUUUAAUAUUUCCACUAGUUUUGAUCAAUUUUUUUUCAUUGACAUUUUGUGACAAAAUAUUUACCAAUAUUUUCUAAUAUACCCUAAUAUCUAUAAAAACGAGUUAUUAAUAUAUCCAUCAAAAUAGAUAUUUUCAUCCUUGCUCACAAAUUAUAUUUUAUAUCUUUAUUUAUUUCGUUUUUCAUCAAACUCUCACUUCACAUUCUAGGUUACAAGACUACAACUUGAGAAUUUCUAGAGCACGGACAUAUUUGAAAUUUGAGACAUUGAUGGAAAGUGUAAAUCUUCUUUUUUAAAAACAAAAUAUUAAAUUAAAAAUAUACUACCAAGGCUGAAAAAAAAAAAGCGUGUAUAAAGGAUAAGAUAUAUAUAUAUAUAUAUAUAAUAAGAUUAUUGUAAGAUACAAACAAAUAAAAUCUAUUUUUACCAUGUGAUUAUUUUGAAUUGUAGAAGUCCUUUCUAUAAGGUAGUAUGAUAAUUAUAAUAACCACAAUAAUAAUAAUAGAAGAGAUUACUUUUCGUUGCGUGCCUUAAAACUAUGAAUAAAUACCUUUUAUUAUUUGAAGUCAUUUUCAAUUUGUACAAGUCAUGUACCUAGUACACAAUGAAUGUCUGCUGAUAACUUCAAAACCUAAGAAUAUUGAAAAUGGGUGCAGACUUUUUCAAUUGUUGACAUAUCCGCAAGCCAAGGGAUCUGCUCCAGCUGGGUGGAAUGUCCACAACCUGACAGUGAAAUAGAAUUUUGAGGCCCCAAUAGGGUCCCCAAAGCCAGAUAUAAAAUUAGAAUCUCGGGAUCUCUUCCAAUUGUAUGUUCAUAUUAAUUUUAUGAACAUAAUUCAAUUAAUUUUAUGUUCAUAUGAAAUGGAAUUUUGUACAUAAUUCACAUAAGCGGAUAAAUAAUCAUGCUAAGGAACCUUCUCCAUAUGGUAGGACGUAUGCAAUCAAAUACAAAACUAGAAUUAUAGGAUCCUCUCUUUUGAAGUCCCUUGAUGACCUCCUUGAUAAUCCUGAAUGCAUUCACCACCAAACUAAACUUAGAAUUGGAAAAAUAGUUUUGAACUUAGAACCCAUUUGGUAGUGAUUUGAGAAAGUAUUUCUAACAUUUUUAACAUUUAAAAUUUUUUAUCAUUCAAGUGUUUAAAAUGUUAUAAACGUUUCCUAAAAUCCCCAUCAAAUAUACUCUUAAUUAGGUGGAAAAAAAGCUACUUGGAUAUUUUGAGACUUAAAUGCAUGUGAUUCCCAAAUUGCAUAAACAAGUUCCAAGCAGAGUGCAAUGAGUUCCAAUUGUCAGAGGAUAAAACAUGAUAUUGAAAUAUGGUUUUAAUGUGACCCUCAAGUUUCGAUUCGCGUAUUGCAUAAACAAAAAAUAAUCUAACUCCCAAGCUUGGGCUCAAGCCACCUCCUCAACCUAUGGUUCAUAAGUGCUCUUUGUAAGUGCUUGGACUCUUGAUCAUUCUUCACUUUCAGCUACAUGUUUUUGCUAACAAAGUUGAGCAUACUUCAUUAUGUGCUAGGACCCAUUUAUGAUCACUUUAACAUAAUUUUAAUGUUAAACGCAUUCUUAUCUAAUCCUAAACCAUUAUAGAUAAUGAAGGUGCAAACUUUAACCCUAAUGAGGAUUUUGUGCAUAAUCAUAUUUGAAUGAAAUUUUAUUCCUUUGGGAACUUAAGGAGCAUGAGGUUCAAACUAGACAAACAAGUUAUACAUGAUUCAAGAUAAGACGUGAACUAGCCUCUGCAGGUGAAGUUAGGUGAAAUUAAAGUGGUAGGAAGAAACAAUGAGUGAAAACCAUAUUUUUUUGGUUAAAGAUCUUUUAGUGUAAUUGUACCUUGAGCAAAAAUUUAAAAUACAUUCGAUUGUAAUUCAAAGAAGUAUUUUUAAUCUUUCUAAAGUUACUGUCAAACUCACUCUUAAUAAGCUACUUUGAUACUUAGGGCAUGCUAUAAUUGAAUUGAGCGAAUGAGGUAUUGUUUGGAUAUGCCUUUGCUUUUAUUUGUUUAUUUUAAAAAAUAUUAAAUAUGGUUAUUAUGCCUAUUUUUUCUUCUUUUUAUUUUUUUUAUAAUUAAAUAACAAGAAUUUUAAAAAAUUUCAUGAUCUUAAAUGAUUUUAAUUAAUUUUAUGUUUAUAAAUAAGAUGAUUAUUGUUAGUCUUUUGAUAUAGAAGAAUAAGAUGUGCAAAAAGUUGGUGUUAAUUUAUGAUUUCAAAAUAUGUUUAGAAAAUUUUCAAAGUUGAAAAAAUAUGUCAUACUUUUAUAUUUUAAAUUUUUUCUAUAAAAAACAUUUAAAAGUGAUUCAUGAAAAUUUAUUUUAAAACUUAAAAAUUUAAAAAUAGAAGAAUGAUGAAGUCUGGCCAUUUUUUGGGAGAACAACUAAAUGAAUAUUUUUUAGGAUUCCAACUUUCACAUUUCAUCCCAAACACACAAUGGAUAAAAUUAUUUCUAAAAUAUGCAUUUAAAUAACAACUAAAUGAAUUGCCCCUUUUUAAAGUCUUUGAUAUGAUAAAUCAUAAUUGAAAGCGUUUAAUAUAUACCCUUUUAUUUCUACUUUUCUUUUCUUUCCUUUUUUUAUAUGAUCAAGUGGCCACACUUUCUCUUAUGAAAGCUCUUUAAUUUCAUAUUAUUUUUACUCUUAUUUAUUAAAUUUAAUCAUUUUUUAACACAUUAAAUACAAAAUGAUAAUAUAUAAUAAGUAAUUAAUGAGAACAAAUUAAAUAUAAAUUUAAAUAUACAAUGGACAAAAAAGACAUAUUAUCCUACAAAUAAUAUACUUGAUUAUUUAAAAUAUUAAUUAUAAUACAUUUGAGCUCAAAUUUACAAAUUAGGUUUUAUUAUUUAGACAUUUAGGAUAUAAGAUAUGUUAACUAGAUUUUUUUUUUUUAUAUUAAUGCUAAAAGAAUACUUAUUUAUUUUGUAAAUUUUACCACAUCUAAAUAAAACAAAAUGAUCUUUAUGAUGUUAUUUUUAUGUUUAUAUUAUUUUAAAGUUUUUAUUUUUCAUGUCAAAAUUAUAAUUCGUGAUGAUUAUUUUAGCUUUUUACAUACAAAUCAUCUACUCUUCCUGGUAAUUCAAUAUGAACAUAAAUUAAGCAUUUCAUGCCAACAAACUAAAUAUGAACAUAAAUAUAAUCUCAAAGAUGUAUUAUUUUUCUUAUGGGUAUAAUAAGUACAUUUUCAAGAAAAAAAGAAUGUUACUUAGAAAAAUAAUUGUAUACUUCAUAAGCAUAAGUACAACCUUAAUAAAAAUAAGAAUAUUCUUUAAAAAGUACAUCAUUUAAAUAAAGUACAAUAAAUUGAGCAAUUUAUGAUGACAAACUCAAUAUGAACAUAAAUGUAGUCUUAGGUAUGUAAUAACUACAUCUUAGAGAAAAAAAAAGUACAUGCCUCAAAAAAAUAAAUAUAUCUCUAGUAAACUUACUCAUAAUCUAAAGAAAAAUAAUGACAUUCCUUUAAAAAAAUAAUUGUUGUUUCCUUUUACAUUUCCUCUUUAUUAUAUUUCUCUCUCCUAUUUUCCUCAAUUUUACUUAUUUUCAUAAAACAUAGCUUAUAUGGAAAGGUGUUAAUUUAAUGAAGCAUUUAUAAUCGCCCUUUCAUAAUCAUGAAUUAACCUUUAGUUUCAACUUCUACCAGACUAAAUGAGCAAAGCUAUCACAGAGGCCUCAGCCAAUGAGUAACAAGCACUGUUGUACCAAAUAAUAAGUGGAAAAUACAAUUUUAUUAAUACUUGAGACAGAAAAAAAAAAAAAGGUAUGAUUUUACACUCAAAACAAGGAUUUAUUUAUAAUGAGGUGCAGUCUCCAUAUGCACAAAAGACUGCCUUUACAGGAUAAAGAAAGACAUGGAAAUUAUCAAUGUUUGACUCACUGGAAAAUCAUACAAAUUAUUGAAGGAGGACGAUUGUUCACAGUGAGGCUUAGCACAUCAGCUCUCGAAUAAUGUCCUACCACGUCAAACUGGAACUUUGCUUUUGGAAUCUCUCCACGAACAU